UUCAUUUAAAUUGUUAAUCAAGAAGUUGUCUUUAGAUCCCAUUUUUAAGAGGACACUACGAUCUCUUGCUGUCAGCAGUAGUUUGCAUCCUUUAUGAUCUUCUCCAAAAGGAAUUCCCACUGUCUCCAAAUCAAGGUGUUUCCAGAUGUUAUCUAAAACCACAAGGAUCUUCUUCUGAUUUCUCAAUCGCUCAAAUAGUCUACUUGCUCUUCUAGAUUCAACUUCCUCGUGCAACUCCAGGCCCAACUUCUCGGCAAUUUCCUGUUGAAUCUUUUUUAUGUCUGGAGUUUGCGAAACCUCUGAAAAGACCACCAUAUCAAAGAGCUUGUCUUCCAUAGCUUGCCUGGCGACCUUCUUCACCAGUGUCGUCUUUCCAAUGCCGCCCAUGCCGUACACCCCAACGACACUAACAUUAACAUCGAUCAAUGCUUUUUUUAUAGCCUCCAAAGAAGAAAGUCUUGACUCGAAGGCCUCGUAGCCUUUGUGAGACUUGAGCCAUAUCUCCUCCGGAAUGGUACGGUAGGAAAUUCUAUCAUCAAAUCUUGCAGCUUCUUCUCGGAUUUUGACGAGUGCCUUCACCUCUGCCUCUGCUUUCUUGCUAAGCUGAUAGCGAGUAAUCCAAUUAGGAAACAGCCCCAUGAGACAUCGUUCAUUUGCUUUCUCUUCGUCUUGAAUGAAUUUGGCUGCCUGCUCAAUGCUCUUGUUCGCAUUAACCAGCCAUUUCUCAACCUUCUCUUCAAUCUUUUCACUUUUUCUUUCAGCCUCAGAAACUCUGCGCUGAAUGCUUUCUCUUUCAUCCUUGAGCCUAUCGAGUUCUGCCUUGAGAUUCUCAAAGUUGGCAUCGGAGUUAUACCAGUAACUAAAUUCGCGUUGUGCGUGAGGAGACAAGCAGUUUACAACUGGAACAAUGCUUUUCAAAAUGUCCAUUUGUUUUUUUUUUUUGGGGGGGUGGGGGGUGAGUGAACGAAAUAGAAAUAGAACAGGGUCAACGACCGCGCAAUUAAUAAUCAAGUAGAAGCAAAACAAGGCAAAAUGGAGAAAAGAAAUUAUAUUUGUACAAAACAAGGGGAAAAUCAGUGUAACAGAAGAGAAUCAAAGUGUUUUUGAGAUCAGAAAAUUGAAUCAAGAAAAGGGUUGCUUGAUCCAAUGAAAAUGCAAAGAGGGAACAAACAUAAAUAAGAAAACGGCUAGCAGGAGCAGUGACCACGAUAAACAGAAGCAAAGUGUGUAUGAGAUCAAAAGAAGAAAAUCAGGAGAGGUUUUCUUGACUGAGAAUUGAAGGCAAAGAGUAGGAGCUGACGAAUACGGGGAUCAAGAGGGAAAAACUGCUUAAUAACAUUACGAUUGUCAUAAAACAUGUGAUCCUCAUCCAAUAUCCAUUAUUUGUGAUCCUUAAUCAAUAAAAUAUCUAACAAUAUCGAACAGUCGAUAUCCAACACAUGCACGAAGAUUCCAAGAAGUUGCGUGGCUGCCGACUUUUAAAUGCUAAGCCUGAUUGUGUCGAUGAUACACAAAAGAGAGCAGUCGGGGUAAUUGCCAAAACUUAGAACUAAACAGUAGCUUAGUCAGAAAAUCAAACGCCAGUACCGGUAAAAUGACCGAUAAAAAUAUAAAGAAAUAAAACUUUUAAAGUUUUACUUCAUUGCUUUUUUAAUGUUAUUACUAUUUCUCCUAGCACUUCUAAAGAAACCAAAGCUUUAAAAGAAAUCGGCCAAAGAAAUAAAGUUUUACUUCAUUGCAUUUUUAAUCUUAUUACUAUUUCUCCUUGCUCUUCUAAAGAAACCAAAGCUUUAAAAGAAUCAGCCAAAUCACCAAGAUUGAAGAGUAAAUCUAUUGUUUUAGAUUUUUAUUUUUAUUUUUUUAGAUAAUAGAUAUUAUUUUGAUGAAUUUUUUAAUAUUGGAAUAAUGUUAGGAAUUCCAAUAGAUGAAUUCUAACUUGACACCCAAUUGUUAUGUGUCAUUUUUUUAUUGGAUAAUGAAUUUCAUAACUAGUAAAAUUAAUAUUUUGAUCAUCUAAUAAAUAACUACUAUAUCAGUUGGGACUCAAUCAUUGGGAUGCUUAACAUUGCUCUUAGUAUUGUAUUGGACAUCUUAGUUAAAUCAGAUUAAAAAUCAAAUUAGAUUUUAGGCUUUAUUCAACAUCUCCUUUUCUUUAUUUUUUUUUCUUUUUUAGGUCUAUUUGAAGUGAACGAAUUAAAAAUACGACAAGGUCAACGAUUGGGCAAUUGAUAGUCAAGUAGAAGCAAAUGAAGGCUAAAUGGGAAAGAGAAAUUAUAUUUGUACAAAACACGGAGAAAAUCAGUGUAACAGAAGAGAAUCAAAGUGCUUUUGAGAUCAGAAAUUGAAACAAGAAAAGGGUCGCUUGAUCCAAUGAAAAUGCAAAGAGCUGAUGGCAAAAGGGAACAAAGUUAAAUAAGAAAACAGCUACCACUAGCAGCGACCACAAUAAACGAGAAAUUGGAGAUGGAUCUACAAUAUUUCUGCCUUUCUUUAUGCUUUAACAAAUAUUGCUCUAUCGAAAAAAAUAUUGUGGGUUUUUAUUAUUGGAGUCACAAAAGACCAACACAAUAUAGCAAGUGACUAGGAAUAAGAAUAUAUAACUCUCUCUCUAUUUCUCACUCUAGCUUUUAAUUGUCACUCAAAACCCAGACAGCGUAAGGAAAUAAGAGAUGACAGCGUCUGGUUGUCAUACGUGCCUUUUGGUUUCUGGAUGACAUGGCGUACACUUCUUUUGCAAACCAACACGACAUGUCGUACUCUUUGUUUUGAGAUCAUAUUUCAAACUCUUGAUGUUACGAAUGAAAGAUAAACUACAAUCAUCAAAAUAUUUAGUGUUUGUUUGGUAAUGUAAAGUCAUAGUUGUUGUGAAUUGAAAUUAUUUCUGUAAAAUAAAAGGAUUUGGGUCAUUGUUCGUUAUUUUUUGGCAAUAUUGCCUGGCUGUGACUAUUUAUUAAAUAUUAAAAAAAUAAAUUUAUAUUUAUUAAGUAUCAAAAAUAAAUAAACAACAAAAAUAAACGGAAAAAUUAUACAUUACGUAAAAUAAUAAGGACAAUAUCAAUAUUUCACACUCUAUAAUUGAGUGAUGUGUUAUCCAAUUGCAACACAUUUGUCCCAAACGGAGUCUUAAAUAUCAAAGUUAUUGCGAUGAUGACUUAUAAUCACCAAACUUGACAUACGGGUAAUCAUGCAUUAUAAGGUGUUGAUUUCUUACUAUCGGAACCUUAUAUUUCAUUUACAAAUAAAUAAAUGAUGUGACUUAACUGGUGGCGGGUCCUUUGUGCCAUUUGCGCAUUCCACUGAAUAGUUGAUUGUAGCAGAAACAUUCCUGGAGUUGCCAUUUGCCAAUGCUACUGACAUUUUCAAACUCGGAAAACCCUCCAAUCAAUCUUUUAGUGGUAGGCUUGGUAGCUUGGCUUGAUUAUGACAUAUGAUUAUUUGAUAAUAAAGUUAGAGGAUGUAUUAAUAUAAAAAUUAUUUAUCGGUGUUGAAAUUAUCUCAUUAAUAAUAGUAUGAAAAGUUAAUUCUUAAGAAAUACAUAAUAGUAGUUAAUUGGUGUAAUAUUAUUGAGAUUCUGGAAAUAAUUUUAUAUCAUAACUUUGUAGGUGUAUAAAUAUUACUCAUUAAAUUAAUAUAAUUAUUUUAAAAAAAUCAGUUGGAAAAAAUAAAUUAUAUUAUUUUUACUUCAAAUAAUCUUUAAAUUAACUCAAAAUAUAAUCAAGCUCAGAAUUAAAAAUUUAAACUAAUGCUACUAUAUCAGAGGAUUUUCUUUUUUUCUCCACUGAAUAGUUGAUUGUCGCAGAAACAUUCCUGGAGUUGCCAUUUGCCAAUGCUACUGACAUUUUCAAACUCGGAAAACCCACCCUCCAAUCAAUCUUUUAGUGGUAGGCUUGGUAGCUUGGCUUGAUUAUGACAUAUGAUUAUUUGAUAAUAAAGUUAGAGGAUGUAUUAAUAUAAAAAUUAUUUAUCGGUGUUGAAAUUAUCUCAUUAAUAAUAGUAUGAAAAGUUAAUUAUUAAGAAAUACAUAAUAGUAGUUAAUUGGUGUAAUAUUAUUGAGAUUCUGGAAAUAAUUUUAUAUCAUAACUUUGUAGGUGUAUAAUUACUCAUUAAAUUAAUAUAAUUAUUUAAAAAAAUUCAGUUGGAAAAAAUAAAUUAUAUUAUUUUUACUUCAAAUAAUCUUUAAAUUAACUCAAAAUAUAAUCAAGCUCAGAAUUAAAAAUUUAAACUAAUGCUACUAUAUCAGAGGAUUUUCUUUUUUUCUCCGAAGUUUCACUAGGAAAUUAUUGAUGUAUAGCUUUGUUGAGAAUUGAGAUCAUUUCAGUUCAGAAGACAAAUAAUUGAAAGACUAAACUAAAUAGACCGGCGAACAAAUUUGUACAUGAAAGUUAAAAAAUUAAGGUCAUGAGUUGGUAUUGCGGUUCUGUCUUGAGCAACUUUGCUGUCAUUGUUUAUUAUUUUUUGGUAAUAUUGCCUGGCGGUGACUGUUUAGUAAAUAUUAAGAAAUAAAUUUAUAUUUAUUAAGUAUAAAAAAUAAAUAAACAAACAAAAACACAAGGAAAAAUUUAUACUUUACGUAAAAUAAUAAGGACAAUAUCAAUACUUCACACUAUAAUUGAGUGAUGUGUGGCAUCUUAAUUGCCCAACUGCCACACAUUGGUUCCAAACGGAGACUUAAAUAUCAGAAAAAUUCCAAGUUAUUGCGAUGAUGACUUACAAUUGCCAAACUUGACAUAUGGGUAAUCAUGCAUUUCUUAUGAUCAUAACCUUAUUUUUCAUUCACAAAUAAAUAAAUGAUGUGACUUAACGGUUGACGGGGUCCUUUGUGCCAUUUUGGCAUUUCACUGAAUGGUUGAUUGUCGCAGGAAGAUUCCUGAAAGUUGCCAUUUUCCAAUGCUACUAACAUUUUCAAACUUGGAAAACCCUUUAAUCAAUCUCUUAGUAGUAGGCUGUGGUAGCUUGGUUUGAUUAUGAUUUAUAAUCAUUUGAUAAUAAAGCUAGAGGAUGUAUUAAGAUAAAAUUUAUUUAUUGGUGUUGAAGUUAAUUAUCUCAUUAAUAAUAGUAUAAAAGGUUAAUUAUUAAGAAACACAUAGCUGUAGUUAAUUGGUGUCAUAUUAUUGGAAUUCUGGGAUAUAAUUUUAUAUAAUAACUUUGUGAGUAUAUAAUUACUCAUUAAAUUAACAAACUUAUUUUAAAAUAUUUAGUUGGAAAAAAUAAAUUACAUUCUUUUUAUUUCAAAUAAUCUAUAAAUUAACUCAAAACAUAAUCAAGUUGAGAAUUAAAAUAAUGCUACUGUAUGAGAGGAUUUUUAUUUUUUCCCGAAGUUUCACUCGGAAAUUAUUGUUAUAUAGCUUUAUAUGCGAUCAUCCUCAGUUCAAACGACAAAUAAAUGAAAGACUAAGCUAAAUAGACCAGCCAACAACUUUGUAAAAUAGAGUUCGAAAAUUAAAUUAAGGUCAUGGUAGUGUUAUGUCUUGAAAAGUACAACGUAGUACUAAAAUAAAAACUAUUAGUCUUUGGUAAGAUAAUGACAUUUAAAUAAUAAUUUUCACAAAAAUACAAAGAAUAUUUAUAAAGUACUUCUAUAGUGAGGAGGCCCUCACUUUGUGAAAGUGAAAAUGUCGAUAAUAUACAAAAGCCAUAUAUUUUAACACAUUAAAAAUUGUAUUUUUUAUCUAUUGGUGUAUUAAAAUAUGUGUUACUUAGUUUGUUAGUGAUAUCAUCACUUUGUUAAAAUGAGGAUAUCGUCGCUAGAGAAUCAUUAUAUAUACAUAUCUAUAAAGUGCUUCUCUCCAAGACCUAGACUUUAUUAGAAUUUAAGAAAGCAAAUAUAUUUUAAAUGGUAUAAUAGUGUAAUAACAUCACACUAUUAUAUCAUAUAGAGUAAAAGUUUUUCGAACUUUAAUAAAGUUCAAGAUUAUAGAAUGAAUGAUUUAUAUAUAUAUAUUAUACAUUUUUUAUCAUAAAGUGGAGGACAAAAUUAACAUAUUUUUCAAAUUAUAAUAAGUAUUUAUCAAUAAUUUAACAUCAUAAUUUCUCCUAACUAGUAUAGUAAAUACAACCUAGGAGGUACAUUCAAAGCAUUUCAUAGGUUAGUUGUUCGCUCCAAAUUCAAUCACAGACAAGGAGCCUUUUUUGAGAAUAUUAAGCAUCAUCUUCAAAUGAAUUUUCAUGGCAAAGGUUUCAGGUCCAAAUUGUUGUUCCAGAUUAGUCCAAAGCUCAUGUGAGGUUUGAGAGUUUACCACAAGACUAAGGAUCUCGAUACUGAUGGAUGACAUUAACCAGCUCAACAACAAUUGAUCCUUUCUCUUCCAUGAAGUGAAUGCUAGAUUGAUCUGUGCUUUAGCUGUUGAAUCUUCAAUUUCAGUAAAAAGAAACUGAUUAGGACAUAGUUUUGAUCCAUCAAGUAGAUCUUCUAGUCCAUUGGCACGGACUUAAGACAAGAUUUGUAAUUUUCAGAUCAUUUAAUUCGACCGAUCCAGUUUGAUUGGUGAAGUGAAAGUAAACGAGGAAACAAAGAAGUUUGUAUUCUGAUUUGAGCUUGACGAAGCCAUUAGAAUUGAUAACUCAGGCUCUGAUACCAAGUUAAAGAUUCUAAUAUGUUUGGUAAGUAAGAAAAUGAGAGAAAAUGAAAGAAAGAACAGAGAUCAUCUAAGAGCUGGAUUUGAUGAAUAAACUUGAAUCAUACAUUCUUUAGCUGAUUACAAAUGUAUUUAUGCAAAAUUCCUGAACAUUUCAGAUUGUAUAUGCUUGACCUAAGCACCUGAGAGUUGAGCAGUGUGGACUGACAAACUGAUCACAAAAUAAGUAACUUAUGCCAGCUCAGCUAACACGUCAGUAACUCUAACUAUCUUGCUUAACAAACUGAAACAAUAACUAACCAUUUUAACUAUCUUAACAAUGCCAAUAAUUUCUUCAUUUGCGUAUUUCUUGAAUCAUAAUCAAAUGGGUAAAUUUUUCAACUAUUCUUUUAGAUAUUUUCACUUUGGGCUAUAAGGCCGGGGAAGUACGGGGGUCUGAGUUACUCAACUGAAAAUGUCGGCCAAGUUCUUGCCAUCUCAGGUGCAAAACUGAUACUUGUGUUCCCCAUUUAUACUUAUUACGAAACUGAUACUCGUUCCUCUUAACUUGUUUUCUCAUGCAUCAACUGUUGAGAAAAUGUGCUCUUUAAAAGCAUAUGUGUUUAUUUAAUUGUAAUGAAAAAAUGUGCUCUUUAAAACCAUAUGUGUUUAUUUAAUUGUAAUAAAUAUUUUUUCUGAUUAAUAAAAUAUAUGAGGUAUUUUAUUCAAGUAUAUUAAUUGCAUUGAUAUUUUGAGUAAAGUCCAUUUAAUCAUAUUAUAUGUAUUUAUGUGAUCACUAUGUGGAUUCACAAAAGACAUAAAUACAAGUUAUCUUAUGAUUAAAUAAAUUAUGUUCGCAGUUGAUAAAUAAAGUUGGACACUUUAUUUAGGUAUAGACUGUAAUAAAUUCAUUGAAUGAUUUGUCUUAAUCAUGUAUGAAUUUAUUGAUGUAGUGCGAUUACAUUGAAUAGGAUCACAUAUGAGAUUUAAUUAACUUUGUAAUAACUGUCAGACUUAUUAAAUCUCAUAGGCAUUGAUUUUACUGUAAUCUUAAUCUUGAGUUAGUUAUGAUUCCAUUAUUGUAAUUGUUAUUUCAUUUGAGUUACCAAUGGGCAUGACACAUACUUGUAUUCAAGAUUACCAGGUAUCUUGGUGAGAGCAAUUAUGAGUAUUGGAGUUAUAGAUUAACAAUAUAGAAUUUGUACAAUACAUCUCUUGAUGGGUUUUCGGUACUUGAUCAUAGAAUUCUCUGGCCAGAUUGUGUCGACAUAUUUAAUAUGUUGAAAAUGAUCAUUAGAGAAAAACCAGUAAGUAUCAAGGAACAAGAUGUAAUUAAAUUGAUUGGACAGUUGAGAUAUCGAUUUAAUUAAUGAUGUGGUACAAAUGAUUGAGCAGUCAAGAAAUCAUUGUGGUUUGGGACGAAUUAUUAUUCGAACAUACAAUUAGUGUGCGACCAGCAUUGGCCAGCGACAUGCGCUGCAUGCGCAGCGAGCUGCGCAGUCGAGUUUGGUUUGCUUUCGGUGAGGCGGCAGUGGUUAGCUCGGCAUCGGAGAUUGGUGGCAACUUUGAACAGCGGUUGAAGUUUGCGUUGAUGGCGGCUGGAGAAGAAGGGGAGAGAAAUAUAUGGAUUUAAGGCUUUAAUGGUUUUUAUCGUUGAGGUCUCUACGGUUUUACAAUUUUUCUUUCGGUCAGAUAAGGUUUAAUUUUUGCAUUUAAGUCCAACAACAGUUUUGGGCUUAAUGAAUCAUAAUUUUAGGCCCAAUUGAAAUUGGGUUUAAUGGAUUAAAAUGCAUAGAUAAAAUUGAAUAAAUUAAAUUUAUUUUUGGUCCAAACGUUUUAUUUAAAAAAGUUUAUUUAUUUAUUUAUUUCCUUUCAAAAUUAAAAUUGGACCAAUAAUAAAUUUAAAAGCCCAACUUCCUCUAGUCCAUUAACAAAGACAAGCCUAUGGAAGAUGGACAUUGACAAGAAGCCCAAUGAAGAUUAGGCUUAGGGUUAAUGUAUUUUUUUUAAUUUUAGGAAAGCCAUGAAUUCAGAUUAUUUAAUUAUUUUUCUAUAUGUUAUAUUUUGGAUGAUAACAUGCCAUGAUAACACGUCAUAUAGAAUAGGUAGUGCCACUCUAUGCAUAAUGAUACAUGAUGUUCAUUAAUUAUGAAUCUCAUUAUAUUGUUUGAAAAUUGAAUAUGCUUAAUAAUAUUGAAUAUCAUCUAGAUAAUAUUAUAGGAAGCAUGCAAUUAAAAAUAUUAUUUAUGUAUGUUUUAAAAAAAAACCAAUUUUUAAAUAUUGAGUGGGAGAGGGAAAAUUCAAGAUAAUUUUUCCCACGGGCUCCAUUGUUAGUUCAAUAAUAAAAUUAUAUAUAUACCUCGACUUCAUGAUACGGUGAUGCUCCCUUCGAAGGGUAUAUAUAUUAGAUAUUUUAUUUGAUGAACUUCUUCAAAGAUAAAAUUGAAAUAUUUUUCAAUCGAUUGUUCACCCCAACAGUGACUAUUGAUAUGAAAAAUACUUAGAUUGAAACAAUGGUUAUACACUCAACUAAAAUUUGUUAUUAACCUUCCCAACGAAGCUCUGUUAACAAAUUUAGGCCCAAAAGGAUAACAAUAAUUAUUUAUCAUGUCUCUACAUGAAAGUAAAUAAUCCAAUGGAUAAUUGGGUCUAGUAAGUGUAGACAUGACUUCCCCAACGGAUAGCUUGUCAAAGCGGUCCUAGAUUAUCGUUACAAUAAAUAAAAAUGCAGUUAUGGUUUUUUGCAUUUUUGUUAUUUAUUGUGAAUAUUAUAUCAAAUUAUUUAUGCAUGGAUGUUUUAUUUUUCAAAAAAAUGUCUUCCCUGAGCUCACUUACUAUUAUUCUGAGUCAAAACAAACUCACUGGAGAGAACUAUAUAGAUUGGAAAAAAAAAUAUAUUCAUUGUCCUGACUGCUGAAAAUUAUAAAUAUGUCUUAACCCAGCCAUGCCCUCUAGUUCCAGUGGAUGAUGCUCAUAGAAAUUAGAGGAGGCUUUAUGAGAAAUGGCAAAAGGCCAAUGAAAUGGCAAAAUGCUACAUUUUAGCCUCGAUUUCUAAUAUUUUGCAGACCAAACAUCAGAACUUGGAGACUUCCACUGAAAUAAUGGAUAGUCUCCAAGAGAUGUUCGGGCGGAAUACUCGCUCCGCGAGACAAGCAGCGCUGAAAGGCAUUAUGAACUGCAAAAUGGGGAAGGGCACAAGAGUUCGUGAUCAUGUCCUCAAAAUAAUGGACUAUUUGAAUGAGGCUGAGAUUCAGGGAGCACAAAUCGAUGAUAACUCAAAGAUUGACAUGGUGCUAGAAUCUCUGCCAAAAAAAUUUAAGGAGUUUAAGGUUAAUUAUAACAUGAACAAAAGAAACAUGACCUUAACUGAAUUGAUGAACGAACUCCAUUCUGCUGAAGAGAUCUAUUGCACUGAGAAAUCUCUAGGAAGCAUAAAGAUUGCUAACAAGGUUCUUCUUCUAGGCCCAAGCCGAAAGGCAAGGGUAAGAAGAAAGCUGGGAAAAAGAAACCGUCUACCAAGCAAGAUGGCAAGCCGAAAGGCAAAUGCUUCAAGUGUGGACAGAAAGGUCACUGGAACAAGGAUUGCCCUAAGAUUGUGAAAUCAGGAAUGAGAAAUCUUUUUGUAAUUGAGGUCUGUUUAGUUCAGAAUCCUAUUGACACUUGGGUGUUGGAUUCAUGAGCAACUAAUCAUAUUUUUAAUUCACUUUAUUGGUUUUAGGAAACUAGGAAAAUAAGUGAAGGAAGCGUCAAGCUGCAGUUAGGGACAAGACAGUUCGUGACAGUAGUGAAGACUGUAUCUAUUUUAUUAUCUUUUAAUAAUGAGAAUUUAGUUUUGAAUAUUUGUCUUUAUGUUCCAGACAUUAAGUGGAAUUUAAUUUCAAUAGCUUGUUUGUCAAAACAAGGGUACACUGUAAAUUUUGGAUCCUUUGUUUUUAUUUUUUAUAAUAAGAGACUUAUUUGUUCUGGAACAUGGGAAGAUAAUUUAUAUCAUUUAAGUCCUAUGAUCCAUUCUAUGCAUGACACAGUGAUCAAUAAUGAUGAGCAUACACAUUUAUCUAAGAAAAGAAAUAUUUCUUCCAACUAAUGUUACCUCUGGCAUUUGCGCUUGGGUCAUAUAAAGCAAAAUAGGAUACAGAGAAUGAUCAAAGAUGGGCUCUUGGGUCUAUUGGAAAAUGAAUCAUUGCCACUUUGUGAAUCCUGUUUAGAAGGGAAAAUGACCAAAAGACCGUUCUCGGCCAAAGGAGUGCAUGCAAUAGUACCACUUGAAUUGGUACAUACAGAUGUAUGUGGACUAAUCAAUAUACAAGCUUGAGGAGGUUAUGAGUAUUUCAUCACUUUCAUUGAUGAUUACUCAAGAUACGGUUAUGUUUAUCUGAUGCGUCACAAGUCUAAAACUCUUGAGAAAUUCAAAGAGUAUAGGGCUGAGACAGAAAAGCAAUUAGGUAAGAACAUAAAGCAACUUCGAUCUGAUCGAGGUGGUGAAUUUCUUUCUGGAGAUUUCAAAGAGUAUCUGGUAAAAAAUGGGAUUAUAUCUUAGUUAACUGCCCCAAGAACACCACAACAAAAUGGGGUAGCAGAAAAGAGAAAUAAAACUCUUUUAGAUAUGGUGAGAUCUUUACUUAGUUAUUUGUCAUUACCAAUCUCUUUUUGGGGACUAGCACUGGAAACUGCAGUUUACCUCUUGAACUUAGUUCCAUCUAAGUCAGUGCCUAAAACUGCAAUAGAAUUAUGGUAAGGUCACAAACCAAGUUUACGACAUGUCCAUAUUUGGGGAUCACCAACACAUGUGCUGAAACCAAAAGCAGAAAAAAUGGAUUCACGUUUUGAGGUUUGUAUGUUUGUGGGGUAUCUCAAAGGAACAAUAAGAGGUUUAUUUUAUAGUCCUUAAUAUAGAAAAGUGAUUGUGAGCACACAUUUCACUUCCCUCGAGGAAGACUAUAUGAAUAACUUCAAACCUAAGAGUAAGGUAAUACUUGAAGUACUGUCAGGUGAUCAGGUCUUUCAACACCUGUUAUAGAACAAGAAGAAGAACAACAACUAGCUGAUCAACACAGGAUUAUCCCUAAACAACCAUCACUUUUAGAACCUCGUCGUAGUGGGAGGGUAAGUAGGUUACCUGCGAGAUACAUGUUAUUGGGAGAAACUUAUACGACUAUCUCAGAUGAACAUGUACAAGAUCCCACUGGCUACAACGAAGCUCUAAUAAACAGAGAUGUUGAAUUCUGGAAAAAGGCCAUAAAUCAAGAAAUGGAAUCUAUGUAUUCCAAUAAAGUCUGGGAACUUGUAGAGGCACCAAAUGAGGUAAAACCUAUAGGGUGCAAGUGGAUCUAUAAGAGAAAAAGGGGAGUAGACGGAAGGGUGGAAACAUUCAAAGUAAGAUUAGUAGCCAAAGGUUUUACUCAGAAAGAGGGAAUCGAUUAUGAGGAAACAUUUUCUCCGAUUGCUAUGCUUAAAUCCAUUAGGAUUCUACUCCCUAUUGCUGCAGUACUAGAUUAUGAAAUUUGGCAAAUGGAUGUUAAGAUUGCCUUUCUUAACGGGCAUCUUGAAGAAGACAUCUACAUGCAGCAACUAGAUGGAUUCAUACAAAAAGGCCAAGAACACAUGGUAUACAAGUUGCAGAGAUCUAUUUAUGGAUUGAAGCAAGCAUCCCGGUCAUGGAACGCCAGAUUUGAUCAAGCGAUUAAAUCGUUUGGAUUCAUUCAGAACAUUGAUGAACCAUGUGUGUACAAGAAAAUUCAGGAAAAAUCUGUAGCCUUCCUAAUUCUUUAUGUAGAGGAUAUUCUCCUAAUUGGAAACGAUAUAGGAGUAUUGACUACAAUAAAAAGUUGGUUAGCAAAAUAAUUUGAUAUGAAAGACCUGGUAGAGGCAAGUUAUAUUCUUGGUAUCAAGUUACUAUGAGACAGGAAGAUUAAAACUUUAGCCUUGUCUCAAGCGGUCUUUAUCGAUAAAAUAUUGGCUAGAUUUAGCAUGGAAAAUUCCAAGACUGGUUUAUUACCAUUCAGACAUGAAAUUACAUUCUCUAAGGAUCAAUCAGCUAAAACAUAUGAAGAGAUAGAGAAAAUGAGACGAGUUCCGUGUGCAGAAGUUGUGGGAAGUCUCAUGUAUGCCGUGCUUUGCACUAGACCAGACAUCUGUUUUGCGGUAGGGAUGGUUAGCAAAUAUCAAUGUAAUCCUAGACCUGAACACUUGACUGCGGUCAAGCAUAUAAUAAAGUAUCUGAAAAGAACUAAAAAUUAUAUGCUUGUGUAUUCUGGUGAUGAACUCAUUCCAGUGAGUUAUACAGAUUCUGACUUUCUGUUAGAUAAGGAUUUCAGAAAAUCAACUUCUGGCUAUGUGUUUACAUUAGGAAGUGGAGCUAUUAGUUGGAGGAGUGUGAAACAAUCUUGUAUCGCAGACUCCACAACUGAAGCUGAAUAUGUGGCUGCAUCUGAAGCUGUAUGGCUCCACAAGUUCCUAUAAGAUCUUGAGGUGGUACCUGCUGUAACUGCACCCCUUAAACUAUUUUAUGAUAAUAGUGGUGUGGUAGCUCAAUCUAAGGAACCACAAGAAACAAAAACAUAUUGAGAGGAAGUAUCAUCUCAUAAGGGAUAUAGUGCAGAGAGGUGAUGUGGAGGUUACUCAGAUUGCGUCACAGCAAAACUUGGCAGAUCCUUUUACUAAGGCCAUACCUGGGAAACCUUUUAACUUGCACUUAGAAUCCAUGAGCAUGCGUGAGAUGCCAAAUAUGCUUUGAGAGUUAGUGGGAGAUUGUUGGGAAAAUGUGCUCUUUAAAAGCAUAUGUGUUAAUUUAAUUGUAAUAAAUAAUUUUUCUAAUUAAUAAAAUAUAUGAGGUAUUUUAUUCAAGUAUUUUAAUUGCAUUGAUAUUUUGAGUAAAGUCCAUUCAAUCCUAUUAUAUGUAUUUAUGUGAUCACUAUGUGGAUUCACAAAAGACAUAAAUACAAGUUAUCUUAUGAUUAAAUAAAUUAUGUUCGCAGUUGAUAAAUAAAGUUGGGCACUUUAUUUAGGUAUAGACUGUAAUAAAUUCAUUGAAUGAUUUGUCUUAAUCAUGUAUGAAUUUAUUGAUGUAGUGCGACUACAUUGAAUAGGUUUGGGACUACAUUGAUGUAGUCAAGAUUACCAGGUAUCUUGGUGAGAGCAAUUAUGAGUAUUGGAGUUAUAGAUUAACAAUAUAGAAUUUGUACAACACAUCUCUUGAUGGGUUUUCGGUACUUGAUCAUAGAAUUCUCUGGCCAGAUUAUGUCGACAUAUUUAAUAUGUUGAAAAUGAUCAUUAGAGAAAACCAGUAAGUAUCAAGGAAUAAGAUGUAAUUAAAUUGAUUGGACAGUUGAGAUAUCGAUUUAAUUAAUGAUGUGGUACAAAUGAUUGAGCAGUCAAGAAAUCAUUGUGGUUUGGGACGAAUUAUUAUUCGAACAUACAAUUAUGGAGGUUAGUUCCAAUCUUAUAGUGGGGUAGAGUUGGAAUUAAAUGAUUAGGCUUAUUUAACUACAAGCUUAAUUGUUGUAGCCACUAUUGUAUGUUCCAAAAUGAUCCCCGGGUUAGCUCAUUUAAUUGACUGCACCACUACUGGAUUAAUAAGCAAGAUAACUAGCUAUUUGGGUCAAAAGGCUAAAUAUAUCAUUUAGUGGGAGGCUCCAUUUAAUAUGCUUGUGUGUAAGGGACCUUAUGUUAUUUUACAAGGUGGACCCCCUAUAGAAAAAGCAAGUACCGUGGCUUUUGGUUUUUAUUAUUUGGAGCUAAGGAUUUUCACUAAAUGGAAAUAUAAAAAGGCUUAUUUUCUCUAAAGAAAAGAGAUAGAGCCACAUUAUACAGACCAAGAGAAAAAUAAUUUCUCUCUAAUUUUGAGAAAAAAUUUCUCCUGCUAGUUGCUUUUAGUGGUGAUAAAGGUGCCCACACGUUAAGUGCAGAUCAAACUUGAGUUAUAGCCUGGAAGGUUAUUUGAUGGCGGAUCGUGAUCUAAAAGGAGUGGUGGUGACGGAUCGUGAUCUGGGAGCCUAAAUCACUUCAGCGGAAAAAGCAAAAAUUGUUCAUCUUCUCGGAUUGUCAAGGUAUGAUUUUCUAGAUUAUGAAUUCCUAUAUAUUUUAUGAGAUUGGUCCUAAAAGUUUUUUAAAAAAAAUUUAAAAAACUGAUUUUUCCCCAACAUCAACCCCACAAAACUGCUUAUUGAUUGUCCUCAUUUUGAACUUACUAUAGGAUUCACCCUCCUUGUUUUACAACUUACUUUAUACCCUUACGUUGAGAGGAAGAUCAGGCCAAUAAUCAUAACACGCAUUGCAGGGGUAAAAUUUCGAACACACCAUGUGGCAUUUAGACCAUUUGAUAGUUUGUUUCAUACAUAUUUGUUUAUAAAAUACUUUUCUUCAUGGAUUUGGUGACGUAAUUUUCUAUGUAUGUACAGGUUUUAUCGAUACGUCUUUUGACAAGUUACACUUACAUAGCAAUGUUAUCUGUGUUCAGCCUUGCCUUAUUGAUACCUUAUUGAUAAACUGUGCUUCUGUGAUGAAGAAUGUUUUCUCUGUCAGUGGAUAUCCUAAUCAUUGAUCCAUAUACUUAGGUUAUAUUACCCAUUAGGAAGUAUGUAUAAAAAUUAUUUUAUAUCUUCUUUAUUAGAAAUGUUGUAAUUCUUUAUUACUUUUCCUGAAUUAUAACAUCAGAUGUCUAUAAUAACUGGAUUAUUCCUUCUGCAAAACAGAGCAGUGGUAAAUAUUUUUUUUCUUUUGUUUGUUUAGCACAUUUCCAUGAUUUCAGCUUUUUCAAAUUUUGUAUGUGUCAAAGUUUAAAUUUAAUUUGUUGGUUUAUCGUACAAUAACAGGAACAGCAUCAAAGAGGAGCUGCCAAUGGACUUGCUAUGACUGUAGUGUCGCUUACCAAAACUGCCGGUCCAGCUGUAGGAGGUGCUCUGUGAGUGUCCUAUUGAUUUUGUAAAAUUAUAUGUAAAUAAUGUUAUAAUUGUUUUUUCAUUAAUUGGGGUUCUGGCAGAUUUUCUUGGUCACAAAAGCGUCAAGAUGCUGGUUUCCUCCCAGGUAUGAUGAUUUACUGAUGAAAUUUCUGACGAGUUUGUGAAUUACUUUGUCCUAAUUAGCUUAGUUAGCUGCUUAAACUAAAGUGCAGGUAACCAGAUGAUUUUUUUCAUUCUGAAUUUGGUCGAGGCACUAGGAGUAAUAUUGACAUUCAAACCAUUUCUAACUCAACGUGUCCCGUGAGUAGAGAAAAGAUGCAUCUGUUGAAAUAUUCAAAUAUAUGUCAAGCAAAUUAAAGCUUUCAAAAUCUAUCAACAAUUUGAUUAUUUGAUGUGGUUUUCCACUUGCCGUAUUUUGUUUUGCUGUUCUAAAGGCUUAAAUAUGAAAAUGGUGGUUGGCGCUCACACCAAUCGAUUGCUGUUAACAUUGUUCAGUACUUUUCUCUGUCGACAUUUAUACUUGUUCAUUGUCAGAACUACGACAAUUUAUCUUUACAAUGAUGCAAGCUAGAAAGAAUUUUUCAUGUUAAGUAAAAUAUUGAAGCCACAAAGAGUCUGAAUUAAGUACUAAGUUUUCUGCCAUGCUUUCAACGGCAGCACAUUUGUAGCUCUUAUUCCAGGGGCUCCACAGUAGAGAGACCUGAUUUCGACCUUCUUCAGAACUUGGGGAUUCCGUAAUAACAGAGGACAACAGUUAUAUAAGAAUAUUAUUUUGUACAAUUUUCGUAUAACCUGACCAAUGCAAGUAUAAUUUUAUGAUCUUAACUCAUAUCAAAAGACCUUCAAUGAUGUAAAAUUUGCACAUAAAGAUGAGAACCAAACAUUAGAACUUAUGAUGAAACGGAAACAAAAACAUUGAGAUUGAAAAGAUAGAGAAACACAAGCUUUUUAAAAGGAAUAAAUGUUCAUUUAGUCUCUAUAUUUUGACUUAAGAGCGCAUUUAGUUCUUAUAUUUUAAAAAGUGCCUCAACCUCGAGUAGGGCUGGCAAAAAUCCCCACGGCGACGGGUACCCUUGGGGAUUUUCCCUAUUCGGGGAGGGUAUGGGGAUAAUUUCAUACCCAAUUUCUUAUUCAGGGAAGGAACGGGGAAAUUUUUUUACCCAAUUUCUUAUUUGGGGAGGGGACGGGGAUGAGGUGGAAUCCCCAUCCCCUACCCAUUUCCCCAUUUUAAUUUUUUAUUUUAUUUUUAUUUUUUAAAAUUACUAGUAAAUAAAUUAUAAAAUUUGAAUUAUAAAAUUAUAAAUAUUGGUAAAAAUAACAAAUAUCAAAAUAUUUAUAUUAUUAAACUUUUAGGCCUAAUUAACAAAUUAAAGUCCUAAAUUUUUAUUUAGGACAUUAAAAAGACCGGAUAUAUUCUAUUAGCCCAAAAAUUUUGUUUUAAUUUUAAUAUUCAUUAAAUAUUUUAAACUUAAAUCUAUUUAUUUAUUUAUUUUUAGAUGUUAUAAUUGCCCACAGCAAAUCACAAUUUUAAUAUCUAAUCUAAUCUAAUAUUUGCUCUUGAUUUGCUCGGACUUAACUAUUGUGCUGUAAAGGGAAUAGUCCACAUUUAUAAAGUGCCCACGCCACCAUUGAAAAAGUUAAUUUUGAAUCUAAAUUCGAUUUUAUCUGUAACAAUUUUGUAUUAGACUAUUAAUUUAUUCAUGAUAGUUUGUAUCCCUUGCAUGCUGCGUUACUUACUAAUUUAAUGUAUGUGACUUUUGUAAUAGAUAUUAAUGUAAGAUAUAUUUCGAACUUUACUUUUAUUUGAAUUUUUUUUAUUUUAAUAUGAUUAACUCAAAAUCGAAAAUAAAAAAAUGUAUUAGUUAUUCGGGGAUCGGGGAUCCUCUGUUAUUAUUCGGGGAGGGGAUGAGGAUUCUCUCAAGUAAUUCUGACGGGGACGGAGAGGGGAUGAGGACAUACGCAAAAUAUCGGGGAUGGGUACGGGGAGAUUGGUCCCCUCCCCUCCCCUCCCCUCCCCAUUGCCAUCCCUAACCUCAAGACACCCCUACUGUGUUGGAAUAAUAUUUUUGGGAAUAUCAAUGAAAAGAAAAAAAUGGUAAUUCAUCUAGCCAGCCUUAAACAAAAUAAAUAUUAAUAAAAACUUUUAUGUUAUUAUUUUAGUUUUAGGACUAAUUUCGUAAAUUAAAUUUUUUAUGCAUUUAUUAGUAAGAUUGCUUUAAGAAUAUUAAACAUUACUUUAAGAUGGCUGUUAUUAAUUUAUUUAUAAAGAAUUAUUAGCAAGAUUGUUGUAAAAGUACAAAAAAUACUGGUUAUUUCAUAUUGAUAUUUAUUGAUUAAUUUUCCAAUUAACUUUUUUAUAAAUAAAUAAAUUAAUUUAAGAAUAUUAUUGCCAAGAUAUUAUUGUAAAAGUAAAUAAAAUUUAAGGAAAAAUGUAACGUAUUUAAUAUCAAGGUAUAUUGAGGUAUUUUUUAAAAUAUAAAAACUAAACGAGCAUUGAAGUUAAAAUAUAGGUACCAGACGAGCAUUUUCUCUUUUAGAAAGUUUUAUAUUUUAUUAAUGAAAGUCUGAAUAACAAAAUUAAGGUUUUGGACUUCUUUUAAACUAAACUUAAAUAUCACAAAUUUACCAAAAUAAGUAAACCUAACAUAUUACUACAUAAUAACAUUCUCCUAACUGAAAUAAGAUAAAUGUUACUCAAAUUCUAUAUCUAGAAAAAAAAAGAUAAAAAUCCUGAAAACAAUAGGAAAAUAGAUCUUAAACUUGUAAAAUAAUAUGAAAUAAAUAUAAUUUUCAAUCGAACCACGAGACUAAUGCGGUGCUACAGUAUUAGAUUAGAUUCCCCUCGUCGCGAACUUCGAAAUGUAUAUUAUACACCCUAAAUAGAUACUUAUAGCUCAAGUUGUUACCCUAGAGAGAUACUCCACUCAUCCUACGCAACCAUCCGCUGCAUCAAAUUCGUUCCAAAAUUAAGAAUAAACCAGCUGAUGCAUUCCAAAUAAUUUAGAUGAAACGAUAAAAUAAACCUAGAGAUCAAAUAACAUGAAAUGAAAAAGAUAAUUACCUUGGACUGAAGCUCAUACAAAUUCAUUAUUUGACACCUGCAGCAAUUGUUGAAAUAAUAGUUAAUGAAAUAUAAAAUAAGACAAGUACAUAUUAAUGAAACACCACUGUGAAUCGAUAGCUAAGGACGGAGUAAAAUUUAAUUGUAAAUUAGGACAGUAGAGCAAGCAUCCAUAAACAUAACAUGAACGUAAUACAUCAAUUGAAAUAUCAUAGGAUAAAUUAGGACGUCAGAGAAAGAAAUAAGUAAAUAAAUCAGCAAAGGAAACAUGCAUAAACAAAUAAAAAAACAAAGACAAAAUAAGGAAGAGUUUGUGAUAAUUUUCUUCUAUGGUCAUUGAAGUCCAAAAACUAAUAAGGAUCGAGCAAUUGAACGGUUGCAAACUCAAUGGAACCUUAAAAAUGAACAGUGAAGGAAAAUGAAGAAAUCUGCAGGAAAUAAGGCGAUUGAGAGUGAAGAAUUAAUUACCACUGAGUAAAUGCGAAUGAAGAAUGGAGACAGAUCCUUCUUCGCCCCAUUGAAAAGUGAGAUUCAUAGAUUGUAUUGAAAUUGAGAGUUGAGAUCAAGAAGCGAUUCUUCUUCUCCGUAAUUUCCUUUUUCUUUUAAUGUUGUUAUUAUUAUUAUAUCUUUUUUGAUAUCUUUUUUGUUUUAAACGGUAUUGGCAUAUUCUAUUUAUUUAUGUUAAUUUUACAAUACCUCCCUUCAGAUUGCACAAAUUACAUAAAAAAAAAAAAAAGUGCUUUAUGUAUAAAACUUUCAAACAAAUUGGGCCAAAAUCUAACUUUACCAAGUUUAGAGUAAUUUUGGGCUCGACAUUCCAUUUCCGACAAACGAAUUUUCUUUAUCACCAAGGUAUGAUACUUUUCAUAUUUAUCCAACGGCUCGUCAAUGACAAUACCUUUGUAAAAAGUACUUAUUUUGAAUAGUAUAUUGUGGAAAUGUCUGGUCGGUAAUACAACUAUUUCUUAUAGUGUAAAAAUGAUACACUAAGCGUUCACAUUUUGAUGAGUAAAUUAAGGAUUUCAAGAUGAAGUACAUAAUUAGAUUAAUGCUAAGAAACUGAAGUUUGAUCGAUUGAAAAUGAAAAUAAUAAUGAAGGUAAUUAAGAAAAUGAACAAUAUAUGCAGAAGCGGUCCUUAUUAGGACUUCUAGAUUUUCUCUUGGGCUUUCCUUAUUAUUGUUAAAAAAUGAAACGAAGAACUUUGAGUUUAAAAAUCUGGCCCUGAUGCCUGGUAGCCCUCCAACAUAUGAAGCACCAGAUGUUUUGAUGAGAAAAUGACAAGACCAUUUAUCAAAUUUCUUGUGGAUAUAAAUACAUACACAUAGACGAGACCAACCUCCUCAAAUGAGAAUCAGAGUGAUUAAAAGACCUUGCAAUGAGACAAUGAUACACCAUCAAAUGUCAAAAUACAAUAGAAAUUCACGACAUAUAUAUAAUAAAAGACCUCUCAUUGAGUCAUAUAUAUUGAGAAAAAAAAAUGUUAUAAUACAUACACAGAGCUUAGUUAGAAUAAAAUGUCUUUGAACUUGCGAUGAUCAAACAAAGGAAACAGACAGGUUGUAACUCACACUAUCACAAGAAGAUCACGAAGAUGGAAAUGGGAACCCAUCAGAAUGGAAACUUUGAAUAGAGGAAAAAAGAAAAACGACCUUAUUCACAGAAGAAGAGUGACUUAAAUCUUCAUCAGUAUCCAGACAUUUUGCAAUCAUAGAGUAGAGAAAUUUUAACAGGAACAGCAGAGAAAAUAUUAUGAAUAUGCUAUAGACCAAUAUACUUGUUCAUAGCUGACGUUUGAUGGUUUAAGGAUUUGUUCUAGGAAUAAUGGGCUGAUUACUUUCUUUUUAUUUUUUUAUUUUUUAAUCCAAUGAAUGAUAUUCAGCUGUUAAUUAUGUGUUCAUAGGGAAGAACAUUUUCUAAGUACUUUCCUUGCCUUCUAACUUUCCGAAAAGCAAACCCAAUGAACAAACAGAGGACAAACUAAAAUAAAAGAACAGCAAUGAUGACAAUAAAUAAUUGGCAAAGAAAAAAAAGGAAAAAGUAUGCACGUUUUCAAGGAAUUAUAAAAUAUGAAGGCUUUUAAUGAAACUUAAUCAUAAAAAGUAUGCAAGGAAUUAUAAAAUUUUAGAAAACAAGGGGAGCUCUCAAAAAAAAAUGAAAAACUCAAAUUAAACUAGACUAAAAGACAUUCAAUUUUGCAAAAUCUGUCCAUAAAAGUCUGAAAGGAUCAUUAAAAUUGCAUUGCAAAUUUAACAGUAAACCGAGGGACCCAUUCUAAAUAAUUCAGAUGAAAUUGCGAAACAAGACAUGGGAUUAAAUAAAUGAAAUAAAAAUUAAUUACCAGUUGAGACUUUCUUCUAAAAAUUCGCAACUCCAAGUCAUAAGAAGCCUAUGAAAUUAGUCGUACUGCGUAGAGUAUGACGAUGACACCGCCAACAGUUGAAAGUAAAAUUCUUAUUCAUCAAUUUAAACUUACUUUAUAACAAAUAUCUUAUCUAUAUUGUAUUUAAGAAAUCAAAUUUUGUAAAAAUUUAUCAUGGGAGAUAGAGAGUAAUAUGUAUAUACGUACCUUCUCAGCAUGUAAUUGUUGUAUGGUUGUGUUUAGAUCAUUAUUAGCCCAGCGCCGUUGAUCCGCUGUCUCUCCAUAGCAGACGUUUACUCUUAGAGGCGUGAUUGAUUCUCCUGUAGUGAAAAUCUUCAUCUUGGGACAACCAAUCACCCACAAAUUUUGCAAAGAUGGCAAUUUGACGGUGUAAUUGGCAGAGCAGAAACAAUCUCUUCUUUUUCAACUCCAUCUUUGUCAUUUAUUACCACCUCUGUCAUUGCUCUGCAUCCAUAUAUUUCUAUUGCUACGAGUCGCACCAGAGUUUUUGCUGUGGAGGAUGUUACCAUGUGUAACAAUUUCUUGCAACCGAAAGCCACCACAGCUGUUAGGUUCUGAAAAGAUACCGAUGAUGAUGGCAAUAGAAUUAACAGACUUUGACAAUGAUAUGCUUUUAGAAUUUCAAGAUACUGAAAAAUGGGGCCAAGUUUGGAGUCUUGUUUGCACAGCUGCUUCAGAUGAUAGUGCCAGCGCAGCUCUAAUGUUUUUAUCAUUGCCAACUUUCCCGCAUGUUUCUCUAAGCUUCCUUCCUCCGAAAAUACCUCUUCGUGGAAUGAAAAUUGAAACAGUGAGAGCAUUUCAAGAUUGUGAAAUCUCUCAAGUACAUUCCAGAUUGGAAAACAAGCUGAGUUAUCUUCGGCAAUCUCUAGUUGUUUAAGACUGCCAAAAAGGUGUUGUGGGAAAUCGGCCUGCAAAAUCAUCUUCACGUCUUUUCCAUUCAAUGAUAGGUCCUUCAAGUUGGGUAAGAUCUGAUCAUCAUAAAUCAUAAUAACUAAUGAGGUCAAUUGAUGUUCUCUCAAAUGAUUUUGAGUAAUCCAAUCACAAGCAGUGACUUUAUAGUAUCUGUUUUAUAUUAAUUUUACCCCCCAAAAAAAAUUGAAUUAGUGAUAAAAUUCAUUAUAUGAUUUUUUUAUAUGUUAAUUUUAGAGGUAAAAAAGAAAUUAGGGAAAAAGAGUUGAUUUAUAUUUGCAUGAAAAUAUUUUAUUUCACAACAAUAAAUUAUUAAUUUAUUUUGUAAGUCGUUGUAUAAAGAAAAACUAAGGAUUCUUUACCUAAAAAAGUCCAUAUAAUUAUUAAUCUCCCACAUUGAUCCCUUAGUCAUGACUAGCAAAGAUUUUUAUGUAAUAAAAAUUUUCAAUUUAUUAAGUAUCAAUUUAUAAAUGUUUUGUUACAUUUUUCAAAGUCAAAAAUCGUCAAUGAGCUAUUGAAAAAAAUAUCUAGAAUAUGACUUCAUACCUUUUCCAACGGCAAUAAGGGCUGUUGUGCAGGAAUAUCAAGUUGAUUAUUCUCUUUAUUCUGCGAUAAAUCUGCAGCGAAUAUCUUUAAUUUGUCACAACGACACACUGCAAAAUUUUCUAGUGCUGGCCAUUCCGAAGUAUGCAUUCCUGGGUAUAAACAUCUAAGUUUUGGUAGACCUUGGAGAAUCAGAACGGUGAGCUGUGGAAAGACAAAAUAAGGGAUCACUUCAUCUGCUCUGUUUUCAGAAACGAUCUCCUGUAAAUCCUCACAGAAGCGUAUAUCUAAGUGCUGGAGCUGCUUGAGGUUUCCGAUCAUAGACGCUGAAAAUAUGAUUUAAUUAUUUUCCACGUAUGACAUCAAAAGAGAACGCAUGAUAGAAUAAAAUCUGUUAUAUAUAUAUAUAUAUAUAUGAAGAAAAUGUUAGCCUACUGUUGCGGACAGCCCAAUUCGCUAGCCCAAUUGCCCACAAUUUCGGGCUAGAGAGCCAACACAAGGCCAAGAGUGCUAGCUUGGCCCAAUUCCGGAAGGUUCUAGGCAACUCUAGCACAUGUGAACAUGUAAAUAUUCUAGAAUACUUUAUACAAUUCCAGCACAUGUAGAAUUCUCCAUAGAAUUCCAGCACAUGUAAAUAGCUAGGAAAUGGUAGAAUUCUCUAGAAUCUCUAGAGCUUGGCAAGCCUCCCCUAUAAAUAUGGGAUGACAUUAGGCAUUUGUAUCCAACAAGCAUUGUAAGCAACUCAAGCAUUGUAUUAUCUCUUUGUGCAAUACAAGUUUUCUUCUAUUGGCUCAAUUGCUCUCUCUCUCUUCUCUAGUUCGAGAAGCUCUAGGCUUACUUAGCAACAUUCGGCAAAGUUGUCUAAGUGCCGCACGGGUUAGCUGCGCAAAACACUCAUCCCGUGACAAGUGGUAUCAGAGUUAAGGUUUGCACGCACGCAAAUUAGCUCACGAGCAAUGGCCAACCCUUCGAAUCCAGCACAAGAGGGUGUUGUUGGUGUGGAUGUUCCACCGGAACCAAGCCGCGGCCGAGAGGGAGAACGCGCCCAAGGCAAGACUCGCGGCAAGUCCAAGGUCCCAUCCGUGGAUGCGUUGGAGCCUUGUGUGACUACUCUCGAAAUCGCAUUGUCCGCCGCUCAAGAUAGCCUCGAAGGAUUGGAGGAAAGAGUGGAUGGUCUCGAGGGGGAAUACGUCGAGUUCACGGUGGCCACAAAAGCUCUCAUCCAAGAGCAAGCGAACACUCUCAGAGGUGAGUUUCGUUCUUUCCAUGAUGAGUUGCUAAAACUUCGUAGUUUUGUUCAGGACGAACUACGCAAUGUCCGUGCGGAAGUGGAUGAAGUCCGCUCGGAUUGGGCAUGGCACAAGCGCACACUCUCCUCAAGUCCAGCUUCCGCAAACUCGAGUGAUGCGCGCUGCAUUGACGUGCCAAAGCCCGACACUUACGAUGGCACACGCAACGCCACAAUCGUGGACAAUUUUCUCUUUGGGCUUGAUCAAUACUUCGAUGCCAUGGGUGUCCGAGACGAGGCAUCGAAAGUGGGCACUGCACCCACCUAUCUUAGAGGCACUGCACAACUAUGGUGGCGUCACAAGCAUGGCGAGAUGGGCAAGGGCAUUUGCACCAUCGACACUUGGGCCGACUUCAAGCAAGAACUCCGAAAGCAGUUCGCCCCAAGCAAUGCGGAGAAGGAAGCGCGAGCGCGCUUACGUCGCCUCAAGCAAUCGAGUAGCAUUCAGGACUACAUCAACGAGUUCACUACCCUUAUGUUGGAGAUAAGCGACAUGUCCGACAAGGAUUCACUCUUCUACUUCCAAGAUGGCCUCAAGGAUUGGGCCAAGACCGAGCUUGAUAGGCGUGGUGUUCAAACACUUGACGACGCCAUUGCCGUUGCGGAGUCACUCACCGAGUACUCUACCCAAUCCAAGGACAAAAAGGCCAACCAAGGCAAAGGUGGGGGAGAGAGUCGCAAGGACAAGGGCAACAACCGCAAAGAUUGGGGGCAGAAAAAGCCGCCUAGCAACAAGAGCGGGCAAGGAAAAUCGGAGGGCAAGAAGGAAGUGCCAAAGCCGCGAAGCCCAUGCUUCAUAUGCAAUGGUCCUCAUUGGGUACGCGACUGUCCGGAGAAAAGGUCACUCAACGCUCUUGCUGCCCAACUCAAGAGCAACCCCACAAUGUCCGCGGAGGAACCCCAACUCAGCAUGGGUUCUCUCCAACGCCUCGGCGCACUCAAUCGCCAACAGCCCGCACUCGUCAAGAAAGGGCUCAUGUAUGUAAGCGCAAAGGUAAACGGUCAAUCCGUUCACGCGCUGCUAGACACGGGAGCGACGCACAACUUCGUGUCCAUAGACGAGGCCAAGCGCUUAGGCCUCAAGGCCACCAAGGAAGGAGGCACAAUGAAAGCGGUAAACUCACCCGCCAAGCCAAUUGCGGGGAUCGCACAAGGCGUGCACAUCACACUCGGUACGUGGAGCGGAAAGCUUGACUUCUCUAUUGUGCCCAUGGAGACUUCAAGAUGGUCCUCGGCAUGGAAUUCUUCGACCAAGUCCAUGCCUUCCCGCUGCCCGCUACAAACUCCCUAAGUAUCCUCGAUGGGAGCAAAGCAUGCAUGGUACCCACAGAGCGAGGCAAGUCCGAGGAGAAGACACUCUCCGCCAUGCAAUUCAAAAGGGCUUUCAAGAAGGACCCAAGCUUCUUGGUCUCCAUUCGGGAACUAAACGAGGAAGGAAAUAGCGGAACUUCGCCAAGCCAAGUCCCUCCGCGAGUUCAAGCCGUCCUCAAUGAGUACAAGGAUGUGAUGCCUCCAGAACUUCCGAAGAAGCUCCCACCUUGACGAGAGGUAGACCAUGCGAUCGAGCUGGAAUAAGGCGCGAAGCCACCAGCCUUGGAGCCCUAUCGCAUGGCGACCCCCGAAUUAGAGGAGUUGCGGAGACAACUCAAAGACUUGCUGGACGCAGGCUACAUUCGCCCCUCAAAGGCCCCAUUCGGUGCACCGGUCCUCUUCCAAAAGAAAAAGGAUGGAUCGCUACGGAUGUGCAUCGACUAUAGAGCACUCAACAAGAUCACCAUCAAGAACAAGUAUCUGAUUCCCUUGAUCGCGGACUUGUUCGACCAGCUUGGCAAAGCACGGUACUUCACCAAACUUGACUUGCGCUCCGGGUACUACCAAGUGCGCAUUGCCAAGGGAGACGAACCGAAGACAACAUGCACAACAAGGUAUGGGUCUUUCGAAUUCCUUGUAAUGCCUUUUGGCCUUACUAAUGCACCCACCACAUUUUGCACGCUCAUGAACAAGGUACUCCAACCAUUCCUCGAGCGCUUCGUGGUCGUGUACUUGGAUGACAUAGUGGUGUAUAGCACCACGCUCGAGGAUCAUGCCCAACACUUGCGACAAGUCCUCCAAGUACUUCGAGACAAUGAGCUCUUCCUCAAACUAGAGAAGUGCUCGUUUGCCCAACAAGAGGUGGAGUUCCUUGGCCACAAGAUUGCGGGCGGGAAGAUCAUGAUGGAGAAUGCUAAAGUAAAGGCCAUCCUCGAUUGGGAGCCUCCCUCGAAAGUGCCCGAGCUUCGCUCAUUCCUUGGGCUGGUGAACUACUACCGCCGCUUCAUUAAGGGCUAUUAAGCUAAGGCGGCACCCUUGACGGAUAUGCUCAAGAAAAACAGAACGUGGCAUUGGUCCGAAGAGUGCCAACGCGCAUUCGAGGAGUUGAAAAAGGCAAUUUCGGAGGAACCAGUCCUCGCCCUUCCGGACCACACAAAGCCCUUCGAAGUGCAAACGGAUGCCUCGGAUUUCACCAUAGGAGGAGUCCUCAUGCAAGAAGGCCACCCUAUAGCGUUCGAGAGUCGAAACCUAAAUGAUACCGAACGCCGUUACACGAUGCAAGAAAAGGAGAUGACCGCAAUCAUACAUUGCUUACGGGUGUGGCGACAUUACUUGCUUGGCUCGCACUUCACAAUCAUGACGGACAACGUGGCGACAAGCUACUUUCAAACUCAGAAGAAGUUGAGUCCGAAGCAAGCGCGGUGGCAAGAUUUCCUUGCGAAAUUUGAUUAUCGGCUCGAGUACAAACCGGGUAAAGCCAAUGUCGUUGCGGACGCUCUAAGCCGCAAGGCAGAAUUAGCAACACUUAGCAUGAGCCAACUGAAGUCCGACCUUGUCUCACGCAUCAAGGAAGGCCUCCAACAAGAUCAGCUAGCAAAGGAUUUGCUGGAGAAGGUGCUCGAGGGAAAGACAAGGCGAUUUUGGCAAGAAGAAGGCAUCCUCCUCACCAAGGGAGAUCGGCUGUUCGUGCCAAGGUGGGGAAACUUGCGGAAGGAAGUAAUCAAGGAAUGCCACGACUCCAAGUGGGCUGGUCACCCAGGAAUCGAGCGCACCAUCGCACUAGUCCAAGCCUCGUAUUUUUGGCCGCACAUGAGGGACGACAUCGAGGCAUAUGGAUCAUCAACUUCCAGCGGGAUUAUUGGAGCCGCUACCACUAGCAACAAGGCCAUGGGAAAGUGUCUCCAUGGACUUCAUCACAUCGCUGCCUAAGUCCAAAGGUUGCGGAAGCAUCAUGGUCGUUGUCGACCGAUACAGCAAGUACGCCACAUUCAUUGCCGCACCAGUUGAUUGCAAAGCGGACGAGACAACCCGCUUAUUUGUCAAGCACAUUAUGAAGCUUUGGGGAGUUCCGAAGAGCAUUGUGACUGACCGAGACCCUCGGUUCACUGGACGCUUUUGGACGAAGCUCUUCAAGAUGUUGGGGACCGAUCUUAAGUUCUCAAUAAGCUUCCACCCACAAACGGAUGGGCAGACCGAGCGCAUUAAUGGCCUCCUCGAGAUGUACUUGAGGCAUUAUGUGAGCGCUCACCAGCGGGAUUGGGCGAAGCUACUCGACGUCGCCCAAUUUUCUUAUAACUUGCAGCGAAGUGAGGCUACAGGCAAGAGUCCAUUCGAGAUCAUCAUGGGAUUCCAGCCCAUGACCCCCAAUGCCAUAGCCUCGACUUACGGAGGGAAAAGCCCUGCGGCACACAAGCUCGCCCGCGAAUGGCAUGAGGAAGCGGACAUCACGCGAGCCUAUCUCGACAAAGCCGCGAGGAAAAUGAAGAAAUGGGUGGAUACAAGGAGACGGCAUGUUGAGUACAAGGAAGGUGAUCAAGUCAUGAUUAAGCUCCUACCCCAACAAUUCAAGACUUUGCGGAAAGUUCACAAGGGGUUAGUGAGGUGCUACGAGGGACCCUUCCGAGUUGUUCGACGUGUGGGAAACGUCUCGUAUCAACUCCAACUUCCGCCAAGACUCAAGAUCCAUCCGGUCUUCCAUGUGAGCCUUCUCAAGCCAUAUCACGAAGACAUGGGAGAACCAAGUAGCGGAGAAUCGAGGCGCGUGCCAACUGCCGUUGUCACUGCGUUCGACAAAGAUGUGGACUACAUCAUUGCGGACCGCACGGUUUCGAGGAGGGGCGUGCCAGCACAUAGCGAGUACUUGGUGAAGUGGAAAAACCUCCCCGAGAGCGAAGCCACUUGGGAACGUGAAGAUGAUUUGUGGCAAUUCGCUGAGCACAUCCAGAAUUUCAAGCACGAGAGCGCGACGAGGACGCCGCGAGCUUAGGUGGGGGAGGAUGUUGCGGACAGCCCAAUUCGCUAGCCCAAUUGCCCACAAUUUCGGGCUAGAGAGCCAACACAAGGCCAAGAGUGCUAGCUUGGCCCAAUUCCGGAAGGUUCUAGGCAACUCUAGCACAUGUGAACAUGUAAAUAUUCUAGAAUACUUUAUACAAUUCCAGCACAUGUAGAAUUCUCCAUAGAAUUCCAACACAUGUAAAUAGCUAGGAAAUGGUAGAAUUCUCUAGAAUCUCUAGAGCUUGGCAAGCCUCCCCUAUAAAUAUGGGAUGGCAUUAGGCAUUUGUAUCCAACAAGUAUUGUAAGCAACUCAAGCAUUGUAUUCUCUCUUUGUGCAAUACAAGUUUUCUUCUAUUGGCUCAAUUGCUCUCUCUCUCUUCUCUAGUUCGAGAAGCUCUAGGCUUACUUAGCAACAUUCGGCAAAGUUGUCUAAGUGCCGCACGGGUUAGCUGCGCAAAACACUUAUCCCGUGACACUACACACCUUCUCGUUGAAAAGCAGAGUUGAAGUAUCCUCUUGCGAUGAUGGUCUGUUUGGUGAUGCUAAAGGAGUCUUUACUUCACGGCAGAGAUUUAUGAUAUUUUACAAUCAUGUAUUUAGAUUUACUUUAAUUUUAUGUUUAAAGCUUCUACAAUGAAUAGCGUAGCUUGGGCUUUAGUUUCAUUUUCUAAUUAACUUGUUUUAGUUUAUCUUAUAUGCUCGCCAAGUGCUUGUUAUAUUGUCUGAUAAGUUAUAUAACAUUGCUGAUUCUAUAUUAGUAAUGUCAUGUUCCAUUUUCGGAAAUUAUAACACAAAAGUUUUUACAAUGGCUUGCAUCUACAAACUGAAUUGACUUGUAGAGUAAGAGCUUGGAUUAGUGUUAUGUUCUUGAAUAAAUGAAAGUUCAUAUUGUGUAAGAGCAUGUAGAUAUAAAGCAUCACUACCAUUUCUACAAACUGCUUUCAUUCUGUUCAGAUGCUCCUCUUGAACUUUGAAAGGUGCCUCAUUCAAGUCCUAGCUAUAACUACUAGCUCUGAUUGCUUAAGUUCCUGUGCUAGCUGAAACAGAUUUAUUUAAUUAAUUAAUUGUGUAUGUACUAAUUAUAUUGAAAGUAUAUGAAGAAAUUGUUUAACAUGAAUGACUUCUAAAUGACUUAAAAGCCUAAAGGAUAUGUGAAAUAAUGCUCAUUUCACUUGAACGAGCCUAUUAAUACUUGUAUGUCUAUGAUUGUCAAUCUUGCUUAAGUGUUUCAGUUAAGUGGUUUACCUAACAGGGAAAAAAAUUUAAUGGAAAACUUUAGAGUUCUAACAGAAAUAUAGUUGACUGCAGAUAUAGUUAUUUUACGGUACAUAAAUCAUGUUGUCCUAUUCUCAAUGUCCUACGACCUAUUUUAUUUUAUAUGGUCAUUCAUUUUUGCGAUGGUUUUUUGUGCUUAUGAGUAUGGAAAUAGUGGGAUUUAGAGUGGCAAACAAAAAUAUACAUAUAAUCAAGUUUCUUAAUCAUAUAUAUUGGUUUUGGGUAUGAAUGUUUUCCUAUUCUAGUUCUAAGCAAAGUUUCUUCAUUUUGGUCUUCAGAUUUCCAGUAGGUUAAGUUAAGCAACUAUCAUAACUAGCUAGCUAGUUAUUGCCUGCCUUGUCGCCAUUACCGACGCCAUUACAUUGCAUGGCAUAAGGAAUAGUAACUAGGUGAUUAUUGGUGAUUCGUUGAGUUUAUUAUUGGCCAAACAAACAUAUUGGCCUUUACCCACAACUUAGUUUGAUUAGUUAUUAGAUAAUAAAGAGCCUUAAUCUAUGCAUUGCUUUAUUAUUUUUAUUUGGUUUUUCUUUCAACAAUAUUGUUGAUUUCUUAUAAACAGUACUAGUAGUGAAAAAAUGAUGACAACAACAAAAAUAGAAAAUUACAAGACUGCUGAUAAAAUUUCAUUUGCAUGCAUGUCUGACAAAAUUUCCGUGAUUUAAUGUGCUUUCAUGAACGCAAGUCCUAACGUUUCUGUGAUCACAAAAUGAAACUGAAGAUAAAACAGAACAACUACCAAACCUUUCAAGCUUGACGAAGCCAUGAGAAUUGAUAGCUCAGGCUCUGAUACCAAGUAAAAGUUUCUAAUCUGUUUGGUAAGUAAGAAAAUGAGAGAAAAUGAAAGAAAGAACAUAGAUCAUCUAAGAGCUGGAUUUGAUAAGUAAAUAUGAAUCAUCCAUUCAUUAGCUGAUUGCAAAUGUAUUUAUACAAGUGAUGGUUGUCGAAGCCAACAAAAAUAAAUUCCUACUAUAAAUAAAUUGUGUAUAGUGAUUGAGCAGGGUCGUGUCCACAGAGAUCGGUAAUUAUUUAAAUCCUUUUGAAACGUAAAACGUAAAAUGGGGGAAUUGUUGACAAUAAUAAAAAUCAAAUUAAAAUAACAAGAAUACAAAUUAAAGUUGUAAUUCAAAUUGGAGAAAGCUCUGGUUGAAGGAAUUAACUCAGCUUGAUUCGACUACUGAUCAUUGAUUCAAAUAUAGAUUAUUAUUACUUAUGAAUAGACCGGUUAUAGCUACUGAGACCCUCUAAUAGCCAAUCUCUCCUUAACUAGUCGAUAACCAAGGUAUGACCGUUGGUUAUUUCCCUAAUCAAUAGACAACCCUAGAUACGAUCAUAGGAUUUAAUCAAUUGACAACCUGAAAGACCAGAGAGACCCAAAUCCUAAUCAACACAUACGAUGAUUCAUUUAAAUUAGAUUGUUUAUUCUCAUAACACAACUCACUGCUAUGUUAUUCGUCACAAACAUUAAAAGCUUCAUACGAUGAAUCCUUUAAUUAACAAUAGAUUAAGUUGAUAAUUAAAUAGUGGCCAAUUACCUAAUUAACAAACAUAAUCAUGAAAAUAAUUCAGAGAAUAAACAAAUACCCAAAAAGUAAUAAAACAAUUAAAGUAUAAAAUAGAUCUCACAGUAGUGAUGAAUCAAAACUUCAUUAUCCUUCAACCAGAAAAAUAAGUUUAGUUCUUCAUAGAGAGAAGAGAAAAGUUUAGAUCUAGGGUUUCUCUCUUUUUCUCCAAUCCCCAUUUUUCACAAUAGAUUCCUCCCUUAAAUACUCUCUCUCUCUUCUCUUUUAGAAUUCUAUUUAAAAUAAAAUACUAAUAUCUGAAAUAUUAAAUUCGUAAUUACAAAAAUAACCAAAAAUACAAAACACGUUAAACUAAAAACUGCAGGUCCGCAGUUGACAGCACGUGCCCACGCCUUAUCAACAAAGUUCUUCUGACGCUCAUAAUUUCUCCAAGAGAACAAUCAUCCUUAAACAUCAUCUUGUAACUCAAUUUUAUCACCAAUCAAUAGAAUUGCACCUACAAAAGUAAAACACAAGUAAAUCACUAUUAUUAAGUGCAAAACAUCGAUAUUAAGGGAAGUAAACAAUGCAAAACUAGUGCAUAAAUUGCACUCUAACAACAAGGUUCCUGAACAUUUCAGAUUCUAUAUGCUCGAGCUAAGCACCUGAGAGUUGAGCAGUGUGCACUAACAAACUGCUAACAAAAUAACUAACUCAUGCCAGCUCAGCUAACACGUCAGUAACUCUAACUAUCUUGCUUAACAAACUGAAACAAUAACUAACCAUUUUAACUAUCUUAACAAUCCCAAUAAUUUCUCCAUUUGUGUACUUUUUUGAAUCAUAAUCAAAUGGAUAAAUGUUGCAACUAUUUUUUUAGAUAUUUUCACUUUAGGAUGUCAGCCCGAGGAAGUACGGGGGUCUGAGUUAUUCAACUGAAAAUGUCGGCCAAGUUCUUGCCAUCUCAAGUGCAAAACUGAAAAUGUUACUCGUUCUUCUUAACUUGUUUUCUCAUGCAUCAACCCCACAAAACUGCUCAUUGAAGGGGUAAAAUUUUGAACACACCAUGUGGCAUUUAGACCAUUUGAUAGUUUGUUUCAAACAUAUUUGUUUAUAAAAUACUUUUCUUCAUGGAUUUGGUUACGUAAUUGUCUAUGUAUGUACAGGUUUUAUCGAUACCUCUUUUGACAAGUUACAUAGCAAUGUUAUCUGGGUUCAGCCGUGCCUUAUUGAUAAACUGUGCUUCUGUAAUGAAGAAUGUUUUAUCUGUAAGUGGAUAUCCUAAUCGUUGAUCCAUAUCCAUAAGCAAGUAUGUAUAAAAUUAUUUUAUGUCUUUUUUAUUAGAAAUGUUGUAAUUCUUUUUUACUCUUCCUGAAUUAUAACAGCAGGUGUCUAUAAUAACUGGAUUGUUCCUUCUGCAAAACAGAGCAGUGGUAAAUAUUUUUUUCUUUUGUUUGUCUAGUACAUUUCCAUGAUUUCAGCUUUUUCAAAUUUUGUAUGUGUCAAAGUUUAAAUUUAAUUUGUUGGUUUAUGGCAACAACAGGAACAGAAUCAAAGAGGAGCUGCCAAUGGACUGCUAUGACUGUAGAGUCGCUUACCAAAACUGCUGGUUCAGCUGUAGGAGGUGCUAUGUAGGCGUCCUAUUGAUUUUGUAAAAUUAUAUGUAAAUGAUGUCAUAAUUUUUAUUGUCUCCCCCACCCCCUCUCCCCAAAAAAAAAAAUAUUAAAAAAUUAAAAAAUUAAAAACUAAGGCGUGAUUAAAUUGAUCAUUUGUUUGGUAACAACUUGAUUAAUCGGGUUCUGGCAGAUUUUCUUGGUCACAAAAAGCGUCAAGAUGCUGGUUUCCUCCCAGGUAUGAUGAUUUACUAAUGAAAUUUAUCACUAGUAUGUGAAUUACUUGGUGCUAAUUAACUUAAUCAGCUGCUUAAAUUAAAGUGCAGGUAACCUUAUUUUUUUUUCUUUUUACAAUAAUACUCUUGGAAUAAUAUUUCUGGGAAUAUUAAUGAAAAAAUGGUAAUUCAUCCAGCCAGCCUUAAACAAAAUAAAUAUUAAUAAAAACUUUUAUGUUAUUAUUUUAGUUUUAGGACUAAUUUCGUAAAUUAAAUUUUUUUAUGCAUUUAUUAGUAAGAUUGCUUUAAGAAUAUUAAACAUUACUUUAAGUUGGCUGAUAUUAAUUUAUUUAUAAAUAAUAUUAGCAAGAUUGUUGUAAAAGUACAAAAAAUACUAGUUAUUUCAUAUUGAUAUUUAUUGAUUAAUUUGGCAAUUAACUUUUUUAUAAAUAAAUUAAUUAAUUUAAGAAUAUUAUUGCCAAGAAAUUAUUGUAAAAGUAAAUAAAAUUUAAGGAAAAAAUGCAACGUAUUUAAUAUCAAGGUAUAUUGAGGUAUUUUUCAAAAUAUAAAGACUAAACAAGCACUGAAGUUAAAAUACAGAUACCAAAUGAGCAUUUUCUCUCUUAGAAAAUUUUAUAUUUUAUUAAUGAAAGUCUGAAUAACAAAAUUAGGGUUUUGGACUCCUUUUAAACUAAGCCUAAAUAUCACGAAUUUACCAAUAUAGUAAACCUAAAAUAUUACUGCAUAAUAACAUUCUCCUAACUGAAAUAAGAUAAAUGCUACUUAAAUUCUAUAUCUAAAUGAAAAAAAGAUAAAAAUCUUGAAAACAAUAGGAAAAUAGAACUUAAACUUGUAAACUAAUAUGAAAUAAAUAGAAUUCUCAAUCGAACCACGAGGCUACUGUGGUGCUACAGUAUUAGAUUAGAUUUCCCUCAUUGCUAACUUCAAACUGGUAUAUUAUACACCCUAUAUAGGUACUUAUAGCUCAAGUUAUUACCUUAGAGAGAUACCCUACGCAUCCUACACAACCAUCCACUGCAUCAAAGUCGUUCCAAAACAGUAGUUCACAGUUGGUACUGCACAUGAUGCUUGUUUCUCCUUUUGCAUCAACUUUUGUUGUUAACAUUAAUUUCAAUAGCAGCUCGUUAUGUAUGCAACAUUUCAAAAUUAAUCCAAAAAAACAAAAAUUAGUUCAGCUGACUAAAUUUGAAAGCAUGGAUUUGCUGUCGAUUAAAAAUCGUUUUCUAGGGAAAAUUUUUGGAUUGCAAUUCUCAUACAAUACAUAGAAUUAUCAUAAUCUAUAAAUUGUAUUUUUUCUUUUCUACGGUAGUAAGUCAAGAAUCCUUAGUGACAAUUUAAAUUGAAAAAAUAAAAUCAUAAAUAAGAAUUAUUUGAUAAGAAUUAAAAUAAUUGAUAAAUAUUUGAGAGGAACAAUUUUGGAAGACUCGAUCUAAUAGGAGGAGAAUUUGAAUUUUACAACCUUCCGUGAGGAAUCCAAAAUGCACAAUUUGAUGAAAAUUAAAUUUCAAUAGAAAUUGAAUUCCCAUAUAUUAGUGAAAACCAAACAACAGAAAAGUGAAAGGAAUUUGAAUUCAUUUCCUUCCUGUCUCAUCCCUCCAACUAAACACCAUCGAUACCCAAAGGUAUGGGAUUGGGAUUCCAUACUGAUCAGAAUGGGAUUUGUCCAUAUUAUUAGGACCAAUUUUAAAAGCAGUCGGAGUUUAAAAUUGAAAUUAAUCCCAAUUUUUUAUCAAUUUAUGCAUGAAUUUUUGUACGUUUACUUUGGUUUAUUAUUGUUACUUUUAGACAUUUUUAUUGGUUUGAUUUAGGGUCAUUUUGGUAAUCUUGUAAUUUUUAAAAUAGUUACAGUUAGUUAUGCUGUAGAAAUUGAUCAAUCAUGAAGAGAAUCAGCUGAACAUUUAGUAAAAUUUAUUUUUAAAAGUACUUUGUUUUAAAAGCAGUUGUAUGUGUUUCGUAAAUCUUAUUUUUAAACAGGUGCAAGAAUAUAAAUAACUAAAUUGGACAUAAUACUAAAUAAAAUUUAUUUACACAUUUACAAACAUGUAUAUAAAAUAUUUUUAUUAUGUACAUAUAAUUAUUGAUAACUAAAAUAAAUAUUUUAUAUUAUUAAAUUUUAUUCUUUAUUUUGUUAUCUCAAUAUAAUUGGUAAUAAUAAUAAUCUUUUAAAGUUAAUGAUUUUAUUUCUUAAUUAAUAAAGAUAAUUCUGGAUUUUUAUUAUAUAAUGAGGAUAUAUAUAUAUAUAUAUAGAAUUGGAUUAAGUAUAAAAGUGAUUUUCAAAAUCAAAUUUUGAAAAACUAUUCCUUCCAUACUUUUCAAAAUCCACUGUAUGAUGAGAUGAUUUUUCCAAAAAUAAUUACUAAAAAAUUAUAAAACACUAAAAAUUAGGUUUUAGUUUUUAAAAUCACUUUUGAGCUUCCCAAAAACAAUCCUAACGGGCCUUUAUUUGGGUGGUGUUGGAACUUGUAACUUUUGGAUCUUUUAGUUUUUAUUGGUUUGAUACAAGUGUUACACUAAAAAUUGAAUGCAUCUUAAACCCCAAACUUCUUCUUCUUCUUUUUUGAUUGCACAAAAUUAAAAACAAUAGUGAACGCAUUCUUUAAUAAACAAUAAGUAAUUACUAAAAUUGUGUUAAAGAAUUUAGUUGAAACAUAAAUUGAUUUCAAUGUUGUAUAUGCUAAAUUUCUUAAAAAUUUUCUUUCACAGUCUGCGGAAUAGUUUUAUUAGUAUUUUGAAUAAAUAAAAAUAAUUGAUUUAAUUUUUUAAAGAAAUUUAUUAGGUUCAUGUAAAUACGUUUUUGUUAUUUAAAAAGUGUACAAAGUAAAACUUAAUUUUUUAAAUUUAUUAGAUGAAUGGAUAAAAUAAUUGAGUGUUCAUAGUAAAUUUUAAAGUAUAGAUAGUCAGACCCUAAUAUUUUUAAUAAAUGGAAAUUUUUAAAAUAUGUUAAUGAGAAUUAAAAUGAUAAUUAAGGGAGGCAUUCGAGACAUUCAAGAUUGUUAGGAUAGGACAUGAUUGUGAGCGGUUUGAGAUUGGCCCUAAUUUUGAUCACAAAUAUAUAAGCAGGAUGAGUUUAUCCAUACUUACAUUCCAUUUGAUAAUUAAGAUGAGAGUGGAAUUGUCAAAUCCCAAAUUAUCCCGGACCAUUGCCACCAAAGGUACUCUCACUAAUAAUAUCUAAAGAAAAAUCUACAUCUAUUUCAUACUUUUUUUUUUAAACGGAAAGAGCCCUUAUGGGGCUUGAAAUGGUAUCCUAAAUAAUAUUCAGAAUAUCAGGCCAUGACUGGGUUUGUAACAAACAAAUAUUACAUAGUUGGGAUACGUAGUUGCUAGUGUCCCAAUUUAUGUAGUAUCUAUCAUUUAGUGCACAUAUAAAGUGUUUGGGAAAUGAAAUAGGGUGACCAAGAUAAGGUGUUUGCUCAUAUAUUAUCGUGCUCUCCUCAAAGUAAAAAGUGAAAAAAUAGUUGAUAGACUACUAGGAGUUUAUUUGGUCACCUCGACCAGGAUAUUAUUUGAUGAUCUCGAGCACAUCAUCUUGACUAAGAGAUUAUUUGGUCGCCUUGAGUAUAUCACCUCGACCAGGAGAUUAUUUGGUGACCUCGAGUAGAUCAUCUUGACCAGGAGGUUACUAGGAAGCACGACUCAGUCAAAACAAAUCUCACUUAUUUUCUUCGAAAUAUUGGGGACCAUAUUCUUAGUGGGCUGAAAAUUAGUGGUUUUCUUGAGAGUUUAGGUGAGAGGAUAAAAACCGCUAUAAUUUGCUCUAAAAAUCCUGGGAAAGGGGGGGAAAUAGGGAGAUUCUUUUUAUCUCUCUCUCUUUGGGUGACUGAACCCAUGGGAUCUUUUUCUCUCUACCACUGGGAAACUUCUCUUUCUCUCAUGAUUUAUUUUUCUUUAAGAUUGGUUAUUUUUUAUUCUUUUCCCAUAAAUUUACUUAAAAGCUUUUUGUUUAAAGUAUUCAUAAUUAAGCCGCGUGAAUUGUGGUACGGAUUUUUCCAAGUAGACCCAAAUCGCUGACUUGAGCAUCAGAGAAUUUUCUUUAAGAUUGAUUAUUGUUUCCAUAAAUUUGAACCAAGAAGGAUGACGCGAUAAAAUUUGUUUUUAUUGUAUGGUUGAUUUCAUAUCUCAUGCACUCAUUUCUUAAGAUAAUUAGAUUUCAUCUUUUGCAAAUGUGGAAAUAUCAAUUAUGAUCGAUCAAAACAAUCUCAAAACCUUUCAAUGAGACAUAUUUAUAAUACAAUAUUGUGAAAAUUACACCAAAAAUUUAAUUUAUGAUAUAUUAUUGUCCCACCAGCACACAAAAAUGAAUUCGUACAAAUCUAAAAUACUUAGCAAUUUUCAAAUAGAAUUUUAAAUUUAUUUCCAGUUAGAAAACUAUUCGCUGGACUCCGUAUUACUAGCCACCAUGGUAAGCCUAACCGGUUGCCGGCGAAUGGCGUAAAACACCAGCCAUCUUCUUCUUCAUCAUAUUCACCUUUCAUCUUUUGAGUUAAGCCUGUGAUUAUGAGUUUCUUCUCUUACUUAGCUUGUAAUUAUAGAUUUUGAUUCUUUUUAAUUCAUAUUGUAGCCGUUAUUGUCAAUUUUUGUCCCGCCAGCAAUAUUUUUUUAUUCCUACAAGUUGAAAAUGGAUUCAUUUGAAUUACUAUUGAAUUUAGCUUUAAUUUCAAUAUCCAUUCUAAUGUUUUGCUAUUAGAUUUACUUUAAUUUUAUGUUUAAAGCUUCUACAAUGAAUAGCGGAGCUUGGGUUUUAGUGUCAUUUUCUGUAACUUGUUUUAGUUUAUCUUGUACGCUCACCAAGUGCUUGUUAUAUUGUCUGAUAAGUUAUAUACAUUGCUGAUUCUAUAUUAAUAAUGUUAUGUUCUAUUUUCAGAAAUUAUAAUACAAAGUUUUUACAAUGGCGUGCAUCUACAAACUGAAUUGACUUGUAGAAUAAGAGCUUGGAGUAAAUGAAAGUUCAUAUUGUGUAAGAGCAUGUAGAUGUAAAGCGUCAUUACCAUUUCUAUAAAGGACUUUCAUUCUGUUCAGAUGCUCUUCUUGAACAUUGAAAGGUGCCUCGUUCAAGUCCUAGCUAUAACUACUAGCUUUGAUUAAUUAAGUUCCUAUACUAGCUGAAACAGAUUUAUUUAAUUAAUUAAUUGUGUAUGUACUGAUUAUAUUGAAAGUAUAUGAAUUUUUUUUUUUUUUAACAUGAAUGACUUAAAAACCUAAAGAAUAUGUGAAAUAAUGCUCAUUUCACCUGAAUGAGCCUAUUAAUACUUUUAUGUCUAUGAUUGUCAAUAUUGGCUUAAGCAUUUCAGUUAAGUGGUUUACCUAAUAGAGAAAAAAAUUUAAUAGAAAACUUCAGAGUUCUAACAGAAAUAUAGUUCACUAUGCAGAUAUAGUUAUUUUACGGUAUACAAAUCAAGUUGUCCUAAUCUCAAUGUCCUAUGACCGAUUUUAUUUUAUAUAGUCAUUAAUUUUUGCCAUGGUUUUUUGUGUUUAUGAGUUUGAAAUAGUGGGAUUUGGUGUACCUUAUCAUCUUUUGAAAAUUCUCUUUAAGUGUGGCCAACAGAAAUAUACAUAUAAUCAAGUUUCUUAAUCCUGUAUAUUAGUUUUGGGUAUGAAUGUUCCUAUUCUAGUUCUAGGCAAAGCUUCUUUGUUUUGGUCUUCAGAUUUCCAGUAGGUUAAGUUAAUCAACUAUCAUAACUGGCUAGCUAGUUAUUGUCUGCCUUGGCGCCAUUACCCAGGCCAUUAUAUUGCAUAGCAUAAGGAAUAGUGAUUAGGUGAUUAUUAGUGAUUUGUUGAGCUUAUUAUUGACCAAACAAAUGUAUUUGCCUUUGCCCACAACUUAGUUUGAUUAGUUAUUAGACCAUAAAGAGCCUUGAUCUAUUCAUUGGCUUUAUUAUUUUUAUUUGGUUUUUCUUUCAACAAUAUUGUUGAUUUCUUAUAAAAAUAUUCAUUGGUUUUUAAACACCUAAUCAUUGGCUAUAUGAAGCUAAUUAAAACUGAGGCUUUGGAUCAAUUUCUUCUAACAAGAUACAAAUGAGCAAAACCUUUCUCCUCUAAGUAAAUUUUUUUAAUAUCCCUUGAUUUGUAAGGAUCUGGAGGCCUGAAUCCUCUUGAUUUUUUUUAACACUGUCAUUGUUCUUUUUAUUCUGAGAAGGAAAUAAAAGGUUUUAUCUUUCAUACCCGAAUAGUAAGCUGGCCUUGUCUUAACAUGGCCUCCCGAGGACUUGCAAGAUUCAUAGUGCCCCCCACCCCAAAAAAAAAAUCAAAAACACAAAUAGGAAGAUUUUGCAAGAUUCACCACCAGGUUUUUUUUUAAUUUAUUAAUUGUGUGUACGUGCUAGUUAUAUGUUGAAAGAAUAGGAAGAAGUAUUUCAACAUGAAUGACUUAAAACUUAUUGCUCAGUAAAUAUAAUCUGCAUCAGUGCGAAAAUGUAUUUAUCGUUUGUAUUUUUUAUGGUUUUGCUAAAGAAAUGAUAUGUGAAAUAAUGCUACAUUGCAUCAGGAAUAAAUUGAAGAGAUUUAUGAUAUUUAUGUGUUAUUCAAAUUUCAGAUUCAAUUUUAAACUUUUGAUACAUGCAUUGAAAGCUUAGACUUGUUUAAGAAAUUAUUAAUAGACACAUGUUUUAUUAGUUUCAUCUUUGGAUGAUAGUGAGGAUCAUAUGUCUAUUAAUAAUUCUUGAAUUGUCCAGGCUUGGACAGUUUGGGAAUGCAUAGUUCACUCUGGUAGCUAGUAGCUGAAGUUUUUUCCCACGUAAAAAUGGGUUUUUCGGUAGCUGCUCCUCGUGUUCUCUGGGUACGUACUAGGUGAAUGGGUGUCAUGUGUUGUUUUGGCAUAACGCAUAAACACUUAUAUAGCUAUGUCGUGUGCUUGGAGAAUUAUAGGGAGAUGGUGCCGAAAUUUUUAUAAACGUGGAAGAAAACUUUAGGUACUUGAGAUUGAAGAAACUUAUGCAUUCUUGAGUGGGAUAUGUAGGAUUACUUACCUUCUGUAAAUAUGAAGGGAAUGUUGGAUAUAUUGGGGAUAGUGUAGGAGCUGAGUUGGAUGAAUGUAAUUGGUGAUGAUUUUGCUGAGCUGACCUUGGUUUUGAGCUUGUAAUUUUGUUUGUAAAUGGAGUGCUAUCACCAAUGUUGGUUUAUAAAAAUGUUUCAGGACUUGCUGACCUAAUUUUUUGUUUCUAGGUUACAGGCUUUAUAUAUCUGUAAUUGAUAGCCAAGUGAAGUUCUCAGCGCUUGGCGAGGAUAUUUCUUUACAGAAGGUAUUGGAAACUGUUUUUUACAUUAAUUAUCGUUGUUUAUAUACUUUGAUUGUCACAUCUUUUUCUCUGAUUCUUGUGGCUUUGCUUGCUUUCAUAUAUGUAAAUUCUAAUGAAAUUAACCAUAAAAUUGUAAAAUGAUCUUUUUAUUAUAUUGCAAAACUGUGCACACACGAAAAUAUGUUGUUUAGUAGUAGAAAUGAAGAACUAAUUUUUGUAGCGCAUUAAAAGGAGAUAGUCAUGGACAAGUGUUGGGUUGGUUUGCCAAAUAGAUAUCCAAGUCAUAUACUGAUGGCGUUGAAAAAUUUAUAGAUUUUGUAUUUGAGAAUGUUGUUGGUGGUACAAGAAUUUAUUGUCCUUCUUGAUAAGUGUUGUAAUCUAUAUUUCGUUAUAAGGGAAGUGGCUGAUGAUGAUAUGGUUGGAAUGAUACACUGCAUCACGUAAUCAAAUGUUCAAGUUACACGCAGCAUUGUUAUGAACUAUCAGUGGCAACUUGUCUGGGUGGAGUAUUAAAGGUAAAUGAGCAUGUCUUAUUUGCCAACAAAGCACUAGAUCUAAUUGGUUGAUACAGAAUUACAUAGUAGAAAAUUUUGUCACGUGGGUCACCGUCGAUUUUGCCCAACAAAUCAUAGGUUUCGAAAAUAUAGUGUCUUUUGAUAAAACUAGAGAGUAGGGACCAGCACCUUCUCGGUUGUCUGGAACUGAAGUGAAAAAGCAGUUUAAUAUAGUUACUGAGUAUAAGAUUGAAGACUUGAAAAGAGGAGAACGAAUAAAAUGAGAGAAAUGAUAAAAUUACUUGGAAGAAGAACAGCAUUUCUUAAGAUUACUUGGAAGAGAAAUGAUGUGGAAGAUGGCUAUAAAAUAUAAAAGGAAAGGCUUAAAAAGAAAAGCCAUGCCUGUCAAAAACAAAAAACAAUGGCAGCGUCAAAUUUAUAACAAAAAUCAAAACGGUGCGUUUGAGAGUGUAUAAAAUACAUUUAGAGUGGGAGUUGUGUUGUUGCUUGAAGGCAGAAUGUUUGUGAGAUAUUUGUCGACGAAGCCGAAACCAAAGAUGAAGCCCAUCAAAAGUAUUUAUAGUGUAAAAAGUAUAUUGUGGAAAUGUCUGGUCGGUAAUACAACUAUUUCUUAUAGUGUAAAUGAUACACUAAUUUGAAUUUAUAUGCUUUUAUGAUUAUUUUAUUAUCAAGUGGUGAUCAUAUGUGAUGAUAAACUUAGGUAGUACCUUUAUAUUUAUUGCCUUAGUUUUCUAAGCGUUCACAUUUUGAUGAGUAAAUUAAGGAUUUCUAGAUGAAGUACAUAAUUAGAUUAAUGCUAAGGAACUGAAGUUUGAUCAACUGAAAACGAAAAUCAUAAUGAAGGUAAUUAAGAAAAUGAACAAUGCAGAAGCGGUCCUUAUUAGGACUUCUAGAUUUUCUCUUGGGCUUCCUUAUUAUUGUUAAAAAAUGACACGAAUAACUGAGUUUAAAAAUCUGGCCCUGAUGCCUGGUAGCCCUCCAACAUAUGAAGCACUAGAUGUUUUAAUGAGAAAAUGACAAGACCAUUUAUCAAAUUUCUUGUGGAUAUAAAUACAUACACAUAGACGAGACCAACCUCCUCAACUGAGAAUCAGAGUGAUUACAAGACCUUGCAAUGGGACGAUAACACACCAUCAAAUCUCAAAAUACAAUAGAAAUUCAUGACAUAUGUAUAAUAAAAGACCUCUCAUUGAGUCAUAUAUAUUGAGAAUAAAAAUGUUAUAAUACAUACAAAGAGCUUAGCUAGAAUAAAAUGUCUUGGAACUUGCGAUGAUCAAACAAGGGAAACAGACAGGUUGUAACUCACACUAUCACAGAUGUAGCGACACGAUGCAGUGAAUCACAAGAAGAUCACGAAGAUGGAAACGGGAACCCCUCAGAAUGUAAACUUUGAAUAGAGAAAAAAAGAAAAACGACCUUAUUUCAAAUUGUGCACAGAAGAAGAGUGACUUAAAUCUUCAUCAGUAUCCAGGCAUUCUGCAAUCAUAAAGUAGAGAAAUUUUAACAGGAACAACAGAGAAAAUAUUAUGAAUAUGCUAUAGACCAAUAUACUUGUUCAUAUCUAACGUUUGAUGGUCUAAGGAUUUGUUCUAGGAAUAAUGGGAUGAUUACUUUUUUUUUUUUUUUAAUUUUUGUUAAUCCAAUGAAUGAUAUUCAGCUGUUAAUUAUGUGUUCAUAGGGAAGAACAUUUUCUAAGUACUUUCCUUGCCUUCUAACUUUCCGAAAAGCAAACCCAAUGAACAAACAGAGCACAAACUAAAAUAAAAGAACAGCAAUGAUGAGAAUAAAUAACUGGCAAAGAAAUAAUGGAAAAAGUAUGCACGUUUUCAAGGAAUUAUAAAAUACGAAGGCUUUUAAUGAAAUUUUAUCAUAAAAAGUAUGCAAGGAGUUAUAAAAUUUUAGAAGACGAGGGGAGCUCGCAAAAAAAAAAGAAGAAAAAGACUCAAAUUAAACUAGACUAAAAAGACAUUCAAUUAUGCAAAAUCUGUCCAUAAAAGUCUGAAAGGAUCAUUAAAAUUGCAUUGCAAAUUUAACAGUAAACCGAGGGACCCAUUCUAAAUAAUUCAGAUGAAAUUGCGAAACAAGCCAUGGGAUUAAAUAAAUGAAAUAAAAAUUAAUUACCAGUUGAGACUUUCUUCUAAAAAUUCGCAACUCCAAGUCAUAAGAAGACUAUGAAAUUAGUCGUACUGCGUAGAGUAUGACGACGACACCGCCAACAGCUGAAAAUAACAUUCUUAUUCAUCAAUUUAAACUUUUACUUUAUAACAAAUAUCUUAUCGAUAUUUUAUUUAAAAAAAGCAAAUUUUGUAAAAUUUUUCCAUGGGAGAUAGAGAGUAACAUGUAUAUCCGUACCUUCUCAGCAUGUAAUUGUUGUAUGGUCCUGUUAAGAUCAUUAUUAGCCCAACGCCGUUGAUUCGAUGUCGCUCCACACCAGACAUUUACUCUUGGAGGCGUGCUUGAAUCUCCUGUAGUGAAAGUCUUCAUCUUGGGACAACCAAUCACUUCCAGAUAUUCCAAAGAUGGGAAUUCAAAGGUGUAGUUGGCAGAGCAGAAACUUGUGAGACUUUCUAAAUCACGCAGGCCCAACGCCUUCAAUUUGCGGAAAACAAUCUCUUCUUUUUCAACUCCAUCUUUGUCAUUUAUUACCACCUCUGUCAUUGCUCUGCAUCUACAUAUUUCUAUUGCUACGAGUUGCACUAGAGUUUUUGCUGUGGAGGAUGUUACCAAGUGCAUCAAUCCCUUGCAACCGAAAGCUAAAAGUUUUGUUAGGUUCCGAAAAGAUACCGAUGAUGAUGGCAACAGAAUUAACAGACUUUGACAAUUAUAUACUCUUAGAAUUUCAAGAUACUGAAAAAUGGGGCCAUGUUUGGAAUCUUGUUUGCACAGCUGCUUCAGAUGAUAGGGCCGGUACAGCUUUAAUUCUUUUAUCAUUGCCAACUUCCCCACAUGUUUCUCUAAGCAUCCUUCCAUCGAAAAUACGUCUUCGUCGAAUGAAAAAAAAGACAGUGUGAGUAUUUCGAGAUUGUGAAAUCUCUCCAGUACGUUCCAGAUUGGAAAACAAGCUGAGUCAUCUGCAGCAAUAUCUAGUUUUCUAAGACUGCCAAAAAGGUGUUGUGGGAAAUCGGCCUGCAAAAUUAUCUUCAUGUCUUUUCCGCUUAGUGAUAGUUCCGUCAAGUUGGGUAAGAUCUGAUCAUCAUCAAUCAUAAUAACUAAUGAGGUCAAUUGAUGUUCUCUCAAAUGAUUUUGAGUAAUCCAAUCACAUGCAGUGACUUUAUAGUAUUUGUUUUAUAUUAUACUUUACCCAAAAAAAAAUUGAAUUAUUGAUAAAAUUUAUUAAAUGAUUUUUUAUAUGUUAAUUUUAGAGGUAAAAAAGAAAUUAGAGAAAAAAACGAAAUUAUAUUGCACGAUAAUAAAUUACUAAUUUAUUUUGUAAGUUCUUCUAUAGGAAAGACUAAGGAUUCUUUUACAAAUGUUAUACCUAAAAAAGUUCAUAUAAUUAUUAAUCUAUCACAUUAAUCCCUUAGUCUAGACUAGCAAAGAUUAUUGUAUAAUAAAAGUUUUUAAUUUAUUGAGUAUUAAUUUAUCAAUGCUUUGUUAUAUUUUUCAAAGUUAAAAAAAAAAAUGCUAUUGAUAAAAAAUCUAGAAAAUGGCUUCAUACCUUUUCCAACGGCAAUAGGGGCUGUUGUGCAGGAAUACCAAGUUGAUCAUUCUCAUUAUUCGGCGAUAAAUCUGCAGCGAAUAUCUUUAAUUUGUCACAACGAUACACUAAAAGAAUUUCUAGUGCGGGCCAUUCCGAAGUAUGCAUUCCAGGGUACAAACAUCUAAGUUUUGGUAGACGUUGGAGUCUCAGAGUGGUGAGCUGUGGAAAGACAAAAUAGGGGAUCACUUGAUCUGCUCUGUUUUCAGAAAUGAUCUCCCGUAAAUCCUCACAGUGGCGUAUAUCCAGGUGUUGGAGCUGCUUAAGGCUUCCGAUCAUAGACGCUGAAAAUAUGUAUUUUAAUUUGUGACAACGCCACACAAUCAAUCGUGUUAAACUCUGAAAGCGAGGAAACAUGACCGGAAGAUGAUUGUAGUGCCAAAUCUUGUCGACAUUAAUAUCAGUUAUCUCCAAAGCCUCCAAGUUAGGCAACGCAACCUAAAAAAAUAAGAAUUUCUCAUUAGAUCCAAUAUCCAUAUGGGAAGCACUUGUUGAAAUUUUCUUCUUUGAUUACAAAUUAAUGCAAGUCAGAAUCAAUUUCCAACUGACUGCUGAGUUUGAUGCAUUCUAAUUCAUACAACUUUUUAAGAGCUCAAUUAGUGAGCGUGUGAGAUUCUUUUUAUCCUUUUUUCCAUUUUCCUUCAAUUCUUUAAAUGAUUUAAUUAUUUUCCACGUACGACAUCAAAAGAGAACGUUAUAUAUGAAUAAAAUCUGUUAUAUAUGAAGAAAAUGUUAGCCUACGCACCUUCUCGUUGAAAAGCAGAGUUGAAGUAUCCAAAGUGAUUUCGCUGGAGCAAUACGUAGUCGUCGAUUCCUCUUGCGACGCUGGUCUGUUCGGUGAUGCUGAAGGAGUCUUUACUUCACGGCAGAAAUUUGUAACCUCUGGAAGAUUCCCCAGACUCAAAGAUCUUAAUUGAGCAAACUCUAUCUUCUCAAUUGCAUUAUGAUCAACUUCUUCCCCAAUUGAAAAAAUUUCUUUCAUCUUGCUGCAAUUAAUAACUGCAAUUCUCUCAAGUCUUGGAAGGCAUUUUGUAGUGGAGAGCCAAAAGAUAUUGCUUAACUUAUCACAAUUAUAUGCUUCUACGGUUUUGAGUUUGUUGAAAGACUCUACUUUGAGCCGAUCAAUACAUAUCCUCUCCAUGUUGAUCAAAUUGUGAAGGAUAAGUGACUCCAAAAGAGGAAAGGCACCACAAGCGACCAUCGCCCUUGAAUCGACGAUACAAAAGAAGUCAGGAUUAUUUUGAACGCAGAGGACCUUCAAUUGUGAAAAGCCCUCCGUGUCCAAAUUGAAAAGAACAUUCUCGAUGCCUUGCAGCUUGUCCAACCAUAAGCAUUCAACGUUAUUGAUGCCCUGCAAUUUCAAGGAGCAAAUGUCCAUAAAAUCAAGCUUGAGCUUCAAUGCUCUGGAAAUCUUACGAUCUCUGUCGAUCAAAAAGUGCUGCCGACUUUUAAACCAAUUUUGUCCAGCAAUCAUGGGAUGCAUGAAUGACCCAUUUCCAAUAGAUAUUUUGAACCUUUCGAGCUCUCUGGCCAAAAAGCUUUUUGGUAACAUACUCUCAUUUUUAACAUCAAUUUCUAGAGUGGUUAGCCGACGUAAAUGCAUCAAUUCGUCAAGGCUAGCAUUACUUCUUUUGCUGUUGGCUAUUUCAACCUCCCAUUCAAUGGAGCAAUUAUACAUAUACAAUUCUUCUAAUCGGAUUAAGCUUGAUAUGACAUUUGGAGCAAUAACUUUUAGAUGGAAACAGUCUGUUAAAUCUAACAGCCUUAGCUUAGUCAGUUGACCCAGUGCUUUAGGCAUAUCAGAUUGCAAAAAGCUGAGGAUUUCUAGAUUUUCCAACUUUCCAAUAAUAGCUAUGUCUAUGCCUCCCAAAAUGCUUUGAUUAAGACAGAGUGUCUGAAGAUUUACUAGAAGACCAAUUGAAGAUGGCAAUGACAAUAACCGCAUUCUAGUCAAAUCCAAAACCCGAAGCUUUUUCGUCCUUUUGAAGAAGUUCUCAGGAAUAUUAGGCACAGCAAAAGAGUUCUUGGGAGACAUGACUAGAAGUUCAAGUUGUAGAGAUUCGGACCCUUCAGGAAUGUCAUUAAUAGUACUAUCUUUUAAAGAAAUUGCAAGAUAUUUUUUUAAUUCAUCUGCAUUUGGCCAUUUCCAAUCAUCCUCAUUUCUCACCACAAAUCCAAUUUUGUCACGACAUGCAAUUGAAAUGGCAACAUCGCGAACAACGUCGUGCAUUGAAAAGUAUUUACUGCCACCAUCCUCAAGCAACAAACAAGAGUCUCUUAGUUGAUGGACCCAUGCAUGUAAUUUGUUAUGUGCAUCUUCUAGCUUAUGGACACUUUUAAAUGCACCCAAGCCCAUGCUAUAUUUGAACAAGUCCAUAAUAUAAGUUGGUGUAAUUAGACUACACAGUAAAAAAGUUUUCUUGAGUUGCUCACCUCUUAAGUACUUGUAACUCAGCUCAAUUGUUGAGUAUGCCUCUGCUGGUACUCCUUCGUCGAAGCUCGCCUCUGAAGGCGUUCGGAGUUCUUGCAAGGCAUUCUUCCACACAGGCAGCUCUUUUUUUCUCAGUGCCUUUGCUACUGUGGUUAGGGCAAUAGGCAAACCUCCGCAUGCCUUGGCUACACUUGUUGCUGUAGAUUCUAACUCACGAUUUUCAACAUAAUCACCAGCCAUUAUCUUGAACAAUCUCCACGCUUCUUAUUCAUUUAAAAUGCCAAUCGAGAAGUUUUUUUCAGAUUCCAUCCUUAACAGCACAUCAAGAUCUCUUGUUGUGAAUAAUAAUUUGCAUCCUCUGUGCUCAACUCCAAAAGGAAUUCCAAUAGUCCCCAAAUCAAGAGGUUUCCAGAUGUUAUCCAGAAUCACAAGGAUCUUCUUCUCAUUCUUCACUCUUUCAUAUAGUCUACUAGCUCUUCUAGACUCAGGUUCCUCGGACAACUGUAGGCCUAACGUUUCCGCAAUUUCCUCUUGGAUCUUUUUUAUGUCUGGACUUUGGGUAACCUCCGAAAAAGCCACCAUAUCGUAAAGCUUGUCUUCAAUGGCUCGCCUUGCAAACUCCUUCACCAGUGUCGUCUUUCCAAUGCCGGCCAUGCCGUAGACCCAAAUGAUGCUGACAUCAACAUCGAUCAAUGCAUUUUGUAUGGCCUUCAAAGCAGAAAGUCUUGAUUCGAAGGCCUCGUAGCCUUUGUGAGACUUGAGCCAUAUAUCCUCCGGAACGGUACGGUAGGAAAUUCUAUCAUCAAAUCUCCCAGCUUCUUCUCGGAGUUUAAAAAGGGCCUCCUUCUCUGUUUCUGCUUUCUUUCCAUGCUGAUAGCGAGUAAUCCAAUUAGGAAACAGCCCCAUGAGACAUCGUUCAUUUGCUUUCUCUUCGUCUAGAAUGAAUUUGGCUGCCUGCUCAAUGCUCUUGUUCGCAUUAACCAGCCAUUUCUCAACCUUCUCUUCAAUCUUUUCACUUUUUCUUUCAGCCUCAGAAACUCUGCGCUGAAUGCUUUCUCUUUCAUCCUUGAGCCCAUCGAGUUCUGCCUUGAGAUUCUCAAAGUUGGCAGCGGAGUUAUACCAAUAACUAAAUUCGCGUUGUGCGUGAGGAGACAAGCAGUUUACAACUCCUGGAACAAUGCUUUUCAAAAUGUCCAUUUUUUUUUUGGGUUGGGGGGGGGGGGGGGAGGGAACGAAAUAGAAAUAGAACAGAGUCAACGGCCGCGCAAUUGAUAAUCAAGUAGAAGCAAAACAAGGCAAAAUUGAAAAAAGGGAAAAUCAGUGUAACAGAAGAGAAUCAAAGUGUUUUUGAGAUCAGAAAAUUGAAUCAAGAAAAGGGUUGCUUGAUCCAAUGAAAAUGCAAAGAGCUGAUGGAAAAAGGGAACAAAGAUAAAUAAGAAAACGGCUAGCACGAGCAGUGACCACGAUAAACAGAAGCAAAGUGUGUAUGAGAUCAAAAGACGAAAAUCAGGAGAGGUUUUCUUGAUUGAGAAUUGAAGGCAAAGAGUAGGAGCUGACGAAUACGGGGAUCAAGAGGGAAAAACUGCUUGCUCAUAAAACUACUUUCAAGCGAAUCUGAUAAAAUUAUUUCAAUACUCGUGGGCGACUCCCUUUUAAACCGCAGAAGGAAAAAAAAAAAAAAAAGUUCUGAUUUUCAAUAUAUUAAUUUUUAUCCUAAUUUAUGUUGAGACUCGUAAUCUCGUCUCAAUGAUUAAUUAGUAGAUAAUCUUUCUAACAAAUAUGUGUUGAAUAGAUAUAUUUCUUGACUAUUAGUAGGUUAAAUAUAUUUUAGCAUAGGAAUGAAAGUACAAGUUGUGUCAUAUUAGAAUAAAAAUUUGACCUAAAAAUAUUGUUCUACGACCUUUUAAUUAUUUGUCAGCAAAUAAUUAAGUCAUAUAAAAAAAUUAAUAAUCUGAAUUAGUCUUUAAGUAUUAUAAAUAUUUUUAGAUUUUAAUUAUAAUAUCAUUAUUUAAAAAUAAUUGCUUGACUUACAUUAGUAACAUUACGAUUGUCAUAAAACAUGUGAUCCUCAUCCAAUAUCCAUUAUUUGUGAUCCUUAAUCAAUAAAAUAUCUAACAAUAUCUUCACCUAAAGUUUGAGACAUGUGAUCCUUAUUCCACUGCGUCAAAACAAGGAGAAAAUCAGUGUAACUGAAGAGAAUCAAAGUGCUUUUGAGAUCAGAAAUUGAAGCAAGAAAAGGGUCGCUUGAUCCAAUGAAAAUGCUAAGAGCUGAUGGCAAAAGGGAACAAAGUUAAAUAAGAAAACAGCUAGUGCUAGCAGCGACCACAAUACACAGAAAAUUUGAGAUGGAUUUACAAUAUUUCUGCCUUUCUUUAUGCUUUAACAAAUAUUGCUCUAUCAAAAAAAAUAUUUAGAAUUUUAUUAUUGGAGUCACAAAAGACCUACACAAUAUAGCAAGUGACUAGGAAUAAAUAAGAAUAUAUAACUCUCUCUCUAAUUCUCACUCUAGCUUUUAAUUGUCACUCAAAACCCAGAAUUCAUCCUUAAAGUGUAAGCAAAUCAGAGAUGACAGCGUCUGGUUGUCAUACGUGCCUUUUAGUUUUCGGAUGACAUGGCGUACACUUCUUCUGUAAACCGAACAUGACAUGUCGUACUCUUUGUUUUGAGAUCAUAUUUCAAACUCUUCAUGCUAUGAAUGAAAGAUAAACUACAAUCAUCAAAAUAUUUAGUGUUUAUUUUGUAAUGUAACGUCAUAGUUGUUGUGAAUUGAAAUUAUUUCUGUAAAAUAAAAGGAUUUGGGUCAUCGUUCGUUAUUUUCUAGCAAUAUUGUCUGGUCGUGACUAUUUGUUAAAUAUUAAAAAAAUAAAUUUAUAUUUAUUAAGUAUAAAAAAUAAAUAAACAAACAAAAAUAAAAGGAAAAGUUUAUACAUUACAUAAAAUAAUAAGAACAAUAUCAAUAUUUCACACUCUAUAAUUGAGUGAUGUGUUGUCCAACUGCCACACAUUGGUCCCAAACGGAGACUUAAAUAUUAAAGUCCAAAGUUAUUGUGAUGAUGACUUAUAAUCGCCAAACUUGACAUACGGGUAAUCAUGCAUUAUAAGGUGCUGAUUUCUUCCAAUCGAAACCUUAUUUUUCAUUUACAAAUAAAUAAAUGACGUGACUUAACGAGUGGUGGGGUCCUUUGUGCCAUUUGUGUAUUUCACUGAAUAGUUGAUUCAACUAUUCUGAUCGGAAGAUUCUUGGAAGUUGCCAUUUGCCAAUGCUACUAACAUUUUCAAACUUGGAAAACCCUUCAGUCAAUCUUUUAGUGGUAGGCUCUGGUAGCUUGGUUUGAUUAUGACAUAUGAUUAUUUGAUAAUAAAGUUAGAGGAUGUAUUAAUAUAAAAUUUGUUUAUUGGUGUUGAAGUUAAUUAUCUCAUUAAUAAUAGUAUAAAAUGUUAAUUACUAAGAAACACAUAGCAGUAUUCUGGGAUAUAAUUUUAUAUCAUAACUUUGUAAGUGUAUAAUUACUCAUUAAAUUAACAAAAUUAUUUUAAAAUAUUUAGUUAGAAAAAAUAUAUUAUAUUCUUUUUAUUUCAAAUAAUCUAUAAGUUAACUCAAAACAUAAUCAAGCUGAGAAUUAAAAUAAUGCUACUGUAUGAGAGGAUUUUUAUUUUUUCCCGAAGUUUCACAAGGAAAUUAUUGAUAGAUAGCUUUAUUCGGAUCAUCUCAGUUCAAACGACAAAUAAUUGAAAGACUAAGCUAAAUAGACCAGCCAACAACUUUGUACAAGAGAGUUCAAAAAUUAAAGUCAUGGUAUUAAAGUGUUCUAUCUUGAAAAGUACAGCGUAGUAAUAAAAUAAAAACUAAUAGUCUUUGGUAAGAUAUGACAUUUAAAUAAUAAUUUUCACAAAAAUACAAAGAAUAUUUAUAAAGUACUUCUAUAAUGAGGAGACCCUCACUUUGUUAAAGUGAAAAUAUCAAUAAUAUACAAAAGACAUAUAUUUUAACACAUUAAAAAUUGUAUUUUUUUUUAUCUAUUGGUGUAUUGAAAUGUGUGUUAUUUAGUUUGUUAAUAAUAUCAUCACUUUGUUAAAAUAAUGAUAUCAGAACCAUUAUAUAUACAUAUAUAUAAAGUGCUUCUCUCCAAAAUCUAGACUUUAUUAAAAUUUAAGAAAGCAAAUAUAUUUUGUAUGGUAUAAUAGUGUAAUAACAUCACCCGAGUAUAUCAUAUAGAGUAAUAGUUUUUGGACUUUAAUAAAGGUCAAGAUUAUAGAAUGAAUGAUUUAUAUAUAUUUUAAAUUUUUUAUCAUAAAGUGGAGGACAAAGUAACAUAUUUUUCAAAUUAUAAUAAUUAUUUAUCAAAUAAUUUAACAUCGUAAUUUCUCCUAACUAGUAUAGUAAAUACGACCUAGGAGGUACAUUCAAAGCAUUUCAUAAGUUAAUUGUUAAUAAUAAAUGAUACAUGCAGCUCCAACUAUUAUUGUACGGUGAGUAAUUUCAAUAGAUUUUUUAUGGCUUAAUAAUAAUGAACAUUGAAUGUCAAAAUAUUAAUGGCCAAACAGACCAGCUGCCAACGACUUAUUCCAAUGUGAAUAGUUCACAGUGGGUACUGCACAUGAUACUUGUUUCUCCUUUUGCAUCUACUUUUGUUGUUAACAUUAAUUUCAAUAGCAGCUCGUUAUGUACGCAACAUUUCAAAGUUAAUCCAAAAAAAAAAAAACAAAAAUUAGUUCAGCUGACUAAAUUUGAAAGCAUGGAUUUGCCGUCGAUUAAAAAUCGUUUUGUAGGGAAAAGUUUUGGAUUGCAAUUUUCAUACAAUACAUAGAAUUAUCAUAAUCUAUAAAUUAUUUUUUUGCUUUUCUGUGGUAGUAAGUCCGACUCCUUAGUGACAAUUUAAAUUGAAAAAAUAAAAUCAUAAAUUAGAAUUAUUUGAUAAGAAUUAAAAUAAUUGAUAAAAAUUUGAGAGGAACAAUUUUGGAAGAUUCGAUUUCUAAUAGAAAGGGUGAAUUUUACAGCCUUUGGUGAGGACUCCAAAAUGCACAAUUUGAUGAAAAUUAAAUUUCAAUAGAAAUUGAAUUCCCAUUUAUUAGUGAAAACCAAACAACAGAAAAGUGAAAGGAAUUUGAAUUCAUUUCCUUCCUCUCCUCCCUCCAACUAAACACCAUCGAAAUCCAAAGGUAUGGAUUGGGAUUCCAUAUUGAUUAGAAUGGGAUUUGUCCAUAUUAUUAGGACCAAUUUUAAAAGCAGUCGGAGUUUCGAAGUUUAAGAUUGAAAUUAAUCACAAUUGUUGAUUUGGGACUAGAUAAGAAUUUAUCUUAGAACUCCAAUUCUCCAAAAAAAGUACGCUAGCUUCGCCACUGCACUAGGGACAUAUUAAUCAGGUGGCUUAUAUUACAACCAGAGGAUUUAAAUUUGAUUUAAGAUAUGUGGGGUCUGCUUUUGGAUUUAGAAAAUUUGCUCAUUAAGAGUUGAACCCAAGUGACCUACCGUUAGAUUAGAUUAAUAGUGAUUUCUUGUAGUAAAUAUUUGUGAAUUUGAAAUAUGUGAAUUCUAUCCUGGUGAUACAAAACAAGCUUCUUGUACACGAGAACUAUUUAUUUUUAUGAUUUGGAAACCAAUCUAUAAAGAUGAAUUAAGUUGGCAUAAUGGUACAAAGCAACUUUAAUUUUUCAAUAAAUUCAAAAGUUGGCAAGUUGGUUAUGAUUAUUAUCUUUUCUUUUUUACUAUUUAAACUACAAUUAAUUGAAUCCAAAGACUAAAGGGUUGGAUCGAGAAGAAACUAAUUUUAAGUAGACAUUCCGGCGAAAAUCACUCCCAUGAUCGAGACACUCAUGCAAUCAAUGCAAAAAUGGACACAAAAAUUGUCUACUUAAGUUUGGUGGAAUGAUUUUAAAAAUAGUUUUAUUUGUUUCACACUCGAAUUUGUAUUUUGAAAAAGAGUGGGAGUUAAAAAUUGAUUUACACUUUAUCAAUUACUCUAUUUUAAAAAGAAAUAAAUAUUAAAAAAAUAAAAACAUUAAUUUCUUGUUUGUUUGUACUUACCAUUGUAGGAUAAAUAAAGUGGUUGACAAAAAUUAUAUAUCUUAAAAAUAAAUUCUAGAUUUAUAACUAAUGUAUAAUGAUUUCAAUUCACAUGUUUCAAUCCCAAAUAAAUUCUCCUUUGGUUAUUUGAAUCUUAGCGCGGUAAGAUUUCAUUCUCUUAUAUGCAUUUGUGUAAACUUCUCCCUUUACCUUUAUCAUUUUAUCAACUUUAUUGAUUGCCAAUCAACUUUAGGGUUUAGGCAUGAAUCACACAAGGGAAUGAUAUUGUGGCAAUUUUUUCCCCCUUCUUUUUUCUUUUUGAAAAAAAAAAUUAUUUAUAGCUUUGCUUUGAUGGUAGAAGACUAGAAGACCAAUUAAUUUCUUUUUGUUGCGUGGUGAUAAUAAUGAUGGAAAUUGCUAUGUGCGCGUUGGUGAUUGCAUUGCUAGUCACAUAUUGCUUCCCAUCAUGGAGACAAAGGGGACCCCUCUAUCAAAGCUAGCUGUUGAAAUAUCAUACCCAAAAUCACAUGAAUUCAAAGGUUGAAUGGGAAAACGAUCUUGCUUCUUUGUAUGUUUUAUUUUAUUUAAAGACUUAUUGUUUCCCAUAAGAGAUAAGCUUGGAUCUAUCUUUCCUUUUAAUCAUUUUAGCCUCCAACUCCCAUCUUUUUCAAAAGUUUCGUUUAGCCCAUUUUGAAUGGCAAGGUAAGCUUCAAUUAACGCAACAAGUUCCAGUGAUUCCCGUCAAUAUUCGAUUGCAUGUAUGUAGCUUUGAGUGCUCAAAUUUAUUUUAUUUAUUAGUUGUUAUCACUUAUCAUUUUCUUUUUAAUAAUGAGAUUUGGGCAUUUUCUUUUUAAUAAUGAGAUUCGGGUCCCUGGAUGGUGAUUAGCCAACAGUCUAGUUAUGAGAAAUUAAUGUCUUAAUUACAAUGACAAAAAAGGCAAGUGGGGAUCUCAUUUGCCAUUAGGUAACACAACAUCUUCAGCAUUGGAGCUUUUCUUCCUUUCUCUCCUUCUUUCUUUCUUUCUCAAAAUAAUUGAAAAUCUAAUGCAAUACAAUUAAAUUGAUCAACGAUCUAAUUUAAUCAAUACAUUAUAUUAAGAUAUUUAAAAUAAAAUCGGUUCAAAUGGAAUGAGAAGUUCUACUAAAAAAAUAACAACAUUUAUUCCUUAUUAUUAUUAUUCGAAUUCAAAUAACCUUGGAUUCCAAACGCAUUCAAGACUAGCCAGGCUGCAUAUCCAAGAAGAAAACAAAAUCAAAACUUUAGCCACAAACAUAUACGUGUGUGUGUAUGUGUGUGUGUGUAUAUGUGUGUGUGUGUGUGUGUCUGUGUAUAUAUAGAGAGAGAGAGAGAGUUCUUUCACUAGGUUCAUUUGCGUGAAACUUUUUGAUCAUUUAGGUUUAAGACUAUAUCAUAUAUCCUAUUGCACGAACAUUGAUUAAGAUGAAUGAGUCAAACCCACUAAGCUUGCAACAAAAUCUUUUCAUAGUUACUAGAGAAUAUUUAUAUUUUUUUCAAAUAUUAAUAAAAUUAUUGAAUUGCUUUAUUUAUAGUACGUAUACAAUUAAUAGUGUAUGGAUUUUUUUUUAUCUAUUGGUGUAUUGAAAUAUGUGUUAUUUAGUUUGUUAGUGAUAUAAUCACUUUGUUAAAAUGAGAAUGUCGUUACUAGAGAAUCAUUAUAUAUACAGGGUCCAGCUACAAUACCCAUGGGGUUUGGUACCCCAUUUUUUGUCUUUUUCAAAUCUACCGUUGGAUUUAACGUAAGAAUUGCAGAAUGGCUGAGAUGUAAUUUUUGGGUUAUUAACAACAAAGACCCUUAUUGUUCAUGGAAAAUAAAAAAAAUCAAAAGUUUUGAAAUUAUGACGUAUAAGUCCAUAAUAUUCUCUUUUUUUCUUUUUAACUAUUGAACUCGGUUUCUAAUUAAAUGAAUUUUUCUUACAUUUAUUAAUAUCUAUUUAAAUUAAUAUAUUUUUAAUUAAUAAAUUAACUACUUUAUUAUAUAGUUAAACUAUGUAUAUUAUUUACUAACCAUAAUUAACGAUAAGUAUAAAUAUGAUCUUUUUUUUUUUUUAACAUAAUGGCAACCAAUUUCCUCUCACCUAUGUGAACAAGGUUCAAAACCCAUAAUUUUUUUUUUAACACAAGAGAUUUUAUUAUCUCAAGUAGAUGAAAUAUACAAAAUACAAAAAUAAAUUUAAUUUCAUAUUCUAUAUAGUUAAUUUUUUUUGUAACAUAAUAUUUAUUAAACAUACUAUCAAUUAUUUAAUUAACUAGCAAAAAUAUGUUAAUUUACUAAUAAUAAUCAAAUGUUAGUUUAUGAACUUGUAAAAUCUUUUUUUUUAACAAUGAGUUUUUGUCCUUAAAAUAAAAAAUAACAAUUUAAUUGCACACUUAAAUAAAUUAGUAUUUGUUAAAAAUAGUAAUUUAAUUGCACACUUAAAUAAAUUGGUAUUUGUUACUCCACCCCAAUUAUUUAAAUAGUCAUUAACUUAUCUGAGAGAAGGGUAAAAAAAUUCUAAACAAUUACUCUAUUUGAAAAUAAUUUAAAUAUUUCUUUAGAAAAAUAAACUAAAAAUAAGUAUUUUCUAUUCUUUCUUCUUUCUUGCUAACAUCAAUCAUGGAUAACAAUAGAGAUGGCAAUUCAACACAUAUCUAUCAAUUAAAAUAGAAGUCAAUUAAUAUAAUUAAUUGAAUAAUUAAUUUGUGUCAUGAAUGAGUUAUCGUAUUAGGAGUUAUAAAACCAAACCCAAUAGAAUUAUUAAUCGAGUUAACAGCUAGAAAGAGCAAACAAAUCCAUUCAAGUUGGAUGUCUAAGUAUUUGAACCAAAUAGAUUAGAUAAUAUCCAUCUAAAAUACUCCAAAUUUGAUUUAUUCAAUAUCCAUCUAUGAACUUGAAUAUUAGUGAUAUUUAAGUGUAUGUGACUGAAAUUGAGUAUUAUAUUUAAUAUUUAAGUUUUGUAAGUCAAAUGAAAAAUCAAAAUAAUAUUGCUAAAAAUUAUUGCACCAUCAAUGACAACAAUGACGAUAUCAUCACUAAGAAAUAGAAAUGAGUGAACAGAGAAACAAAAACUAUCAACGUAAUCAAAACUCUCUGAUCAAUGUAAUGGUGGCAAUGUUGCCAGAUAAAUAGAUAUGCCGGCAAUAGAUGAGCAUUCCAAUGCAAACAACUAGAACAAGACCCUAUGAUUAGAUGACGUUUUAACGUAGAGUGGAAGCGAUACUAAAUUUCGUUCUAGUAUACGUCUUGAAAACUCAAGAAAGAGACUCUCACCAAAGAGAAGAUAUUUCAAUUGAGAAAAAACUAAAUAUUAUUAAUGAGAAGCUUGUGUCUGUUAUCAUAAAUUAAGAAUAACAAGCCUAUAUAUAUAAUAGUAGCUAACUUAAUCCUUAUCUUUCUCAAAUAAGAGAAAUAAUCUAAAAUCCUAAUUAAAUUAUAAUUACAAAUAUGACUCAAGUAAGCUUAAUAAAAUAAGAUAAAUCCUAAUAAAAUAUUAAAUUCUAAAUUGACCCAAAUAUUAUAAUUCCUAGUAAAUUCUAAUUUAUUUAUUUAUUUAUUUAUUUAUAAGUUUGUUUGGUUUUUGGGUUUUUUUUUUAAAGAACAGAAAAUUAUAGGUAAUAGUGUAAGUAUAGAAAAGUAAAGAGGCAAAAUUAAAAAUAGGCAAAAGUUGGUGUUGCCGUCGACGGUGGUCGAAAAAUUGGCCUAGGAUAGGUGGAUUUGGAAGAUUUGAUGGUGCUGAGUGUGAUGUUGGUGGUGGUUUGUCUCAAAUAGUUGUGAGUUGACCGAAAAGUUGAGCUAAAGUAGUGGGUGGAGGUUGGUUUCGGUUUCCGGCGAUCCGGCCGGGGGUUGGCAGCGUGAGUGGGUUGAAAAGAAAGAGCUAAUGAUGGUGGACGAAUGAGUGGUGGUGGAGGCUGUGAAUCGCGGCUGAUUGUAGCGAAUGGAGAGGCGGAUUUUCGUGGUGGUUCAGCGGCUGUUUUGGCUAGUUUCCCGUGGCUACGGUGACGAGAUGGUGGUGUUAUGGGUUGGGUUAUGAUUGGCGGCGUGUAGGCUUUCGGAUGGGAGAGAGGAUCGACCGAAAAGAAGAGAAACUGGUGGCGGCAGUAGCCGUGUGUGGCAGAUGUAAUGGCGGCUUCGGGUUUUGCUAGUUUUUUUUUUAACUUGAUGGAACUAAUGUACGGAGUUGGUGGUCAGGAAUGCUCUGCCUGCUACCAAAAAAAGCUCUAAUAUCAUUUGUCUUGAAAAUUAAAAAAAAAAUCCCACUAAGGAUUAAUAUCUUAAUUGUGAAAAUAUUGAAUAUUAUUAAUGAGAAGCUUGUGUCUGUUAUCAUAAAUUAAAAAUAACAAACUUACAUAUAUAAUAGUAGCUAAUUUAAUCUUAAUCUUUCUCAAAUAAGAGAAAUAAUUUAAAAUCCUAAUUAGAUUAGAAUUACAAAUAUAACUCAAGUAAGCUUAAUAAAAUAAGAUAAAUCUUAAUAAAAUAUUAAAUUUUAAAUUGACCCAAAUAUUAUAAUUUCUAGUAAAUUUUAAUUUAUUUUAUUUAAUAUGCUUCCUACAUCACGUUUUAAGGUUCAUUGCCUUUAACAACCAAUUUGAGGGUCUCUAAACUAAAAAAAAAAAAAAAAAAGGUGGUAGUAUAAUGUAACUCCUUGUGUUUUGAUGGUAUAGUUAUUGUUGCACCUAUUUUAGAAGGAGCAUGUAACUUUACAUAUCACCAUUUGCUAGCAUUGAGACUAUCUUUAUGUAAAUCAUUCAAUUUCAAGUCUAAUGGAAUCCUUCAUGUUCCAUUUCGGUUAAUAAUGUCAUUGCACAUGAAGAAACAAUAGUCACUAGUGAUUGUCUAUAUUUUUUAAUGCAAAAUAUCUUUUUGUAAUUAAUUAAAAAAUAAGAAUAAUUUUUUAUUAUUAUUAUGUUUCUAUAUGGAAAAUAAUUUUAAUUACCUUUUAAUUAAAAUGGGUGAGAAAAAUGAUGUCAUUGAUGGUGCAAAAUGGAUGAGAAAAAUGAUGUUAUGUAGGUGUAGGACUAAUGCGUAAAACUUUAAAAUUUUUUAACAUUUUUAUUUUUACAACAAAUAGCAGGACACUAUUAUAAUUAACCUUAAUAAAGACAAAAGAGAGGGGUACCAAACGUAUGUUGCAACAUAGCUUUGCCCAUAUAUACAUAUAUAAAGUGCUUCUAUCCAAGACCUAGACUUUAUUAAAAUUUAAGAAAGCAAAUAUAUUUUAUAUGGUAUAAUAGUGUAAUAACAUCACACUAUUAUAUCAUAUAGACUAAUAGUUUUUUGAACUUUAAUAAAGUUCAAGAUUAUAGAAUGAAUGAUUUAUAUAAAUUAUAAUUUUUUAUCAUAAAUGGAGGAGAAAAUUAACAUAUUUUCAAAUUAUAAUAAAUAUUUAUCAAAUAAUUUAACAUUGCAAUUUCUCCUAACUAGUAUAGUAAAUAAUACGACCUAGGAGGUACAUUCAAAGAUUUUCAUAAGUUAGUUGUUAAUAAUAAAUGAUAUAUGCAGCUCCAAUUAAUCAUCAUUGUACGGUGAGUAAUUUCCAGUUAUAAAUAGAUAUUACUCCCUUCCCAGCAAUUUUUGAUGGCUUAAUUUUGUGGGAUCAAAAUCAACAUUGAAUGUCAAAAUGUUAAUGGCCAAACAGACCAGCUGCCAACAACUUAUUCCAAUGUGAGUAGUUCACAGUGGGUACUGCACAUGAUGCUUGUUUCUCCUUUUGCAUCUAUUUUUGUUGUUAACAUUAAUUUCAAUAGCAGCUCGUUAAUGCCAAUUGUUGAUUUGGGACUAGAUAAGAAUUUAUCUUGGAACUCCAAUUCUCUGAAUUAUUUUAGUUGACAAUAUGUUUAACAUUAUUUUUUUUAACAUUAUUAAUUGCAUAUUAUUUAAUUAUCAAUAUAUAAUAUUCUUUAAUUUUUUAAUUUUAUAGGAUUAGACACAAAAUUGAUUAUACCUUUUGAAAUUUAAGGGUUAUGUCAAUUGAAUAGAAAACUUGGAGUUAAACUUUUGGAUGUUUUUGUUGAUUAUCAAUUUAUGCAUGAAUUUUUGUACGUUUACUUUGGUUUAUUAUUAUUACUUUUAAAUAUUUUUAUUGGUUUGAUUUAGGGUCAGUUUAAUAAUCCUGUAGCUUUUAAAAUAAUUAGAGUUAGCUAUGCUGUAGAAAUUGAUCAAUCGUUAAGAGAAUCAGCUGAACAUUUAGUAAAAUUUAUUUUUAAAAGUACUUUUAGUUUUAAAAGCGUCGUAUGUGUUUCGUAAAUCUUAUUGUUAAACUAGUGCAAAAAUGUAAAUGACUAAAUUGGACAUAAUGCUAAAUAAAAUUUAUUUACACAUUUAUAAACACGUAUAUAAAAUAUUUUUAUUACGUACAUAUAAUUAUUGAUAACUAAAAUAAAUAUUUUAUAUUAUUAAAUUUUAUUCUUUAAUUUGUUAUCUCAAUAUAAUUGGUAAUAGUAAUAACCUCUUUAAAGUUAAUCAUUUUAUUUCUUAAUUAAUAAAGAUAAUUUUGAAUUUUGAUUAUAUAAUGAGGAUAUGUAUAUAAAUAUAUAGAAUUUGAUUAAAUAUAAAAGUGAUUCUCAAAAUCAGAUUUUGAAAAAUUAUUCAUUCCAUACUUUUUCAAAAUCUACUAUACAAUGAGAUGAUUUUGCCAAAAGUAAUUACUAAAAAAAUUUAUAAAACACUAAAAAUUAAUUUUUAAUUUUUAAAAUCACUUUUGAACUUCCCAAAAAUAAUCCUAACGGACCNNNNNNNNNNNNNNNNNNNNNNNNNNNNNNNNNNNNNNNNNNNNNNNNNNNNNNNNNNNNNNNNNNNNNNNNNNNNNNNNNNNNNNNNNNNNNNNNNNNNGUGGUGUUAGAACUUGUGACUUUUGGAUCUUUUAGUUUUUAUUGGUUGAUACAAUUGUUACCUAAAAAUUAAAUGUAUCUUAAACCCAAACUUCUUCUUCUUUUUUUUGACUAACAAAAUUAAAAAACAAUAGUGAACACAUUCUUUAAUAAACAAUAAGUAAUAACUAAAAUCGUGUUAAAUUUCUUAAAAAUUUUCUUUCACGGUCUGCUAAAUAUUUUUAUUAGUAUUUUGAAUAAAUAAAAAUAAUUGAUUUAAUUUUUUUAAAGAAACUUAUUAGGUUCAUGUAAAGAUGUUUUUGUUAUUUUAAAAAGUGUAGAAAGUACUCCUAAAAAAAAAGUGUAGAAAGUAAAACUUAAUUUUUUAAAUUUAUUAGCUUACUGCAUAAAUAAUUGAGUGUUCAUAAUGAUUUUUAAAGUAUAGAUAGUCGGACCCUAAUAUUUUUAAUAUGGAAAUUUUGCUAAUAUGUUAAUGAGAAUUAAAAAGAUAAUUAAGGGAGGCAAUUGAGACAUUCAGGAUAGUUAGGAUGGGACAUGAUUGUGAGUGGUUUGAUAUUAGUCCUAAUUUUGAUCACAAAUAUAUAAACAUGACGAGUUUAUCUCUACUUACAUUCCAUUUGAUAAUUAAGAUGAGAGUGGAAUCGUCAAAUCCCAAAUCAUCCCGGACCAUUGCCAUCAAAGGUACUCUCACUAAUAAUAUCUAAAGAAAAAUGUACAUGUAUUUCAUUUUUUUUUUAAACGGAAAGAGCCCUCAUGGGGCUUGAAAUGUUAUCCUAAAUAGUAUUCAAAAUAUCAAGCCAUGAUUGGGUUUGUGACAAACAAAUAUUACAUAGUUAGGAUACGUAGUUACUAGUGUCCCCAUUUAUGUAGUAUCUAUCAUUUAAUGCACAUAUAAAGUAUUAAUCAGCUUAAUUAAUUUAUAAAAUCUAAAUCUAAUUAAUAAGUGACACAUAAAAGCCAAGUGCAAUAUAUGCAAGUCAUGUUUGUCGAUCAUUACAAAACUAGCUCUUGAAAACAAGCAAGAAAGCUUAAUUAAGAACUUAAAACAAAAAGAAAUUUAGAUUGAGAACAGUCAAGCCUUAUUUUUUUCAAGGAUGGAGCUUAUAAAUCUUCAAGUACCAACAUAUGCUUGGCCCAAUUGUUGUUAUUAAAAAUUCAAUAUAUAUAUAUAUAAGUAUGACAUAGCAAAAAUUUGAUGGUACAUAUGUCGGAAUAUACUAGUUCAUGGAUGCAUUUGAUUAUUGUUUCCAUAAAUUUGAACCAGGAAGGAUAACACGAUAAAAUUUGAUUUUAUGGUAUGGUUGAUUUCAUAUCUCAUGCACUCAUUUCUUAAGAUAAUCAAAUUUUCUCUGGCAUCUUUUGCAACUGUGGAAAUAUCAAUUAUGAUCAAUCAAAACGAUUUCAAAACCUCUCAACGAGACAUAUUUAUAAUACAAUGUUGUGAAAAUUACACCAAAUUUUAAUUUAUUAUAUAUUAUUAUCCAACGAGCACACAAAAAUGAAUUCGUACAAAUAGAGUUUACCAUGUACUACAAGAAACUAGGGUAUAAGUGACCCCUAAUGUGAAUGCAAAAGAAGCCAUUAUGUAUAUCACUAACUUCUAGGCUCUAGCUUUGUACCCCGACUUGCUUUUGUUACCCUUUAUGUGACGGCCACACCGCUAUCACAUAUGUUAGUUACUACCCGCGUGACGGUAAAGAGCCGUUCGGUAUAUUACUAUUUUAUAAUUUUAAAUUUAAAACUAUUUGCUGGACUCCGUGUUACUAGCCACCAUCGUAAGCCUAACUGGUUGCCGGCGAACUGCGUAAAACACUGGCCAUCUUCUUCUUCAUCGUCUUCUCCCUUCAUCUUUUGAGGUAAGCUUGUGAUUAUGAGUUUCUUCUCUUACUUAGCUUGUAAUUAUAGACUUUGAUUUUUUUUUUAAUUCGCAUUGUAGCCAUUAUUGUCAAUUUUUGUCCCGCGAGCAAUAUAUUUUUAUUGCUUCAAGUUGAAGCCCCUGUUUUCUUGUUCCAUUGGUGAGUUUGCUCACUCAAAUUAAUUUUGUUCUGCGGAAUUUGCAACGUUCAAAUGGAUUCGUUUGAAUUACUAUUGAAUUUAGCUUUAAUUUCAACAUCCAUUCUAAUGUUUUGCUAUUAGAUUUACUUUAAUUUUAUGUUUAAAGCUUCUACAGUGAAUAGCGGAGCUUGGGUUUUAGUUUCAUUUUCUAGAUAACUUGUUUUAGUUUAUCUUGUAUACUCACCAAGUGCUUGUUAUAUUGUCUGAUAAGUUAUAUACAUUGCUGAUUCUAUAUUAAUAAUGUUAUGUUCUAUUUUCAGAAAUUAUAAUACAAAAGCUUUUACAAUGGCGUGCAUCUACAAACUGGAUUGACUCGUAGAAUAAGAGCUUGGAGUAGUGUUAUGUUCUUGAAUAAAUGAAAGUUCAUAUUGUGUAAGAGCAUGUAGAUGUAAAGCAUCAUUAUCAUUUCUACAAAGUGCUUUCAUUCUCUUCAGAUGCUCUUCUUGAACUUUGAAAGGUGCCUCGUUCAAGUCCUAGCUAUAACUGCUAGCUUUGAUUAAUUAAGUUCCUAUACUAGCUGAAACAGAUUUAUUUAAUUAAUUAAUUGUGUAUAUACUAAUUAUAUUGAAAGUAUAUGAAACUUUUUUUUUUUCACAUGAAUGACUUCUAAAUGACUUAAAAACCUAAAGGAUGUGUGAAAUAAUGCUCAUUUCACUUGAAUGAGCCUAUUAAUACUUUUAUGUCUAUGAUGUCAAAAUUGGCUUAAGCAUUUCAGUUAAGUGGUUUACCUAGCAGAGAAAAAAAUUUUAAUAGAGAAACUUCAGAGUUCUAACAGAAAUAUAGUUCGCUAUGCAGAUAUAGUUAUNNNNNNNNNNNNNNNNNNNNNNNNNNNNNNNNNNNNNNNNNNNNNNNNNNNNNNNNNNNNNNNNNNNNNNNNNNNNNNNNNNNNNNNNNNNNNNNNNNNNNNNNNNNNNNNNNNNNNNNNNNNNNNNNNNNNNNNNNNNNNNNNNNNNNNNNNNNNNNNNNNNNNNNNNNNNNNNNNNNNNNNNNNNNNNNNNNNNNNNNNNNNNNNNNNNNNNNNNNNNNNNNNNNNNNNNNNNNNNNNNNNNNNNNNNNNNNNNNNNNNNNNNNNNNNNNNNNNNNNNNNNNNNNNNNNNNNNNNNNNNNNNNNNNNNNNNNNNNNNNNNNNNNNNNNNNNNNNNNNNNNNNNNNNNNNNNNNNNNNNNNNNNNNNNNNNNNNNNNNNNNNNNNNNNNNNNNNNNNNNNNNNNNNNNNNNNNNNNNNNNNNNNNNNNNNNNNNNNNNNNNNNNNNNNNNNNNNNNNNNNNNNNNNNNNNNNNNNNNNNNNNNNNNNNNNNNNNNNNNNNNNNNNNNNNNNNNNNNNNNNNNNNNNNNNNNNNNNNNNNNNNNNNNNNNNNNNNNNNNNNNNNNNNNNNNNNNNNNNNNNNNNNNNNNNNNNNNNNNNNNNNNNNNNNNNNNNNNNNNNNNNNNNNNNNNNNNNNNNNNNNNNNNNNNNNNNNNNNNNNNNNNNNNNNNNNNNNNNNNNNNNNNNNNNNNNNNNNNNNNNNNNNNNNNNNNNNNNNNNNNNNNNNNNNNNNNNNNNNNNNNNNNNNNNNNNNNNNNNNNNNNNNNNNNNNNNNNNNNNNNNNNNNNNNNNNNNNNNNNNNNNNNNNNNNNNNNNNNNNNNNNNNNNNNNNNNNNNNNNNNNNNNNNNNNNNNNNNNNNNNNNNNNNNNNNNNNNNNNNNNNNNNNNNNNNNNNNNNNNNNNNNNNNNNNNNNNNNNNNNNNNNNNNNNNNNNNNNNNNNNNNNNNNNNNNNNNNNNNNNNNNNNNNNNNNNNNNNNNNNNNNNNNNNNNNNNNNNNNNNNNNNNNNNNNNNNNNNNNNNNNNNNNNNNNNNNNNNNNNNNNNNNNNNNNNNNNNNNNNNNNNNNNNNNNNNNNNNNNNNNNNNNNNNNNNNNNNNNNNNNNNNNNNNNNNNNNNNNNNNNNNNNNNNNNNNNNNNNNNNNNNNNNNNNNGUUAUUCAAAUUUCAGAUUCAAUUUUAAACUUUUGAUAUGUGCAUUGAAAGCUUAGACUUGUUUAAGAAAUUAUUAAUAGACACAUGUUUUAUUAGUGUCAUCUUUGGAUGAUAGUGAGGAUCAUGUGUCUAUUAAUAAUUCUUGAAUUGUCCAGGCUUGGACAGUUUUGGAAUGCAUAGUUCUCUCUGGUAGCUAGUGGCUGAAGUUUUUGUCCCACGUAAAAAUGGGUUUUUCGGUAGCUGCUCCUCGUGUUCUCUGAGUACGUACUAGGUGAAUGGGUGUCAUGUGUUUGUUUUGGCAAAACACAUAAACACUUAUAUAGGUAUGUCUAGUGCUUGGAGAGCUAUCAUUUCAUAAGAGAGUGUAUUGCAAGAAAAGAAGUGCAAAUCAAGUAUGUAAAAUCACAAGAUCAAGCAGCUGAUAGCUUCACUAAGCCACUCAAGCAAGAAGACUUUGUAAGAUUCAGAAGUUUGCUUGGUGUCACAGGAUCAAGUUUAAGGGGAGAUGUUGGAUCAUAAACUUGAUCCAAGAUGAAUAAAUCAAGCCCAACUCAUGGAAGGUUCCAUGAGUAUGUAUGGUUGGUGAGGUUUGAAUUAUUUGUGUUAGGUGUGUUAGGUGUGGUUGGUGAAGUAGGUGAGUGGUAGGUUUUAAUGGAUGGUGAGAAUUUGUUUAUUAGUUGAAUAAAUGAAUGGUUGUGAUUAGUUUUUUUCAUGUAUAAAUACCCCCUCUCCCCUUUGGUUUAAACAUCAAGUGAAGUAGCAAAAUCUCUAAGGUGUAGAGAGUGAAAAAUAAGAGUUGUAAUUGGUGAGGAGUGUUGUUGAAGAAAUAAAAUAGUGUGUUUUAUGUGAGUUUUAUUUAUUAAUUCUCCAACAUGUAAUUGGUGAUGAUUUUGCUGAGCUGACCUUGGUUUUGAGCUUGUAAUUUUGUUUGUAAAUGGAGUGCUUUCUCCAAUGUUGGUUUAUAAAAAUGUUUCAGGACUUGCCGACCUAAUUUUUGUUUCUGCUAGGUUACAGGCUUUAUAUAGCUGUAAUUGAUAGCCAAGUGAAGUUCUCAGCACUUGGCGAGGAUAUUUCUUUACAGAAGUAUUGGAAACUAUUUUUUACAUUAAUUAUUGUUGUCUAUAUACUUUGAUUUUCACAUCUUUUUCUCUGAUUCUUGUGGCUUUGCUUGCUUUCAUAUAUGUAAAUUCUAAUGAAAUUAACCAUAAAAUUGUAAAAUGAUCUUUUUAUCAUAUUGCAAAACUGUGCACACACGAAAAUAUUCUUGUUUAGUAGUACAAAUGAAAAACUAAAAUGAUUUAUUUAACUAAUAUUUGAGCGCAUUAAAAGGAGAUAGUCAUGGACAAGUGUUGGGUUGGUUUGCCAAAUAGAUAUCCAAGUCAUAUACUGAUGGGGUUGAAAAAUUUAUAAAUUUUGCAUUUUAGAAUGUUGUUGCUGGUACAAGAAUUUAUUGUCCUUUUAAGAAGUGUUAUAAUCUAUAUUUCGUUAUGAGGGAAGUGGCUGAUGAUGAUAUGGUUGGAAUGAUACACUGCAUCACAUAAUCAAAUGUUCAAGUUACACUCAACAUUGUUAUGGACUAUCAGUGACAUGAGUGAACUAGACUGAGAAUACCUUCAGUUAUUGAGCUAAGAAGCCAGCUGAGUAAUGUUUGAUCUUGAGAUCUCCAAAUUGUGUAUUCAGGAUUCUCGAUCUGUUGAGAAGAUCCAGCAGCUCCAGCAGUUGUUGCAGCAAAGCUUGAUGAUGCUAUAAAUCGAUUUGGUGCAAUCUUUUCUCCAUUAAUGUAUCCUUCAAGUCGAUUUCCUCUAAUGGAGGCCAGGACUUGAUUUUUCCAAAGCAUGUAGUUAGAUCUAUCUAAUUUGAUUGGUGUGAUGAAAGAAAAAGUUGUUUGAUUUGCAGCUACUGUAUUUUGAUUGUUUGUGAUUGCCAUGAUUGGCUCUGAUACCAUGAAGAAAUUGUAAAAAUGAAUAAAUGCUGUUGUUUGGCAGCUGAGAAAAUACAGAGGAAAAUUUUAUUUCAUUAAUGAAACUGAUAUUUUGUACAUAACAACAAUCACGAACAUGUAGCUAUUUAUACAUGCUUAUGUUCACUAACUAGUUGCUCACUAACUAAUUAUUAAUCACAAGCUCACUCAGCUAAUUAAUAACCAAACACAGAGUGUGCAUUGUGAAGUUAGUUAGGCUGGUAACUGCUGCUGACGUGGAUCUUCUGACGUGGCACUAAUGACAGCUGGUAACUUGACAUGCUGAUUCUUCUUCUUCACUUCUGCAUAAUGACAUAUCUUCACACCAGUCAAGAAGUUAUUUUCAGAUCCCAUACUUAACAAGACAUUACAAUCCCUUGCUGUUAAUAAUAAUUUGCAUCCUCUAUGAUCAUCGCCAAAAGGAAUUCCAACAGUCUCUAAAUCAAGAUAUUUCCAGAUGUUAUCCAGAAUCACAAGGAUCAUCUUCUCUUUCUUCAAUCGUUCAUAAAGUCUACUAGCUCUUCUAGAUUCAGCCUCCUCGGAAAACUCCAGACCUAGUUUCUCUGCAAUUUCCCCAUGAAUCUUUUUUAUGUCUGGAGUUUGGGAUACCUCUGAAAAAACCACCUGAUCAAAGAGUUUCUCUUCACUGGCUUGCCUUGCAAACUCCUUCACCAGUGUUGUCUUUCCAAUGCCGCCCAUGCCGUAUACCCCAACGAUGUUGACAUUGACAUCAGUCAAUGCAUCUUGUAUAGACUUCAGAGUAGAAAGUCUUGAUUUAAAGGCCUCGUAACCUUUGUUAGACUUUAGCCAUACCUCCUCCGCAAUGGUACGGUAGAAAAUUCUAUCAUCAAAUCUCCUAGCUUCUGAUGAGAUAUAAUUAGUAAUCUAGUAAAUUGAGCAAGAAGUUUGAAGGGUUAUUUGGUUUGUUUUUCAACGUGAAGUAAAGGGUAAAAUUGAUGUUUGCAAUGUGGCUUUGGAAAUGUAAAGCAUGAUUAAUGUAAUCUCCAGAGUUGUCUAUAAUGCAUAUAAAUAUAGAACUCUGGUUGUAUGAAAAGGAAGAGAGAAACGAAAAAAUGAAUUAAGCAAUAAAGUUUCAGAAAUUUCCAGCAAAAUACUCUGUUCUUAAAUAAAAAAAUUUCUGCACUUCCGCUUGCACCCAACAAAUUUGGUAUCAGAGCUUUUCAAAACACCCUCAAAAUGACAUCAAAUACCCUACCCACAUUAUUUUCAUAUGCUCCCAGUCAAGUUCCAAUAUUUGAAGGGGUACAUUAUGAAUAUUGGAGUAAUCAAAUAGAAACCUUUUUCCUCUCUCAAAAUUUAUGGGAUGUUGUUGAAGAUGGAUAUGCUGAACCACCAGAAUUUGCAAGUUCUUCAGAUUGGACUCCAGCACAUCAACAGCAGUACAAAGAAAACAUACAGAGAAAUGCCACGACACUUCGAUAUAUCUAGUAAGGUGUUAGUAAGUCAAUUUUCCCAGAAUAUUUGGUGUCAAAAAGGCCAAAAAUGCUUGGGAAAUCCUAAAACAAGAAUUUCAAGGUUCCGAAAAGGCAGUCACCAUCAAGUUACAAACUUUGUGGAAAGAGUUCAAUAAUUUAUCAAUGAAAGACAGUGAAGGAGUUCAAGAUUUUUGCAGUAGAGUUACUGAGAUUGUGAACCAGAUUAAAGGUUGCGGGGACUCCAUUGAAGACAAGAAGGUGAAUGAAAAGGUGCUGAGAUGUCUUCCUCCAAAUUUUGAUCAUGUAGCAGCAGCCAUUAAAGAAUCAAGGGAUUUGUCCAGGAUGACUUUUUCAGAUUUGUCAGGAUCAUUACGGUCUCAUGAGCAAAGAAUCAAUCGACCUUCAAGUCAGCCUACAGAGCAAGCUUUUCAGUCAAAGAUUAAUAAUUUAGAUCAGAAUAAAAGCAGCAAGAAAGACCAGAAGAACGGAGGCUCGUCUCAAAGAAACGGACAGCGUGGCAAAGGGAAAAGAGAAUAGAACGACAACCGCAACAAGUGGAAAAAUGACAGAGGGAAUUCACAGCAAAAUUCAGAUUCUCGGUGCAUCAUUUGUAAUUGGUCUAAUCAUGAAUUAAAAGAUUGUCGUUAUAAAUGCACAAGGUGUCGCAUUCCUAACCAUUCUCAAAGGGAUUGUUGGUAUCAAAAUAAAAAAGGCAAAAAUGAGGCAAAUUUUACAAAAGAAGGUGAUGGAGAUUACUUGUUUUAUUCAAGUAAAGGUACUGAACGUGAAUCAUAUAAUUUUUGGUACUUGGAUAGCGGCUGCAGCAACCACAUGACUAGAGAACGUGACAUUUUCAUCAGCCUUGACUAAAGUUUUAAUUCGCAAGUGAAGCUUGGAGAUGGAAAGAUGCAGAAAGCUGUGGGAAAAGGCACUAUUGCUGUCCAUACAAAGGGAGGUAACAAAAAGCUCAUUUCUGACGUUCUUUAUGUUCCAAAUUUAACUCAAAACCUCUUGAGUGUGGGACAGCUAAUUCAAAAGGGUUUUUCAAUUUAUUUUGAUGAUGAAAAAUGCAAAAUUAUUGAUAAAACUAAUAAUCACACAGUGGCCGUUGUUGAAAUGUCAAAGAACAAAGUUUUUCCUCUUGUUAUGCCACUUGAUGAGAAUGUUGCUCUCAAAACUGAAAAUUCAGAUUUGUCAACUUUAUGGCAUCUCAGAUAUGGCCAUUUAAACUAUAAAGGGCUGAAUUUGCUCAAGCAAAAGAACAUGGUGAUUGGCCUACCUGAUGUUGGAAGAUAUGAAAAAGUUUGCGAGGGCUGUAUUUAUGGAAAAAUGCAUAGACUUCCAUUUCCUAAAAAUUCAUGGAGAGCCAAAGCUCCGUUGGAGUUGGUGCAUGCUGAUAUUUGUGGUCCUACAAGGACUUUCUCUCUCAAUAACAGGAGAUAUUUCAUUCUUUUUGUUGUUGACUAUACAAGGAUGAUGUGGAUUUAUUUUUUGAAUGAAAAAUCAGAAGCUUUCUCAACUUUUCUUCAGUUUAAAGCUCUUGCAGAAAGGCAAAGUGGAUGCAAAAUGAAGACCUUGAGAACUGAUCGUGGUGGUAAAUUUAUCUACACUCCAUUCAUGAAUUAUUGCGGGGAUAAUGGAAUUCAAAGACAACUUACUGUCAGCCGAAGUCCACAACAAAACGGAGUCGCAGAACGGAAGAACCGUACCAUUGUAGAGAUGGCAAGAAGCAUGUUAAAAGGCAAAGGCAUUCCUAACAACUUAUGGGCAGAAGCAUGUCAUACAGCUGUGUACAUCCUCAACAGGUCUNNNNNNNNNNNNNNNNNNNNNNNNNNNNNNNNNNNNNNNNNNNNNNNNNNNNNNNNNNNNNNNNNNNNNNNNNNNNNNNNNNNNNNNNNNNNNNNNNNNNNNNNNNNNNNNNNNNNNNNNNNNNNNNNNNNNNNNNNNNNNNNNNNNNNNNNNNNNNNNNNNNAUAGUGAUGAGUCUAAAGGGUAUCGGUUGUUGAAUCCUACAACAAAUAAGCUUGUUAUCUCAAGAGAUGUUGUAUUUGAUGAGGCAUCAGCUUGGCAGUGGGAAAACGAUCAAUCUCAAGCAUCUAGCUUUUUUGAAGCUCCUGUAUCUCCACCAAAUUCUUCACAGCAAAAUAAUUUGGAACCAAAUUCUCCAAAUUCAGCAGCAGAAAGUUCUUCGGAUGAUGAAAGCCCUCCAAGGAAGAUAAAGUCAAUGAGAGAAAUUUAUGAGUCAUGUGAACUUGCUUUAUUUUCUUGUGAGCCUCAAGACUUUGAGGAGGCCUCAAGAAAUGAAGAUUGGAUCAAAGCAAUGAACGAGGAAAUGGCCACCAUUGUGAAAAAUAAAACUUGGGAGAUGGUUAAUUUGCCAAAUGGAAAAGAAACAAUUGGGCUGAAAUGGAUCUUCAAAAUCAAGUACAAUGAAGAUGGUUCAGUUCAAAAAUAUAAGGCGCGGCUCGUUGCCAAAGGAUACUCUCAGCUGCCUGGAGUUGAUUUUACAGAAACAUUUGCUCCCGUAGCUCGAAUGGAGACUAUUCGAACUGUUCUUGCCUUGGCAGCCCAAAUGGAAUUAAAUGUGUUUCAGCUAGAUGUAAAAUCGGCAUUUCUAAAUGGUGAAAUUGAAGACGAGGUUUAUGUUGAGCAGCCUAAAGGAGACUAAACGCAACNNNNNNNNNNNNNNNNNNNNNNNNNNNNNNNNNNNNNNNNNNNNNNNNNNNNNNNNNNNNNNNNNNNNNNNNNNNNNNNNNNNNNNNNNNNNNNNNNNNNNNNNNNNNNNNNNNNNNNNNNNNNNNNNNNNNNNNNNNNNNNNNNNNNNNNNNNNNNNNNNNNNNNNNNNNNNNNNNNNNNNNNNNNNNNNNNNNNNNNNNNNNNNNNNNNNNNNNNNNNNNNNNNNNNNNNNNNNNNNNNNNNNNNNNNNNNNNNNNNNNNNNNNNNNNNNNNNNNNNNNNNNNNNNNNNNNNNNNNNNNNNNNNNNNNNNNNNNNNNNNNNNNNNNNNNNNNNNNNNNNNNNNNNNNNNNNNNNNNNNNNNNNNNNNNNNNNNNNNNNNNNNNNNNNNNNNNNNNNNNNNNNNNNNNNNNNNNNNNNNNNNNNNNNNNNNNNNNNNNNNNNNNNNNNNNNNNNNNNNNNNNNNNNNNNNNNNNNNNNNNNNNNNNNNNNNNNNNNNNNNNNNNNNNNNNNNNNNNNNNNNNNNNNNNNNNNNNNNNNNNNNNNNNNNNNNNNNNNNNNNNNNNNNNNNNNNNNNNNNNNNNNNNNNNNNNNNNNNNNNNNNNNNNNNNNNNNNNNNNNNNNNNNNNNNNNNNNNNNNNNNNNNNNNNNNNNNNNNNNNNNNNNNNNNNNNNNNNNNNNNNNNNNNNNNNNNNNNNNNNNNNNNNNNNNNNNNNNNNNNNNNNNNNNNNNNNNNNNNNNNNNNNNNNNNNNNNNNNNNNNNNNNNNNNNNNNNNNNNNNNNNNNNNNNNNNNNNNNNNNNNNNNNNNNNNNNNNNNNNNNNNNNNNNNNNNNNNNNNNNNNNNNNNNNNNNNNNNNNNNNNNNNNNNNNNNNNNNNNNNNNNNNNNNNNNNNNNNNNNNNNNNNNNNNNNNNNNNNNNNNNNNNNNNNNNNNNNNNNNNNNNNNNNNNNNNNNNNNNNNNNNNNNNNNNNNNNNNNNNNNNNNNNNNNNNNNNNNNNNNNNNNNNNNNNNNNNNNNNNNNNNNNNNNNNNNNNNNNNNNNNNNNNNNNNNNNNNNNNNNNNNNNNNNNNNNNNNNNNNNNNNNNNNNNNNNNNNNNNNNNNNNNNNNNNNNNNNNNNNNNNNNNNNNNNNNNNNNNNNNNNNNNNNNNNNNNNNNNNNNNNNNNNNNNNNNNNNNNNNNNNNNNNNNNNNNNNNNNNNNNNNNNNNNNNNNNNNNNNNNNNNNNNNNNNNNNNNNNNNNNNNNNNNNNNNNNNNNNNNNNNNNNNNNNNNNNNNNNNNNNNNNNNNNNNNNNNNNNNNNNNNNNNNNNNNNNNNNNNNNNNNNNNNNNNNNNNNNNNNNNNNNNNNNNNNNNNNNNNNNNNNNNNNNNNNNNNNNNNNNNNNNNNNNNNNNNNNNNNNNNNNNNNNNNNNNNNNNNNNNNNNNNNNNNNNNNNNNNNNNNNNNNNNNNNNNNNNNNNNNNNNNNNNNNNNNNNNNNNNNNNNNNNNNNNNNNNNNNNNNNNNNNNNNNNNNNNNNNNNNNNNNNNNNNNNNNNNNNNNNNNNNNNNNNNNNNNNNNNNNNNNNNNNNNNNNNNNNNNNNNNNNNNNNNNNNNNNNNNNNNNNNNNNNNNNNNNNNNNNNNNNNNNNNNNNNNNNNNNNNNNNNNNNNNNNNNNNNNNNNNNNNNNNNNNNNNNNNNNNNNNNNNNNNNNNNNNNNNNNNNNNNNNNNNNNNNNNNNNNNNNNNNNNNNNNNNNNNNNNNNNNNNNNNNNNNNNNNNNNNNNNNNNNNNNNNNNNNNNNNNNNNNNNNNNNNNNNNNNNNNNNNNNNNNNNNNNNNNNNNNNNNNNNNNNNNNNNNNNNNNNNNNNNNNNNNNNNNNNNNNNNNNNNNNNNNNNNNNNNNNNNNNNNNNNNNNNNNNNNNNNNNNNNNNNNNNNNNNNNNNNNNNNNNNNNNNNNNNNNNNNNNNNNNNNNNNNNNNNNNNNNNNNNNNNNNNNNNNNNNNNNNNNNNNNNNNNNNNNNNNNNNNNNNNNNNNNNNNNNNNNNNNNNNNNNNNNNNNNNNNNNNNNNNNNNNNNNNNNNNNNNNNNNNNNNNNNNNNNNNNNNNNNNNNNNNNNNNNNNNNNNNNNNNNNNNNNNNNNNNNNNNNNNNNNNNNNNNNNNNNNNNNNNNNNNNNNNNNNNNNNNNNNNNNNNNNNNNNNNNNNNNNNNNNNNNNNNNNNNNNNNNNNNNNNNNNNNNNNNNNNNNNNNNNNNNNNNNNNNNNNNNNNNNNNNNNNNNNNNNNNNNNNNNNNNNNNNNNNNNNNNNNNNNNNNNNNNNNNNNNNNNNNNNNNNNNNNNNNNNNNNNNNNNNNNNNNNNNNNNNNNNNNNNNNNNNNNNNNNNNNNNNNNNNNNNNNNNNNNNNNNNNNNNNNNNNNNNNNNNNNNNNNNNNNNNNNNNNNNNNNNNNNNNNNNNNNNNNNNNNNNNNNNNNNNNNNNNNNNNNNNNNNNNNNNNNNNNNNNNNNNNNNNNNNNNNNNNNNNNNNNNNNNNNNNNNNNNNNNNNNNNNNNNNNNNNNNNNNNNNNNNNNNNNNNNNNNNNNNNNNNNNNNNNNNNNNNNNNNNNNNNNNNNNNNNNNNNNNNNNNNNNNNNNNNNNNNNNNNNNNNNNNNNNNNNNNNNNNNNNNNNNNNNNNNNNNNNNNNNNNNNNNNNNNNNNNNNNNNNNNNNNNNNNNNNNNNNNNNNNNNNNNNNNNNNNNNNNNNNNNNNNNNNNNNNNNNNNNNNNNNNNNNNNNNNNNNNNNNNNNNNNNNNNNNNNNNNNNNNNNNNNNNNNNNNNNNNNNNNNNNNNNNNNNNNNNNNNNNNNNNNNNNNNNNNNNNNNNNNNNNNNNNNNNNNNNNNNNNNNNNNNNNNNNNNNNNNNNNNNNNNNNNNNNNNNNNNNNNNNNNNNNNNNNNNNNNNNNNNNNNNNNNNNNNNNNNNNNNNNNNNNNNNNNNNNNNNNNNNNNNNNNNNNNNNNNNNNNNNNNNNNNNNNNNNNNNNNNNNNNNNNNNNNNNNNNNNNNNNNNNNNNNNNNNNNNNNNNNNNNNNNNNNNNNNNNNNNNNNNNNNNNNNNNNNNNNNNNNNNNNNNNNNNNNNNNNNNNNNNNNNNNNNNNNNNNNNNNNNNNNNNNNNNNNNNNNNNNNNNNNNNNNNNNNNNNNNNNNNNNNNNNNNNNNNNNNNNNNNNNNNNNNNNNNNNNNNNNNNNNNNNNNNNNNNNNNNNNNNNNNNNNNNNNNNNNNNNNNNNNNNNNNNNNNNNNNNNNNNNNNNNNNNNNNNNNNNNNNNNNNNNNNNNNNNNNNNNNNNNNNNNNNNNNNNNNNNNNNNNNNNNNNNNNNNNNNNNNNNNNNNNNNNNNNNNNNNNNNNNNNNNNNNNNNNNNNNNNNNNNNNNNNNNNNNNNNNNNNNNNNNNNNNNNNNNNNNNNNNNNNNNNNNNNNNNNNNNNNNNNNNNNNNNNNNNNNNNNNNNNNNNNNNNNNNNNNNNNNNNNNNNNNNNNNNNNNNNNNNNNNNNNNNNNNNNNNNNNNNNNNNNNNNNNNNNNNNNNNNNNNNNNNNNNNNNNNNNNNNNNNNNNNNNNNNNNNNNNNNNNNNNNNNNNNNNNNNNNNNNNNNNNNNNNNNNNNNNNNNNNNNNNNNNNNNNNNNNNNNNNNNNNNNNNNNNNNNNNNNNNNNNNNNNNNNNNNNNNNNNNNNNNNNNNNNNNNNNNNNNNNNNNNNNNNNNNNNNNNNNNNNNNNNNNNNNNNNNNNNNNNNNNNNNNNNNNNNNNNNNNNNNNNNNNNNNNNNNNNNNNNNNNNNNNNNNNNNNNNNNNNNNNNNNNNNNNNNNNNNNNNNNNNNNNNNNNNNNNNNNNNNNNNNNNNNNNNNNNNNNNNNNNNNNNNNNNNNNNNNNNNNNNNNNNNNNNNNNNNNNNNNNNNNNNNNNNNNNNNNNNNNNNNNNNNNNNNNNNNNNNNNNNNNNNNNNNNNNNNNNNNNNNNNNNNNNNNNNNNNNNNNNNNNNNNNNNNNNNNNNNNNNNNNNNNNNNNNNNNNNNNNNNNNNNNNNNNNNNNNNNNNNNNNNNNNNNNNNNNNNNNNNNNNNNNNNNNNNNNNNNNNNNNNNNNNNNNNNNNNNNNNNNNNNNNNNNCUCAAGGAUUUGCAGUUCAAUCAAGAUGCUGCAACAACAAUUUAUUGUGACAACAUGUCAGCCAUUGCUCUAACAAAGAACCCCGUAUUUCAUGCUAAAUCUAAGCACAUUGAGCUGCGUUAUCACUACAUCCGUGACUUAGUAAGCAAAGGAGAAGUUAAUAUGGAGUUUAUCAACACUAAUGAGCAGCCAGCAGAUUUUGUCACGUGGGUCACCGUCGAUUUUUACCAACAAAUCAUAGGUUUCGAAAAUAUAGUGUCUUUUGAUAAAACUAGAGAGUAGGGACAAGCACCUUCUCGGUUGUCUGGAACUGAAGUGAAAAAGCAGUUUAAUAUAGUUACUGAGUAUAAGAUUGAAGACUUGAAAAGAGGAGAACGAAUAAAAUGAGAGAAAUGAUAAGAUUACCUGGAAGAAGAACAGCAUUUUUUAUGAACUAACGUAUUGGUUUUUGAUAUCAUGAUCUUGAUAUCAUGCACUGUUUUGAUUUUUGUUAUGAACUCAGAUCAAAAGUUUAAUGUGAUCAAAAUUUCUUAAAAAUAGUGACAACGACUCCUCCUAAUAACAUUGAAGAUGGCUAUAAAAGAUAAAAGGAAAGGAUUAAAAAGAAAAGCUACGCCUGUUUCAAAAAAAAAAAUGGCGGCAUCAAGUUUAUAACAAAAAUCAAAACGGUGCGUUUGAAAGUGUAUAAAAUACAUUUAGAGCGGGAGUUGCGUUGUUUCUUGAAGGCAGAAUGUUUGUGAGAUUUUUGUCGACGAAGCCAAAACCAAAGAUGAAGCCCAUAGAGCUCAAAACUCCACCGGAGCAAAUUCAGACAAUUACGAGGGUUAUAUUUGACAUGGUCAAGGAAGACGGUCCUCUCACCGUCGCCGAUUCUUGGGAACGCGUCAAGGUGUGUGUAUCUGUUAAAUUGAAUUUCAACCGUUUGGUCUGUAAUUAUAAUUAAUCCUAUCGAUCUGACAGUGAUGAUUGAUCAUAAUACUAGUAGUUGUUUUACAUUUUCUACAAGCUGGAGUGAGUGGAUUGACGGGCAAAAGCCACNNNNNNNNNNNNNNNNNNNNNNNNNNNNNNNNNNNNNNNNNNNNNNNNNNNNNNNNNNNNNNNNNNNNNNNNNNNNNNNNNNNNNNNNNNNNNNNNNNNNNNNNNNNNNNNNNNNNNNNNNNNNNNNNNNNNNNNNNNNNNNNNNNNNNNNNNNNNNNNNNNNNNNNNNNNNNNNNNNNNNNNNNNNNNNNNNNNNNNNNNNNNNNNNNNNNNNNNNNNNNNNNNNNNNNNNNNNNNNNNNNNNNNNNNNNNNNNNNNNNNNNNNNNNNNNNNNNNNNNNNNNNNNNNNNNNNNNNNNNNNNNNNNNNNNNNNNNNNNNNNNNNNNNNNNNNNNNNNNNNNNNNNNNNNNNNNNNNNNNNNNNNNNNNNNNNNNNNNNNNNNNNNNNNNNNNNNNNNNNNNNNNNNNNNNNNNNNNNNNNNNNNNNNNNNNNNNNNNNNNNNNNNNNNNNNNNNNNNNNNNNNNNNNNNNNNNNNNNNNNNNNNNNNNNNNNNNNNNNNNNNNNNNNNNNNNNNNNNNNNNNNNNNNNNNNNNNNNNNNNNNNNNNNNNNNNNNNNNNNNNNNNNNNNNNNNNNNNNNNNNNNNNNNNNNNNNNNNNNNNNNNNNNNNNNNNNNNNNNNNNNNNNNNNNNNNNNNNNNNNNNNNNNNNNNNNNNNNNNNNNNNNNNNNNNNNNNNNNNNNNNNNNNNNNNNNNNNNNNNNNNNNNNNNNNNNNNNNNNNNNNNNNNNNNNNNNNNNNNNNNNNNNNNNNNNNNNNNNNNNNNNNNNNNNNNNNNNNNNNNNNNNNNNNNNNNNNNNNNNNNNNNNNNNNNNNNNNNNNNNNNNNNNNNNNNNNNNNNNNNNNNNNNNNNNNNCAAGCCACAUGAAGAUUGUGUAGAGAUGGAUGAGGGAGAGACAAAAGCUCAGGCUCGUCUGCAACCAUGUGGGCCCUCAUUAGCAACUCCUGUACACAGCUUGGCUUACCAAGCCCAACAACUUGAAGCAGGCAAAGUCAGGGAAUGACCAUUCCCCUUCACAACCCUAGCUGCCUUAACCUUGUAUCUCUGAUAUUUAGUUAAAGAGUAAGAAGAUUGCUCCUCUGUCAAUUACCUUUAAGAGAGACUUUCUUUCUCAUUCAUUGAUGCUUGCUUGUGAACGCAAGGGUUUUAGUUACACUUUCAACGCUGUCAAUGUAGUGACACGAUGAAGAUGAAGUAAAGCAGUAGUAGAAUAAUGAAGUUGGAAGCCCCACAGCAUGAAAACUUUUAAACAGUAACACAUCUUUUAUUCCAGAGGCUGCACACGAGUGACCUGAAUCUUCUUCAGAACUUUCAAAUUUUAUUAAGCAAAGCUUUCAAAAUUUCUCAACAAAAUGAUUAUUUGGUGUGGUUGCGGCAUUUUGAGUAACUGCGAUUUGUUCUCAAGUACAAAAUCCUUGCCUUCCUAAGUUAGAAAAGAUAGAUGUGAAGCAAACCAAAUGAAAUAAAUGGGUAAACAGAACAAACAGGGCGAAAAUUAAAAAUGAUGGCAAUUAACAAAUUAAUAGCAACGUUACAUUUGACUCUUUAGCCCUUUGUUCCUUCUCUUAGCAUUCUUCAAAGUUUUUGAAAAUUGGAAGUGAAGCAAACAAAAUAAAAUAAAUUUAGACAACACAUGCCCUGUAUUCAGCAUCAUAUAUAUCUCGAAGACUAGAAUUUCAAACAGUACUAGUAGUAAAAAAAUGACGACAACAACAAAAAUAGAAAAUUACAAGACUGCUGAUAAAAUUUCAUUUGCAUGCAUGUCUGACAAAAUUUCCGUGAUUUAAUGUGCCUUCAUGCACGCAAAUCCUAACGUUUCUGUGAUCACAAAAUGAAACUGGAGAUAAAUCAGAACACCUACCAAACCUUUGGCUGAAAAUUCAGAAGAAUUUAUAUUCAAGAUGUCAAAGUAAACUGGAAAUUUAUGGCACAUAUUACAAGAAGCAGUACACACCAAUGGUAAAUUGAUUCAUCGUCUUUGAACUUAAGAUAGUCAAAUGAAAGAAACACAACGGAGGGUUAAUGCAAUACAGUAAAGUGAAAACCCUCAGCAUGUAAACUUAACUUCAAAGAACGGAGCACAAGUUUCACAGAAAAGUAGCUCUUAUUCCUGAUGCUGCAAACACAGAGGAGUGUUCUCAAUCUUCUUCAUAACUUGGGAAUUCUGCAAUUAUAGAGCACGACAUUGAGCACGAACUAAAAAAAAAAAUUAUUUUCUACAAUUUUCAUAUAACCUGACUAACCAAUAUUAAUUUUGUGGUAAUGUAUUGGGUCAUUAAUUCAUAUGUUUUUACAAUCAUCACUUUAGAAAAAAACUAAUUUCUCAAUGUGAAAUGGCCCAUUGAAAGUAUUCUCAUUUAAAAACUAAAUUUGACGGACCCCUCGAUUAAAGCAGGGAAAAAAAAAAAAGAGAUCUGAGGCUUUCCACAUGAAAAUGUUGUUUGUCACUUUGAAUGAUAUUUUGAAGGGAUUUCAUUCUAAAAAUAAAAUACCUGGGACCUCAUUCUUCAAAAUUGACAACUCGCCAGGUAUUAAAAGCGUAUGAGAUCAGUACUGCGACGAGUAAGAAGACGACCCCUCUAACAGCUGAAAACAAAAUUCGCAUUCAUCAAUUUAAAUUAAAAUUCAUAUUAUGAAACUAAAACUAAUGAUUAAUGAAUUUUCGAGGAAUUUAAUAAGAUUCUCAGAUAUAAACGUGAUAACAAAUUCACUCAUCAAUAACAAAUAUUCUAACAGUUGUCCGUACCUUUUCUUGAUGUAAUUGUUGUAUGAUUGCGUUAAGGUCAUUAUUAGACCAACGCAGGUUGUCCUCUCUCUGUCCGUACCGGAAGUUUACUCUGACAGGCGUGCUUAAUUCUCUUUUGGUGAAAAUCUUCAUCUUGGGACAACCAAUCACAGCAAGAUCUUCCAAAGAUGGGAAUUUGAAGGUGUAAUUGACAGAGGAGAAGCUUGUGAGACUAUCUAAAUCAAAGAGGGACAACGUAGUCAGUUUGCUGAAAACAAUCUCUUCUUUUAAAUUUGCUGUUUCAUCUUCGUCACUUAUUACGACUUCUGUGAUUGCUCUGCAUCCAAAUACACCCAAUGAUACGAGUCGGUCUAGACUUUUUGCUGUGGAGGAUGUUAGUAAGUUCAUCAAUUUCUUGCAAGCAAAAGCUUGCAGGCGUGUGAGAUUCCGAAAAGAUACCGAUGAUGAUGGCAAUGUUGGAACAUUUUCAAAAUAAAUGUGUCUUAUGGUAAAGACAUGUCCUAUUAAUUGUGCCUUAUAGAAAAUGUACCUUUCACUAAAGACAUGUCUAAUUAAAUGAUGUCUUGUUGUAAGGACAUGUCCAUUUAAUUGUGUCUUGUAGAAAAUGUAUCUUUUUACUAAAUGAUGUAACUUUUCAUGACAACAUUUCACUUAGAGAUGCAUCAUUUCAUGGUGACAUUUCAUUUGAAAUUGUGAUGAUUCAAUUUGGACCAUUGAUUAAAAUCAAAUCUAGAUCCAAUGGCCAUGAAUGAAGGGGUAUCAUGAAAGAUGACAACCCAAAUGAGGGGGCACAAGUAUAUCUAUAAAUAGGGAUCAUGUUUAAGCCAUUUAGACAUGAAAUAAAUGAUCCUACACCACUCUUUUCUUAGCAUUCUUUUCUAGUACGAAUUUCAACACAAAACACCCAUUUCUUUUGUGCAUUCACAUUCCAAUAUAUUGUUUUCUGCAGGAACAAUAUAUUGUUUCUUGGCAGGCUUGCAACAUUCAAGAGUAUUCUGGUUUGCUUUCGUCGAUGCACAGCGCAAGCAAACAAACAAGUGCUUCAUUGUAUCCUGGAGGCGUAUUUGCUUAACCUAUGUGCAUCACUCAAUUGGUGGGGGCAAAUAACGUCUUAAGGAAAGCGACAUUUGUAACGUGCCUUGAAGCACACAAAAUUUCUGCAGUUUCUUCCUAUAUACAGAGUUAGUUGUAAACACAUUACUUUACAUAAUAAAGUUCCACCAUUAUUGUUGUAUUUUUCUACAUUUGCCAUUCCCCAAAAAUUUUACCACCAACAAUCUUAAGACGUUAUUUCUACAACAAUGGCACCAAGUUCAUCUCUUCGACAAUUCACAGUAGAUUUUGUCAAAUUGGAGCGGUUCGAUGGUGGCAACUUUAUUCGUUGGCAGAAAAAGUUGCAUUUCUUGUUGACAAGCAUCAAUGUGGUCUAUGUUCUCACAACACCAAAGCCUCAAGAACGUGAGAAUGAGACAUUAGCGGAAACCAGAGUGCAACAUAAGUGGGAGCAAGAUGACUACGUGUGUAAGGGACACAUUUGCAAUGCCAUGUCUGAUACUUUGUUUGAUCAAUAUCACAACAAACCUACAGCAAAAGAGAUAUGGGACUCAUUAGAGGCUAAGUACAUGAUGGAAGAUGCCACAAGUAAGAAAUUAUUGGCUUCUAAAUUUUUUAAUUAUAGAAUGGUUGAUAAUAGAAUUGUGGUUGAACAACAUAAUGAGAUUUUGCAUAUUCUUGAUCAAUUCAACCAACAUAACAUGAAAAUGGAUGAGUCUAUUAUUGUCUCUUCAAUUAUUGAUAAACUUCCUCCCUCUUGGAAAGACUAUAAGAAAAGUCUUAAACAUAACAAAGAGGAAAUUAGUCUGGAUGGCUUAGGCCAAAGUCUUCGCAUUGAAGAGGAACUCAAGCUUAAUAGUUUUGAGGAUCAGACUACUACGUCCUCUAAAAUUAAUGUCGUAGAGGAAGGGAAGGAGUUUAAACAUUCUAAUCACCCUAAGAAUAAUCAAAAGAGAAAGUUUGAUUCCAAAGAGAAUCAAAACAAUAAGAAGAAAAAGAAGGGUACAUGCCACCACUGCGGAAAACCUGGCCACUUCAAAAGAGAUUGUCGACUUCUGAAGAAACAAAAGAAAGUUUCGAACACAAAUUUUGUGGCCAUGAUAUCUGAGAUUAAUGUUCUUGAAGAUGAUAAUGCAUGGUGGAUAGAUUCAGGUGCAACCAAGCAUGUAUGCAAGGAUCGUAGCCUUUUCAAAUCUUAUAAAGCAAUGGAUGAUGGAAGUGUUCUUUACAUGGGAAAUUCCUCCACUGCAAUAGUUAAAGGAAAAGGCAAUGUGCAACUAGAGUUUACUUCUGGAAAAACUUUAACUCUUAUUGAUGUUUAUCAUGUUCCUGAAGUUAGGAAAAACCUUGUAUCUGGUAGCCUUCUUAAUAAGUUUGGCUUCAAACUUGUUUUUGAGUCAAACCAAUUUAUAUUAUCUAAGGGUGGUACCUUUGUUGGGAAAGGAUACAUGUAUGAAGGAAUGUUUAAACUCAAUAUCAAUAAUAUGAAUGUUUCUUCUGCUUAUAUGGUUGAUUCAUUAUCUUUGUGGCAUAAUCGUUUAGGACAUGUGAAUAUUAGAAGAUUGCAUGAUAUGGCUAAUUUAGAGUUAAUUCCUAAGCAUGAAAAUGAUAUGCAUGAAAAAUGUAAAGUAUGUGCACAGACUAAAAUCACAAGAUCUCCUUUUCCAAAAAUUGAAAAAACAUCUUCUUUAUUGCAUUUAAUUCAUAGCGAUGUGUGUGAUAUGCAUAGUAAUCCUUCUAAAUGUGGUAAAAAAUAUUUUGUAACAUUUAUUGAUGAUUUUUCAAAAUAUUGCUAUGUGUAUUUAUUACAUUCUAAAGAUCAAGUGUUAGAAAAAUUUAAAACUUAUAAAAAUGAAGUUGAGAAUUUUUGUGACACUAAAAUUAAAUGCCUUAGAAGUGAUAAAGGAGGUGAAUAUGCUUUUUCUGAAUUUUGUGAAUCUGUUGGCAUUGUACAUGAAACUAGCACUGCAUGUACUCCACAACAAAAUGGCGUAGCUGAAAGGAAAAAUAGGACAUUAAUAGAAAUGGUUAAUGCUAUGCUUUUUAAUGCUGGGCUUGGUAAAGGUUUUUGGGGUGAAGCUAUUUUAACUGCAUGUCAUAUCUUAAAUAGAGUGCCUAAUAAGAAAACAAAGGUGACCCCAUAUGAAUUAUGGAAAAAGAGAAAGCCUAAUCUUUCUUAUCUAAGAGUUUGGGGUUGUCGAGCCAUUGUAAGACUACCAAAACCUAAGAUAAAGAAAUUAGGAGAAAGGGGCAUUGAAUGCAUAUUCUUGGGAUAUGCUGAGCAUAGUAAAGCUUAUAGGUUUCUUGUAACAGAACCUAAUAGCUUUGUUGAGAUCAAUACUAUAGUGGAAUCUAGAGAUGCAAUAUUAUAUGAAAAUAGAUUUUCCACUAUACCAAAAAGUAUUGAUUCUCAAGAGAAUGAUAAACAAAUAGAAAUUGGUCAAAAGCGUGAUGCUAAUAAUGAGCAAAAUCAUUUGAGAAGAAGUAAAAGAAUAAGGACUAUAAAAUCUUUUCCAGAUUUUAUAGUCUAUUUAGUUGAAGGGACAAGAGACUCACAAUCAAAACAGACCAUGAUCGUAUCUACUAUAGAGUCUGAUCCCCUCACCUAUGAAGAUGCAAUGAAGUCUCAAGAUGCUGCUUUUUGGAAAGAGGCCAUUAAUGAUGAAAUGGACUCUAUUGUGGGUAAUAAGACUUGGAAAUUAGUUGAUUUACCACCUGGCUCUAAUCCUAUAGGUUGUAAAUGGAUUUUCAAAAAGAAGAAGAAAGUUGAUGGAACAAUUGAAAGAUUUAAAGCAAGACUAGUAGCAAAAGGCUUUACACAAAAAGAAGGCCUUGAUUAUUUUGAUACUUAUGCACCUGUUGCAAGAAUUGCUACUAUUAGAGUCUUGAUUGCUUUGGCUUCAAUUUAUCAAUUUGAAAUCCAUCAAAUGGAUGUAAAAACAGCUUUCUUAAAUGGAGAAUUAGAUGAGGAAAUUUACAUGAAACAACCAGAAGGGUUUGUUAUGCCAGGACAAGAACAUAAAGUUUGUAAACUAGUCAAGUCUUUAUAUGGUCUUAAACAAGCUCCAAAGCAGUGGCACGAAAAGUUUGACAAAGUGAUUGUCUCAAAUGGAUUUAAUAUUCAUGAAUCUGAUAAAUGUGUCUAUAGCAGAUUCAAUGGAAAUAAAGGUGUGAUUAUUUGUUUAUAUGUAGAUGACAUGUUAAUUUUUGGUAUUGAUAGUGAGAGCAUUGAACUCACUAAAUUAUUAUUGUCAUCUAAUUUUGAUAUGAAAGACAUGAGACUUGCUGAUGUGAUUUUGGGGAUUAAAAUUAUAAAAAAUGAGAAUGGCCUAGUAUUGACCCAAUCACAUUAUAUUGAGAAAAUUUUAAAGAAAUUUAAUUAUUAUGAUUGUAAGUCUGUGUCAACACCUUUUGAUUCAAACAUAAGACUGUAUCCUAACACUGGCAUAUCAGUAUCUCAAUUAGAAUAUGCACGUAUUAUUGGGUGUUUUAUGUAUGCGAUGACUUGUACUAGGCCUGAUAUUGCUUUCGCUAUUGGAAAGCUCAGUAGAUAUACUAGUAAUCCAAGCCAAGCACACUGGCAAGCAGUGUACAAAAUUCUAAAAUAUUUAAAACAUACAAUGGAUUAUGGUAUAUACUACACUGGAUAUCCUUCAGUUUUGGAAGGAUUUUCAGAUGCUAGUUGGAUUACUGAUCGAGAUGAUCAUACAUCCACAAGUGGUUGGAUUUUUAAUCUUGGUGGAGGAGCUAUUUCAUGGGGUUCAAAGAAGUAAACUUGUAUAGCAGACUCCACCAUGGCUGCAGAAUUUGUAGCGUUGGCUUCAUGUUGCAAGGAAGCUGAAUGGUUAAGGAAUUUGCUUAUAGAAAUUCCUAUUUGGCCUAAACCAAUGCCUCCUGUAUCUAUUCACUGUGAUAGUGAGGCAACUUUAUCAAGAGCAUAUAGUCAAAUCUAUAAUGGAAAGUCUAGGCACAUUGGUCUGAGACAUAGUUAUGUAAGACAAUUACUUACAGAUGGAGUAAUCACAAUUGACUUUGUGAAAUCAUGCCAAAAUUUGGCAGACCCCUUAACUAAAGGUCUUGCAAGGGAUAUUGUAUUUAAAACUUCUAAGGGGAUGGGACUGAAGCCAACAUCAUCUUAUCACCAAUGAUGGAAACUCAACCCAACACUUGAAAUAUCAAGAUCUUGGGUUCAAUGAGCAAAAGUACAUCAUAUGUUGUGAUAGGAAGCACUAUAAUAUUUUUAGAUGCGUCCCAAAGGUUAGUGCUUGAUACUUGUAACAUAUGGGAAAGGUUAAGCUACUUAGCUUUUAAUGGACUUAUAAAUGUUUUAGUUACAGGGACAUUCUAGAUAAGUCUACCUAUGUGAGUGUAUGAGGUGGUGCCGCUUCCUAUGUAACUUGGCUGGUUACUAAAGCGCUAAUGAAAACAGGAUAUAGACACAGGGCCAAUCCACGUGUCGGCUAAGGAAUACUUGAGAAUUUGAAAACUUAUGUGUGAGGUAUAUCCGGUUAGUCGAUUAAGGUCGCUGGUUCAAAGCUUGCCUACCAUGCCACCUUGAUUAACUUUGAUGUAUUGUCACUAAGUGAAGGUUCAAGUCCACAAGACACCUUCAUCUAUGCAUAAGUUUUCCAAGCCUGUGUAAGAUAAUUUUUCAAAAUUCAUUUAUUUUGAAAAUGGUGGGGGAUUGUUGGAACAUUUUCAAAAUAAAUGUGUCUUAUGGUAAAGACAUGUCCUAUUAAUUGUGCCUUAUAGAAAAUGUACCUUUCACUAAAGACAUGUCUAAUUAAAUGAUGUUUUGUUGUAAGGACAUGUCCAUUUAAUUGUGUCUUGUAGAAAAGGUAUCUUUUUACUAAAUGAUGUAACUUUUCAUGACAACAUUUCACUUAGAGAUGCAUCAUUUCAUGGUGACAUUUCAUUUGAAAUGGUGAUGAUUCAAUUUGGACCAUUGAUUAAAAUCAAAUCUAGAUCCAAUGGCCAUGAAUGAAGGGGUAUCAUGAAAGAUGACAACCCAAAUGAGGGGGCACAAAUAUAUCUAUAAAUAGGGAUCAUGUUUAAGCCAUUUAGACAUGAAAUAAAUGAUCCUACACCACUCUUUUCUUAGCAUUCUUUUCUAGUACGAAUUUCAACACAAAACACCCAUUUCUUUUGUGCAUUCACAUUCCAAUAUAUUGUUUUCUGCAGGAACAAUAUAUUGUUUCUUGGCAGGCUUGCAACAUUCAAGAGUAUUCUGGUUUGCUUUCGUCGAUGCACAACGCAAGCAAACAAACAAGUGUUUCAUUGUAUCCUGGAGGCGUAUUUGCUUAACCUAUGUGCAUCACUCAAUUAGUGGGGGCAAAUAACGUCUUAAGGAAAUCGACAUUUGUAACGUGCCUUGAAGCACACAAAAUUUCUGCAGUUUCUUCCUAUAUACAGAGUUAGUUGUAAACACAUUACUUUACAUAAUAAAGUUCCACCAUUAUUGUUGUAUUUUUCUACAUUUGCCAUUCCCCACAAAUUUUACCACCAACAGGCAAUAGACUUAACAGAUUUUGACAGUGAUAUGCUCUUAGAAUUUCAAGAUGUUGAAAAAUGAAGUCCGGCUGUUUGGAAUCGUGUUUCCACAGUUGCUGUAGAUGAUUAAGUCUUGUCAGGUGUAACUCUUUUAUCAGUGCUAGCUUCCUCGCAUGUGUCUCCAAAUACCACUUCGUACGAACAAUCCGACAGGUGGAGAAAUUCCAGAUUGUGAAACCUCUCAAGUAAACCAAGUGGAAAGAAAGCUAAGUCAUCAUCCUCAACCUGUAGUCGUUUGAGACUGCCAAAGAUGUGUUGGGGGAAAUGGCCUUGCAAAAUCAUCGUGAUAUCUUUUCCACUUAAUGCCAGUUCCUCCAAGUUGGGUAAGAUCUGAUCAUCAUCGAGCUCAAAUUAUUAACUCAGCACAUUGAUCCAUAAUUCAAGACUGGCAAAAUUCAUUAUGUAAUCAAAGUUUUCAAUGAUUAUAUAUAUAUAUAUAUAGUGCUUUCGUUGGAAUUAAUUAUUAAAAGCUUUAAUCAAACAAUGUUUGGAUUGGGUCGGCCUAUCCAACUUUUAAAUAAGAUUACCAACUUUAAAUUAAAAUUGCUUUAGAUCGCGGUUGGUCAGGUUUUAGUGGAGGUACGUGGCGUUGUAUCUAGAUCGAUGCAGAGCCAAGUCUGUCCUUUGGAACCAGAUCUGACUUAGGACAGAUCAAUAUUCCGCACGCUCUAGUUUCCAGCCGAUAUACCAAUAUUAUUUACCAAAUAUUUAUUAAGUUCUUUAGUCAAGCCUAGCAACAACAUUCAUCUAAAGGCUUGGGUGCAUACACAGUACUAUUUCCUUCUGGUAUCAGAGCCAAGGGGAGGAUAGUGUAAUACAGUUUAGAGUUUUGUGUUUAAAGACUUGUGUUUUAUUUUGAAGUUUUGUUGUGUGGUGAAUUUUUACUGGUAGUAAGUCCCGUCCAAGGAUAAGUUUUUCGUUUAGGGCUGUAAAACCAUACCUGUAGCCAUUCUGACCAAACCAUAAAUAGACCAUAGGUUUGUAACCAUGGAUCCUCUACUCUGUAGAACAUCGUCCUUUUCUAGCUCUUCUUCCGGGAAGACUAGUGAUUCAAAGCAUGUUGUGAGUUCAGAAGAAUUCGUUAUUGAGAACUUUGAUAAAGCAAUUGAUUGUUGGGAACUUCCAAAAGUUUCUAAAGAAAAGAUUUACAAAACAAAAAAGCUUGAUUUUCUAAAAAAUGAUUAUGUAAUAAAGACUGAAGAAAGAGACAUAACUCUCUCAGAACCUUUUGAAACAAUUCAUUUGUUUUCAGAAAAAUCUUUAAAGAAAUUAAGAGAAAAGAAUUAUAAUUAUAUUCACAUUGGUUUAAUCCAAGUUGGAAUAAAACCUUUGACCAAAGAAGGCUUGGAUACUUCUAUCCUUACUGUCCUUAGAGAUGGGCGAUUCAUCUCUUUUGAUGAUUCUUUGCUAAGUAGCAUCGAAUCCAGUCUUUGUAAAUGUCCGAUCUCUUUUGAUUGUUAUCCAAACAUAACAAUUUCUCUUAAAGAUAAAAACAUUUUGAAAAACAUGAUCUUACAAAUCAAAACGCAUAAUUAUAAUAUGAUUAAGGGAUCUGUCCCAGUUGCCUUAAUUUUCAAAAUUUCUUAUAAAGCCAUGAUCUUUGCGUUCAGUACGCAACACAAAUUCCAGUCAGAAAGAGAUGAAACUCUUCUCUUGCAGACUGAUAUGUCUAAAGCCAAUACUGUCAUUCCAAAACCAAUCUAGUGGAAAGAUGUCAAUCUUCCAGAAGAAUGGAUUCUUGAAGGAGCUGCUCCACCAGCAAUUCCAAAACAACUUGAACCUAAUACGGAGUUGCAAAAAGUGACUCAGUAUUCUGAUGGUAGAGUUAAACUGUCUUUCAGGAGAUCUAACUCAACCAGAUUUUCUGAUAAAGAGUCGUGUUCAAGUAUUCCUUCAUUAGAAAGGAAAUUCACAAAAAUCCCUUCUGUCAUAAAUCUUCAUUUUCAAAGUCAACCUAGGUUUUCCACUUCGGCUAUACCUAGUUCUUCCAUUUGUUCUGUUGACUAUACUACAAACAUUCCUCAUCCUAUUUAUACUAGCAGUCAACAUGAACAAAGAUAGGAAGAGAAGUAACCUUCUCCUCCAACUUCCCCUACAUUCUCUGUUGUCACAGAAAAUGUAAUUAAUGUUAUUGAAAAAGAAUUUGAACUGGAUAAAACUCUCCUUCAUAAUGAUUUUUAUUCAGAUAAUAAUAAAGAAAAGAGACUUUGGUUUUUUAAACAUUUUUUAAAUCAAAGAAAAGAAAUCCAACAAUUUUAUUAUGAAUUUGUGAACCUUCACCAAGUUCAUAUAUUAUUUUUUGAUUGGUUCGAAAUACAUUCUUCUGAUAAUAACAUUUCUUACCCCUUCAAAGAGUCAAACCCUAUUACUAUUAGGAAGAAAACCACUGAAUGGAAACUUUCUGAUAGUGAUAAAACCAUAGAAUCUGAGCAUCCACCUCUUCGGAGCAUAACCGUUGAUCACGGCGAACCUCCUAUUCAAAUUAGAGCUUCACCUUAUAAAAUCCCUAAACCAAAUGAUUCUGAUGCAAAUUUAAGUAGUAUUAUUCAACAGAAUAAUUUCUGUAAUACUAACUUAAAUACAAUAGGAAAACAGUUGACUAGAAUAGAAAACCAAUUCCAACAGUCAACCAUAGCUAUUUCUCCUGUAGCAAAGCCAAUUCCUUCAAAAUCGGAUUCUGAUAAAAAGCUUAAGGAACCUAUUUUCAAACCUUUUCAGGUUUCGAAAACUAGCCAAAAGCUUGUCCAAGAAUCAAAAUCAGAUUUUGCUAAAGCCAUUAGGGAACAACUAGAUAGGAUAGAAGCUGUUUCUUCCUCAUCUAACAGAGUCCAAAUAGCCCCUGAUACUCCCUAAUCUAGCAAGAUUGGAGUAUUAGAACAAGACCAGGUUUUUAUUGCCUCUUCCAAUCUAGAAGCCUUUACAGAAGAACCUAUUCCUAAAGCCAAUAAAAUCCAUUGGGAUUUAGCUCUCCCAACUGUCAAGUCUCCACCUGAUUUGGCCAUAGACAAUAGGCCUAGUGCAUUAAACCAAUCACGUUUUAAUGCAUCCUCUGUCUAUGAGUGGAACAUUGAUGGUAUGUCAGAAUAUAACAUCUUAGGAUUGUUGCAACAGAUGACCAUGGCAGCCAAUGCCUAUAAAACCCAAUCGGGAACUUCUGACAAGGCCAUUGCAGAAAUUCUUAUUGCGGGUUUUACUGGUCAACUUAAAGGAUGGUGGGAUCAUCUUCUUACCAAACCGCAACAAUUAGAUAUCCUAAACUCCAUACAAAUAGAUGAGAAUGGUGCCCCCAUUCUUGAUGAGUUCAAUAGUCCUAUUCAGGAUGCUGUUGCUACCCUGAUUUUGACUAUAUCCCUCCAUUUCAUAGGUGACCCUGCUCACCUUAGAGACAAAAACGCCGAGUUACUAUACAAUUUGAGGUGUAGAAAACUUAGUGAAUUCCAAAGCUAUAAAACCUCUUUCUUCACUAGACUUUUCCUUAAGGAUGAUGCUAAUCAUACAACUUGGAAGGAGAAAUUCCUUGCAGGUUUACCAACCUUACUAGGAGAAAAGGUUAGAAAUUCCAUUAAAGCCCUUUAUGACAACCGUAUUCCUUAUGAUGAGCUCACCUAUGGUGAACUUGUCAGUUUCGUCAAUAAGGAAGGCUUAAAGAUCUGUCAAGAUUUGAAAUUACAGAAACGACUUAAAUGGGAGCUUAAAAAGUCUAAGCAAGAAUUGGGCAGUUUCUGUAAACAAUUCAAUUACGACCCCUUUAAGACUUCUACCUCCAAAGAUUGUAAUGGUAAGUGUUCUACAAAACCUUACAAGAAACAUUACAAGUCUAGAUUCCGUAAAAAACCCUUUCAAGACUUUAGAGAACUUCAUUAUAAGAAACCUUCGAGGCCUUAAAAGAAACCGAGUUCUUCUAAAAAGAAAGAGUUUAAAGCCAAACCAAAAACUCCGUACAAAACCCUAUUCAAUUACAGAGAAGCCAUAUGUCACAAAUGUGGUAUGAAAGGUCAUACUGCAAAAUAUUGCAGAAUGAGCAGAAAGCUCCAUGAGCUAGACCUAGAUGAGGAAACCCUCUCCAAAAUUACCUCUCUGCUCAUAGAGUCUUCUGACUCUGAGUCUUCCAUGUCGGGAGAUAGUGACCCUCUUCAAGUUGAUGAGAUAAUUGACUCAGAUGAUUCUGCAUCUAGCAGUAUUGAUUCUGAAUCAGAUCCUUAUUUAAAGAAAAUCAAUGUUUUAACUAAAGACCAAGAAAUUUUUCUUGAACUUGUAAAACAUAUUUCCGAUCCGAAUCUUCAAAAGGAAUACCUAGACAAACUUUUGAAAACUCUGGAUUCUAACAAAGCAGAAACUUCUAAAGUUCCAAUUGUUAAAAAGAAUUCUUACGAUCUCACUGAAAUUUUGGAUAAAAAGAAAACAAAAAAGUUAAUUCCUAAUAUCCAAGAUCUUCAUAAAGAAAUCAAAGAUAUCAAAAUUGAGAUUAAAGAAUUAAAAGAAAAACAAAAGAAAGAUUCUGAAACCAUCCAACUUCUUAUACAAAAACAAUUAGAAGAAAACUCAGAAAAAGAAGUUGAAUCUGAAAGCGAUAACAAUCAAAAUGUUGACAACAUUGAAUCUGUACCUAAUGAUUUUCUGUUUGUCCUAAAACAAAUCACCACUAGAAAAUACUUAAUUAAAAUAACUUUGAUUUUUUCCAAAGACUUUGCUAUUGACGCCAUUGCCCUUUUCGAUACUGGUGCCGAUUUAAAUUGUAUAAGAGAAGACAUUGUCCCCAAAAGAUUUCAUGAAAAAACAAGGGAAAGGCUUUCCACCGCCAACAAUUCAAAACUUAAAGUCAAUUCUAAAGUGGAAGCCUCAAUACAUAACAAUGGAUUCGAAUUUAAAACUUCAUUUCUUCUUACAAAUGACAUUCACCAUACUGUCAUUUUAGGAACCCCGUUCAUAAAUUUAAUUACCCCAUAUACUGUCAAUUAUGAUAGUAUAUCUUUCAAAGCAAAAUCUAAAAAACUUGUUUUCCCUUUUAUUGAGAAACCAAAAACAAGAAAUCUAAAUAUUGUUAAAGCCUGUUCUGUUUACCAAAAUCAAAUCAACGCCAUACUUAAAUCCAAACAAAAUGACUUGUUUUGUUUAAAAAAGAAUUUAAGUCUACAACGAAUUGAAAACCAAUUACAAAAUGAUUUUAUCCAAAGAAAAAUCAAUGAUUUUAGAGACCUCAUUGAAAAAGAAAUAUGUGCUGAUUUACCAUCUGCUUUUUGGAACAGAAAACAACAUUUGGUAGAUUUGCCCUAUGAAAAUUCUUUCGAUGAAAAAAAAAUACCCACUAAAGCCCGUCCAAUCCAAAUGAACAUGGAAUUGGAAAAACAUUGUAAAGAUGAGAUACAAGAUUUAGAAUCUAAAGGAUUAAUUACAAAAUCUAGAUCUCCAUGGUCUUGUGCCGCUUUUUAUGUAAACAAAAAUUCUGAGAUUGAAAGAGGAACACCGAGACUUGUAAUAAUUUACAAACCCUUAAAUAAAGCAUUAAAGUGGAUUAGGUAUCUCAUACCUAACAAAAAAGAUUUACUCCAAAAAUUGUGUUCCGCCUUUAUUUUUUCAAAAUUUGAUAUGAAAUCUGAAUUUUGGCAAAUUCAAAUCCAUCCUAAAGACCGUUACAAAACUGCUUUUACUGUUCCAUUCGGACAGUAUGAAUGGACUGUUAUGCCAUUCGGUUUGAAAAAUGCACCCUCAGAAUUUCAAAGAAUUAUGAAUGAUAUUUAUAAUCCUUAUUCUGAUUUUUGCAUUGUCUAUAUAGAUGAUGUUUUGAUUUUUUCUCAAACCAUCGACCAGCAUUUCAAACAUUUAAAGACUCUCUAUUUUGCCACUAGGAAGGCUGGCUUAGCCAUUUCUAGUUCAAAAAUUUCUCUAUUUCAAACUAAAGUCUGGUUCCUUGGUCAUUAUAUUUCUAGAGGAACUAUUACCCCAAUUGAAAGAUCUCUUGCAUUUGCUGAUAAAUUUCCUGAUAAAAUUCUUGAUAAAACUCAAUUGCAGAGAUUUCUUGGUAGUUUAAAUUAUGUUCUUGACUUCUGCCCUAAUAUCAAUAGGAUGUCUAAACCUCUGCAUGAUCGGUUAAAAAAGAAACCUGUUGCAUGGACAGAUGAACACACUAAAGCUAUUCGAUUAAUAAAAAAUUCUGUAAAGAAUAUUCCUUGUUUAUUUUUAGCCAAUCCUGCAUUACCUAAAAUAGUUGAAACUGAUGCAUCUGAUUUAGGUUUUGGAGGUAUUUUGAAACAAAAGGAAAAUGAUAAAGAACAGAUAGUACAAUAUGUUUCUGCACAUUAGAAUGAUUGCCAGAAAAACUAUUCUACUAUCAAAAAAGAAAUUCUUUCUAUUGUCUUAUGCAUAUCUAAAUUCCAAAGUGAUUUAUUAAAUCAAAAAUUUUUGCUUAGAAUUGAUUGCAAAGCUGCAAAACAUGUUUUAGAAAAAGAUGUUCAAAACAUUGCAUCAAAACAAAUUUUUGCACGAUGGCAAGCCAUUUUAAGUGUUUUUGAUUUCGAUAUUGAAUUUAUUAAAGGUGACACAAAUUCUGUUCCUGAUUUUCUAACCAGAGAAUUUUUACAAAACAGAUAAUGCCGCCAAGAAAGAAUAACAAAGGUAAAGUUGUUCUUAAAGAUACUGAGUCCCAAGCCACCUCUAAAGAACCUCAACCAACUCCCUCUAAAGAAAAACUACUUUCUUCUGCCAUGCCCAUCAAGUCCUGGAUUGAAAUGGUUGAAGAACAUGAAGCCCAAUACAAAACUAUUUCUUCUGAUGACCAAGUAAAGGAAUGGAUGAGUUCCAUUACAAAAUCGCCUGAGCUUAUGCUCGCCCUCCAAAGCUUUUCUCAAAGUCAAAUUUCUCCUAAAGAAGAAAUUGAAAAAGAAAAACCUAAGUCCAAAGAAAUGACAAAACCUUCUUCUCAAAACGUUGUUGUCUCCGGUGAAAGCUCAUCUUCUCAAAUUGUGCUUUCCCAACCAACACUUUCAAAGAAAUCAUCCGAUUGGUUUGAUAAAACCCAUUUUCAAAACAUUUUAUCUAUAGAAGAUGGAUUUUACCAUACUGAUCCUUUUCAAGCAAUUUCAAAGUUUUUCCCCAAAUGCUGGUUUUUUAAACCAUGUUAUUUAACAAAACCCCAGUCUUACUAUCAAAGCAUUUUAGAAAUUACUGAGUCAGUUAAAUUCAAACAUUUCUUUCUCAGUGAUACCCAUUCAGAGCCAGCCUAUUCCACGGCUACUAUUUUAAAAGUCCUGAGCCCAAACCAGUGGGGGGAUCUGCUCCACAAUUUUAAAACCUUCCCUUUAAACUUUCAAACACGUUUACCACAUUGUCGGACUUAUUCCUACUGGGAUUACCAAUAAGCCUGGUAUAACACAUUUUUUAUCCAAAACCCCAAAAAAUCCCACUCUUGGUUAUUUUUCUUCAAUUAAAAAAUAACCGUCCAAAGCCUCCCAAACUGGUUUCAUCAUUGGUGGAAUUCUUUUGGCCCAAUACCUCAAAUCCUAACUCCAAAUGCUACCCAAUGUUUAAACUUCUUUAAAGCCCACUACAUUCCUUCUGAAUCUGAGAAAAGGUUUCCACCCUUUCUCUGUUUCUGUACAAAUUUCUUCCUUCCAUGGGUAUGGAUGUGGAACCUCAGACUUCAUACCCAAGAUGCCCAGCUUAUCUUACAAAGAACAUUCAAAGUAAAAUGGUGGUCAAAAUUUGACGAACAAACCAAACUUACUGAUACCCUCAUCAGAAAUUGGCUUUGUUCCAAAGGCUUCCUCCAACCAACCAUUAAGGGAUCCAAAGCCCAACAAACCUUCCUUACUCAAAAGUCCAAAGCCCAAUCUCUUCUGGCAAGUGCCAAAACCGAAAAAGAAUACUUCAAAGCUAUGGAACAACUCCUCGCCUCCAGGUCAAAGUCAUCAGUGGCAGAUUCCUCUGAAGAUGAAGACAAUGAAGAAGAGGAAGAGCCGUUUAUCUCUCUUGGAGAUGAAAAUGAAGACGACUAUUUCAGAAUUUUCUCUCCUGUAAAGCAUUGUAAAUAAUUAUUGUUUAAUUAAUGUAAAAAAAAAGUAAAUACUCAUUUUUUUUAUUUAUAUCAUUCGGGUGGUCCCUUGGACACAAGUGAGAGCGCACAUGUCUCUUCACCCGUAUUGUAUGUCUACAAAGUCACUAUUUCAACAUACGCUCCAAAAGCUUAUUGUUACAUACGAUCCAAAGCUUACUGUUUGCUUCAACCCCGUUACAGUGAACAGUGCAGAGUUCCAAAGAUUACUGUAUGCUACAGCUCCGCUACAGUCUACAGUUUAAAAUUUCAUUUUGUAUAUAAUCUGAAGGAAGACUCAGACUCCUCAGAUUUUUUGAAUCUCCUCUCUCUCUAAUUUUCAUUUUCUCUCUCUCCUCCCUGGGAAUCAGGAAUCCGAAGGCACUAAGGAAAUUUUUCUGUUUACAGAAUAGUUCCUUACCUUCAGGAUUAAUUUCCCUUUUCUUUUCUACAAAGAAAAAGCAAUUGAUGUAAGCAUUUUAAUUUUCAGUAUUAUUUCAAAGCAUUUGUAAAUUUUAUUUAAGGCUUUCCAUGUAUGUUUAAAUUUCUGUACUUUAAUUUUCGCAAUUUACUUUAAAGCAUUUUUAAAUUUUUAUGCAGACUGAUCUCUAUCAGAUCUGCCAUAAAACUGCUACGUUCCUCUGAGGCAACGAGACCAGAUCUCAAUCCUCAGUUGUAUUCUUUCUCUUCUCCCUCCAUUCCUUUAGAGCACUAUUUCCGGGAACCGGAUCUAGUACUGUGUAUGCACCCAAGCCUUUAGACGAAUGUUGUUGCUAGGCUUGACAAAAGAACUUAAUAAAUAUUUGGUAAAUAAUAUUGGUAUAUCGGCUGGAAACUAGAGCGUGCAGAAUAUUGAUCUGUCCUAAGUCAGAUCUGGUUCCAAAGGCAGACUUGGCUCUGCAUCGAUCUAGAUACAACGCCACGUACCUCCACUAAAACCUGACCAACCGUGAUCUAAAGCAAUUUUAAUUUAAAGUUGGUAAUCUUAUUUAAAAGUUGGAUAGGCCGACCCAAUCCAAACAUUGUUUGAUUAAAGCUUUUAAUAAUUAAUUCCAACGAAAGCACAUCCAUCCUUCGAUCCUAUUUCCUUCUGGUAUCAGAGCCCAAUAAUUAAUUCCUUCAGAUUAAAUCAGAUGCAUCAGUUUCAACUAUUUUAGGUAAUGCGGGAUUGGCUAAAAUAAACAAGGAAUAUUCUUUACAGAAUUUUUUAUUAAUCGAAUAGCUUUAGUGUGUUCAUCUGUCCAUGCAACAGGUUUCUUUUUUAACCGAUCAUGCAGAGGUUUAGACAUCCUAUUGAUAUUAGGGCAGAAGUCAAGAACAUAAUUUAAACUACCAAGAAAUCUCUGCAAUUGAGUUUUAUCAAGAAUUUUAUCAGGAAAUUUAUCAGCAAAUGCAAGAGAUCUUUCAAUUGGGGUAAUAGUUCCUCUAGAAAUAUAAUGACCAAGGAACCGGACUUUAGUUUGAAAUAGAGAAAUUUUUGAACUAGAAAUGGCUAAGCCAGCCUUCCUAGUGGCAAAAUAGAAAGUCUUUAAAUGUUUGAAAUGCUGGUCGAUGGUUUGAGAAAAAAUCAAAACAUCAUCUAUAUAGACAAUGCAAAAAUCAGAAUAAGGAUUAUAAAUAUCAUUCAUAAUUCUUUGAAAUUCUGAGGGUGCAUUUUUCAAACCGAAUGGCAUAACAGUCCAUUCAUACUGUCCGAAUGGAACAGUAAAAGCAGUUUUGUAACGGUCUUUAUGAUGGAUUUGAAUUUGCCAAAAUCCAGAUUUCAUAUCAAAUUUUGAAAAAAUAAAGGCGGAACACAAUUUUUGGAGUAAAUCUUUUUUGUUAGGUAUGAGAUACCUAAUCCACUUUAAUGCUUUAUUUAAGGGUUUGUAAAUUAUUACAAGUCUCGGUGUUCCUCUUUCAAUCUCAGAAUUUUUGUUUACAUAAAAAGCGGCACAAGACUAUGGAGAUCUAGAUUUUGUAAUUAAUCCUUUAGAUUCCAAAUCUUGUAUCUCAUCUUUACAAUGUUUUUCCAAUUCCAUGUUCAUNNNNNNNNNNNNNNNNNNNNNNNNNNNNNNNNNNNNNNNNNNNNNNNNNNNNNNNNNNNNNNNNNNNNNNNNNNNNNNNNNNNNNNNNNNNNNNNNNNNNCGUUGGUCUCUAAUAGGAUGAGGAAUGUUUGUAGUAUAGUCAACAGAAUGAAUGGAAGAACUAGGUAGAGCCGAAGUGGAAAACCUAGGUUGACUUUGAAAAGAAAGAUUUAUGACAGAAGGGAUUUUUGUGAAUUUCCUUUCUAAUGAAGGAAUACUUGAACACGACUCUUUAUCAGAAAAUCUGGUUAAGUUAGAUCUCCUGAAAGACAGUUUAACUCUACCAUCAGAAUACUGAGUCACAUUUUGCAACUCCGUAUUAGGUUCAAGUUGUUUUGGAAUUGCUGGUGGAGCAGCUCCUUCAAGAAUCCAUUCUUCUGGAAGAUUGACAUCUUUCCACUGGAUUGGUUUUGGAAUGAAAGUAUUGGCUUUAGACAUAUCAGUCUGUAAGAGAAGAGUUUCAUCUCUUUUUGACUGGAAUUUGUGUUGCGUACUGAACGCAGAGAUCAUGGUUUUAUAAGAAAUUUUGAAAAUUAAGGCAACUGGGACAGAUCCCUUAAUCAUAUUAUAAUUAUGCGUUUUGAUUUGUAAGAUCAUGCUUUUCAAAAUGUUUUUAUCUUUAAGAGAAAUUGUUAUGUUUGAAUAACAAUCAAAAGAGAUCGGACCUUUACAAAGACUGGAUUCGAUGCUACUUAGCAAAGAAUCAUCAAAAGAGAUGAAUCGCCCAUCUCUAAGGACAGCAAGGAUAGAAGUAUCCAAGCCUUCUUUGGUCAAAGGUUUUAUUCCAACUUGGAUUAAACCAAUGUGAAUAUAAUUAUAAUUCUUUUCUCUUAAUUUCUUUAAAGAUUUUUCUGAAAACAAAUGAAUUGUUUCAAAAGGUUCUGAGAGAGUUAUGUCUCUUUCUUCAGUCUUUAUUACAUAAUCAUUUUUUAGAAAAUCAAGCUUUUUUGUUUUGUAAAUCUUUUCUUUAGAAACUUUUGGAAGUUCCCAACAAUCAAUUGCUUUAUCAAAGUUCUCAAUACCGAAUUCUUCUGAACUCACAACAUGUUUUGAAUCACUAGUCUUCCCGGAAGAAGAGCUAGAAAAGGACGAUGUUCUACAGAGUAGAGGAUCCAUGGUUAAAAACCUAUGGUCUAUUUAUGGUUUGGUCAGAAUGGCUACAGGUAUGGUUUUACAGCCCUAAACGGAAAACUUAUCCUUGGACGGGACUUACUACCAGUAAAAAUUCACCACACAACAAAACUUCAAAAUAAAACACAAGUCUUUAAACACAAAACUCUAAACUGUAUUACAGUAGUUUUCUGGUCAGGGAAUUUAAAGUGCGGGAAAGUCCGGGAAAGCUUUAAAACCACACGGCUUUAAAGGCUUACAAUUUUAAGCCUUUAAAACCAUGCGGUUUUAAAGGUUUCCCGUACUUUCCUGCACUUUAAAAUUCCUGACUGGAACAUUUCUAUAUAUAUAUAUAUAUAUAUAUAUAUAUAUAUAUAUAUAUAUAUGUAUGUAUAUUUCUUCUCUAGUGCGGACGCCCUCAUUUUCUUUUUCAUGCGGACCAGUUUUUAGACCCCAUGGUUUAAAAGACUUAGUUUUUAACUCUCUAAAACCGCAUGACUUUAUAAUUCAUUUAAAAACUAACUAUCUUAAACCGCACGGUUUAAAAGUGUGUCCCCAUUAAAAAAAAUGCGGACCCCCACACCUAAGAAUGAUUAUAUAUACAUACACGCUCUUAAACCGUGGGACUUGAAAGCUUCUCCGCAUGAAAAAAGUAAAAAAUGAGAGCAUUCCCACUAGAAAAAAACUCCAUAUAGGUAUUUAUUAAACCUCCUAAUCUGUGAGUGAGGAACAACAAAGAUAAUUGAUAAAAAAAAUCUAAAAUUUGGUUUCAUACCUUCUUGAACGAGAGCAGGGGCUGUUGUACCGGAAUACCAAAUUGAUCAUUCUCGUUAUUCUGGGACAACGUUAUUUUAUCACAAUUACAGGCUUCCAAUUUUUUUAGUGCUGGCCAUUCUGAAGUAUGCAUUCCAGGGUAUAAACAUCUGAGUUCUGGCUUUUGGAAAGACAAAAUAUGGGGUCACUUGAUCUGCUGUGUCUUUGGAGAUGAUCUCUUGUAAACCCAUACAUAUCCGUAUCUCCAGGUGUUGGAGGUGCUUAAGGCUUUGGAUCAUAGAAGCUGAAAAUAUGUAUUUUAAUUUGUCACAGCCCCACACUAUCAAUCUUGUCAAGCUUUGAAAGCAAGUAAUCAUGGCCGUAAGUUGAUUGUCAUGCCAAAUCUCGUCGACAUUAAUAGCAUUCAGCUCCAAAGCCUCCAAAUUUGGCAACACUACCUAAAGAUAAUUUUCUCUUUAGAUCCAAUAUCAGUAUGAAAAGCACUUGUUUUGACACAAUAUCCAUAUGAGAAGCACUUAAUUAAGAGCUUAAUUAGCGAGUGUAUCAGACUUUUUUUUUUCAAAUGCGAGUGCAUGAUAGAACUAAAAAAAAAAGAAGAAGCAUUGGCCUACGUACCUUCUUGUUGAAAAGCAGAGUUGACGUUUCGGAACUGAUCUCGUUGGAACUGGCUGUCAAUUCCUCUUGCGACUCUUGUCUGUUUGGUGAUGUGGAAGGAGUCUUCACUUCACCGCAAAACCUUGUAACCUUUGGAAGCUUUCCCAGACUCAAAGAUCUUAAUUGACCAAACUCUAUCUUCUCAUCAACAUCAACAUCAGCUUCUCCUCCAGUUGCAAAAAUCUCUUCCAUGCUGCUGCAAUUGAUAACUGCAAUCCUCUCCAGUCUUGGAAGGCAUUUUGUACUACUAGAGAGCCAGAAGAUAUUACUCAACUCAUCACAAUUUUCUACUUUUAUGGUUUUGAGUUCAUUGAAGGACUCUAUUUUGAGUCGAUCAAUACAUAUCCUCUCCGUAUUGAUCAAAUUGUGAAGAGUAAGGGACUCCAAAAGAGGAAAGGCGACACAAGGUUCUCUCUUCAUUGAAUCGACGAUACACAGGAUGUCUGGAUUAUUUUGAACAUGGAGAUGCUUCAAUUGUGAAAAUCCCUCGGUGUCCAAUUCUAAAACAACAUUCUUGAUUCCUUGCAACUUAUCCAAACAUAAGUAUUCAACGUUAUUGAUGCCCUGCAACUUCUUGGAGGAAAUGGCCAUAGAAUCAAGCUUGAGCUUCAAUGUUCUUAAACUCUCAAGAUUACUGAUCAUAAAGUGCGGCCGACUUUGAAACCAGUCUUUUCCAAAUAACCAUGGUAGAGUCGAAAGAUCCAUCUCCUAUUGAUAUAUCAAACCUUUCCAGCUUUUUGGUAAAAAAGCCAUCUGGUAAAAUGCUAUCAUCUUUAACAUCUAUUUUUAAGGCGGUCAGUCGCUGCAAAUGCAUCAAUUCAUCGAGGCUGGCAUUACUUCUUUCACUAUUGGCUUUUCUCACUUCCCAUUCAAUAGAGCAGUUACUCAUAUACAGUUCUUCCAAUCGAGUGAAGCUUGAUAAGAUAUUGGGCACAAUAAAUUUUAGUUGCAAGCAAUCUGUUAAAUCUAGCAUCCUUAACUUAGUCAGUUGACCUAGUUCGUCAGGCAACCGUACAAUAUCAGACUUUAAAAAGCUAAGGAUUUCUAGAUUCUUCAACUUUCCAACUAUGGCUAUGUCUCCCAACAUGCUUUGAUCAAGACACAGUGUUUGAAGAUUUGCUAGAAGACCGAUUGAAGAUGGCAAUGAAAAUAAUCGUACCCUUGUCAAAUCUACGACUCGAAGCUUUUUCAUCCCUUUGAAAAAGUUGUUAGGAAUAUUGACCUCGACAAAAGAGUCUUCGGGAUCAAUAUGUAAAAAUUCAAGUUGCGGACAUUCGAAUUCCUCGGAAACUUCAUGAAUGCUACUAUUUAGUAAAGGGAUUGCAUAGCAUUUUUUAAGUGCAUCCUCAUCUGGCCACUCCCACACAGCGUCAUUUCUCACCAAUGAAGCAUGUUGGUCUCGACAUGCAAUUGAUAUGGCAACAUCGCAGACAACAUCAUGCAUAGAGAAUUGUUCAGUACUAUCACCCUCAAGCAACAAACAACAGUCUCUAAGUUCAUGGACCAGUGCAUAUAAUUUGUUUCGUGCAUCUUCCAUCUUAUUGACUCCAUGAAAUAUUCCUAAACCCAUAGAGUAUUUAAGCAAGUCUAAAAGACAAAAACUGUUGCCUAUUAGACUGCAGAGCAGAAAAAUUUUCUUGAGUUGCUCACCUUUUAAAUACUUGAAACUCAGUUCAAUACUUGAAUAAGUCUCUGCAGGCACACCUUCGAAGUUUACCACUGAAGGCGUUUGGAGUUCUCGCAAGGCAUUCUUCCACUCAUGCAGACUCUUGUUUCUCAGUGCCCUCGCUACUGUAGUCAGGGCAAUGGGCAAACCUCCACAUGCCUGGGCUACAUUAAUUGCUGUAGACUUGAACUUACAAUUUUCAACAUCAUCACCAUUCAUUAUCUUAAACAAUCUCCAAGCUUCUUCUUCAUUUAGAUUGCCAAUCAAGAAGUUAUCUUUGGAGCCCAUACUUAAUAGCACAUUAUUGUCUCUUGCUGUCAGCAGUAGUCUACAUCCUUUAUGAUCAUUUCCGAUGGGAAUUCCAACCGUCUCCAAAUCAACAUGUUUCCAGAUAUUAUCUAGAAUCACAAGAAUCUUAUUCUCAUUCUUCAGUCGUUCAUACAGCCUGCUAGCUCUUCUAUAUUCAGCUUCAUCGGACAACUCCAGACCUAACUUCUCUGCAAUUUCCCCUUGAAUCUUUUUUAUGUCUGGAGUUUGUGAAACCUCUGAAAAAACCACCCGAUCAAACAACUUGUCUUCCCUGGCUUGCGUAGCAAACUCCUUCACCAGUGUCGUCUUUCCAAUGCCGCCCAUGCCGUACACCCCAAUAAUGCUGACAUUCACAUCAGUCAACGCAUUUUGUAUAGACUUCAAAGUAGAAACUCUUGAUUCGAAGGCCUUGUAACCUUUGUUAGACUUAAGCCAUAUCUCCUCCGGAAUGGUACGAUGGGAAACGAUAUCAAACUUCUUAACUCCUUCUCCAAGUUCAACAAGGGCCUUCACCUCUGUCUCUGCUUUCUUGCUAAGCUGAUAGCGGGUCUUCAAAUUAGGACACAAGCCCUUGAGACAGCGCUUGUUUGUUGACUCCUCAUCUUCAAUGAAUUUGGCUGCCUGGUCAAUGAUGCCGUUUGCACUGACCAGCCACUUCUCAACCUUCUCUUCAAUCUCUUCCCCUUUUUCUUUCGCCUUUGAAACUCUGCGCUGAAUGCUCGUACGUUCAACCUCAACUUCUCCAUUUCCGCCUUGAGAUUCUCAAGGUUGGCAUUGUAGUUCCGCUUGCGCAAAUAAACAAGUUGGCGUUCUGUCGGAGGAGCCAGGCAUUUUACAAGUUCCAAAACGAGAGUAACAAUGAUUUCCAGCAUCUUGAAUCCUGACAGCAAUGUAGAAGUGAAGAAGGCCAAAGGACAGUAAAAACAGAGAGACAACGAUACGACAAGCAGUUAUAGAGCUACAAAUAAAUAACAAACAAACAGAAGCAAAGUGUUCUUCGAAUGAGAAGAAGGAAGCAAGAAAAGGGUUUCUAUUUAGAUUAAGAAUAAAUGUAAAGAGCUAAAAAAGCUGAUGGGUACAGAAUAAGAAAUGAUUAAGAGAAUGGGGGAGCUAACAAGACUGUGGAGUGAGCAGGCGUAAAUAAACUUUUCUUAACCUUUUGUCAUACGUGUAUAUAAAAUAAUAUAAUUAAUUUUAUAUUUUUAUUCAAUAACUAUUAAUUAUAUUUUUUUCAAAAUUAAUAAAAAGAAUAAUUAAGUACUGAAUCCAAAUCCUAUCCUAAAUGGUUAGAUAAAAAUAAGGGAAUGAAAAGAGUAAUGGUAGAUUAAUGAGAAGGUGAUUGAUUAAUUUAUGAGGCCAAUUAACGAAACGACAGAUCUGGUUUCCAUGUUUGUAGUUUAAGUGUAUGAGUACGAGGUGAACCGAAGCUUUGUCGAGUCAGGCAAAUAGAAAGAGAAAUUACUAAAACAAGAACCAGCAACUUUUACUCACACAUGAGCUAAUAAUGUAUUGAGAUUGUGCAGAGUAAUAUAAAAGAUUAAAACUAGUAUAAUCAAUUUGUCAUCAAGUUUUAGCCUUCUUCUUCAACCAAUUACAGCACGAUCUUGAGCUCUGUGUUUCUUUUUUUAAAUCAUUCAAAAGAUCUCUGUCAUUAAUUUUUCAAUGAUAAAAAUUAUAUUUUUGUCUCAUAAAAUAUAAAAUAUAAAAAAAUCAAACAUAUAUUAUAAGUCCGUUUGAGAUUAUUUUUAAAUAAAGUAUACAAAUCUCUAAAUUAACUUCGUCCCCUUGAAAUUCAGCAUAAAUAUAAAUAGAAUUAUAGAAAUCUUACUACCUUUUAUGAGAAAUCCAACUUAUAUAUUUGAGACUUCUCUCUCUAAACACACGCUUCCUCUCUCUGUACACUUUCCACCUUUAAAUUCUCCUUCAUUAAGUCUACCUAAAUGAAUUUAGCAUUCUCUCAGUUUCUUCAGCAUUUUUCUCCGUGAAAAUAGGUGAAAAAGAGAAAGUGAUUUGAUUAUUUUAAUGUACGACAGAUCUGAUUUCCAUCUCUGUAAUUUAAGUGUAUCAAAACGAGGUCAACAACUCUUGGUCGAGUCAGUCAAAUAUAAAAGACAAAUUACUAAACCAAGCAGAGCCACAAAAAAAAAAAAAAAUCCAAUUAAAUAAUCAUCAAGUCUUUUUCAAUUAAAAUAGGGGGUGCAGAACAACUGUCAAGAGAUAAUCAUUGUUUAUUAUAUUUUCGAUUAAAAUAGUUGCGCGUGAACGAUUGUCCGAAUUCGUAUAAAUUGUUGUAAGGUCUAUUAUAAUUAACAAGUGGAAUGGCCAAUGGAUGAAGAACCACUGUAAUUUCGUUUAUGAAUUUAAAAUGCUAAAGAAACUGGACACCAACGCUAAACGUGAGUCUGCCCAAUCUAGAUAAAUAGGAUAAAAAAUUAUCCGUCGGCUAUCUGAUCUUUUAGCCAUUAUAAAAAAUAUUAAAAAAAUAUACAAACAAUUUUUUUUUUUUUUCAACAAUCCAUCUGAUAUUUAUGAAGUGCAUUAGUGCUCCACUACUAUCAUAACCCUUUAAAAAUAUCGCUUAAACACAAGAACGUAUUGCCUAAAAUUAUUUUUCAAGCAAAUGUAACGACAUAUUUGGUUUUGAUCUUCGUGACUUUUUAAGUGUACAAGAACAAGAUGUAUGACCCUUUGUCGAGUUGAAGAAUUAAAAUAAAUCAGUUACAAAUCCAGAACAAACUUACGGGUGACAUUUUAGUAUUAAGCAAACUAUAAUUGAUCAUCCAAUGAUAGGCUUAUUUUCAAUUAAAUUAGAGUAAAUAUAGACAUUCCAAAUUUUUUCUCUCAAAUUUAAUCCUAGAUAAUGUGUUAUUAAUUGAGUGCUUGGUAAUUCUUUCAAGAUCUAAGUGAAUUAAUUAUAUUAUCUCUCCAACCAAUUGAUGAAUAUUAUAUUAUUAAAUAAUCAUCAAGUAAUACGACACUUCUCAUGUUCCGUUAACAUUUCAGUUAUAUUAUUAAUUAUCAUUUUAAUUUGGAUAGUAUUUUUGUUUAGGAGAAUAUAUCAAUUAUGAAAUUUUUAAUUUUGAAAAUUAAAGAAAUAAUUGAACUGAUUUUUUCUUAUUAAUUGAUAGCUUAGAUGCAUUUUGUUACAUGUUAAAAAAUUAUGAAUACAUAUCCUUUUUGGUAAUUUAAUUACACAAAAGCACUUUUAGUUUUGCACAACCAAACCGUUUAAUGGUUCAAAAGUACUUUUUUAAUUGACAACCAAACACCCAAUGACUUUUUUGUCCAAAAACUCUAUUGGUAUAAGCUCUACUUCUAUAAGCUCUACUGCUAUAAGCUCUAUUUAAUAAGUUGUACCAAACGGAGCCUUAAAAUCUAAGUGAAUUAAUUAUAUUAUCUCUCCAACCAAUUGAUGAAUAUUAUAUUAUUUGAGUUUUUUUUUUGUCUCAAAUCCCAGCAAAGAAAACAGAACAAACGGAGCAAAAAUAUUUUUACAAACCUAAAAUAACAAAAAAAGAACUUUUUCUUGUUUUUCUUAUUUUCCACUGUUAAACUUCAAAAUGAACAACUUUAUUCUACCAUCUCUCAAAUAAUAAUAAUAAUAACAACAAUGUCAUCAUCAUCAAUAAUAAUAAUAAUAAUAUAUUAACUUUGUAGGAUGGAGCUCUCGCAAAUCUUCAAGACACAAAAUGUGCUUGACCCCAUUGUUGUUAAUAUAAUUUCAAAAUCAUAUGUAUUAUAUAAUAUUAGAGAAUAUGACAUAGCAAAAUUGAUGGUACAUAUGCUGCAAUAUACUUGUUCAUGUGGCGACACAUUGAAGUAAAGCACAAGCAGAACAACGAAAAAUGUAACGGGAGAGCUCUCAUUAUGUAGAUUUUCAAUAGAAGUAAUGCAAAUUUCACAAGGGCAAUGGCCUUAUUUCGAAUGCUGCACCUGAGGAAUGACUUGAAUCUUCUUUAGAACUCAGGCAUUCUAUAAUCAUAGAGUAUAGCAUUUCAACAAAAAUAUUAUAUAAACAAAAAUAUUAUAUAGGUGGUUCCUUUAUAUAUUUUCUGGGUACACCUACAAAAAUAUUAUUUUAGGUACAUUUCUUGCAAUAAAACCUGCCCAAUCUAGCGUUUUCGUAAGUUGGGUUUCUCAUUUACAUUUUUUUCCAUUGGUUAAUUAUCACAAACCUCCACUGAGAUUUAGCAUGUUUUUAGUUUGAUAGAUUGUAUUCGCAUAUUCUCAAAUACCUUUUAGUUUACCACUUCGUAUAAAUUAAGUUGGUGAGGAUAAAAUCGUAAAAGUACACAUUAAUGAUAAAAAAAUUCAAGUAAACUUGAAAUUUUCAAGGAUUAAUUUUUCGGGACCUCCCUUGAGGUUCGGUGUAUUAAAAGUCUCAUAGAAUGUAUUCAUGUAAUUAUAAGAACCUCCCCUGGCGUUAGUACACAGUUAACUUGACUGUUAGUGGACUGAUAAAAAGUCAAAAAUGCCCUUGGCUACAAAAAUGAGUGCAACAAUUUGGAGCUAAAUAGUAAACACCACACUGGAGCACUAAAAAGUCUACAAUAAUCAUGGAAAACAAAUCAUUGACAUUUACAUAAUAUAAAAAAAAAAAGUAAAAUAUAAAUUAAGAAAAUCAACAAAAUUGUCAACGUAUUGAAUAUUUACAGCAGCAGUGGCUAUAAAUACAACCAUCGUCAAAUUAAAAUAUCACCAUUAGUAAACUACUUCAAUAAGACAAUAAACCAUGAUUCAAUCUUCAAUGCAUUCAAAAUACACAACCCGCACAAUAGAAUCACAUACGCACACCUGCUAAUGAAAUAUAAGAACAAACGGGAAAUUGAACUGACAUGGCUAAGAUACUCCUUCCCGAUAUCUAUUAGAAAGAUAAUGAGCGAUUUAUGAAUCAUGAUGCUUGCUUUACUUUCUGGCAGUGUUAACUUCAAAUUCAAUGAUAGUAAAUGAACAAUGGUUCAUUCAUUAUGAAAGUAAUUGUAAAGCUAGGAAUUUAUAAUAUUCAGAUGUUGGAAUUAGAAAAAUAUUUCUUAAUCGUUUCAAUUGAAGCCAAGGAAGAAAAAGAAAUGAGUCUUCUUUUUUCAGGCCACAAGCCAUAUGAAGAAGGCAGACCAGAGCAUAAGAACGAAUGCUAUUGCCACAGUAAAAGCCUGGAUCAAUGGGUAAUGGCACCUGCCAUGUCAAUUUCAUGACAAACAAAAAUCAAUUAUCAUCCCCAGACCACAACACCACCAAACCAACCUUUUGCAUCUAAAAUAACAAGUUAAUAAAUCAAAGAUUUCAAUUCAUUUAAGUUUGAAAUCAACUAAAAUAGAAAAAAAAAAACCCAAUUUCUUUUUUGUUCAAUAUAACUCAUUCAGCAUCUUCUUCAACACAUUUUUAUCAUUCUUCAUCAUCACAACAAUAAAAAGAACAAAAAACUUUGAGUUCAACAUGCAAUUCUUUUUUUUUGGGAAACUAACCUUUUUUAGGUUCCAAUUCUAGUAGUCUUAAACAGUAGCCGCCGAUGAAAUUCGCUUGGCAACACCCUUUUGCCACCAUUGCAGCUUGUCAUGUUCAUACUCAACUUAAAAUUACUUGAAGGCAGCAGGGAUUUUAUAGUUACAAAAGUUUCUUCAGAGCUUUUCAAGCUUGAAAAUGGAGUUUUCAUUCAUCUUAGAUAAAUUGAAGAUAAUUUGCAUUGUGGGUAAUAAAUUGAUUAUCAGUGUCUAAAUCUGGGUCAUCGACGCAACAUUGGAUUUUGUUUUGAUUUUCUUUGAUUUUUUUUAUGAAACCACUAAUUUACCCUCAUAUACUAACAAUAUACGAAAUGGUAUACUAACGUCAGUUACGUCAGGGAGCUCCCUAUAAUUACAUGAAUACUUUUCAUGAGACUGUCAAUACACAAAACCUCAGGGGAGGUACCUAAACAUUACCCAAUGGUAUCAUUUCUUGUAUGGAUAAUGGAUGAUUAGAUUUUGUUUUUUUGUUAUCCGACGAAGGAUAUUCAGUUGUUCUUUAUGUGUUCAUAGGCAAGAGCAUGAGCAUAUGCAUGAUUUGAUAUAUGCUUCUUGCAUUUUCUAAUUAAGUGUUCUCUUUCCUUGCCUUCUUAGUUUUGAAAGAAAGAUGUGAAGCAAGACAAACCCAGUGAAAUACACAGAGCAACAGAACCAUCAGAGGAAAAACUAAAUAACAGAACUACAAUUAAACCAAACAAAAUCAAAUAAACCGACGCAACAGAUGCCCUGAAUCAGGCAUUCCUUUUUCUCGAAAGAAAAUAUGUUUGCAUGGGUGGGAACCCAGUAUUUACUCAAGAGUUGAGGAGUUGGAAAGAUUUGGUAUUCAUAUCUUCUCAAUUCAUAUGCUUUAAUGCAGAAUCGACAGCUUUAUAUUAUUUUAUACACUUGCACUUGCUUGAGUAUUUGUGCCGACAUUUUCAUAUGUGAUGCUACUUCUUAGCCAGUAGAUAUGUUGAAGUACUACAAAACAGAGUAUUUGAUGAAGUUUUGCUACUUUCGUAUCCCCUUUUUUGUUGAAUUCUUUAUAAACAAAAAUUAGAAAGCUACAAAUAAUACAGUAGCUUGAAUUUAUAUGCUUUUAUGAUUAUUUGAUAGUUUAGUGCUGAUCAUAUGUGAUGAUAAACUUAGCUAGUAGUUUUAUAUUUAUUUUCAUAGUUUCCUUAGCGUUCACAUUUUGAUGAGUAAAUUAAGGAUUUCCAGAUGAAGUACAUAAUUAGAUGAAUGCUAAGGAACUGAAGUUUGAUUAAUUGAAAACAAAAAUAAUAAUGAACGUAAUUACGAAAAUGAACAAUGCAGAAGUAGUCCCUAUAGUAUUUCUAUAUUUUCUCUUGGUGUUUCUUAGUAUUCCUCAAUAUUUUUAAAAAAUGACAUGACGAUCUUUGAGUUGACAAAUCUUGGCCUGCUGCUUAGUACCCUUCCAACAUAUAAAGUACUAGAUGUUUUACUGAGAAAAUGACAAGAUCAUUUUUCAAAUUUCUUGCGCAUAUAUACGUAUGUACACGAGAAAUGAGAAUCAGUGAUUAUAAGACCUUGCAAUGAGACAAUAAUACAUCAUCAAAUCUAAAAAUACACAAGAAAUUCGGGACAUAUAAAUAACAAAAGACCUCUCAUUGAGUCAUCCAUAUUGAGAAUAAAAUGUCAAAAUGCAUACAAAGAGCUUAUACAGAAAAUGAAUGUACACAUAUUUAGAAUAAACUGUCUUUGAACUUUCGAUGGUCAAACAAAAGAAACAGACAGGAUAUAACACACACUAUCAUAGAUGUAGCGACACGGUGAAGUAAAUCACAUGAAGAUGGAAACGGAAACCCUUCACAACAUAAAAUUUGAAUAGAGGGGGAAAAAAAGGCUUCAUUUCGAAUGUUGCACGAAAGAAGAGUGACUUGAAUCUCCAUCAGUAUCCAAACAUUCUGCAAACAUAGUGCUGAGAAUUUUAACAAGAAUAACAGACAAAAUAUUGUGCUUCUAUACUUGUCAAAAAACUAGACAAAAAUAGUUCCCUUUUUGGUUUGUGAAAACUUGAUAUUUUUGAAAAUUCUAUCCAAUGCUUUCAAACAAUAUUUCCAUAAUAUAGUUGUUCAUAGCUAACCUUUGAUGGUGUAAGGAUUUGUUGUAGGCAUAAUGGGCUAAUUAUAUAUAUAUAUAUAUAUUUUUUUUUUUUUUUUUUUUACCCGCUGAAUGAUAUUCAGCUUCUUAAUUAUGUGUUCAUAGGCAGGAGCAUUUUCUUAAGUACUUUCGUUGCCUUCCAAGUUUCCAAUGAACAAACAGAGCACAAACAAAUUUAACGGAACAGUAACGAUGACAAUAAAUAAUUGGCAAGGAAAGAAAGAAAAAAGUUUGCAUGAUUUCAGGGAAUUAUAAAAUCUGAACACUUUCAACAUGCAAGUGUUGCCCCUCUUAAUGAAAUUUCAUCAUAAAAUGCUUGCAAGGAAUUAUAAAAUUUUAGAGAACAAGGGAACUCUCAAAACAAAAUACUCAAAUUAAAUUACAAUAGGCCAAAAGACGCUCAAUGACGCAAAUCUGCCCAUAAAAGCUUGAACGAAUCAUGAAAAGUGCAUUCCAUAUUGAUAGUAAACCAAGUGACCCAUUCUAAACAAUUGAGAUGAAAUUGUGAAACAACCCACGAGAUCAAAUAAAUAAAAUAAGAAUUAAUUACCAGCUGGGACUUUCUUCUUCAAAUUCGUAACUCCAAGUCAUAAGAAGCCUAUGAAAUUAGUCGUAAUCCACAGAGUAUGACGACGACCCCGCCAACAGCUGAAAAUAAAAUUCUUAUUCAUCAAUUUAAACUAACUUUAUAACAAAUAUCUUAUCGAUAUUUUAUUUAAAAAGAAAAAGCAAAUUUUGUAAAAUUUUUCCAUGGGAGAUAGAGAAUAACAUGUAUAUCCGUACCUUCUCAGCAUGUAAUUGUUGUAUGGUCGUCUUAAGAUCAUUACUAGCCCAACGCCGUUGAUUCGAUGUCUCUCCAUACCAAACGUUUACUCUUGGAGGCGUGCUUGAUUCUCCUGUAGUGAAAAUCUUCAAUUUGGGACAACCAAUCACAGAUAGAUCUUGCAAAGAUGGGAAUUUGAAGGUGUAAUUGGCAGAGCAAAAACUUGUGAGGCUAUCUAAAUCAAACAGUUCCAACCUCUUCAAUUUGCGGAAAACAAUCUCUUCUUUUUCAACCCCGUCUUUGUCAUUUAUUACCACCUCUGUCAUUGCUCUGCAUCCGUAUACACAAAGUGAUACGAGUUGCACUAGAGUUUUUGCUGUGGAGGAUGUUACCAAGUGUAUCAAUUCCUUGCAACCGAUAGCUACAAGUUUUGUUAGGUUCCGAAAAGAUACCGAUGAUGAUGGCAAUAGAAUUAACAGACUUUGACAAUGAUGUACUUUUAGAAUUUCAAGAUACUGAAAAAUGGGGCCAAGUUUGGAAUCUUGUUUGCACACCUGCUUCAGAUGAUAGUGCCGGUACAGCUUUAAUUCUUUUAUCAUUGCCAACUUCCCCACAUGUUUCUCUAAGCAUCCUUCCUUCGAAAAUACCUCUUCGUCGAAUGAAAAAAAAAACAGUGAGAGUAUUUCGAGAUUGUGAAAUCUCUCAAGUACGUUCCAGAUUGGAAAACCAGCUGAGUCAUCUUCAGCAAUCACUAGUCGUUUAAGACUGCCAAAAACGUGUUGUGGGAAAUCGGCCUGCAAAAUCAUCUUCGCGUCUUUUCCGCUUAGUGAUAGUUCCGUCAAGUUGGGUAGGAUCUGAUCAUCAUCAAUCAUAAUAACUGAUAAGGUCAAUUGGUGUUUUCUCAAAUGAUUUUAAGUAAUCCAAUCACAUGCAGUGACUUUAUAGUAUUUGUUUUAUAUUAUAUUUUACAAAAAAAAAAUUGAAUUAUUGAUAAAAUUUAUUAAAUGAUUUUUUAUAUAUUAAUUUUAGAGGUAAAAAAGAAAUUAGGGAAAAAAAGAAAUUAUUUUAUUGGUAAUUAAGUGUUUGGUAAAUUUUGUUUCAAGAAGUACUGUAAAUUUUGAAAACAAUUAUGGUCGUUUGGUAAAUUUUACUGUUAAACUGCUGAGAGAAAAUAAAUGACUAAAAUAUCCAUAAUAUAAGAUAAAAUUUACUUAUAUAUCUCCUAAAAGCAAUCCCAAACGGGCCCUAAGGAUUCUUUUAUAAAUGUUAUACCUAAAAAAGUUCAUAUAAUUAUUAAUCUACCACAUUGAUCCCUUAGUCUAGACUAGCAAAGAUUAUUGUAUAAUAAAAGUUUUCAAUUUAUUGAGUAUUAAUUUAUCAUUGCUUUGUCAUAUUUUUCAAAGUUAAAAAUAUGCUAUUGAUAAAAAAAUCUAGAAAAUGGCUUCAUACCUUUUCCAACGGCAAUGGGGGCUGUUGUGCAGGAAUACCAAGUUGAUCAUUCUCAUUAUUCUGCGAUAAAUCUGCAGCGAAUAUCUUUAAUUUGUCACAACGAUACACUAAAAGCAUUUCUAGCGCGAGCCAUUCCAAAGUAUGCAUUCCAGGGCACAAACAUCUAAGUUUUGGUAGAUCUUGGAGUCUCAGAGUGGUGAGCUGUGGAAAGACAGAAUAAGAAUUUGUCACUUGAUCUGCUCUGUUUUCAGAAAUAAUCUCCUGUAAAUCCUCACAGUCUCGUAUAUCUAGGUGUUGGAGCUGCUUGAGGCUUCCGAUCAUAGACGCUGCAAAUAUGUAUUUUAAUUUGUGACAACGCCACACAAUCAAUCGUGUUAAACUUUGAAAGUGAGGAAACACGGCCACCAGAAUUUGAUUGUAGUGCCAAAUCUUGUCGACAUUAAUUUCAGAUAUCUCCAAAGCCUCCAAGUUAGGCAACGCAACCUAAAAAAAUAAGAAUUUCUCGUUAGAUCCAAUAUCCAUAUGGGAAGCACUUGUUGAAAUUUUCUUCUUUGAUUACAAAUUAAUGCAAGUCUGAAUCAAUUUCCAACUGACAGCUGAGUAUGCAUUCUAAUUCAUACUACUUGUUAAGAGCUCAAUUAGUGAGUGCGUGAGAUUCUUUUUAUCCUUUUUUUCCAUUUUCUUUCACUUCUUUAAAUGAUUUAAUUAUUUUCCACGUAUGACAUCAAAAGAGAACGCAUGAUAGAAUAAAAUGUGUUAUACAUUAAAGAAAAUGUUAGCCUACGCACCUUCUCGUUGAAAAGCAGAGUUGAAAUACCCAAAGUGAUUUCGCUGGAGCAAUACAUAGUCGUCGAUUCCUCUUGCGACGCUCGUCUGUUCGGUGAUGCUGAAGGAGUCUCCACCUCACAGCAAAAACUUGUAACCUCUGGAAGAUUCCCCAGACUCAAAGAUCUUAAUUGAGCAAACUCUAUCUUCUCAAUUGCAUUAUCAACUUCUUCCCCAAUUGCAAAAAUCUCUUUCAUCUUGCUGCAAUUAAUAACAGCAAUUCUCUCAAGUCUUGGAAGGCAUUUUGUAGUAGAGAGCCAAAAGAUAUUACUCAACGUAUCACAACUAUAUGCUUCUAUGGUUUUGAGUUUGUUGAAAGACUCUACUUUGAGCCGAUCAACACAUAUCCUCUCCAUGUUGAUCAAAUUGUGAAGGAUAAGUGACUCCAAAAGAGGAAAGGCAUCACAAGCGACCAUCUCCCUUGAAUCGACGAUACAAAAGAUGUCAGGAUUAUUUUGAACCCAGAGAAGCUUCAAUUGUGAAAAGCCCUCCGUGUCCAAAUUGAAAAGAACAUUCUCGAUGCCUUGCAGCUUGUCCAACCAUAAGCAUUCAACGUUGGUGAUGCCCUGCAAUUUCAUGGAGCAAAUGUCCAUAAAAUCAAGCUUGAGCUUCAAUGUUCUUAAACUCUUGCGUUUACUGUUGAUCCAAAAGUGCGGCUGACUUUGGAACCAAUGUUGUCUAACACACUUGGGAGGCGUGAAUGACUCAUUUCCAAUAGAUAUUUUGAACCUUUCGAGCUUUCUGGCCAAAAAACCUUCUGGUAAAAUACUGUCAUUUUUAACGUCAAUUUCUAGAGUGGUUAGCCGAGGUAAAUGCAUCAAUUCGUCAAGGCUAGCAUUACUUCUUUUGCUGCUGGCUCUUUCAACCUCCCAUUCAAUGAAGCAAUUACCCAUAUACAGCUCUUCUAAUCGAGUUAAGCUUGAUAUGAGAUUGGGCGCAAUAACUUUCAGAUGGAAACAAUUGGUUAAAUCUAACAAUCUCAACUUAUUCAAUUGACCUAGUUCUUCUGGCAACUGCAUAAUAUCAGACAUCAGAAAGCUUAGGACUUCUAGAUUCUUCAACUUCCCAAUGAUUGCUAUGUCCCCCAACGCACUUUGAUCCAGACAUAGUGUGUGAAGAUUUACUAGAAGAUCAAUUGAAGAUGGAAAUGAAGAAAACUGCAUUCGAGUAAAAUCUAGAACUCUAAGCUUUUUCAUCCCUACAAAAAAGUUCUCAGGAAUAUUGAUUUCAAGAGAAGAAUCUUUGGGAGAGAUAAAUAAAAAUUCAAGGUUUGGGCAUUCUAAUCCUUCAGGAAAUUCACGAUUACUAUAAUUUCUUAAAGAGAUAGCAUUGCAUUUUCGAAGUGCAUCCUCUUCUGGCCAGUCCCACACAUCCUCAUUCCUCACCGAAAACACAUGUUGGUGGCGGCAUGCAAUCGAUAUUGCGACAUCGCGAACAACAUCAUGCAUUGAAAAUUCUUCAUUGCUAUCAUCCUCAAGCAACAAACAAGAGUCUCUAAGUUCAUGGACCAAUGCAUAUAAUUUGUCUCGUGCAUCUUCCAUCUUAUUGACUCCUUUAAAUAUACCCAAACCCAUGGAGUACUUAAACAAGUCCAAAGUAACAAUACGGUUAUUCAUUAGACUACAGAGCAGAAAAAUUUUCUUGAGUUGCUCACCUCUUAAAUGGUUGAAACUCAGCUCAAUACAUGAAUAAGUCUCUGCAGACACUCCUUCGAAGUUUACCAUUGAAGGCGUUCGGAGUUCUCGCAAGGAAUUCUUCCAUUCAUGCAGACUCUUGCUUCUCAGUGCCAUUGCCACUGUAGUCAAGGCAAUGGGCAAACCUCCACAUGCCCUGGCGACGUCUAUUGCUGUAGAUUUCAACUCACGAUUUUCAACAUCAUCACCGGCCAUCAUCUUAAACAAUCUCCAGGCUUCUUCUUCAUUUAAGUUGUUUAUCAAAAAGUUGUCUUUAGAUCCCAUUUUUAAGAGGACACUACGAUCUCUUGCUGUCAGCAGUAGUUUGCAUCCUUUAUGAUCUUCUCCAAAAGGAAUUNNNNNNNNNNNNNNNNNNNNNNNNNNNNNNNNNNNNNNNNNNNNNNNNNNNNNNNNNNNNNNNNNNNNNNNNNNNNNNNNNNNNNNNNNNNNNNNNNNNNNNNNNNNNNNNNNNNNNNNNNNNNNNNNNNNNNNNNNNNNNNNNNNNNNNNNNNNNNNNNNNNNNNNNNNNNNNNNNNNNNNNNNNNNNNNNNNNNNNNNNNNNNNNNNNNNGGCUUCCAUAGCUUGCCUGGCGACCUCCUUCAUCAAUGUCGUCUUUCCAAUGCCGCCAUGCCGUACACCCCAAUGAUGCUGACAUUAGCAUCGAUCAAUGCGUUUUUUAUGGCCUCCAAAGUAGAACGUCUUGAUUCGAAGGCCUCGCAGUCUUUGUUAGACUUGAGCCAUAUAUCCUCCGGAAUGGUAGGGUCGGAAAUUCUAUCAUCAAAUCUCCCAGCUUCUUCUCGGAGUUUAAAAAGGGCCUCCUUCUCUGUUUCUGCUUUCUUUCCACGCCGAUAGCGAGCAAACCAAUCAGGAAACAGCCCCAUGAGACAUCGACCGUCAUUUGCUGUCUCUUCGUCUUGAAUGAAUUUGGCUGCCUGCUCAAUGCUCUUGUUCGCAUUAACCAGCCAUUUCUCAACCUUCUCUACAAUCUUUUCACUUUUUCUUUCAGCCUCAGAAACUCUGCGCUGAAUCCUUUCUCUUUCAACCCUCAGCCUAUCGAGUUCUGCCUUGAGAUUCUCAAAGUUGGCAGCGGAGUUAUACCAAUAACUAAAUUCGCGUUGUGCGUGGGGAGACAAGCAGUUUACAACUCCUGGAGCAAUGCUUUUCAAAAUGUCCAUUUUUUUUUUUUUAUGGGGAAGUGAACGAAAUGGAAAUAGAACAGGGUCAACGACCGCGCAAUUGAUAAUCAAGUAGAAGCAAAACAAGCCAAAAUGGAAAAAGAAAUGAUAUUUGUACAAAACAAGGGGAAAAUCAGUGUAACAGAAGAGAAUCAAAGUGUUUUUGAGAUCAGAAAAUUGAACCAAGAAAAGGGUUGCUUGAUCCAAUGAAAAUGCAAAAAGCUGAUGGCAAAAGGGAACAAAGCUAAAUAAGAAAACGGCUAGCACGAGCAGUGACCACGAUCAACAGAAGCAAAGUGUGUAUGAGAUCAAAAGACGAAAAUGAGGAGAGGUUUUCUUGAUUGAGAAUUGAAGGCAAAGAGUAGGAGCUGACGAAUACGGGGAUCAAGAGGGAAAAACUGCUUGCUUGUAAAACUACUUUCAAGCGAAUCUGAUAAAAUUAUUUCAGUACUAGUGGGCGACUCCUUUUUAAACUGCAGAAGGGAAAAAAAAAAGUUCUGAAUUUCAAUAUAUUAAUCUCGUAAUCAAUGAUUAAUUAGUAGAUAAUCUUUCUAACAAAUAUGUGUUGAAUAGAUAUAUUUCUUGAUUAUUAGUAGGUUCGAUAUACUUUAGUAUAGGAAUGAAAGUACAAGUUGUGUCGUAUUAGAAUAAAAAUUGGACCUAAAAAUAUUGUUCUAUGGCCUUUUAAUUAUUUGUCAGCUAAUAAUGAAGUCAUAUAAAAAAAUUAAUAAUCUGAAUUAGUCUUUAGUAUUAUAAAUGUUUUUAGAUUUUUAAUUAUAAUAUCAUUAUUUAAAAAUAAUUGCUUGACUUACAUUCGUAACAUUACGAUUGUCAUAAAACAUGUGAUCCUCAUCCAAAGGCCAGGUGAACAACUCUUUGUCAAGUCAGUCAAAUAUAAACGACAAAUUCUUUUCAAUUAAAUAAUCAUCAAGAAAUAAUCUUCUAUUUCAGUACAAAUGGCGAGUGCAGAACAGCUGUCAAGAGAUAAUCAUUGUUUACGGAGCCAUAUAUAUUUUCUAUUAAAAUAGUUGCGUCACUUGCGUGAACAAUUGCCAGAAUCCGUAAAAAUUGUUGAAAGGUCUAUUAGUUUCGAGUAGAAUAUUUUCGAUUAAAAUAGUUGCGUGAACAAUUAUCAUAGAUAGUGUUUAUAUUUUGGAUUGAAGUGAGAAUUUUGAGAAAUAAAAAUCUAAGAUUGAGAGUGUAGAGUGGAAGUGAGUGUAAGUUAUUUACUUACACUGAAAAAUAAGCAUGGAAUGGAGAUCAUAAUCCAAUUUAUGUGUUUAUUUUAUCUUCAAUUGAGAAUAAAUAGUUUCAAAUUACAAUUUUACCUUUAUUUAAAGAAUUAUAUAUAUUUAAUGAAUAAACAUUUAUUUUAUUAUAUUUGUAAAUUUAUAAUAAUUGUUAAUAUUCUUAAUUAUGUACAUCAUAAUUUUUUAUUAAUUUUAAUUUUAAUUAUAUAAAUUAAAAAUUAUUGAUAAGAGCAAUAUAAAUGAAACAUUUUUACUAUUAACAUAGUACAAAAUUAAUAUUUUCUUAUAAUUAACUAUUUAUUAUUACUAAUUAUUGAUAUUAAAUAAAUAUAAUACUAUUAUUUUUAAAUAAAUAUAAUAAUAUUAUAUUUUCAAAUAAAGAUAGUAUAUAGUAAUAUUAUUAAUUCUCUAUUAAUAUAAUAAUAAUAUUUAAAUAAAUAAAAUAUUUUUUAUUUUAUUUUAUUAAUAUAUAAUUAUAGUAAAUUUAAUAAAAGGGGGUUAAAAAAGGAAGGUAAAUAUAAAAUGAAAUAUUAUUUUAUUUAAUUAUAUUAAAUUUAUUAUUAUAUAAAUAAUAAUAUAAUAUUAUUUAGUAUAAAAUUAAUAUUUUCUUAGAAUAAACUAUUUAUUAUUAUUAAUUAUUAAUAUUAAAUAAAUAUAAUACUAUAUAUUUAAAUAAAUAUAAUAAUAUUAUAUCUUCAAAUAAAGAUAACAUAUAGUAAUAUUAUUAAUUCUCUAUUAAUAUAAUAAUAUUAUUUAUUUUAUUUUAUUAAAUAUUAAAUAUUAAAUUUAAUUAAAUAAGGUAGAAAAUGGAGAGGUGGGAAUGGGUUUCCCAUGGGAGUCCCACUCCCACUCCCACUCCCCACUCCAAAAAUGGGUGGAGUUUAUGGAGUGAGAUUCCCAAUUCCUCCUUAAAAUGGUAAAGUAAAUAUUGAAGUGGGAGGAAUUCACACUGCUCACACCCACUCUAGAAAAUAAACACCGAAAAGGCCAAAGGAUGAAGAACCACUAUAAGUUCUUUUAUGAAUUUAAAAUGCUAAAGAAACUUGAUUUUGAUGAUAACAAACUACAUAGGGUACAAUGGUAAAUUUAUUUCUCACAAUCUCACAAGUUUUUGAAGGGCAAAAAUCAUUCAAGUGAGAUCAAGAUCAAGAUACUCAAUGGACAAUGACAAUCAAGGACGAAUACUAAGGGUACUAGUUUAAGCAAUCUUUAUUGUUAAAUUUAUUGUAAAGCCAGUAUAAUUUAAUGUGUGCAUGAUUUAACAUUUAAAAGCUCAAGAUAUUUUUCAUGACAUUUUCAAAUUAAAUCAUCAUUUUCUAUAAUAUAAAAGUUUUAACGAUUUUAUAAAAUUAGUUGCUUUUUCCAAAUUUAUGGACUAACUUGAAAAGUUUUGAGAACUUGGAAAUCAACCAAUAAUGUUUUAAAUCCUAGAAAUUGACAUAUUUGUAAAUAUUUCAAACAUUUUGGGUUGUAAUAUAAUUUCAAAAAAAUUAGGUCUAAUCUAUAAAUCCUGGAACAAUAGUGGCUAAUCGCUUAACCAAUAGCGGCUAACUACUUCAAGUCCAAAAACAUAGCAGCUAACCGCUUAAAUCAAGUGGAAUCCGCUUGAACCAAAGUUUUCAAAUUUGAUUUGCAACUGUAACUUACCAUAUCAACAUAGUGGCUAACCGCCUCAUUUUAACGGCGAUCCAGCAAGUCCCUAGAAAAGCCAAUAAUUGCUAGUUUGAUUGUUUAAACUAUAAAAUUCAAAUUAAACUCAAAUCUAACAAUUUUUUUCAAUCUCAAUUAAGCUAAAACUUAUUCAUAUAUCUUGAGGUUUCAUUUUGCUUAUCUACAUACAUUAAUCAUUAUAGGGCUAUCAUUUGCUUAUACACUCUUAUAGAGUGUAAUCUUUGUAAUCUUCAAUUAAAUAUCAAAAUUGAGUGAGUAUAAGUGUGGGAAACACUUGGGAAAAGAGGCGUGUGUAUACAUAACUACUUGUAAAGGUUUAUUGACACCUUAGAAGUCAAUUGUAAAAUCUUGGAGUCUUGGAAGGUUUAGAUAGUAGAAUUCUCAAGUUUGGAUUGCUUGGAGGCGUAGUCAUAGGCGGGUUUGCCGAACCACAUAAAAAUUCAUGUGUUUGUUAUCUUCUCCCUUAUCUUUUUAAUUUCACGCAUUGUUAAAUUUACCAUUAUUAAAUUUCUUGAAGCAUUUGUUUAAUUUGUAUUGUGUUUUUGUUAGUAUAAUUUUUAAUACCUAAUUCACCCUCUCUUGGGUUGCUUAGCUAGAAUUUUAUUUGGUAUCAGAGGAAGUUCUCUUAUUAUAACUUAACCAUCUAGAGUAAAAGAUCUAUAGUAAUCCAAAAUGAUCCCAGAUUUGGGAAAGGUUAAUCCCUUACUAGAUCACCAUUCUUUGAUGGGAAUGAUUAUCCAUGUUGGAAAAUUAUGAUAAGAAUUUAUUUGCAAGCAUUAUAUUAUGAAAUAUAGGAAGUUGAUUGUGAUGGUCCAUUCAUGCCUACUACUAAAAAUGAAGAAGGGAAAGAAAUUCUAAAACUUUCACAAGAAUGGAAUGUGUCAGAAAAGAGAAAAAAUUCUCUUAAUUUCAAAGUCAUGAAUGCUUUGUUUUGUGCCUUAAGGUUGUUCCAAUGCUUAUGAAAUUUGGAAAAAAACAUAAACUCGUUUAUAAAGCUACAAAUCAAGUUAAAUAGUCUAAAAUUAGUAGAUAUACUAGGCAAUACGAAUUGCUAUAAAUGGAACAAAAUGAGAGUGUUAAUUCCAUAUACACUAGAUUUACAAACAUUAUAAACACUUUAGAAGCUCUUAGAAAGGCCUUUUCAAAUAGCGAGAAGGUAAAAAAAAUCAGUAGGUCUUUACCAAAAGAAUAGAGACCUAAGAAAAUUGCCAUUGAGGAAGACAAUGAUACUUUAUCUAUUGAUGAUUUAAUUAGUUCAUUUAUUUCUUAUGAAAAGGAUUUGACAACUUGAAAAGGCAAUGAAGACGAGAAGAAGAAGAGUAUUUCCUUAAAAGCAUCAAGAUCUAAAAGUGACAACGAAAGUGAGAUCGAAAAUGAAGACAUGGCUAUGAUAGCUGGAAAAUUCAAAAAAAAUUUCAAGAAAUCCAUCGAGCGAAGGAAUUCAAAAAUCAGAAAGAAAAGGAGGCAAUUAUUUGCUUUAAAUGCAGGAAGCCUAGACACAUAACACUAGCAUGUCCUUUUCUCAAUAAAGUAAAGAAGAAAGCUAUGGUAGCAACACGGGAUGAUAGUGAUAAGGAGACUAUAGAUGAAGAGUAGUCUCAUGAAGUGUCAAAUUUGGCACUUAUAGUUAUAGGAGAUGAUUAUAGGAGAUGAACUUGAUGAGGUAAACCUCUUAGGAUGAGUUGUUUGAAGUAUUCUCUAAAUUGCAUAAAGAUUUAAAGAAGAUUGGAAUGUAAAAUGUUUCUCUUGGAAAGAAAAAAGUAGAACUUUUAUAUGAGAAUGACACUUUGAAUAAAAAGAUUAAGUGCCUAGAAUUAUUUGUGAAGAAAUUGCAUCUUUUAAAGAAAAAACAAAGUGUUUCAUCUAAGAAUAAAGGUUUACCUGUAAAUGAUUUGAAAAAGAAAAAUAAAAGAUAUUGCUUUAGAAUUUGCUUAGUAUUAGUCAAUUGUGUGAUAAAGGUUACAAAGUUAUUUUUAUGUGAUAAAGGCUAUAGAGUUAUUUUUUUAUAAAACAAAAUGUGUUAUUAAAAAUGCACGUGAUGGCAAAGUUUUAUUUGUUAGAUAAAGAUAUGUUAAUGUAUACACCAUUGAUAUAGAUUGUGUAUCAACUCAUAAUAAAUGUUUUUUUCACAUUACAUGAUGAUAGUUGAUAUGGCAUGGAAGACUAGGUCAUGCGAGCAUGGAUUUUAUUUCAAAAUUUUUUUAAAAUGAUUUGGUUAUAGGUCUUCCAAAAAUUGGUUCUAAAAUAGAUAGAAUUUGUGAAGUUUGCCAAUUUAGAAAACAAAUAAAAUGUCCUUUAAAAAUAAAAUUCAUAUUUCUACUUCAAAACCACUUUAACUUUUUCACAUGGAUUUGUUUGAAUUUUCUAAAUAUGCUAGUCUAAGUGGUAAAUAUUAUGCAUUUAUAAUUAUAGAUGAUUAUUCUAUAUACACAUGGUAUUACUCUUAACUAAUAAAGAUGACACCUUUAAUGCUUUCAAAAUUUCUAUAAAAAGGUUCAAAAUGAAAAAUGAUAUGUUAUUUCUUGCAUUAGAAGUGAUCAUGGUGGAGAAUUUAAAAAUUGUAAUUUUGAAAAUUUUUACAAUAACUUUGGCAUUGAGCAUCAAUUCUUGUCACCAAGAACUCCACAAUAAAAUGGAGUAGUUGAGAGAAAGAAUUAGUCUAUCCAAGAAAUGACUAGGACCAUGUUAAAUAAAAAUGCUUUACUAGAAUAUUUUUAGGUUGGAGCCGUCAAUAUUGUUUGUUAUGUUUUAAAUCGUGCAUUGAUUAGACCUUACUUCAAUAAAACUCCUUAUGAGCUUUGGAAAAAUAGAAAAACAUUGACUAUUUCAAAGUUUUUGGUUGCAAAUGUUUUCUAUUGAAUACAAAAGAUAAUCUUGGUAAAUUUGAUCUAAAAUCUGAUGUUGAUAUUUUUUCUUGGGUAUUCAAAUACAAGCAGAACUUAUAGAGUGUAUAAUAAAAGAACCUUGGUCGCUAAAGAAUCUAUACAUGUUGUGUUUGAUUAAAUCUAACUUUUCUUCUACGAAGAAAGUUGUUGUUGAUAAUGAUGCAUAUGAAGAGUUACAAAAAAAAAAGUCUUUAAAAGACAAACAAGAUGAUUUACUAGGAAAAAAUCAAGAUGAGCAACAAGAAGAACCAGUUAAAUAUAUUCAAAAUGAAGGUAAUUCACAAACACUCUCUAAGGAGCUAAGGUAUGUCUCUUCAGACCCUAAAGACUUAAUCUUAGGAGAUCCUUCAUGAGGUGUAACUACUAGAUAAUCACUUAGAAAUACAUGUGAACAUACUGUAUUCGUAUCUCAAGUUGAACCAAAAUCCUUUUCAGAUGUGGAAAAUUAUGAAUCUUGGAUCAUAGCAAUACAAGAAGAGUUAAAUCAAUUUGAAUGAAACAAUGUAUGGAAACUUGUUCAUAAACCAGAACAUCAAUCUGUAAUAGGCAGUAAAUGGGUGUUUAGGAAUAAAAUUGAUGAAUCUGGUGUGGUUGUAAGGAAUAAAGCUAGAUUAGUAGCUCAAUGAUGCAACCAAGAAAAAGAAAUUGAUUUUGAUGAAACCUUUGCACAUGUAGCUAGAUUAGAAUCCAUUACAUGCUUUUAUCAUUUGCAUAUCAUAAUGAUUUUAUUUUAUAUUAAAUGGAUGCUAAAAGUGCCUUUCUAAAUAGUUGUAUUAUAAAGGAAGCUUAAGUGAAACAAUCCCCUCGUUUUAAAAACGAAAAAUAUUUUUGGAUCAUGUUUACAAGUUGUCCAAAGUUUUAUAUAGUUUAAAGUAAGCAUCUAGAGCAUGACAUGGUAUACUUAGUAAAUUUCUUGUAGAAAAUAGUUUUUCAAUGGGUAAAGCGAAUACUACUCUAUUUGUUAAAUACAAGGAUCAAGGUAUACUUGUUCAAAUUUAUAUUGAUGAUAUUAUCUUUAGUUCUACUAAUGAGUUUCUGUGUAAGGAAUUUUCAUCUUGUAUGAGUAGAGAAUUUGAGAUGAGCAUGAUGAGAGAAUUGAAGUACUUUCUUGGACUUAAAAUUUAAAAAAAAAAUCAUUAAUCAAGCCAAGUAUUUUAGAGAUCUACUCAAAAGAUUUUGCAUUCAGGACUAAAGACACUCCAAUGAGUACUACAAUCAAGAUCGAUAAGGAUAAAAAAAGUAAAGAUGUUGUAUCAAAAGAUAUCGAGGUAUGAUCAUAUCUUUACUUUACUUUACUGCUAGUAGACAUUACUUUAGUGUAUGUUUGUGUGCAUGAUUUCAACCAUAUCUCAAAGAAUCUCAUUUGCUUGCGGUUAAAAGAAUUUUUCAUUAUUUAUGAGGAACAAUUGAUCUUGGUCUAAGGGAACUCAUAUAGAUUAGUAGCUCAAUAAAUUUGUCAAAGAAUCCCAUUCAACAUUUUAGGACCAAACAUAUUGAAAUUAGGCAUUAUUUCUCACGUGAUCAUGUUUAAAUGAGAGAUAUUGCUUUAGAAUUUGUUUCUAUGGAAAAAUAACUUGCUCAUAUUUUUACAAAGCCUUUUUGUGAAGAAUAGUUUUCAAAGAUUUGGCUUGAGUUUGGAAUGAUGACAUUUUCACAUCAAUAUUUCAUUACAUGAUAUUGAGACUACAAAUUUGCUUGAUUUUCUAUCUUGAUUGAUUGUAUGAUAAAAACUUGAUUUUAAUGUGUUAUAUGCUUGAAUUUACUUCUUUGAAUGUUUAUCAUCAUAUCUUAUGCAUUAAAAAUGGCUUUUGAAAUACUUCGGGAUCACAAAAUGGUCUCAAAAUUAAUUAAAUUUUGGCCAAAAAGCAAAAUCGUGCAAAAUUCAGGGGAACUAGCUAACCGUUAACCACAAGCGACUAGCCAAUUGUGAGGCAGAAACUAGCUGGCCAGCCGGCUUAAAGCAAACGGUUAAUUGCUUGGUUUCUAAAAAUGAAACGGUUAACCGCUUUCUUCAAGUGGCUAGCUGGCUUCACGUUUUCAAAUGUUGUUCAUCUUCUUUUUCCCACUUUCAGUUGUUACCCUCUCUCUAUCACUGUCAUCUCUCAUUUCUUUUACUCUCUCUCUAAAAUCUUCCAUUUUUACAUCACUUUUGUGUCAAAUUAAACUUUCCAAAUCAUUUCCCAUCAAUUAAUCUUCACUCAUUCGCUUUUAAAACACAAUCUAAUCACUCUUUUCUCAAAAUCUUAAAGCCUAAGUCACCAGUUUCAACAUUCUCAAAUUUGAACCAUUAUUUGACCAUUUUCGACCAAAAUAAACCCAUACAUUCCUUAGAUAUUCUCAAAGAAUAUUUUAACAUUUUAAUCGGUUCAAAAUCAUCUAUUUCUUUAAAAACUUACUAAACUCAAAUUUGUGCAAUUUUGGACACAUUUUGAUAAUUUCUUAAUGGCUAGUGGUGAGAAGUCCAAGGGUUAGCAUAUGCCUAAAAUGUAAAAAAAAGAUUCAUAAAGACAUUAUGAAAUUUAUUUCCACCCACUUUCCAAAUCCACCUCAAUAGAAUGAUUCUAUGAUCGAUUUAUGACAAGGUCAGUCCUCCCAUCCUAUAUAUGUUAAUCUUGAUUAAUUAGAAAAUUUGUCAAGUUGUAGCAAAACUUUUAGAACUUUACUUGCUGAAUUGGGUUGGACAAAUGUCUUAGUUCUUAAGGAACAUAUUUGUCCUAAUUUGGUACGAUUAUUUUAUUCGAACAUGCUUAUUUAUACAAUUACUGCCAAUAUGAUUAUUACUAAUGUUGCUGGGAUUCCUAUUAAGUUUACAGUAGAAGAUUUAAACAUGAAUCUCAGGACUAGGAAUGAUAGGUUGCAUUUGUAUACAUCUAGGACUAAAAUUGAUUAUCCCUGGUAUUCAGGACUAGGAAUGAUAGGUUGCAUUUGUAUACAUCUAGGACUAAAAUUGAUUAUCCCUGGUAUUUAGUUGUAGAUGAUGUUUGAAACAUAGAUGUUCGAAAAAUAUGUAGGUGAUCUGAUCUAUCCAUGGAGCUUUUUAAUUCCUCUCUUAGAUCACAAAUGUUGCCUCUUCAAGUUCGGAUCCUACAUAGUGUUCUUCAGCUUGCGAUCAGUCCUCGCAAGGGACAUGGUGCUAAGGUUACACGCUUAGAUGUUACUUUAUUAGAUAGCAUCCUUGAGGGUAAAAGCUAAAUGUGCGAAUAUUAUCAUUCAGCACAUGCUUAAUACACUGAGUAUAGGAAACCGAUCCUUUUCAGUUGAUAGUGUCAUUACCCAUAUCCUUCAAUAUUUUUGGGUCCCUAUAGCUGAACCAUCUCAUGAUGAACCCAAGGAGUUAGGGGAUGAGGUCAUUGCUAGCUUAGGAUUUGGGUGGGUAGAUGACCAAUAGGUUAAGAAUCAGAACUUGUUGAGCAAACCCACAAAGCUGGCUCUUUUUUAUCAUUGCAUCUUUAACGAUGUGCUUCCCAUUACUGGGUUCUUGAUCUUAGCUCUUCCCUGAGGUCACAAGCUCUACAUUGGCCUUCUGAUGCUCCACCACCAUCAUCUUCAGCCAUUCCCAAUAACCCAAUCCAGCAGUUGUUGAAUAAAGUGUGUUCCAUAUCCGAGUAGUAGAGCAAACUUAAGAUACCGUUCGCAGCAUUCCAGGAUCAUUUUCUUUCUGAGCAGCAGCGUCUCUUUCUUCAACAAUAACAAAUUCUAGACCAUCAGCAGCUUAUUUUCAUUGCUCUCAAAUUUUUGCCACCAUCCUUGUUAUCAUGUUUGCCGCCUCAUCAGUGAUUUUCUUUUAUCUCUUUUGCUUCCUUGUUUUAUGCACCGACAUUAUUUAUCAUAUGCAUUUUCGUUUUUAGCAUUAUGGAUACUUGAUGGAUGUUAUUUUACUUAUGCAUUAUAGAUACUUGAGUUAAUAUGGAUUAUCUUUAUGCAUUCUAGUUAUUGAUCGUGGUAUCUUUAUUAGUUAUCUUUAUGGAUUAUCUUUAUUGAUUAUGGAUUAUGUAUAUGGAUACUUGAUUAAUGGUCAUGUGUGGAUUCUUGAUUGAUGAUCUUUGUGGGGGAUAAUUAUUGAUAAUAUUUGUAUAAUAGAGGAGUGAUUUUUCAUGAUGAAGGGAGAGAAGAUAUUGACAUGUAUUUUGAAGUGUUUUGACAUGUUUUUGGCUCAUGGGGGUUGAUUGAGUGUUUGUAGUAUUUUAGUUACUUUAUGAGUCACUCAAGGAGAGUUUACAAAUGUUGUACAAUUAUAUGGAUCAUGUACUUAGAGGGAGUGAGUUUAUAUAUUUGGUUAUAUUUUUUGAAUUAUGUCAUAUAUUCAGGGGCAAUAGAAAUGUCAAAAUACAUAGAGUGUUUGUCAUCAUAAAAAAAGUAGAGAUUGUUGGGGUAAACGACUAUAUGAUCCUUAAUUUUGAUGAUAACAAACCACAUAAGGUAAAAUGGUAAAUUUAUUUCUCACAAUCUGACAAGUUCUUAAAGGACAAAAAUCACUCAAGUGAGAUCAAGUUCAAGUCACUCAAUGGACAACAACAAUCAAUGAUGAAUGCUAAAGGUACUAGCUUAAGCAAUCUUCAUAGUUAUAUUUCUUGUAAAGCUAAUAUGAUUUAAUGUAUGCAUGAUUUAGUAUUUAAGAGUUCAAGAUAUUUUUCAUACAAUUUUCAAAUUAAAUCAUCAUUUUCUAUAAUAUAAAAGUUUUAAACGUAAAUAAAAAUGAUUUUAUAAAAUUAGUUGUUUUCAAAUUUAUGGACUAAAUUGAAAAGUUUUGAGAACUUUGAAAUCAACUAGUAAUGUAUUAAAUUCUUGAAGUGGACCUAUUUAUAAAUAUUUCAAAAUUUUUAGGCCAUAGUAUAAUUUUAGGAACUUUUAGUUUAAAUCUAUAAAUUUUGAAACAGUAGCGACUAACUGCUUAACGAAUAGUGGCUAACUGCUUCAGGUCCAAAAACAUAGCUGCUAACCAUUUAAAUCAGGCGACAAUUCGCUUAGGCAAAAAAGUUUUUAAAUUUUAUUUGUAACGGUAACUUACCACAUCAAUAUAGCGACUAACUUCUUUAUUUUAACAGCAAUCCGGUAGGUCCUCAGAAAGUCAAUUACGACUAGUUUGAUUGUUUAAACUAGAAGAACCCAAAUCAAACUCAAAUCUAACAACUUUUUCAAUCUCAAUUAAGUUAAACUUGUUCAUACAACUAAUCCUGAGCUUUCAUUUUACUUAUCUACAUGCAUUAAAUCAUUAUUGAGUUAUCAUUUGCUUAUACACUCUUAUAGAGAUUAAUCUUUGUAAUCUUCAAUUAAAUAUCAAAAUUUUGUGAGUAUAAGUGUGGGAAACACUUGGGGAAAGAGGUAUGUGUAAACAUCACUACUUAUAAAGGUUUAUUGACACAUUACAAGUCAAUUGUAAAAUCUUAGAGCCUGAGAAGGCUUGGAUAGUGGAAUCCUCAAACUUAGUUUGCUCGGCAGCAUAAACAUAGGCGGGUUUUGCCGAAACAUGUAAAAAUUCGUUUGUCUGUUAUCUUUUCCUUUAUUUUUUUAAUUGCAUUCAUUGUUAAAUUUACUGUUAUAAAUUUCUUAAAGCAUUUGUUCAAUUUGUUUUGUAUUUUUGUAAGUAUAAUUUUAAUACCCAAUUCACCACCCUCUUAGGUUGUGUAGAUAGAAUUUCACAUUUGUUGUACAACAACAACAACAGCAAUAACAAUAAUAAUUGUUAUAAUGGUUGUAACAAUUACUAUUGAAAAAAAUUUAUUGUUAAUAAUAGUAGAAAAUAAGAAAAAAAAAGGAAAUUAUCCACUAACCAUGUAGUCUUUGGGACUUUUUCAAAAAUACACAAAAAAAAACUUUCUUUGUAGAAAUCCACCUAGAGUUUAUUAAUUAUUCAUUGUCAUCUUAGCUCAUUAGAUUCUUGUUGAUGUCAUAAGAUUAAAAUUAUCAUUUUACUUGAACACCUAAGAUUAAAAUUAUCCUUUAGAGUUUCUUUCGCUGGGGCUGGUGACCUUAGUGGUUAGAUUUGCUAGAUAUGGUCGUGAGAAACUCGACAAUGACCGAGGAUUGGCUGGAUUCACGGUGGUUUGGUCAAAAAUCUGACUUGAAUUGGCAUUUGUGGUGCUUCAUUCAUGUUGGAGAUUUUGAUUGCGAUUUGGAUAUCGACAAUGAGAAAGUGGCAUUUGCGGUGGCGCUAGGUGAAGCCCGGGUUUUGGGUUAGCGUUGUGGCGAUUUAUGGCGGUGAUCAUUGUUGGGUUUUGUCAAGUUAUGACCAGUGGAAUGUAGCAAGUUUAGUGGUGGUGUUGGUUGACAGUGAAGAUGGUUGGUUUCACGGUGGCAGCUGGUGGAUGCUCCCAGUUUUAGGUCUAGAUGAUUUAUAGUAGGUACAAGCGGCGAUUGAUGGCAGGAGUGGCUAAGGCUUGGUCAGUAGUGGCUAAUGAGUUUGGUAGAGGGAUUAGCCAAUGGUGAACUAUUAGUGAAGAGUGGCAGUGGCGGUGGGCGGCUGCUAAGGUUUUGUAAUUUUGUAAUAUUUUUUUGUUGGAUAAACAGUUAUGAAUUUGGUGGGGAUGGAUAUGGGUAGCCAGGAAAACUGUGCAAUUGGCAUUGAACCACUCUAAUACAAACUAACAAAUUGGAAUAGCGGAAGUGGAAUUGAUAGAGUAGGAAAUAUUAGCUAUCAUUCUAAUACUGGCUAAGGUAAUGUGGAUAGUUUACGUCCUAAUCGAAACGUGAGUAGAUCUCAUUCUAACAAUGGCUCAAUGAGAUUUUAAUAACGCAUAAAGCAAGAUUAGACGACGUUCUAAUCCAAAUAACUUUGUAAGAGAGAUUUUGAUAAAUAAUUUUAGAGAGAAUUAUUAAAAAGGGCUUUAUUAGUUGAUCAAUAGUUGAAGUUACAAUAAUAAGAUUUUGAUUUAUAAUAUAAUAAACCUACUUCACUAAGUUAACUUAAAAAGAAAAACUAAAUCACAAUUUUAAUAGAAAUAAAAAACUAAGACAUAUACCAUAGUUGACUAUAAUUAAAAUAGAAAACAAUAAAAUAAUAAAAAUUAUAGAAUCCUAAAAUAAUGUCUACAUCGUAUCCUCACUAAAAUAAAAAUAUAAAAGUAAAGCAAAUUGUGGUAUAACAGACUUUAAUUCUAUCACUCUUCAAUUUUUUUGUUUAUUAAUUAAUAUUGGUGUCUAUGGUUAAAUUUGUUAUUUUUUAUAACAAUUUUAUUUGUUAAUUGAAAUAUUUAGUCUAUGUAAACAAAAAAAAAAUGGUUGGAAAGAAUGAGAGACGAAGGGGGAGAGAGAGAGAGAGAACAAAGUCAAACAAAUAAUUUAUUGAAUUAUAUUUUAAAAUUAAAUUUUAAUUUGAUUAAAUAAAUGAUGUAGUGAGAAAAUGAGUAGGUUCAAAUAGCUUUACUUAUAUUUAUUUCAUUAAUGGCUCAAAAUUUAAUGAAAAUAAAUGGUUUUAAAAAAAUUGCAUUUAAGUUGCAUAAUUCAAUGAGUAGUGCCACACAUCCUAAAUCUUUUAUCUUAAAAAAUUAUCUCAAAUGAUAUGGUAUUCAUCAAUAGAUUGAAGAGAUAAUACAAUUAAUUCACUCAAAUCUUGAAAGAAUUACCUACUAUUCAAGUAAUGACACACCAUUUGGGAUAAAAAAAAUUUGGAAUAUCUAUCAUUACUCUAAUUAAAAAUAAACCUAUCACUGGAUGAUUAAUUAUAGUAGGUUGCUUAAUACUAAAAUGUCACUCAUAAAUUUUGUUUUGGAUUUGUAAUUGAUUUAUCUUAAUUCUUCAACUUGACAUAAGGUCGUUCUCCUCGUUUCUGUACACUUAAAAGUCACCAAGAUCAAAACUAGAUCUGUCGUUGCAUUUGCUUGAAAAAUAAUUUACAAGCACUAGGUUCUCCUGAUUAAGCAACAUUUUUAAAGGGUUAUGAUAGUAGUGGAGCACUUUGUAAAUAUUAGAUGGAUUGUUGAAAACAAUAAAAAAUGUUUGUGUGUUUUUUAUAAAGGCUAAAAGAUGAAGUGGUCUAUGGAUAAUUACUUAUUUUUUCCCUUUUUAUCUUAAUCAUAUUUGAACGACAUCCUUUUAUAGUUCCCAGGCAUUCUGCAACUAUAAUAGACAAUUUUAAUAGGAACUACAGAGAAAAUAUUAAUAUUUUUAUACUUAUUUACUUACCUGAUGGAUAGCUAGAUAAGUGUUACUUUUCACACAACUAGACCAAAUUAGUACCCUUUUUGGUUGGUGAAAACGUGAUUUUUAUGAAUAUGCUAUAGAUGCUUUCAAACGUUUCCACAGUUUACGAAUUUACGCAUUAAACGAAAACCUCCAACUAUCAAACAAAAAGGUGAAAAUUCAAUAGAAUCGACAACUUCUCAGACUCACGUAGGUGGUGGUUCAAGUUUCUAAACUACUAUUAUUAUUAACAGUUUUGAAAAGCAAAUAGUAACUUCAUUUCACAGCAUCUGCUUUUGAGAAAGCUCAGAUGUAAUCAAAAUUCCAAAACCACUCUAAAUAUGUUAGGGAUAUGACCAUAAAUAGAAGUUAAAUAUGAUAGGAUAUAUAGUUGUUCAUAGCUAACAUUUGAUGGUUUAAUUAUUUGUUCUAGGGAUUAUGCGCUGAUUAGUGUUUUUUGUUAUCCACUGAAUGAUAUUCAGUUUUUCUUACAUGUUCAUAGGCAAGAGCAUUUUCUAAGUACUUUCCUUCCCUUAAAAUUUUGAAAGAAAGAUAGAUAUGAUAUGUGAAGCAAGCCCAAUGAAAUAAGCAAAUAAAAUAGAAUAAACGAAGCAAAAAUAUUUCUAGAAACAAGAAAUGACAAAGGAAACACGAAUACAACUUUUUUCUUGUUUUCCUUAUUUUCCACUGUUAAGCUCCAAAAUGAAUAACUUUAUUCUACCAUCUCUCAAAUAAUAAAAACAUCAACAGCACAUCAUCGUCAUCAAUAAUAAUAAUAAUAAUAAUAAUAAUAAUAAUAAUAAUAAUAAUAAUAACAACAAUAAUAAUUUAACUUUGUAGUAUGGAGCUCUCGCAAAUCUUCAAGACACAAAAUGUGCCUGACCCCGUUGUUGUUAUUAUAAUUUCAAAAUGAUUUGUAUUAUAUAAAAUUAGGGAAUAAGACAUAGCAAAAUUGAUGGUACAUAUGUUGCAAUAUACUUGUUCAUGUAGCGACACAUUAAAGUAAAGCAAAAGCGAAACAACGAAAAAUGUAACGGGAGAGCUCUUAUUAUGUAGAUUUUCAAUAGAAGUAAUGCAAAUUUCACAAGGGCAAUGGCCUUAUUUCGAAUGUUGCACCGGAGGAAUGACAUGAACCUUCGAUACGUCACAAAUGUAUCAUGAAAGUGUGAUAGAUUUGUGACAUAUAUUUAUUUAUUUAUUUAUUUUUUGGUCUUAACCACGAGGUAUUCUGGGGAGGGCUCCAACUGUGGAAAACAUCUUUAAGCCCGUACCACAACUCAGACUACAAGUUUCCGCUCGAACCGGGAGGCAUAAGUUCUCCCAACAAAAGCGACUUUCCUACAACUCGAACUAGGGAGCAAACCCAGUCAAGCCACUUAAGGGGACUCCAUUGCCAGUGGAGCCAACACUUUGUUGGUGUGGCAUAUAUUUAUAUGUUCAGAGUUUAUGACAUAUUCAUGACUUAUAACUUAACUAACAUAAAUAAAUGAUAGAUAUAAGUGAUGCUCAAGUUUUGUGGAUUUAUAAUAUCAUAAAAUGAUGACUAUUUAAACGACGUCGUUUUUAUGAAACUUAAAACAUACCAACACUUCAGCCAAAUAUCGACAAGUGUUGAAUAAACCCCUCUCUCGCUGCAACCUAAAAUCAAUGAACUUUGAGCCAUUCUCAACAACAUUGUGUAGAACCCUAGCCCUAACCCUCACUUCCACCACCGAUAAAGCUAAGAAAGUUUUCCGUAUAUCAGAACCAUGGCGAAUUGCCUUCAGCUCUUAGGACCCAUAAUAAAUCUUGUAUUCCCUCGCUUUCACUUUGCUAAUUUUUUGUAUUAUUCCAUCUCUUUCACUUUAAUAACCCAAAAUCUUUCUCUGUUUCAAUCGAAAGAAGACCCUAGCUUAAAUUAAGCUGAAAUUUACAUAUCAAAGCUCUCGCUCAGCUUCCCUCCUUCAAUUGAAACAAAACGAAGCCAUAAGACCCCAAUAUGCCACGCCCUUUUGUCUCAGGCCAACAUUCAUUUAAACCCUACCUUUCGGUUCAAUGCCAUUUAAUGCGAUUGCAGAUGCCGUUUCAACUCAUUAUUUAGUUAACGCCAUUCAGUUCUUUGCGGUAAGCCUUAACCCUAAUAACUAAUCAACUGUGGUAGCACGUUGCUGACUGGGGUGGGAAUACAUUAAUUGAAUAUAUGAAUUGGGUGAUGUCAGUGAUUCAUCCCCCUAUUUGCCGUUAAUGGAGAUUUGUGUAUAAUGUUUGUAAGAUUGUUAAAAAUUUCAUGUUCCAGUCGAAUUUCUUGCUUGUGGAAGAUAAAACAAAAGUUUAAUCUAUAUAUAUAUAUAUAUAUAUAUUAGCUUCUUUAUAGUCAGGCUCUGGCUUUGCUGCUAUGCUUAGUGCAGUUUAUGGUUUCAAGAUUAAAUUAGGUUUAUUUGACGACAUUGAUAUCUUAUCUAGCUCCGCUUGAAAAUGAAAAUGUUGUACUAGUAAUCAUAGACUUUGUUUAUUCAGUUGAUAUUUUAAUUAUACAUAUAAGAAUGAAGGUUUAUUUGGGAAAAAAAGAAAUAAAGAAAUAGGCUCUGUUGAAGCUAAUUAAUACUUCAUUCUUUCUAUACGUGCGACCUGUGGUGGAAACAUGAUAUGAAAAUGUGUUACUGGUGAGGUUGCUGCUUGAGAUGAGAAUGAUGAGAAUGCCUUCUAUUCGGAAAUCCUUGGUAGGUAUUAUAUAAUUAUAUUUGAUGGAAUAUUAAAUAGCUAAAGAAUCUGUGAUAUUGUCUUUGUUCAAUUGUUACUGUAGUAGUGUUUGUUGGUCUUUUUCUGGUUGGCGUUUGGAUGUUAAUGUCAUCAUCAGUUGUACUGGUGUGGGAUCCAGGAUGUUGUCCUCUUAAGAGCCUAUAAGCAAAGUGAAACAGAGAGUAUCUGAGAUUUUUCUGGGCCUUUCGUAGAAAAUCAAGGUGAUGAAUGACAGGAUUCAACAAAUGGGGAUGGGGAUGAUGUUCCUGUUGAAAAGUUAGAGAAUAGAGUGGAAGAUAAUCACGAAGAGAUGAAUAUGUAUGAGGGUGAUGGUGAGACGAGUGAAUCUAAGAAUAUGGUUAAUCAAAACCAGGAAGAGAAUUUAGUGAAGGAGAGUUUUGAUGAGAAUACUGAGUCUGAAGAGGAAUCUAGGGCGGUGUCUAAAAAUUAUGAUGUUAGAAAAAAGGAAGAUAAGGAAUCUAAAAGUGAAGGUGGAGAUUUGAAUUAAGAAGCUGGAGAAACAGAAGGCGGCGAAUUGAAUAAAAUUGAGCAAAUUGAAUCAGAGAAGAGCUUGGAUGAAAAUAAAUGGAUCAGGCUAGUCAGAUUGAAAAGGAGAAGGAUUCUCAAGAUCAAGAUAAUGACACUGAGAGUCGUUGAAAGGAUCAGGCUUCAACUGAGAUUUUUCCUUUUGGUGACUAGUCAGAAAUUCUGAAGGAAACUAAUGCUCAGAAUGGGGCUUGCUCAACUCAACCUAUUGAGUCAUAGAAUCAGAAAAUAUCACAACAAUCUUCUAUAUCUAAGGACCAGUAUGGUCGUCGCUGGAAAGUGUGUAAUGCCACUGCUAGGCCAGAUUGCAUCCCUUGCCUGGAUAAUUUGCAAGCAAUUAGAAUGCUUUCCAGCACAAAAGCAUUAUGAACAUCGAGAGAGGUAUUGCCCUGAAGAAGCUUGUACCUGUAUUGCUCCUUUACCGGAAGGAUACAAACACUCAAUUAAGUGGCCCCAAAGCAGGGAUAGGGUAUGAUCUUAUAUUAUGCAUUAUAAAAUAUAUACUUGACUACUUUUAAUUCACUUGGGCUAAGAUUUGUUCUCAUGCUGUGUGGGAUAGAUUUGGUAUUAUAAUUUUCCCCACACAAAGCUUGCAGAAGUUAAGGGUUAGCAAAAUGGGGUUAAAGUUACUGGUGAAUACCACAUUUUUCCAGGUGGCAGAACUGAAUUUGAGAAUGGUGCUCUUCAUUACAUUGACUUCAUUCUGAAGGUGAGCAUUUUUCAUUUAUCAUUUUAUGUCUGUUGUUAGCUUCAAUUAAUAGGUGGCUUAUUCUUUUCUUUGUAUGAACCAUGGGCGGUCCAUUUCAUCUUAUAAGCUAUUUCUUGGGUUUUAGCAAGACAACUUAUGGAGGGUAUACAGAGGCUCAAGAGCUCGAUUGCCAUUCAUUUUACACUUGGCUGGGCUAUAGUAUACCAACUAGUGAUUAAUAAAGAGAAGGUAUGAAGGUCCUGUUGCUGGUGGUAUUAUCAAUCAGAAUUGUUAUUUUACUUAGUCAUACUUACCAUGUAUACUAUUCGUAGGCUUUUUCAUUUUCAUGCAUUCGCAUCAUCUUCUGGUUAAGCUACAGAUGGUUGAUUUGUGUACUCAUUUGUAUCACUUGUAGCUCUUGAGGAAUAAAAUUUAAAAUUAUGUUGCAUCCCUUGUACUAAAUAGUAAUUUUGUUGGCUUUAUGCAUGGGAAAUGGUUUGUUGUCUUAUUUCUUUGAUGUGUAUGGUGUUACACUGUCUAAAGUUAAGAAGUAUUUCUAUCACUUGUGUAAAAAACAACCUACUUUUUUCAUUCUUCUUAUAUUGAAUAAAAGAGGGACACCAAGAUUGAACGAAAUUUGAUUCAGAAAGCAUAGCAAUUAGGCCAGUUCAAAACAGCUUCCUUCUGAUUCUUUGAUAUUUGACUUAAAUCUUUUGUUUGUUUCAUUUAUCAAAGUCAUUUUGGAAAGUAACGGGGGUGAUUUGAUAUUUUCAUUGCAUUCACAUCCCUUAGGCACCAAAACAAGCAUGCUGGUACUAACCAACAAUUUUUUAUUUUCAGUAUACAAAUUAUUUUUUUCUAAAUUAGGGGUAUUAAGAAAAGGUAUACUAGCACCAGGGGAGGUAUUUGAGAAUACACAAAUACAAUCUAUUAAACUAAGAAUAUGUCAAACUUCAGGGGAGGUUUCUGAUAAAUCUCUUUUACUUUUUCCUCCAUUCACCAUAGGUUCAAUUUAGAACAGUUGACCAAACCGAAGGUUUAGGUUGGUAAACGCACUAGUGUUAAUGUCAACAACCCAAGGGGCUUCAUGGUCCUCUGGGCUGAAAUAGCGUAAUUAUUAAUUCUCCUCCAGUGAAAAUCUUCAUCUUGGGACAAAUAAUUACAAAUUGACAUUAUGGCUAUGCAAAUUUUGAGGUGUAAUAACCGGAAAAAUAAAAAUCUUAAGAGACUUUUUAAAUAAAAAAGAUACAACACCUUUAAUUUGCUAAAAGUAAUGAUAUCAUUACUUGUAUGGAAAAUGGAUGAUUAGAUUUUCUUUUUUGUUAUCCGACGAAGGAUAUUCAGUUGUUCUUUAUUUGUUCAUAGGCAAGAGCAUGAGCAUAUGCAUGAUUUGAUAUAUGCUUCUUGCAUUUUCUAAUUAAGUGCUCUCUUUCCUUGCCUUCUUAGUUUUGAAAGAAAGAUGUGAAGCAAAGCAAACCCAGUGAAAUACACAGAGCAACAGAACCAUCAGAGGAAAAACUAAAUAACAGAACUACAAUUGAACCAAACAAAAUCAAAUAAACGGACGCAACAGAUGCCCUGAACCUAGUAAUUACUCAAGAGUUGAGGAGUUGGAAUGAUUUGGUAUUCAUAUCUUCACAAAUCAUAUGCUUUAAUGCAGAAUCGACAGCUUUAUAUUAUUUUAUUCAAAAAACGAUAAAGCAGGAAAACCACAAUAAUCCACCAACUUUUGAUACUUGUAGGAAUUUUUUUUAGUCAAAUUAAGUUUCAUGAUAACACAAGUGGCUCGUCCACACACUUGCACUUGCUUGAAUAUUUGUGCCGACAUUUUCAUAUGUGAUGGUACUUCUUAGCCAGUAGAUAUGUUGAAGUACUACAAAACAGAGUAUUUGAUGAAGUUUUGCUACUUUCGUAUCCCAUUUUGUUGCAUAACUAAAUUCUUUAUAAACACAAAUUAGAAAGCUACAAAUAAUACAGUAGCUUGAAUUUAUAUGCUUUUAUGAUUAUUUGAUAAUCUAGUGCUGACAAUAUGUGAUGAUAAACUUAGCUAGUAGUUUUAUAUUUAUUUUCGUAGUUUCUUUAGCAUUCACAUUUUGAUGAGUAAAUUAAGGAUUUCCAGAUGAAGUACAUAAUCAGAUUAAUGCUAAGGAACUGAAGUUUGAUUAAUUGAAAACAAAAAUAAUAAUGAAGGUAAUUACGAAAAUGAACAAUGCAGAAGUAGUCCCUAUAGUAUUUCUAAAUUUUCUCUUGGGGUUCCUUAGUAUUCCUUAAUAUUUUUAAAAGAUGACAUGACGAUCUUUGAGUUGACAAAUCUAGGCCUGCUGCUUAGUACCCUUCCAACAUUUCAAGUACUAGAUGUUUUACUGAGAAAAUGACAAGAUCAUUUAUCAAAUUUCUUGCGCAUAUAUACAUAUGCAUACAAGAAAUGGGAAUCAGAGUGAUUAUAAGACCUUGCAAUGAGACAAUAAUACAUCAUCAAAUUUAAAAAUACACAAGAAAUUUGUGACGUAUAUAUAACAAAAGACCUCUCAUUGAGUUAUACAUAUUGAGAAUAAAAUGUCAAAAUGCAGACAAAGAGCUUAUACAGAAAAUGAAUAAACCGUCUUUGAACUUCCGAUGGUCAAACAAAGGAAACAGGCAGGAUAUAACACACACUAUCAUAGAUGUAGCGACACGAUGAAGUAAAUCACAUGAAGAUGGAAAGGGGAACCCCUCACAGCAUAAAAUUUGAAUAGAAGGGGGAAAAAGGCUUCAUUUCAAAUGUUGCACAGAAGAAGAGUGACUUGAAUCUCCAUCAGUAUCCAGACAUUCUGCAAACACAGUGCUGAGAAUUUUAACAAGAAUAACAGACAAAAUAUUGUGCUCUCUAUACUUUCACAAAACUAGACCAAAUUAGUUCCCUUUUUGGUUUGUGAAAACUUGAUAUUUUUUAAAAUUCUAUCCAAUGCUUUCAAACAAUAUUUCCACAAUAUAGUUGUUCAUAGCUAACCUUUGAUGGUUUAAGGAUUUGUUGUAGGCAUAAUGGGCUAAUUAGAUUUUUUUUUUUAUCCGAUGAAUGCUAUUCAGCUGUUCUUAAUUAUGUGUUCAUAGGCAAGACCAUUUUCUUAAGUACUUUCGUUGCCUUCCAAGUUUCCAAAGAACAAACAGAGCACAAACAAAUAUAACGGAACAGCAAUGAUGGCAAUAAAUAAUUGGCAAAGAAAGAAAGAAAAAAGUUUGCAUGAUUUCAAGGAAUUGUAAAAUCUGAAGACUUUCAACAGGAAUUAUAAAAUCUGAAGACUUUCAACAUGCAAGUGUUGCCCCUUUUGAUGAAAUUUCAUCAUAAAAUGCUUGCAAAGAAUUAUAAAAUUUUAGAGAACAAGCGAACUCUCAAACAAAAUACUCAAAUUAAAUUAAAUUAGACCAAAAGACACUCAAUGACGCAAAAUCUGCCCAUAAAAGCCUGAACAAAUCAUGAAAAGUGCAUUCCAUAUUGACAGUAAACCAAGUGACCGAUUCUAAAUAAUUGAGAUGAAAUUGUGAAACAACCCACGAGAUCAAAUAAAUAAAAUAAGAAUUAAUUACCAGCUUUGACUUUCUUCUCCAAAUUCGCAACUCCAAGACAUAAGAAGCCAAUGAAAUUAGUCGUAACCCAUAAAGUACGACGACGACCCCGCCAAUAGCUGAAAAUAAAAUACUUAUUCAUCAAUUUAAACUAACUUUAUAACAAAUAUCUUAUCGAUAUUUUAUUUAAAAAAAGCAAAUUUGUAAAAUUUUUCCAUGGGAGAUAGAGAGUAAUAUGUAUAUCCGUACCUUUUCAGCAUGUAAUUGUUGUAUGGUUGUGUUAAGAUCAUUAUUUGCCCAACGGCGUUGAUCCUCUUACUCUCCAUACGAGACGUUUACUCUCGGAGGCGUGUUUGAUUCUCCUGAAGUGAAAGUCUUCAUCUUGGGACAACCAAUCACUUCUAGAUAUUCCAGAGAUGGGAAUUUGAAGGUGUAAUUGGCAGAGCAGAAACUUGUGAGACUGUCUAAAUCGCACAGAAUCAACGCCUUCAAUUUGCUGAAAACAAUCUCUUCUAUGUCAACUCCUUCUUUGUCAUUUAUUACCACCUCUGUCAUUGCUCUGCAUCCAUAUACUUGCACUGAUACGAGUCGCACCAGAGUUUUUGCUGUGGAGGAUGUUACGAAGUGUAUCAAUUCCUUGCAACCGACAGCUACCAGUUUUGUUAGGUUCCGAAAAGAUACCGAUGAUGAUGGCAAUAGACUUAACAGAUUUUGACAAUGAUAUACUUUUAGAAUUUCAAGAUAUUGAAAAAUGGAGUCAAGUUUGGAGUCUUGUUUACAUAGCUGCUUCAGAUGAUUAAGGUGGCCCAGCUCUAUACAUUUUAUCAUUGCCAACUUCCUCAAACGUUUCUCUAAGCAUCCUUCCGUUGAAAAUAGCUCUUCGUAUGAACAAUGAUACAGUAAGAGUAAUUCGAGAUUGUGAAAUCUCUCAAGUACAUUCCUGAUUGGAAAACAAGCCGAGUCAUCAUAAGUUAUGUCUAGUUUUUUAAGACUGCCAAAAAGGUGUUGAGGGAAAUCGGCGUCCAAAAUCAUCUUCACAUCUUUUCCGCUUAACGCCAGUGACUCCAAGUUGGGUAAGAUCUGAUCAUUAUCAAUCACGUAGUAACUAAUCAGUCAGUUGAUGUUCUCUCCAAUAAUUUUGAGUAAUCCAAUCAUAUGCAGCGACCUUAUAGUACUUGUUGUAGAUUAUAUAUAUUUUACCAAAAAAAAAAAAAAAAGAAAGGAAAAAUUGAAUUAGUGAUAAAAUUCAUUCUAGGGGCCGUUGAAUUAGUGAUAAAAUUGAAUUAGUGAUAAAAUUCGGUUAUAUUUUUCAAAGUCAAAAGUCGCUAAUGAUCUAAUUGAUAAGAAAUCUAGAAAGCGGCUUCAUACCUUUUUGAACAAGAAUAGGGGCCGUUGUGCAGGAAUACCAAGUUGAUCAUCCUCAUUAUUUUGUGAUGAAUCUGCAGCGAAUGUCUUCAAUUUGUCACAACCAGACACCACUAAAAUUUUUAGUGCAGGCCAUUCCGAAGUAAGCAUUCCAUGGUAUAAACAUUUAAGUUCUGGUAGCUCUUGGAGUAUAAGAGUGGUCACCCGUUGAAAGACAAAACGAGGGGUCACAUGAUCUACUCUGUCUUCCGAAAUGAUCUCUUGCAAACCCCUACAAUUCACUAUCUCUACUUGUUGGAGAUGCUCAAAGCUUUGAAUCAUAGAAACUAAAAAUAUGUAUUUCAAUUUGUUACAGUGGCACACAAUCAAUCGUGUUAAACUUUGAAAGCGAGGAAGCAUGACCGGACGAUGAUUGUAAUGCCAAAUCUUGUCGACAUUAAUUUCAGAUAUCUCCAAAGCCUCCAAGUUAGGCAAGCCUACCUAAAAAAAUAUUAAUUUCUUGUUAGAUCCAACAUCCAUAUGAGAAGGACUUAUUGAAAUUUUCUUCUUUGAUUGCAGAUUAAUAAUUCAAGUCAAAAUCAAUUUCCAACUGACAGCUGAGUAUGCAUUCUAAUUCAUAUUACUUGUUAAGAGCUCAAUUAGUGAGUGCGUGAGAUUCUUUUUAUCUUUUUUUUUUCACUUUCUUUCAAUUCUUUAAAUGAUUUAAUUAUUUUCCACGUAUGACAUCAAAAGAGAAUGCACAAUAGCAUAAAGAAAGUGUUAGCCUACGCACCUUGCCGUUGAAAAGCAGGGUUUCCAAAUUGAUUUCGUUGGAGCAAGAACUUGUCAAUUCCUCUUGCAGCCCUUGUCUGUUUAGUGAUGCUGAAGGAGUCUUCAAUUUACGGAAAAAAGUUGUAACCUCUGGAAGAUUUCCUAAACUCAAAGAUCUUAAUUGAGCCAACUCUAUCUUCUCAGUAGCAUUAUUGUUGUCAACAUCAGCUUCUCCCCCAGUUGCAAAAAUCUCUUUCAUCUUGCUGCAAUUAAUAACUGCAAUUCUCUCAAGUCUUGGAAGGCAUUUUGCAGUGGAGAGCCAGAAGAUAUUACUCAACUCAUUACAAUUUUCUACUUUUAUUGUUUUGAGUUUAUUGAAAGACUCUACUUUGAGUCGAUCAAUGCAUAUCCUCUCCAUGUUGAUCAAAUUGUGAAGAGUCAGCGACUCCAAAAGAGGAAAGGCAUCACAAGCGACCAUCUCCAUUGAGUCGACAAUACAAAAGAAGUCAGGAUUAUUUUGAACCCAGAGAAGCUUCAAUUGUGGUACGCCCUUUGUGUCCAAAUCGAAAAGAACAUUUUUGACACCUUGUAGCUUGUCCAACAAUAAGUAUUCAACGUUAUUGAUGGCCUGCAAUUUCAUGGAGCAAAUGUCCAUAAAAUCAAGCUUGAGCUUCAACUCUCUUAAACGCUCAUGAUUAUUGUUGAUCAAAAAGUGCGACCGACUGCGAAACCAAUCUUUUGUAACAGGCAAGGAAGCCAUGAAUGACUUAUUUCCAAUAGAUAUUUUGAACCUUUUGAGCUUUCUGGCCAAAAAGCCUUCCGGUAAAAUACUGUCAUUUUUAACAUCAACACUUCGGGAAUGUCAUUAAUAAUACUAUCUUUUAAAAAAAUUGCAGGAUAUUUUUUUAAUGCAUCUGCAUCUGGCCAUUUCCACAAAUGCAAUUUUGUCACGACAUGCAAUUGAAAUGGCAACAUCGCGAACAACAUCAUGCAUGGAAAAUAAUUUACUGCUACCAUCCUUAAGCAACAAACAAGAGUCUCUUAGUUGAUUGACCCAUGCAUCUAAUUUGUUAUGUGCAUCUUCUAGUUUAUGGACACUUUCAAAUGCACCCAAGCCCACGCUAUAUUUGAACAAGUCCAUAAUUGAAGUUGGUGUAAUUAGACUACACAGUAAAAAAGUUUUCUUGAGUUGCUCACCUCUUAAGUACUUGUAACUCAGCUCAAUUGUUGAGUAUGCCUCUACUGGUACUCCUCCGUCGAAGCUUGCCUCUGAAGGCGUUUGGAGUUCUUGCAAGGCGUUUUUCCACACAGGCAGCUCUUUGUUUCUCAGUGCCUUUGCUACUGUGGUUAGGGCAAUAGGCAAACCUCCACAUGCCUUGGCUACACUUGUUGCUGUAGAUUUUAACUCACGAUUUUCAACAUAAUUACCAGCCAUUAUCUUGAACAAUCUCCAAGCUUCUUGCUCAUUUAGAAUGCAAAUCAAGAAGUUAUUUUCAUAUCCCAUACUUAACGAGACAUUACGAUCCUUUGCUGUUAAUAAUAAUUUGCAUCCUCUAUGAUCAUCGCCAAAAGGAAUUCCAACAGUCUCUAAAUCAAGAUAUUUCCAGAUUUUGUCCAGAAUCACAAGGAUCUUCUUAUGAUUCUUCAAUCGUUCAUAAAGUUUACUAGCUCUUCUAGAUUCAGCCUCCUCGGACAACUCCAGACCUAGUUUCUCUGCAAUUUCCCCUUGAAUCUUUUUUAUGUCUGGAGUUUGGGAAACCUCUGAAAAAACCACCUGAUCAAAGAGUUUCUCUUCACUGGCUUGCCUUGCAAACUCCUUCACCAGUGUUGUCUUUCCAAUGCCGCCCAUGCCGUAUACCCCAACGAUGCUGACAUUGACAUCAGUCAAUGCAUCUUGUAUAGACUUCAGAGUAGAAAGUCUUGAUUUAAAGGCCUCAUAACCUUUGUUAGACUUUAGCCAUACCUCCUCCACAAUGGUACGGUAGAAAAUUUGAUCAUCAAAUCUCCUAGCUUCUUCUUUGAGUUCAACAAGGGCCUUCACCUCUGUUUCUGCUUUCUUGCUAAGCUGAUAGCGGGUCUUCAAAUUAGGACACAAGCCCUUGAAACAUCGCUUACUUGUUGUCUCCCCAUCUUCAAUGAAUUUGGAUGCCUGCUCAAUGGUGUUGUUCGCACUAACCAGCUAGUUCUCAACCUUCUCUUCAAUCUUUUCUCCUUUUCUUUCAGCCUUAGAAACUCUGUGCUGAAUGCUCUUACUUUCAUCCUUGAGCUUGUCUAUUUCUGCCUUGAGAUUCUCAAAGUUGGCUUUAUAGUUACGCAAAUAACCAAGUUGGUGUUCUGUUGGAGGAGCGAAGCAUUUCACAACUUCUAACAGAACAGUAACAAUGCUUUCCACCAUCUUCGAUCCUCUUUUUUUCAAAGUUCCGAAAUGAAAAUAAACGACGAGCGAAACACAGAGAGAAAGAGAGGCAAAAAAAAAAAAAAAAAAAAAAAGAAAAUGAAACAACAAAGAUGACAAGUGUAUCUGUUUGUGGAAGCGGAGAAAUCAAAGAAAGCUUAAAAACUGUUGUGAAUCUGGUGAGAAGAUGGAAACAAGGAAAAGGUUUCUAGUUCAAAAGUGAUUGAAUUGAUAUAAGGAAUGAUUUAGAUAAUAGAGGAAAAGUGAAUCAGUCAAAAUAACUUAUGUAUUGACCAGAAGAAAGAUGCAAACAAUAUUGGAGACAACAACAACGCUAUGUGUUGUGCGCAGAAUGCGGAAACAAGUGCACUGAAUAAUCACAGAAAAAUAAAGGACACAAGAAUUACAUGGUUCGGCAAUAUGCCUACGUCCAUGGGAACAAGAGAAAAAUAAUUGUAUUAUUAACAAUUAUAGUACAAAUUUGAGUAAAGAAAUCUCACUUUCCCAUAACCCAAAUACACCAGUACUCUCACACACACUCUCCAAUUGCUCACACUCUCACAACUCUCAAAACCUUAGAAACUUAUACGCUUAACAAUUUAGGGAUGAUUUACAAAUGAAGAAUGCAUCUAUAUUUAUAGCAAAAAACGUUGCACUAUUGCACCAUCCGCUUUGCAAUUUGUCAAUUCUCCUAUCUGUCAAUUUGACAAAUUUUACUAACCUUUUUCAUUUUUCUUCAUUUGGUGCAGGAUUGUCAAAAGUCAUAUAUUCUACAGCUUGCAAUUUUGGUGCCGACUUUGAAAAACAAAAGCAAUGCAUGUGGCUCACUUUUAUUUUUCAACCAAUUUGAAAAAAACUCUUUGACUUUUCAACAAUUCUCCACCUCGGCGAAGAUUUGUUCAAAUCUGAGCCGACUACCAACCAAUCAUCAUCCCCAAAGUGGCUGCAUCUCUGUGACUGCCUACGUACCCAAAAUUUGGGAUCAAGCCAACCGUAGUUUAAAAUUUCCGAAGGACAUAUCUUAACACAAUCGAAGGAUUUGAAUUAGUUUCAAGCAAUGUUGAAACUUAACUCCAGAAACUACCUUCGUCAACAUAUCUGAUGGAUUAUCUUUGGUAUCGAUCUUUCUCAACAACACAACACCGCUCUCGAUAAUCUCUCUCACAUAAUGAUAUUUCACAUCUAUGUGUUUCGUCCGAGCGUGAUAUGUUUGAUUCUUCGCAAGGAAUAUCGCACUUUGAUUAUCACAGAAGACCGCAAUGUUCUCUUGGAUUACUCCUAAAUCACCUAACAAGCCUUUCAACCAGAGAGCUUCUUUUACAGCUUCAGUUACUGCCAUAUACUCUGCUUCCAUAGUGGACAAAGCAAUUAUCGAUUGUAGAAUCGACCUCCAGCUAACCGGACCUCCACCCAAUGUGAAUACGUAGCCCGUUGUUGAUCUUCGCUUGUCAAGGUCUCCAGCGAAAUCAGAAUCACAAUACCCAACACAUUGUUGACCACAAUCAUUCUUGAACAAUAACCCAACAUCAACUGUCCCAUACAGAUAUCGGAGAAUCCACUUUACUGCAAGCCAUUGAUUUAUACCCGGAUUGUGCAUGUAUCUACUAACCAUGCUCACUGCUUGAGAUAUAUCAGGCCUUGUACAUACCAUAGCAUAUAUAAGACUACCCACAGCACUAGCAUAUGGAACACGAGCCAUAUAAUCGCGCUCCUCUUGAGAUCUAGGACAUAAAGAAGAGCUUAAUUUGAAAUGAGGAGCUAAAGAUGUACAUACUGGUUUAGUUUUGUCAUCCAUGCCUAAUCUUUUUAGCACUUUCUUCAAAUAAGACUUUUGAGUCAACCAUACGCUCCCAUUCUUCUUGUCUCUACGAAUCUCCAUCCCAAGUAUUCUCUGUGCAUCACCCAAGUCUUUCAUCUUGAACUCAGAAGCUAGCUGCUUCUUUAAUCUUUCGAUCUCAUCUCUAUUCUUCGAAGAUAUAAGCAUAUCGUUGACAUAGAGUAACAAAUAGAUAAAAGCUUUAUCUAGUAGUCUUCUAAAGUAAACACAAUGAUCGUGUUCGCUUCUAGUGAAUUUCUGCCCUUGUAUAAAUUGAUCAAAUCUUUUGUACCACUGCCUUGGCGAUUGCUUCAGUCCGUACAAAGAUUUAAUCAACCUACACACAUGAUUCUCCUUUCCAGCAACUUUGAAACCACAAGGCUGAAUCAUAUAGAUUUCCUCCACUAAAUCUCCAUGUAAGAACGUCGUCUUAACAUCCAAUUGAGCCAACUCUAACUCAUAUUCUGCAAGUAAGGUAAGUAGGAUACGAAUGGAAGUAUAUUUUACAACUGGAGAGAAAACUUCAUUAUAUUCAAUACCUUCCUUUUGAGCAAAACCUUUCGCCACGAGCCUUGCCUUGUAUCGAGGAAUUGAUUGCUUCAGAGAUCCUUUCUUCUUGGUGUAGACCCAUUUAUUCCCAAUAGCCUUUUUUCCUUUUGGUAACUUUACAAGUUCCUAUGUCUGGUAACUUUACAAGUUCCCAUGUCUGGUUUUGAUGGAGAGAUUUCAUCUCUUUUUCCAUGGCUAACUUCCAUUGAUCACUUUCACUGCCGCGUAAUGCUUCACUGAAAGUGUUGGGGAUGUCAUCAUCAAUAACUAGAAGUGCAUAGGCUACCACCAUGUAUUUAGUAAGCCAUCCGGGUUUCUUUAUCUCCCUUCUUGGCCUCCUUAUUGCUAUAAAAUCAUCAUUAUCUACAUCAUAAAUUGUUUCUUCAUUUUGUGGGACAUCAGAAGAAACAACCUCUUCUUCAACUGUAGGUGUCACCUCCAUAGUUGAACCCUUCUUUGAUGUAGAAUUAACUGGUACAUAUGAAGUUGCAUCAAACUUCACCCGCUGCAAUACCUCUUUGGUCUUGUUCUCCACCUACUGAGAACUUGAAGCUUUCAUCAUUAAAGCUUCAUCAAAUGUGACAUCUCUGCUACACACAAACUUUUUGUCUUCGAGAUUCCAAAGCUUGAAGCCCUUUACUCCAUCUUUGAAUCCCACAAAGAUAGCUUUUCUAGCACGAGGAUCCAGUUUACCAUCUUUGACAUGAUAAUAAGCUGGACACCUGAAUAUACGAAGGAAAUCAUAGUCUUGUGCAUGCUUUCCAGACCACAUUUCCAUAGGAGUUUUACCUCUAAUUACAGUAGAAGGAACUCGGUUUAUCAAGUGACUUGCAUAGCUCACAGCUUCAGCCCAAAACUUUUUAUCUAAACCAGCAUUAGAUAAUAUACACCGUACUUUCUCCAGUAAAGUACGAUUCAUGCGCUCAGCCACACCGUUCUGUUGCGGAGUAUGUCUCACCAUGAAAUAUCUUUUAAUACCCUCGUUCUGGCAUACUUGCAAGAAUGGAUCAGAAGUAUAUUCACCCCCAUUAUCAUAUCGUAAUACUUUGAUCUUUCUGCCAGUUUAAGUCUCUACCAAUUUCUUCCAUUUCACGAAAAUCUCUAGAACAUCAUCCUUUGCUCGCAUGGUGUACACCCACACACGUCUAGAGAAAUCAUCAACAAAUGUAACAAAAUAAUGGCUUCCACCAAUUGAUGCAGUCUUGGUUGGUCCCCAUACAUCACUAUGAACAUAUGCAAGGAUCUCACGAGUAUCGUGAUUAGCCGUACCAAACUUGACCCUUGUUUUCUUGCCUACUACACAAUGCUCACAGAAAUUUAAUUUACAGGUUUUGGGACCUUUUAAGAGUCCGUGCCUCAUCAGAGUUUGCAAGGACUUCUCUCCAGCAGUCACAGUCGUACAUGCCAUAGCUUGGUGGUGUCACUGUGCGCCUCAACAACAUUUGCUUCAUCAAUUGUACCUCCCUUCAAAUAGUACAGAUUAUGACGCCGAACCCCUUGUAGAAUCACCAUAGCCCCAUGUGUAAACUUCAUUAUACCAUCUUUAAUGGUAACCUUGUAGCCUUUACCUUCCAAAGUACCCACAGAAAUUAGAUUUUUCUUGAAAACUGGAAUAAAUCUAACCUUUUUGAGUUCUCUGACCGUUCCAUCAAACAUUUUGAGCUGAAUUAUUCCUAUCCCCAUUGUGCGACAAGGUUGAUCAUUCCCCAUCACAACUGCACCAGAUUCCAGAUUACGAAAACCCGUAAAUCAUUCCUUAAUAAGACACAAAUGAUAGGUUGCUCCAGUAUCAAGUAUCCACUCGCUCGAAUUAGCUACAUAUACUACAGGAGUAAUACUUAGUGAAUAAUCAGAGUCUUCAUCUUUCCAUGCCAUGUUUGCUGGUGCUGGUUUCUUCCCAUCUCUCUUUUGAACCUUUGGCCAAUCUUUCCUCCAAUGGCCAUUUUCAUGACAAAAUGCACACUCAUCUCGAGCUAUAUUUCUGCUUCUCAAUUUGGAUCGAGAAUUUUUUCCACCAAGCUUUUUCUUUUUCUCCAUCACCCAAUCUUUACUCACCAAAGCUUCAAACGAUACUCGUUCAGAAUUUUUAUCAUUAUUCUGCAUCUCCAAGUUAGUCAAUGUUGUGCAAACAUCUUUGAAGACGAUCACACUCUUCCCGUAUAUCAAGGUAGUCACAAAAUGACUAUAUUCCUCUGGUAGUGAGUGUAACAAAAUUAUAGCUUUGACUUCAUCCUUAAUAUCUUCAUCGAGAUUCUUCAAAUCAGCAGGUAACUUUUCAAAUCUUGAGAUAUGAUCGUGCAUUGACACCCCAUGCUUCAUUCGAAAGCCAUAUACUUGGCUCAUUGUAUAAAGACGAUUUUCAGGACUUUUCAGCAGGUACUUCUCCUCCAAUGUACGCCACAAAGUCACCGCACACUCCUCAUCUUUCACCAAGUAUUUCACCUCCUUGGUCAAACAAGAUCUGAUCUGACCACAAGCUUUCUCGUUCAUACGAUCCCAAAUUUCUUCAUCAUACAAGUGUCUUUUAUUUUUCAGAACAACAUCGAGAUCGAUUUGAAUAAGGACAUCCAUAACUUCGCGCCUCCACAUGCCGAAGUUGAUUUUCCCAUCAAAUUUUUCAACAUCGAUCUUCUGGCCUCCUAUAACAGGUGCUGAGUAGGGAUUUGACAAAUCUCGCCUCCCACUUGAACUGUCUCCUGAAAUAGUCUCGGUAGAUCUCUCCUUACUUCUGGAAGUUUCACCUUCUACCAUUUUCUCAACGAACUAUUUCCACUUGAAAAACAGCCUCUGUGAUGUUAAUUUCGCAUGAAUAAAUGCACCAGGAAAGUUCCCAGGAAACUGGAUGGGAACUCGGUCCCAAUUAAAAACCAAAAUCCUUAGACGCUUAUUGCCUUGUUGACAGAACUUUCCUAGACAUGCAAAAAGACACACUACUUACAAUAGACUGUCUCCUAAAUACAAAUGGCCGUCUCAACCGUAUUCGUGAACAGUACCGUAUGUGAACAAUACCGUAUACAAGAAUAGUACCAUAUGUGUGAAUAGUAUUGUAUAUGUGAACACUUCCGUAUAUUAGAAUAGUAUCGUUUACGUGAACAGUACCGUAUCCCCCCAAGUACGAACCUUCGGCUCUGAUACAACUUGUUGUGCGCGGAAUGCGGAAACAAGCGCACCAAAUAAUCACAAAAAAAUAAAGGACACAAGAAUUACGUAGUUCGGCAAUAUGCCUACGUCCACGGGAGCAAGAGAAAAAUAAUUGUAUUAUUAAUAAUUAUUUAAGUACAAAUUUGAGUAAAGAAAUCUCAUUUUCCCAGAACCCAAAUACACCCAGUACUCUCACACACACUCUCCAAUUACCCACACUCUCAUAACUCUCAAAAGUUUAGAACUUAUAAGCUUAACAAUUUAGGGAUGAUUUACAAAUGAAGAAUGCAUAUCUAUUUAUAGCAAAAAACAUUGCACUAUUGCACCAUCCGCUUUGCAAUUUGUCCAUUCUCCUAUCUAUCAAUUUGACAAAUUUUGCUAACUUUUUUCAUUUUUCUUCAUUUGGUGCAGGAUUGUCAAAAGUCAUAUAUUCUACAGCUUGUAAUUUUGGUGCCGACUUUGAAAAACAAAAGCAAUGCAUGUGGCUCACUUUUCUUUUUCAACCAAUUUGAAAAAACUCUUUGACUUUAAUUUCAACAAAUAGAGAUGGAGAAAAAGAAAUAUCUUCACACGGUGGAAGUACAAAGGGUAGAUAUGGAACCAAACAGAGACAACAACAGGCCACAACUAGAUUGGGAAUGGAGAGAAACAAAUUAACAAAGACUGGAGAUUACAACAGAACAGAUGCCAAGAGAAAAGGGUUUCUUCAUCCAGUGAAAUUCAAGUGAGUUGACAGCAAAAGGGAGCAUAUGUGUUUCUUGAUUGAGAACGAGUGCAAAGGAUGACUUUUUAAUGAGGUUCUGAAGCUGACGGAUAACGAUUUGCUAAAAUUUUGAGAAAGUUAUAUAUUUCGUAACUUCAACAAGUGAAGAAUAAAAGAAUAAUAGUUCGUCAUCUUCACAAUGAAGAUCAUGGCCGAGAUUAAAAGCUAAAACUAGUCCAUUUGAAAAGCCAAAGUUCAAGUUCCUUGGCUAAGUUCAGAAGUGAAGCAAAGAAUAAAUAAAUAAAGAUCAAGGGAUGGGAAUAAAGUCACCCCCAGACAGUUGCAGAAAGAUUAUUAUUUGGUAAGUGUAGUUGAUUAUUAGUACAAAACAGAGUAGGUGAAACACAUCCUUUCUAUUUAGACUGAUCAGCAUCUAAAAUUUUAUGAAUUAUGAGUUGCAUUUUACUUUGUACAUUAUGUUAACACAUUUUAAUUUAGCCAAUUUUGCAAUAAAUGUUAUUGAUGUAUUAAAUAGAAAAUGAAUUGAAUUCCACUCAUCGUCAUCUUGGCAAAUCAAGUCAAAAAAUAAAAAUCCAUAUGCUUUUGUUAAAGUUAAAAGCUACAUAAAUAAUAUCACAGAAGCUUCUGCUAAGGUUCAUGUGAAGUCACAGCUUUGAUACUUGUAAUACAAGGAGCACGGAGAAACCAUAAACUUCAGUUUAGGUAUAUACAUUGCUUGUCUUUCAAACUUGAAUUGAUAAGGGGGAAAAAAUAAUACUAAAGCAAACAGAAGGAUCAUUUAGUUGACAAAAUUAUUAGCUGAUAUGCAUUAACAACUCCUAUCCUAUACUAUCAGCCAGUAGGUUGUUGCUGCUUCCCGAUUUUUAAUGAUGCGAACAUCUCAUACUUAGAAAUAAGGGCGGAGCCUGGAGAUUGAUUUAUAAGAUAAGAAGCAACAUUGUGUACAAUAUCAGAUUUCCAAUGUGAGAAAAAUAAAAUUGCGUUAUAAAAUUAAUCCCACUAAGAAAGUGGUCUACGAAAUUGCCACAUUAAAAGAAAUUUUUUCCAUAAAUUAAAAUAAAAUUAAAUGAAAACUAUUUUUCAGUAAAGUCAAUUGCCCACGCUAGGCUAAGGCGUUUGUUUUUUUGUUUUUUUUUUUUUAAAUCUGAAUAGGUAUAAAUUUUUCGUAAGCAUGAAUGGGCUGAGUACAAAUAUAUGAAUGACAUAUUUAUUUUUAUUUUUCUUAAUACCCGAAUAUAAGUGACAUCUUAUUUAUCUUAAAUAUGGUUAUUUGAUAUUUAUAUUUUUACAAAUCAAAAUAAAAAAAAAAAAGUAGUUAGAUUUUAUAGUUUAAGAAAUAAAUAUAUUUUAUAAAAAAAAAUUUAGAAUAUAUAUUUACUUCUUAUUCAGACUUUUUUCUAUUCAAUAAAAUUCACAAAAGUUACUUUUUCUAUUCAAAUGUAAAUGCUUAAAAAUCAUAUAUAAGUUACAAAAAAAAAUUUGGAAAAAGUCAUAAAUUAAUAAAAUUUCAGAUUUUAUAUAUUUAACUCCCAAUGCAGAUCCGUCCCUAUUAGUGUUAGGAAAUUGACUGGUGAAUGUUGAGUGUUAGAAAAUAGGAGAAAAUCGUCAUUUUACACUUCAAGUUUUACUAACAUCCUUACUUUUACGUAUUUAACCUUCUUGUGAUUUAAUUACGUGUUUUUUUAUUUUAAUUAAGUAUUUUAUGUAUUUUAGUGGCAUUAUAGUCAUUUCACAAUGAACGAGAGAUCAGACGGCAAAACGGACAUCACUUUUGAACUCAGGACGGUCGAAAACCUUAGGAGGAGCAUAAAAGGAAAAAUGACACUGUUCAUAUGUACGGUACUAUUUACAUGUACAGUACUGUCUACGUUACUGUUCACGACACUGUUCACAUAGACGGAUCGAUGAUGUGGCAUUGACCGAUGAUAUGGCAUUGACUGAUGAGGUGUCACGAUCUUGUUGGACUAAAAUUCUUAUGCACUGUUGAUUGGUGACGUGGCAGCAUGUUAGUGGACCAAAAAUUGCGCGUACGGUACAUGCAUAUACACAGGAUUAUUUUCAACCAAACCGCGUUACUGUUCAAGCCGGGUCAAACCGUGUUACUGUUCAAACCGCGUGGUCAAACCGCGUACUGUUGACUGAUGACGUGGCGCAAUCCUAAACGUCCAAACUGUUUUUAAUCCGAUGGCCAUGAUUUACUCAAUGUAUCUAUAAACAAGAUCCUUGUUUAUGGCUCUGAUACCAUAAAUCUUGUUGGUACGUGGCGUUGUUUUACCAUAAACAAGGAUCUUGUUGGUACGUGGCGUUGUUUUACCAGAUCAAUGCAAAAGUUAAUCUGCCUUAGGGACCAGAUCUGACUUAGAACAGAUCAAUAUCCCGCAUGUUCGGGUUUUCAGCCGAUAUACCACAAAGGCUCAACGAUAGUACUAGAUCUGGAUCCCAGAAAUAGUACUCUGAUUGAAUGGAGGGAGAAGAGAAAUACAACUAAGGUCAGAGAUCCGGUCUCUAUGCCUUAGAGGAUAUGUAACAGUUUAUAAAGAAAUUUAAAUAGACGUAAAAUAAAUUACAAAAUUUAAAACAUACAUGCUUUAUAAAAUUAAAAUAUUAAACUUACAUAUUAUUCUUGCUUGAAUCCAAGAAACCUUUACGUUACAAUAUAGUUUUACAGAAUAGGAAAGAUGAGAAAGUUCGGAGACAGGAAAAUUUCCUCCAAGUCUCUGAUUUCUUUCCAGAGGAGAAUACAAGAAGAAGUAAAAAAGAGAAGUGUCCUCCCCUUCUGCUCGAGGCCUCGAUUUAUAGAAUCAGAAGUGCCUUGGUAGCUGCAUCAGACCACUACUUGGAGAAACGUGCUUGUGGAGACAGCAUCGUCUGCUUUAUCACGUGGAGACAGCAUCUUCUGCUUUAUCACGCGGAGACAACAUCUUUUGCUUUAUCACGUGGAGACAGACAUCUUUUGCUUUAUCACGUGGAGACAGCAUCUUCUGCUUUUUGAAAAGCGUUGACGUGGACCAAAAAGUGAAAAUGAAAAUACAAGGAAAAAUACAUAAAUACAAAUUAUUUACAUAAUACUAAAUGAACAAUACAUAUGAUAAUUACUUUUUUUUUUAAAUGGUAACUUUAAAAGUGCUUUAUGGGAGAAAGAAUCCCGAAACAAUCAUCUUUAUUGUCGUCUCCCAGGGAAAUGAAUGGUUCAGCUUCUUCAUCGGUAGAACCUGCUGCAGAUGGUUCAGAUCUUGAGGCAAGGAGGUGUUCUAUAACUUGAAAAUAUUCGUUUUCAGUCUUUGCACUGGCCAAAAGAGAUUGGGCUUUUGACCGUUGGGCUAAGAAAGUACUCUGGGUUUUAACAUCUUGAAUGCUUGGCGCGAGAAGGCCUUUUGAGGAGAGCCAUUUCUGAACUGUGGCUACAGACAGCUUUGACUGUUCAUCAAACUUUGACCACCAUUUGACUUUAAAGGUUCUUUGUAGAAUGAAUUGGGCUUCCUGUUUGUGGUAUUGGAAAUUCCACAUCCAGACCCAAGGAAGGAAAAAGUUUGUACAGAAACAAAGAAAAGGAGGAAACCUUUUCUCGGACUCUGAAGGAACAUAAUGGGCUUUAAAAAUGUUUAAACAGUGAAUGGCAUUUGGAGUUAAAAUAUCGGGGCAUGGCCCAAAAUAAUUCCACCACUGUUGGAACCAGUUUGGAAGACUCUGAACGGUUAUUUUUGAAUUAAAGAAAAAUAACCAAGAAUGGGUCUUUUUUGGGUUUUGAAUAAAGAAUGUGUUAAAUCAGGCCUGUUGAUAGUCCCAGUAAGAGAAAAAUAAACAGUGGUUUAAACUCCGUUGGAAAUUGGCAGGAAAGGUUUUUAGUUUGUGAAGUUCAUCACCCCACUGUUUUGGACUCAAGACUUGUAAUAUGGUGGCUGUGGAAUAGGCGGGUCUUUAUGGGAUUCACUGAGGAAGAAAUGUUUGAAUUUUACAGACUCAGUGUAUUCCAGAAUGCUUUGGUAGAAAGACUGGGGUUUUGUCAAAUCCCAAGGUUUGAAAAACCAGCCUUUCGGAAAAAUCUUUGAAAUGGCUUGAAAUGGAUCAGAGUGAUAAAAUCCAUCUUCUAUAGAUAAAACAUUUUGAUGAUGGGUUUUAUUAAACCAAUCCGAAGAUUUUUUAGGAAGAUUUUGUUGUGAAACAAUAAUUUGAGAACUGGAACUUUCUCCAGAAAGAACUAUAUUUGAAGAGGAUUUUGAAAUAUCUUUAGAAAUAGUCUUUGAAACAGUUUUUUCUUCUUCAGGAUUUUUAGAAAAAGCUUUAUUUUGAGAAAUGCUUUGAAGAGCUAAUAAGAGUUCAGGAGAAUUGGAAAUGGAGUUCAUCCAUUCUUUUACCUGUACUUCCGAGGCGAUAGCUUUAGAAUGAGCUUCAUGCUCCUCAACCAUAUCAAUCCAAGAUUUAAUAGGCAUGGCUGAGGAUAAAAUUUUGUCUUUAGGAGGAGUUGAUAAAGAUUCUUUAGAAGCGGGUUGAGGUGGAGGGUCUUUGAGGACACCUUUUCCUUUGUCUUUUUUGGGCGGCAUUAUCUGUUUUGAAGAAAUUCCCUAGUUAGAAAGUCAGGGAUAGAAUUUGUAUCUCCUUUAAUAAAGUCAAUAUCAAAGUCAAAAACACUUAAAAUAGUUUGCCAUCGUGCAAAAAUUUGUUUUGAUGCAAUGUUUUGAACACCUUUUUCUAAAACAUGUUUUGCAGCUUUGCAAUCUAUCCUAAGUAAAAAAUUUUGAUUUAAUAAAUCACUUUGAAAUUUGGAUAUGCAUAAAACAAUGGAUAAAAUUUCUUUUUUAAUAGUAGAAUAAUUUUUCUGACAUUCAUUCCAAUGAGCAGAAACAUAUUGAACUAUUUGUUCUUUAGUACCAUUCUUUUGUUUUAAUAUUCCUCCAUAACCUAAAUCUGAAGCAUUGGUUUCAACAAUUUUAGGUAAUACAGGAUUUGCAAGAAACAAACAAGGGAUUUCUUUGACUGUAAGUUUUAUUAAUUUAACAACUUUAGUGUGUUCAUCAGUCCAAACAACAGGGUGUUUCUUUAAUCUAUCAUGCAACGGUUUUGAAAUCCUAUUAAUGUUAGGACAGAAAUCAAGAACAUAAUUCAAACUACCUAAAAAUCUAUGUAGUUGAGUUUUAUCAAGAAUUUUAUCAGGGAAUUUGUCGGCAAAUGCAAGAGAUCUUUCUAUAGGUGUUAUAGUACCUUUAGAAAUAUAAUGACCAAGAAAUCUAAUUUUGGUCUGAAAUAAAGAAACUUUAGAAUUAGAAAUAGCUAAGCCAGCUUUUCUAGUCGCAAACUAGAAAGUCUUUAAAUGUUUGAAAUGUUGAUCAAUAGACUGAGAAAAGAUUAAUACAUCAUCAAUAUAAACAAUGCAAAAUUCUGAAAAAGGAUUAUAAAUAUCAUUCAUUAUCCUUUGAAAUUCGGAAGGUGCAUUUUUUAAUCCGAAUGGCAUUACUGUCCAUUCAUACUGUCCAAAAGGAACAGUAAAAGCAGUUUUGUAUCUAUCUUUAGGAUGGAUUUGAAUUUGCCAAAAUCCUGAUUUCAUAUCAAAUUUUGAGAAAAUGAAAGCAGAGUGCAGUUUUUGGAGUAAAUCUUUUUUAUUAGGUAUGGGAUCCCUAAUCCAUUUUAAUGCUUUAUUAAGAGGUUUGUAAUUAAUAACUAAUCUAGGUGUUCCUCUUUCUAUUUCAGAAUUCUUAUUGACAUAGAAAGCGGCACAAGACCAAGGAGACCUAGAUUUGACAAUGAGUCCUUUAGACUCUAAAUCUUUGAUUUCGUUUUUACAGUGUUGUUCUAAGUCCAUGUUCAUUUGGAUUGGACGAGCUUUAGUGGGAAUUUGUCUUUCAUCAAAGGAAUUUUCAUAAGGCAAAUCAACCAAAUGUUGUUUUCUAUUCCAAAAGGCAGAAGGCAAAUCAGCACAUAUUUCUUUUUCAACUAGGGUUUUAUAUUCAGAAAUUUUUCUCUUUGAAAAAUCAUUUUGCAAUUGGCUUUCAAUUUUUUGUAAAUUCAAGUCUUUUGUAAACAAACCAAGUCAUUUUGUCUAGACUUGAGUAAAAUAUUGAUUUGGUUCUGAUAAACAGAACAUGCUUUUACAAUAUUCAAAUUUCUUGUUUUAGGUUUUUCAAUAAAAGGAAAAAAUAAUUUUUUGUUUUUUGCGUUAAAAGAUAUACUAUCAUAAUUGACAGUAUAAGGAGUAAUAAGGUUAAUGAAAGGAGUUCCUAAAAUAACAGUGUGAUGUAUGUCAUUUGUUAGGACGAAGGAAGUCCUAAAUUCAAAACCAUUAUUAUAAAUUGAGGCAUCAACUUUAGAUUUGACUUUUAACUUCGAGUUAUUGGCGACAGAAAGUCUUUCAUUGGUUUUCUCAUGAAAUCCUUUAGGGACAAUAUCUUCUCUAAUGCAAUUUAAAUCGGCACCUGUAUCAAAAAGGGCAAUUGUGUCAAUCUCAAAAUCUUUAGAAAGAAUUAAGGUGAUUUUAAUCAAAUAUUUUCUAGUGGUGAUCUGUUUUAAAACAAAAAGGAAAUCCUUGGGUAAAGAUUCAAUGUUUUCAAGGUUUUGUCCUUCAUUAUCACCAUCGGAUUCUGAUUCUUUAUUAUAAUUAUCUUGUAAUUGUUUUUGUAACAGAAGUUGGAUGGUUUCAGAAUCACUUUUCUGUUUUUCUUUCAAGUUUUUUAUCUCAAGUUUGAUUUCUUUUAUCUCUUUUUGGAGAUCUUGGAUAUUUGGUAUUGUUUUCUUUAUUUUCUUAUUGUCAAGGAUUUUUGUAAGAUCAUAAGUAUUCUUUUUAAUAGUAGGGGCUUUAGAGGUUUCUGCUUUAUCUCCUAAAUCUAAAGUUUUUAGGAGUUUAUCAAGGUACUCUUUUUGAAGAGUAUGGUCAGAAAUGUGUUUAACUAACUCAAGAAAAGUUUCUUGAUCUUUAGUUAACACAUUAACUUUCUUAAAAUAGGAAUCUGUUUCAGCAUCACUAUUACUAGUUACAGAUGUAUCUGAGUCAAGUAAUUCAUCAAUCUAUAAGGGCUCACUAUCUCCCGUCAUGGAAGAUUUAGAAUCAGAAGAUUCUACAAGUAAAGGGGCAACUUUAGAAAGUGUCUCUUCAUCAAGACCAAGUUCGUGAAGUUUUGUAUUUACUCUACAAAAUUUCUUGGUGUGGCAUUUUCUUCCACAUUUAAAACAUGUGGCUUCUUUGUAAUUGAAAGGAGGUUUUGUUGUGGCCUUAGGAUCCUUUCGUUUAGAGAAGCGAGGCUUCCUAUAAAAUUUCGAAGGUUUUUUAUAGGAAGAUUCCCUAAAAUCCGGAAAAGCUUUUUUACGAUUCUUAGAAUUGUAAUGUUUUUUGUAAGGUUUUGUAGAACAUUUACCAUUACAAUCCCUGGAAGUAGAGGCUUUAAAAGGAUCAUAGUUAAACUGUUUACAGAAACUGCCUAAUUCUUGCUUAGAUUGUCUAAGCUCCCAUUUUAGACGCUUCUGUAAUUUCAUAUCUUGGCAAAUCUUUAAUCCUUCUUUAUUGACAAAACUGACCAAUUCACCAUAGGUGAGUUCAUCAUAUGGAAUACGGUUGUCAUAAAGAGCUUUAAUGGAAUUCCUAACUUUUUCUCCUAAGAGAGUGGGUAAACCAGCAAGGAAUUUUUCUUUCCAAGUAACAUGGUUUGCAUCAUCUCGGAGAAAAAGUCUAGUGAAGAAAGUGGUUUUAUAACUUUGGAAUUCACUAAGUUUCCUACAUCUUAAGUUGUGUAGUAACUCAGCAUUUUUAUCUCUAAGGUGUGAAGGAUCACCUAUGAAGUGUAGAGAAAUAGUAAGGAUCAGGGUAGCUACAGCAUCUUGAAUAGGGCUAUUGAAUUCAUCACAGAUAGGUGCUCCAUUUUCAUCUGUUUAAAUAGCAUUAAGAAUAUCUAAUUGUUGUUGUUUGGUGAGAAGAUGAUCCCACCAGCCUUUAAGUUGACCAGUAAAACCAGCAAUGAGGAUCUCUGCAAUAGCUUUGUCAGAGGUUCCUGACUGGGUUUUAUAAGCAUUAGCUGCCAUGGUCAUCUGUUGCAACAAUCCUAAAAUAUUAUAUUCGGACAUACUAUCAAUGUUCCACUCAUAGACAGAGGAGGCAUUAAAUCGUGAUUGGUUUAAUGCGCUUGGUCUGUUGUCUAUGGCUAAGUCAGGAGGAGAAUUGAUAGUAGGAAGGGCUAAUUCCCAAUGAAUUUUAUUGGCGUUAUGAAUAGGUUCAUUUGUAAAGGCUUCUAUAUCUAAAGAGGCUAUAGACACUUGGUCUUGUUCAAGUACACCAAUUUUGCUAGAUUGGGCACUAUCAGGAGCUAUUUGUAUCUUACUAGAUGCAGAAGAAGAAGCUUCGAUCCUAUCUAGUUGUUCUCUAAUGGCUUUAGCAAAAUCUGAUUUUGACUCAUGGGCAAGCUUUUGACUAGUUUUCGAAACUUGGAAGGGUUUGAAAAUAGGCUCUUUAAGCCUUUUGUCAAUAUCCGAUUUUGAUGAACUAAUAGGGGAAACAACUAUUGUUGACUUUUGGAAUUGGUUUUCUAUUCUAGUCAACUGCUUUCCUAUUGUAUUUAGGUUAGUAUUACAGAAAUUAUUCUGUUGGAUAAUGUUACCUAAAUUAGUCUCUGGAUCAUUAGUUUUAUGGAUUUUAUAAGGUGAGGCUUUAAUUUGGACAGGAGGUUCACCAUGGUCAAUGGUCAGACUCCUAAGAGGUGGAUGCUCAGAUUCUAUAGUUCUGUCACUGUCAGAAAGAUUCCACUCAGUGAUCUUUUUUCUAACUGUGAUCGGGUUAGAUUCUUUAAAAGGAUAUGUAAUGUUAUUAUCAGAAGCAUACAUAGUCAACAGAAUGUAUAGAAGAGCUAGGUAUAUCCGAUGUGGAAAACCUAGGUUGACUUUUUACAGGUUGGAAAGGAAGAUUUAUAACAGAGGGAAGUUUUGAGAAUUUUCUCUCUAAAGAGGCGAUACUAGAACUUGAAUCUUUAUCAGAAAACCUAGAUGAUGUGGACCUUCUAAAAUAUAGUUUGACUUUACCAUCAGAAUAUUGAGUCACAUUUUGUAACACUGUAUUUGGUUCAAGUUGUUUUGGAAUCACUGGUUCAGUGGCUCCUUCAAGAAUCCAUUCUUCUGGAAGAUUGACAUCUUUCCAUUGGAUUGGUUUGGGAACAACAGUGUUGGCUUUAGACAGGUCAGUCUGCAAGAGAAGAGUCUCAUCUCUUUUUGACUGAAAUUUAUGUUGUGUAUUAAACGCAGAAUUCAUGGCUUUGUAUGAAAUUUUGAUAAUUAAGGCAACUGGGACAGAUCCCUCAAUCAUGUGAUAAUUAUGGGUUUUGAUUUGUAAAAUCAUGCUUUUCAAAAUGUUUUUGUCUUUUAAAGAAAUUGUUAUGUUCGGGUAACAGCUAAAUGAGAUGGGACCUUUACAAAGACUUGAUUCUAUACUACUUAAUAAAGAAUCAUCAAAAGAGAUGAAUCGCCCAUCUCUUAGGAUAGCAAGAAUAGAGGUAUUAAGACCUUCUUUAGUUAAGGGUUUUAUGCCAACUUGUAUUAAGCCGAUGUGAACAUAAUUAAAGUUCUUUUCUUUUAGUUUCUUUAAAGAGUGUUAUGAAAACAGGUGAAUUGUUUCAAAUGGCUUUGAAAGGGUUAUGUCACGUUCUUCAGUUUUUAUAACAAAAUCAGUCUUUAAAAAAUCAAGCUUUUUUAUUUUGUAAAUCAUGUCUUUAGAAAUCUUUGGUAAUUCCCAAUUAUCAAUUGCUUUAUUAAAGUCUUCAAUAAAAAAUUCUUCUGAAUUUACAACAUUCUUAGAAUCACUAGUCCUUCCAGAAGAAGAGCUAGAGAAAGAUGAUGCUCUACAGAGUAGAGAAUCCAUAUAAGCUGGAACCUAUAAAUGAUCUAGUUUUACAGGAAUGGAAAAUCAAUCCUAGGCUAAGAGUUGGUUUUACUGCCCUUCAACCAAAUCGGGACUUACGACCAAAUACUACCAAGGCACCCAAAGGUAACACCCUUUACCACUCAAGCAAAAGUUUAAUCACAUACAACUUCAGCCUACACAAAAACUCUAAACGAUAAAACACGACCCCCCUGGCUCUGAUACCAUAAAUCUUGUUUAUGGUAUAUAUAUAUAUAUAUAUAUAUAUAUCUUUUUAAUAUAUUCCAUUACUUUAAUAAUCAAUUUAAAAUAGUUUGUGAUAUUUUCAGCUAUUUACUUAUCUACUUUUAGCUAGUUAUUUACACCGAAUGAAGUGCUAGGGUCCAAAUUUUAGUAUCCUUCUCAGCUGUUUGGGGUUAGUAAAUACUAAUUAGCAUAUUCGUCCCGAACAGCUGUGUAAAUGCUGUUAGAUUUCGGAGAGAUGCUGAGGAUGGUACAAGAUUUAUCAAAUUGUGGCGACAUUUUUAUACCUUUAGAAUUUCAAGAUUUUGAAGAAAUAAAUGGGAUCUGUUUUCCAUAAGUGCUCCACUAUCCACCAGGAGGAAUUCUAAAAUACAUUACAGAUUAGUGAUUUCUCAGAAUAAAUAAACACAUAUUAUAACAUUAUUUACUUAUUGUAUGACUGAUAUGAUAUUUCUGAGAUAUUUUAGAAUUUUUAACGCACCAAAGUUCAUUUUUAGCUUUAAAGGUUUUUAUGUGUGAGCCUCUCAGCAUGUUCCCCAACCUCCUCACGUGAAAAUAUUUCUAUGUACGGUUACAAGCUUUUCCAGAUUGUGAGUAUUCCGAAGCAAUCCAACUUGAAAAACAGCUGGUUCGUAGAAAAUGACAGUUUACGAAGCUGGCCCUGCUGCCAUACAUAUGAUGAUGAAGACCAUUUGGCUUUAUGUCAAUUCCUCCAAGUUGAAAUCUUUCUCGGUCUGGGACACUUCCAACACAUAAAGUACUACUAGGCUAGAUGAUUUUAAAAAAUGUCCAGGUCCUUUAUCAAAUUUCAUUUGCAUUCAAGACCAAUCCCCUUUGAUGAAAAUCAAUAAUUAAAGGCUUUCCAAUGAGAAAUUAUUACGUCUUCAAAUCUCAAAAAACGCCAGAAUAUUAAUUCGCUACAUAUAAUCAAGAUAUCUCAUUGAGACGCAUUAAUAAAAAAUGUCAAAAUGCAUAGAAAGAGCAGACACACGGAUGAUGAAUUUACUCAUCUUUAGUAGUAUUUGAACUUGAGAGACAGAAUGAAGUACAUGUCAAGAAUAUCAUAAAGAUGGAAACCGGAAGUCCUCCGCACAUAAACUUUGAAGAAACUGGAAAACGACUUUANNNNNNNNNNNNNNNNNNNNNNNNNNNNNNNNNNNNNNNNNNNNNNNNNNNNNNNNNNNNNNNNNNNNNNNNNNNNNNNNNNNNNNNNNNNNNNNNNNNNNNNNNNNNNNNNNNNNNNNNNNNNNNNNNNNNNNNNNNNNNNNNNNNNNNNNNNNNNNNNNNNNNNNNNNNNNNNCCAUUUGGAGUCUUGUUUCCACAAUUGCUUCAGAUGAUUAAAUUUGUGCAGAUCUAAAUGUUUUAUCAUUGUAAACUUCCUCACUUGUUUCUUCAAGUAUCCUCCAUUCGAAAAUACCUCUUCGCAUGAACAACGACGCCGUAUGAGAGUUUCCAGAUUAUGAAAUCUCUCAAGUAAAUCAAGUGGAAAACAAGUUGAUUCAUCAUCCACUGUUUGUAGUAGUUUAAGACUGCCAAAGUCAUCCUCGAGUAUUUUCCACUUAAUGCCAGUUCCUUCUAAGUUGGGUAAGCUCUGAUCAUCAUCAAUCACGUAAUAACUUAUUAAGUCAAUUCAUAUUCUCUCAAAUAACUUUUAAUAAUCCAAUCAUACACAGUGACUUUAAUAUAAAUGCAUAAUAUUUUACAAACAAGAAGAAAAAAUCGAAUUAGAGGUAAAAGUUAUUCUACGAUUUUAUUUUUUAUAUAUAUCUUGCAUGCUAUUCCCAAAAGCAAUCCCAAACGGCCUUUAAAGCAAUUUUACAAAAGCGGCCUGCACAUAUAUUGCCAACUUUGUUGGGAAUGGCAAUGGGGAGAGGAGGGGAAGAGACCGAACUCCCCGUACCCAUUCAUGAUAUUCUGCAUAUAUCCUCGUCCUCUCCUCAUUUCUCACAAAAUUGCUUUAGGAAAUCCCCCUCCCCUCCCCAAAUAAUAAUAGGGGAUCCUUGAAGGCCCUCGAUCCUCGAAUAACUGAUACGUUUUUUGUUUUAAAUUUUAAUUUAAUCAUAUUAAAAUAAAAAAUAAAAAUAAAAAUAAAGUUUGACGAUAUAUCUUAUAUUAACAUUAAUCUAUUACAAAAGUCACAUUACAAAGUAUAAAUCACCAUAAUAAUUAUCUUCGGCAAUCUUCAAAAUCAUAUAAUAAAAAAAAGAAAUUACUUUUAUAUCAACAAUGAGAUAAAUGAAAUGAAUAUAGAUACUUAAUCAAUAUUUCUAAUAAAAGUAUUUACCUCUGCGUCUCCUACUCUUCUUGUUCUUCCUCGAGGAAUGUGACAAAUUGAGAGAUAGCCUCAGAUUUCAAAUUUAAAACAAUAAAAAUGAUAUAAGUAAUGUAAAUUCUAAUUAAAAUAAACUCAUACUGCCAUUGUAAGCUUGUGGUCAACUUUGACAACAUAUUAAAGCCUCCAAUGUGCUUGAAUAAAGCGUGUUACGGUACUCUACCACUGGUGCUAAAAGCUAAUUCAGAAGCAACAUUUGUAAUUAGAAUUGCCAAAAUAUCUCUAGGUGCCAAUAUAGGAUAUCUAUAGACAUUUAUUUUACAAAAACUCAAAAUAUUAAAAUCUUUCAUCCUAAGCAUAACUUUCUCAUCCAAAUAUUAAUGUAGUCAAUUAGGCCUAAAUUUUAAUAAUAUAAUUUUUUUAAUUUUUUUAUUUAUACUAAUAUUUAAUAUUUUAUUAUUUAUUUACAAAUAAUUUUAAAAAAAUUAAAAUUAAAUCAAAAAAUUAGAAGGGGAUAGGGAUUCCGCCGCAUCCCCGUUCUUUCUCUGAAUAAGAAAUUGAGUAAAAAAACUAUCUCCGUCCACUUUCCAAAUAAAAAAUUAAGUAAAAAAUUAUGUACCCUCCUGAAUUGGGAAAAUCUCGAGGGUCAUGUCCCCGCGGCAAUAUCUGCCAUUCCUAAACUUGUAACAGCCAGUUGCUUUUGUGACUGUUUAUGUGACGGCUAGACUGCUCUCACUUAUGUUACUAACCACGUGACGGUAGAGAGCCAAUUGGCAUACUAUUUUGACGGUAGAGUUAUAAAUUUGUUUCUAAAUAGAAAACUAUUUGCUGAAGUCAAUAUUUUGAAAACCAAAGUCCCAAAUUCUCUCUCGUGCGUGCCUGGUCAUCCUAAACCUUACUGGUAGCCGGAGAAUGGCGUAAAACGGCAGCGAUCUUCUUCUUCAUCUUAUUCUCUCUCUCAUCGUUUCAGGUAAGCUUGUGAUUAUGAGUUUCUUCUCUUUCUUAGCUUGUAAUUAUAGGUUUUGAUUUCUUUAAUUCGUAUUGUAGCCAUUAAUGUCAAUUUUUGUCCCACCGGCAAUUUUUUUUUGUUCCUAGAAGUUGAAGCCCUUCUGUUCUUGUGCCAUUGGUGAGUUUGCUCACUCAAAUUAAUUUUGUUCUGCGGAGUUUACAAAGUUCAAAUGGAUUCAUUUGGAUUACUAUUGAAUUUAGCUUUAAUUCCAACAUCCAUUCUAAUGUUUUGCUAUUAGAUUUACUUUAAUUUUAUGUUUAAAGCUUCUACAAUGAAUAGCGGAGCUUGGGUUUUAGUUUCAUUUUCUCAUUAACUUCUUUUAGUUUAUCUUAUAUGCUCGCCAAGUGCUUGUUAUAUUGUCUGAUAAGUUAUAUAACAUUGCUGAUUCUAUAUUAGUAAUGUCAUGUUCCAUUUUCGGAAAUUAUAACACAAAAGUUUUUACAAUGGCUUGCAUCUGCAAACUGAAUUGACUUGUAGAGUAAGAGCUUGGAUUAGUGUUAUGUUCUUGAAUAAAUGAAAGUUCAUAUUGUGUAAGAGCAUGUAGAUGUAAAGCAUCACUACCAUUUCUACAAACUGCUUUCAUUUUGUUCAGAUGCUCCUCUUGAACUUUGAAAGGUGCCUCAUUCAAGUCCUAGCUAUAACUACUAGCUCUGAUUGCUUAAGUUCCUGUGCUAGCUGAAACAGAUUUAUUUAAUUAAUUUAUUGUGUAUGUACUAAUUAUAUUGAAAGUAUAUGAAGAAAUUGUUUAACAUGAAUGACUUCUAAAUGACUUAAAAGCCUAAAGGAUAUGUGAAAUAAUGCUCAUUUCACUUGAACGAGCCUAUUAAUACUUGUAUGUCUAUGAUUGUCAAUCUUGCUUAAGUGUUUCAGUUAAGUGGUUUACCAAACAGGGAAAAAAAUUUAAUGGAAAACUUUAGAGUUCUAACAGAAAUAUAGUUGACUGCAGAUAUAGUUAUUUUAUGGUACAUAAAUCAUAUUGUCCUAUUCUCAAUGUCCUACGACCUAUUUUAUUUUAUAUGGUCAUUCAUUUUUGCGAUGGUUUUUUGUGCUUAUGAGUAUGGAAAUAGUGGGAUUUGGUGUGGCAAACAAAAAUAUACAUAUAAUCAAGUUUCUUAAUCAUUGUGCUUAUGAGUAUGGAAAUAGUGGGAUUUGGUGUGGCAAACAAAAAUAUACAUAUAAUCAAGUUUCUUAAUCAUGUAUAUUGGUUUUGGGUAUGAAUGUUUUCCUAUUCUAGUUCUAGGCAAAGUUUCUUCAUUUUGGUCUUCAGAUUUCCAGUAGGUUAAAGUUAAGCAACUAUCAUAACUAGCUAGCUAGUUAUUUGCCUUGCCUUUGUCGCCAUUACUGACGCCAUUUACAUUGCAUGGCAUAAGGAAUAGUAACUAGGUGAUUAUUGGUGAUUCCUUGAGUUUAUUAUUGGCCAAACAAACAUAUUNNNNNNNNNNNNNNNNNNNNNNNNNNNNNNNNNNNNNNNNNNNNNNNNNNNNNNNNNNNNNNNNNNNNNNNNNNNNNNNNNNNNNNNNNNNNNNNNNNNNNNNNNNNNNNNNNNNNNNNNNNNNNNNNNNNNNNNNNNNNNNNNNNNNNNNNNNNNNNNNNNNNNNNNNNNNNNNNNNNNNNNNNNNNNNNNNNNNNNNNNNNNNNNNNNNNNNNNNNNNNNNNNNNNNNNNNNNNNNNNNNNNNNNNNNNNNNNNNNNNNNNNNNNNNNNNNNNNNNNNNNNNNNNNNNNNNNNNNNNNNNNNNNNNNNNNNNNNNNNNNNNNNNNNNNNNNNNNNNNNNNNNNNNNNNNNNNNNNNNNNNNNNNNNNNNNNNNNNNNNNNNNNNNNNNNNNNNNNNNNNNNNNNNNNNNNNNNNNNNNNNNNNNNNNNNNNNNNNNNNNNNNNNNNNNNNNNNNNNNNNNNNNNNNNNNNNNNNNNNNNNNNNNNNNNNNNNNNNNNNNNNNNNNNNNNNNNNNNNNNNNNNNNNNNNNNNNNNNNNNNNNNNNNNNNNNNNNNNNNNNNNNNNNNNNNNNNNNNNNNNNNNNNNNNNNNNNNNNNNNNNNNNNNNNNNNNNNNNNNNNNNNNNNNNNNNNNNNNNNNNNNNNNNNNNNNNNNNNNNNNNNNNNNNNNNNNNNNNNNNNNNNNNNNNNNNNNNNNNNNNNNNNNNNNNNNNNNNNNNNNNNNNNNNNNNNNNNNNNNNNNNNNNNNNNNNNNNNNNNNNNNNNNNNNNNNNNNNNNNNNNNNNNNNNNNNNNNNNNNNNNNNNNNNNNNNNNNNNNNNNNNNNNNNNNNNNNNNNNNNNNNNNNNNNNNNNNNNNNNNNNNNNNNNNNNNNNNNNNNNNNNNNNNNNNNNNNNNNNNNNNNNNNNNNNNNNNNNNNNNNNNNNNNNNNNNNNNNNNNNNNNNNNNNNNNNNNNNNNNNNNNNNNNNNNNNNNNNNNNNNNNNNNNNNNNNNNNNNNNNNNNNNNNNNNNNNNNNNNNNNNNNNNNNNNNNNNNNNNNNNNNNNNNNNNNNNNNNNNNNNNNNNNNNNNNNNNNNNNNNNNNNNNNNNNNNNNNNNNNNNNNNNNNNNNNNNNNNNNNNNNNNNNNNNNNNNNNNNNNNNNNNNNNNNNNNNNNNNNNNNNNNNNNNNNNNNNNNNNNNNNNNNNNNNNNNNNNNNNNNNNNNNNNNNNNNNNNNNNNNNNNNNNNNNNNNNNNNNNNNNNNNNNNNNNNNNNNNNNNNNNNNNNNNNNNNNNNNNNNNNNNNNNNNNNNNNNNNNNNNNNNNNNNNNNNNNNNNNNNNNNNNNNNNNNNNNNNNNNNNNNNNNNNNNNNNNNNNNNNNNNNNNNNNNNNNNNNNNNNNNNNNNNNNNNNNNNNNNNNNNNNNNNNNNNNNNNNNNNNNNNNNNNNNNNNNNNNNNNNNNNNNNNNNNNNNNNNNNNNNNNNNNNNNNNNNNNNNNNNNNNNNNNNNNNNNNNNNNNNNNNNNNNNNNNNNNNNNNNNNNNNNNNNNNNNNNNNNNNNNNNNNNNNNNNNNNNNNNNNNNNNNNNNNNNNNNNNNNNNNNNNNNNNNNNNNNNNNNNNNNNNNNNNNNNNNNNNNNNNNNNNNNNNNNNNNNNNNNNNNNNNNNNNNNNNNNNNNNNNNNNNNNNNNNNNNNNNNNNNNNNNNNNNNNNNNNNNNNNNNNNNNNNNNNNNNNNNNNNNNNNNNNNNNNNNNNNNNNNNNNNNNNNNNNNNNNNNNNNNNNNNNNNNNNNNNNNNNNNNNNNNNNNNNNNNNNNNNNNNNNNNNNNNNNNNNNNNNNNNNNNNNNNNNNNNNNNNNNNNNNNNNNNNNNNNNNNNNNNNNNNNNNNNNNNNNNNNNNNNNNNNNNNNNNNNNNNNNNNNNNNNNNNNNNNNNNNNNNNNNNNNNNNNNNNNNNNNNNNNNNNNNNNNNNNNNNNNNNNNNNNNNNNNNNNNNNNNNNNNNNNNNNNNNNNNNNNNNNNNNNNNNNNNNNNNNNNNNNNNNNNNNNNNNNNNNNNNNNNNNNNNNNNNNNNNNNNNNNNNNNNNNNNNNNNNNNNNNNNNNNNNNNNNNNNNNNNNNNNNNNNNNNNNNNNNNNNNNNNNNNNNNNNNNNNNNNNNNNNNNNNNNNNNNNNNNNNNNNNNNNNNNNNNNNNNNNNNNNNNNNNNNNNNNNNNNNNNNNNNNNNNNNNNNNNNNNNNNNNNNNNNNNNNNNNNNNNNNNNNNNNNNNNNNNNNNNNNNNNNNNNNNNNNNNNNNNNNNNNNNNNNNNNNNNNNNNNNNNNNNNNNNNNNNNNNNNNNNNNNNNNNNNNNNNNNNNNNNNNNNNNNNNNNNNNNNNNNNNNNNNNNNNNNNNNNNNNNNNNNNNNNNNNNNNNNNNNNNNNNNNNNNNNNNNNNNNNNNNNNNNNNNNNNNNNNNNNNNNNNNNNNNNNNNNNNNNNNNNNNNNNNNNNNNNNNNNNNNNNNNNNNNNNNNNNNNNNNNNNNNNNNNNNNNNNNNNNNNNNNNNNNNNNNNNNNNNNNNNNNNNNNNNNNNNNNNNNNNNNNNNNNNNNNNNNNNNNNNNNNNNNNNNNNNNNNNNNNNNNNNNNNNNNNNNNNNNNCCCCCCCCCCCCACCACCAAAAAAAAAAACAAAACAAAUAGGAAGACUUUGCAAGAUUCACAACCAGGUUACAUUUAAUUUAUUAAUUGUGUGUACGUACUAGUUAUUUGUUGAUAGAAUAGGAAGAAGUAUUUUAAUAUGAAUGACUUAAAACUUAUUGCUCAGUAAACAUAAUGUGCAUCAGUGCUAGAAAAUGUAUUUAUUGUUUGUAAUUUUUUAUGGUUUUGCUUAAGAAAUGAAAUGUGAAAAAAUGCUACAUUGUAUUAGGAAUAAAAUGAAGAGAUUUAUGAUUUUUAUGUGUUAUUCAAGUUUCAGAUUCAAUUUUAAACUUUUGAUACAUGCAUUGAAAGCUUAAACUCCUUUAAGAAAUUAUUAAUAGACACAUGUUUUAUUAGUGUCAUCUUCUGGAUGAUAGUGAGGAUCUUAUGUCUAUUAAUAAUUCUUGAAUUAUCUAGGCUUGGACAGUUUGGUAAUGCAUAGUUUUCUAUGUUAGCUAGUGCCUGAAAUUUUUUUCCCACGUAAAAAUGGGGUUUUCAGCAGCUGCUCCUCAUGUUCUCUGGGUGCAUACUAGACAAAUGGGUGUCAUGUGUUGUUUUGGCAUAACACAUAAACACUCAUAUAUCUAUGUCGUGUACUUGAAGAACUAUAGGGAGAUGCUUCCGAAGUUUCUAUAAACGUAGAGGAAAACUUUAGAUACUUAAGAUUGAAGAAACUUAUGCAUUCUUGAGUGGGAUAUAUAGGACCACUUACCUUUUGUAAAUAUGAAGGGAAUGUUGGAUAUAUUGAUGGGAGUGGAGGAGCUGAGUGGGAUGAAUGUAAUCGGUUAUGAUUUUGCUGAGUCGACUUGGUUUUGAGUCUUGUAAUUUUUUUUAUAAAUGGAGUACUAUCUCCAAUGUUGGUUUAUAAAUAUGUUUCAGCUGGCUGACCUAAUUUUUUGUUUCUAGGUAACAGGCUUUAUAUAUCUGUAAUUGAUAGCCAAGUGAAGUUCUCAGCAGUGGGUGAGGAUAUUUCUUUACAGAAGGUAUUGCAAACUGUUUUUUAGAUUAAUUAUUAUUGUAUAUAUACUUUAAUUUUCACAUCUUUUUCUCUGAUUCUUGUGGCUUUGCUUGCUUCCAUAUAUAUAAAACCAUAAAAUUGUAUAAUAAUUUUUUUUAUUAUAUUGCGAAACUGCGCACACAUGAAAAUAUCUUGUUUAGUAGUAGAAAUGAAGAAUUAAAGUGAUUUAUUUAACUAAUUUUUCUAGUGCAAUAAAAGGAGAUAGUCAUGGACCAGAGUUGGGUUGGUUUGCCAAAUAGAUAUCCAAUUCAUAUACUGAUGGGGGUCAAAAAAUUUAUAGAUUUUGCAUUUGAGAAUGUUGUUGGUGAUAAAAGAAUUUAUUGUCCUUCUAAGAGGUGUUGUAAUAUCGAUAUUUCAUUAUAAGGAAAGUGGCAAGAGACCAUAUCAUUAUAAAUGGCUAUUGGUUAAAGUAUUAAAACUGGAUAUUGGAGGGUGAGCCAUCUUCAUCUUUGAAAUCUAACUAAGAAACAGGUUAGUCAUGACUCGGGUAGUGAUGCUAGUAUGGUUGGAAUGAUGCAUAAUGCAUCACGUAAUCAAAUGUUCAAGUCACACGCAGCAUUGUUAUGGACUAUCUCCGACUUUCUAGCAUAUGCCAACUUGUUUGGGUGGAGUAUUAAAGGUAAAUAAGCAUUUCUUGUUUGCCAACAAAACACUAGAUCUAAUUGGUUGAUACAUAGUAGAAAAUUGUCACGUGGGUCACUGUCGAUUUUUACCAACAAAUCAUAGGUUCCGAAAAUAUAGUGCCAUCUGAUAAAACUGGAGAGUGGGGACAAGCACCUUCUCGGUUGUCUGGAGCUGAGGUGAAAAAGCAGUUCAAUAAUGUACUUACUGAGUAUAAGAUUGAAGAUUUGAAAAGAGGAGAAUGAAUAAAAUGAAAGAAAUGAUAAGAUUACUUGGAAGAAGAAAAGCAUUUUUAAUGAACUAACGUAUUGGGAGUUCAAUUUGAUUCAUCAUAAUCUUGAUGUCAUACACCGUUUUUAUUUUUGUUAUGAACUCAGAUCAAAAGUUUAAUGUGAUCAAAAUUUCUUAAAAAUAGUGAAAAAGACUCCUAAUAAUAUGGAAGAUGGCUAUAAAAGAUAAUUUCUUAAAAGUUUAAUGUGAUCAAAAUUGCUUGUGAACGCAAGGGUUUUAGUUACACUGUCAACGCUGUCAAUGUAGUGAUACAAUGAAGAUGAAGUAAAGCAUUAGUAGAAUAAUGAAGUUGACCAGUAACACAGUAAAGCAUAUUUUAUUCCAGAGCAUGAAAACUUUUAAACAGUAACACAGCUCUUAUUCCAGAGGCUGCACACGAGUGACCUGAAUCUUCUUCAGAACUUUCAAAUUUUAUCAAGCAAAGAUUUCAAAAUCCUUGCCUUCCUAAGUUGGGAAAAAUAGAUGUGGAGCAAACCAAAUGAAAUAAAUGGGUAAACAGAACAAGCAGGGCAAAAAUUAAAAAUGAUAGCAAUUAACAAAUUAAUAGCAAUGUUACAUUUGACUCUUUAGCCCUUUGUUCCUUCUCUUAGCAUUCUUCAAAGUUUUUGAAAAUAGGAUGUGAAGCAAACAAAAUAAAAUAAAUUUAGACAACACAUGCCCUGUAUUCAGCAUCAUAUAUAUCUCGAAUAUCUAACAUAAUAAAUUUCACAUCUAAAAUACUAGAAUUUCAAACAGUACUAGUAGUGAAAAAAUGAUGACAACAACAAAAAUAGAAAAUUACAAGACUGCUGAUAAAAUUUCAUUUGCAUGCAUGUCUGACAAAAUUUCCGUGAUUUAAUGUGCUUUCAUGAACGCAAGUCCUAACGUUUCUGUGAUCACAAAAUGAAACUGAAGAUAAAACAGAACAACUACCAAACCUUUCAAGCUUGACGAAGCCAUGAGAAUUGAUAGCUCAGGCUCUGAUACCAAGUAAAAGUUUCUAAUCUGUUUGGUAAGUAAGAAAAUGAGAGAAAAUGAAAGAAAGAACAGAGAUCAUCUAAGAGCUGGAUUUGAUAAGUAAAUAUGAAUCAUCCAUUCAUUAGCUGAUUGCAAAUGUAUUUAUACAAGUGAUGGUUGUCGAAGCCAACAAAAAUAAAUUCCUACUAUAAAUAAAUUGUGUAUAGUGAUUGAGCAGGGUCGUGUCCACAGAGAUCGGUAAUUAUUUAAAUCCUUUUGAAACGUAAAACGUAAAAUGGGGGAAUUGUUGACAAUAAUAAAAAUCAAAUUAAAAUAACAAGAAUACAAAUUAAAGUUGUAAUUCAAAUUGGAGAAAGCUCUGGUUGAAGGAAUUAACUCAGCUUGAUUCGACUACUGAUCAUUGAUUCAAAUAUAGAUUAUUAUUACUUAUGAAUAGACCGGUUAUAGCUACUGAGACCCUCUAAUAGCCAAUCUCUCCUUAACUAGUCGAUAACCAAGGUAUGACCGUUGGUUAUUUCCCUAAUCAAUAGACAACCCUAGAUACGAUCAUAGGAUUUAAUCAAUUGACAACCUGAAAGACCAGAGAGACCCAAAUCCUAAUCAACACAUACGAUGAUUCAUUUAAAUUAGAUUGUUUAUUCUCAUAACACAACUCACUGCUAUGUUAUUCGUCACAAACAUUAAAAGCUUCAUACGAUGAAUCCUUUAAUUAACAAUAGAUUAAGUUGAUAAUUAAAUAGUGGCCAAUUACCUAAUUAACAAACAUAAUCAUGAAAAUAAUUCAGAGAAUAAACAAAUACCCAAAAAGUAAUAAAACAAUUAAAGUAUAAAAUAGAUCUCACAGUAGUGAUGAAUCAAAACUUCAUUAUCCUUCAACCAGAAAAAUAAGUUUAGUUCUUCAUAGAGAGAAGAGAAAAGUUUAGAUCUAGGGUUUCUCUCUUUUUCUCCAAUCCCCAUUUUUCACAAUAGAUUCCUCCCUUAAAUACUCUCUCUCUCUUCUCUUUUAGAAUUCUAUUUAAAAUAAAAUACUAAUAUCUGAAAUAUUAAAUUCGUAAUUACAAAAAUAACCAAAAAUACAAAACACGUUAAACUAAAAACUGCAGGUCCGCAGUUGACAGCACGUGCCCACGCCUUAUCAACAAAGUUCUUCUGACGCUCAUAAUUUCUCCAAGAGAACAAUCAUCCUUAAACAUCAUCUUGUAACUCAAUUUUAUCACCAAUCAAUAGAAUUGCACCUACAAAAGUAAAACACAAGUAAAUCACUAUUAUUAAGUGCAAAACAUCGAUAUUAAGGGAAGUAAACAAUGCAAAACUAGUGCAUAAAUUGCACUCUAACAACAAGGUUCCUGAACAUUUCAGAUUCUAUAUGCUCGAGCUAAGCACCUGAGAGUUGAGCAGUGUGCACUAACAAACUGCUAACAAAAUAACUAACUCAUGCCAGCUCAGCUAACACGUCAGUAACUCUAACUAUCUUGCUUAACAAACUGAAACAAUAACUAACCAUUUUAACUAUCUUAACAAUCCCAAUAAUUUCUCCAUUUGUGUACUUUUUUGAAUCAUAAUCAAAUGGAUAAAUGUUGCAACUAUUUUUUUAGAUAUUUUCACUUUAGGAUGUCAGCCCGAGGAAGUACGGGGGUCUGAGUUAUUCAACUGAAAAUGUCGGCCAAGUUCUUGCCAUCUCAAGUGCAAAACUGAAAAUGUUACUCGUUCUUCUUAACUUGUUUUCUCAUGCAUCAACCCCACAAAACUGCUCAUUGAAGGGGUAAAAUUUUGAACACACCAUGUGGCAUUUAGACCAUUUGAUAGUUUGUUUCAAACAUAUUUGUUUAUAAAAUACUUUUCUUCAUGGAUUUGGUUACGUAAUUGUCUAUGUAUGUACAGGUUUUAUCGAUACCUCUUUUGACAAGUUACAUAGCAAUGUUAUCUGGGUUCAGCCGUGCCUUAUUGAUAAACUGUGCUUCUGUAAUGAAGAAUGUUUUAUCUGUAAGUGGAUAUCCUAAUCGUUGAUCCAUAUCCAUAAGCAAGUAUGUAUAAAAUUAUUUUAUGUCUUUUUUAUUAGAAAUGUUGUAAUUCUUUUUUACUCUUCCUGAAUUAUAACAGCAGGUGUCUAUAAUAACUGGAUUGUUCCUUCUGCAAAACAGAGCAGUGGUAAAUAUUUUUUUCUUUUGUUUGUCUAGUACAUUUCCAUGAUUUCAGCUUUUUCAAAUUUUGUAUGUGUCAAAGUUUAAAUUUAAUUUGUUGGUUUAUGGCAACAACAGGAACAGAAUCAAAGAGGAGCUGCCAAUGGACUGCUAUGACUGUAGAGUCGCUUACCAAAACUGCUGGUUCAGCUGUAGGAGGUGCUAUGUAGGCGUCCUAUUGAUUUUGUAAAAUUAUAUGUAAAUGAUGUCAUAAUUUUUAUUGUCUCCCCCACCCCCUCUCCCCAAAAAAAAAAAAAAAUUAAAAAAUUAAAAACUAAGGCAUGAUUAAAUUGAUCAUUUGUUUGGUAACAACUUGAUUAAUCGGGUUCUGGCAGAUUUUCUUGGUCACAAAAGCGUCAAGAUGCUGGUUUCCUCCCAGGUAUGAUGAUUUACUAAUGAAAUUUAUCACUAGUAUGUGAAUUACUUGGUGCUAAUUAACUUAAUCAGCUGCUUAAAUUAAAGUGCAGGUAACCUUAUUUUUUUUUUCUUUUUACAAUAAUACUCUUGGAAUAAUAUUUCUGGGAAUAUUAAUGAAAAAUGGUAAUUCAUCCAGCCAGCCUUAAACAAAAUAAAUAUUAAUAAAAACUUUUAUGUUAUUAUUUUAGUUUUAGGACUAAUUUCGUAAAUUAAAUUUUUUAUGCAUUUAUUAGUAAGACUGCUUUAAGAAUAUUAAACAUUACUUUAAGUUGGCUGAUAUUAAUUUAUUUAUAAAUAAUUAUUAGCAAGAUUGUUGUAAAAGUACAAAAAAUACUAGUUAUUUCAUAUUGAUAUUUAUUGAUUAAUUUGGCAAUUAACUUUUUUAUAAAUAAAUUAAUUAAUUUAAGAAUAUUAUUGCCAAGAAAUUAUUGUAAAAGUAAAUAAAAUUUAAGGAAAAAAUGCAACAUAUUUAAUAUCAAGGUAUAUUGAGGUAUUUUUCAAAAUAUAAAGACAAAACAAGCACUGAAAUUAAAAUACAGAUACCAAACAAGCAUUUUCUCUCUUAGAAAAUUUUAUAUUUUAUUAAUGAAAGUCUAAAUAACAAAAUUAGGGUUUUGGACUCCUUUUAAACUAAGCCUAAAUAUCACGAAUUUACCAAUAUAGUAAACCUAAAAUAUUACUGCAUAAUAACAUUCUCCUAACUGAAAUAAGAUAAAUACUACUUCAAUUCUAUAUCUAAAUGAAAAAAAGAUAAAAAUCUUGAAAACAAUAGGAAAAUAGAACUUAAACUUGUAAACUAAUAUGAAAUAAAUAGAAUUCUCAAUCGAACCACGAGGCUAAUGCGGUGCUACAGUAUUAGAUUAGAUUUCCCUCAUUGCUAACUUCGAAAUGGUAUAUUAUACACCCUAUAUAGGUACUUAUAGCUAAGGGUGGGCAUGUGUUGGUUUGGGUUAGGUUUUAAGUCAAUCCAAACCAAACCAUAAAAUUUUGGGUUCAACCCAAAUUAACCCAAAUAUUUUUAACCCAACCCAAACCAACCCAUUUGGGUUUGGUUUGAAUUUUAUAAUUAAAAUAUUUUUUAUUUUAAUAAAUUUAACUAUAUCAAAUUAUAAUACUUAUUAAUUAAUAUUAAUUAUUAAAUUAAUAUUAAAAUACGAAAAAAUGUAGUGGAUAAAAAUUAUGAAUAAUGGAUUUUACAAUAACUUUGUUCUUAAAUAUUAACCAUAUUACAACAUAAAUUCUACCAAUGUCAAUACAAAUUAAAGUAAGAUAAGAUAUCUCAACUCAAGUAUCAAAGCAAUCCAUCAAAAUUAAAUUAUUUAAUUUUAUAAAUUUAAAUCUUCCGAGAAAUAAAUCUAAAAUUUAUUGUAAUUAGAAAAAAUGCCAAAAUUUUAAAUGCAGUAAGAAAAAUUAGACAUGAAAUCUAAUUAGGUUUAAAUUUAAUUAAAAAAUAACAAUAGAAUCAUAUUUUAUUUGAUAAAAUCUUAUAAUCAAUUACAUUUUUAAUUUUAGUAAGUUACAAUACAAAUAGGAUUAUAAAAUUAUAUUAGAGGAUUUCAUAAAAAUAUUGUUUGAGUAAUUUAUUAAAAUGUUAAUUUAGUCUUUUAACUCAAGUUGAGACCGUAAAAAAUUGUUAUAUAAUAGUGUAUUGUACAACCAAUUGCAUAUGUAUUUGCCCUAUGCAGCACUUCUAUUAUUAUUAUAUAAUAAUAAUUAGUAGUAGUAUAAUUACUAUAUAAUAAUAAUUAUUAGUAGUAUAAUUAUUAUAUAAUAAUAAUUUUAAUAAAAAAUUAUUAUUAAAAUAUUGAUUUAUCCUUUUAUUUUGUUUAAUUUAUUUUUCAUUAAUAUGUUAUUUUGAAUUUGUUCAUGACCCAUGGGUAAACCAUACCCAAGCCAUUGUAAAAUAAUUUCUUUCAUAAAAAUCCAAAUUUAACUCAUUUCAUGAUUUAUCCAACCCAAACCAUUUUAUUUGGUUUGGGUUUGGGUAAACCCAUGGGUUGUGGGUUUAUGCCCACCCCUACUUAUAGCUCAAGUUAUUACCUUAGAGAGAUACCCUACGCAUCCUACACAACCAUCCACUGCAUCAAAGUCGUUCCAAAACAGUAGUUCACAGUUGGUACUGCACAUGAUACUUGUUUCUCCUUUUGCAUCUACUUUUGUUGUUAACAUUAAUUUCAAUAGCAGCUCAUUAUGUAUGCAACAUUUCAAAAUUAAUCCAAAAAAACAAAAAUUAGUUCAGCUGACCAAAUUUGAAAGCAUGGAUUUGCUGUCGAUUAAAAAUCGUUUUGUAGGGAAAAUUUUUGGAUUGCAAUUCUCAUACAAUACAUAGAAUUAUCAUAAUCUAUAAAUUGUAUUUUUGCUUUUCUACGGUAGUAAGUCAAGAAUCCUACUUGUAUUUUUGCUUUUCUACGGUAGUAAGUCAAGAAUCCUUAGUGACAAUUUAAAUUGAAAAAAUAAAAUCAUAAAUAAGAAUUAUUUGAUAAGAAUUAAAAUAAUUGAUAAAUAUUUGAGAGGAGCAAUUUUGGAAGACUCGAUUUCUAAUAGGAGGGGAAUUUGAAUUUUACAACCUUCCGUGAGGAAUCCAAAAUGCACAAUUUGAUGAAAAUUAAAUUUCAAUAGAAAUUGAAUUCCCAUACAUUAGUGAAAACCAAACAACAGAAAAGUGAAAGGAAUUUGAAUUCAUUUCCUUCCCGUCUCAUCCCUCCAACUAAAUACCAUCGAUACCCAAAGGUAUGUGAUUGGGAUUCCAUACUGAUCAGAAUGGGAUUUGUCCAUAUUAUUAGGACCAAUUUUAAAAGCAGUCGGAGUUUAAAAUUGAAAUUAAUCCCAAUUUUUUAUUUGGGACUAGAUAAGAAUUUAUAUUGGAACUCCAAUUCUCCCAAUUAUUUUAGUUGAUAAUAUGUUUAACAUUAUUAAUUGCAUAUUAUUUAAUUAUCAGUAUAUAAUAUUCUUUAAUUUUCCAAUUUUAUAGGAUUAGACACAAAAUUGAUUAUGCCUUCUGAAAUUUAAGGGUUAUGUCAAUUGAACAGAAAACUUGGAGUUGAACUUUUGGAUGUUUUUGUUGAUUAUCAAUUUAUGCAUGAAUUUUUGUACGUUUACUUUGGUUUAUUAUUGUUACUUUUAGACAUUUUUAUUGGUUUGAUUUAGGGUCAUUUUGGUAAUCUUGUAAUUUUUAAAAUAGUUACAGUUAGCUAUGCUAUAGAAAUUGAUAAAUCGUGAAGAGAAUCAGCUGAACAUUUAGUAAAAUUUAUUUUUAAAAGUACUUUAGUUUUAAAAGCAGUUGUAUGUGUUUCGUAAAUCUUAUUUUUAAACAGGUGCAAGAAUAUAAAUAACUAAAUUGGACAUAAUGCUAAAUAAAAUUUAUUUACACAUUUACAAACAUGUAUAUAAAAUAUUUUUAUUAUGUACAUAUAAUUAUUGAUAACUAAAAUAAAUAUUUUAUAUUAUUAAAUUUUAUUCUUUAUUUUGUUAUCUCAAUAUAAUUGGUAAUAAUAAUAAUCUCUUAAAGUUAAUGAUUUUAUUUCUUAAUUAAUAAAGAUAAUUCUGGAUUUUUAUUAUAGAAUGAGGAUAUAUAUAUAUAUAUAUAUAUAUAUAUAUAUAUAUAUAGAAUUGGAUUAAGUAUAAAAGUGAUUUUCAAAAUCAAAUUUUGAAAAACUAUUCCUUCCAUACUUCUCAAAAUCCUCUGUAUGAUGAGAUGAUUUUUCCAAAAGUAAUUGCUAAAAAAUUAUAAAACACUAAAAAUUAGGUUUUAGUUUUUAAAAUCACUUUUGAGCUUCCCAAAAACAAGCCUAACGGGCCUUUAUUUGGGUGGUGUAGGAACUUAUAACUUUUGGAUCAUUUAGUUUUUAUUGGUUUGAUACAAUUGUUACACUAAAAAUUGAAUGUAUCUUAAACCCCAAACUUCUUCUUCUUCUUUUUUGAUUGCACAAAAUUAAAAACAAUAGUGAACGCAUUCUUUAAUAAACAAUAAGUAAUUACUAAAAUUGUGUUAAAGAAUUUAGUUGAAACAUAAAUUGAUUUCAAUGUUGUAUAUGCUAAAUUUCUUAAAAAUUUUCUUUCACGGUCUGCUGAAUAGUUUUAUUAGUAUUUUUAUUAUAUAAAAAUAAUUGAUUUAAUUUUUUAAAGAAAUUUAUUAGGUUCAUGUAAAUACGUUUUUGUUAUUUAAAAAGUGUACAAAGUAAAACUUAAUUUUUUAAAUUUAUUAGAUGAGUGGAUAAAAUAAUUGAGUGUUCAUAGUAAAUUUUAAGUAUAGAUAGUCAGACCCUAAUAUUUUUAAUAUAUGGAAAAUUUGAAAAUAUGUUAAUGAGAAUUAAAAUGAUAAUUAAGGGAGGCAUUCGAGACAUUCAGGAUUGUUAGGAUAGGACAUGAUUGUGAGCGGUUUGAGAUUGGCCCUAAUUUUGAUCACAAAUAUAUAAGCAGGAUGUUUAUCCAUACUUACAUUCCAUUUGAUAAUUAAGAUGAGAGUGGAAUUGUCAAAUCCCAAAUUAUCCCGGACCAUUGCCACCAAAGGUACUCUCACUAAUAAUAUCUAAAGAAAAAUCUACAUCUAUUUCAUACUUUUUUUUUAAACGGAAAGAGCCCUUAUGGGGCUUGAAAUAGUAUCCUAAAUAAUAUUCAGAAUAUCAGGCCAUGACUGGGUUUGUAACAAACAAAUAUUACAUAGUUGGGAUACGUAGUUACUAGUGUCCCAAUUUAUGUAGUAUCUAUCAUUUAGUACACAUAUAAAGUGUUUGGGACAUGAAAUAGGGUGACCAAGAUAAGGUGUUUGCUCAUACAAUAUCGUGCUCUUCUCAAAGUAAAAAGUGAAAAAAUAGUUGAUAGGCUACUAGGAGUUUAUUUGGUCACCUCGAGCACAUCAUCUCGACCAGGAUAUUAUUUGGUGAUCUCGAGCACAUCAUCUUGACUAAGAGAUUAUUUGGUCACCUUGAGUAUAUCACCUCGACCAGGAGAUUAUUUGGUGACCUCGAGUAGAUCAUCUUGAUCAGGAGGUUACCAGGAAGCACGACUCAGUCAAAACAAAUCUCACUUAUUUUCUUCGAAAUAUUAGGGAUCAUAUUCUUAGUGGGCUGAAAAUUAGUGAUUUUCUUAAGAGUUUUAGGUGAGAGGAUAAAAACCGCUAUAAUUUGCUAUAAAAACCCUGGGAAGGGAGGGAAAUAGGGAGAUUCUUUUUAUCUCUCUCUCUUUGGGUGACUGAACCCAUGGGAUCUUUUUCUCUCUACCACUGGGAAACUUCUCUUUCUCUCAUGAUUUAUUUUUCUUUAAGAUUGGUUAUUUUUUAUUCUUUUCCCAUAAAUUUACUUAAAAGCUUUUUGUUUAAAGUAUUCAUAAUUAAGCCGCGUGAAUUGUGGUACAAAUUUUUCCAAGUAGACCUAAAUCGCUGACUUGAGCGUCGGAGGAUUUUCUUUAAGAUUGAUUAUUGUUUCCAUAAAUUUGAACCAAGAAGGAUGACGCGAUAAAAUUUGUUUUUUAUUGUAUGGUUGAUUUCAUAUCUCAUGCACUCAUUUCUUAAGAUAAUUAGAUUUCAUCUUUUGCAAAUGUGGAAAUAUCAAUAAUGAUCAAUCAAAACGAUCUCAAAACCUUUCAACGCGACAUAUUUAUAAUACAAUAUUGUGAAAAUUACACCAAAAAUUUAAUUUAUGAUAUAUUAUUAUCCCACCAGCACACAGAAAUGAAUUCGUACAAAUCUAAAAUACUUAGCAAUUUUCAAAUAGAAUUUUAAAUUUAUUUCCAGUUAGAAAACUAUUCGCUGGACUCCGUAUUACUAGCCACCAUCGUAAGCCUAACCGGUUGCCGGCGAACGGCGUAAAACACCAGCCAUCUUCUUCUUCAUCAUAUUCUCCUUUCAUCUUUUGAGUUAAGCCUGUGAUUAUGAGUUUCUUCUCUUACUUAGCUUGUAAUUAUAGAUUUUGAUUCUUUUUAAUUCGUAUUGUAGCCGUUAUUGUCAAUUUUUGUCCCGCCAGCAAUAUUUUUUUAUUCCUACAAGUUGAAAAUGGAUUCAUUUGAAUUACGAUUGAAUUUAGCUUUAAUUUCAAUAUCCAUUCUAAUGUUUUGCUAUUAGAUUUACUUUAAUUUUAUGUUUAAAGCUUCUACAAUGACUAGCGGAGCUUGGGUUUUAGUUUCAUUUUCUGUAACUUGUUUUAGUUUAUCUUGUAUGCUCACCAAGUGCUUGUUAUAUUGUCUGAUAAUUUAUAUACAUUGCUGAUUCUAUAUUAAUAAUGUUAUGUUCUAUUUUCAGAAAUUAUAAUACAAAAUUUUUUACAAUGGCGUGCAUCUACAAACUGGAUUGACUCGUAGAAUAAGAGCUUGGAGUAGUGUUAUGUUCUUGAAUAAAUGAAAGUUCAUAUUGUGUAAGAGCAUGUAGAUGUAAAGCAUCAUUACCAUUUCUAUAAAGGACUUUCAUUCUGUUCAGAUGCUCUUCUUGAACAUUGAAAGGUGCCUCGUUCAAGUCCUAGCUAUAACUACUAGCUUUGAUUAAUUAAGUUCCUAUACUAGCUGAAACAGAUUUAUUUAAUUAAUUAAUUGUGUAUGUACUGAUUAUAUUGAAAGUAUAUGAAUUUUUUUUUUUUAACAUGAAUGACUUAAAAACCUAAAGGAUAUGUGAAAUUAUGCUCAUUUCACCUGAAUGAGCCUAUUAAUACUUUUAUGUCUAUGAUUCUCAAUAUUGGCUUAAGCAUUUCAGUUCAGUGGUUUACCUAACAGAGAAAAAAAUUUAAUAGAAAACUUCAGAGUUCUAACAGAAAUAUAGUUCACUAUGCAGAUAUAGUUAUUUUAUUUUAUAUAGUCAUUAAUUUUUGCCAUGGUUUUUUGUGUUUAUGAGUUUGAAAUAGUGGGAUUUGGUGUACCUUAGCAUCUUUUGAAAAUUCUCUUUAAGUGUGGCCAACAGAAAUAUACAUAUAAUCAAGUUUCUUAAUCCUGUAUAUUAGUUUUGGGUAUGAAUGUUCCUAUUCUAGUUCUAGGCAAAGCUUCUUUGUUUUGGUCUUCAGAUUUCCAGUAGGUUAAGUUAAUCAACUAUCAUAACUGGCUAGCUAGUUAUUGUCUGCCCUGGCGCCAUUACCCAGGCCAUUAUAUUGCAUAGCAUAAGGAAUAGUGAUUAGGUGAUUAUUAGUGAUUUGUUGAGCUUAUUAUUGACCAAACAAAUGUAUUCGCCUUUGGCCACAACUUAGUUUGAUUAGUUAUUAGACCAUAAAGAGCCUUGAUCUAUUCAUUGGCUUUAUUAUUUUUAUUUGGUUUUUCUUUCAACAACAUUGUUGAUAUCUUAUAAAAAUAUUCAGUGGUUUUUAAACACCUAAUCAUUGGCUAUAUUAAGCUAAUUAAAACUGAGGCUUUGGAUCAAUUUCUUCUAACAAGAUACAAAUGAGCAAAACCUUUCUCCUCUAAGUAAAUUUUUUUAAUAUCCCUUGAAUUGUAAGGAUCUGGAGGCGUGAAUCCUCUUGAUUUUUUUUAACACUGUCAAUGUUCUUUUUAUUCUGAGAAGGAAAUAAAAGGUUUUAUCUUUCAUACCCGAAUAGUAAGCUGGCCUUGUCUUAACAUGGCCUCCCGAGGACUUGCAAGAUUCAUAGUGUCCCCCACCCCAAAAAAAAUAUAAAAAACACAAAUAGGAAGAUUUUGCAAGAUUCACCACCAGGUUUUUUUUAAUUUAUUAAUUGUGUGUACGUGCUAGUUAUAUGUUGAAAGAAUAGGAAGAAGUAUUUCAACAUGAAUGACUUAAAACUUAUUGCUCAGUAAACAUAAUCUGCAUCAGUGCGAAAAUGUAUUUAUCGUUUGUAUUUUUUAUGGUUUUGCUAAAGAAAUGAUAUGUGAAAUAAUGCUACAUUGCAUCAGGAAUAAAUUGAAGAGACUUAUGAUAUUUAUGUGUUAUUCAAAUUUCAGAUUCAAUUUUAAACUUUUGAUACGUGCAUUGAAAGCUUAGACUUGUUUAAGAAAUUAUUAAUAGACACAUGUUUUAUUAGUGUCAUCUUUGGAUGAUAGUGAGGAUCAUAUGUCUAUUAAUAAUUCUUGAAUUGUCCAGGCUUGGACAGUUUGGGAAUGCAUAGUUCACUCUGGUAGUUAGUAGCUGAAGUUUUUUCCCACGUAAAAAUGGGUUUUUCGGUAGCUGCUCCUCGUGUUCUCUGGGUACGUACUAGGUGAAUGGGUGUCAUGUGUUGUUUUGGCAUAACGCAUAAACACUUAUAUAGCUAUGUCGUGUGCUUGGAGAAUUAUAGGGAGAUGGUGCCGAAAUUUUUAUAAACGUGGAAGAAAACUUUAGGUACUUGAGAUUGAAGAAACUUAUGCAUUCUUGAGUGGGAUAUGUAGGAUUACUUACCUUUUGUAAAUAUGAAGGGAAUGUUGGAUAUAUUGGGGAUAGUGUAGGAGCUGAGUUGGAUGAAUGUAAUUGGUGAUGAUUUUGCUGAGCUGACCUUGGUCUUGAGCUUGUAAUUUUGUUUGUAAAUGGAGUGCUAUCUCCAAUGUUGGUUUAUAAAAAUGUUUCAGGACUUGCUGAUCUAAUUUUUUGUUUCUAGGUUACAGGCUUUAUAUAUCUGUAAUUGAUAGCCAAGUGAAGUUCUCAGCACUUGGCAAGGAUAUUUCUUUACAGAAGGUAUUGGAAACUGUUUUUUACAUUAAUUAUCGUUGUUUAUAUACUUUGAUUGUCACAUCUUUUUCUCUGAUUCUUGUGGCUUUGCUUGCUUUCAUAUAUGUAAAUUCUAAUGAAAUUAACCAUAAAAUUGUAAAAUGAUCUUUUUAUUAUAUUGCAAAACUGUGCACACACGAAAAUAUCUUGUUUAGUAGUGGAAAUGAAGAACUAAUUUUUGUCGCGCAUUAAAAGGAGAUAGUCAUGGACAAGUGUUGGGUUGGUUUGCCAAAUAGAUAUCCAAGUCAUAUACUGAUGGCGUUGAAAAAAUUAUAGAUUUUGUAUUUGAGAAUGUUGUUGGUGGUACAAGAAUUUAUUGUCCUUCUUGAUAAGUUUUGUAAUCUAUAUUUCGUUAUAAGGGAAGUGGCUGAUGAUGAUAUGGUUGGAAUGAUACAGUGCAUCACGUAAUCAAAUGUUCAAGUUACACGCAGCAUUGUUAUGAACUAUCAGUGGCAACUUGUCUGGGUGGAGUAUUAAAGGUAAAUAAGCAUGUCUUGUUUGCCAACAAAGCACUGGAUCUAAUUGGUUGAUACAUAGUAGAAAAUUUUGUCACGUGGGUCACCGUCGAUUUUUCCCAACAAAUCAUAGGUUUCGAAAAUAUAGUGUCUUUGAAUAAAACUAGAGAGUAGGGACAAGCACCUUCUCAGUUGUCUGGAACUGAAGUGAAAAAGCAGUUUAAUAUAUUUACUGAGUAUAAGAUUGAAGACUUGAAAAGAGAAGAACGAAUAAAAUGAGAGAAAUGAUAAGAUUACUUGGAAGAAGAACUGCAUUUCUUAAGAUUACUUGGAAGAGAAAUGAUGUGGAAGAUGGCUAUAAAAGAUAAAAGGAAAGGCUUAAAAAGAAAAGCCAUGCCUGUCAAAAACAAAAAAACAAUUGCAGCGUCAAAUUUAUAACACAAAUCAAAACGGUGCGUUUGAGAGUGUAUAAAAUACAUUUAGAGUGGGAGUUGUGUUGUUGCUUGAAGGCAGAAUGUUUGUGAGAUAUUUGUCGACGAAGCCGAAACCAAAGAUGAAGCCCAUCAAAAGCAUUUAUAGUGUAAAAAGUAUAUUGUGGAAAUGUCUGGUCGGUAAUACAACUAUUUCUUGUAGUGUAAAUGAUACACUAAUUUGAAUUUAUAUGCUUUUAUGAUUAUUUGAUUAUCAAGUGGUGAUCAUAUGUGAUGAUAAACUUAGGUCGUACCUUUAUAUUUAUUGCCUUAGUUUUCUAAGCGUUCACAUUUUGAUGAGUAAAUUAAGGAUUUCAAGAUGAAGUACAUAAUUAGAUUAAUGCUAAGAAACUGAAGUUUGAUCGAUUGAAAACGAAAAUAAUAAUAAAGGUAAUUAAGAAAAUGAACAAUAUAUGCAGAAGCGGUCCUUAUUAGUACUUCUAGAUUUUCUCUUGGGCUUUCCUUAUUAUUGUUAAAAAAUGACACGAAGAACUUUGAGUUUAAAAAUCUGGCCCUGAUGCCUGGUAGCCCUUCAACAUAUGAAGAACCAGAUGUUUUGAUGAGAAAAUGACAAGACCAUUUAUCAAAUUUCUUGUGGAUAUAAAUACAUACACAUAGACGAGGCCAACCUCCUCAAAUGAGAAUCAGAGUGAUUACAAGACCUUGCAAUGAGACAAUGAUACACCAUCAAAUGUCAAAAUACAAUAGAAAUUCACGACAUAUAUAUAAUAAAAGACCUCUCAUUGAGUCAUAUAUAUUGAGAAUAAAAAUGUUAUAAUACAUACACAGAGCUUAGUUAGAAUAAAAUGUCUUUGAACUUGCGAUGAUCAAACAAAGGAAACAGACAGGUUGUAACUCACACUAUCACAGAUGUAGCGACACGAUGCAGUGAAUCACAAGAAGAUCACGAAGAUGGAAACGGGAACCCCUCAGAAUGUAAACUUUGAAUAGAGGAAAAAAGAAAAACGUCCUUAUUUCAAAUUGUGCACAGAAGAAGAGUGACUUAAAUCUUCAUCAGUAUCCAGGCAUUCUGCAAUCAUAAAGUAGAAAAAUUUUAACAGUAACAGCAGAGAAAAUAUUAUGAAUAUGCUAGACCAAAUUAGUCCCUUUUUUGGUUUGUGAAAACUUUAUUUUUUAUGAAUACGCUAUCCAAUAUUUUCAAUCAAUAUUUCCACAAUAUAGUUGUUCAUAGCUAACGUUUGAUGGUUUAACGAUUUGUUCCAAGAAUAAUGAGCUGAUUACGUUUUGUUUUAUUUUUAUUUUAUUUUUUUUAAUCCGAUGAAGGAUAUUCAGCUGUGUCUUUAAUUAUGCAUUCAUAGGGAAGAACAUUUUCUAAGUACUUUCCUUGCCUUCUAACUUUCCAAGGAAAGAUAGGUGUGAAGAAAAGCAAACCCAAUGAACAAACAGAGCACAAACUAAAAUAAUUAGCAAAUAAAGAAAGGAAAAAGUAUGCACGUUUUCAAGGAUUUAAAAAAUACGAAGGCUUUUAAUGAAAUUUUAUCAUAAAAAAGUAUGCAAGGAGUUAUAAAAUUUUAGAAGACGAGGGGAGCUCGCAAAAAAAAAAAAGAAAAAAAAAAGAAAAAGACUCAAAUUAAACUAGACUAAAAAGACAUUCAAUUACGCAAAAUCUGUCCAUAAAAGUCUGAAAGGAUCAUUAAAAUUGCAUUGCAAAUUUAACAGUAAACUGAGGAACCCAUUCUAAAUAAUUCAGAUGAAAUUGCGAAACAAACCAUGGGAUUAAAUAAAUUAAAUAAAAAUUAAUUACCAGUUGAGACUUUCUUCUAAAAAUUCGCAACUCCAAGUCAUAAGAAGCCUAUGAAAUUAGUAGUACAGCGUAGAGUAUGACGACGACACCGCCAACAGCUGAAAGUAAAAUUCUUAUUCAUCAAUUUAAACUUACUUUAUAACAAAUAUCUUAUCUAUAUUGUAUUUAAGAAAACAAAUUUUGUAAAAAUUUAUCAUGGGAGAUAGAGAGUAAUAUGUACAUACGUACCUUCUCAGCAUGUAAUUGUUGUAUGGUUGUGUUUAGAUCAUUAUUAGCCCAGCGCCGUUGAUCCGCUGUCUCUCCAUAGCAGACGUUUACUCUUAGAGGCGUGAUUGAUUCUCCUGUAGUGAAAAUCUUCAUCUUGGGACAACCAAUCACCCACAACUCUUGCAAAGAUGGGAAUUUGAAGGUGUAAUUGGCAGAGCAGAAACUUGUGAGGCUGUCUAAAUCACGCAGUUCCAACGUCUUCAAUUUGCGGAAAACAAUCUCUUCUUUUUCAACCCCGUCUUUGUCAUUUAUUACCACCUCUGUCAUUGCUCUGCAUCCAUAUAUACUCACUUUGACGAGUUGCACUAGAGUUUUUGCUGUGGAGGAUGUUACCAAGUGUAUCAAUUCCUUGCAACCGAAAGCUACAAGUUCUGUUAGGUUCCGAAAAGAUACCGAUGAUGAUGGCAAUAGAAUUAACAGACUUUGACAAUGAUAUACUUUUAGAAUUUCAAGAUACUGAAAAAUGGGGCCAAGUUUGGAGUCUUGUUUGCACAGCUGCUUCAGAUGAUAGUGCCGGUGCAGCUUUAAUUCUUUUAUCAUUGCCAACUUCCCCACAUGUUUCUCUAAGCAUCCUUCCAUCGAAAAUACCUCUUCGUGGAAUGAAAAAUUAAGCAGUGUGAGUAUUUCGAGAUUGUGAAAUCUCUCCAGUACGUUCCAGAUUGGAAAACAAGCUGCGUCAUCUCCAACAAUCUCUAGUUGUUUAAGACUGCCAAAAAGGUGUUGUGGGAAAUCGGCCUGCAAAAUCAUCUUCACAUCUUUUCCACUUAGUGAUAGCUCCUUCAAGUUGGGUACGAUCUGAUCAUCAUCAAUCGUAAUAACUAAUGAGGUCAAUUGAUGAUCUACGGUCACAGGCAGUGACUUUAUAGUAUUUGUUUUAUAUUAUAUUUUUAAAAAAAUUGAAUUAUUGAUAAAAUUUAUUUUAUAUGUUAAUUUUAGAGGUAAAAAAGAAAUUAGGGAAAAAGGUUGAUUUAUACUGGCUCGAAAUUAUUUUAUUGCACAAUAAUAAAUUACUAAUUUAUUUUGUAAGUUCUUCUAUAUGGAAAGACUAAGGAUUCUUUUAUAAAUGUUAUACCAAAAAAAGUUCAUAUAAUUAUUAAUCUACCCCAUUGAUCUCUUAAUCUAGACUAGCAAAGAUUAUUGUAUAAUAAAAGUUUUCAAUUUAUUGAGUAUUAAUUUAUCGAUGCUUUGCCAUAUUUUUCAAAGUUAAAAAUAAGCUAUAGACAAAAAAUCUAGAAAAUGGCUUCAUACCUUUUCCAACGGCAAUGGGGGCUGUUGUGCAGGAAUGCCAAGUUGAUCAUUCUCAUUAUUCUGCAAUAAAUCUGCAGUGAAUAUCUUUAAUUUGUCACAACAAUGCACUGAAAGAACUUCUAGCGCGGGCCAUUCCGAAGUAUGCAUUCCAGGGUACAAACAUCUAAGUUUUGGUAGACCUUGGAGUCUCAAAGUGGUGAGCUGUGGAAAGACAAAAUAAGGGAUCACUUCAUCUGCUCUAUUCUCAGAAAUGAUCUCCUGUAAAUCCUCACAGAAGCGAACUUCUAGGUGUUGGAGCUGCUUAAGGCUUCCGAUCAUAGACGCUGAAAAUAUGUAUUUUAAUUUGUGACAACGCCACACAAUCAAUCGUGUUAAAUUUUGAAAGCGAGGAAACGUGACAGGAAAAUGAUUGUAGUGCCAAAUCUUGUCGACAUUAAUUUCAGAUAUCUCCAAAGCCUCCAAGUUAGGCAACGCAACCUAAAAGAAUAAGAAUUUCUGGUUAGAUCCAAUAUCCAUAUGGGAAGCACUUGUUGAAAUUUUCUUCUUUGAUUGCAAAUUCAUGCAAGUCAGAAUCAAUUUCCAACUGACAGCUGAGUAUGCAUUCUAAUUCAUACUACUUGUUAAGAGCUCAAUUAGUGAGCGCGUGAGAUUCUUUUUAUCCUUUUUUCCGUUUUCUUUCAAUUCUUUAAAUGAUUUAAUUAUUUUCCACGUAUGAUAUCAAAAGAGAACGCAUGAUAGAAUAAAGAAAAUGUUAGCCUACGCACCUUCUCGUUGAAAAGCAGAGUUGAAAUAUCCAAAGUGAUUUCGCUGGAGCAAUACAUAGUCGUCGAUUCCUCUUGCGACACUUGUCUGUUCGGUGAUGCUGAAGGAGUCUCCACCUCACGGCGGCAAAAACUUGUAACCUCAGGAAGAUUCCCCAGACUCAAAGAUCUUAAUUGAGCAAACUCUAUCUUCUCAAUUGCAUUAUCAACUUCUUCCCCAAUUGCAAAAAUCUCUGUUAUCUUGCUGCAAUUAACAACUGCAAUUCUCUCAAGUCUUGGAAGGCAUUUUGUAGUAGAGAGCCAAAAGAUAUUACUCAACUUAUCACAAUUAUAUGCUUCUACGGUUUUGAGUUCGUUGAAAGACUCUACUUUGAGCCGAUCAACACAUAUCCUCUCCAUGUUGAUCAAAUUGUGAAUGGUAAGUGACUCCAAAAGAGGAAAGGCAUCACAAGCGACCAUCUCCCUUGAAUCGACGAUACAAAAGAAGUCAGGAUUAUUUUGAACCCAGAGAAGCUUCAAUUGUGAAAAGCCCUCCUUGCAGCUUGUCCAACCAUAAGUAUUCAACGUUAUUGAUGCCCUGCAAUUUCAUGGAGCAAAUGUCCAUAAAAUCAAGCUUGAGCUUCAAUGAUCUUAAACUCUUGCGAUCACUGUUGAUCGAAAAGCGGGGCCGACUUUUAAACCAAUGUUGUCCAACACUCAUGGGAUGCAUGAAUAACCCAUUUCCAAUAGAUAUUUUGAACCUUUCGAGCUUUCUGGCCAAAAAACCUUCUGGUAAAAUAUUGUCACUUUUAACGUCAAUUUCUAGAGUGGUUAGCCGAGGUAAAUGCAUCAAUUCGUCAAGGCUAGCAUUACUUCUUUUGCUGUUGGCUCUUUCAACCUCCCAUUCAAUGAAGCAAUUACCCAUAUACAGCUCUUCUAAUCGAGUUAAGCUUGAUAUGAGAUUAGGCGCAAUAACUUUUAGAUGGAAACAAUUGGUUAAAUCUAACAAUCUCAACUUAUUCAAUUGACCUAGUUCUUCUGGCAACUGCAUAAUCUCAGACUUCAAAAAGCUAAGGACUUCUAGAUUCUUCAACUUCCCAAUGAUUGCUAUGUCCCCCAACGCACUUUGAUCCAGACAUAGUGUGUGAAGAUUUUGUAGAAGAUCAAUUGAAGAUGGAAAAGAAGAAAACUGCAUUCGAGUAAAAUCUAGAACUCUAAGCUUUUUCAUCCCUACAAAAAAGUUCUCAGGAAUAUUGAUUUCAAGAGAAGAAUCUUUGAGAGAGAUAAAUAAAAAUUCAAGGUUUGGGCAUUCUAAUCCUUCAGGAAAUUCACGAUUACUAUUAUUUCUUAAAGAGAUCGCAUUGCAUUUUCGAAGUGCAUCCUCAUCUGGCCAGUCCCACACAUCCUUAUUUCUCACCAAAAACACAUGUUGGUGGCGGCAUGCAAUUGAUAUUGCGACAUCACGAACAACAUCAUGCAUUGAAAAUUGUUCAUUGCUCUCACCCUCAAGCAACAAACAAGAGUGUCUAAGUUCAUGGACCAAUGCAUAUAAUUUGUCUCGUGCAUCUUCCAUCUUAUUGACUCCUUUAAAUAUACCCAAACCCAUGGAGUACUUAAACAAGUCCGAAGUAAGAAUACGGUUAUCCAUUAGACUACAGAGCAGAAAAAUUUUCUUGAGUUGCUCACCUUUUAAAUGGUUGAAACUCAGCUCAAUACUUGAAUAAGUCUCUGCAGAUACUCCUUCGAAGUUUACCAUUGAAGGCGUUCGGAGUUCUCGCAAGGAAUUCUUCCAUUCAUACUCUUGCUUCUCAGUGCCUUUGCCACUGUAGUCAAGGCAAUGGGCAAACCUCCACAUGCCCUGGCGACGUCUAUUGCUGUGGAUUUCAACUCACGAUUUUCAACAUCAUCUCCGGCCAUCAUCUUAAACAAUCUCCAGGCUUCUUCUUCAUUUAAAUUGUUUAUCAAAAAGUUGUCUUUAGAUCCCAUUUUUAAGAGGAGACUACGAUCUCUUGCUGUCAGCAGUAGUUUGCAGCCUUUAUGAUUUUCUCCAAAAGGAAUUGCAGUAGUCCCCAAAUCAAGAGGUUUCCAGAUGUUAUCCAGAAUCACAAGGAUCUUCUCAUUCUCCAAUCUUUCAUAUAGUCUACUAGCUCUUCUAGACUCAGCUUCCUCGCGCAACUCCAAGCCCAACUUCUCGGCAAUUUCCUGUUGAAUCUGUUUUAUGUCUGGAGUUUGCGAAACCUCUGAAAAGACCACCAUAUCAAAGUGCUUGUCUUCCAUAGCUUGCCUGGCGACCUUCUUCACCAGUGUCGUCUUUCCAAUGCCGCCCAUGCCGUACACCCCAAUGAUGCUGACAUCAACAUCGAUCAAUGCGUUUUUUAUAGCCUCCAAAGUAGAACGUCUUGAUUCGAAGGCCUCGUAGCCUUUGUGAGACUUGAGCCAAAUCUCCUCCGGAAUGGUACGGUAGGAAAUUCUAUCAUCAAAUCUCCCAGCUUCUUCUCGGAGUUUAAAAAGGGCCUCCUUCUCUGUUUCUGCUUUCUUUCCAUGCUGAUAGCGAGUAAUCCAAUUAGGAAACAGCCCCAUGAGACAUCGUUCAUUUGCUUUCUCUUCGUCUAGAAUGAAUUUGGCUGCCUGCUCAAUGCUCUUGUUCGCAUUAACCAGCCAUUUCUCAACCUUCUUUUCAAUCUUUUCACUUUUUCUUUCAGCCUCCGAAACUCUGUGCUGAAUGCUUUCUCUUUCAUCCUUGAGCCUAUCGAGUUCUGCCUUGAAAUUCUGAAAGUUGGCAGCGGAGUUGUACCAAUAACUAAAUUCGCGUUGUGCGUGAGGAGACAAACAGUUUACAACUCCUGGAACAAUGCUUUUCAAAAUGUCCAUUUUUUUUUCUUUUUUGGGGAAGUGAACGAAAUAGAAAUAGAACAGGGUCAACGGCCGCGCAAUUGAUAAUCAAGUAGAAGCAAAACAAGGCAAAGUUGAAAAAAGAAAUGAUAUUUGUACAAAACAAGGGAAAUCAGUGUAACAGAAGAGAAUCAAAGUGUUUAUGAGAUCAGAAAAUUGAAUCAAGAAAAGGGUUGCUUGAUCCAAUGAAAAUGCAAAGAGCUGAUGGAAAAAGGGGACAAAGAUAAAUAAGAAAACGGCUAGCACGAGCAGUGACCACGAUAAACAGAAGCAAAGUGUGUAUGAGAUCAAAAGACGAAAAUCAGGAGAGGUUUUCUUGACCGAGAAUUGAAGGCAAUUAGUAGGAGCUGACGAAUACGGGGAUCAAGAGGGAAAAAUUGCUUUUAAGCGAAUCUGAUAAAAUUAUUUCAAUACUCGUGGGCGACUCCUUUUUAAACUGCAGAAGGAAAAAAAAAAUUCUGAAUUUCAAUAUAUUAUUUUUUAUCCUAAUUUAUGUUAGGACUCGUAAUCUCGUCUCAAAUAAUUAAUUAGUAGAUAAUUUUUCUAACAAAUAUGUGUUGAAUAGAUAUAUUUCUUGACUAUGAGCAGGCUAGAGAUAUUUUAGCAUAGGAAUGAAAGUACAAGUUGUGUCAUAUUAUAAUUAUCAAUUGACCUAAAAAUGUUGUUGUGAAUUGAAAUUAUUUCUGUAAAAUAAAAGGAUUUGGGUCAUUGUUCGUUAUUUUCUGGCAAUAUUGUCUGGUCGUGACUCUUUGUUAAAUAUUAAAAAAAUAAAUUUAUAUUUAUUAAGUAUAAAAAAUAAAUAAACAAACAAAAAUAAAAGGAAAAGUUUAUACAUUACGUAAAAUAAUAAGAACAAUAUCAAUAUUUCACACUCUAUAAUUGAGUGAUGUGUUAUCCAACUGCCAUACAUUGGUCCCAAACAGAGACUUAAAUAUUAAAGUCCAAAGUUAUUGUGAUGAUGACUUAUAAUUGCCAAACUUGACAUACGGGUAAUCAUGCAUUAUAAGGUGCUGAUUUCUUCCGAUCGGAACCUUAUUUUUCAUUUACAAAUAAAUAAAUGAUGUGACUUCACGGUUGGCGGGGUCCUUUGUGUCAUUUGGGCAUUUCACUAAAUGAUUGAUUGUAGCAGGGAGAUUCCUGGAAGUUGCCAUUUGCCAAUGCUACUAACAUUUUCAAACUUGGAAAACCCUUCAAUCAAUCUUUUAGUGGUAGGCUCCGGUAGCUUGGUUUGAUUAUGACAUAUGAUUAUUUGAUAAUGAAGCUAGAGGAUGUAUUAAUAUAAAAUUUGUUUAUUGGUGUUGAAGUUAAUUAUCUCAUUAAUAUUAGUAUAAAAAGUUAAUUACUAAGAAACACAUAGCAGUAGUUAAUUGGUGUCAUAUUAUUAGGAUUCUGGGAUAUAAUUUUAUAUCAUAACUUUGUAAGUGUAUACUUACUCAUCAAACUAAUAAAAUUAUUUAAAAAUUUCAGUUGGAAAAAAUAAAUUAUAUUAUUUUCAUUUCAAAUAAUCUAUAAGUUAACUCAAAACAUAAUCAAGCUGAGAAUUAAAAUAAUGCUACUGUAUGAGAGGAUUUUUAUUUUUUCCCGAAGUUUCACUAGGAAAUUAUUGAUACAUAGCUUUAUUCGGAUCAUCUCAGUUCAAACGACAAAUAAUUGAAAGACUAAGCUAAAUAGACCAGCCAACAACUUUGUACAAGAGAGUUCAAAAAUUAAGGUCAUGGUAUUAAGGUGUUCUAUCUUGAAAAGUAUAGCGUAGUAAUAAAAUAAAAACUAAUAGUCUUUGGUAAGAUAUGACAUUUAAAUAAUAAUUUUCACAAAAAUACAAAGAAUAUUUAUAAAGUACUUCUAUAGUGAGGAGACCCUCACUUUGUUAAAGUGAAAAUAUCAAUAAUAUACAAAAGACAUAUAUUUUAACACAUUAAAAAUUGUAUUUUUUUUAUCUAUUGGUGUAUUUGAAUAUGUGUUAUUUAGUUUGUUAGUGAUAUCAUUACUUUGUUAAAAUGAGAAUGUCGUUACUAGAGAAUCAUUAUAUAUACAUAUAUAAAGUGCUUCUGCCCAAGACCUAGACUUUAUUAAAAUUUAAGAAAGCAAGUAUAUUUUAUAUGGUAUAAUAGUGUAAUAACAUCACACUAUUAUAUCAUAUAGAGUAAUAGUUUUUCAAACUUUAAUAAAGUUCAAGAUUAUAGAAUGAAUGAUUUUUAUAUAUUAUAAAUUUUUUUAUCAUAAAUGGAGGACAAAAUUAACAUAUUUUCAAAUUAUAAUAAGUAUUUAUCAAAUAAUUUAACAUUGCAAUUUCUCCUAACUAGUAUAGUAAAUAAUACGACCUAGGAGAUACAUUCAAAGCAUUUCAUAAGUUAGUUGUUAAUAAUAAAUGAUAUAUGCAGCUCCAAUCAUCAUUGUACGGUGAGUAAUUUCCAGUUAUAAAUAGAUAUUACUCCCUUCCCAGCAAUUUUUGAUGACUUAAUUUAGUGAGAUCAAAAUCAACAUUGAAUUUUUGACCAGCUGCCAACAACUUGUGAGCAGUUCACAGUGGGUACUGCACAUGAUGCCUGUUUCUCCUUUUGCAUCUAUUUUGUUGUUAACAUUAAUUUCAAUAGCAGCUCGUUAAUCCCAAUUGUUGAUUUGGGACUAGAUAAGAGUUUAUCUUGGAACUCCAAUUCUCCCAAUUAUUUUAGUUGACAAUAUAUUUAACAUUAUUUUUUUAACAUUAUUAAUUGCAUAUUAUUUAAUUAUCAGUAUAUAAUAUUCUUUAAUUUUCUAAUUUUAUAGGAUUAGACACAAAAUUGAUUAUGCCUUUUGAAAUUUAAGGGUUAUGUCAAUUGAAUAGAAAACUUGGAGGUAAACUUGUGGAUGUUUUUGUUGAUUAUCAAUUUAUGCAUGAAUUUUUGUACGUUUACUCUGGUUUAUAAUUAUUACUUUUAAACAUUUUUAUUGGUUUGAUUUAGGGUCAAUUUAGUAAUCAUGUAGCUUUUAAAAUAAUUACAAUUAGCUAUGCUGUAGAAAUUGAUCAAUCGUCAAGAGAAUCAGCUGAACAUUUAGUAAAAUUUAUUUUUAAAAGUACUUUUAGUUUUAAAAGCGUUGUAUGAAUAAAACUGUUACACUAAAAAUUAAAUGUAUUGCCCACUUGGGUAAAUAAAGCUAUAUAUUACAACUGUUACACUAAAAAUUAAAUGUAUCUUAAACCCAAACUUCUUCUUCUUCUUUUUGACUAACAAAAUUAAAAACAAUAGUGAACACAUUCUUUAAUAAACAAUAAGUAAUAAAUAAAAUCGUGUUAAAUUGCUUAAAAACUUUCUUUCACGGUUUGCUAAAUAUUUGUAUUAGUAUUUUAAAUAAAUAAAAAUAGUUGAUUUAAUUUUUUUAAAUAAACUUAUUAGGUUCAUGUAAAGAUGUUUUUGUUAUUUUAAAAAGUGUAGAAAGUACUCCUAAAAAAAAGCGUAGAAAGUAAAACUUAAUUUUUUAAAUUUAUCAGCUGAGUGCAUAAAUAAUUGAGUGUUCAUAAUGAUUUUUAAAGUAUAGAUAGUCGGACCCUAAUUUAAUAUAUGCAAAUUUUGCUAAUAUGUUAAUGAGAAUUAAAAAGAUAAUUAAGGGAGGCAAUCGAGACAUUCAGGAUAGUUAGGAUGGGACAUGAUUGUGAGUGGUUAGAUAUUGGUCCUAAUUUUGAUCACAAAUAUAUAAACAGGACGAGUUUAUCUCUACUUACAUUCCAUUUGAUAAUUAAGAUGAGAGUGGAAUUGUCAAAUCCCAAAUCAUCCCGGAUCACUGCCACCAAGGGUACUCUCACUAAUAAUAUCUAAAGAAAAAUCUACAUCUAUUUCAUACUUUUUUUUAAUGGAAAGAGCCCUCAUGGGGCUUGAAAUGGUAUCCUAAAUAAUAUUCAGAAUAUCAGGUCAUGAUUGGGUUUGUGACAAACAAAUAUUACAUAGUUGGGAUACGUAGUUAUAGUGUCCCAAUUUAUGUAGUAUCUAUCAUUUAGUGCACAUAUAAAAUAUUAAUCAGCUUAAUUAAUUUAUAAAAUUUAAAUCUAAUUAAUAAGUGAUACAUAAAUGCCAAGUGCAGUACUGUAUAUGCAAAUCAUGUUUGUGGAUCAUUACAAAACUGGCUCUUGAAAACAAGCAAGAAAGCUUAAUUAAGAACUUAAAACAAAAAGAAUUAGAUUGAGAAUAGUCGAGCCUUAUUUUUUCAAGAAUGGAGCUUAUAAAUCUUCAAGUACCAACAUACGCUUGGCCCAAUUGUUGUUACUAAAAUUUCAAUAUACAUAUAUAAGUAUGAUAUAGCAAAAAUUUGAUGGUACAUAUGUCGGAAUAUACUAGUUCAUGGGUGCAUUUGAUUAUUGUUUCCAUAAAUUUGAACCAGGAAGGAUGACACGAUAAAAUUUGAUUUUAUAGUAUGGUUGAUUUCAUAUCUCAUGCACUCAUUUCUUAAGAUAAUCAAAUUUUCUCUGGCAUCUUUUGCAACUGUCGAAAUAUCAAUUAUGAUCAAUCAAAACGAUUUCAAAACCUUUCAACGAGAUAUAUUUCUAAUACAAUAUUGUGAAAAUUACACUAAAAAUUUAAUUUAUUAUAUAUUAUUAUCCAACGAGCACACAAAAAUGAUUUCGUACAAAUCUAAAAUACUGAGCAAUUUUCAAAUAGAAUUUACUAUGUACUACAAGAAAAUAGGGUAUAUGUGACCCCUAAUAUGAAUGCAAAAGCAGCCAUUACGCAUAUCACUAACUUCUAACUUUGUAACUCCGAGUUGCUUUUGUUACCCUUUAUGUGACGGCCACACUGCUGUCACAUAUGUUACGAACCGCGUGACGGCGAAGAGCCGUUCGGUAUACUAAUAUUUUAGAAUUUUAAAUUUAUUUCCAGUUAGAAAACUAUUCGCUGGACUCCGUGUUGCUGGCCACCAUCGUAAACGUAACUGGUUGCCAGCGAACGGCGUAAAACGCCGGCCAUCUUCUUCUUCAUCGUAUUCUCCCUUCAUCUUUUGAGGUAAGCUUGUAAUUAUAGAUUUUGAUUUUUUUUAUUUUGUAUUGUAGCCGUUAUUGUCAAUUUUUGUCCCGCCAGCAAUAUUUUUUUAUUCCUACAAGUUGAAGCCCCUGUGUUCUUGUUCCAUUGGUGAGUUUGCUCACUCAAAUUAAUUUUGUUCUGCGGAAUUUACAAAGUUCAAAUGGAUUCAUUUGAAUUACUAUUGAAUUUAGCUUUAAUUUCAACAUCCAUUCUAAUGUUUUGCAAUUAGAUUUAAUUUAAUUUUAUGUUUAAAGCUUCUACAAUGAAUAGCGGAGCUUGGGUUUUAGUUUCAUUUUCUGGAUAACUUGUUUUAGUUUAUCUUGUAUGCUCACCAAGUGCUUGUUAUAUUGUCUGAUAAGUUAUAUACAUUGCUGAUUCUAUAUUAAUAAUGUUACGUUCUAUUUUCAGAAAUUAUAAUACAAAAGUUUUUACAAUGGCGUGCAUCUACAAACUGAAUUGACUUGUAGAAUAAGAGCUUGGAGUAAAUGAAAGUUCAUAUUGUGUAAGAGCAUGUAGAUGUAAAGCAUCAUUACCAUUUCUACAAAGUGCUUUCAUUCUUGAACUUUGAAAGGUGCCUCGUUCAAGUCCUAGCUAUAACUACUAGCUUUGAUUAAUUACGUUCCUAUACUAGCUGAAACAGAUUUAUUUAAUUAAUUAAUUGUGUAUGUACUAAUUAUAUUGAAAGUAUAUGAAUUUUUUUUUUAACAUGAAUGACUCCUAAAUGACUUAAAAACCUAAAGGAUGUGUGAAAUAAUGCUCAUUUCACUUGAAUGAGCCCAUUAAUACUUUUAUGUCUAUGAUUUUCAAUAUUGGCUAAAGCAUUUCGGUUAAGUGGUUUACCUAACAGAGAAAAAAAUUUAAUAGAAAACUUCAGAGUUCUAACAGAAAUAUAGUUUACUAUGCAGAUAUAGUUAUUUUACGGUAUACAAAUCAAGUCGUCCUAAUCUCAAUGUCCUAUGACCGAUUUUAUAUUAUAUAGUCAUUAAUUUUUUCCUUGGUUUUUUGUGUUUGUGAGUAUGAAAUAGUGGGAUUUGGUGUACCUUAGCAUCUCUUGAAAAUUCUCUUUCAGUGUGGCCAACAGAAAUAUACAUAUAAUCAAGUUUCUUAAUCCUGUAUAUUAGUUUUGGGUAUGAAUGUUCCUAUUCUAGUUCUAGGCAAAGCUUCUUCAUUUUGGUCUUCAGAUUUCCAGUAGGUUAAGUUAAUCAACUAUCAUAACUGGCUAGCUAGUUAUUGUCUGCCUUGGCGCCAUUACCCAGGCCAUUAUAUUGCAUAGCAUAAGGAAUAGUGAUUAGGUGAUUAUUAGUGAUUUGUUGAGCUUAUUAUCGACCAAACAAACAUAUUCGCCUUUGCCCACAACUUAGUUUGAUUAGUUAUUAGACCAUAAAGAGCCUUGAUCUAUUCAUUGGCUUUAUUAUUUUUAUUUGGUUUUUCUUUCAACAAUAUUGUUGAUUUCUUAUAAAAAUAUUCAUUGGUUUUUAAACACCUAAUCAUUGGCUAUAUGAAGCUAAUUAAAACUGAGGCUUUGGAUCAAUUUCUUCUAACAAGAUACAAAUGAGCAUAACCUAUCUCCUCUGAGUAAAUUUUUUUAAUAUCCUUGAUUUGUAAGGAUCUGGAGGCCUGAAAUCCUCUAGAUUUUUUUUAAUACUGUCAAUGUUCUUUUUAUUCUGAAAAGGAACUAAAAGGUUUUAUCUUUCAUACCCUAAUAGUAAGCUGGCCUUGUCUUAACAUGGCUUCCCGAGGAUUUGGAAGAUUCAUAGGCCCCCCCCCCCCCCCCCCCCCCCACACACACACACACAAAAAGGAAGAUUUUGCAAGAUUCACCACCAGGUUAUUUAUUUAUUUAUGAAUUGUGUGUACAUACUAGUUAUAUGUUGAAAGAAUAGGAAGAAGUAUUUCAACAUGAAUGACUUAAAACUUAUUGCUCAGUAAACAUAAUAUGCAUCAGUGCGAAAAUGUAUUUAUCAUUUGUAUUUUUUAUGGUUUUGCUUAAGAAAUGAUAUGUGAAAUAAUGCUACAUGCCUACAUUGUAUCAGGAAUAACUUGAAAAGAUUUAUGAUAUUUAUGUGUUAUUCAAAUUUCAGAUUCAAUUUUAAACUUUUGAUACGUGCAUUAAAAGUUUAGACUUGUUUAAGAAAUUAUUAAUAGACACAUGUUUUAUUAGUGUCAUAUUUGGAUGAUAGUGAGGAUCAUAUGUCUAUUAAUAAUUCUUGAAUUGUCCGGGCUUGGACAGUUUGGGAAUGCAUACUUCUCUCUGGUAGCUAGUAGCCGAAGUUUUCUUCCCACGUAAAAAUGGGUUUUUCGGUAGCUGCUCCUCAUGUUCUCUGGGUACGUACUAGGUGAAUGGGUGUCGUGUUGUUUUGGCAUAACGCAUAAACACUUAUAUAGCUAUGUCGUGUGCUUGGAGAAUUAUAGGGAGAUGGUGCUGAAAUUUUUAUAAACGUAGAAGAAAACUUUAGGUACUUGAGAUUGAAAAAACUUACACAUUCUUGAGUGGGAUAUGUAGGAUUACUUACCUUUGGUAAAUAUGAAGGGAAUGUUGGAUAUAUUGAGGGUAGUGUAGGAGCUGAGUUGGAUGAAUGUAAUUGGUGAUGAUUUUGCUGAGCUGACAUUGGUUUUGAGCUUGUAAUUUUGUUUGUAAAUGGAGUGCUAUCUCCAAUGUUGGUUUAUAAAUAUGUUUCAGGACUUGCUGACCUAAUUUUUUGUUUCUAGGUUACAGGCUUUAUAUAUCUGUAAUUGAUGGCGAAGUGAAGUUCCCAGCACUUGGCGAGGAUGUUGGUUUAUAAACUGUUUUUUAUAUAUACUUUGAUUUUCACAUCUUUUUCUCUGAUUCUUGUGGCUUUGCUUGCUUUCAUAUAUGUAAAUUCUAAUGAAAUUAAACAUAAAAUUGUAAAAUGAUCUUUUUAUUAUAUUGCAAAACUGUGCACACACGAAAAUAUCUUGUUUAGUAGUAGAAAUGAAGAACUAAAAUGAUUUAUUUAACUAAUAUUUGUAGCGCAUUAAAAGGAGAUAGUCAUGGACAAGUGUUGGGUUGGUUUGCCAAAUAGAUAUCCAAGUCAUAUACUGACGGGGAUGAAAAAUUUAUAGAUUUUGCAUUUGAGAAUGUUGUUGGUGGUACAAGAAUUUAAUGUCCUUUUAAGAAGUGUUGUAAUCUAUAUUUCGUUAUAAGGAAAGUGGCUGAUGAUGAUAUGGUUGGAAUGAUACAAUGCAUCACGUAAUCAAAUGUUCAAGUUACACUCAACAUUGUUAUGGACUAUCAGUGACUUUCUAGCAUUGCCAACUUGUUUGGGUGGAGCAUUAAAGGUAAAUAAGCACGUCUUGUUUGCCAACAAAACACUAGAUCUAAUUGGUUGAUACAUGGUAGAAAAUUUUGUCACGUGGGUCACCGUCGAUUUUUACCGACAAAUCAUAGGUUUCGAAAAUAUAGUGUCUUUUGAUAAAACUAGAGAGUAGGGACAAGCACCUUCUCGGUUGUCUGGAACUGAAGUGAAAAAGCAGUUUAAUAUACUUACUGAGUAUAAGAUUGAAGACUUGAAAAGAGGAGAACGAAUAAAAUGAGAGAAAUGAUAAGAUUACUUGGAAGAAGAACAGCAUUUUUUAUGAGAACUACCGUAUUCAUCAUGAUCUUGUUGUCAUGCACUGCUUUGAUUUUUGUUAUGAACUCAGAUCAAAAGUUUAAUGUGAUCAAACUUUCUUAAAAAAAGUGAAAACGACUCCUAGUAAUAUGCUUUGAUUUUUGUUAUGAACUCAGAUCAAAAGUUUAAUGUGAUCAAACUUUCUUAAAAAAAGUGAAAACGACUCCUAGUAAUAUGGAAGAUGGCUAUAAAAGAUAAAAGGAAAGGCUUAAAAAGAAAAGCCAUGCCUGUCAAAAAAUAAAAAAAUAAAAAUGGCAGCGUCAAAUUUAUAACAAAAAUAAAAACGGUGCGUUUGAGAGUGUAAAAAAUACAUUUAGUGGGAGUUAUGUUGUUGCUUGAAGGCAGAUUGUUUGUGAGAUUUUUGUCGACGAAGCCAAAACCAAAGAUGAAUUACGAGGGUUAUGUUUGCCAUAGUCAAGGAACACGGUCCUCUCACCUUUGCCGAAACUUGGGAACGCGUCAAGGUGUGUGUAUCUAUUAAAUUGAAUUUCAACCGUUUGAUCUGUAAUUAUAAUUAAUCCAAUCAAUCUGACAGUGAUCGCUGACCAUAAUACUAGUAGUUGUUUUACAUUUUCAGCAAGCUGGAGCGAGUGGAUUGACGGGCAAAAGCCACAUGAAGAUUGUGUUGAGAUGGAUGAGGGAGAGACAAAAGCUCAGGCUCGUCUGAAAUCACGUGGGCCCUCAUAAGCAAAUCCUGUACACAACAACUUGAAGCAGCCAAAGUCAGGGAAUGAUCCUUCUCCGUCACAACCCUAGCUGCCUUAAAGUGAGACUGUGAAGAUGAAGUAAAGCACCAGUUGAACAAUGAAGAUGGAAACCCCUCAGCAUGUAAACUUUUCAACAGUGACACAGCUCUUAUUCCAGAGGCUGCACAGAAGAGCGACCUGAAUCCUCUUCAAGACUUUCAAAUUUUUAUCAAGUAAAGCUUCCAAAAUUUCUCAACAAAUUGAUUAUUUGGUGUGGUUGACACAUUUUGUGUAAUAACAGAAAAUUGAUUAUUUGGUGUAACAACAGAAAAUUACAAGAUCGCUGACAAAAUGACAAAAUGACAAAAUGACAAAAUGAAACUGAAGAUAAAUCAGAACAACUACCAAACCUUUGACUGAAAAUUCAAAAGAAUUUAUAUUCAAAAUGUCAAAAUAAACUGGAAAUUUAUUGCAUAUAUUACAAGAAGCAGUACACACCAAUUGUAAAUUGAUACAUCGUUUUUGAAAUUAAGAUAGUCAAAUGAAAGAAACACAACGGAGGGUUAAUGUAACACUUUCAAAGCUGCAUUAGUGAUACAGUAGAGUGAAUACCCUCAGCAUGUAAACUUAACUUCAAAGGACGGAGCACAAGUUUCACAGAAAAGUAGCUCUUAUUCCUGAUGCUGCAAACACAGAGGAGUGACCUCAAUCUUCUUCAUAACUUGGGAAUUCUGCAAUUAUAGAGCACGACAUUGAGCAUGAACUAGAAAAAAUAUUUAUUUUGUACAAUUUUCAUGUAACCUGACUAACCAAGAUUAAUUUGGUGGUAAUGCAUUGGGUCAUUACUUUAUAUGUUUUUACUGUCAUCACUUUAGAAAAAACUAAUUUCUCAAUGUGAAAUGGCCCACAAAAGUAUUAUCGUUUAAAAACUAAAGAUUAAAGCCCCCGGGGGGGGGGGGGUGUCUGAAGGCUUUUUACAUGAAAAUGUUGUCACUUUGAAUGAUAUUUUCAAGGAAUUUUAUUCUAAAAAUAAAAUACGUGGGACCUUAUUCUUCAAAUUGACAGCUCGCCAAGUACUAAAGGCGUAUGAGAUCAGUACUGCGGCGAGUAAGGAGACGACCCCUCCAACAGCUGAAAAUAAAAUUAGCAUUCAUCAAUUUAAAUUAAAAUUCAUAUUAUGAAAUAAAAACUAAUGAUUAAUGAAUUUCCGAGGAAUUUCAUAAGAUUCUCAUAUAAAAACGUGAUAAAAAACUCACUCAUCAAUAACAAAUAUUCUAACAGUUACCCGUACCUUUUCUUGAUGUAAUUGUUGUAUGAUUGUGUUAAGGUCAUUAUUAGACCAACGCAGUUUGUCUUCACUCCUUCCGUACCAGACGUUUACUCUCGGAGGCGUGGUUGAUUCUCCUUUGGUGAAAAUCUUCAUCUUGGGACAACCAAUCACCGACAAAUCUUGCAAAGAUGGGAAUUUGAAGGUGUAAUUGGCAGAGGAGAAGCUUGUGAGACUAUCUAAAUCAAGCAGGGACAAUGUAAUCAAUUUGCUGAAAACAAUCUCUUCUUUUAUAUUUGCUGUUUCAUCUUCGUCACAUACUACGACUUCUGUCAUUGCUGUGCAUCCAAAUACCUUCAAUGAUAAGAGUCGCUCCAGACUUUUUGCUGUGGAGCAUGUUAGUAAGUUCAUCAAUUUCUUGCAAGCAAAAGCUUGCAGGCGUGUGAGAUUCCGAAAAGAUACCGAUGAUGAUGGCAAUAGACUUAACAGAUUUUGACAGUGAUAUGCUCUUAUAAUUUCAAGAUGUUGGAAAAUGAAGUCCAGCUGUUUGGAGUCAUGUUUCCACAGUUGCUGCAGACGAUUAAGUCUGGUCAGGUUUAACCUUUUUAUCAGUGCCAACUUCCUCCCAUGUUUCUCCAAAUAUCCUUCAUUUGAAAAUACCACUUCAUACGAACAAUCCGACAGGAAGAGAAGUUCCAGAUUGUUAAACCUCUCAAGUAAACCAAGUUGAAAGCAAGCUAAGUCAUCAUCCCGAACCAGUAGUAGUUUAAGACUGCCAAAGAGGUGUUGUGUUGAACCUCGCAAAACCACCAGGGCUAGGAAGCCUAAUCCAAAGUAUCUGGCAUUUCUGGAUGUGAGCAAUACUAAUGACGUGGGGGCUAAAAGGCUUGGUCAAGUGUUGGAUGCAUAAAGGACCGAGUCUUGUGCUGGAAAAUCUCUAUAUCUUGUUAGUAGCUUCAGUAGUUGAGUUAAAAUAGGAGUUAGCCGUUGCCUUGCUUCAUUAUUUAAUAAGUUGUAAAACAAGUAGUUGGGGGAGAAAAAAAUAAGAUUUGUCAUUGUGGUUUACUCCAAACCCGAAUUGGAGAACUUUGAAAUAACAGAAGAAUUAUCAAAUUUAUUAAUUCUUGUUGCUGAGAUAAGAAUCUUCUUUCAUUCUAACUUGAGUUCUAACAUGUUGUGGAAAAUCGCCUUGCAAAAUCAUCGUGAUGUCUUUUCCACUUAAUGCCAGUUCCUCCAAGUUGGGUAAGAUCUGAUCAUCAUCGAGCUCAAAUUAUUAACUUAGCACAUUGAUCCAUAAUUCAAGACUGGCAAAAUUCAUUGUGUAAUCAAAGUUUUCAAUGAUCCAACUAAUAUAUAUAUAUAUAUAUAUAUAUUCCUUCUCUAGUGCGGACAUCCUCAUUUUUUUUCAUGUGGACCAGUUUUUAGACCCUAUGGUUUAAAAGAGUUAGUUUUUAACUCUCUAAAACCGCAUGGCUUCAUAAUUCAUUUAAAAACUAACUCUCUUAAACCGCACGGUUUAAAAGUAUGUCUACAUUAAAAAAAAUGCGGACCCCCACACUUGAGAAUGAUUAUAUAUAUAUAUAUAGAGAGAGAGAGACACACACACACACACGCUCUUAAACCGUGGGAUUUGAAAGUUUCUCCGCAUGAAAAAAGUAAAAAAUAAGGGCAUUCCCACUAGAAAAAAACACCAUAUAGGUAUUUAUUAAACCUCCGGAUCUGUGAGUGAGGAACAACAAAGAUAAUUGAUAAAAAAAAUCUAAAAUUUGGUUUCAUACCUUCUUGAACGAGAGUAGGGGUUGUUGUGCCGGAAUACCAAAUUGAUCAUUCUCAUUAUUCUGGGACAACGUUAUUUUAUCACAAUUACAGGCCUCCAAUUUUUUUAGUGCUGGCCAUUCUGAAGUAUGCAUUCCAGGGUAUAAACAUCUGAGUUCUGGUAGACCUUCGAGAUUCAGAGUGGUCACUUGUGGAAAGACAAAAUAUGGGGUCACUUGAUCUGCUCUGUCUUUGGAGAUGAUCUCUUGUAAACCCAUACAUAUCCGUAUCUCCAGGUGUUGGAGGUGCUUAAGGCUUUGGAUCAUAGAAGCUGAAAAUAUGUAUUUUAAUUUGUCACAGCCCCACACUAUCAAUCGUGUCAAACUUUGAAAGCAAGGAAUCAUGGCCGUAAGUUGAUUGUAAUGCCAAAUCUCGUCGACAUUAAUAGCAUUCAGCUCCAAAGCCUCCAAAUUUGGCAACACUACCUAAAGAUAAUUUUCUCUUUAGAUCCAAUAUCCGUAUGGAAAGCACUUGUUUUGACACAAUGUCCAUAUAAGCACUUAAUUAAGAGCUUAAUUAGCCUACGUACCUUCUCGUUGAAAAGCAGAGUUGACGUUUCCGAACUGAUCUCGUUGGAACUGGCUGUCAAUUCCUCUUGCGACUCUUGUCUGUUUGGUGAUGUGGAAGGAGUCUUCACUUCACCGCAAAACCUUGUAACCUUUGGAAGCUUUCCCAGACUCAAAGAUCUUAAUUGACCAAACUCUAUCUUCUCAUCAACAUCAACAUCAGCUUCUCCUCCAGUUGCAAAAAUCUCUUCCAUGCUGCUGCAAUUGAUAACUGCAAUCCUCUCCAGUCUUGGAAGGCAUUUUGUACUACUAGAGAGCCAGAAGAUAUUACUCAACUCAUCACAAUUUUCCACUUUUAUGGUUUUGAGUUCUUUGAAGGACUCUAUUUUGAGUCGAUCAAUACAUAUCCUCUCCAUAUUGAUCAAAUUGUGAAGAGUAAGGGACUCCAAAAGAGGAAAGGCGACACAUGGUUCUCUCUCCAUUGAAUCGACGAUACACAGGAAGUCCGGAUUAUUUUGAACAUGGAGAUGCUUCAAUUGUGAAAAGCCCUCAGUGUCCAAUUCUAAAACAACAUUCUUGAUUCCUUGCAACUUAUCCAAACAUAAGUAUUCAACGUUAUUGAUGCCCUGCAACUUCUCGGAGCAAAUGGCCAUAGAAUCAAGCUUGAGCUUCAAUGUUCUUAAACUCUCAUGAUUACUGAUCAUAAAGUGCUGCCGACUUUCAAACCAAUCAUUCUCAAUAACCAGGGUAGAGUCGAAUGAUGCAUCUCCUAUUGAUAUAUCAAACCUUUCCAGCUUUUUGGAAAAAAAGCCAUCCGGUAAAAUGGUAUCAUUUUUAACAUCUAUUUCUAAAGUGGUCAAUCGCCUCAAAUGCAUCAAUUCGUCGAGGGUGGCAUUACUUCUUUCACUAUUGGCCUUUUCAACUUCCCAUUCAAUAGGGGAAUUACCCAUAUACAGUUCUUCCAAUCGAGUGAAGCUUGAUAAGACGUUGGGCACAAUAAAUUUUAGUUGCAAACAAUCUGUUAAAUCUAACAGCCUUAACUUAGUCAGUUGACCUAGUUCGCCAGGCCACCGUACAAUAUCAGAAUUUAAAAAGCUAAGGAUUUCUAGAUUCUUCUACUUUCCAAUUAUGGCUGUGUCUCCCAACAUGCUUUGAUCUAGACAGAGUGUUUGAAGAUUUGCUAGAAGACCGAUUGAAGAUGGCAAUGAAAAUAAUCGCAUUCGUGUCAAAUCUAUAACUCGAAGCUUUUUCAUCCCUUUGAAAAUGUUGUCAGGAAUAUUGACCUCGACAAAAUAGUCUUUGGGAUGCAUAUGUAAAAAUUCAAGUUGCGGACAUUCAAAUUCCUCAGAAACUUCAUGAAUGCGACUAUUUAGUAAAGAGAUUGCAGAGCAUUUUUUAAGUGCAUCCUCAUCUGGCCACUCCCACACAGCCUCAUUUCUCACCAAGAAAGCAUGUUGGUCUCGACAUGCAAUUGAUACGGCAACAUCGCAGACAACAUCAUGCAUGGAAAAUUGUUCACUGCUAUCACCCUCAAGCAAUAAACAAGAGUCUCUAAGUUCAUGGACCAAUGCAUAUAAUUUGUUUCGUGCAUCUACCAUCCUGUUGACUCCUUGAAAUAUGCCCAAACCCAUGGAGUAUUUAAACAAGUCUGUAAACCAAAAACUGUUACCUAUUAGACUACAGAGCAGAAAAAUUUUCUUGAGUUGCUCACCUUUUAAAUACUUGAAACUCAGUUCAAUACUUGAAUAAGUCUCUGCAGGCACACCUUCGAAGUUUAUCACUGAAGGCGUUUGGAGUUCUCGCAAGGCAUUCUUCCACUCAUGCAGACACUUGUUUCUCAGUGCCCUCGCAACUGUAGUCAGGGCAAUGGGCAAACCUCCACAUGCCUGGGCUACAUUAAUUGCUGUAGACUUGAACUUACAAUUUUCAACAUCAUCACCAUUCAUUAUCUUAAACAAUCUCCAAGCUUCUUCUUCAUUUAGAUUGCCAAUCAAGAAGUUAUCUUUGGAGCCCAUACUUAAUAGCACAUUAUUGUCUCUUGCUGUCAGCAGUAGUCUACAUCCUUUAUGAUCAUUUCCGAAGGGAAUUCCAACCGUCUCCAAAUCAAGAUGUUUCCAGAUAUUAUCUAGAAUCACAAGAAUCUUAUUCUCAUUCUUCAGUCGUUCAUACAGCCUGCUAGCUCUUCUAUAUUCAGCUUCAUCGGACAACUCCAGACCUAACUUCUCUGCAAUUUCCCCUUGAAUCUUUUUUAUGUCUGGAGUUUGUGAAACCUCUGAAAAAACCACCCGAUCAAACAGCUUGUCUUCCCUGGCUUGCCUAGCAAACUCCUUCACCAGUGUCGUCUUUCCAAUGCCGCCCAUGCCGUACACCCCAAUAAUGCUGACAUUCACAUCAGUCAACGCAUUUUGUAUAGACUUCAAAGUAGAAACUCUUGAUUCGAAGGCCUCGUAACCUUUGUUAGACUUAAGCCAUAUCUCCUCCGGAGUGGUACGGUGGGAAACGAUAUCAAACUUCUUAACUUCUUCUCCAAGUUCAACAAGGGCCUUCACCUCUGUCUCUGCUUUCUUGCUAAGCUGAUAGCGGGUCUUCAAAUUACGACACAAGCCCUUGAGACAGCGCUUAUUUGUUGACUCUUCAUCUUCAACGAAUUUGGCUGCCCGGUCAAUGAUGCCGUUAACACUAACCAGCCACUUCUCAACCUUCUCUUCAAUCUCUUCCCCUUUUUCUUUCGCCUCUGAAACUCUGCGCUGAAUGCUCGUACGUUCAACCUUCAACUUCUCCAUUUCCGCCUUGAGAUUCUCAAGGUUGGCAUUGUGGUUCCGCCAUCGCAAAUAAACAACUUGGCGUUCUGUUGGAGGAGCCAAGCAUUUUACAAGUUCCAAAACGAGAGUAACAAUGAUUUCCAGCAUCUUGAAUCCUGACAACAAUGUAGAAGUGAAGAAGGCCAAAGGACAGUCAAAACAGAGAGACAGCGUUACGACAAGCAGUUAUGAAGCUAAAAAUAAAUAACAAACAAACAGAAGCAAAGUGUUUUUCGAAUGAGAAGAAGGAAGCAAGAAAAGGGUUUCUGUUUUAGAUUAAGGAUAAGAAAUGAUUAAGAGAGUGGGGGAGCUAAUAAGAGAGUGGAUUGAGCAAACGUAAAUAAAUUUUUCUUAACCUUUUGUCACACGCGUGUGACAAAUAAUAUAAUUAAUUUUAUAUUUUUAUUCAAUAACUAUUAAUUAUAAUUUUUAAAAAUUAUUAAAAAGAAUAAUUAAGUACUGAAUUCAAAUCCUAUCCUAAAUGGUUAGAUAAAAAUAAGUGAAUGAAAAGAGUAAUGGUAGAUUAAUGAGAAAGUGAUUGAUUAAUUUAUGAGGCCAAUUAACGAAACGACAGAUCUGGUUUCCAUGUUUGUAAUUUAAGUGUAUCAGUACGAGGUACACCGACUCUCCCAGUUUCUUUAGCAUUUCUCUCCGUGGAAAUAAGUGAAAAGCCAAAGUGAUUUGAUUAUUUUUAUGGCCAACUAAUGUAUGACAGAUCUGGUUUCAAUCUCUGCAAUGUAAGUGUAUCAAAACGAGGUCAACAACUCUUUGUCGAGUCAGUCAAAUACGCAAGCAGAGCGAACAAAUUUUUUUUCCAAUUAAGUAAUCAUCAAGUGAUAACCUUCUUUUUCUAUUAAAAUAAGGAGUGCAGAACAACUGUCAAGAGAUAAUCAUUGUUUAUUAUAUUUUCGAUUAAAAUAGUUGCGCGUGAACGAUUGCCCGAAUUCGUAUAAAUUGUUGUCAGGUCUAUUAUAAUUAACAAGUGGAAUGGCCAAUGGAUGAAGAACCACUGCAAUUUCGUUUAUGAAUUUAAAAUGCUAAAGAAACUGGACACCAACGCUAAACGUGAGUUUGAGGCCCUUGCCUCAGUGUCUUUCAGGCGUUACUCGGGGUAGUUGAUAUACUGACGGCCCCGUUAUCAAUUAAUCAUCGAAAUAGAUUAAAAUAUGAAUGGAUUGGAAUGGAAUGAGUUGGAAUUAAAAUAUGAAAUGAUAGUCAGAUUAAUUUAUUUUUUUUUAAAUUAGAAAAUUAGAAUAAAAAUAAAUUAUAUUAUUAUUGAUGCAUUUGCUUUAUCUUAAAAUUACGAUGAGUUAUUACAAGUUACUAAUAUGCCUUUGAUUUUUUAUUAUAAUUAUAGUUAUUUAUUAUAACAUUUGUCAUAUAAUAAUAAUAAUAAUAAUAAUAAUAAUAAUAAUAAUAAUUGUAACAAUUAAUAUUGAAAAAAAAUUUAUUGUUAAUAAUAAAUAGGCAAUUAUCCAUCGACCAUGUGAUCUUUCGAACUUUUUCAAAAAUAGAUAAACACUUUUUUCUUUGCAGAAAUCCACCUGAAAUUUACAAAGCGUUUCAAUUGUUUAUUGUCAUCUUAACUCUGUUAGAAUUUUGUUGAUGUCAUAAGGACAAAAUUAUCAUUUUCACCUAAAUAUCCAAAAAGGGUAUCUUUCAAACAUGAUUAAGAUAAAAAAGUAAAAUAAAUUAUCCAUUGACUAUAUAAUUUUUUAACCUUUAUAAAAAAUAUUAAAAAAAUAUAUGAACAUUUGUUUUUAUUUUUCAACAAUCUAUCGGAUAUUUGUGAAGUGCAUUAGUGCUCCACUACUAUCAUAACCCUUUAAAAAUAUCGCUUAAACACGAGAACCUAUUGCCUAAAAUUAUUUUUCAAGCAAAUGCAACGACAUAUCUGGUUUUGAUCUUCGUGACUUUUAAGUGUGCAAGAACAAGAUGAAUGACCCUUUGUCGAGUUGAAGAAUUAAGAUGAAUCAAUUACAAAUCUAGAACAAACUUACAUGUGACAUUUUAGAAUUAAGCAAACUAUAAUUGAUCAUCCAGUGAUAGGCUUAUUUUCAAUUAAAUUAGAGUAAAGAUAUACAUUCCAAAUUUUUUAUCUCAAAAUUAAUCUUAGAUGAUGUCAUUAAUUGAGUACUUGGUAAUUCUUUCAAGAUCUAAGUGAAUUAAUUAUAUUAUCUCUCUAACCAAUUGAUGAAUAUCAUAUUAUUUUGGAUAAUUUUUUAUCUCAAAUCCUAGAAAAGAAAACAAAAGAAAGGGAGCAAAAAUAUUUUUAGAAACGUAAAAUAACCAAAAAAACACCUUUUCUUGUUUUUCUUAUUUUCCACUAUUAAGCUUCAAAAUGAACAACUUUAUUCUACAAUCUCUCAAAUAAUAUUAAUAACAACAACGUCGUCAUCAUCAAUAAUAAUAAUAAUAGAUUAAUUUUGUAGGAUGGAACUCUCUCAAAUCUUCAAGACACAAAAUGUGCUUGACCCCAUUGUUGUUAUUAUAAUUUCAAAAUCAUAUGUAUUAUAUAAUAUUAGGGAAUAUAACAUAGCAAAAUUGAUGGUACAUAUGUUGCAAUAUACUUGCUCAUGUGGCGACACAUUGACGUAAAGUACAAGCAGAACAACGAAAAAUGUAACGGGAGAGCUCUCAUUAUGUAGAUUUUCAAUAGAAGUAAUGCAUAUUUCACAAGGGCAAUGGCCUUAUUUCAAAUGCUGCACCUGAGGAAUGACUUGAAUCUUCUAUAGAACUCAGGCAUUCUGUAAUCAUAGAGUAUAUCAUUUCAACAAAAAUAUUAUAUAGGUCGUUCCUUAUAUAUUUUAUGGGUACACAUACAGAAAUAUUACUUUGGGUACAUUUUUUGCAAUAAAGCCUGCCCAAUCCAGCGUUUUCAUAAGUUGGGUUUCUCAUUUACUUGUUUUUUCCAUUGGUUAAUUAUCACAAACCUCCACUGAGAUUUAGCAUAUUUUUAGUUUAAUAGAUUGUAUUCGCGCAAAUAUCUUUUCAGACAUUAGUUUACCACUUCGUAUAAAUUAAGUUGGUGAGGAUAAAAUCGUAAAAGUACACAUUAAUGAUAAAAAAAUUCAAGUAAACAUGAAAUUUUCACGUUGUGUUCUGAAAUUGGUCUCAACUUUUUAAAUGUCCAUUAGGUAAAGAACAGAAGCAAGCUUUACCCAGCACACAAAAGCAAGCUUUGCGCAGCACGCAUUAACGCCCGCAAAAAUGAAAAAGGAAAAAUGGUCAUCUCUUUCCUCCAUUCGAAUUGAAGCCAUGAAACGCAACAUCCCUUUCAUCUUCUCUCUAAUGCUUUGAUUAAAAAACUUGCUUACGAACGGGAGACCAUGACACUGAAUCCGGAGACGGCAAUACCAGAGACGAUUGAUCGAUUUGGAAGAAUACCAACCAGUGACUUUCGCCGUCGACCCACAAACAGUCCCAGUGUUUUCGAGCCGUGAAUGAGGUAUGAAUCAGAUUAUUUCCGUGCAUGUCAGUUUUGUUAGGUGAUUUGGUUUAAAAAAAGAAUAAUGGGUCUCGAAAAUUUUUUGAGAGUAUUUCUGUUGCUUACAUUUUUUUUCCAUUGAUUAAUGUUAGUUGUAGGUGAAUGAUUGUUUCAAAUGCAUGUUCGCGUGUGACUGAUUGAAAAUGGCUUGUGAUUUGUCAUGCUGCCGUAUGACUGAUUGAAAAUGGCUCUAAAAUUUUUUUUAUUUGUUUAAGCUACUGAUUCUGAUUAUUGAACAGGAAUUCAUGCUAGCUUUUGUGAAAUUAAAGAUGAGACUAUUUUUUAAGAGAUCUGCCAAACCUUCUCUACUAUAGAUUUGGCUUCUGACAUACCUGGUUGGCUGGAGAUAAUUGUUUAUAUAGUCAUUGUUGCCCGUAUUAUUUAGGAAUAUUGAUUAGCAAUGUACUGGAUUAGAGAUUGGUAUAAUUUUGGAAAAUUAGUCGUAGAUGCAACCUGAUUAUGGUCUCAAAUAGUGUGAUCUGUCAAUUUCGUCUGCUAUGGCCUAACAACCUUGAAUCUGAGCUAUGCUACUAUACAAAGUCCUGACCUAAUCAAGCUUGUUAGCCAAUGUCCAAAAUUGCAGUGUCUUUAGAUAAGUCCCAUCUUAUUUGUUUGAAUUAUAAAUGAAAAUUGCAGUGUCUUUGGAUAAUCACGCUGAAUGUUCAAGUUAUUGACAAGAAGGGACCCCCAGAUUCAAGGCCGGAGCUCCCUGUUGAGAAGCUUUAUAUAUAUAGGAUUGUCGCUGGGUGGAGGAUCGAUAUGCCCGGUUUUGUUUGGAAUAAGGAUGAAGAUUUUGCAUUGAGGCUUUCUUGACAGAUCAUUCUGCAAAUCAAGCUCCAUGUACCUAUCUUCAAACUCUAGGAUAUGUAUAAAGCAAGUGCAUGCUCUAUAUGUCACUUAUUGUAUCCCGAUUAUUUUUCUAUUACUUAAUAUAAUUGCAGUCCUUGAUGAAGUUGGAGACAACUUAUGGAGGGUAUCCAGGAGCUCGAGAGCUCGAUUGCCAUUCAUUUUACACUUGGCUGAGCUAUAGAAUACCAACUAGUGAUUAAUAAAGAGAAGGUAUGAAGGUCCUAUUGCUGGUGGUAUUAUCAAUCAGAAUUGUUAUUUUACUUGGUCAUAGUUACCAUGUAUACUAUUCAUAGACUUUUUGCAUGUUUAUGUAUUUGCGUUCAUCGUUUUGUUAAGCUAGAGAUGGUUGAUUUGUGUACUCAUUUGUAUCACUUGUAGCCCUUGAGGAAUAAAAUUUAAAAUUUUGUUGCAUCUCCUGUACUAAAUACUAAUUUUGUUGGCUUUAUGUAUGUGAAAUGGUUCAUUAUGUUAUUUCUUUGAUGUGUGUAUAGUGUUACGCUGUCUAAAGUCGAAAAGUAUUUCUAUCACUUGUGUAAAAAACAACCUACUUUUUUUCACUCUUCUUAUAUUGAAUAAAAGAGGAACACCAAGAUCUUCACCAAGAUUGAACGAAAUUUGAUGCAAAAUGCAUAGCAAUUAGGCCAGUGCAAAACAACUUCCUUCUGAUUCUCUGAUAUUUGACUUAAAUCUUUUGUUUGUUUCAUUCAUCAAAGUCAUUUUGGAAAGUAGCAGGGGUGAUUUGAUAUUUUCAUUGUAUUCACAUCCCUUGGCACCAAAACAAACAUGCUGGUACUAACCAACAAUUUUUUUUAAUUUUCAGUAUACAAAUUAUCUUUUUUUUUCUAAAUUAGGGGUAUUAAGAAAAGGUAUACUAGCAUCGGGGGAGGUAUUUGAGAAUACACAAAUACAGGCUAUCAAACUGAGAAUACGCCAAAUCUCAGGGGAGGUUUCUGAUAAAUCUUUUUUUUUCCUUUUCCUCCAUUUACUAUAGGUUCAAUUUAGACAUUGUUGACCAAACAGAAGGUUUAGGUUGGUAAACGCACUAGUGUUAAUGUCAACAACCCAAGGGGCUUCAUGGUCCUCUGGGCCGAAAUAGCGUAAUUAUUAAUUCUCCUCCAGUGAAAAUCUUCAUCUCGAGACAAAUAAAUACGAAUUGACAUUAUAGCUGUGCAAAUUUGGAGGUGUAAUAACCGGAAAAGUAAAAAUCUUUAGAGACAUUUCAAAUAAAAAAGAUACAACACCUUCAAUUUGCUAAAAGUAAUGGUAUCAUUUCUUGUACGGAUAAUGGAUGAUUAGAUUUUGUUUUUUGUUAUCCGACGAAGGAUAUUCAGUUGUUCUUUAUGUGUUCACAGGCAAGAGCAUGAGCAUGUUUAUGAUUUGAUAUAUGCUUCUUGCAUUUUUUAAUUAAGUACUCUCUUUCCUUACUGUGAAGCCGAAAUUAGUUAUAAUCUGUUAUGGACAUGCUGAGGUGGCAGGUGAGCUGGCAUAAGUGGGAUCCAAAUCAAGAGUUGGUUAGUUAGUUAAAUAACAGACUGACUCAUUGCAAGUGGAAACACACGUGAGAAGCAUACAUUUAUAAGCUGUCUCUAAGCUAGCUAAACAUACAUAGAAUCAUAGAGAAUUUACAGAGAGGAAACACUCGAUAGGUUUUAAUCUGUAAUUGGUGACUCAGUUGUAAACCAUCUUCUUCUUGUUGUUCAAUAAAGCCUCUGCCCUUGCUGGUUUUACAGCCGUGGAUGUAGGUUCCUUUGUGGAGCUUAACCACGUUAGUUUCUUGGUGUGUUGUGAAUCUUUGAUUGCUUGGUUCUUCUUUGUUCUUUUCUUAAUGUUGUUUCUGUAAACUCUGGUUUUGUGGGUUGCUUAAUUCUUGUUCAAGUAAGCGAAGUAAACACGUUUGCCAUAACAAACUGGUAUCAGAGCCUGGUAUUGGUUGGGAUCAGACUCAAAGAUGGCAAGCACCAGAGUUGAUCUUGAAAAGUUCAAUGGAGAUAAUGAUUUUUAUCUCUGGAGUUUGAAGAUGAGAGCAAUACUUAUUCAAUAAGGGCUUGACAGUGCCCUCGAUGAUGGAGAAGAUCCGAUGGCCAAGAAAGAAAAGGCAGAAGGCUCUUCAAGCCUUGGUGCAGAUCAGAGGAUCAUAAACAAUAAGGCCCAUAGCACCAUUAUCUUGCAUCUCUCUGAUGAAGUCUUGAGAGAAGUAUCCAAAGAAAGAACUGCAGCUGGUUUAUGGGCAAAACUAGAAGAAAUGUUUCUGAAGAAAUCAUUGGCAAAGAGGAUGUACAUGAAGAGGAGAUUGUACACAUUCUCAAUGAAAGAUGGAGUAGCCAUGAAAGAUCACGUGGAUGAGUUUAAUAAACUCAUUCUUGAUCUCGAGAAUGUCAACAUAAUUCUUGAAGAUGAAGACAAGGCACUCAUCCUCUUAAGUUCUCUUCCAGAAUCUUAUGAACAUUUUGUAGAUACCCUCAUCUAUGGCAGACAAACCCUCUCUUUGAAAGAUGUCAAAGAUGCUCUGAAAUCCAAGGAUUUGAAGAAAAGAUCAGACAUGAAAGAUCAAAACAAUGCAGAAGGUUUGGUUGCCAAAGGAAAGCCAGAAAAGAAACACAAUAAGCAGAAAAAGAACAACAGCCAGAAAGAUAAAGCUGAAAAGAAGAAGAAGAAGAAGAGAAAGUGUUACUUCUGUCAGAAAGAGGGACACUACAUUAAAGAUUGCUUUGAGAAAAAGAAACUAGAAGAACUGCAAAAGAAAUCAAAUGGGAAGACUGCUGUUGCCUCUGAAGAUGAAUGUGACUACGAUGAAGCAGAUGUCUUGGUGGCUGCAGAAAGGCACCCAACUGGUGAGUGGAUUCUGGACUCUGGUUGCUCAUUCCACAUGUGUCCAAAUAAAAGUUUCUUUAAGACCUUUGAAAGUGUAAAUGGUGGAAAGGUAUUGUUGGGAAAUAACCUAGCUUGCAAGGUGGCUGGAAUAGGAACCAUUAGCUUAAAAUUGCAUGAUGGUGUCACUAGAGACUUGCACCAAGUAAGAUUUGUCCUUGAACUGAAAAGAAACUUGAUAUCUCUAGGAAUGGUUGACCAAUCAGGGUGUACUAUUAAGGCUAAAAAUGGAGAGAUACAGGUCUUGGAUCAGGGUAAAAUUGUAAUGAAAGGGGUUAGGAAAAAUGGGCUGUACAUACUAGUUGGAUCCUCACUUGUGCAAGGGAUCUCAGCAAGUGUGACCAGAGAUAAAACCAAGCUCUGGCACAUGAGACUAGCUCAUAUCAGUGAGAGAGGUCUCAAGGAGCUAAGCAAUCAAGGUUUGCUUGGUGAUGACAAAGUUACUUCCUUAAAAUUCUGUGAGAAAUGUGUGUUUGGGAAGGCCACAAGACUAAAAUUCAGUUUAGGGAGAAAAGAAACCAAACAGACUCUAGAUUACAUCCACUCAAACCUUUGGGGGCCAUCACAAGUUCCAUCUUUAGGUGGAGCUAGGUACUUUGAGUCCUUAAUAGAUGACUACUCUAGGAAGGUUUGGAUCUAUGUGUUGAAACACAAAAGUGAAGCACUAGGGAAGUUCAAAGAGUGGAUUACUCUCAUUGAAAACCAAACUGAUAAGAAAAUAAAGAGGCUCAGAACAGACAAUGGGCUGGAGUAUUGCAGCAAAGAGUUUGAAGAUUUCUCCAAAUAUAAGGGCAUUACAAGGCAUAGAACUGUCACCUACACUCCACAGCAAAAUGGGUUGGCAGAAAGAAUGAACAGAACCAUAAUAGAGAGGGUAAGAUGCAUGCUGCUGAAUGCAAACCUAUCCAAAGGUUUUUGGGCAGAAGCAGUCACCACAACUGCCUACUUGAUAAACAGAAGCCCAUCCUCAGCUCUAGGUUUCAAGACACCUCAGGAGCUUUGGUCUGGAAAGCCACAAGACUUGAGCAAUUUGAGGAUCUUUGGAUGUCCAGCUUAUGCACACUUAAAGCAAGGUAAGCUUGAACCAAGGGCUGUUAAAGGGUAUUUCUUGGGCUAUCCUGAGGGCAUUAAGGGAUACAAGAUAUGGACCCUCAAUGGCAAACCAUCUAGGAUAUUAAUCAGUAGGGAUGUCACCUUUGAUGAAGAGCAAAUGCUUCAGUCAAAGGUAGAAACUGAGAUUGAAGCUGCUGAAAUAGAGGAAGAAGAAAGUGCUGGACAGAUGGUAAAGCAUUCUGAUAGUUGUAAGCCUUCUGAACAACCAUAAGACCAGACCAAGGAAAGAAAACAACCAUCAGAACUGGAAACAUAUCAGCUUGCUAGGGACAGAGAGAGGAGAGCCAUCAAAAUGCCAAAGAAGUAUGGCAUAGCUGACCUCAUUUCCUAUGCACUGACAGUAGCUGAUGAAGUAAAUGGUGGAGAGCCUUUGAGCUAUAAAGAAGCUAUGAGAUGUGAGGAUAAGCUGAAAUGGUAUGCUACAAUGCAGGAUGAAAUAGUCUCUUUAAAGAAGAAUAAUACCUGGAUCUUAGUGGACAGACCAUCUAAUAAGAAACUAGUUGGCAGCAAGUGGAUUUUCAAGUUGAAGGCUGGAGCUUCAGAGAAUGAACCACCAAGACAUAAAGCCAGACUUGUGGCAAAGGGAUUCACACAAAGAGAGGGAGUUGACUUCAAUGAAGUGUUCUCACCUGUAGUCAAAUACAGCUCAAUUAGGUUGCUGUUGGCCUUCUCUGCAUAUCAUGACCUGGAGCUGGAGCAGACGGAUGUUAAAACUGCCUUCUUACAUGGCAGUCUUGAUGAAGAGAUUUUCAUGGCACAGCCAGAAGGGUUCAUUGAGAAAGGAUCAGAGGACAAAGUGUGCUUAUUAAAGAAGAGCUUGUAUGACCUCAAGCAAUCUCCAAGGCAAUGGUAUUUAAAGUUUGAUGAGUUUAUGCUAAGCCAUGGAUACUGCAGAAGCAGAUUUGAUAAUUGUGUGUAUUAUAAAUUCCUGUCAAAUGGUGGUGGCAUCUACUUACUUAUGUAUGUGGAUGACAUGCUUAUUGCAUGUAAACAAAAUGAAAAGUAAAGAAGCUUAAGGUGGAGCUCAGCACUGAAUUUGAAAUGAAGGAUUUGGGUGCAGCUACAAAGAUUCUGGGAAUGCAGAUAAAGAGAGAUAGAGAGUCCAAAGUUUUGUAUCUGUCUUAGGAGGAUUAUGUGAAGAUGGUGUUAACCAGGUUCAAUAUGAAAGAUUCAAAGCCUGUUUCAACACCUCUGUCAGCUCACUUCCAGUUAUCUAAGUCACUGGAACCUACAACUGAUGAUGAUUUUAACUACAUGAGGGAGAUACCUUGCUCCAGUGCAGUUGGCAGCAUCAUGUAUGCCAUGGUGUGCACCAGACCUGACUUGGCUCAUGGAGUUGGAGUCAUCAGUAGGUUUAUAGGGAAUUCAGGGAAGGGUCACUGGAAUGCAGUGAAAUGGGUACUAAGAUAUCUUAAAGGGUCUGCUGUCACUGCCAUCAUGUUUGGUAAAAUAAGUGGAGCAUCACCUGUAGUGGCUGGAUUUGUGGACUCAGACUAUGCAGCAGACAAAGAUAGAAGGAGGUCCAUCACAGGUUUUGUGUUUACUAUAUGUGGAGGUGCUAUAAGUUGGAAAUCUUCCCUGCAGUCAGUGGUUGCCCUCUCAACAACAGAAGCUGAAUAUAUUGCACUUACAGAAGCUGUCAAAGAGGCAAUAUGGCUGAGAGGGCUGGUCUCUGAAUUGGGGUUUAAACAAGAAGUUGUUGUAGUUGGCUGUGAUAGCUUAAGUGCUAUUCAGCUAAGUAAAAAUCCUAAGUAUCAUGAGAGAACUAAACAUAUUGAUGUUAGAAUGCAUUUAAUUAGGGAUGAAAUCAGCAAAGGAGUAGUGAAUGUGGUUAAGGUGCCAUCUGAAGUAAAUCCAGCUGACAUGUUAACCAAGCCUUUGCCAUCAGUCAGGUUCAGGGACUUACUGAAUCUGAUUGGAAGUGUUAGCUUGUGAAACAAGCUUACUGGUGCUGUGUUGCAGUGAAGGGAGAAGCAUAAACAGAUUAGAACUAAGGUGGAGAUUUGUGAAGCCGAAAUUAGUUAUAAUCUGUUAUGGACAUGCUGAGGUGGCAAGUGAGCUGGCAUAAGUGGGAUCCAAAUCAAGAGUUGGUUAGUUAGUUAAAUAACAGACUGACUCAUUGCAAGUGGAAACACAUGUGAGAAGCAUACAUUUAUAAGCUGUCUCUAAGCUAGCUAAACAUACAUAGAAUCAUAGAGAAUUUACAGAGAGGAAACACUCGAUAGGUUUUAAUCUGUAAUUGGUGACUCAUUUGUAAACCAUCUUCUUCUUGUUGUUCAAUAAAGCCUCUGCCCUUGCUGGUUUUACAGCCGUGGAUGUAGGUUCCUUUGUGGAGCUGAACCACGUUAGUUUCUUGGUGUGUUGUGAAUCUUUGAUUGCUUGGUUCUUCUUUGUUCUUUUCUUAAUGUUGUUUCUGUAAACUCUGGUUUUGUGGGUUGCUUAAUUCUUGUUCAAGUAAGCGAAGUAAACACGUUUGCCAUAACACUUGCCUUCUUAGUUUUGAAAGAAAGAUGUGAAGCAAAGCAAACCCAGUGAAAUAUACAGAGAAGCAGAACCAUCAGAGGAAAAACUAAAUAACAGAACUACAAUUGAACCAAACAAAAUCAAAUAAACCGAGGCAACAGAUGCCCUGAAUCAGGCAUCGCUUUUCCUCGAAAGAAAAUAUGUUUGCAUGGGUGGGAACCUAGUAAUUACUCAAGAGUUGAGGAGUUGGAAAGAUUUGGUAUUCAUAUCUUCACAAUUCAUAUGCUUUAAUGCAGAAUCGACAGCUUUAUAUUAUUUUAUUCAACCAAAAACGAUAAAGCAGUAAAACCACAAUAAUCCACCAACUUUUGAUACUUUUAGGAAUUUUUUUAGUCAAAUUAAGUUUCAUGAUAAAACAAGUGGCUCCUCCACACACUUGCACUUGCUUGAAUAUUCGUGCCGACAUUUUCAUAUGUGAUGGUACUUCUUAGCCAGUAGAUAUGUUGAAGUACUACAAAACAGAGUAUUUGAUGAAGUUUUGCUACUUUCGUAUCCCUUUUUUUGUUGCAUAACUAAAUUCUUUAUAAACACAAAUUAGAAAGAUACAAAUAAUACAGUAGCUUGAAUUUAUAUGCUUUUAUGAUUAUUUGAUAAUCUAGUGCUGAUCAUAUGUGAUGAUAAACUUAGCUAGUAGUUUUAUAUUUGUUUUCGUAGUUUCCUUAGCGUUCACAUUUUGAUGAGUAAAUUAAGGAUUUCCAGAUGAAGUACAUAAUUUGAUGAAUGCUAAGGAACUGAAGUUUGAUUAAUUGAAAACAAAAAUAAUAAUGCAGGUAAUUGCGAAAAUGAGCAAUGCAGAAGUAGUCCCUAUAGUAUUUCUAAAUUUUCUCUUGGGGUUCCUUAGUAUUCCUUAAUAUUUUUUAAAAAUGACAUGACGAUCUUUGAGUUGACGAAUCUUGGCCUGCUGCUUAGUACCCUUCCAACAUAUAAAGUACUAGAUGUUUUACUGAGAAAAUGACUAGAUCAUUUACCAAAUUUCUUGCGCAUAUAUACGUAUGCAUACGAGAAAUGGGAAUCAAUGAUUAUAAGACCUUGCAAUGAGACAAUAAUACAUCAUCAAAUCUAAAAAUACACAAGAAAUUCGGGACAUAUAUAUAACAAAAGACCUCUCAUUGAGUCAUACAUAUUGAGAAUAAAAUGUCAAAAUGCAUACAAAGAGCUUAUACAGAAAAUGAAUUUACACAUAUUUAGAAUAAACUGUCUUUGAACUUUCGAUGGUCAAAUAAAGGAAACAGACAGGAUAUUGUUAACAUAUAUGUUUCCAUAAUGUUGAUUUUGAUGAUAACAAACAUGAUUAAGAAUAAUUAAUCUUUUAAGCUCAAAUUAUUUUCUUUUUAAAUAAAUCAUUAUUUUCACAUUUUAAAGGUUUUAUAUUUAAUGGAAAAAUGAUUUUAAGAAAUUGAUUGUUUUUAUUCUUUUUAAAUAAAUCAUUAUUUUCACAUUAUAAAUGUUUCAUAUUUAAUGGAAAAAUGAUUUUAUGCAAUUGGUUGUUUUUCAAGUUUAUGGUUUAUUUGAAAGAGUUUUGAAAACUUUGAAAUCAACAAGUAUUGCUUGAAAUUUUGGAGAAGGAUUUAUUUGAAAAGUAUUCAUAGCAUUUUGGGCUAUAUUAUAAUUUCAUAAAGUUUUGGAAAUAGUAAGUAUUAUUUAGAAAUUCUGAAAUUGGACUUAUUUGCAAAGUUUCAUAACAUUUUGGGCCGUAAUACAGUUUUAUAAAGUUUUGGGGUCAAACGAUAAUUUUAGAAAAUAUGUCACUGUAGCAGUUACUGUAGAAAACGGCGAUCCGACAUCUUGAUAACGGCUCGCCGACAUCUAACAGAAUUGAAGAUUAGUCUCUGGACCUAAACGGCGAACCGACAUGUGUGAUAAACGGCUCGCCGAUAUCAACCAGUAGCCUCUGGACCUAAACGGCGAUCCGACAUAUAGUUAACGGCGAGCCGACAAUUUGAAAAAUCAGCCCAACGGUCAUAUUGACCAGUCAAACGGCGAUCCGACAUCUAGCUAACGGCGAUCCGACAGUGUGCAGAAAGUCAAUAACGGCUAGUUUUCAGCUCUAACUAUAAAUAAGCUCAAUCCAAUUCAAACAAGGAGUGAUCCAAGAGUUAUCAUUGAGCUUGCCAUUGAGCAUAAAAUUAUUAUUGAGCUUUGAACUUGUUUUUGUUUCUUUGAUUCACACAUUGAGCAUUCAUUUGUAAUCAAACACAUUGUGUGAGAGAAAAUUCAUUUGUAAUAUUUAUCCUUGAGAGGUUGUAAGUGUUGGGAUACACUUGGGUUAAGAGAUUGGAGAUAAUCUCUUGUUGUAAAGGUCCAUUGACACCUUGAAAGUCAAUUGUAAGCGUUUGAAGCAUUGGGAGGCUAGCUUAGUGAAAUCCUCAAGCCCGGUGAGCUUGGAGGCGUGGACGUAGGCGGAGAUUGCCGAACCACGUAAAAAUCAUUGUGUUUGUUUUCUCUUCCCUUACUCUUUUAUAUUGUGAUUGAUUUAUUUGUUAUUGCUUUAAAUUAGUUUUGGAUUUUCAUUGUGUUUUGUUUUAGAAUUGAAUAAUUUUUUAAUAUCCCAAUUCACCCCCCCUCUUGGGUUGCAUAACUAGAAUUUCAGAUAUAACACACACUAUCAUAGAUGUAGCGACACGGUGAAGUAAAUCACAUGAAGAUGGAAACGGAAACCCUUCACAACAUAAAAUUUGAAUGGAGGGGGGAAAAAAGGCUUCAUUUCGAAUGUUGUACAGAAGAAGAGUGACUUGAAUCUCUAUCAGUAUCCAGACAUUCUACAAACACAGAGUUGAGAAUUUUAACAAGAAUAACAGACAAAAUAUUGUACUUCUAUACUUGUAACAAAACUAGACCAAAUUAGUUCCCUUUUUGGUUUGUGAAAACUUGAUAUUUUUUAAAAUUCUAUCGAAUGCUUUCAAACAAUAUUUCCAUAAUAUAUUUGUUCAUAGCUAACCUUUGAUGGUUUAAGCAUUUGUUGUAGGCAUGACGGGCUAAUUAGAUUUUUUUUUUUUUAUCCGAUGAAUGAUAUUCAGCUGUUCUUAAUUAUGUGUUAAUAGGCAAGAACAUUUUCUUAAGUACUUUCAUUGCCUUCCAAGUUUCCAAUGAACAAACAGAGCACAAACAAAUUUAACGGAACAGUAACGAUGACAAUAAAUAAUUGGCAAGGAAAGAAAGAAAAAAGUUUGCAUGAUUUCAAGGAAUUAUAAAAUCUGAACACUUUCAACAUGCAAGUGUUGCCCCUCUUAUUGAAAUUUCAUCAUAAAAUGCUUGCAAGGAAUUAUAAAAUUUUAGAGAACAAGGGAACUCUCAAAACAAAAUACUCAAAUUAAAUUAAAUUAGACCAAAAGACGCUCAAUGACGCAAAAUCUGCCCAUAAAAGCCUGAACGAAUCAUGAAAAGUGCAUUCCAUAUUGACAGUAAACCAAGUGACCCAUUCUAAACAAUUGAGAUGAAAUUGUGAAACAACCCACGAGAUCAAAUAAAUAAAAUAAGAAUUAAUUACCAGCUGGGACUUGCUUCUUCAAAUUCGUAACUCCAAGUCAUAAGAAGCCAAUGAAAUUAGUCGUAAUCCACAGAGUAUAACGACGACCCCGCCAACAGCUGAAAAUAAAAUUCUUAUUCAUCAAUUUAAACUAACUUUAUAACAAAUAUCUUAUCGAUAUUUUAUUUAAAAAGAAAAAGCAAAUUUUGUAAAAUUUUUCCAUGGGAGAUAGAGAGUAACACGUAUAUCCGUACCUUCUCAGCAUGUAAUUGUUGUAUGGUCGUGUUAAGAUCAUUACUAGCCCAACGCCGUUGAUUCGAUGUCUCUCCAUACCAGACGUUUACUCUCGGAGGCGUGCUUGAUUCUCCUGUAGUGAAAAUCUUGAAUUUGGGACAACCAAUCACAGAUAGAUCUUGCAAAGAUGGGAAUUUGAAGGUGUAAUUGGCAGAGCAGAAACUUGUGAGGCUGUCUAAAUCACGCAGUUCCAACCUCUUCAAUUUGCGGGAAACAAUCUCUUCUUUUUCAACCCCGUCUUUGUCAUUUAUUACCACCUCUGUCAUUGCUCUGCAUCCGUAUACACAAAGUGAUACGAGUCGCACUAGAGUUUUUGCUGUGGAGGAUGUUACUAAGUGUAUCAAUUUCUUGCAAUCGAAAGCUACAAGUUUUGUUAGGUUCCCAAAAGAUACCGAUGAUGAUUGCAAUAGAAUUAACAGACUUUGACAAUGAUAUACUCUUAGAAUUUCAAGAUACUGAAAAAUGGGGCCAAGUUUGGAGUCUUGUUUGCACAGCUGCUUCAGAUGAUAGUGCCGGUACAGCUCUAAUUCUUUUAUCAUUGCCAACUUCCCCACAUGUUUCUCUAAGCAUCCUUCCAUCGAAAAUACCUCUUCGUGGAAUGAAAAAUAACACAGUACGAGCAUUUCGAGAUUGUGAAAUCUCUCCAGUACAUUCCAGAUUGGAAAACAAGCUGAGUCAUCUCCAACAAUCUCUAGUUGUUUGAGACUGCCAAAAAGGUGUUGUGGGAAAUCGGCCUGCAAAAUCAUCUUCACGUAUUUUCCGCAUAGUGAUAGUUCCGUCAAGUUGGGUAAGAUCUGAUCAUCAUCAAUCAUAAUAACUAAUAAGGUCAAUUGAUGUUCUCUCAAAUGAUUUUGAGUAAUCCAAUCAGACGCAGUGAGUUUAUAGUAUUUGUUUUAUAUUAUAUUUUAAAAAAAAUUGAAUUAUUGAUAAAAUUUAUUAAAUGAUUUUUUAUAUGUUAAUUUUAGAGGUAAAAAAGAAAUUAGGGAAAAAAGGUUGAUUUAUACUGACUCGAAAUUAUUUUAUUGCACAAUAAUAAAUUACUAAUUUAUUUUGUAAGUUCUUCUAUAUGGAAAGACUCAAGAUUCUUUUACAAAUGCUAUACCUAAAAAAGUUUAUAUAAUUAUUAAUCUACCACAUUGAUCCCUUAAUCUAGACUAGCAAAGAUUAUUGUAUAAUAAAAGUUUUUAAUUUAUUAAGCAUUAAUUUAUCGAUACUUUGUCAUAUUUUUCAAAGUUAAAAAUAAGCUAUAGAUAAAAAAUCUAGAAAAUGGCUUCAUACCUUUUCCAGCGGCAAUAAGGGCUGUUGUGCAGGAAUACCAAGUUGAUCAUUCCCAUUAUUCUGCGAUAAAUCUGCAGCGAAUAUCUUUAAUUUGUCACAACGAUACACUAAAAGAAUUUCUAGGGCGGGCCAUUCCGAAGUAUGCAUUCCAGGGUACAAACAUCUAAGUUUUGGUAGAUCAUGGAGUAUCAAAGUGGUGAGCUGUGGAAAGACAAAAUAAGGGAUCACUUGAUCUGCUCUGUUUUCAGAAAUGACCUCCUGUAAAUCCUCACAAGAGCGUAUUUCUAGGCGUUGGAGCUGCUUAAGGCUUCCGAUCAUGGACGCUGAAAAUAUUUAUUUUAAUUUGUGACAACCCCACACAAUCAAUCGUGUUAAACUUUGAAAGUGAGGAAACACGGCCGCUGGAAUUUGAUUGUAGUGCCAAAUCUUGUCGACAUUAAUUUCAGAUAUCUCCAAAGCCUCCAAGUUAGGCAACGCAACCUAAAAAGAUAAGAAUUUCUUGUUGAAAAUUUCUCUUUGAUUACAAAUUAAUGCAAGUCAGAAUCAAUUUCCAACUGACAGCUGAGUAUGCAUUCUAAUUCAUACUACCUGUUAAGAGCUCAAUUAGUGAGUGCGUGAGAUUAUUUUUUUCCCCAUUGUUUUCAUUUUCUUUCAAUUCUCUAAAUGAUUUAAUUAUUUUCCACGUUUGACAUAAGAGAACGCAUGAUAGAAUAAACUCUGUUAUAUAUAUAUAUGAAUAAAAUGUUAGCCUACGCACCUUCUCAUUGAAAAGCAAAGUUGAAAUAUCCAAAGUGAUUUCGCUGGAGCAAUACAUAGUCGUCGAUUCCUCUUGCGACACUUGUCUGUUCGGUGAUGCUGAAGGAGUCUCCACCUCACGGCAAAAACUUGUAACCUCUGGAAGAUUCCCCAGACUCAAAGAUCUUAAUUGAGCAAACUCUAUCUUCUCAAUUGCAUUAUCAACUUCUUCCCCAACUGCAAAAAUCUCUUUCAUCUUGCUGCAAUUAAUAACUGCAAUCCUCUCAAGUCUUGGAAGGCAUUUUGUAGUAGAGAGCCAAAAGAUAUUACUCAACUUAUUACAACUAUAAGCUUCUAUGGUUUUGAGUUUGUUGAAAGACUCUACUUUGAGCCGAUCAAUACAUAUCCUCUCCAUGUUGAUCAAAUUGUGAAGGGCCAGUGACUCCAAAAGAGGAAAGGCAUCACAAGCGACCAUCUCCCUUGAAUCGACGAUACAAAAGAAGUCAGGAUUAUUUUGAAUGCAGAGGACCUUCAAUUGUGAAAAGCCCUCCGUGUCCAAAUUGAAAAGAACAUUCUCGAUGCCUUGCAGCUUGUCCAACCGUAAGUAUUCAACGUUAUUGAUGCCCUGCAAUUUCAUGGAGCAAAUGUCCAUAAAAUCAAGCUUGAGCUCCAAUUCUCUUGAAAUCUUGCGAUCACUGUUGAUCGAAAAGCGCGGCCGACUUUUAAACCAAUGUUGUCCAACACUCAUGGGAUGCAUGAAUAACCCAUUUCCAAUAGAUAUUUUGAACCUUUCGAGCUUUCUGGCCAAAAAACCUUCUGGUAAAAUAUUGUCACUUUUAACGUCAAUUUCUAGAGAGGUUAGCCGAGGUAAAUGCAUCAAUUCGUCAAGGCUAGCAUUACUUCUUUUGCUGUUGGCUCUUUCAACCUCCCAUUCAAUGAAGCAAUUACCCAUAUACAAUUCUUCUAAUCGGAUUAAGCUUGAUAUGACAUUUGGGGCAAUAACUUUCAGACGGAAACAGUCUGUUAAAUCUAACAGCCUUAGCUUAGUCAGUUGACCCAGUGCUUUAGGCAACUCUACAAUAUCAGAUUGCAAAAAGCUAAGGAUUUCUAGAUUUUCCAACUUUCCAAUAAUGGCUAUGUCUAUGCCUCCGAAAAUGCUUUGAUUAAGACAAAGUGUCUGAAGAUUUACUAGAAGACCAAUUGAAGAUGGCAAUGACAAUAACCGCAUUCUAGUCAAAUCCAAAACCCGAAGCUUUUUCGUCCUUUUGAAUAAGUUCUCAGGAAUAUUAGGCACAGCAAAAGAGUUCUUGGGAGACAUGACUAGAAGUUCAAGUUGUAGAGAUUCGGACCCUUCAGGAAUGUCAUUAACAAUACUAUCUUUAAAAGAAAUUGCAAAAUAUUUUUUAAUUCAUCUGCAUUUGGCCAUUUCCAAUCAUCCUCAUUUCUCACCACAAAUGCAUUCAUGUCACGAAAUGCAAUUGAAAUGGCAACAUCGUGAACAACAUCGUGCAUAGAAAUGUAUUUACUGCCACCAUCCUCAAGCAACAAACAAGAGUCUCUUAGUUGACUGACCCAUGCAUCUAAUUUGUUAUGUGCAUCUUCUAGCUUAUGGACACUUUUAAAUACACCCAAGCCCAUGCUGUAUUUGAACAAAUCCAUAAUUGGUGCUGGCGUAAUAAGACUACACAGUAAAAAAGUUUUCUUGAGUUGCUCACCUCUUAAGUACUUGUAACUCAGCUCAAUUGUUGAGUAUGCCUCUGCUCGUACUCCUUCGUCGAAGCUUGCCUCUGAAGGCGUUUGGAGUUCUUGCAAGGCAUUCUUCCACACAGGCAGCUCUUUUUUUCUCAGUGCCUUUGCUACUGUGGUUAGGGCAAUAGGCAAACCUCCGCAUGCCUUGGCUACACUGGUUGCUGUAGAUUUUAACUAACGAUUUUCAACAUAAUCACCAGCCAUUAUCUUGAACAAUCUCCAGGCUUCUUGUUCAUUUAAAAUGCCAAUCGAGAAGUUUUUUUCAGAUCCCAUCCUUAACAGCACAUCAAGAUCUCUUGUUGUGAAUAAUAAUUUACAUCCUCUGUGCUCAACUCCAAAAGGAAUGCCAAUAGUCCCCAAAUCAAGAGGUUUCCAGAUGUUAUCGAGAAUCACAAGGAUCUUCUUCUCAUUCUUCAAUCUUUCAUAUAGUCUACUAGCUCUUCUAGACUCAGCUUCCUCGGACAACUCUAGGCCUAACGUUUCCGCAAUUUCCUCUUGGAUCUUUCUUAUGUCUGGACAUUGGGUAACCUCCGAAAAAACCACCAUAUCGUAAAGCUUGUCUUCAAUGGCUCGCCUUGCAAACUCCUUCACCAGUGUCGUCUUUCCAAUGCCGCCCAUGCCGUAGACCCCAAUGAUGCUGACAUCAACAUCGAUCAAUGCAUUUUGUAUGGCCUUCAAAGUAGAAAGUCUUGAAUCGAAGGCUUCGUAGCCUUUGUGAGACUUGAGCCAUAUAUCCUCCGGAAUGGUACGGUAGGAAAUUCCAUCAACAAAUCUCCCAGCUUCUUCUCGGAGUUUAACAAUGGCCUUCACCUUUGUUUCUGCUUUCUUGCUAAGCUGAUAGCGGGUCUUCAAAUUAGGACACAAGCCCAUGAGACAUCGUUUAUUUGUUGUCUUCUCAUCAUCAAUGAAUUUGGCUGCCUGCUCAAUGAUGAUGUUCGCACUAACCAGCCACUUCUCAACCUUCUCUUCAAUAUUUUCCCCUUUUCUUUCAGCCUCAGAAACCCUGUGCUGAAUGCUUCUCCUUUCAUCCUUGAGCUUGUCUAUUUCUGCCUUGAGUUUCUCAACGUUGGCUUUAUAGUUACGCAAAUAACCAAGUCGGCGUUCUGUUGGAGGAGCCAAGCAUUUCACAAAUUCUAAAACACUAGUAACAAUGCUUUCCACCAUCCUGGAUCCCUUUUCUUUUUUUCGAAGUUUCUGACAAGAAAAUAAACAAUGAGCGAAACACAGAGAGAGUGAGGAGAAAAAGAAAAAGAAACGCAAAGAUGGACAGUUUAUCUGGUUGUGGAAGCGGAGAAAUGAAAGAAAUCGUAAUAGCUGUUAUGGAUAUGCUGAGAAGAUGGAAACAAGGAAAAGGUUUCUAGUUCAACAACUGGAUUGCGAGCGGAGAGACUAAUUAACAAAGACUGGAGAUUACAACAAAGCAGAUGCCAAGAGAAAAGUUGAUCCAGUGAAAUUCAAGAGAGUUGACAGCAAAAGGGAGCAAAGAUUAAUAACAAAACAGCAGUGACUACAAUGAACAAAAGCAUAUGCGUUUCUUGAUUGAGAAUGAGUGCAAAGAAUGAUCCUUAAUCAAUAAAAUAUCUGACAAUAUCUUCACCGAAAGUUUGAGACAUGUGAUCCUUAUUCCACUGCGUCAAUUACACUCCAGACCAAUGCUGCCGUCAUUAUCGAACGGUCGAUAUCCAACACUUGCACGAAGAUUCCAAGAAGUUGCGUGGCUGCCGACUUUUAGAUGCAAAGCCUCAUUGUGUCGAUGUUACACAAAAGAGAGCAGUCCGGGUAAUUGCCAAAACUUAGAACUAAACAGUAGCUUAGUCAGAAAAUCAAACGCCAGUACCGGUAAAAUGACCGAUAAAAAUAUAAAGAAAUAAAAAUUUUAAAGUUUUACUUCAUUGCUUUUUUAAUCUUAUUACUAUUUCUCCUUGCACUUCUAAAGAAACCAAAGCUUUAAAAGAAAUCAGCCAAAUCAAGAAGAUUGAAAAGUAAAUCUAUGGUUUUAGAUUUUUAUUUUAUUUUUUUAGAUAAUAGAUAUUGUUGAGUAAUGAAAAGUACCAGCUCCGCUAUCCCCUCUUUCCUCACCCUGGGGCGAAUUUCCCCAUAUGAAUGGCACGAGCAGAUUCCUGGUAAUACAUCCUGUACAAGGCAUAUGCCGACUAGAAACGAAUACCGACCAGAUGUACAUACCGACCAAGUACUCAUUAUUCAAAGAAAGAGGACACGAUCUCACAAACUCACGACAAUUUUGUCAUGCCCCAAACUGUUGGGGAGAACAUGACGCCCCACGUUUACCCACGAUUCGGUGGUUGGAAACCCAUGAAGGUCCGUCAUCACCCGAAAAUGAGGGGCAUGAAUAAUACUCAGAAAACAUGGGAUGAUUGCCUAUAAAAGGCCAAGAAAUCGAUGAAAAAGGGGAGACAAAAAUUGAGAGUAAAGGGGAAACUCUGUCAAAUUAUAAUCAGAAAUUCAUAUAUCAAAAUCCUUGAUACAUUUGGUAUUGAGAAUAUUGCAACUAAUAUGUACAACACAAAUCAUUCACUUUUCUCGUAAACACCUUGUACUAAAUUAAGUAUUGAAGGGUUUAUGCCCGAAAAACCACUGGCGUCUCUGAUUUGUUUCUGUGAACGCAGGCCUGGAAGGAAGAAGACGGGUGAUUUGGGUCCCAGAAGCUCGGGAAAUUGCUGAAGCUGAUGGAUCGCAGCCUCCGUUCCUUUGUCGAUACAAGCGUUGGUGAACCAAUCUAGUCGGUCCAAAGGCGACCAGAUUUUAGCAUCAACAUAUAUUAUUUUGAUGAAUUUUUUAAUAUGAGAAUAAUGUUAGGAAUUCCAAUAGUAAAAUUCUAAUUGAGACCCAAUUGUUAUGUGUUAUUUUUUUAUUGAAUAAUGAAUUUCACAACUAAUAAAAUUUAUAUUUCCAUCAUCUAAUAAAUGACUACCAUAUCAGUUGGGACUCAAUUAUUAGGAUCCUUAACAUUGCUCUUAGUAUUAAAUUGGACAUCUUAGCUAAAUCAGAUUAAAAAUCAAAUUAGAUUUUAGGCUUUUAUUCAACAUCUCUUUUUUUUUUUUGGUCUAUUGGAAGUGAACGAAAUAAAAAUACAACAGGGUCAACGACUGGGCAAUUGGUAGUCAAGUAGAAGCAAAUCAAGGCUAAAUGGGAAAGAGAAACGAUGUUUGUGCAAAACAAGGAGAAAAUCCAUGUAACAGAAGAGAAUCAAAGUGCUUUUGAGAUCAAAAAUUGAAACAAGAAAAAGGUCGCUUGAUCCAAUGAAAAUGCAAAGAGUUGAUGGCAAAAGGGAACAAAGUUAAAUACGAAAACAGCUAGCGCUAGCAGCGACCACAAUAAACAGAAAAUUUGAGAUGGAUUUACAAUAUUUCUGCCUUUCUUUAUGCUUUAACAAAUAUUGCUCUAUCAAAAAAAAUAUUGAACAUUUUUAUUAUUGGAGUCACAAAAGACCUACACAAUAUAGCAAGUGACUAGGAAUAAAUAAGAAUAUAUAACUCUCUCUCUAAUUCUCACUCUGGCUUUUAAUUGUCACUCAAAACCCAGAAUUCAUCCUUAAAGUGUAGGCAAAUCAGAGAUGACAUCGUUUGGUUGUCAUACGUGCCUUUUAGUUUUCGGAUGACAUGGCGUACACUUCUUCUGUAAACCCAACACGACAUGUCGUACUCUUUUGUUUUGAGAUCCUAUUUCAAACUUUUCAUGCUAUGAAUGAAAGAUAAACUCCAAUCAUCAAAAUAUUUAGUGUUUGUUUGGUAAUGUAAUGUCAUUGUUGUUGUGAAUUGAAAUUAUUUCUGUAAAAUAAAAGGAUUUGGGUCAUUGUUUGUUAUUUUCUGACAAUAUUUAUUAAAUAUUAAAAAAUAAAUUUAUAUUUAUUAGUUAUUAAAAAUAAAUAAACAAACAAAAAUAAAAGGAAAAGUUUAUACAUUACGUAAAAUAAUGACAAUAUCAAUAUUUCGCACUCUAUAAUUGAGUGAUGUGUUGUCCAACUAGCAUACUUUGGUCCCAAACGGAGACUUAAAUAUCAAAGUCCAAAGUUAUUGUGAUGAUGACUUAUAAUCGCCAAACUUGACAUACGGGUAAUCAUGCAUUAUAAGGUGCUGAUUUCUUCCGAUCGGAACCUUAUUUUUCAUUUACAAAUAAAUAAAUGAUGUGACUUCACGGUUGGCGGGGUCCUUUGUGUCAUUUGGGCAUUUCACUAAAUGAUUGAUUGUAGCAGGAAGAUUCUUGGAAGUUGCCAUUUGCCAAUGCUACUAACAUUUUCAAACUUGGAAACCCCUUCAAUCAAUCUUAUAGUGUUAGGCUCUGGUAGCUUGGUUUGAUUAUGACAUAUGAUUAUUUGAUAAUAAAACUAGAGGAUGUAUUAAUAUAAAUCUUGUUUAUUGGUGUUGAAAUUAAUUAUCUCAUUGAUAAUAGUAUAAAAAGUUAAUUACUAAGAAACACAAAGCAGUAGUUAAUUGGUGUCAUAUUAUUGAGAUUCUAGGAUAUAAUUUUAUAUCAUAACUUUGUAAGUGUAUAAUUACUCAUUAAAUUAACAAAAUUAUUUAAAAAUAUUUAGUUGGAAAAAAUAAAUUAUAGCCUUUUUAUUUCAAAUAAUCUAUAAGUUAACUCAAAACAUAAUCAAGCUGAGAAUUAAAAUAAUGCUACUGUAUGAGAGGAUUUUUAUUUUUUCCCAAAGUUUCACUAGGAAAUUAUUGAUAUAUAGCUUUAUUCGGAUCAUCUCAGUUCAAACCACAAAUAAUUGAAAGACUAAACUAAAUAGACCAGCCAACAACCUUGUACAAGAGAGUUCAAAAAUUAAGGUCAUGGUAUUGAGGUGUUCUUUCUUGAAAAGUACAGCAUAGUAAUAAAAUAAAAACUAUUAGUCUUUGGUAAGAUAUAAUUUUUAAAUAAUAAUUUUCACAAAAAUACAAAAAUAUUUAUAAAGUACUUCUAUAGUGAGGAGACCCUCACUUUGUUAAAGUGAAAAUAUCAAUAAUAAACAAAAGAAAUAUAUUUUAGCACAUUAAAAACUGUAUUUUUUUUAUCUAUUGGCGUAUUAAAAUAUGUGUUAUUUAGUUUGUUAAUGAUAUCACCACUUUGUUAAAAUGAGGAUGUCCGUCUCUAGAGAAUCAUUAUAUAUAUAUAUAUAUAUAUAUAUAUAUGUAUGUAUAUAUAUAAAGUGUUUCUCUCCAAGGCCUAGACUUUAUUAAAAUUUAAGAAAGCAAAUAUAUUUUAUAUGGUAUAAUAGUGUAAUAACAUCACACUAUUAUAUCAUAUAGAGUAAUAGUUUUUCGAACUUUAAUAAAGCUUAAGAUUAUAGAAUGAAUGAUUUAUACACAUUAUAAUUGUUUUUAAUCAUAAAGUGGAGGAUAAAAUUAAUAUAUUUUUUAAAUUAUAAUAAAUAUUUAUCAAAUAAUUUAACAUUGUAGUAUCUCCUAAUUAGUAUAGUAAAUACGACCUAGGAGGUACAUUAAAGUAGUUGUUAAUAAUAAAUGAUAUAUGCAGCUCCAAUCAUCAUUGUACGAUGAGUAAUUAUAUAUGAAUCUUCACUUAUAGGUGAAAGCACUUUGUCAGACAUCAAAUCUCUGCAAAAGAUACCCGUCUUUAUUCGCUCAUUAUCCACACACACACAUAUUUAAUCUCACCUUUUUUUUUCCAAUCAAACCGAACAGAAAAAGAAAAAAAAUAAUUUUUCUUUUAAAAAAAAUGUAAAUUGAGGUUAUGUGAUUGUAAAGGCUGAUGUUACAAUACCUGCAUGUAUCAGAUACAUGCAGGUUUUAUGGCCGUUGGAUUCAUUGUAUUGAAUCCAACGGCCAUAAAUGAAUUUAAACAAUAAAUAAUUAAAAAAAUAAAAAAAACUUGAAACCUAUAGAAUCGGUCUCAACACACACCAAACCCCCUCAACACACAUCAAACCCAGGCAAAUAUAUUUGUUGGGAAAAAAAACAAACAAAAGGCUCUCACCUCACGCGGGAAAUCAAUUUGUUCUUCCCUCCAUCCUCACUCACGGCUCACGACUCCUGAUAACUCUAUGAAAUGAGAGUUAUCAUAGCACUUUUAGACUUAAAUUAAUAUUACUUAGAGAGUAAAUGAUGUGAUUCUAUUGCAUUUUUGUUACAUUUUGCAUAAAUAUUCAUUUGAGUUUAGUCUUAAUGAGUUUUGCUUGAUUUAAAGUAAUUUGUGCUCAAAUUGUGUACAUAAUUGUAGGUUUCCAGAAGCUUAUAAUUCAUGGAAGGAAUGCUAUGCAAUAGGCUUGCAAAAUAAAAUCCACUGGAAAAAUAAAUUUAUCCACCUUCACCAACACAUCUUCAAUCUUCCCUUCUGGAUAUGCAUGAGAUCUGUCAGCAAGUUGUAAAGUCACUGUUGUUGGUCUACAUUCACCAACUCCCAAUUGCUUAAACACUGAUAAAGGCAUGAGAUUGAUGCUAGCCCCUAAAUCACAAAGUGCUUUGCCACUGUAUUCAGUGCCUAUGGAGCAUGGAAUUGUGAAGCUUCCUAGAUCCUUCAUCUUCUGUGGUAUCUUACUCUGAAGCAUUCGGCUGCACUCUUGUGUUAAAGCAACUGUCUCAAAUUCUCCAAGUCUUCUUUUCUUUGACAAGAUAUCCUUAAAAAUUUUUGCAUAAUUUGGCAUUUGCUCUAGAGCUUCCACAAAAGGGAUAUUGAUAUGUAGCUGUUUCAGCACCCCCAAAAUUUUGCUGAACUGCUUGUCUUAUUGUUGCUUCUGAAAUCUUUGAGGGAAUGGUGGUGGGUGUCUAAACUGCUGUGCUGCAGCAGGUUGUACAGACUGCUUCUCUUUUGCUCUACUCAGGUCUGUUACUAUUGGUGUUGUAGCUUCCUUACCACCAGAUGCUGGAUCAUAACUUUCUGUAAAUGUUGUAGCAGAGCUGUGUUGAUUUGCAUUCCGAAAAGUGGAAGACUGUGACUCAUUCUCUACUUGAGUGUCUUCUUGGCCUUUGUUGGACUCAAUUUUUCUUUUUGGUACACCAACGGGACUAUGAACAUCUUUUCCAGAUCUCAAGUUAAUUACUUUGCAGUGCUCUUUCCCUUCUCUUCUUGGGUCCUCUGUAUUAAUGGGUAAACUACCGUGAGGUCUGUUGCUUACUGCUGUAGCAAGCUGUCCAAUUUGAUUUUCCAAGUUUUUCAAAGAUGCAGCAUGACUUUGGACAACCACUUCAUUUUUCACAAUAUAAUCCUUAAUCAAACCUUCAAGGGAGCUAAGUUGAUCAUUGUUGAUACUUCUUUGCUCUUGAUUUUACUGAUAAAAUCCAGGUGGUUGAGCAAGUCUGUUAUGUCCACUGGGUGCUGCAGUAGUCUGGUUCUGAUAACUCCAUGAAAAGUUCGGGUGCUGUCUCCAUCCAGGGUUGUAAGUGUUUGAAUAUGGAUUGUCCUGGUUCUGUCUAUUAAAGCUGCCCAUAUAGUUAACCAAAGCUGGAUUACCAGGACAAUUGUCAAAUAAAUGCCCUUCUCCACAAUAAACGCAAGACAUAUCAGAAAUUUGGUUAACAGUUGCUGGAGCAGUAGUCAUAGCCUUUACCAUCCUUGUUAAUGAAGUUACUUGGGCUGACAAUGUUCUCAAGGCAUCUACGUUAUGAACUCCUGCAGUUCCUCUUGCUGCAGCUUGUUUGGUUGAUGGCCACUGAUAAUUGUUGUUAGCAAUCCUCUCUAAAAUUUCAUAAGCCUCAUUGUAAGACUUAGAUAACAAAGCCCCAUUUGCUGAAGCGUCCACCAUCAAUCUAGUGCUUGGGUUGAGACCAUUAUAGAAAGUUUCCAACUGUAUGCAUCAAGGAAUACCAUGAUGAGGACAUCUCCUAAGUAACUCCUUAAAUCUUUCCCAUGCAUCACCAAGCUCUCAUCUUCAAGUUGAUGGAAAGAUGUGAUCUCGUUCCUCAACUUUGCAUUCUUGGUUGGCGGGAAGUAUUUCAACAAAAAUUUGUCAGCCAAGUCACUUCAUGUAGUGAUAGAAUCUGGUGGUAGAGAAUUCAACCAUGCUCUUGCUCGAUCUCUCAAAGAAAACGGGAAAAGUCCGAGUCUCAAUGCUUCCUGCGAUGCUCCAGCAAUCUUGAAAGCAUCACUUACUUCCAAAAAUAACUUAAGGUGUAAAUGAGGAUCUUCGGAUGGCAAACCAUUAAAUUGCCCCACUGUUUAAAGCAUCUGAAACAUCACGAGUUUGAGUUCAAAAUUGUCAGCUUGAACGUCGGGUCUAACUAUUCCUGGAUGUAUGGCUUGAGGAGUCAACACUGCGUAAUCUCAAAUGGCUCUAUCUCUAUCGUUCACCAUGUGAAUAAUGUCGUUGUUCCCUGGUGGAUAAAUUUAUUUUUCCAGUGGAUUUUAUUAUGCUAGACUUUGAGGCAGACAAAGAAGUGCCAAUCAUUCUAGGGAGACCUUUCUUAGCUACGGGAAAGACUUUAAUUGAUGUUCAAAAAGGAGAAUUAACCAUGAGGGUGAAUAACCAGCAAGUUACAUUCAAUGUGCUGGAUGCCAUGAAGAGUCCCGAUGAGAUUGAAGAUUUUAAUUUUAUCAGUGCUGUGGACUUUGUUGUAACUGAGAGAUUACACAGUUGCUGCUGUAAGGAAGAAAUCAAUGCUGUAACAAUUGAAGGACUUGAUGAUGAAGAUCAUGGAGCAGCUAACAUAGCAUGGUUAAGGAAGAAGCAACCAUUCAGAAUUGACGAGCAAAUCCAGCAAAGGGAACUCACUCCAGAACAACAAGAAUUCAAGGUUAAUGGGCCAAGAGUAAAGCACUAUAUGGGAGAUGGUGUGAAUAGCCUAAAGAGGGAUCGGUUCUUGAAAGAUCUAGGUUGAGGAAACAAGAAAGGUCAGGCUGAAGGACCUAAAAUCAAGCGCUAAUUGGGAGGCAACCCAAUAAGGGAAGUUGUUUCAAGUUUUUAUGGCAUUGAAUUUAGCUUUUAAAUUAUUUAAUUUGUCUUUUUGUUAUUUUAAGUGUGCAUCUAAUUUUUUAUGUCUUUAUGUUACAUUGUAGCAAGUACAAAAAAAAAUGUGGGCAAAAAGAGCAGGAGGGAAUUGCUGCAGCAUCACUUACAGCAUGACAUAUAACAGAAGAUUCUCAAACAAUAGAGACAUUUCUUGCUUUUGCAGCAGCAAAUGGAUUGAUCAUAUUUUAUGAUAAGGAGCGUUUGAGAAGUGGAUCAAAGAAGAAGUGACCCUUUACAGCCUGUGCUACAGCAGUGCUUCCAGCAACAGGGCAGUGCCCCUAACCGCUAGUUUAUUUUACUUCUUGCUGUAAAACUUUUCUUUCAUUUAGUUUUAAUUUUCUAAUUCAUUUUGCAUGUCAUUUUAUUUAGUGUAUGCAUGUCUGGUUUAUGUGGUUUUGUUUUGUGUGCUUGUGAGGACACAGCACCACUCAAGUUUGGGGGGGUUGUGUUUAUGAGUGCAUGUGUUUAUGCUUGUGUUGUGUGAAGCUCUGUUAUCUAAUAUUUGUGUAUGGAUUUGAAAACCUAAUGAAGAUAAAUUGAGUGUUAUUCAGUAUUUAUGAGAAAGCCAAGUAGAGAUAGUUAUAGAUGGAGGUUGAACUUCAGUCCCGACACUUAGACUUUGGUUGAGUUUUAUGAGAAUGUUGUAGCAGAGCCAUGAAAACCAAAAAAAGAGUAGAAAAUAUCUCAAGUUUGGGGAAAACUUUUUGUUGGACUGUGCUUGUUAUGAAAUAAAUUCUGCUCCAAUGGUUUAAGUUGCUGAGUAACCAGGGUUGAGUAUGCACCCCAUAUGCAAACUUGAGUCCAAAGGCAACACGAGCUACGAGCAGUGCUGCAGCAAUUAUAAAAAAAAGAGAAAUGAUGAUAAAGUGGUCCGCUACCUAGAAUACUGAGUAACCUGGUCUGUUCAUGAGCCCCAUGUUCAGCCUUGAGUCAAAGGCGUCCAAAGGUAUGACCUAGAUAUAACAUCCUGAAUGCGUUGCUGUAGCAACUCUGACAUGUACUUUGAAUGAGUAAUUGGGUGUCGUCAUUACAAGUGAUAGGCAUUCACAUGAAAGCUCAAUGUUGCAUUGAAGGGUUUAACUGAAAAAAAAAUUAUUAUUGUUGUAGCACAGUUUGAAUAUAAUUGUGAGUUCUGAUCCCCCAUAUGUGAAUAUAUUUGUGUUCUACCUCUGAAUUGUAUACAAAGUUUGUGCAAUGCUGUAGCACCUCUGGAAUUUGAUCAAAGUGGAACAUACACACUUUGGACAGAAUGAACCCUAAGUCUAGAACUGAACUACUAUGGCUAUUUUGUAUGAUUAAGAGUGUGAUCUGAGGGUGGAAGAAUCCUUGCAAAUUUGAUGACAGAGCUAAGUUAUUUGUUGCAUGAUUGUGUGAUUGAAGUGUGAAUGUUGUUGUCAUUACUUGAGGACAAGUAAUGGUUUAAGUUUGGGGGUGUAAUAACUCUAUGAAAUGAGAGUUAUCAUAGCACUUUUAGACUUAAAUUAAUAUUACUUAGAGAGUAAAUGAUGUGAUUCUAUUGCAUUUUUGUUACAUUUUGCAUAAAUAUUCAUUUUAGUUUAGUCUUAAUGAGUUUUGCUUGAUUUAAAGUAAUUUGUGCUCAAAUUGUGUGCAUAAUUGUAGGUUUCCAGAAGCUUAUAAUUCAUGGAAGGAAUGUUAUGCAAUAAGCUUACAAAAAUGAGGAAGAACAUGGCUAUAAAAGAAUUGAAACAAAUCUGGAACAGUUCAGUUGCUGUAGCCAUUGCUGUAGAAAUCUUGGAACAACGACAGAAAAAAUUCCGUGCGGGAUACUUGCAGAAUUGCGAUCUGCAGUUUCCUAAUCUGACUUAUGCGCGACAAAGGCUUCCGUUUACCCUAAUUUUCAACUAUAAAAGAAGCACACAUCAUAAGGAAAAGGGAGAGCCGUCACCCAAGGAGAAAAACACAAAGAAACAUAAGAAAUACAAGAUUCAAGAGAGAGAUUAAGGGCUGCACAAGAGGAGAAUUUGCAGAAAUCAAUUGGGAGCUCAAUCCUUCUUAUUCUUCUCUUGUUUUCUCGUUUUCUAUUUAUUUAUGGGGAUGUGUUUCAUGGCUGAAACUUUGUUCUUUAUUUUUCUUUUGCAAACCACGAACUAAAUUUAUUUGUGGUUGAGUGAUAAACAAUCUUGAUGGUUUAUUGACUGAAUUUAUGUGUUGCUACAUGUUUGCUGUAGCAGUUUGUUUUGAUAGUAUAUAUUUUUAUUCAUUAUUUUGGUUGAUCACCCAUUUAAUGAUACAAGUUAGGAGAGAGCCGUAAAAGGGCCUAUCUUAGUGGAGCAUAUCAUAACAAUACUUGAUCUUAAAUUGAGUUUCCCGGAUUGAGUUUUACUUGAGUCCCAAAAAGGCCAUGCUUGAUUUAAGAUUAGUGAUGAACUAGACAUAAGGAUUCACCUUGUAGGGUAAAUAGAACCUAAGCAUGUAAUGCUAUAUCUUAUGUUGGCAUAGCAACUGAUCACUGUUAGGUUGCAUAUAGAUAUAAGAUAUCCAACAUGCGACGGUUGAGGAUAUAUAAGGAUUCUGCCCAGUGCUGUAGCAAAUACUAUAGCAACCGAGCCAACCAUUAGAAAAUAGUCAAGACCAUUAGGAGAGUUUAUUCACUCAACUACUAUAUACUCCCAUUAGUUUUAUCCUUGAGCUUGACGUAAUAGUUUACUUUAUUGCAUUUAUUUAUUGCGUUUUUAUUUUAAUUAGUACAUUAGUUUCAUUAAUUGUUUAUUUUAUUUUAGCACAAAAUCUGCACUGUUAAGAUUGUUGUAGCAAAUCUAAUAACAUCAAUCCCUGUGGAGACGAUCUUGAAUACUCAUCACUUUAUUACUUGUUGUGUACACUUGCACAUUGACACCAAUAGCAUUAGUAUUUAUACACCAACAACUCCUUCUCCCUCUCCCUCUUCACUCACCCUCACGGCUCCCUCUCUCUCUCCCUCUCCCUCUUCACUCACCCUCACGGCUCCCUCUCUCUCUCCCUCUCCCUCUUCACUCAUCCUCACGGCUCCCUCUCCCUCUCCCUCUCCCUCUCCCUCAUCAUUCACUCUCUCGCCUGCAGUCCCUCACGAGACGCCUCAUCAGGGCCACCAACGACGGCGCUAUCCGGCGAAGACACGCGGAGGUUGAUCUCUAUUGCCGGCAAGGAUUUGCAGUUACAGAUUCACAACCCACUCAGUUCCCGUCAGCCCAUUCUGAGUCGUUGUCAGGCCAUAUCUGCAGUCCACCUACGGUAAUGAGACAUGGGUAUCAUGGGUUUUGUUUGGUAUCAUUAUAUUUGUUGAUUGAGUGUUUUAUUUGAUGUGGUAAGAAGAAUCAUUCGCCUCUCAUAUUUAAAAAUUACAGGUUUUAUCAUGUAAGUUUAUUAGUGCGUAUUGUUGGGUAAUGUAAUAAUUUACAUGGAUUUAGAAUUCGCGGAGAGAGUUUGAUGACAUUAUCUGUGUGUAUUGACAGGGGACAUAAUUUUUAGUGUACACAGUAUAAUGGGUAAGCGUAAGGCCAAUGUCGCAGAUGACAUUAAUAUUCAGUCUGAAGCUGGAUCCUCCGAGGCCGGGCAAGCAUUCGUACAUAUACUACUUGUAAGAAACUAAUUCAUUGUUGAAUUUUAUUAUUGACAUUCUGUAGUCAUUUCAGUUUAAUAGUGCAAUAAUUUUAAUUGACAUAUAAAGAACUGAUAUUUCAUAUUAUUUUUCUAUCUACAGCAAGAUAGAAUCCCAAAAGUUAAAGGAGGAAUGUGUGAAGGUGGAUGAAACGGUUUGUAGACAACUUUUCUAUGUUGCAACCUACUAACUAAUAGUUUGGUUAAUGAUUGGCCAAUGAAUAUAUAUAUUUUUUUAGUGUAGGUUAAGGGGCGUAUACGUGACAAAUGGUUGAAACUCAGCGCGAAAGAUAAAGUCGAAUUCAUCAACAGUUAUAAUGAAAAGGCUGAAAUGAACUCGAGAUUGGCCAGUGGAUUGUUAAGUGAACCGAUUCCAACAGUGGAGAACAAUUCUGAUAAGGGUAAUCACCUAUCUCGAUGUAGUGUUUUACGGUUCUCCAACAUUGUUUCUUCGUUAUCUAUUGAACAGCAAGAUGCCGUGAGAGAAAUUGGUUUCGGAAGCUUGUUAGGUUUAAAAUGUGGGCGACUUAGGCAAGAUUUAUGUAGAUUGUUAGUUAAGCAAUGUAACGUAGAUAAGCGGUCGAUAACAGUCCAUGGAAUGGAAUACAAGCUUACUCCGAAAACUUUUACAAGCGUGAUGGGUGUUGGUGACGGAGGAACACCGAUUGUGCUUGGUGGUGAAGAUAGUGAAAUUACUGACUUACGAGCCAAGUAUUGCUCAGGAAAGAAAGGCAUCCCAAUAGGUAGUUUAGAUGAAAAAUUAAAGACAAAUAGUUGUGCAGAUGAAGAUUUCUGUAUUCUAUUUAGUCUAUUUGUGAUUGAAACUAUUUUGUGUCCAACUACAGCUACAUACAUCAACCCAUCAUACCUUUAUGCUUUAAAAGACGUGAAUAACAUUCGCGAUAAAAAUUGGGCCAACUGGUCUUUCAAUUUUUUAUGGGAAGAAGUUUCAAAGUUCAACGAAAAUAAAAUUUCCUCGAUGAGCGGAUGCGUUAUAUUUUUAAUGGUAUGAUUUAUUUAGUAAUUUGUAUUCUCGUUAGUUAAACGAUUAUGGUAUUAUCGAUCAUUAUUUCCGUAUUAACUAAUUUGUUGUUGUUUGCAACUGUUCUACAUGUCAUCAACUAAGUUUCAACUUUCUUCUGUUGCGGAGAAUGGAUGUCCUCUUAGUGCAUGGAUUGAUAGUGAAAUAAAAAGAUUCCUCAAGUGGUGACAAAAGUAUGGUGACUUUGAGAGCAAUGCGGUUUGUUCCCUUCCAUAAUUGUAUAGUGUUUUGUAGUUAUGUUAUUAAAUUGAAUAGAUUAUUUAUGGAUAUUUGUAGUUAAUGCAGGUUUCGAUGCGAGAAAUCAGUUGCAGCUCAUCAGGUGCUCAAAGUGAAGAACAAAUUGACGAUGUUGACACUGCAAGGCAGCAUCCAUUUCAUGCUAUAUUAGCAGUAAUGGAUAGAAUGGAGGAACAUAUGAGAAGAAAUAAUGAUUUACUAUAAAGAAUGGGCUUGAAAAUGGAUUCUCUUACUGAAAAGGUUGAAAAGUUGGAACGAGCAUAUUUUCGUCAAGAAGGAGCGAAUGUCGCUGAUGAUAGUCAAUCACCUCCUACAUGUACUGGUGCCGAGGCAACUGAUGGUCCAAUCUUUUCCUCUCCGAAUAUGAAGAUGCACCCACCUAUCCCAGAGUUGUCACGCUUUUAGAUCUAGUACAGGAAAAGCGUACGCCCAUCGAAGUUAAAGAACGAAAAGCUGUGUACCUCAGCACAUCCACUGAUGAAGAGGCUAUCCUAAAAGAAAAGUUGGCAGAAGUAUUGCAAGACGCGAUGAAGCCUAAAUUGGUGCCGGAACUUCAAGAUGAGGUAUACAUAGAGUAAUAAUUUGUUAACUUUUGUCUAAACUAUAUAUGAUUUAGUCUAAUCGAAACAAGAGAAGAAAUGUCAACAGCCGUAAGAUUUUAAUCCGCUGUCUUUAGGCCCUCCUCGGCCAUACAGAAAUCGAAAGCCGGGGCGGUACCAGUUGUCCCCGUAUGAUCAAGUCUCACGCGGUCCAAAGCCAAAAUAUCGAGCGGGCCCUUUUUUAGUGAAUGAGCCGGUGACCCUCGAUCAAUUGAAAAUGCUCUAGUAUGGAUUUGACAAAAGCACUAGCCUAGAGUAACAAUACCUUCAUGGCCACUCAUCAAGCUCUUUUCGUUUAAUAUGUUGUCAUAGUUGUUUGAUUUUGUUAAUAUAUCAUGUGAUUAACAUACAGUGAAAUAAUUGUGCGAUCAAGUCAUGAGGAUAUCACUCGGCGAGGCUUGUUAUCACUUUUGCCCGAUGCAUCACUUGACGAGGAGGUUUAUUCGUAAUUUGACUUUAAUGAUAAAAUUGUAGUUAAUAAAACCAAUUAUAAUUGUUCUUGUGUUUAGAUUAUUUGCAUGAUGAGUGAUUACCUUACACGACGUGAGUCGUGCAAAAGCCACGGGCAACCAAUCAGUUGGUUCCUACCAACAAGAUAUGCAGUUACUGAUCCGUUCCUGUUUUUUUUUUUUUCAUAUCCUUUUUUUCAUCAUUAACUAUGGUAAUUUCAGUUGUGUUCUAUAUGAAUUUGAUGUGAUGAAUAUGUAGCAAUUUGCUACAAUGCCAAAUGCACAUUUAGAUGGUUUCAAGGCUGCCUCCCAAUACCGCAAACGUUACAUGUAUGACCUGCACCGGUGCCAUCAGGUAGCGUGUGUGUUUGUUGAAAUGAUUUUUCGUUAUGAUCGAUAUUAUGUAUGGUAAAAGUGACCCUAAGUUGUUCUUGAAUAGAUCAUUGUUCCCAUGCAUGAUGGUGGCCACCAUUGGUUUAUGCUGUUGGUUAAAAUUAAAGACAAACAAGCAGAGAUCUGGGAUCCACUAUCGGAUGCACAACGGACACGAGAUCGAGAAAUCCAAGUGAAUAGUAUUGUAAGUCCAACUAAUUUUUUUAUAAAAACGAUGAGUUUAGUUUUCUAGGUAUUGUGUUAUUAAUACAUGUGAUGUAUUUUUGCACUUGAAAAUAGUUACACUCGUUGGAUGCUAUACUUCAUGGCGUUGUGGAUGCUACAUAUUCAGUAUCUUGGAGUUUCUUGUCAUUUGUAGUGACCCAUGGGGAAGGAGUUCCACGGCAACCUAACGGUUUUGAUUGUGGAGUUUACGUCAUCAAAUUUAUGGAUACUCCUGGAAUCAUCACCAACAAAUCGUAUGUGGUACGCUCCCUUAUUCGCCUUAUGUGGUUUUUUGGUUGAUUUUACUACUGUUGUUGGGCCACUGACAUGAUGAAAGUGCAUGAUUAUUUCUGCAGCAUGACUCACAGAAUGUUCGGGCGUAACUUGCGUUACAACUUAUAGACUCUCCGUUCAACAAACAACGCGAUCAAUUAUUGACGUUGGCUAAUGCACACUACAGUAACGCUGCAACGUACAUAAAUGAAUCGAAUCGAAGCUUGCAUCAACAGUGAAGCCUCGUAAUGUGUCCACCAAAAAAGGUCAUAAGAAUAGUUCCACAAAACGUCAUUUCAGGCGGAAGGUCUAAGAUUGUUGUGAAUAUAGAUUAUGAUAAUUUUUUGCUGACUUCAUUCACAACCCUAAACUUUUGCUAAAUUUACCUUGUAACUGGCGUUGACGUACGAGUCAUGUAAAUUGUUUUGGUGAUCCAAAGACGUAGAGGGAUUAAUGGGGCAAUUAUGAUUUUUUCCUUCGGCAACCGGUUGUCUUAAUUAAUAUAUGUUGAAAGGAAGAUAAUUGUUGUAAAUGUUGCUAUUAUCACUAAGUAUGCAAAAUAUAUUAUUACAUUGCCAUUGUUCACUUCUUACAUGAUAAUAUAACUCAAUGAUUUCCAAAAAGUUCAUUCUACCCCUCAGUUCAGAUCCAAAAAUUGUAUCAUUAGCGAUCAUCCUCCAUCCUCCAAGUAUGUGUACCGUCCUCAACUAAGCAUAAUGUUACUGCUGUCGUAAUGGUCGUCAAUUCCUUCUGAGAUGUUAAGCCUCCAAGGACAAGUUGUCUCGAACGUAAAUGUUGGGGAACUUGGCGAGCUUGAUUCCAUUGAAACAGGCGGUGUUAACACAUUAUAAGAACAAUGCCUUGGAUGAUCGUCAGUCGAAACACAACCAAUACCGCUAACGCUGCAAUGAAGGUCAUUGGGCUGUAUGUCCUUUGGCAGAUAUAGCGGGCAAGUCCGUUUAGUAUGGCCAGGCUGAAAACACUGACUGCAUUUGCGAUUUUUAGCCCCAUCGUGUUUAACGGUUUUAGAGCAACCUUUACUAUUAACCGUAACCGGGUCUUUCAACUUCAUACCUGCUUGAAGUACACAAUUCCUGGCUCGUUUAGCUGAUUCAUCAUCCGCAACCAUCUGUUCAACGCGAAGCGUCAGCCGUUGAAUCUCAUCUAUCGCUAUCAUAUAACUUUGUUCAUUCUUUGCGGCAAAAAGACAAAGAUUAGUACAUGCCGCUGAAAGUGAGGCAAACUUUGCUGUUUCUAACACUCCUUUAUCGAGGUGUGACGCUGCAGCGGUUAUUUUCAUCACUUUACUCACCUUCGCUGAUUUGGUCCAGCGACCAAGAAUCAAUAGUGGUGGUAUGCGAACUAGUUGCUCGAACUUCAUGACGUGAAAUAUAUCCCUACAUGGAAUACCUGCUGAUUCCAUCAUCUUACAUGAACAAGUAAUUGCAACUUCUUUACUAUAAAAUACCACUGUCCAUUUUUGUUCUGGAUGCUGAAAUUUCAUUAAAGUAUAGAUAUUGGAAUUAGCUGUCUUGGCACACUCAAGCAUAAUUAGCGUGGCUUCUCCGAGGAUCUCCAUCCGAACCCACUUCAAUACAUUCCUUGUAUAUAUUUCGGACGCAUGUUUUUCAAUGCUUAGCAGAUGUGUUGUAAGAACUGGGGCUGUGUGGUUUGUCUCAUACUCAUCUUGGACUUCUUUGUGCCGUAUGCAAUACAUUGCACGAUGAAUUUGUCUAAUGAAAUCAUACAGUUUUAACUUCUUCUCAACAAAGCGACGCAAGUAAGAAUUCAAGCUCUCACACCUUUAUGUGGUUCGCAUUCCGGCGAAAAAGGUUCCUUUCAAAUAAGCCACUGCCCAUUUUCUACGCUUUGCAUACAUUUUUUCCACCCAAGAAUUUUGUUCCAGUCCCAGAUCAUAGAGAACCAAUCUCGAUCAAACUCCUCCAUGGUCAUUGGAUUCAACAUUAACUGCCGAAACUUCGACGUGAACUUAUUUCUCUUCACAUUUGCUUGUGCAUUCCGCUCAAGAUGCCAGCAGCAGAGUCGAUGUACACAUCCAGGCAUAACAGUUUUAAUCGCUUUCGACAUAGCUUUAUCACCAUCUGUUAUGACACUUAUGGGUUUUUUUUGUUUCAUUGCCGAUAAGAAAGUCUGUAGCAGCCACACAUAUGAUUCAACAGUUUCGUCAAUCAGUAUCGUAAAUCCAAAAACAGUAGUUCUUUUAUGAUGAUUUACACCAACAAAUGCGACCAAAGGUUUGUUGUAUGCAUUUUUCUUGUACGUUGCAUCAAAACCUAAAACAUCUCCAAAUUGUUCAUAGUCGUACCGAGCAACAGUGUCGGUCCAGAACAAGUUUCGCAGUCGAUUUUCCUCAUCAAGAGUAUACUCGAAGUACACUCCAGCAUCAUAAUCAACCCUUGCAGAUAAGUACGCAAUGGUAGCCUUUGUGUCGGUGUCAAUAAUUUGUGCAUGGUGAUCUGCGUCUAUUCUAUUCCGCAUGUCCUUACCCAUAUACCCAACAUGAUGGAACCCUCCUGCUUGAUCAGACUUGUAGUUCAUGAGCUGGCACACUUUCACCCCAACUUGUCGCAAUGCCUUUGCGUGAGCCAAAUCAGCUUCGUUGACAAGUCUAUGCAAACGAAGAAAUUGUGUCUCGUGCGGUUCAACCAAGCGAUGAGUGUGCUCAAAAACGAAUUUAGUUACCACGUACUUCCCUUUAAACUUAUCAUAGUUCACGCGAAGUUCCGCCUUGCACCCGUUACGAGUAAUGCCCCUCGGUUCCCUGAUUCUGUCUGUUUUCUCCAUCCAUUUUUUUAGCUUGUAUCCCUGUCCUGAGCAAACCCAUCGCCGACUUGCUACUUCACCACUUUUGCCGUCACAACGAAGUUCAUCUUUUCUCACAGAGAAUCCAACCGACUUAGCAUACUUUUUAUACCAUAUGUGGGCAUCAUUGACAUUUUCAAAACAGGAUCCGACACCCACUUCAAUGAGUUCACUUUUUUUAGGCAAACUGUAGGUCGUAUGACUAGAUGAUCUUGUAGCAGAUUUGUCCCCAAAAUAAUCACUGAUUUCGCUAGUUUGUGGCGGUAAUGACGUACCUGCACUUGCACAAAUUUCCAUCCCAUUAUCAUAUGACGGGUUGUCGGGGGGUCCACUUAUUUUCUGUUCUGAUGGCUGGUUAUCAUUGAGGUCUAACACCCAUGCAGAAAUGCUUCCCACGUCUAAAGAUGUUGUCAUGCUCUCUGGUUAUCUUCUCUCAAGAUUCUAGCAUUUGAAGACCAUCAAAAGGACCUAGUUGAAGACUUAAAAGAGUACUGCGUGGGUUAUGUUUGUUGGCAUUCAAUGUCUUCAUUAAAUGAUGGGGUUUGGUUGGUGCUUGGGUUGGUGGAUACAACAUUUAAACGCCUAGCCUAUUACCUAUAAAAGGUUAGCCGGUUUCGCAUUUGUGCUCUCUGGACAUUAAACGGCAAGCCUUUUAAACUCAUGCGGCUAGCCUUUUUCGAAUUGAUGCUAACUGGAGGGGAAACGACUGGCCUCUAAAAUUUAAGAGGCUAGCCUUUUUCGCGUUGGGGCUCAUUGGAGGGGAAACAGCUAGCCUCGAAAAUUUAAGAGGCUAGCCUUUUUCGCGUUGGGGCUCACUGGAGGGGAAACAGCUAGCCUCAAAAAUUUAAGAGGCUAGCCUUUUUCGCGUUGGGGCUCACUGGAGAGGAAACGGCUAGCCUCGAAAAUUUAAUAGGCUAGCCUUUUUCGCAUUUGUGUAUGGGAUGCUCACCAUUAGCGAAAACGGCUAACCUUUAAAAUUUAGAGGCUAGCCGUUUUCGCUUUUGGUGCUCUCUGGACAUUAAACGGCUAGCCUCUAAAAAUAAAAGGCUAGCCGUUUUUUCUUACUAGAGUUUCUGGAACAUGAACGGUCACCCUAUUAAUUUGUAAAAGGUUAGCCGGGUUCAAAGGAAUCAAACUGUUUCGUCUUCACAAAACUGGUCAGCCGCUUCUAUCUCUAAAAGUCGAAUCCUCUCUCCUACGUUCUCAGCCGAAAGAUCCACCGUUUAUAAUCAGUUCAUAGCCCAAAUUCAACCUUAGAAAUCAUUUCCCACCAUUUGCUCUUGCUAAAUUUAACCCUCGAAACCGAAAAACCCUAAGUUGUAAACCCCUUUGACUUCGGUAAAUGUUUGCCGAAAUUGAACUCACAUAUCCCUUUUAAGCAUCAUUAUCUUCCAUUUAAUCGGUUUAUUCCUCUUCAAAUCGCUGAAAAAUCAUAAUGUCAACUUCAAGGCCACGUAGAGCGAAAGACAACGGGAAAGAUGCGAUUCCACCACCCAAACGGAAACGGAAGGACGGCGGCCCUGUAGAACAACCUGAUUUUGAAUCAAGACACUUCCCGGACAAGCGUUUGGCCACCCGUUUUUGCCAAAGAUUCAUGACCCGUAAGGUACUUGAUACAUUCUAUAUUGUGUCUGAUUGGCUUCGUAGCCUUAGUAUCAGUAAUGGAAAUUUGUUGCAAUUGUUGGAGGAAGUUGGUUGGAUUAAUGCCCUUACGAUUAAUGAGAAUGUGUAUCCUGACUUGGUGAAAGUAUUUUACUCGAAUAUGGAUACUUCCACGGAGAAAGAGAAUCGAGUAAUCACCAACGUUAGAGGAGUUUUGAUUGAAUUUGAUGAUACUAAUUUGAAUUCUAUCCUAGGAACCUCCGAAGAUGGGUUAGAAAUAUAUUCUGCUAGGAAAGUUCCUACGAUUGAUAACUUUGUUCAUGUUGAUGCCGUUAGAAACAUUUGUAGGCGCAUUGAUCUUUCUGAUGAGGUCUGUACAAUCGAUUUUCGUGCUCAAUGUCUAUGCCUUCAAUCGCGUAUUUUACAUCGUAUAAUUCAGAAUAUUGUCCUUCCUAGGUCGAGCCACUUAGAUGAUGUUACCCACAUGGAUGUUGCUUUGAUUGAUUCUAUCCUCAGGCAUCGUCCGGUUAGCCUCGGAUACACUAUUAUACGCACCAUGCUUUCCAUACCUAACUUGAUCAGUCGUGCUCUUCCAUACGGAAAUUUCAUCACGCAGAUCCUUAAAUACUUUAGGGUGCCCAUAAACGAACCGUCUUGUAAACCCUGUAGGAGUAUAGGAGAUGAGGCCGUGUAUGCCUUAGGAUUUUUGUGGCGUAAUGGAGCAUGGGUGAAGUAUACUGAAGCUAAGUACACAAUGCUUGCUCCGAAUGAUGAUCGUCCUUUGAAUUUUGUAGUUCCUGCUAAUCAGCUGCCUAAUUUUUCACUUCCUUUCUAGGGUCAACGUAGACGUGAGGACCCUCCUACAUGUGAACCUGAUCAUGAUGCUUCUGCAUCUGCUGUACCACCUGUAGAGCCACAUGACUCCAGCGAAGUUACUCUUCAAUAACUUAUGGACGAGGUGAGGACACUUUAUGUACAGCAGACCAGCUUUCAGCAGCACGUUUUGGAGGAGCACCGGCAUCUGUCACAGCAGCAUCAGUAGUUCCUUCACGGACAACGCCUCAUGUUCGAGCACUUUGGCAUUCCUUAUCCGUUUCCACCUCCACCACCACCAUCCCCACCGCCUCAGUAGUUUCCAUUUCUUUAUUCCAUUAUGUAUGUUUGGAUGUUAGUUUUAUGUUCAGAUGAUUGUUUUAUAUGUUCAGAUGGUUGUUUUAUAUGUUCGGAAGUUUGUUUGACAAGUUCGUUUAUAUGUUCGGAAAUUUGUUUUAUAUGUUUGGAUGGUUGUUUUACGUGUUCGGAUAUGGAUUUAAAGAGUUCGGAAGUUUGUUUAACAUGUUCGGAAGUUUAUUUUAUAUGUUUGGAUGGCUGCUGCUUAUUGUAGCAAUAACAUCAGCUGUCGGGUGCUUAUGACAGCAACUGUUAUUGCUGUUGCUGUCAUAAGGCAGCAGCUGCUGCUGGCAGCUAGCAGCAGCAGCAAGAAUUCGCAGCAAUUGUGUUUGCUGCUGCAACUACUUAUGCAGCAACAGCUACUGCUAGAAUGCCAGCAGCAGCUGGUAUAAUGCACACUACAGCUGCUUAUGCAGCAACAGCAGUUGGUGCCUGAAAAAGCAGCAGCUACCGUUGCUGGUUCUGCACUUGCCUGUUGCAGCAUAACCAGCAGCUGCUGGCAGCUAGCAGCAGCAGCAUCUGCUGCUGGUGUUGUUGCUGCUGCAUCUGCUUAUGCAGCAACAGCUGCUGGCAUUCCAACAACAGCUAGUGCCUGUAAAAGCAGCAGCUUCUCUAUCCAUUAUGUCUGCUGCUGGUGUUGUUACUGCUGUUGGUGCUUAUGCAGCAACAACUGCUGGCUACUUUUACAGCAGCAGCAGCUGGUGGAUGCAUAAGCACCAGUUACUGGCUACUGCAGUUGCUGGUUCUGCAGCUGGUGGCUGCUGCUGCUGUUGAUUCUACAGCUGCUGCAGCUACUGGCUGCAGCUGCUGGCUGCUUUUGCAGCAGCAGCAGCUGGUGGAUGCAUAAGCACCAUCUGCUGGCUACUGUUGUUGCUGGUUCUGCAGCUGGUGGCUGCUGCUGUUGUUGGUUCUGCAGCUGCUGGCUGCUUAUGCCAACAGCAACAGCAACUGAAAUCCCCAAAAUAAGCAUUAGCAGUAGGGCCAUUAGUAGCUGCCACUGCUGGCUGCUUAUGUCAACUCCUCAUUCACUUCUUAUUGCUGAAAUUACUCACGCACAUUGAUUUCAAACCAGUUUGCAUGCUAUUUAAUCGAUUCAUAUUCACCUAAAACACAAUAUUUGUUAUUCAGCGGAAGCAAAGGAAACUAAAGGAACAUUAAAUCAUUAACUUCAAACAUGUGAUCAUUAACUUGCACUAUGGAAAUCAUGCAGAUAAAAAUGAACUCAGGACUAUUAACUUGAUACCGGGACCAUUAAACUUGAAACCGAAGGAACCUGAAACUUAGGGCAACAAACAUGAAAUAGGAUCUCAUUAACGUGCAACCUUAAAAAUUAUAUAUUUAAUGGACCAAUAAACAUGAAACCAUCACCAUUAACUUGAUAUCGAAACCAUUAAACAUUAAACCAGUGAACUUGAAACAUAGGCCAAUAAACCUGAAAUAUGAGAUCAUUAAAUUGCAACCAUAAAAAUAAUUAAAUUAAUGAACUUGAAACUUAGGGCAAUGAACAUGAAACAUCGGAUCAUUAACUUGCAACCUUCAAAAUUAUAUAAUUAAUGGACCAAUAAACAUGAAAUCAUGACCAUUAAUGUGAUACCUAAACCAAUAAACUUGAAACUAAUGAACUUGAAACUUAAGGCAAUAAACCUGAAAUAUGAGAUCAUUAACUUGCAACCAUAAAAAUGAUUAAAUUAAUGAACUUGAAACUUAGGGCAAUGAACAUGAAACAUAUGAUCAUUAACUUGCAACCCAAAAAAUUAUAUAAUUAAUGGACCAAUAAACAUGAAAUCAUGACCAUUAACGUGAUACCUAAACCAAUAAACUUGAAACCAGUAAACUUGAAAUUUAAGGCAAUAAACCUGAAAUAUGAGAUCAUUAACUUGAAACCAUAAAAAUGAUUAAAUUAAUGAACUUUAAAUUUAGGGCAAUGAACAUGAAACAUCUGAUCAUUAACUUGCAACCAAAAAAAUUAUGUAAUUAAUGGACCAAUAAACAUGAAAUCAUGACCAUUAACGUGAUACCUAAAUCAAUAAACUUGAAACCAGUGAACUUGAAACUUAAGGCAAUAAACCUGAAAUAUGUGAUCAUUAACUUGCAACCAAAAAAUGAUUAAAUUAAUGAACUUGAAACUUAGGGCAAUGAACAUGAAACAUCUGAUCAUUAACUUGCAACCGAAAAAAUUAUGUAAUUAAUGGACCAAUAAACAUAAAAUCAUGACCAUUAACGUGAUACCUAAAUCAAUAAACUUGAAACCAGCGGACUUGAAACUUAAGGCAAUAAACUUGAAAUAUGAGAUCAUUAACUUGCAACCAUAAAAAUGAUUAAAUUAAUGAACUUGAAACUUAGGACAAUGAACAUGAAACAUCUGAUCAUUAACUUGCAACCGAAAAAAUUAUGUAAUUAAUGGACCAAUAAACAUGAAAUCAUGACCAUUAACGUGAUACCUAAAUCAAUAAAUUUGAAACCAAUGGACUUGAAACUUAAGGCAAUAAACCUGAAAUAUGAGAUCAUUAACUUACAACCAAGAAAAUUAUUUAAUUAAUAGACCAAUAAACAUGAAACCAUAAUCAUUAACUUGAUACCCGAACCAUUAAACAUGAAACCAAAGGAACAUGAAACGGAAGGCAAUAAACAUGAAAUAUGUUAUCAUUAACUUACAACUAUGAAAAUCAUUAAAUUAAUGAACCAAUAAACAUGAAACCGUGAUCAUUAAGUUGAUACCUUGACCAUUAAACUUGAAACUCCUUUUUUAUUAUUAUAAAAUUAAUUUUUUUGUUAUGUCCUUUACUAUUAAAAUAGUGAUUAUUUUAUUAUUAUUUAAUUUAUUUAAGGGGCAACCGGUUGCAAAAACCGGUUGCUCCCAUUUAUUUUUUUUAGGGAAAUUAUCACUGGUAUACCCUUAAAUGUCACCGGUAUCAAACGUAUUAUAACACUUUUUGCUUAUAUCACUCGUAUACCCUAAAUUGACAAAAGAGUUCUGGCGUCCACCUUUCUGUUUACUACCGUUAAGAACUUAACAAAAUUUGAGCAAAAUGACUAUUUUACCCUUUAAACUCAAAAUGAUGUAAAAAAACAAAUUUGCCUUGAAAAUUAAAGUAAAUUUUCAAUACACAAUUUUUUUAAUUUUGUUAUUAACAAUACAUUUUUUUAUUAAAAAAAUGAAUUAUUAAUGGUACAUAUUAUUAACAAUUAUCCAUAAAAAAAUAUUCAUCUUAUACCAUAAAAAAUUAUUAACAACAUAUUAUUUAUAAUUAUACAUAUUAUACCAUAAAAAAAAUAAUGAUGCUUGGAGGAGUAGAUCUUCAAUAAUUUAGGUUAAAUUUGGAGGAGUAGAUUCAGUUGUAAAGUAGCUUUUUUUUUUUUAGCAAUUAUUAACAAUUAUCCGAUAAAUGGGAUGACAUGUCAUUUUUAUCAAAAUAUAUCAUAUGACAUAUCGUUUUUUACUAGGUAAAUGGGAUGACAUGUCGUUUUUUUAAAAAGACUAAAUUACCCUUAUGAUGUCAGUGUUGUGCAAAUUUUAAUGUACUCGCAAGCGCACGAAUCUAUUGUAGUAUAGAUCAUGGUGACGAGUGUCGAUCCCACGAGGAGGUGGAUUUUAAUUGUGUGUAGAAUUAAUUUUGUAAAUGGGUGAUUGGAUUUGUGGUGGAAAUGGUUUGGAAUAUGCUAAAACUUAAAUUAAAAUGGCGAGAAUAAAUUCUAAAAUUGGAAUUGCAAUGGCGAGAAUAAAUUGAAGAUAAUUCUAUUGAAAUGACGUACUUGGGUAUUCGGAUCCGUAUCAACAUGCAUCAUGGGCUAAAUAAUCCUUAUUAAUGCCAAUUAAAUCAUGAGGGGGGAAUCCACACCUCAUGAACCACGCUCUAAUCAAUAUGGUGCUAAGGGCUUAUCGUGCCAAAUAAUAAUAACCUUGUACUAGAGAGCCGGUGUAACCAAGGCGGUAUCUAGACAAGAUUAUUAUUAUUUGUCGACGAAAAGUCAAAUCAUCCACAAAAACUAGAGGGGAAGAGAAAAUAAAUUUACCAAAUAAAGCCCAUGACACAUGUUGAGACUUCACCUUCAACCCAAGCUUGAAAGAAAAUUAGCCACUCAUAAUUGAACUAAGGGCAAAAUGGGAAUUUAUUAAAAUAUGUAGAAAAUACAAGAUGGAGAGAGAAUUACAGAAAAUGGAGUCCAAAAAUGGAUUCAGAGAUAUCAAAUUACAGUAGCGCGGUUUGGUUGAAAAUAAUCCUGUGUGAUGCAUGUACCGUACGCGAGAUUUUUCGUCCACUGAUAUGCUGCCACGUCACCAUCAACAGUACAUAAGAAUUUUAGCCUAACAGGAUCGUGACACCUCAUCAGUCAAUGCCACAUCAUCGGUCAAUGCCACGUCAUCGAUCCGUCUAUAUGAACAGUGUCGUGAACAGUAACGUAGACAGUACCGUACACGUGAAUAGUACCGUACAUGUGAAUAGUGUCAUUUUUCCUUUUAUGCUCCUCCUAAGGUUUUCGACCGUCCUGAGUUCAAAAAUGAUGUUCGUUUUGCCGUCUGAUCUCUCCUUUAUUGUGAAAUGACUAUAAUGCCCCUAAAAUACAUAAAAUACUUAAUUAAAAUAAAACACACGUAAUUAAAUCACAAGAAGUUUAAAUACAUAAAAGUAAGGGUUGUUAGUAAGACUUGAAAUGUAAAAUGACGGUUUUCUCCUUUAUAAAUAUACAUUUUCUAACACUCAAUACACCCCCCAACCAGCUUAUUGCUAGUCCCUAGCAAAUAAAGCGAAAACAAAAUUCAAAUUCAAAAUGAUUUUUUUUAUUUAUUUUUAGAAACACUCGUGUUUAUUCAAUCAGAUUAAUGAUAGCAAUCAAAUAAAAGUAUAAGUAUUAUCUCCAGUCUAAAGCAACAUCACACCCACAUCAACCAUCCACAUGAAUUAGCCCAGUAGACUUUGUUAUAGCUACUUUCAAGAAUGACAUGUCAAACCCCAAAAUCUCACUAGAAGUAGUGACACUCUCACAAAGAAAUUAAAACCAAUAAAAAUAGUCACUCCAAUGAAUGGUAAUUGAGAGAGAAAAUAAUAAAGAAGUGAUAUCACAUGCUCUCACCAAGAUGAAAUAAAUAUGCCCUCAGCUUAGAAAUAAUACGAUCUCAAGUCAAACAAAAAUGCUAGUCAACCCAAUUUAUUUAUCUUUUUUUUUCUUUUAUUUAUUUAUUUAUUUUUAUUAUGCACCACUACAUCUUUUUAGCCCACAUAACUAGCUUCUACUUCAAACUAUAGUUCCCUAAAAUCAAGAAGGACUUUUAUUAGGACGUAACGUAGGCUAGGGAUAUGGCUAACAAAGAAAGGAAAUAAGGAAAACAAAGUGUAUGUUUGAGAAAAAUGCAGGGAAAUUUUUUUUUUUUUUUUUGGAAGUUGCAAGGUAGAUUUCACCUAUUAUUGUUAUUUUUAUUCUUUUGAAACAACAACUUUUUUUUUCUUUUUGUUUGUUUUUUUUUUUUUGCUUUUAUUUGGCAUAACUUCACUGAACAACAUAAUUAUUUACAUUUUCUCAAACAUAAAUAGGUAAUGGAACUUAUAAGACAUCGGGUAAUACUCCAAAUCGGAGUGGGUCAAGAUGAUAAGUUGACAAAGAAAAGGUUUUUUUUUUUUUUUUAAAGGCUCAAAAGGGUUAACUAUAGAUAUUUAAUAAAAGGGAUGGCUAGAAAGGCUCAAACGGAUCAAAGAUGGCCUUUCCAUCGUCUUUUAGGGCUCUAAAUAAUCAUCCAUAUCUACUAGUUAGACGGGCCUCCCAAUGUAGCAACACACAUUUUUUUUUCUUUUUCUUCUUUUUUUUUUUUUAAUUUUACCAUUUUUUUUAAGGGUUAACUCAAAAGAAAUCUAGAGAUCGUGUAUAAAAUAAUAAACUGCUAAGCUGUAUGAAAAAUGGGCAAAAGAGUUAUUCUCCAAGAAAAAUAAUAGGCUCAAAAACUCACUUGGUACUUAUUACGACAUGUUCAUUCCUUCAAGCAACUCAUAUUUGUCUUCGACAUCAACAUGUAAAGUAGCAAACAUGACGUAACAUCACUUAAGACCAAAGAUAAUACAAAUACUAAAAUUUGAAAUUCAUCAUGUCAUCCAAUGUUAAAACAAAUCACACAUUUUUUUUUUCAAACAACAUUCUACCCCCCAACCUAUUCUAAACAUGAAAGGAAAAUAUGAAUGCAGAAAUGUGAAAAUGAUGUAGAAAAACUAAUUAGAAACGUUACACUUAAAAUGAUAGAAAAAGAAAAUGAUUUUUUUUUUUAAGAAGAUGUGUUUCUAGAGGCACUACACUCCAUAUUCAGCCAUCUUCGACUCAAAAGUUGGGAAAUGUAUAUUUAUAGAGGAGAAAUUAAAAAGAAGAAGAAAAAUGAACAUCAAAACUUAAUUAAGAAAAAGAAAAUGUCUGAAUUUUUUAUUAUUAUUAUUAUUUUUUAUUAUUUUAUUUAUUUAUUAUUUUUUUUAAACGAAGAAGAUGCGUUUCUAGAGUCACUACACUCCAUAUUCAGCCAUCUUCAACACAAAAAGUUAGCAACAGUUAGUUUCUACAACAAAAAAUCAGUAAAAACUUAACCAAGAUUCCACAAUUGUCGACUAUUCCCUCCCCCCAACCAGAACGAAACAUUGUCCUCAAUGUUUUAAAGGAAAGAAGUAGAGUUUAGAAGACAUCACCUGGGUGGUGCAACACAAAAGAAAAUAUUUACAGGCGGAGAGUUAAAUCUAAUUUGUACUUCUUAUUGCUGCUACUGUUACCAUCAUUAUUUGGUCUCUCCAACACAAAGGUCCAGGGGUUUGGCUCCGGUCUAUAAGCUUGUAACAGAUCAAGUAGCUCAUUAGCAGUGUGAGCACAAAUAAAAAGUUUUUUCGCAUGGGAAGGAAUGAAGUAGUUUUUUAUUGCAUGGUUAAGAAAUGCGAUAAAGCCAUCAUAAAAGUUAUUGACAUUUAACAAACCGAUGGGUUUUUGGUGGAUGUGCAGAUGGGCCCAAGAUGCUAGUGUGAUAAGUGCCUCUAGUGUUGCAAGAUCUCCUGGAAUGAAAAUAAAAGCAUCAGCAUGAUUAAGCAUUUCAGUUAUUCUUUCUUGCAUACCUGAGACGACUAACUCUUCUCCAGUUGAUGAGUCAGACGAACUGCCCAAUGGUUUUAAGACUCUUGGGAUGAUGCCUAACACUUGACUUUCUCUGAUAAAAGCUGCUUCUGAGACCAUUUUUUAUAACCCUCGGUUACCUCCUCCAUACACCAAGUGUAAUUUUCUCGCUGCUAUGCUUCGACCAAGAUCUAUGGCUGCCUCCACAAACUCUUUAUGUUUGCCAUAGUUAAAUCCAGAAAGCACACAAAUGUUCUUGAAUUAUCUAUUGGGAGUAGCUGCCAUUGUGAUACUUCUCAAAAACAAUUUGUGAGUGCUUGACAAAAAAGAAAUCACAUUUAAGAGUCUUGGUGACAGUGGGUCACAAUUGUGUAGGAGGUAACAUGUCAGUGUCAAAUAACGCGUAAAGCACGUGGCUCGCGAGUCAAAAAGGAAACAGUAAAAAGGAAAAAGCAAAUAGUAAUAAGGAAAAAAGCAAACAGUAAUAAAAUUAUUAAAGACAAUAAUGCACACAAUAAAACAACAGUGAAAUGAAAUAAAAUAACAGUAAAGUAAAAUGAUAUUUACACAUAGUUGCGACUGUGGCUCACAUCUUCCUCUGGUUUUACGUCCAGAAACGGCUUGAACGCCCUCUAUAGGUCGAGGAUAGGCUUCCUAUCCAGUUUUCUUAUAAACUGGCAAACAGGGUCGUUUAUAGUCAGAUUCCCGAGACUAUAUCGUGCAUGCUCUUUCUGGAAUAAUGGUCAUAACUGGAGAAUCGCUCCUUGCACAUAUCCACUGGGAUGCGUUUCAAGAGACAGAAGGAUAUCAUCCAAUGACUCCUUAUUCAAGCCAUCCCUAAUGAAUUGAAUCUUAUCUUCCCUGUUAUCAGACACCAUUCCUAAAGAACAUGGGUUUUUAUUGCAACUCAUUCUGGCACACUUAUGACAAGCAACAGAAAUUCUUCGAGCUCGUCGUUUUCUUGCAUAAUUUCCUUUACCACAACCAGGCAUGUAUGCAAUAAAUUUUGGAGGUAACUCACCUGCCGAUCGUACUUUAGCCUCGAUUGACCAACGGAUGUCAGCAGGUAUGUUAUUCAUCAUGAGUAAUCGCAUGCGUUCGGACCGAGCUUUAUAGAUCGUAAGGAGGGCAUUCUGAGGAAGUGAAGGGAAUCGCUUGUGAAGUUUCGCUAGAAUCUCGUUUCUGUCCAUACCUUCGCCUCAGAAUAUCAAUUAUUAUGCGAAACUGAAGUAACCGACUUGAUUGUCACGGAGUACCGUUAUCCGCCACUUCACCGGGGUAACAAACUAAAGCACACAAACAGAAAAACAAAUUAAACACACAAAGAAAAUUAAAAUCGUCCUCUUAUGGAAUUUACCUCAAGCUCCAACUGGAUGUCGUAAACACUUCUCUCAAUGUCUCUGAGUUGGCGUUCUAAACCCUCAACAUAGGCUACUAACUCUGGUGGUUGUAGAGCCCAAAUGCAAUGUGUUUUACAAAAUUGAAUCUGCCUUUUGAGAUGAGUUUUGACACGUUGAAGUGGUUUAAGAAUGUUCAGGAGGAACGGUCUUAGUAAGGUACUCAUGAUUAAAAAUGAUAAAAGAAAACUUAAUAGUUAAACAAACACACUUAUGCAAAAAUAAUUUCAAUUAGCAGAAGAAUAACAUAAAGAAAGAAAAAAAUCAAAUCAACGAAAAGAAAAAAAAGUCAAUUCAAAUCUGGUGGGUCACUCAAAUUUAUUUCGGUGUCUUCUCCAUGUGGUUGGUACUCUAGAUAUGGCUUUAAUCUUUGACCAUUAACUUUAAACGUGACACCGUUCUUGGGGUCCUUAAUUUCAAUUGUCCCAUGUGGAAAAACAGUAUGAACAAUAAAGGGACCAGACCAUCGAGAGCGUAACUUACCUGGGAAUAGGUGCAAGCGAGAAUUGCAUAAAAGCACUUUCUGACCUGGAGUGAACGAUUUUCUCAUAAUUUGCUUAUCAUGGAAGACUUUCAUUCGUUGCUUGUAAAUCUUGGCAUUUUCGUAUGCGUCAUUGCGAAUUUCUUCAAGUUCUGCCAGUUGUAAUCUUCUUUCUGAGCUGGCUUGCUGCAUGUCAAAGUUGAAUUUCUUGAUGGCCCAAUACGCACGAUGCUCGAGUUCCACAGGUAGGUGGCAAGCUUUUCCAUACACUAGCAUGUAGGGUGACAUCCCAAUCGGGGUCUUGAAAGUCGUUCUAUAUGCCCAUAAUGCAUCAUCAAGUCUUAAUGACCAAUCUUUUCUGUCCGGCCUCACCGUCUUUUCUAAUAUGUGCUUUAUUUCUCGAUUGGAGAUCUCAACUUGGCCACUGGUUUGCGGAUGACACGGGGUCGCCACUUUGUGUGUGAUUGAAUACUUUGUCAAAAGAGCUUUGAAUGCUUUGUUACAAAAGUGGGCACCACCAUCACUGAUUAUUGCUCGAGGGAAUCCAAAGCGCGAAACAAUGUUGCUUUUAAAAAAUCCUAUCACCACCUUGUGAUCAGUGGUUCUACAUGGAAUUGCUUCUACCCAUUUUGAGACAUAGUCAACAGCAACCAAUAUGUAUUGAUGGCCAAAAGAAGUGGGAAAUGGUCCCAUGAAGUCGAUACCCCAUACAUAAAAAAUCUCAACCACUAAAAUUGGAUUUAGUGGCAUCAUGUUCCUUCGUGUAAUGCUCCCCAUUCGUUGACACUUAUCACAUGAAGAACAAAAAGUGUAAGCAUCUCGAAAUAUAGUUGGCCAAUAAAAACCACAUUGUAAAACUUUAGUUGCUGUUUUCUUAGCACUGAAAUGGCCUCCACAAGCUUAUUCAUGGCAGAAUGAAAGAAUAUUCUGAAUUUCAAUUUCUGGGACACAUCGUCUAACAAUUUGAUCAGCACAAUACUUGAACAAAUACGGGUCAUCCCAAAAGAAAUUCUUUAUCUCUGCAAAGAAUUUAGCCUUGUCUUGCUUGGUCCAAUGCUCUGGAAGUUUACCUGUAACAAGAUAAUUAACUAUAUCAGCAUACCAAGGUAAUACUUCCACAUUCAUUAAUUGUUCAUCUGGAAAUGACUCAUUCAAUAUUAAUGGCUCUGUAAUUGUGUCAAAAUGGAGACGAGAGAGAUGGUCCGCCACAACAUUUUCAGUGCCUUUCUUAUCUUUGAAUUCCAAGUCAAAUUCCUGCAAAAGUAACACCCAACGAAUUAAUCUAGCUUUUGCAUCUUUCUUUGUGAGAAGAUAUUUAAGAGCAGCAUGAUCUGUGAAUACAAUUAUUUUACAACCAAUGAGAUAAGAUCGAAAUUUUUCUAAUGCAAACACUAUGCUAGCAUUUCUUUUUCAGUAGUUGAAUAGUUCAACUGUGCAUCAUUCAAUGUCAUACUAGCAUAGUAAAUAACAUGGGGAACUCGAUCAACUCUUUGUCCUAAUACUGCUCCUAUUGCAUAAUCAGAUGCAUCACACAUGAGCUCAAAUGGUAAACUCCAAUUUGGGGGCUGAAUGAUGGGUGAUGAUGUCAACAACUGCUUUAAUUUUCCAAAUGCCACAAGACAUGAAUCAUCAAAGACAAAAGGUACAUCCUUAGCAAGUAGAUUGCAUAAGGGUCUAGAAACUUUGCUAAAAUCUUUAAUGAAACGUCUAUAAAAACCAGCAUGCCCAAGGAAAGAUCUUACUUCUCUGACUGUUUUAGGUGGAGGAAGAUUAGAAAUGAGAUCCACCUUGGCUUUGUCAACCUCAAUACCUUUGCUUGAAAUGAUGUGACCGAGAACAAUACCUUGUUUUACCAUAAAAUGGCACUUCUCCCAAUUUAAGACUAAAUUCUUCUCGAUACAUCUCUGCAGAACUAGCGUUAGAUGAUGUAAACAUUGAUCAAACGAAUCACCAAAGACAGAAAAGUCAUCCAUAAAGACUUCAAGAAAUCGUUCAACCAUAUCAGAAAAAAUGCUCAACAUGCAUCGUUGAAAUGUAGCAGGUGCAUUACAUAAUCCAAAUGGCAUUCUCCUAUAUGCAAAAGUGCCAAAAGGGCAAGUGAAAGUAGUUUUCUCUUGAUCUUUUGGUGCUAUGGGGAUCUGAUUGUAUCCUGAGUAGCCAUCUAGAAAGCAAUAAAAUUCAUGGCCUACUAAUCUAUCAAGCAUUUGAUCGAUAAAUGGUAAAGGAAAAUGGUAUUUACGUGUGACAGAAUUCAACUUUCUAUAAUCAAUGCAUACACGCCAUCCUGUAGUCACUCUAGUGGGUAUCAAUUCAUUAUCAGCAUUCGUAACUACUGUGACUCCUAACUUUUUGGGGACAACUUGUACAGGACUGACCCAUGAACUAUCAGAAAUUGGGUAAAUGAUACCUGCGUCUAAUAGCUUAAGGACUUCAGUUCUAACAACUUCUUUCAUAUUAGGAUUUAAUCGCCGUUGCAUUUCCCUAGUAGAUUUAGUAUUUUCAUCAAGGUGAAUGUAAUGCAUGCAGUCUACUGGGUUUAUACCUUUUAUGUCUGCUAUGGUCCAUCCUAAUGCUCCUUUGUGCUCUUUUAAAACAUCCAACAACUUACCUUUUUGUUCGUCAUUUAGGGAUGAUGAGAUGAUUACCGGUAGAGUACUUUCUUCUCCCAAAAAUGCAUAUUCCAAUGUGUUGGGUAAUGGUUUGAGCUCGAGUUUUGGUGGUGAUUCUGAUGAUGGGAUGAGUUUCUUUUCUGAUGGUGCUAGUUGUUCAACUCUUGACUUCCAUUUAUUAGUGUCCAUAGAUGGUGCUGAGUCAAGUAGGGCGUUGACCUCAUCGACUGAUCUGUCAAUAUCAAAAUCCAAACCAAAGUGAGUUAAACAUGUUUGUAAAGGAUCAUCACUAAGGUUUGAAAGAAAAGUAUUAUCAACUAUUGUUUCUAUUAAAUCCACAUCAACAAUUCCAUCAUCUGCACUGUGAGGUUGUUUGGCAAUGUUGAAAAUAUUUAGCUCCAUAGUCAUGUUGCCGAAGGACAACUGCAUAUUUCCAGUCCUGCAUUGAAUGUGAGCAUCCGCAGUUGCCAAGAAAGGUCGGCCUAAGAUAAUGGGGAUAUGCUUCCUUGAAUCCUGUAUUGGUUGAGUGUCAAUUACAAUGAAAUCAACAGGAAAAUAAAACUUAUCUACCUGGAUAAGCACGUCCUCCACAAUGCCACGAGGUAUUUUCGUGGACCGAUCUGCAAGCUGUAACACCACUGGAGUUGGGUGUAAUUCUCCAAGUCCAAGUUUCAAAAAUACUGAGUAAGGCAACAGAUUUACACUAGCUUCUAAAUUCAACAAAGCAUUCUCAAUUGUGUGGUUCCCUAUGCUACAUGAGAUAGUGGGGGAGCCUGGGUCUUUGCAUUUUAAAGGAAUUUUGUGUUGGAGUAUAGAACUAAUGUUUCUGUUAAAAAUGCCUUCUUUUGAACAUGCAUAUUUCUUUUUUUAGUACAAAGGUCUUUAAGAAACUUGGCAUAAGAUGGAACUUGCUUUAUAGCAUCAAGUAAAGGGAUGUUAACACUUACCUGUUUGAAGAUUUCAAGAAUCUCACCUGUGGAUUUUCCCUUCUUUCCUUUCGCUAACCUCUGAGGAAAUGGAGCUUUCGGAAUGUAUUCUCGUGGGUUGGUUUCUUCUUUCUCCUCCGGUGAUGAGUCCUCAACACUUACAGGUACAAUUUGAUUUUCUUUUGCCACCGGCAUCUCCACUUUGUUGUCGACUUCUUUUCCUUUUCGCAAAGUCAUGACUGCUUUGACUUCUCCAUGCUGCUGUGGUGAACUGGUACUUGCUUCAUGCACUCCUUUAGGAUUAGGCACUGGUUGACUUGGAAACUUACCUUUCUCAACGGUCAUUGCCAAGGUCUGAACUGAAGAAGCAAGUUGUCCCACCAUCUUCUCGAGGCUUGAAACUGAUUGAGCUUGUGAGUUGAAGCCUGCUCUCAACUCAUUUCGUAGUCCAUCAAUGGUGCGGUUUUGUUGCUCAAUCAUGGAGUGAGUAAGAUUCUUGAGAUUCUGGAAUGAAUCCUCCCAUGGUAUGGGUUGAGAGUAGUUCUGGUUCUGAUUGUAUGGUCUAAAUGGUGGCUGGGAGGCUUGAGGAACUUGAGGAAUUUGUUGCAUUGGUGGAGUUGGAGCUUCUGGUCCAUUCUGUUGGAAUCCUUGAGACCAUGAAAAAUUGGGGUGGUCUCUCCAUCCAAGGUUAUAUGUGUUGGAGUAUGGGUUGUAAUUUGAUGGUUUUCUCAUUACACCUAUGGCAUUGGCUUGAUCUGAGUAUGAGUCAAGGUCAUGUGGUUCAGUUGAUUUAGCAGUCGAUAACGAUGCUAUUUGUCGAGCAAGACCUUCAACCAUCUCCUUGACUUCUUUGAUUCCCGAAGUUGACUCGCCAAUGUGAACCUCAUUCACUCCUUUAAUUCUUUUAGUAUUCCUGAGUGAUCGACUCCGUUGUUGGGAAUUAUCUGCUUGUCGCUGGAAGAAUUCUCAAAUUUCUGAUGCACUUUUUGACAUUAGCUCUCCUCCACUUGUUGCCAUUAGCCAUUCUUGCACAUUCGGCAAUAAUCCCUCCAAAUAGUAUUGGCAUUGGUGCCAUUUCUCGUACCCAUGAUGUGGACACUUCAAGAGUAGCCCAUUGAAUCGCUCCCAUGUUUCGAAAAAUUGCUCGUCCUCUCUCUGGGUAAACUCCGAGAUUUCCCUGCGAAUAGCAUUGGUUUUAUGCACUGGGAAAUAUUUAUUCAAAAAUUUUGUUACCAUUUGUUCCCAUGAUGAAAUGCUAUUAGCAGGUAAUGUAUUAAGCCAUGAACGAGCUCUAUCCUUUAAAGAAAAUGGGAAUAAUCUGAGUUUAACAUCAUCGUCUGAAAAAUUUUCGUAUUUAAAAGUUUGACAAAUAGCAUGAAAAUCAUUCAGAUGAUUAUAUGGAUCCUCAUUUUCUAAGCCAUAGAAUGUGGGGAGACAAUUUAGCACACUAGGUUUUAACUCAAAGCUCCUAGCAGCUACAUUUGGGUAUCUUAUGCAUGAUGUGCUCAAAUUAGCUAAGGGACUAAAAUAGUCCUUAAAUGGCCUCUCCUGUGGUUGCAAAUCCAUUUUAUUUUUAAUUUGUUUGUGUGUGCGAAGUGUUUUUCCUAAUUCAAGGUCUAUAGGUUCAAGAUUAGGAAAUAAUGACCUACGACCAUGCAUGCAAAACAAAUAAAAUAAAAAUAAAGAUGGGAACAAAACAAAUAAAAAUAAAGAAGAGGGAGAAAUUACGAUACUAACCUUAUUGCGCUAUUACAACCUUACUAUAAAAAUACACAAAAAAAAUACGUGAAAUAAAUUAACUAAAAAUAAAUUAAUAAGAUAAACAAAAAAAAAUUACAAAGAAAAAUAAAUUAAAAAUUAAAUUACAGAAUUUUAAAGAAGAGAAAAAGAAAAGAAAUACUAACCUUUAAAUGUAGAUUCACUUUUUUUUUUAAUAAGAAAAAACAAAUACAAGAAAACAAAUAAAAGAAAUUAUUCACAAAAAUUAAUUCUAUGAAUUAAAAUUACUUACCUCCCCGGCAACGGCGCCAAAAACUUGUUGUGCAAAUUUUAAUGUACUCACAAGCGCACGAAUCUAUUGUAGUAUAGAUCAAUGGUGACGAGUGUCGAUCCCACGAAGAGGUGGAUUUUAAUUGUGUGUAGAAUUAAUUUCGUAAAUGGGUGAUUGGAUUUAUGGUGGAAAUGGUUUAGAAUAUGCUAAAACUUAAAUUAAAAUGGCGAGAAUAAAUUCUAAAAUUGGAAUUGCAAUGGCGAGAAUAAAUUGAAGAUAAUUCUAUUGAAAUGACGUACUUGGGUAUUCGGAUCCGUAUCAACAUGCAUCAUGGGCUAAAUAAUCCUUAUUAAUGCCAAUUAAAUCAUGAGGGGGGAAUCCACACCUCAUGAACCACGCUCUAAUCAAUAUGGUGCUAAGGGCUUAUCGUGCCAAAUAAUAAUAACCUUGUACUAGAGAGCCGGUGUAACUAAGGCGGUAUCUAGACAAGAUUAUUAUUAUUUGUCGACGAAAAGUCAAAUCAUCCACAAAAACUAGAGGGGAAGAGAAAAUAAAUUUACCAAAUAAAGCCUAUGACACAUGUUGAGACUUCACCUUCAACCCAAGCUUGAAAGAAAAUUAGCCACUCAUAAUUGAACUAAGGGCAAAAUGGAAAUUUAUUAAAAUACAUAGAAAAUACAAGAUGGAGAGGGAAUUACAGAAAAUGGAGUCCAAAAAUGGAUUCAGAGAUAUCAAAUUAGGGGGGAGAGGCCCCCUUUUUAUAGAUACAUGGAGUAAAUCAUGACCAUCGGAUUAAAAACAGUUUGGACGCUCAGGAUUGCACCACGUCAUCAGUCAACAGUACGCGGUUUGACCAUGUGGAUGAACAGUAACACGGUUUGACCCGGAUGAACAGUAAUGCGGUUUGGUUGAAAAUAAUCCUGUGUGAUUCAUGUACCGUACGCGAGAUUUUUCGUCCACUGAUAUGCUGCCACGUCACCAUAAACAGUACAUAAGAAUUUUAGCCCAACAGGAUCGUGACACCUCAUCAGUCAAUGCCACAUCAUCGGUCAAUGCCACGUCAUCGAUCCGUCUAUAUGAACAGUGUCGUGAACAGUAACGUAGACAGUACCGUACACAUGAAUAGUACCGUACAUGUGAAUAGUGUUAUUUUUCCUUUUAUGCUCCUCCUAAGGUUUUCGACCGUCCUGAGUUCAAAAAUGAUGUCCGUUUUGCCGUCUGAUCUCUCCUUUAUUAUGAAAUGACUAUAAUGCCCCUAAAAUACAUAAAAUACUUAAUUAAAAUAAAACACACGUAAUUAAAUCACAAGAAGAUUAAAUACAUAAAAGUAAGGGUUGUUAGUAAGACUUGAAAUAUAAAAUGACGGUUUUCUCCUUUAUAAAUAUACAUUUUCUAACACUCAACAGUCAGCGCUCGCAAACGGCAGUUAACGGAUCGGUGGACGGCAGAAGUGUUUUGUCAACUUAGGGUAUACGAGUGAUACACUUGAAAAAUAUUGUAGCACGUUUGAUACUGGUGUCAUUUAAGAGUAUACGGCUGAUAAUUUCCCUUUUUUUUAUUGCUUGCAUGUAUCAUAUACAUGUAUAUACUGUAGCCGUCCCCUAUUGUGAAAGGUUGUUAUUCUUUAGUCUUUACUACACAAAUAGUAGUUUUUUUUUCCUUCUUUUUUCAAAUUUUGGGUUUUCUUUUACGGCUUCUGAGAGAAGUACCUGCGAAUGGAUCAAAACAAGGGAAUUUCAAUUUAAUGAUUUGACUCUUCUGCCAUGCUUUGCUUUUCAAAUCAUUUGAUAUGGAGCGGAGCAGUGAUGAGCUACAGAAAAUUCUUGACUCUGAGUGCGAGGAGAGGGAGAUGUGUGUGUCACUGUUUGUAAUUUUUUUGUAUUACCAAUGAAAUAUAUUUAGCAUGAGUGUGAUAAAUAUAUGUGGGUCCAGUUACCUUGCAACAAUUGCAAUACACCAUUUAUUUUUGUCUUAUGUGACGUUACAUUUCAUUUAACACCUUGUUUUUUUUCUUAUUUACAUUUUAUUUAUAAGUUUAUAUGUUUUAACUAGUGAACUUUUAAAAUGUAAACUUAUUUUUUUAAUAUUAUUUAUUUUUUUACAUUUAUUUAUAAUUUGUAUGCUUUAGCUGGUAACUUUUAUAAAAUGUAAUUUUAUUUUAUUUAACAUUAUUUAUCUUUAAAAAAAAAGAAUAAAUAUAAUAAUAAGCCUAUGACUAAAUAAUAUUAAAUAAAAUAAAUAAUAUUAAAUAAAUUAAAUUAAAUAAAUAAUAUUAAAAUUUUAACUUAAAUAAAAUAAAUAAUAUUAAAAAUGAUAUUAUUUUUAAGACACUAUUGAUUUUUUAAUGUUAUUCAGUUUUUAAAGAAUAAAUAUAAUAAUAAGCCAAUGAUUAAAUAAUAUUAAAUAAAACAAAAAUAAAAAUAUUAAAAAUAAUAUUUAUUUUUAAAGCUCCCUAAUGAUUAUUUUAUUUUAUUUAAUGUUAUUUAGUUUUUUGAAAGAAUAAAUAUAAUAAUAAGUAUAUGACUAAAUAAUAUUAAAUAAAAUGGAAUAAAUAAUAGUUAUUUAUUCUUUUAAAUAAAAUAUAUAAUAUUAAAAAUAAAAUUUAUUUUUUAAUACUCACUACUAAUUAAACAAUAUAAAUUGUAAACAAUCCGGACUUAUGUGCUAAAAUUUUUAACUCUUUAAUUUGUUUGUGUCUUUAAUAAAUAUCAGGGAGUGCAAUGUUAAUAUUUAAAUGAACAAAUCUCUACCAUUGAAACAACCUUUUCACUAAAUCCAACGUUUUGUCUAAAACUACCUUUUCACUAAACUACCUUUUGUCUGAAAUCAAGAAAAGACAAAACUUGAGGGUACCUUGCAACUGUUGUAAGGUAGCUGAGUCCAAUAUAUAUUGCCAUAAAACGAAAUAUCAUAUCCAAAAUAAUAAUAAUAAUAAGUGUGUCAGAUGACACAAACAGCUGAAAAACGAGGAAACGUCUUCUUCUAACAAAGUUUGUAAUUAAAAAUUUAUAAACGAAUACAUACAUAUAUAUGAAAGGAAAGAUGAUGAUGAUAAUGAUAAAGAGAAUAGGGUUGAAUUUGGCGAGAGGGGUCCCCCUAUUUGUUGAAUUUCAUAUUAAAUAAAUAUCCGUUUGUCUCUUUAAUGGCCAAACAGACCAGCUGCCAACAACUUAUUCCAAUGUGAGUAGAUCACAGUGGGUACUGCACAUGAUGCUUGUUUCUCCUUUUGCAUCUAUUUUUGUUGUUAAUAUUAAUUUCAAUAGCAGCUCGUUAUUAUGUAUGCAACAUUUCAAAAUUAAUCCAAAAAAAACAAAAAUUAGUUCAGCUGACUAAAUUUGAAAGCAUGGAUUUGCUGUCGAUUAAAAAUCGUUUUGUAGGGAAAAUUUUUGGAUUGCAAUUCUCAUACAAUACAUAGAAUUAUCAUAAUCUAUAAAUUGUAUUUUUGCUUUUCACUUAUAUUUAGAUAGUUCAACAUUUUUAUUGGUUUGAUUUAGGGUUAGUUUGGUAACGUUAGUUUAAUACUCUGAUUAUUAUUAUUCGAUUCGUUUACUUUGAUUAUUAUUAUUUUUUAAUAGAGAAUAAAUUAUUCGAUUAAAAAAGUGAUUUUUUCUCUAUUAACAAGUGAUUUUUCUCUAUUAAAAAAUAAUAAUAAUCAAAGUAAACGAAUCGAAUAAAAAAAUAAUAAUAAUCAAAGUUCACAUAAUCUAUAAAUAUCAUGUUUAUUUAUUUAAGAUAGUUCAAAAUUUUUAUUGGUUUGAUUUAGGGUUAGUUUGGUAAUCCUGUAGCUUUAAAAUUAAUUACAGUUAGCUAUGCUGUAGAAAUUGAUCAAUCGUAAAAAGAAUCAACCGAACAUUUAGUAAAUUUUAUUUUUAAAAGUACUUUUAGUUUUAAAAGCAGUCGUGUGUGUUUCAUAAAUCUUAUUAUUAAACUGGUGAAAAAAUAUAAAUGACUGAAUUGAACAUAAUGCUAAAUAAAAUUUAUUUACACAUUUACAAACAUGCAUAUAAAAUAUUUUUAUUACGUACAUAUAAUUAUUGAUAACUAAAAUAAAUAUUUUAUAUUAUUAAAUUUUAUUCUCUAUUUUGUUAUCUCAAUGUAAUUGAUAAUAAUAAUAAUAAUCUAUUUUAAGUUAAUGAUUUUAUUUCUUAAUUCAUAAAGAUAAUUUUAGAUUUUUAUUAUAUAAUGGGGAUAUAUAUAGAAUUGGAUUGAGUAUAAAAGUGAUUCUCAAAAUCAAAUUUUGAAAAACUAUUCAUUCACUACUUUUCAAAAUCUACUGUAUUAUGAGAUGAUUUUACCAAAGUAAUUACUAAAAAAAUUUAUAAAACACUAAAACUUAGCUUUUAUGGUGUGUUUACUUCAUGGAAUGGGGAAUGGGAAUAAAAUGUGUGGGUCUCACACAAUUUGGGAAUAAGGAAUGAGAAUCCCAUGCCCAUGAGUGGUUGGGAAUAAAAGUGAGGGAAUGAGAAUGGAAUAUAUAUUUACUUUUGUAUCCCUCUAAUUUUUUCAUAUUUUCCAAAUUACCCUCAUUCAAAUCACAAUUAAUUUUAUUAUUUAAAAUGUCAUUAAUAAUAAUAAUAUUAUUAUUAUUAAAUUUUAUUAACUUUAUUAUUUUAGUUAUUAUUAAUUAUUUUUAUUAAUAUUAUUAUUAUUAACAAUAAAAAUAAUAAUUGAUAAAAAAUAAUUAAUUUAUCAUUAUUAACAAUAUUAUCAUUAUUUUUGUUAUUAUUAUUAUUAUUAAAAAUAAAAAUAACAAUAAUUAAUAAUAACUAAAAUAAUAAAGUUAAUAAAAUUUAAUAAUAAUAAGUUAAUAAUGAUAAUUUUAAUAAAAAUAAUAUUAACAAUAAUUAGUAAUAACUAAAAUAAUAAAGUUAAUAAUAUUUAAUAAUAAUAUCUAAUAUUAUUAUUAUUAAAUAUUAUUAACUUUAUUAUUUCAGGUAUUACUAAUUAUUGUUAAUAUUAUUUUUAAUAAUAAUAAUAGUAAUAAUAACAACAAUAAUGAUAAAUUAAUUAUUAAUACUAUGGGUAUUUUGGUAAAUUGAUUCUCAUUCUCAUUCCUCAUUCUCAUUUAUUUUGCCAAGUAAACAUAUCAAUAGCAUUCCAGCACAUUCUCAUUCCCAUUUAUUUUUGUCAAGUAAACAUUGAAAUCUCAUUCAUAUUUCUCAUUUCCAUUCCAGUCCAUUCUCAUUCCCAAUCCACUCACAUUCCACCCCAUUCCACUUCCAUGAAGUAAAUGCACCAUUAAUUUUUAAAAUCAAUUUUGAGCUUCCCAAAAACAAUCCAAACAUGCCUUUAUUUGGGUGGUGUUAGAACUGUUAGCCUAAAGGACUAUACAUAAUGUGAUUUUGAUGAUAACAAACAUAUGUAUUAAGUGAUUUAAUAAAUAUUGUAUUUCACAUUUUCACUAGUUUUUGAAGGAUAAUAUUUAUGCAAGUGAAUCAAGUGAAAUCAAGAUUGAAGACACUCAACGGACAACGGUGACAUCAAGAAUAGUCUAGAGCUCCACGAACAAAUUAGUGCGAUAAAUUCUUGUAAAGCCGGUAUGAUUUAAUUGAUGUAUGAUUUAGCAUUUGAGAAGCUCAAGAGAUUAAUUUAAUUAAAUACUUUUCAUAAACUAAAAGUUUUAUUUUUAUAAAGUAAAGUAUUUUGUGGAUUUAAGUAAUUUGGACUUAAAUGCUAAUAUUUGAAAUCUUUGAUUUUAAAUAAGUAUUAAAUUUCAGAGUUGGACGUUUUUACAAAUAUUUGAAAUGUUUUGGGCCAUACUAUAAUUUAUGAAUAUGUUGGACUAAAGUGAAAGGUUUUGAGAACUUUGAAAAAUAUGGGUAUUAUGUUGAAAAGGACCUUUGUGCGAAAUAAUAAAAUCUUUGGGGCCAUAUCAUAAUUUUAGAAAGUUUGGGAAAGACGACUAUUCUUAGGAAGUUCUGAAAUUGGAUCUAUUUGUAAAGUUUUAUGACAUUUUGAGCCAUAGUAUAAUUAUAGAAAGUUUUGGGUCAAAGUAUAAAUUUAGUGAACAGAGUUACUGUAGUAAAUUCAAAAAUAACGGUAAUAUCACUGUUCCUGAGCGGCUAGCCGGAUAAUCAAGCGGCUAACCGCUUGGGCGCGGGAAUUUACCUAUAACGGCUAGUUUUCGGGCUUUCACUAUUAAAACUCAACUCAAACUUCAUUCCUUAAACGAAUGCAAGGAAAAACAAGAUCAUAUAACAUAUAUUGAGCUUCCAUUUCGCAAAUCAUCAUUGAUUGAAUGAUCAUUGAGCUAUAAUUUGUUAUCUACUCUUAAAGAGAGUUUCAUUGUUGUGAUUUUCAUUUCUCAUCAAAUUGUGAGUGUACAAGUGUGAGAAACACUUGGGGUGAAGAGAUUGGGGAGAUAAUCUCUUGUUGUAAAGGUUCAUUGACACCUUAGAAGUCAAUUGUAAACAUUUGAAGCCUUGGGAGGUUUGGAUAGUGAAAUCCUCAAGCCAGGUGUGCUUGGAGGCGUGGACGUAGGCAGGGAUAGCCGAACCACGUAAAAAUCCUUGUGUUUGUUUUAUCUUCCCUUACUCUUUUAAUAUUGUGCUUGAUUGAAUUUAUUAUUUUUUUAUUUGAUUAAGGCAAUAGAUUCAAUUGUUGUGCGAAUUGUAUUGCAUAAUUUUAAAAACCCAAUUCACCCCCCUCUUGGGUUGCAUAACUUGCAUUUCAUUUGGUAUCAGAGCGAGGUGCUCUUGUGUAGACUUAACCGUCUAGAGUAAAAGAUCCAUGGCAACCCAUAAUGAUUCAACCUUUAGGGAAGGACAAUCCACAAUUAGACCACCGUUCUUUGACGAUAAUGACUACCCAUAUUGGAAAACUAGGAUGAGAAUUUAUUUACAAGCUUUAGAUUAUGAAAUUUGGGAAAUUGUUUGUGAUGGUCCAUUUAUGCCUUUGACUAAAAACGAAGUCGGGGAAGAUAUUCCAAAACCUUCACGGGAAUGGAAUGAAUUGGAAAAGAGAAAAGCUUCUCUAAAUUCCAAAGCCAUGAAUGCCUUGUUUUGUGCACUUGAUAAGAAAGAGUUUCAUAGAGUGUCAAGUUGUGAAAGUGCUAAUAAAAUUUGGCACAAACUUGAAGUUGUUUAUGAAGGCACGAAUCAAGUGAAAGAGUCUAAAAUUAGUAGGUACACUCGACAAUAUGAAUUGUUUCAAAUGGAACAAAAUGAGAGUGUGUAUUCUAUGUAUACUAGAUUUACGGACAUAGUGAACACUCUAUGAGCCCUAGGAAAGACCUUUUCAAAUAGCGAGAAAGUUAAGAAAAUCAUUAGGUCUCUACCUAAGGAAUGGAGACAAAAAAAGACUGCCAUUGAGGAAGCCAAAGAUUUAAAUAUUUUACCUAUUGAUGAUUUAAUUGGUUCUCUUAUUUCUUAUGAGGAAGACUUGGCAGCUGAAAGAAGCAAUGAGGAGAAGAAGAAAAGUAUUGCUCUCAAAGCCUCGAAACACGAGAGUGAUGAGGAAAGCGAGCUGGAUGAGGAGGAGAUGGAUAUGCUGGCGAGGAGGUUUAGAAAACUUUUUAAGAAAUCCGGUGAGCGAAGAAAAUUUAGAGACCUCAAGAAAUGAAAGGAGAAGAAUGAAGUAAUCAAAUGUUAUGAGUGCAAAAAGCCUGGCCAUAUAAGAACGGAUUGCCCUCUUCUCAACAAACUCAAGAAGAAAGCAAUGGUAGCCACAUGAGAUGAUAGCGAUGAGGAAACAAGUGAUGAUAAAGAGCAUCAAGAAAUGACAAAUCUAGCUCUCAUGGCAAUUGGAGAUGAAUCGGAUGAUGAACUUGAUGAGGUAAAUGAUAUUUCUACUCAUGAUGAAUUAUAUGAUGCUUUUAAAGAAUUGCAUGAUAAUUGGAUAAAAAUUGGUAAAAAGAAUGCAUGUUUUAAAAAGAAAAUGGUAAAGCUCACAAAUGAAAAUGAAUCUCUAAGUGCAAAGAUUACAUGCCUAGAAUUAGAGAAUAAAACAUUACAUGAUAGAGUUGUAUUAUCAAAUGAGAAACCUAGCACUUCACAUGAGCAUCUAGAAUCAUAUGUAGAUGACUUGAAAAAUGAAAAUGAUGCUUUACAAAAAUGCAAUGAUUCAUUAAAUGAAAAGCUUAAAGGACUAGAGUUAGAUAAUAAAAUGUUGCAUGAUAGAAUUGUAUCAUUUAAAUGCAAACAAAGUACUUCAUAUGAGCAUGAGAAAUCACAUGUUGGUGAAUUAAUGAAAGAAAAUGAAGUGCUUAAGAAGAAGAGUAAUGAACUAAAUCAAAUUGUGUUAAAAUUCACAAAUUGGCAAAAGAUGUUGGAUAACUUGCUUAAUUCACAAAAAUGUGUGUUUGAUAAAGGAGGUAUUGGUUAUAAGCCAAAUUUGAAACAAAAAUAUUAUAAGAGUUAUUUUGUUAAAACUACCUCCAUUAAUGAUCAAAUUGUAUGUCAUUAUUGCAAUCAAAAUGGUCACAUAAAGAAUAGAUGUCCAGUUAAAAUAAAUGCAUAUUAUGGAGCAAAAUGUAUUUGGGUUCCAAAAGGAACCAUUACUAACACUCAGGGACCCAAGAAUAUUUGGGUACCAAAGUACACAACUUGAAUAAUUUUUGUAGGUACCACAAACAAGGAAGGGUGGAGAGUUCCUUGAUGAAACUUGUGAGGAUAAUCACUUGAUCAUGGUCUAGGCAAAAAUAAUGAGGCAAGAUGGUUUAAUUGUUUUGGUAACAAUUAUUGCCUUAUUGAUUAUAAGUUACGGUCUUUUAAUCUUAGUAAAUAUUUCAUAUUUCAUUAUAUCAUUAAGUGCUUUAUCAUGAUGGAUUUGUUUGAUUUUAAUGAUUAUGUAAUGCCUAAGUAUGAUAAAUGAGUAAUAUGCUUGAAUUAUUAAUCUUUGAAUGCUUAUAUGUUUCAUGAUUGAGUAAAAUAUAUACAUGAUGGAUGAAUUAUAUGUGUGAAUUAAUCAUGUCUUAAAUGUUUAUAAUUUCAACCAUAAAGGUUAUUGUAUCUCAUAAUUGUGAUGGAUAUGCAUGAUGAAUAUGUUAUAAAUUUGAGUUUUAUGAUUUUUUGGAUGUUAAUUAUAUUGAUCCAUGCAUUAAAAUGGUUUUUGAAAAUGUUUGGAUCACGAAAUGGUCUUAAAAUCGAUCAAAAAUAGCCAGAGAGCAAAAAUUGGUGCAGAUGGGCAGCCAUGAGGUAGCUAGCCGCCUGCCCCAAGCGGCUAGCCGCUUUGUCACGGGUUGGAGUAAUUGUUUUUGCUUCUUCUUCUUCCUUCGUUAUUUUUCUGCACUUGUUCCUCUCUCUCUCAAAACCGUGAGCCACCCUCUUCCAUUUCCAAUCAAUUUCUCUUUAUUUCUCAACCAUUUUUAUGCCAAAAUUAAUCAUUCAAACCAAUACCCAUGCAUUUCACUCUCAUUAAACACUUCCCAAUCAUCAUUUCUUCACUUGUUCUUGAUCAUUUCAUCAUCAUCUCUCACGCGUGAACAGUACCUCUCCAUUUCUCUCUCAAAUUUCUUCAUCUUUCACUCAUUCUCUUGCCAAAAUCAAUCAUCCAACUCAUUAUUCAUCCAUUACUCCUUCAAUUUUCACUCUCAAAACAUGAUUUCAUUAUCUCUCCACAUAAAACCCAAAAUCAAAAACCUAACUUACCCAUUUCUUUCUCUUCCAAUUUAAGCUCUUUUUAGUCCACUUUUGAUCCAAUCAACACCAUCCAUUAUCUUAAAUCAUCUCUUGGAUCAAUAUAAUCAGUUUAAAAUAAUCCAUUUCACUCAUUAUUUUACAAAACCGAGUUUGUGCAUUUUGGGUAUUUUAAAUUACCAUGGUUCCUUAUUAUAUUAUGCACCUACAUUUUCAUAUGCAUAAUUGUUUUAAUUGUAGAUUACGGAUGAUGGUUGUUUAAUAUUUGGAUAACUUAUAUUUGGAUGAUAUUUUCUGAAUUCUUAGAAUGAAUAUGACUCUUUAGUUAAUUGAAUGCUUAAUUUUUAUAUGUUUCUUGAUUAAUCAUUGAGAUAUUCUUUUUGGUAUAAGCAUAGAUUUAUAGUACUUUUGAUGAUUGAUGAUUAUAUGUGUGUUGCUUGAUGAAUUAAUGGAGUUGUUAGUUUGUUAUAAUUGUUUCAGCUUAUAUGGAAGUGUUUUUAACCAUGUUGUAUAUUUAAGGAUUUGUUCAUUUUAAGGGGAGAUUCUGCCGAAAUUUUUGCUCGCACAAAAUUGGUAAUAUCUUUAUCGAAUUAUUUUUGAUGCUCUUGUUUCGAUUGCAUCUAUCUAUUUUUUAUGAAGGGGAAGAUAAAUAUGAUAUGUUUUUGGAUAAUAUCAUUUUGGUUAAAUUUUUUAAUUGGCCAUAUAUUUAGGGGGAGCAUACAAUAUGAUUUUGGAUAAUAUGCAUUUUGAGCAUUCUUUUGAUGGGUUGAUGGUUCAUGAUCAUUUUAUGGUUAAUUGGAUGUUUGGUUAUUAUAUGUUUCUUGAUUAACCAUUGACAUAUUAUCGAUCUUCACAUGAAUUUCUAGUAAUUUUGAUGAUGAAGGGGGAGAAGUCAUGUAUUUUGAAUAUGAAGACAUAUAAUACGUAUUUUGUAUUUCAAGUAUUUAUGCAUGGUUUUGAAAUAUUAAGGGGGAGCUUACAAAUUAUCAUAAAUCAAAUAUUCAGGGGGAGUUUUUGUUUUGAAUUUGAUUUAUAUGUUUAAUUAUAUAUGCCAUGUAUUAAGGGGGAGUACAAAUGUCAAAAUACAUGAGAUGUUUGUCAUCAUCAAAAAGGGGGAGAUUGUUAGCCUAAAGGGCUAUACAUAAUAUAAUUUUGAUGAUAACAAACAUAUGUAUUAAGUGAUUUAAUAAAUAUUGUAUUUCACAUUUUCACUAGUUUUUGAAGGAUAAUAUUUAUGCAAGUGAAUCAAGUGAAAUCAAGAUUGAAGACACUCAACGGACAACGGCGACAUCAAGAAUAGUCUGGAGCUCAACGAAUAAAUUAGUGCGAUAAAUUCUUGUAAAGCCGGUAUGAUUUAAUUGAUGCAUGAUUUAGAAUUUGAGAAGCUCAAGAGAUUAAUUUAAUUAAAUACUUUUCAUAAACUAAAAGUUUUAUUUUUAUAAAGUAAAGUAUUUUGUGGAUUUAAGUAAUUUGGACUUAAAUGCUAAGAUUUGAAAUCUUUGAUUUUAAAUAAGUAUUAAAUUUUGGAGUUGGACGUUUUUACAAAUAUUUGAAAUGUUUUGGGCCAUACUAUAAUUUAUGAAUAUGUUGGACUAAAGUGAAAGGUUUUGAGAACUUUGAAAAAUAUGGGUAUUAUGUUGAAAAGGACCUUUGUACGAAAUAAUAAAAUCAUUGGGGCCAUAUCAUAAUUUUAGAAAGUUUGGGAAAGACGACUAUUCUUAGGAAGUUCUGAAAUUGGAUCUAUUUGUAAAGUUUUAUGACAUUUUGAGCCAUAGUAUAAUUAUAGAAAGUUUUGGGUCAAAGUAUAAAUUUAGUGAACAGAGUUACUGUAGCAAAUUCAAAAAUAACGGUAAUAUCACUGUUCCUGAGCGGCUAGCCGGAUAAUCAAGCGGCUAACCGCUUGGGCGCGGGAAUUUACCUAUAACGGCUAGUUUUCGGGCUUUCACUAUUAAAACUCAACUCAAACUUCAUUCCUUAAACGAAUGCAAGGAAAAACAAGAUCAUAUAACAUAUAUUGAGCUUCCAUUUCGCAAAUCAUCAUUGAUUGAAUGAUCAUUGAGCUAUAAUUUGUUAUCUACUCUUAAAGAGAGUUUCAUUGUUGUGAUUUUCAUUUCUCAUCAAAUUGUGAGUGUACAAGUGUGAGAAACAAUUGGGGUGAAGAGAUUGGGGAGAUAAUCUCUUGUUGUAAAGGUUCAUUGACACCUUAGAAGUCAAUUGUAAACAUUUGAAGCCUUGGGAGGUUUGGAUAGUGAAAUCCUCAAGCCAGGUGUGCUUGGAGGCGUGGACGUAGGCAGGGAUAGCCGAACCACGUAAAAAUCCUUGUGUUUGUUUUCUCUUCCCUUACUCUUUUAAUAUUGUGCUUGAUUGAAUUUAUUAUUUUUUGAUUUGAUUAAGGCAAUAGAUUAAAUUGUUGUGCGAAUUGUAUUGCAUAAUUUUAAAAACCCAAUUCACCCCCCCUCUUGGGUUGCAUAACUUGCAUUUCAAGAACUUGUAACUUUUGGAUCUUUUAGUUUUUAUUGGUUGGAUACAAUAUUAUGACUUGAGCGUCGGAAGGUUUUCACCGAAAUAACUUCCAGCACCCCCUGACUGUUCUUUGUGCUUGCAUGCUCGCGGGUUAUUUGCUCAUGGAUCAUCUGCUCAUAGAACAUCUGCUCACGGUGCUCACUGAUCAGCAGCUCGUGGAUUAUCUGCUCAUGGUGCUCACUGAUCAGCAGCUCAUAGAUUAUCGGCUCAUGGAUUAUCUGUUCAUGGUUAGAGGAUUUUCUUGGAGAUUAAUAAGUCGCUUCUCCACCAAACAAAUUUAUUGCUGAUGCGGGGAUGUGGUAUUGAGUCAACAACUGACUCGACUUUAUUUCUGCAUCAAUAUAAAGUAUUAAUCAGCUUAAUUAAUUUAUAAAAUUUAAAUCUAAUUAAUAAGUGACACAUAAAUGCCAAGUGCAAUAUAUGCAAAUCCUGUUUGUCGAUCAUUACAAAACUGGCUCUUGAAAACAAGCAAGAAAGCUUAAUUAAGAACUUAAAACAAAAAGUAUUAGAUUGAGGAUAGUCAAGCCUUAUUUUUUCAAGGAUGGAGCUUAUAAAUCUUCAAGUACCAACAUAUGCUUGGCCCAAUUGUUGUUUUUAAAAUUUCAAAAUAUAAGUAUGACAUAGCAAAAAUUUGAUGGUACAUGUGUCGGAAUAUACUAGCUAGUUCAUGGAUGCAUUUGAUUACUAUUUCCAUAAAUUUGAACUAAGAAGAAUGACACGAGAAAAUUUGAUUUUAUUAUAUGGUUGAUUUCAUAUCUCAUGCACUCAUUUCUUAAGAUAAUUAGAUUUUCUCUGGCAUCUUUUGCAAAUGUGGAAAUAUCAAUUAUGAUCAAUCAAAACGAUCUCAAAACUUUUUAACGAGACAUAUUUAUAAUACAAUAUUAUGAAAAUUACACCAAAAAUUUGAUUUAUUAUAUAUUAUUAUCCAACGAGCACACAAAAAUGAAUUCAUACAAAUCUAUAAUACUUAGCAAUUUUCAAAUAGAAUUUACCAUGUACUAUAAGAAAAUAUGGUAUAUGUGACCCCUAUUGUGAAUGCAAAAGCAGCCAUUACGUAUAUCACUAACUUCUAACUUUGUAACCCUGAGUUGCUUUUGUUACCCUUUAUGUGACGGCCAUACUGCUGUCACAUAUGUUACUAACCACGUGACGGUAAAGAGCCGUUCCGUAUACUACUAUUUUAGAAUUUUAAAUUUAUUUCCAGUUGGAAAACUAUUCGCUGGAUUACGAGUUUAAAUGCUGUCACCAUCGUAAACCUAACUGGUUGCCGGCGAACGGCGUAAAACACCGGCCAUCUUCUUCUUCAUCGUAUUCGCCCUUCAUCUUUUGAGUUAAGCUUGUGAUUAUGAGUUUCUUCUCUUACUUAGCUUGUAAUUAUAGAUUUUGAUUCUUUUUAAUUCGUAUUGUAGUCGUUAUUGUCAAUUUUUGUCCCGCCAGCAAUUUUUUUUAUUCCUACAAGUUGAAGCCCCUGUGUUCUUGUUCCAUUGGUGUGUUUGCUCACUCAAAUUAAUUUUGUUCUACAAAGUUCAAAUGGAUUCAUUUGAAUCACUAUUGAAUUCAGCUUUAAUUCCAACAACCAUUCUAAUGUUUUGUUAUUAGAUUUACUUUAAUUUUAUGUUUAAAGCUUCUACAAUGAAUAGCGGAGCUUGGGUUUUAGUUUCAUUUUCUAGAUAACUUGUUUUUCUUGUAUGCUCACCAAGUGCUUGUUAUAUUGUCUGAUAAGUUAAUAUAUUGCUGAUUCUAUAUUAAUAAUGUUACGUUCUAUUUUCAGAAAUUAUAAUAUAAACUGAAUUAACUUGUAGAAUAAGAGCUUGGAGUAGUGUUAUGUUCUUGAAUAAAUGAAAGUCCAUAUUGUGUAAGAGCAUGUAGAUGUAAAGCGCAUUGCCAUUUCUAUAAAGGACUUUCAUUCUGUUCAGAUGCUCCUCUUGAACUCUGAAAGGUGCCUCAUUCAAGUCCUAGCUAUAACUACUAGCUUUGAUUAAUUAAUUUCCUGUACUAGCAGAAACAGAUUUAUUUAUUUAAAUAAUUGUCUAUGUACUAAUUAUAAUGAAAGUAUAUGAAGAAAUUUUUUAACAUGAAUGACUUCUAAAUGACUUAAAAACCUAAAGGAUAUGAGAAAUAAUGCUCAUUUCACUUGAACGAGCCUAUUAAUACUUGUAUGUCUAUGAUUCUUAAUAUUGGCUUAAGCAUUUCAGUAAAUGGUUUACAUAACAGAGAAAAAAAUUUAAAUGAAAACUUUAGAGUUCUAACAGAAAUAUAAUUGACUAUGCAGAUAUAGUUAUUUUAUGGUAUACAAAUCAUGUUGCCUUAAUCUCAAUGUCCUAUGACCUAUUUUAUUUUAUAUAGUCGUUCAUUUUUGCCAUCGCUUUUUGUGUUUAUGAGUAUGGAAGUAGUGGGAUUUGGUGUAUCUUAGCAUCUUUGGAAAAUUCUCUUUAAAUGUGGCAAACAAAAAUAUACAUAUAAUCAAGUUUCUUAAUCAACUAUCAUAACUGGCUAGCUAGUUCUUGCCUGCCUUGCUGCCAUUACCCAGGCCAUUACAUUGCAUAGCAUAAGGAAUAGUGAUUAGGUGCUUAUUAGUGAUUCGUUGAGCUUAUUAUUGACCAAACAAACAUAUUCGCCUUUACCCACAACUUAGUUUGAUUAGUUAUUAGACCAUAAAGAGCGUUAAUCUGUUCAUUGGCUUUGUUAUUUUUAUUUGGUUUUUCUUCCAACAAUACUGUUGAUUUCUUAUAAAAAUACUCAUUGGUUUUUAGUUAUUAGACCAUAAAGAGCAUUAGUCUGUUCAUUGGCUUUGUUAUUUUUAUUUGGUUUUUCUUCCGACAAUACGGUUGAUUUCUUAUAAAAAUAUUCAUUGGUUUUUAAACACCUAAUCAUUGGCUAUAAUGAAGCUAAUUGAAACUGAGGCUUAUCAAUUUCUUCCUACAAGAUACAAUUGAGCAUAAACUAUAUCCUCAGUAAAUUUUUCUAAUAUCCUUGAUUUGUUAGGAUAUGGAGGCCUGAAAUCCUCUAGAUUUUUUUAACACUGUCAAUGUUCUUUUUACUCUGAAAAGGGAAAAAAAAGGUAUAUCUUUCAUACCCUAAUAGUAAGUAGGCCUUGACUUAACAUGCCUUCCCGAGGAUUUGCAAGAUUCACAAGCAGCUCACCCCCCCCCCCCCUCCCCCAACCCAAAAAAAAAAAAGAAAAACAAAUAGGAAGAUUUUGCGAGAUUCACAACCAGGUUAUAUUUAAUUUAUUAAUUGUGUGCACGUACUAGUUAUAUGUUGAAAGAAUAGGAAAGUAUUUUAACAUGAAUGACUUAAAACUUAUUGCUUAGUAAACAUAAUCUGCAUCAGUGCUAGAAAAUGUAUUUAUUGUUUGUAUUUUUUAUGGAUUUGCUUAAGAAAUGAUACGGGUAAUAAUGCUACAUUGUAUUAGGAACAAAUUGAAGAGAUUUAUGAUAUUUAUGUGUUAUUCAAAUUUCAGAUUGAAUUUUAAACUUUCAAUACAUGCAUUGAAAGCUUAGAUCGUUUAAGAAAUUAUAAAUAGACACAUGUUUUAUUAGUGCCAUCUUUGGAUGAUAGUGAGGAUCAUAUGCCUAUUAAUAAUUCUUGAAUUGUCUAGGCUUGAACUGUUUGGGAAUGCAUAGUUUUCUAUGGUAGCUAGUAGCUGAAGUUUUUUUCCCACAUAAAAAUGGGUUUUUCGCUAGCUGCUUCUCAUCUUCUUUGGGUGCAUACUAGAUAACACAUAAACACUCUUAUAUCUAUGUCGUUGCUUGGAGAACUAAAGGGAGAUGCUGCCGAAAUUUCUAUAAACGUAGAAGAAAACUUUAAAGUACUUGAGAUUGAAGAAACUUAUGCAUUCUUGAGAGGGAUAUAUGGGACCACUUACCUUUUGUAAAUAUGAAGGGAGUGUUGGACAUAUUGAUGGGAGUGGAGGAGCUGAGUUGGAUGGAUGUAAUCGGUUAUAGUUUUGCUGAGUUAACUUGGUUUUGAGCUUGUAAUUUUGUUUAUAAAUGGAGUACUAUCUCCAAUGUUGGUUUAUAAAUAUGUUUCAGCUGGCUGACCUUAUUUUUUGUUUCUAGGUAACAUGCUUUGUAUCUGUAAUUGAUAGCCAACUGAAGUUCUCAGCUGUGGGUGAGGAUAUUUCUUUACAGAAGGUAUUGGAAACUGUUUUUUACAUUAAUUAUUGUUGUAUAUAUACUUUAAUUUUCACAUCUUUUUCUCUGAUUCUUGUCACUUUACUUGCUUUCAUAUACAUAAAUUCUAAUGAAAUUAACCAUAAAAUUGUAUAAUGAUUUUUUAAUUAUAUUGCAAAACUGUGCACACACGAAAAUAUCUUGGUCAGUAGUAGAAAUGAAAAACUAAAAUGAUUUAUCUAACUAAUUUUUGUAGUGCAUUAAAAGGAGACGGUAAUGGAGAAGAGUUGGGUUGGUUUGGCAAAUAGAUAUCUAAGUUAUAGAUUUUGCAUUUGAGAAUGUUGUUGGUGAUGCAAGAAUUUAUUAUCCUUGUAAGAAGUGUCGAAUAUUUCGUUUUAAGGGAAGUAGCAAGAGACCAUAUCAUUAUAAAUGGUUUUUGGUUAAAGUUUUAAAACUGGAUAUUGCAUGGUGAGCCAUCUUCAUCUUUGGAAUCUAACCAAGAAACAGGUUAGUCAUGACUCGGGUGCUGAUGAUGAUAUGGUUGGAAUGAUACAUGAUACAUCACGUAAUCAAAUGUUCAAUUCACAGACAGCAUUGUUAUGGACUAUCAGUGACUUUCUAGCACAUGCCAACUUGUCUGAGUGGAGUAUUAAAGGUAAAUAAGCAUUUCUUGUUUGCCAACAAAACACCAGAUCGAAUUGGUUAAUACAUAGUAGAAAAUUGUCACGUCGGUAACGUCGAUUUUUACCGACGAAUCAUAGGUUUCGAAAAUAUAGUGCCUUUCGAAAAUCUGGAGCUGAAGUGAAAAAGCAGUUGAAUAAUAUCCUUACUGAGUUUAAGAUUGAAGACUUGAAAAGUGGAGAAUGAAUAAAAUGAGAGAAAUGACAAGAUUACUUGGAAGAAGAAAAGCAUAUUUUAUGAACUACCGUGUUGGGAGUUCAAUUUGAUUCAUCAUAAAAUGUGAGACAUGAGGGAGAGACAAAAGCUCAGGCUUGUCUGCAACCAUGUGGGCCCUCAUAAGCAAUUCGUGUACACAACUUGGUUCACCAAGCCCAACAACUUGAAGCAGGCAAAAUCCGGGAACGAUCCUUCUCCUUCGCAACCCUAGCUGCCUUAACCUUGUAUUUCUGAUAUUUAGUUAAAGAGUAAGAAGAUUGCUCCUCUGUCAAUUACCUUCGAGAGAGACUUUCUUUUUCAUUCAUCGAUGCUUGCUUGUGAAAGCAAGGGUUUUAGUUACACUUUCAACGCUGUCAAUGUAGUGAAGUAAAGCAUUCGUAGAAUAAUGAAGAUGGAAGCCCCACAGCAUGAAAACUUUUAAACAGUAACACAGCUCUUAUUCCAGAGGCUGCACGCGAGUGACCUGAAUCUUCUUCAGAACUUUCAAAUUUUAUCAGGCAAAGCUUUCAAAAUUUCUCAACAAAUUGAUUAUUUGGUGUGGUUGCCACAUUUUGAGUAACUGCUAUUUGUUCUCAAGUACAAAAUCCUUGCCUUCCUAAGUUAGGAAAUAUAGAUGAGAAGCAAACCAAAUGAAAUAAAUGGGUAAACAGAACAAACAGUGCAAAAAUUAAAAAUGAUGGCAAUUAACAAAUUAAUAGCAAUGUUACAUUUGACUCUUUAGCCCUUUGCUCCUUCUCUUAACAUUCUUCAAAGCUUUUGAAAAUUGGAUGUGAAGCAAACAAAAUAAAAUAAAUUUAGACAACACAUACCCUGUAUUCAGCAUCAUAUAUAUGUCGAAUAUCUAAUUUAAUAAAUUUCACAUCCAAAAUACUAAAAUUUUAUUUGCAUGCAUGUCUGUCAAAAUUUCCGUGAUUUAAUGUGCUUUCAUGCACGCAAGUUCUAACGUUUCUGUGAUCACAAAAUAAAACUGAAGAUAAAACAGAACAACUACCAAACCUUUCAAGCUUGACGAAGCCAUGAGAAUUGAUAGCUCAGGCUCUGAUACCAAGUUAAAGUUUCUAAUCUAUUUGAUAAGUAAGAAAAUGAGAGAAAAUGAAAGAAAGAACAGAGAUCAUCUAAGAGCUGGAUUUGAUGAAUAAAUCUGAAUCAUCCAUUCUUUAGCUGAUUACAAAUGUAUUUAUACAAGUUUUCUAAGCACCUGAGAGUUGAAUAACUUAUGCCAGCUCAGCUAACACGUCAGUAACUCUACCUAUCUUGCUUAACAAACUGAAACAAUAACUAACAAUUUUAACUAUCUUAACAAUCCCAAUAAUUUCUCCGUUUGUGUAUUUUUUUGAAUCAUAAUCAAAUGGGUAAAUGUUGCAACUAUUUUUUUAGACAUUUUCACUUUGGGAUGUCAGCCCGAGGAAGUUCGGGGGUCUGAGUUAUUCAACUGAAAAUGUCGGCCAAGUUCUCGCCAUCUCAGGUUCAAAACUGAUAAUCUUGCUCGUUGCUCCCCAUUUAUACUUAUUACGAAACUGAAAAAGUUACUCGUUCCUCUUAACUUGUUUUCUCAUGCAUCAACCCCACAAAACUGCUUAUUGCAGGGGGUAAAAUUUUGAACACAUCAUGUGGAAUUUGGACUAUUUGAUAGUUUGUUUCAAACAUAUCUGUUUAUAAAAUACUUUUCUUCAUGGUUUUGGUCCCAUAAUUUUCUAUGUAUGUACAGGUUUUAUCCAUACCUCUUUUGACAAGUUACACUUACAUAGCAAUGUUAUCUGGGUUCAGCCUUGCCUUUUUCAUAAACUGUGCUUCUGUGAUGAAGAAUGUUUUAUCUGUAAGUGGAUAUCCUAAUCAUUGAUCCAUAAACUUAGGUUAUAUUAUCCAUCAGCAAGUAUGUAUAAAAUUAUUUUAUGUCUUUUUUUAUUAGAAAUGUUGUAAUUCUAUUUUAAUCUUCCUGAAUUAUAACAUCAGGUGUCUAUAAUAACUGGAUUAUUCCUUCUGCAAAACAGAGCAGUGGUAAAUAUUUUUUUCUUUUGUUUGUUUAGUACAUUUACAUGCUUUCAGCUUUUUCAAAUUUUGUAUGUGUCAAAGUUUAAAUUUAAUUUGUUGGUUUAUGCCACAACAAAAGGAACAGCAUCAAAGAGGAGCUGCUAAUGGACUUGCUAUGACUGUAGUGUCGCUUACCAAAACUGCCGGUCCAGCUGUAGGAGGUGCUCUGUGAGUGUCCUGUUGAUUUUGUAAAAUUAUAUGUAAAUGAUGUUAUAAUAUUUUUUUUCAUUAAUUGGGGUUCUGGCAGAUUUUCUUGAUCACAAAAGCGUCAAGAUGCUGGUUUCCUCCCAGGUAUGAUGAUCUACUAAUGAAAUUAUAUUCUUUUUAUUUCAAAUAAUCUAUAAGUUAACUCAAAACAUAAUCAAGCUGAGAAUUAAAAUAAUGCCACUGUAUGAGAAGAUUUUUAUUUUUUUCCCGAAGUUUCACUAGGAAAUUAUUGAUAUAUAGCUUUAUUCGGAUCAUCUCAGUUCAAACGACAGCUAAUUGAAAGACUAAACUAAAUAGACCAGCCAACAACUUUGUACAGUAGAGUUAAAAAAAUAAAGUCAUGGUAUUGAGGUGUUCUGUCUUGAAAAGUACAGCAUAGUGAUAAAAUAAAAACUAUUAGUAUUUGGUAAGAUAUGACUUUUAAUUAAAAAAUUUCACAAAAAUAUAAAAAUAUUUAUAAAGUACUUCUGUAGUGCGGAGACCCUCACUUUGUUAAAGUGAAAAUAUCAACAAUAAACAAAAGACAUAUAUUUUAACACAUUAAAAACUGUAUUUUUUUAUCUAUUGGUGUAUUGAAAUAUGUGUUAUUUAGUUUGCUAAUGAUAUCAUCACUUUGUUAAAAUGAGGAUGUCAUCACUAGAGAAUCAUUAUAUAUACAUAUAUAUAAAGUGGUUCUCUCCAAGACCUAAACUUUAUUAAAAGUUUAGAAAGCAAAUAUAUUUUGUAUGGUAUAAUAGUGUAAUAACAUCACACUAUUAUAUCAUAUGAGUCCCAUAUAGAGUAAUAGUUUUUCGAACUUUAAUAAAGUUCAAGAUUAUAGAAUGAAUGAUUUAUAUAUAUUAUAAAUUUUUUAUUAUAUAGUGAAGGACAAAAUUAACAUAAUUUUCAAAUUAUAUUAAGUAUUUAUCAAAUAAUUUAACAUCAUAAUUUCUCCUAACUAGUAUAGUAAAUACGGCCUAGGAGGUACAUUCAAAGCAUUUCAUAGGUUCCUUGUUCGCUCCAGAUUCAGUCACAGACAAGGAGCCGUUUUUUGAGAAUAUUAAGCAUCAUCUUCAAAUGAAUUUUCUUGGCAAAGGUUUCAGAUCCAAAUUGUUGUUCCAGAUUAGUCCAAAGCUCAAGUAAGGUUUGAGAGUUUACCACAAGACUAAGGAUCUCGAUACUGAUGGAUGACAUUAACCAGCUCAACAACAAUUGAUCGUUUCUCUUCCACGAAGUUGAAUCUUCAAUUUCAGUAAAAAGAAAUUGGUUAGGACAGAGUUUUGAUCUAUCAAGUAGAUCUUCUAGUCCAUUGGCACGGACUGAAGACAAGACCUGUGAUUUCGAGAUCCUAUAAUUCGAUCGAUCCAGUUUGAUGGGUGAAGUGAAAGUAAACGAGGAAACAUAGGAGUUUGUAUUCUGAUUUGAGCUUGACGAAGCCAUGAGAAUUGAUAGCACAGGCUCGGAUAUCAAGUUAAAGUUUCUAAUCUGUUUGGUAAUUAAGAAAACCAGCGAAAAUGAAAGAAAGAACAGAGAUCAUCUAAGAGCUGGAUUUGAUGAAUAAAUCUGAAUCAUACAUUCUUUAGCUGAUUAAAAAUGUAUUUAUACAAGUUCCUGAAUAUUUUAGAUUCCAUAUGCUUGAGCUAAGCACCUGAGAGUUGAGCAGUGUGCACUAACAAACUGCUAACAAAAUAACUAACUUAUGCCAGCCCAGCUAACACAUCAGUAACUCUAACUAUCUUGCUUAACAAACUGAAACAAUAACUAACCAUUCCAAUAAUUUCUCCAUUUGUGUAUUUCUUGAAUCAUAAUCAAAUGGGUAAAUGUUGCAACUGUUCUUUUAGAUAUUUUCACUUUGGGCUGUCAGGCCGGGGAAGUGCGGGAGGUCUGAGUGACUCAACUGAAAAUGUCGGCCAAGUUCUUGCCAUCUCAGGUGUAAAACUGAUACUCUUGCUCCCCAUUUAUACUUACUACGAAACUGAAAAUGUUACUCGUUCCUCUUAACUUGUUUUCUCAUGCAUCAACCCCACAAAGCUGCUUAUUGCAGGGGUAAAAUUUUGAACACACCAUGUGGCAUUUAGACCAUUUGAUAGUUUGUUUCAAACAUAUUUGUUUAUAAAAUACUUUUCUUCAUGGAUUUGGUUACGUAAUUGUCUAUGUAUGUACAGGUUUUAUCGAUACCUCUUUUGACAAGUUACACUUCCAUAGCAAUGUUAUCUGGGUUCAGCCGUGCCUUAUUGAUAAAUCUGUAAUGAAGAAUGUUUUAUCUGUAAGUGGAUAUCCUAAUCAUUGAUCCAUAUCCAUAAGCAAGUAUGUAUAAAAUUAUUUUAUGUCUUUUUAUUAGGAUUGUUGUAAUUCUUUUUUACUUUUCCUGAAUUGUAACAUCAGGUGUCUAUAAUAACUGGAUUAUUCCUUCUGCAAAACAGAGCAGUGGUAAAUAUUUUUUUUCUUUUGUUUGUUUAGUACAUUUACAUGCUUUCAGCUUUUUCAAAUUUUGUAUGUGUCCAAGUUUAACUUUAAUUUGUUGGUUUAUCCCACAACAAAAGGAACAGCAUCAAAUUUUGUUGGUUUAUGCCAAAACUACCGGUCCAGCUGUAGGAGGUGCUCUGUGAGUGUCCUAUUGAUUUUGUAAAAUUAUAUGUAAAUGAUGUUAUGAUUUUUAUUGUCCCCCCCCCCCCCCCCCCAACACAAAAAAAAGCAUGAUUAAAUUGAUCAUUUGUUGGGUAACAACUUGAUUAACCGGUCCUGGCAGAUUUUCUUGGUCACAAAAGCGUCAAGAUGCUGUUUCCUCCCAGGUAUGAUGAUUUACUAAUGAAAUUUCUCACGAGUUGGUGAAUUACUUUGUGCUAAUUAGCUUAAUUAGCUGCUUAAACUAAAGUGCAGGUAACCAAAUGGUUUUUUUUUUCAUUCUGAAUUUGGUUGAGGCACUUGGAGUAAUAUUGACAUUCAAACCGUUUCUAACUCAACGCGCCCCGUGAGUUGAGAAAAGAUGCAUCUGUUGAAAUAUUCAAAUAUAUUUCAAGCAAAUUAAAGCUUUUCAAAAUCUAUCAACAAUAUGAUUAUUUGAUGUGGUUGCCACUUGCCAUAUUUUGUGUUACUGUUCUAAAGGGUUAAAUAUGAAAAUGGUUGUUGGUGCUCACACCAAUCGAUAGCUGGUAACAUUAACUCCUCAAUACUUAUACUUGUUCAUUUUCAGAACUACGACAAUUUAUCUUCACAAUGAUGCAAGCUAGAAAGAAUUUUUCAUGUUAAGUAAAACAUUGAAGCCAUAAAGAGUCUUAAUUGAGUACUAAGUUUUCUACCAUGCUUUCAACGGUAACAUAUUUGGAGCUCUUAUUCCAGGGGCUUCACAGUAGAGAGACCUGAUUUCGAUCUUCUUCAGAACUUGGGGAUUCCGUAAUAACAGAGGACAACAGUUAUAUAAGAAUAUUAUUUUGUACAAUUUUCGUAUAACCUGACCAAUGCAAGUAUAAUUUUAUGAUCUUAACUCAGAUCAAAAGACCUUCAAUGAUGUAAAUUUGCACAUAAAGCUGAGAUCCAAACAUUAGAACUUAUGAUGAAACGCAAACAAAAACGGUGAGAUUGAAAAGAUAGAGAAACACAAGCUUUUUAGUAGGAAUAAAUGCUCAUUUAGUCUCUAUAUUUUGACUCGAGCGCAUUUAGUUCUUAUAUUUUAAAAAGUGCCUCAACCUCAAGACACCCCCUAUUGUGAAAUAUAUUUUGUUUCUACCUUUUUUUUUUACAAUAAUACUCUUGGAAUAAUAUUUUUGGGAAUAUUAAUGAAAAUAAAAAAAUGGUAAUCAUCUAGCCAGCCUUAAACAAAAUAAAUAUUAAUAAAAACUUUUAUGUUAUUAUUUUAGUUUUAGGACUAAUUUCGUAAAUUAAAUUUUUUAUGCAUUUAUUAGUAAGAUUGCUUUAAGAAUAUUAAACAUUACUUUAAGAUGGCUGAUAUUAAUUUAUUUAUAAAGAAUUAUUAGCAAGAUUGUUGUGAAAGUACAAAAAAUACUGGUUAUUUCACAUUGAUAUUUAUUGAUUAAUUUGCCAAUUAACUUUUUUUAUAAAUAAAUUUAAGAAUAUUAUUGCCAAGAUAUUAUUGUAAAGGUAAAUAAAAUUUAAGGAAAAAAUGUAACGUAUUUAAUAUCAAGGUAUAUUGAGGUAUUUUUUAAAAUAUAAAAACUAAACGAGCAUUGAAAUUAAAGAGCAAUGAUAUAGCCACAAACUCUUGUACAAACUUAUUUUGUACAAACUGAUGUGGCAUGAUAAGAUUAGUUGAAUUAAAUAUCACUUUGCCCACAUGAUUUGUUUUUAUUAUUUUAUAUUUUCAUUCAACCAAUGAAUUAAUGCCACGUCAGUUUGUACAAAAUAAGUUUGUACAAGAGUUUGUGACUGUAUCAUUACUCGAAAUUAAAAUACAGGUACCAGACAAGUAUUUUCUCUUUUAGAAAGUUUUAUAUUUUAUUAAUGAAAGUCUGAAUAACAAAAUUAAGGUUUUGGACUUCUUUUAAACUAAACUUAAAUAUCACAAAUUUACCAAAAUAAGUAAACCUAAAAUAUUAAUACAUAAUAACAUUCUCCUAACUGAAAUAAAGAUAAAUGCUACUCAAAUUCUAUAUCUAGAAAAAAAAAAAGGUAAAAAUCCUGAAAACAAUAGGAAAAUAGAUCUUAAACUUGUAAAAUUAUAUGAAAUAAAUAUAAUUUUCAAUCGAACCACGAGACUAAUGUGGCGCUACAGUAUUAGAUUAGAUUCCCCUCGUUGCAAACUUCGAAAGGUAUAUUAUACACCCUAAAUACAUACUUAUAGCUCAAGUUGUUACCCUAGAGAGAUACUCUACUCAUCCUAUGCAACCAUCCGUUGCAUCAAAUUCGUUCCAAAAUUAAGAAUAAAUCAGCUGAUGCAUUCCAAAUAAUUUAGAUGAAACGAUAAAAUAAACCUAGAGAUCAAAUAAAAUGAAAUGAAAAUGAUAAUUACCUCGGACUAAAGCUCAUACAAAUUCAUUAUUUGACACCUCCAGCAAUUGUUGAAAUAAUAGUUAAUGAAAUAUAAAAUAAGACAAAAGUACAUAUUAAUGACACACCACUGUGAAUCGAUACAUCAACGUAAUACAUCAAUUGAAAUAUCAUACGAUAAAUUAGUCAGAGAAAGAAAUAAGUAAAUAAAUCAGCAAAGGAAACAUGCAUAAACAAAUUAAAAAAAAAACAAAGACAAAAGAAGGAAGAGUUGUCUGUGAGAAUCUUCUUCUAUGGUCAUUGAAGUCCCAAAACUAAUAAGGAUCGAUCAAUUGAACAGUUGCAAACUCAAUGGAAAUACAAUGGAACCUUAAAAAUGAACAGUGAAGGAAAAUGAAGAAAUCCGCAGGAAAUAAGGCGAGUAAGAGUGAAGAAUUAAUUACCACUGAGUAAAAUUGAGAGUUGUGAUCUAGAAGAGAUUCUUCUUCUCCGUAAUCCCCUUUUUUCUUUUAAUGUUGUUAUUAUUAUUAUUAUAUAUAUAUUUUCAAUUUCAUGAUUUCUUUUUUGUUUUAAACGGUAUUGGCAUAUUACAUUUAUUUAUGUUAAUUUUACAAUACCUCCCUUCAGAUUGCACAAAUUACAUAAAAAAAAAGCGCUUUAUGUAUAAAACUUUCAAACAAAUUGGGCCAAAAUCUAACUUUACCAAGUUUAGAGUAAUUUUGGGCUCGACAUUCCGUUUCCGACAAACGAAUUUUCUUUAUCACCAAGGUAUGAUACUUUUCAUAUUUAUCCAACGGCUCGUCAAUGACAAUACCUUUGUAAAAAGUACUUAUUUUGAAUAGUAUAUUGUGGAAAUGUCUGGUCGGUAAUACAACUAUUUCUUAUAGUGUAAAAAUGAUACACUAAGCGUUCACAUUUUGAUGAGUAAAUUAAGGAUUUCAAGAUGAAGUACAUAAUUAGAUUAAUGCUAAGAAACUGAAGUUUGAUCGAUUGAAAACGAAAAUAAUAAUGAAGGUAAUUAAGAAAAUGAACAAUAUAUGCGGAAGCGGUCCUUAUUAGUACUUCUAGAUUUUCUCUUGGGCUUUCCUUAUUAUUGUUAAAAAAUGACCCGAAGAACUUUGAGUUUAAAAAUCUGGCCCUGAUGCCUGGUAGCCCUUCAACACAUGAAGCACCAGAUGUUUUGAUGAGAAAAUGACAAGACCAUUUAUCAAAUUUCUUGUGGAUAUAAAUACAUACACAUAGACGAGACCAACCUCCUCAAAUGAGAAUCAGAGUGAUUACAAGACCUUGCAAUGAGACAAUGAUACACCAUCAAAUGUCAAAAUACAAUAGAAAUUCACGACAUAUAUAUAAUAAAAGACCUCUCAUUGAGUCAUAUAUAUUGAGAAUAAAAAUGUUAUAAUACAUACACAGAGCUUAGUUAGAAUAAAAUGUCUUUGAACUUACGAUGAUCAAACAAAGGAAACAGACAGGUUGUAACUCACACUAUCACAAGAAGAUCACGAAGAUGGAAAUGGGAACCCCUCAGAAUGGAAACUUUGAAUAGAGCAAAAAAGAAAAAACGACCUUAUUCACAGAAGAAGAGUGAUACAACUUGGCCAAUUGUUGUGAAUCAGAUCGAGCACAAUGAGACAGCAAGGGAAGAGACCCAGCCUGCAGAAAUAGAAGAAGUCCAACCCUUGAAUGAGACACAAGCUAAAGAGCAGCUCAAGACAGGUCCAGCUCGCGCGAGAAAGAAACCAGGAUGGCUCAAAGACUUUGUCAUUUGAGGAAUGUUCGAGAAUGCUUGAGAUAUCAUAAUAACGAAUAUUGUUCUGUUUUCAAUUAUUGUUUUGUUGUUAUCAAUUUUAUUCUAUUUAGUUAGUUAAGGGUGCGUGGCUGUUUUUGGAAGGGAGAAUAUAUUGUACUGUCAAGGGACCCAUGAGGGCAUGAAAAGAAAGGAUAUCAUUUUGUCUUUUUUCAGCUUCGUCUUCUUUCUCUUCUCUGUAACUCCCCUGUCCCAUUUCUCUUUCUUCAAAUUAUUUUCUCCACGAAUUGGAGCUUGCACUCGCUCAAAGAGUGUCGUAUCAACUGGUGCUUUCAUUGCAUUUAAUCUCUUUACACAAAACAAAAAAAAAAUGUCUCUCACAGAACCAACGACUGAUUCAGCAGUUCUCUCCACCAUGAAGACGCUCAUUGAAAAUCAAAUGCUUGCUGUUCAUCAGACCUUAUAGCAAUAUAUGUCCACGGUGGAUUCUCGAUUUGAGGAGCUACGUUCCCAAAUCAAUGGUUCCGUCGGAGGGUCAGUGGGUUCUUCCCGCCCAAUGGCGCCAGAACCAGCGUCUUCGACUGUACUGUCAGGUGUUACUGAUAUCUCUCCUCUGUUGCGUUCUAUGAAAAUGAAUGUCCCAAAAUUUGAUGGCACUGAUCCGAAUGGUUGGGAUUUUUGAAUCAAUGAGUUCUUUGAUUUUCACGGCACCCCUGACCAUUUACGCCUUCGUAUUGUAUCUUUUCACAUGGAGGGAAAAGCAGCAGCAUGGUAUCAAUGGAUGAAGGCCAACAACUUGCUGAGCACUUGGCAGAAUUUUUUACUCAAUCUUAAGCAAAGAUUUGGUACAUCCUGUUGAAAAGUCAAAGAGGUUUGGUUGAAAAAGAAAAGUGAGUCACAUGCAUUGCUUUUGUUUUUCAAAGUCAGCACCAAAUUGCAAGCUGUAAAAUAUUUGGCAUUUGACAAUCCUGCACCAAAUGAAGAAAAAUGGAAAAGUAAGCAAAAUUUGUCAAAUUGACAGAGAUGGAGAUUGACAAAUUGCAGAGGGAUUAGGUGGAAUAGUGCAUGCUUGAAGCCUAUAAAUUGAAGCCAUUUUUUUUCAUUCUAAAUCAUCCCAAAAUUUGUUAAGCUUAUAAGUUUCUAAGCUUUUGAGAGUUCUGAAAGUGUGAGCAAUUGGAGAGUGUGUGUGAGAGUACUGGGUGUAUUUGGGUUCUGGAAAAGUGAGAUUUCUUUACUCAAAUUUGUACUCAAAUAAUUGUUAAUAAUACAAUUAUUUUUCUCUUGCUCCCAUGGACAUAGGCAUAUUGCCGAACCACGUAAAUUCUUGUGUCCUUUAUUUUUCUAUGAUUAUUCGGUGUGUUUGUUUCCGCAUUCCGCGCACAACAAGUGGUAUCAGAGCCGACGGUUCGUACUUGGGGGGAUACGGUACAAUUUACGUAUACGGUACUAUUCAUGUAUACGGUACUGUUCACGAAUACGGUGGAGACGGCCAUUUGUACUUAGGAGACAGUCUAUUGUAAGUAGUGUGUAUUUUUGCAUGUCUAGGAAAGUUCUGUCAACAAAGGCGAUAAGAGUCUAAGGAUUCUGGUUUUUAAUUGGGACCAAGUUCCUGUCCAGUUUCCUGGAAACUUUCCUGGUGCAUUUAUUCACGCGAAAUUAACAUCAUAGAGACUGUUUUUCAAGUGAAAAUAGUUCGUUGAGAAAAUGGUAGAAGGUGAAACUUCCAGAAUUGGGGAGAGAUCUGCCGAGACUAUUUCAGGAGACACUUCAGGUAGGAGGCGAGAUUUGUCAAAUCGCUAUUCAGCACCUGUUAUAGGAGGCCAGAAGAUCGAUAUUGAAAAGUUUGAUGGGAAAAUCAACUUCGGCAUGUGGAAGCGCGAAGUUAUGGAUGCCCUUAUUCAAAUCGAUCUCGAUGUUGUUCUGAAAAAUAAAAGACACUUGUAUGAUGAAGAAAUUUAGGAUCGUAUGAACGAGAAAGCUUGUGGUCAGAUUUGAUCUUGUUUGACUAAGGAGGUGAAAUACUUGGUGAAAGAUGAGGAGUGUGCGGUGACUUUGUGGCGUACAUUGGAGGAGAAGUACCUGCUAAAAAGUCCUGAAAAUCAUCUUUCGAAUGAAGCCUGGGGUGUCAAUGCACGAUCAUGUCUCAAGAUUUGAAAAGUUACUUGCUGAUUUGAAGAAUCUUGAUGAAGAUAUUAAGGAUGAAAUCAAGGCUAUGAUUCUGUUACACUCACUGCCAGAGGAAUAUAGCCAUUUUGUGACUACCUUGAUAUAUGGGAAGAAUGUGAUCGUCUUCAAAGAUGUUUGCACAACAUUGACUAACUUGGAGAUUCGGAAUAAUGAUAAAAAUUCUGAACGAGCAUCGUCUGAAGCUUUAGUGAGUAGAGAUUGGGUGAUGGAGAAAAAGAAAAAGCGUGGUGGAAAGAAUUCUCGAUCCAAAUCGAGAAGCAGAAAUCUAGCUCGAGAUGAGUGUGCCUUUUGACAUGAAAAGGGCCAUUGGAGGAAAGAUUGUCCAAAGGCUCAAAAGAGAGAUGGGAAGAAACCAGCAGCAGCAAACAUGGCACGGAAAGAUGAGGACUCUGAUUAUUCACUAAGUAUUACUCCUGCAGCAUACGUGGCUAGUUCGAGUGAGUGGAUACUUGAUACUGGAGCAACCUAUCAUUUGUGUCCCAUUAAUGAAUGGUUUACGAAUUUUCGUAAUCUGGAAUCCGGUGCAGUUGUGAUGGGGAAUGAUCAACCUUGUCGCACAAUGGGGAUAGGAACAAUUCGGCUCAAAAUGUUUGAUGGAAUGAUCAGAGAACUCAAAGAGGUUAGAUUUGUUCCAGCUUUAAAGAAAAAUCUAAUUUCUGUGGGUGCUUUGGAAGCUAAAGGCUACAAGGUUACCAUUGAAGAUGGCACAAUGAAAUUUACACAUGGGGCUAUGGUGAUUCUGCAAGGGGUUCGGCGUCACAAUCUGUACUAUUUGAAGGGAGGUACAACUGAUGAAGCAAAUAUUAUUGAGGCGCACAGUAACACCACCAAGCUAUGGCAUGUACGGCUGGGACAUACUGGCGAGAAGUCUUUGCAAACUCUGAUGAGGCACGGACUCUUAAAAGGUACCAAAACCUGUAAAUUAAAUUUCUGUGAGCAUUGUGUAGUAGACAAGAAAACAAGGGUCAAGUUUGGUACAGCCAAUCACGAUACUCGUGAGAUCCUUGAAUAUGUUCAUAGUGAUGUAUAGGGAUCAACCAAGAUUGCAUCAAUUGGUGGAAGCCAUUAUUUUGUUACGUUUGUUGAUGAUUUCUCUAGAUGUGUGUGGGUGUACACCAUGCGAGCAAAGGAUGAGGUUCUAGAGAUUUUCGUGAAAUGGAAGAAAUUGGUGGUGACUCAAACUGGCAGAAAGAUCAAAGUAUUACGAUUUGAUAAUGGAGGUGAAUAUACUUCUGAUCCAUUCUUGCAAGUAUGCCAGAACGAGGGUAUUAAAAGACAUUUCACGGUGAGACAUACUCCGCAACAGAACGGUGUGGCUGAGCGUAUGAAUCGUACUUUACUGGAGAAGGUACGGUGUAUGUUAUCUAAUGCUGGUUUAGAUAAAAAAUUUUGGGCUAAAGCUAUGAGCUACGCAAGUCACUUGGUAAACCAGUUGCCUUCUGCUGCAAUUAGAGGUAAAACUCCUAUGGAAAUGUGGUCUGGAAAGCAUGCACAAGACUAUGAUUCUCUUCGUAUAUUCGGGUGUCCAGCUUAUUAUCAUGUCAAAGAUGGUAAACUGGAUCUUCGUGCUAGAAAAGCUAUCUUUAUGGGAUUCAAAUGUGGAGUAAAGGGCUUCAAGCUUUGGGAUCUCGAAGACAAAAAGUUUGUGUGUAGCAGAGAUGUCACAUUUGAUGAAGCUUCAAUGAUGAAAGCUUCAAGUUCUCAGCAGGUGGAGAACAAGACCAAAGAGGUAUUGCAGCGGGUGGAGUUUGAUGCAACUUCAUAUGUACCAGUUAGUUCUACAUCAAAGAAUGGUUCAACUAUGGAGGUGACACUUAGAGUUGAAGAAUAUGUUAUUUCUUCUGAUGUCCCACAAAAUGAAGAAACAAUUGAUGAUGUAGAUAAUUAUGAUUUUAUAGCAACAAGGAGACCAAAAAGAGAGAUAAAGAAACUCGAAUGGCUUACUAAAGAUAUGGUGGUAGCCUAUGCACUUUCAGUUAUUGAUGAUGACAUCCCCAACACUUUCGGUGAAGCAUUACGCAACAGUGAAAGUGAUCAGUGGAAGUUAGCCAUGGAGGAAGAGAUGAAAUCUCUCCAUCAAAACCAGACUUGGGAACUUGUAAAGUUACCAAAGGGGAAAAGGGCUAUUGGCAAUAAAUGGGUCUACACCAAAAAGCAAGGAUUUCCGAAUCAAACAACUCCUCGAUAUAAGGCAAGGCUCGUGGCAAAAUGUUUUGCUCAAAAGGAAGGUAUUGACUACAAUGAAGUUUUCUCUCCAGUUGUAAAACAUACUUUCAUUCGUAUCCUACUUGCCUUAGUUGCAGAAUAUGAGUUAGAGUUGGCUCAAUUGGAUGUUAAGACAGCGUUCUUACAUGGAGAGUUGGAGGAGGAAAUCUAUAUAAUUCAGCCUUGUGGUUUCAGAGUUGCUGGAAAGGAGAAUCAUGUGUGUAGAUUGAUUAAAUCUUUGUACGGACUGAAGCAAUCAUCAAGGCAGUGGUACAAAAGAUUUGAUCAAUUUAUACAAGGGAAGAAAUUCACCAGAAGUGAACACGAUCAUUGUGUUUACUUUAGAAGACUACUAGAUGGAGCUUUCAUCUAUUUGUUACUCUAUGUCGACGAUAUGCUUAUAGCUUCAAAGAAUAGAGAUGAGAUCGAAAGAUUAAAGAAGCAGCUGGCUUCUGAGUUUGAGAUGAAAGAUUUGGGUGAUGCACAGAGAAUACUUGGGAUGGAGAUUCAUAGAGACAAGAAGAAUGGGAGCGUAUGGUUGACUGAAAAGUCUUAUUUGAAGAAAAUGCUAGAAAGAUUCGGUAUGGAUGACAAAACUAAACCGGUAUGUACACCUCUAGCUCCUCAUUUCAAAUUAAACUCUUCUUCAUGUCCUAAAUCUCAAGAGGAGCGCGAUUACAUGGCUCGUGUUCCAUAUGCUAGUGUUGUGGGUAGUCUUAUGUAUGCUAUGGUAUGCACAAGGCACGAUAUAUCUCAAGCAGUGAGCAUGGUUAGUAGAUACAUGCACAAUCCGGGUAAAAAUCAAUAGCUUGCGGUAAAGUGGAUUCUCCGAUAUCUGUAUGGGACAGUUGAUGUUGGGUUAUUGUUCAAGAAGGAUUGUGGUCAACAAUGUGUUGGGUAUUGUGAUUCUAAUUUCGCUGGAGACCUUGACAAGCGAAGAUCAACAACAGGCUGCGUAUUCACAUUGGGUGAAGGUCCGGUUAGCUGGAGGUCGAUUCUACAAUUGACAAUUACUCUAUCCAGUACGGAAGCAGAGUAUAUGGCAGCAACUGAAGCUGUAAAAAAAGCUAUCUGGUUGAAAGGCUUGUUAAGUGAUUUGGGAGUAAUCCAGGAAAACAUUACGGUCUUCUGUGAUAAUCAAAGUGCGAUAUUCCUUGCGAAGAAUCAAACAUAUCACGCUCGGACGAAGCACAUAGAUGUGAAAUAUCAUUAUGUGAGGGAGAUUAUCAAGAGCGGUGUUGUGUUGUUGAAAAAGAUCGAUACCAAAGAUAAUCCAUCAGAUAUGUUGACGAAGGUAGUUUCUGGAGUUAAGUUUCAACAUUGCUUGAAACUAAUUCAAAUCCUUCGAUUGUGUUAAGUUAUGUCCUUCGAUAAUUUUGAACUACGGUUGGCUUGAUCCCAAAUUUUGGGUACGUAGGCAGUCACAUAGAUGUAACCACUUUGGGGAUGAUGAUUGGUUGGUAGUCGGCUCAGAUUUGAACAAAUCUUCGCCGAGGUGGAGAAUUAUUGAAAAGUCGCCGAGGUGGAGAAUUGUUGAAAAGUCAAAGAGAUUUGGUUGAAAAAGAAAAGUGAGUCACAUGCAUUGCUUUUGUUUUUCAAAGUCGGCACCAAAUUGCAAGCUGUAAAAUAUUUGGCAUUUGACAAUCCUGCACCAAAUGAAGAAAAAUGGAAAAGUAAGCAAAAUUUGUCAAAUUGACAGAGAUGGAGAUUGACAAAUUGCAGAGGGAUUAUGUGGAAUAGUGCAUGCUUGAAGCCUAUAAAUUGAAGCCAUUUUUUCAUUUUUUCUUACUUUUCCAUUUUUUAUGCAGAGGGAUUAGGUGGAAUAGUGCAUGCUUGAAGCCUAUAAAUUGAAGCCAUUUUUUUCAUUCUAAAUCAUCCCAAAAUUUGUUAAGCUUAUAAGUUUCUAAGCUUUUGAGAGUUCUGAAAGUGUGAGCAAUUGGAGAGUGUGUGUGAGAGUACUAGGUGUAUUUGGGUUCUGGAAAAGUGAGAUUUCUUUACUCAAAUUUGUACUCAAAUAAUUGUUAAUAAUACAAUUAUUUUUCUCUUGCUCCCAUGGACGUAGGCAUAUUGCCGAACCACGUAAAUUCUUGUGUCCUUUAUUUUUCUGUGAUUAUUCGGUGCGUUUGUUUCCGCAUUCUGCGCACAACACAUCCAUGUAUGAAGAUCAUCCAGGUAACCUCUCCAAGCUCUCCCAAACGUCGACUGUUGCUGAUUUUCAGUCUGCCUUUGAGGAUUUGAUGAACAAGGUCACGGGCAUCUCCGAGCCAUUGUUGGUUAAUUUCUUUAUCACGGGCUUAAAACCCGAUAUCAGGCGAGAAUUAUUAUUUGCAAGACCCACAUCUCUCAUGGAGGCUUUUGCUUUAGCCAUAGCUUAUGAGGCACGAUCGGAAGAAAUCAAGACCUCUAGCCGUUCUUGGACAAAGUGGACACCCUCAUCUACUUACACCCACCAAUCCACCAUUACUGCCUCCCCACAUCCUGCAUCAUAUAAAACCCCAACAACAACUACUCUUCCGAGUUUGUUAGCCACUAAACAGCCACCUCAACCCCCAUUAUUGCCUACUCCCACCUUGCCUAUUCAUCGAUUAACUCCAACAGAAUUAAGAGAGAAAAGAGAAAAAAGGGCUCUGUUACAACUGUGACAAAAAAUAUAGCGCCACACAUCGCUGUCGUAGCAAGUUUUUGUUAUUAAUGGGUACGGAUGAUGAAGAUGAUGAGCCAAGUGAGGACGCUUUUAUUCAUGCACAACCAGACGAAGUAGUCACAGCGGACAUAUCUAGUUUGCAUGCCUUGGCUGGGCAAACUAAUCCACGAUCUUUAAGGGUGAUGGGCACCGUUGUCAACUAUCAGUUUCAGGUGUUAAUUGACAGUGGCAGUACCCACAAUUUUCUUAAGCCGCCAUUGGCUAAACGCCUUGGCCUUUCCGUUCAAGCUAUAACUCCUUUUCGAGUUUACAUUGGCAAUGGCAAUUUUCUUACUUGUCGAUUUCUCUGCCCUAAAGUGCCUAUCAAUAUGCAGGGGCAUGAAUUUCUUUUGGAUUUCUUCCUUUUGCCAAUCGAAGGCCCUGAUGCUUUCCUUGGGAUUCAAUGGUUACAAAGCUUGGGAAGAAUUUCUACGGAUUAUUCCGAGAUGACGAUGGAGUUUCAGUAGGAGGGAAAAUCUGUCAUUUUACGAGGAGACCCAAUUCCAAAUCCGAAUUUAAUCUCUUUUAACCAGUUUCAUGCCUUGCUAUCCAACUCCAAAAUCGACAACGUAUUUGAACUUCAUUCUUUACCAACUGAACCAUCAACAACUCACACAUCUACCAACACAUUGCCGGAUAAUGACUUAGAAUUUCCGAGGUCGUUGCCUGAACCUAUUACUACUCUCCUUCAAAAAUUUAAGGCAUUAUUUGCUCCACCCACUGGUCUUCCCCCUCAACGGCUAUUUGAUCACAAAAUACACCUUAUUCCCAAUUCCAAACCAGUCAACGUUCGCCCAUAUCGGUAUCUUUAUUUUCAGAAAACCGAAAUGGAGAAAUUGGUGAGAGAAAUGUUAAAUCAAGGCAUCAUAAAACCCAGCCAAAGCCCAUUUUCUUCACCGGUAAUGCUAGUAAAGAAAAAGGAUGGCUCCUACAGAUUCUGUGUGGAUUACCGCGCUGUGAAUACGGUGACAGUGAAGGACAAAUUUCCCAUCCCCACUAUUGAUGAAUUGUUUGACGAACUUGGCGGUGCUAGGAUUUUCAGCAAACUUGAUCUAAGAGCCGGUUAUCACCAGAUAAGAGUUCACAAGAGGGAUACUUAUAAAACAGCGUUUCGCACGCAUGAUGGACACUACGAGUUUCUUGUUAUGCCGUUCGGUUUGACCAACGCGCCGUCCACUUUUCAAGCAACAAUGAACCAAUUAUUUGCUUCCUUUUUACGUAAAUUUGUUAUUGUCUUUUUUGAUGAUAUAUUGGUCUAUAGUGCAUCAUUGGCUGAUCAUGUGUAUCAUUUGGAGCAGGUUAUGAGUUGUUUAUACACAUAUCAAUUUUAUGUCAAAUUCUCCAAAUGUUUGUUUUGCCAGGAAUCAAUUGAUUAUUUGGGCCAUAUUGUGUCGGCUCGAGGAGUGCACGCUAAUCCGCAAAAGAUCACAGCCAUGGUAGAUUGGCCCUUGCCUAAAUCGGUGAAGCAACUGAGAGGGUUCUUGGGGCUGACAGGGUACUACUGACGUUUUAUUCAAGGCUAUGCAACCAUCGCAGCUUCUCUCACUGAGUUGCUUUGUAAGGAGGCUUUUUAUUGGAAUCUGGCAGCUACUCAAGCUUUUCAAGCAUUAAAGAAGGCUCUUGUGGAAGCCCCUGUACUUCACUUGCCGAAUUUUGCCUUGGAGUUUGUCAUUGAGACCGAUGCUUCUAAUGUCGGGAUCGGUGCUGUGCUAAUGCAAGUCGGGCAUCCUCUAUCUUAUUUUAGCAAAAAGUUGGGUCCUCGAAUGCGUGCAUCCUCGACAUAUUUGAAGGAAUUAUAUGCUAUUGUAGCUGCGGUUCAAAAAUGGCGUCAAUACCUCCUUGGUCGAUUUUUCCUUAUACGCACUGACCAUAAAAGCAUAAAGGAACAGUUUCAACAAGUUAUUCACACCCCAAAGCAGUAAUUUUACAUUCGCAAGUUGAUGGGUUAUCAAUACAGAAUCGAUUAUAAAGCUAGUAACUUCAAUAAAGUUGCUGAUGCUUUAUCGCGAAUUCAUGGGGACAACGUGACUGAAGAACCCAAACCAACAGCACUCUGUUUGUCAUUUGUAAGCCAACCUUCUAGUGAACUAUUGACAGCUCUGCACAAGGAAAAUUGCACUCUUCCUGAUAUGAAAUAACUCCAUCAGAGGUAUGCAGCCGGUUCACUUUCUUCUGACUUCUCGGUUCCUGCUAUUUCGACAUCGAUAUUACCUCAGCCCCAACUCAUCAUUAAAAGCCGUGCUACUCAAAGAGUUUCACGAGACACCUAUGGCAGGACAUGCUGGUAUUAAAAAGACAUUGGUACGUCUUUCAUCGACUUUUUUUUGGCCUAAGAUGAGGAAAGAUGUUGAGCAAUAUGUAGCCGCUUGCCUUGUUUGCCAGCAAAUUAAAUACUCAACUCAAGCGCUGGCGGGUCUGUUACAACCUUUGCCCGUCCCUUCAUUAGUUUGGGAUGAGUUAACCAUGGAUUUCAUUACAGGGCUGCCACUUUUGAGAGGAUUUGAAGCAAUUCUGGUUGUUGUGGAUCGUUUAUCAAAGUCAGCUCACUUUGGAGCCUUGCCUUCUCAAUUUACUGCCAUCAAAACAGCAGCUUUAUUUGCUGACAUGGUUGUAAAAUUACAUGGAUUUCCUAGCUCUAUAAUUUCAUAUCGUGAUCCUAUAUUCAUGAGCAACUUUUGGCAAAAAUUGUUUGAUUUAAGUGGGACAUAGUUAUGCCACAGCACGGCUUAUCACCCUCAAACGGAUGGCUAAUCCGAAGUAGUUAACCGAGGGCUUGAGCAAUAUUUACGAGCCUUCGCACAAGACAAGCCACAGACAUGGUCUUCAUUUUUAGGCUGGGCUGAAUUUUACUACAAUACCAGUUAUCACAGCAGCUUGCGUAUGACUCCCUUUCAAGCCCUUUAUGGACGUCUUCCUCCCACAAUUCCAAGUUACUCAAGGGGCUCUACUUCAAUCCAAGCGUUAGAAGACAUGUUAAUUGAGAGGGAUGCCAUGCUUUGCUCAUUGAAAGAGAACUUACGACAAGCUCAGCAUCGAAUGGCUCAAAAGGCUAAUUUACAUCGCCGAGAAAUUCAAUUGCAGGUAGGUGAUAAAGUGCUGGUACACCUUCAACCAUAUCGCUAGACAUCAGUUGCUAAGCGCUCAUCUCACAAGCUGGCAAGGCACUAUUAUGGACCAUUCACAGUGGUAAAGCGUAUUGGACCCGUUGCUUACAAGUUAGAGUUACCCACAAAUUGUAGAAUUCACUCGGUGUUCCAUAUUUCCUUACUAAAACCUUAUGUGGGAAACUUCCUCAUUGAUGUUUAUUCACUGCCUCCAGGAAGUGUGGAUAACAAGCCCCUGUCAUCGCAAAUUGCAGUAUGUGCUGAGCGAAAGAUACUUCAACAAGGCAAAGUAAUUCCACAAAUUUUGGUGCAAUGGUCUGAUAGCUCACCAGAAAAUUCGACUUGGGAGGACUUUGAGGAAUUUCGUAAACUCUACCCUGCACUACACCUUGAGGACAAGGUAAGCUUUCAAGGAAUGGGGAAUGAUACAACUUGGCCAAUUGUUGUGAAUCAGAUCGAGCACAAUGAGACAGCAAGGGAAGAGACCCAGCCUGCAGAAAUAGAAAAAGUCCAACCCUUGAAUGAGACACAAGCUAGAGAGCAGCUCAAGACAGGUCCAACUUGCGCGAGAAAGAAACCAGGAUGGCUCAAAGACUUUGUCAUUUGAGGAAUGUUCGAGAAUGCUUGAGAUAUCAUAAUAACGAAUAUUGUUCUGUUUUCAAUUAGUGUUUUGUUGUUAUCAAUUUUAUUCUAUUUAGUUAGUUAAGGGUGCGUGGCUGUUUUUGGAAGGGAGAAUAUAUUGUACUGUCAAGGGACCCGUGAGGGCAUGAAAAGAAAGGAUAUCAUUUUGUCUUUUUUCAGCUUCGUCUUCUUUCUCUUCUCUGCAACUCCCCUGUCCCAUUUCUCUUUCUUCAAAUUCUUUUCUCCACGGAUUGGAGUUUGCACUCGCUCAAAGAGUGUCGUAUCAAAGAGUGACUUAAAUUUUCAUCAGUAUCCAGACAUUCUGCAAUCAUAGAGUAGAGAAAUUUUAACAGGAACAGCAGAGAAAAUAUUAUGAAUAUGCUAUAGACCAAUAUACUUGUUCAUAGCUAACGUUUGAUGGUUUAAGGAUUUGUUCUAGGAAUAAUGGGUUGAUUACUUUUUUUAUUUUAAUUUUUUUUAAUCCAAUGAAUGAUAUUCAGCUGUUAAUUAUGUGUUCAUAGGGAAGAACAUUUUCUAAGUACUUUCCUUGCCUUCUAACUUUCCGAAAAGCAAACCCAAUGAACAAACAGAGCACAAACUAAAAUAAAAGAACAGCAAUGAUGACAAUAAAUAAUUGGAAAAGAAAAAAAGGAAAAAGUAUGCACGUUUUCAAGGAAUUAUAAAAUACGAAGGCUUUUAAUGAAAUUUUAUCAUAAAAACGUAUGCAAGGAGUUAUAAAAUUUUAGAAGACGAGGGGAGCUCCCAAAAAAAAAAAAAAAAGAAAAAGACUCAAAUUAAACUAGACUAAAAAGACAUUCAAUUAUGCAAAAUCUGUCCAUAAAAGUCUGAAAGGAUCAUUAAAAUUGCAUUGCAAAUUUAACAGUAAACUGAGGGACCCAUUCUAAAUAAUUCAGUUGAAAUUGCGAAACAAGCCAUGGGAUUAAAUAAAUGAAAUAAAAAUUAAUUACCAGUUGAGACUUUCUUCUAAAAAUUCGCAACUCCAAGUCAUAAGAAGCCUAUGAAAUUAGUCGUAAUACGUAGAGUAUAUCGACGACACCGCCAACAGCUGAAAGUAAAAUUCUUAUUCAUCAAUGUAAACUUACUUUAUAACAAAUAUCUUAUCUAUAUUGUAUUUAAGAAAGCAAAUUUUGUAAAAAUUUAUCAUGGGAGAUAGAGAGUAAUAUGUAUAUCCGUACCUUCUCAGCAGGUAAUUGUUGUAUGGUUGUGUUUAGAUCAUUAUUAGCCCAGCGCCGUUGAUCCGCUGUCUCUCCAUACCAGACAUUUACUCUUGGAGGCGUGAUUGCUUCUCCUGUAGUGAAAAUCUUCAUCUUGGGACAACCAAUCACCCACAAAUCUUGCAAAGAUGGCAAUUUGAAGGUGUAAUUGGGAGAGCAGAAACUUGUGAGGCUAUCUAAAUCAAACAGUUCCAACGUCUUCAAUUUGCGGAAAACAAUCUCUUCUUUUUCAACUCCAUCUUUGUCAUUUAUUACCACCUCUGUCAUUGCUCUGCAUCCAUAUAUUUCUAUUGCUACGAGUCGCACCAGAGUUUUUGCUGUGGAGGAUGUUACCAUGUGUAACAAUUUCUUGCAACCGAAAGCCACCAGAGCUGUUAGGUUCUGAAAAGAUACCGAUGAUGAUGGCAAUAGAAUUAACAGACUUUGACAAUGAUAUGCUUUUAGAAUUUCAAGAUACUGAAAAAUGGGGCCAAGUUUGGAGUCUUGUUUGCACAGCUGCUUCAGAUGAUAGUGCCAGCGCAGCUCUAAUGUUUUUAUCAUUGCCAACUUCCCCACAUGUUUCUCUAAGCUUCCUUCCUCCGAAAAUACCUCUUCGUGGAAUGAAAAUUGAAACAGUGAGAGUAUUUCGAGAUUGUGAAAUCUCUCAAGUACAUUCCAGAUUGGAAAACAAGCUGAGUUAUCUUCGGCAAUCUCUAGUUGUUUAAGACUGCCAAAAAGGUGUUGUGGGAAAUCGGCCUGCAAAAUCAUCUUCACGUCUUUUCCAUUCAAUGAUAGGUCCUUCAAGUUGGGUAAGAUCUGAUCAUCAUAAAUCAUAAUAACUAAUGAGGUCAAUUGAUGUUCUCUCAAAUGAUUUUGAGUAAUCCAAUUACCAGCAGUGACUUUAUAGUAUCUGUUUUAUAUUAAUUUUACCCCCAAAAAAAAUUUAAUUAGUGAUAAAAUUCAUUAUAUGAUUUUUUAUAUGUUAAUUUUAGAGGUAAAAAAGAAAUUAGGGAAAAAGGGUUGAUUUAUAUUUGCAUGAAUUUCACAACAAUAAAUUAUUAAUUUAUUUUGUAAGUCGUUGUAUAAAGAAAAACUAAGGAUUCUUUACCUAAAAAAGUUCAUAUAAUUAUUAAUCUCCCACAUUGAUCCCUUUGUCAAGACUAGCAAAGAUUAUUAUGUAAUAAAAAUUUUCAAUUUAUUAAGUAUUAAUUUAUCAAUGUUUUGUUACAUUUUUCAAAGUCAAAAGACGUCAAUGAGAUAUUGAAAAAAAUAUCUAGAAAAUGACUUCAUACCUUUUCCAAUGGCAAUAGGGGCUGUUGUGCAGGAAUACCAAGUUGAUCAUUCCCAUUAUUCUGCGAUAAAUCUGCAGCGAAUAUUUUUAAUUUGUCACAACGACACACUGCAAAAUUUUCUAGUGCUGGCCAUUCCGAAGUAUGCAUUCCUGGGUAUAAACAUCUAAGUUUUGGUAGACCUUGGAGUAUCAGAACGGUGAGCUGUGGAAAGACAAAAUAAGGGAUCACUUCAUCUGCUCUGUUUUCAGAAAUGAUCUCCUGUAAAUCCUUACAGUCUCGUAUAUCUAGGUGUUGGAGCUGCUUAAGGCUUCCGAUCAUAGACGCUGAAAAUAUGUAUUUCAGUUUGUCACAGUACCACACAACUAAUCGUGUUAAACUUUGAAAGUGAGGAAACACGGCCGCCGGAAUUUGAUUGUAGUGCCAAAUCUUGUCGACAUUAAUUGCAGAUAUCUCCAAAGCCUCCAAGUUAGGCAACGCAACCUAAAAAAAAUAAGAAUUUCUCGUUAGAUCCAAUAUCCAUAUGGGAAGCACUUGUUGAAAUUUUCUUCUUUGAUUACAAAUUAAUGCAAGUCAGAAUCAAUUUUCAACUGACAGCUGAGUUUGAUGCAUUCUAAUUCAUACUACUUGUUAAGAGCUCAAUUAGUGAGCGUGUGAGAUUCUUUUUAUCCUUUUUUCCAUUUUCUUUCAAUUCUUUAAAUGAUUUAAUUAUUUUCCACGUAUGACAUCAAAAGAGAACGCAUGAUAGAAUAAAAUCUGUUAUAUAUAUAUAUAUGAAGAAAAUGUUAGCCUACGCACCUUCUUGUUGAAAAGCAGAGUUGAAGUAUCCUCUUGCGACGAUGGUCUGUUUAGUGAUGCUGAAGGAGUCUUUACUUCACGGCAGACAUUUGUAACCUCUGGAAGAUUCCCCAGACUCAAAGAUCUUAAUUGAGCAAACUCUAUCUUCUCAAUUGCAUUAUCAACUUCUUCCCCAAUUGCAAAAAUCUCUUUCAUCUUGCUGCAAUUAACAACUGCAAUUCUCUCAAGUCUUGGAAGGCAUUUUGUAGUAGAGAGCCAAAAGAUAUUACUCAAUUUAUCACAAUUAUAUGCUUCUACGGUUUUGAGUUAGUUGAAAGACUCUACUUUGAGCCGAUCAACACAUAUCCUCUCCAUGUUGAUCAAAUUGUGAAGGAUAAGUGACUCCAAAAGAGGAAAGGCUUCACAAGCUACCAUCUCCAUUGAGUCCACGAUACACAGGAAGUUAGGAUUAUUUUGAACAUGGAGAUGCUUCAAUUGUGAAAAGCCUUCUGUGUCCAAAUAAAAAAGAACAUUCUUGACACCUUGCAGCUUGUCCAACCAUAGGUAUUCAACGUUAUUGAUGCCCUGCAAUUUCAUGGAGCAAAUGUCCAUAAAAUCAAGCUUGAGCUUCAAUUCUCUUAAACUCUCACGAUUACUCUUGAUCAAAAAGUGCGGCCGGCUUUGAAACCGUUCUCUUGUAACAUUCUUGGGAGGCAUGAAUGACUCAUUUCCAAUGGAUAUAUUGAACCUUUCGAGCUUUCUGGCCAAAAAGCCUUCCGAUAAAAUACUGUCAUUUUUAACAUCAAUUUCUAGAGUGGUUAGCCAAGGUAAAAGCAUCAAUUCAUCAAGGCUAGCAUUACUUCUUUCACUGUUGGCUCUUUCAACCUCCCAUUCAACGGAGCAAUUACCCAUAUACAAUUAUUCUAAUCGGAUUAAGCUUGAUAUGACAUUUGGGGCAAUAACUUUCAGACGGAAACAGUCUGUUAAAUCUAACAGCCUUAGCUUAGUCAGUUGCCCUAGUGCUUUAGGUAACUGUACAAUAUCAGACCGCACAAAGCUAAGGAUUUCUAGAUUUUCCAACUUUCCAAUAAUGGCUAUGUCCAUGUCUCCCAAAAUGCUUUGAUUAAGACAAAGUGUCCGAAGAUUUACUUGAAGAUCAAUUGAAGAUGGCAAUGACAAUAACCGCAUUCUAGUCAAAUCCAAAACCCGAAGCUUUUUCGUCCUUUUGAAGAAGUUCUCAGGAACAUUGGGCCCAACAAAAGAGUUAUUGGGUGACAUGAAUUAAAAUUCAAGUUGUGUAGAUUCCAACACUUCAGGAAUGUCAUUAAUAAUACUAUCUUUUAAACAAAUUGCAAAAUAUUUUUUUAGUGCAUCUGCAUCUGGCCAGUUCCACACACCCUCAUUUCUCACCGCAAAUGCAAUUUUGUCACGACGUGCUAUUGAAAUGGCAACAUCGCGAACAACAUCAUGCAUGGAAAAGAAUUUACUGCUACCAUCCUCAUGCAACAAACAAGACUCUCUUAGUUGAUGGACCCAUGCAUGUAAUUUGUUUGUUAUGUGCAUCUUCUAGCUUAUGGACACUUUCAAAUGCACCCAAGCCCAUGCUAUAUUUGAACAAGUCCAUAAUUGAAGUUGGUGUAAUUAGACUACACAGUAAAAAAGUUUUCUUGAGUUGCUCACCUCUUAAAUACUUGUAACUUAGCUCAAUUGUUGAGUAUGCCUCUACUGGUACUCCUUCAUCGAAGCUUGCCUCUGAAGGCGUUUGGAGUUCUUGCAAGGCAUUCUUCCACACAGGCAGCUCUUUGUUUCUCAGUGCCUUUGCUACUGUGGUUAGGGCAAUAGGCAAACCUCCACAUGCCUUGGCUACAUUUGUUGCUGUAGAUUUUAACUCACGAUUUUCAACAUAAUUACCAGCCAUUAUCUUGAACAACCUCCAAGCUUCUUGCUCAUUUAGAAUGCCAAUCAAGAAGUUAUUUUCAGAUCCCAUACUUAACAAGACAUUACGAUCCCUUGAUGUUAAUAAUAAUUUGCAUCCUCUAUGAUCAUCGCCAAAAGGAAUUCCGACAGUCUCUAAAUCAAGAUAUUUCCAGAUGUUAUCCAGAAUCACAAGGAUCAUCUUCUCUUUCUUCAAUCGUUCAUAAAGUCUACUAGCUCUUCUAGAUUCAGCCUCCUCGGACAACUCCAGACCUAGUUUCUCUGCAAUUUCCCCUUGAAUCUUUUUUAUGUCUGGAGUUUGGGAAACCUCUGAAAAAACCACCUGAUCAAAGAGUUUCUCUUCACUGGCUUGCCUUGCAAACUCCUUCACCAGUGUUGUCUUUCCAAUGCCGCCCAUGCCGUAUACCCCAACGAUGCUGACAUUGACAUCAGUCAAUGCAUCUUGUAUAGACUUCAGAGUAGAAAGUCUUGAUUUAAAGGCCUCGUAACCUUUGUUAGACUUUAGCCAUACCUCCUCCGCAAUGGUACGGUAGAAAAUUCUAUCAUCAAAUCUCCUAGCUUCUUCUUUGAGUUCAACAAGGGCCUUCACCUCUGUUUCUGCUUUCUUGCUAAGCUGAUAGCGGGUCUUCAAAUUAGGACACAAGCCCUUGAAACAUCGCUUACUUGUUGUCUCCCCAUCUUCAAUGAAUUUGGCUGCCUGCUCAAUGGUGUUGUUCGCACUAACCAUCCACUUCUCAACCUUCUCUUCAAUCUUUUCUCCUUUUCUUUCAGCCUCAGAAACUCUGUGCUGAAUGCUCUUACUUUCAUCCUUGAGCUUGUCUAUUUCUGCCUUGAGAUUCUCAAAGUUGUCUUUAUAGUUACGCAAAUAACCAAGUUGGCGUUCUGUUGGAGGAGCGAAGCAUUUCACAACUUCUAACAGAACAGUAACAAUGCUUUCCACCAUCUUCGAUCCUAUUUUUUUCAAAGUUCCGAAAUGAAAAUAAACGACGAGCGAAACACAGAGAGAGAGAGAGAGGCAAAAAAAAGAAAAACGAAAAAAAGAAAAUGAAACAACAAAGAUGACAAGUGUAUAUGGUUGUGGAAGUGGAGAAAUCAAUGAAAGCUUAAAAACUGCUGUGAAUCUGGUGAGAAGAUGGAAACAAGGAAAAGGUUUCUAGUUCAAAAGUGAUUGAAUUGAUAUAAGGAAUGAUUUAGAUAAUAGAGGAAAAGUGAAUCAGUCAAAACAACUUAUGUAUUGACCAGAAGAAAGAUGCAAACAAUAUUAGAGACAACAACCGCGCUAUUGACUGGUAAUAGAGAUGGAGAAAAAGAAAUAUCUUCACACGGUGGAAGUACAAAGGGUAGAUAUGGAACCAAACAGAGACAACAACAUGCCACAACUAGAUUGGGAAUGGAGAGAAACAAAUUAACAAAGACUGGAGAUUACAACAGAACAGAUGCCAAGAGAAAAGGGUUUCUUCAUCCAGUGAAAUUCAAGAGAGUUGACAGCAAAAGGGAGCAUAUGUGUUUCUUGAUUGAGAACGAGUGCAAAGGAUGACUUUUUAAUGAGGUUCUGAAGCUGACGAAUAACGAUUUGCUAAAAUUUUGAGAAAGUUAUAUAUUCCGUAACUUCAACAAGUGAAGAAUAAAAGAAUAAUAGUUCGUCAUCUUCACAAUGAAGAUCAUGGAUGAGAUUAAAAGCUAAAACUAGUUUUCAAAAUAAUUCCUUAUGAANNNNNNNNNNNNNNNNNNNNNNNNNNNNNNNNNNNNNNNNNNNNNNNNNNNNNNNNNNNNNNNNNNNNNNNNNNNNNNNNNNNNNNNNNNNNNNNNNNNNUCUUUUUUCUUUAAUACACGAAUAUACGCGACAUCUUAUUUAUCUUAAUAUGGUUAUUUGAUAUUUAUAUUUUCACAAAUCAAAACAAAAAAAAAGUAGUUAGAUUUUAUAGUUUAAGAAAUAAAUAUAUUUUAUAAAAAUAUUUUUAGAAUAUAUAUUUACUUCUUAUUCAAACUUUUUUCUAUUCAAUAAAAGUCACAAAAGUUACUUUUUCUAUUCAAAUGUAAAUGCUUAAAAAUCAGAUAUAAGUUACAAAAAAUGUUUUUAGAAAAAGUCAUAAAUUAAUAAAAUUUCAGAUUUUAUAUAUUUAACUCCCAAUGCAGAUCCGCCCCUAUUAGUGUUAGGAAAUUGACCGGUGAAGUAGGUCCACAACUAAAAUGAAAUUGAAAGAAAAUGAAGAACAAGCACACAGAGAACACCAAAAAUUACAUGGUUCGACUUUUAGCCUACGUCUACAGGUAAAGACAGAAGGAUAAAACUUUACUGGUGAAAUGAGGAUUACUAGUAUUAUAAUAUUUUGUUUCACUUCCCAGAACCUCAAUCCACUCAAUCUCUUAAAACACUAAUCACUCAAGAGCAUUAAAACUCUUAGUCUCUCACUCUAGAAUUGAAGAAGAAAAGAAUGAAAUGCGGGGGUGAACCCCUCAUUUAUAGUUAAAAAUUUGGGCACUAUUUAUAUAUUUAUAUAUUUUUUUUUAAAUUCAAAGUUUGAACUUGACAUUCAAACUUUGAAUAUCAAAAGGUAUUGGUCGCUCUUCUAGAAAAGCGAUAUUGACUUUGACAUUCUCCCACUUAGAAAUUUAAUUGAGAAUCAAUCAAUCUCCACACCAUCCUUUCUACUUCGCCGCUAUCAUGUUGCUUAUGUCUCUACUAGGCCAUAAAAUGAUCUACUCCAAACAAAUUUAUCAACAUUGAUAGGCUUGGGCAAAACAUUUGUUAGGUUCUCCUUGGUAUCCACUCUUGUAUCUUUCACUACUUCAUGAAGAAGUGAUAUUGUACUCCUAUAUUCUUUGUCCUGGAAUGAAAGGUUGGAUUCCUUGCAUCCUAACUAUCACAAGCCAUAAAAAAUUUUAUGCCCAAGCUCCUUCAGUAACCUUUGUAUCCAAAUAGCCCUUCCAAGCUUGUGUAGCUGCUAUGUAAUCUACUUCUGUUGUUGAUAAAACCACAACGGUCUGCAAUUUUGAAAUCCAACUAACAAUUUCUCCUUCUGGUGUAAAUACUUAGCCAGUAGUGGAUUUCCUUUUAUUAAGAUUUUCUGUAAAAUCUAAAUGCACAUAGCCCUUGACAGUAAAUUCUAAUCCUUCGUAACAUAAUGCAACAUCUAAUGUUCCUCUGAUAUAUCUCAGAAUCCUCUUAAUAGUCUUCCAAUGUUCUUUGCAAGGAUUCGCUAUGUAUCGACUAACCGCUCCCACUACUUGUACAAAUCAUAGUGAACCUUAAAUUUUCCACUGCUGAUGCAUACAGUGCUCAAGACAUCUCUUCUUCUCUACUUCAUUACCAGAUGAAUACUUAAGAAUAACUUAAAAUUAAUAGGAGGCGGGGUAGAAAGCCAAAUCUUCUUGCUAUUACUAUCUCGGUGAAUUUGCAUCCCUAAAAUCUUGUUUACUAGUUCUAAGUCUUUUAUUUCAAACUCCCUAGUUAACUGUGCCUUCGGUUCUUGGACUCGGUCUUUGUUGGGGUCUGCUACCAAUAUGUAAUCCACAUACCACAAUAAAAUGAUGAAAUCAUUAUUAUCAAACUUGUUGUAAUAUGUACAACAAUCUGAACUGAUUCUAUUGUAUCCAAUGUUUAUGAUGAAGGGAUUAAAAUCUCUUAUUUCAACAUUUCGGUGCACGUUUGAGAUCGUAUAGAGAUUUGUUCAACUUGCAAACCAAGUGUCCCUUUUUAGUAAAAUCUUCUAGUUAGAACAUAUAAAUCUUUGUUUCAAGUUCUCCAUGAAGAAAUGAAAUUUUCACAUCUAACUGCUCCAAAUAUAGGUCAAAUGUAGCACACAUUGACAAGACCACUCUGACUGUCCUAGGUCAAAUCACUGGAGAAAAUAUGUCAUUGAAGUUAAUACAUUCUUUCUAAGCAUAUUCUUUCACCACCAAUCUUUCACGAUACCGCUCCACUAAGUUAUUACCAUCACAUUUGAUCUUGUGGACCCAUUUGCAACCAAUGGUUUUUUUUUUUUCAUAUGGUAGUAGUACGAGUUCCUAUGUCAUAUUCUUGUGUAGAGCCUUAAUUUCUUCCUGCAUUGCUAUCAUUCACAAAGUAACAUCUGAGCUGUUUAAAGUUUCAUGGAAAGUUGAUGGCUUUCCAUUCUCUGUUAAAAGACAGUAUGCAAAAUUGAUAUCUAUGACAUAAUCCAAAUGCCACACUGACAGUUAUCUAUCACGAGUUGACCAACAAACUUUUGGGGCCUCAGACUCGAUUGGUUCUUGUUCUCAUACUUUGGUGUUGCUUCAAAAAAAUAUGAAUCUUCAUUUUCCAGAUUAUUUUCAACAUAUAUUAGCACAAUCUCUGAAUUUUUAUAGUGCUAUCAUCCAUAUCUCUCUUUUGCAUUUGAUCUUCUACAAAGAUAAUAUCUUUGCUGAUAACGAUCUUGUGAGCAUUGAGGUCCCAUAGAUAAUACCCUUUCACUCCAUCAAUAUAUCCUAAGAAGAUACAUCUCUAGGAUUUUGGAUCCAUCUUUAAUCUCACUUGGGUAUUGUAUAUCACGUAAAAGGACAUCAAAAUGCCUGAGAUGAGAGUAAUCAAUUGGCUUUCCUGUCCAUUUUUCCAUUGGAAUCUUCAACCUGAUUGCCUUGAAUGAUGACCCAUUUACCACAUAACAAGUAGUUUUUGCUACUUCCGCCUAGAAUGAGUUGAUAGACCAGCAGUUCUCAACAUAACUCUUAUUUUUUCUAUAAGAGUCCUGUUCUUUCACUCUACUACUCUAUUUUAUUGAGGAGUGUAUGCCACCGUGAACUAUCUCUAGAUACUUUCUUGCUUACAUAUGCAAGAAACAUGUUAUCUGUAUACUCUCCACCAUUGUUUGUCCUCAGGCACUUGAUCCCUUGCCCUGAUUUAAGUUCAAUCUACGCUUUGAAUUCUUUGAACAAUAGAAAUACAUUUGACCUUUUCUUGAUUGGAUACACCAAAUAUCUCCUAGAAUAAUCAUCAAUAAAAGUCACCAAGUACUUUGCACCUCCUAUAGAUAUAUCAAGUUAUUCCCAAACAUUAGAAUGAAUCAAGUCUAAAUACAUUUACUUUUGAAAGUGGAUCUGCUAAACUUUCAUCUAUGAUGCUUCCUUGUUUCGACAUGUGGCCAAGUUUAAGAUACCACAUCAUCGUUGAAUUUUCUCUAUUUGAUGUGACACACAUAAAAGCUUUCUGUAGUGUUUCCCUUUAAGUAUGAAUAGAUUAGCACCGAUCUUUUCCACUUUCAUUAAUGCAAGUGCGCCUUUGACUAUCUUUAUGAUCCCAUUUUCUACAUGAGUUUUGCGCGCAAGACUAUUUAUUUGUCCUAAAGAUAAGAGAUAUUUUUCAAGUCUUUGACAUGUCUUACCUUCUCAAUUGUGUGAACCGUACUAUUAAACAUAUUUAUUUUGACAGUACCAAUAUCAGUAAUCUCAAAGGCAUGAUCAUUACCUAUGUAUACAAAUUCUCUUGAAAUAGGUUCAUAUUUGUGAAAUCAUUCUCUUGGAGAGAUCAUGUGCCAGGCAACUAUUAAGUCUAUAAGCCAGACGUCAUAUAGUGGUUUUCUGCCUUUUGAAGUAGUUGUUGCCUUACUGUAGAGAAUUUUGCCCUCAUACGAGGUACUUACUACAUACCCUUGAGCAUUUGAUGACUUAGGAUCUUUACCCUCUCUUCUCUUCUAGUUGUUCCAAUACUCUUCCUUGCCACGCCCUUUCUUGCCACAAUUGUUGCAUUUGACAUUCUUCUUACUUCUUGAUUUUGAUCUACCGUGAUUGUGGCUCUCACUAGGGCCACGUUCCAUGGAUCUUCCUUUCAUCACCAAUAGUGCUUCUACUUGUUGCGAACUCGUUUGUCUAUCUUUUUUAUUUUUUGCUACUCUCCUCAUUUAAUACGGAGGCUGCCAUAUUGUCAAAGACUAACUUGUCUGCUCGAUUGUUAUUAGUUAGAUUAAUGACGAAUUGAUCAUACGAAUCUGGUAAACCUUGAAGUAGAAGCUCCACAUGUUCAUUUUCCUCUAUUUUAUGACCUAACGUUGUAAGUUAUGAAAAUAAAGUCUUUAAAGUGUUGAUAUGGUCGAUCACUGAUGUAGAUUCCGCCAUUCGAAGAGUAUAAAGCCUCCUCUUUAAAAAGAUUUUAUUUUGUAGUGAUUUGACCUCGUAUAGUCUUGUGAGAGUAAACCAUAUUUCCUUUGCUUUCUUUUACUCUACCAUAUUGAAUAAUACCCUAUCUGAAAGUGGGAAGUGUAGAUCUGCAAUGGCAUUAUUGUCUAUUUGAAAGUGGUAAGUGUAGAUCUGAAAUGGCAUAAUACCACUAUUAGAAAAUUGAUUGGUGAAGUAGGGUCACGAUUAAAAUAAAAUUGUAAGAAAAUGAAGAACAAGAACACAGAGGACAUCAUCAAUUAUUUAGUUCGGCUUUUAACUUAUGCCCAUAGGCAAGGACAAAAGGAUAAAACUUUACUAGUGAAAUGAGGAUUAUAAGUAUUUUAGUAUUUUGUUUCACUUCUCAAAACCUUAAUACACCCAAUCUCUCUAAACACUCUUAAUCACUCAUUAUAGAACUAAAGAAGAAAAGAAUGGAAUGAAUGAAAUGAGGGGGUGAACCCCUCUAUUUACAGCUAAAAAUUUGGGCAUUUUUAUAUUUAUUAUUAUUAUUAUUAUUUCUAAAUUUAAAGUUUGAACUUGAUAAUCAAACUUUGAAUAUCAAAAGAUAACGGCACCAACCUUGACUCUUAGGCUGACCUUUAGAGCUUUAAAUAAAGAAAAAGCUUUUAAAAAUGUCAUGUGUACUUGAUUAUACAAAAAUCUCCACCACAUAGAAUGAUUUGAUAAAAGAAAAUUUUUAUUUUUAAUUUUACUUUUAUCAGGCACAGUGCAUUUCCCCUUGGGCUCAUAUGUAAGGAUGUCAAUAAGAAGGGAAGGAGAGGGGAUUGAUUUCCCCAUACUCAUCUUUAAUACUCUGUCUAUCUCUUUGUACUCUAGACAUUUCCUUCAAAAUUACUUGAAAUGAGGGGAUGGAUGUUUCUAAAUAAUACAAAGGGAUCUCCGAUGGUAUCCGAUCGCUGAUUAUUUAAUUUCUUUUUUUUUCUUAAUUUAAUCAUCUUAAAGUAAAAAUAUAAAAUCAUAUUAACACAAAAAUAUCAAAUUAACUAAAGUGAUUAAAAUCAUUUCCAUCAAAUUAAGUCAAUGUCAUCAAAUUAGAACAUAAUCUUUGAACUAAUUAAGCAAAAGUAAAUCUUCAAAGUUGAACUCAUCCAUAAAUGUCAUAUAGUAUAAACCAUCAAUUAAAUUAUCUUUGUCAAUUUUAAAUUGUUUAUAUUUACUUUAUAUUGGCUGUUAUUUAUAUUAUUUUUAUAAAUGUAUUAUAAUAUUUUUUAUUUACAUCACACUAUUACAAUUGAAAUUUUAAAUGUAUUUACUAUAAAUUUGAAAAAAAUGAAUUAAAAAUAGAAACUAAAGAUAGAAAUAGAAAAAUGUGGAGCCAAAUAAAAUAUUAGGGCAAACACCAAGUUAUAUUUCAUGUAACUUACACCCACACAUAUUAAUUUAUCAGAUUCUUGUCUCCACAUAGAAAAAUUAGAUCUAAAAUUAUCAAACUCCCGAAUGAGGAAGAUCCCUCGGGGCCAUCGUCCCUGUGGAAAUUUCUGCAUCCCUGCAGUCUACAACGCCUAAUAAUGAAUUGAACGGUUGAAAUCCCUCUAAAUUUUUGAUAAUUUCUAAUCGCCCCUCCGUAUUUGAUUGAACAUCAAAACUAUUGAGUCCAAAUUUAUAACUUUGAUUUAUCUUCCAUUCCAUAGUUUUCAAGUUCUCUCUCUCUCUCUCUCUCUCUCUCUCUUAAUCCUUUUUACUGCAACCACCAUCAAAGCCUAGUAGUUAAUAUGUAUGCUGCUUUGCUUUCAAAAUCGGACACUACUGCUAUUUAUGGUUUUUAUUCUUUAUUUGACACAAAAUUUGGUGAUAUCUCCGUGGAAAAACACUACUGGUGUAUUCAAUUUUAUCCGGUAAUGGUUAAAUUGAUUAGUUAUAUGAACGGUAACUUCGCCAAGACGAAAAUACAUAUUAAGUUAUAAAGUGUUGGCACUCAUUAUUUUUCGCAAAAAGUUUCGCCCAAAAUACAUAUAUUUUUUUAUUGUUUUAUUUGACACAAAAUAUUGACAAAUUUUUCUGUGAAAAAACACUACUAUUAUAUUCAAUUUUAUCAUUAAAGUUGUUAGUUACAUGAACCUUAAAUUUGUUGGAUCAUAAACUUGAUCCAAGAUGAAUAAAUUCAAGCCCAAUUCAUGGAAGAUUCCAUGAGUAGGUAUGGUUGGUGAAGUAGGUGAGUGGUAGGUUUUAAUAAAUGGUGAUGAUUUAUGUAGUAGUUGAAUAAAUGAAUAGUUGUGAUUAGUUUGUAUCAUGUAUAAAUACCCCCUCUCCCCUUUGGUUUAAGCAUCAAGUGAAGUAACAAAAUCUCUAAGGUGUAGAGAAUGAAAAAUAAGAGUUGUAAUUGGUAAGGAGUGUUGUUGAAGAAAUAAAAUAGUGUGAUUUGUGUGUUUUAUUUGUUAAUUCUCCAACAAAAUUAACACGAACCGUAACUUAGCCAAGCCCAUAAUACAUAUUUCAUAUUUGUAUGAACUUUAAAGUUUUUCCACUUAUUAUUUUUCGCUAAAAGUUUCUAAAUUGUAUUGUAGUUUGAACUUGCCCAUCAUUCAAUUUUUUAACUCCACAAUUAUUUGACCUUACCAAGCUUGAAAAUAUCCUUCCAUACAUAUUUAAUUUUCUCCAAGUAUGAUCAAGAUUUAAUCAAGAGCCUCCGGGAUCUUAAAGUAUAAGAAAGGUCCGGAAAAUCUUUAAAACCCCACUGUUUAAAGUUUUUUUGGACUUUCCUGUACUUUAAAAUCUUGAAUUGAUAUAUAUAUAUAUAUAUAUUAUCAUUGUUAGGUGCUAGUACCCUCAUUUUUUUUUUUAAUGCAAACACCCUCUUAAGCAGUAGGGUUUAAUAGGAUUAUUGUUGAAUAAACUAUAAAGUCGUGCAUCUUAAUAACAUUAAAAACUAACUUUCAACUAGCUCUCUUAAAUUGUACGGCUUAAAAGCAUGUCCGCAUGAAAAAAUAAACAUGCCUGCACCAAAAAAGGACUAUAUAUAUUAUUUAUUUUAUAUAUACAUACGUGUGCACGCUCGUGUAUAUAUAUAUAUAUAUAUAUAUCUUUUUAAUAUAUUCGAUUACUUUAAUAAUCAAUUUAAAAUAGUUUGUGAUAUUUUCAGCUAUUUAUUUAUCUACUUUUAGUUAGUUAUUUACACCGAAUGAAGUGCUAGGGUCCAAAUUUUAGUAUCCUUCUCAGUUGUUUGGGAUUAGUAAAUACUAAUUAGCUUAUUCGUCCCGAACAGGCGCGUAAAUGCUGUUAGAUUUCGGAGAGAUCGAUGCUGAGGAUGGUACAAGAUUUAUCAAAUUGUGGCGACAUUUUUAUACCUUUAGAAUUUCAAGAUUUUGAAGAAAUAAAUGGAAUCUGUUUUCCAUAAGUGCUCCACUAUCCACCAGGAGGAAUUCUAAAACACAUUACAUAUUCGUGAUUUCUCAUAAUAAAUAAACACAUGUUAUAACAUUAUUUACUUAUCGUAUGACUGAUAUGAUACUUUGGAUUGCAAUUCUCAUACAAUACAUAGAAUUAUCAUAAUCUAUAAAUUGUAUUUUUGCUUUUCUACGGUAGUAAGUCAAGAAUCCUUAGUGACAAUUUAAAUUGAAAAAAUAAAAUCAUAAAUAAGAAUUAUUUGAUAAGAAUUAAAAUAAUUGAUAAAUAUUUGAGAGGAGCAAUUUUGGAAGACUCGAUUUCUAAUAGGAGGGGAAUUUGAAUUUUACAACUUUCGGUGAGGAAUCCAAAAUGCACAAUUUGAUGAAAAUUAAAUUUCAAUAGAAAUUGAAUUCCCAUAUGUUAGUGAAAACCAAACAACAGAAAAGUGAAAGGAAUUUGAAUUCAUUUCCUUCCCGUCUCAUCCCUCCAACUAAACACCAUCGAGACCCAAAGAUAUGGGUUUGGAAUUCCAUACUGAUCACAAUGGGAUUUGUCCAUAUUAUUAGGACCAAUUUUAAAAGCAGUCGGAGUUUAAAAUUGAAAUUAAUCCUAAUUUUUUAUUUGGGACUAGAUAAGAAUUUAUAUUGUAACUCCAAUUCUCCCAAUUAUUUUAGUUGAUAAUAUGUUUAACAUUAUUAAUUGCAUAUUAUUUAAUUAUCAGUAUAUAAUAUUCUUUAAUUUUCCAAUUUUAUAGGAUUAGACACAAAAUUGAUUAUGCUAAUAUUCUUUAAUUUUCCAAUUUUAUAGGAUUAGACACAAAAUUGAUUAUGCCUUCUGAAAUUUAAGGGUUAUGUCAAUUGAACAGAAAACUUGGAGUUGAACUUUUGGAUGUUUUUGUUGAUUAUCAAUUUAUGCAUGAAUUUUUGUACGUUUACUUUGGUUUAUUAUUGUUACUUUUAGACAUUUUUAUUGGUUUGAUUUAGGGUCAUUUUGGUAAUCUUGUAAUUUUUAAAGUAGUUACAGUUAGCUAUGCUGUAGAAAUUGAUCAAUUGUGAAGAGAAUCAGCUGAACAUUUAGUAAAAUUUAUUUUUAAAAGUACUUUAGUUUUAAAAGCAGUUGUAUGUGUUUCGUAAAUCUUAUUUUUAAACAGGUGCAAGAAUAUAAAUAACUAAAUUGGACAUAAUGCUAAAUAAAAUUUAUUUACACAUUUACAAACAUGUAUAUAAAAUAUUUUUAUUAUGUACAUAUAAUUAUUGAUAACUAAAAUAAAAAUUUUAUAUUAUUAAAUUUUAUUCUUUAUUUUGUUAUCCCAAUAUAAUUGGUAAUAAUAAUAAUCUCUUAAAGUUAAUGAUUUUAUUUCUUAAUUAAUAAAGAUAAUUCUGGAUUUUUAUUAUAUAAUGAGGAUAUAUAUAUAUAUAUAUAUAUAGAAUUGGAUUAAGUAUAAAAGUGAUUUUCAAAAUCAAAUUUUGAAAAACUAUUCCUUCCAUACUUUUCAAAAUCCACUGUAUGAUGAGAUGAUUUUUCCAAAAAUAAUUGCUAAAAAAUUAUAAAACACUAAAAAUUAGGUUUUAGUUUUUAAAAUCACUUUUGAGCUUCCCAAAAACAAUCCUAACAGGCCUUUAUUUAGGUGGUGUUGGAACUUGUAACUUUUGGAUCAUUUGGUUUUUAUUGGUUUGAUACAACUGUUACACUAAAAAUUGAAUGUAUCUUAAACCCCACACUUCUUCUUCUUCUUUUUUGAUUGCACAAAAUUAAAAACAAUAGUGAACGCAUUCUUUAAUAAACAAUAAGUAAUUACUAAAAUUGUGUUAAAGAAUUUAGUUGAAACAUAAAUUGAUUUCAAUGUUGUAUAUGCUAAAUUUCUUAAAAAUUUCUUUCACGGUUUGCUGAAUAGUUUUAUUAGUAUUUUGAAUAAAUAAAAAUAAUUGAUUUAAUUUUUUAAAGAAAUUUAUUAGGUUCAUGUAAAUACGUUUUUGUUAUUUUAAAAGUGUACAAAGUAAAACUUAAUUUUUUAAAUUUAUUAGAUGAGUGGAUAAAAUAAUUGAGUGUUCAUAGUAAAUUUUAAAGUAUAGAUAGUGAGACCCUAAUAUUUUUAAUAUAUGGAAAUUUUGAAAAUAUGUUAAUGGGAAUUAAAAUGAUAAUUAAGGGAGGCAUUCGAGACAUUCAGGAUUGUUAGGAUAGGACAUGAUUGUGAGCGGUUUGAGAUUGGCCCUAAUUUUGAUCACAAAUAUAUAAGCAGGAUGAGUUUAUCCAUUCUUACAUUCCAUUUGAUAAUUAAGAUGAGAGUGGAAUUGUCAAAUCCCAAAUUAUCCCGGACCAUUGCCACCAAAGGUACUCUCACUAAUAAUAUCUAAAGAAAAAUCUACAUCUAUUUCAUACCUUUUUUUUAAACGGAAAGAGCCCUUAUGGGGCUUGAAAUGGUAUCCUAAAUAAUAUUCAAAAUAUCAGGCCAUGACUGGGUUUGUAACAAACAAAUAUUACAUAGUUGGGAUACGUAGUUACUAGUGUCCCAAUUUAUGUAGUAUCUAUCAUUUAGUGCACAUAUAAAGUGUUUGGGAAAUGAAAUAGGGUGACCAAGAUAAGGUGUUUGCUCAUACAUUAUCGUGCUCUCCUCAAAGUAAAAAGUGAAAAAAUAGUUGAUAGGCUACUAGGAGUUUAUUUGGUCACCUCGAGCACAUCACCUCGACCAGGAUAUUAUUUGGUGAUCUCGAGCACAUCAUCUUGACUAAGAGAUUAUUUGGUCACCUUGAGUAUAUCACCUCGACCAGGAGAUUAUUUGGUGACCUCCAGUAGAUCAUCUUGACCAGGAGGUUACCAGGAAGCACGACUCAGUCGAAACAAAUCUCACUUAUUUUCUUCGAAAUAUUAGGGACCAUAUUCUUAGUGGGCUGAAAAUUGGUGGUUUUCUUGAGAGUUUUAGGUGAGAGGAUAAAAAUCACUAUAAUUUGCUAUAAAAACCCUGGGAAAGGGAGGGAAAUAGGGAGAUUCUUUUUAUCUCUCUCUCUUUGGGUGACUGAACCCAUGGGAUCUUUUUCUUUCUACCACUGGGAACCUUCUCUUUCUCUCAUGAUUUAUUUUUCUUUAAGAUUGGUUAUUUUUUAUUCUUUUCCCAUAAAUUUACUUAAAAGCUUUUUGUUUAAAGUAUUCAUAAUUAAGCCGCGUGAAUUGUGGUACGGAUUUUUCCAAGUAGACCCAAAUCGCUGACUUGAGCAUCGGAGGAUUUUCUUUAAGAUUGAUUAUUGUUUCCAUAAAUUUGAACCAAGAAGGAUGACGCGAUAAAAUUUGUUUUUAUUGUAUGGUUGAUUUCAUAUCUCAUGCACUCAUUUCUUAAGAUAAUUAGAUUUCAUCUUUUGCAAAUGUGGAAAUAUCAAUUAUGGUCAAUCAAAACGAUCUCAAAACCUUUCAACGAGACAUAUUUAUAAUACAAUAUUGUGAAAAUUACACCAAAAAAUUAAUUUAUGAUAUAUUAUUAUCCCACCAGCACACAAAAAUGAAUUCGUACAAAUCUAAAAUACUUAGCAAUUUUCAAAUAGAAUUUUAAAUUUAUUUCCAGUUAGAAAACUAUUCGCUGGACUCCAUAUUACUAGCCACCAUCGUAAGCCUAACCGGUUGCCGGCGAACGGCGUAAAACACCAGCCAUCUUCUUCUUCAUCAUAUUCUCCUUUCAUCUUUUGAGUUAAGCCUGUGAUUAUGAGUUUCUUCUCUUACUUAGCUUGUAAUUAUAGAUUUUGAUUCUUUUUAAUUCAUAUUGUAGCCGUUAUUGUCAAUUUUUGUCCCGCCAGCAAUAUUUUUUUAUUCCUACAAGUUGAAAAUGGAUUCAUUUGAAUUACUAUUGAAUUUAGCUUUAAUUUCAAUAUCCAUUCUAAUGUUUUGCUAUUAGAUUUGCUUUAAUUUUAUGUUUAAAGCUUCUACAAUGAAUAGCGGAGCUUGGGUUUUAGUUUCAUUUUCUGUAACUUGUUUUAGUUUAUCUUGUAUGCUCACCAAGUGCUUGUUAUAUUGUCUGAUAAGUUCUAUACAUUGCUGAUUCUAUAUUAAUAAUGUUAUGUUCUAUUUUCAGAAAUUAUAAUACAAAAGUUUUUACAAUGGCGUGCAUCUACAAACUGAAUUGACUUGUAGAAUAAGAGCUUGGAGUAGUGUUAUGUUCUUGAAUAAAUGAAAGUUCAUAUUGUGUAAGAGCAUGUAGAUGUAAAGCGUCAUUACCAUUUCUAUAAAGGACUUUCAUUCUGUUCAGAUGCUCUUCUUGAACAUUGAAAGGUGCCUCGUUCAAGUCCUAGCUAUAACUACUAGCUUUGAUUAAUUAAGUUCCUAUACUAGCUGAAACAGAUUUAUUUAAUUAAUUAAUUGUGUAUGUACUGAUUAUAUUGAAAGUAUAUGAAUUUUUUUUUUUUUUAACAUGAAUGACUUCUAAAUGACUUAAAAACCUAAAGGAUAUGUGAAAUUAUGCUCAUUUCACAUGAAUGAGCCUAUUAAUACUUUUAUGUCUAUGAUUGUCAAUAUUGGCUUAAGCAUUUCAGUUAAGUGGUUUACCUAACAGAGAAAAAAAUUUAAUAGAAAACUUCAGAGUUCUAACAGAAAUAUAGUUCACUAUGCAGAUAUAGUUAUUUUACGGUAUACAAAUCAAGUUGUCCUAAUCUCAAUGUCCUAUGACCAAUUUUAUUUUAUAUAGUCAUUAAUUUUUGCCAUGGUUUUUUGUGUUUAUGAGUUUGAAAUAGUGGGAUUUGGUGUACCUUAGCAUCUUUUGAAAAUUCUCUUUAAGUGUGGCCAACAGAAAUAUACAUAUAAUCAAGUUUCUUAAUCCUGUAUAUUAGUUUUGGGUAUGAAUGGUCCUAUUCUAGCUCUAGGCAAAGCUUCUUUGUUUUGGGCUUCAGAUUUCCAGUAGGUUAAGUUAAUCAACUAUCAUAACUGGCUAGCUAGUUAUUUGUUUGCCUUGCGGCCAUUACCCAGGGCAUUAUAUUUGCAUAGGCAUAAGGGAAUAGUGAUUAUUAGUGAUUUGUUGAGCUUAUUAUUGACGAAACAAAUGUAUUUCGCCUUUGCCCACAACUUAUUUGAUUAGGUAUUAGACCAUAAGGAGCCUGGAUCUAUUCAUUGGCUUUAUUAUUUUUAUUUGGUUUUUCUUUCAACAAUAUUGUUGAUUUCUUAUAAAAAUAUUCAUUGGCUUUUAAACACCUAAUCAUUGGCUAUAUGAAGCUAAUUAAAACUGAGGCUUUGGAUCAAUUUCUUCUAACAAGAUACAAAUGAGCAAAACCUUUCUCCUCUAAGUUAAUUUUUUUAAUAUCCCUUGAUUUGUAAGGAUCUGGAGGCCUGAAUCCUCUUGAUUUUUUUUAACACUGUCAAUGUUCUUUUUAUUCUGAGAAGGAAAUAAAAGGUUUUAUCUUUCAUACCCGAAUAGUAAGCUGGCCUUGUCUUAACAUGGCCUCCCGAGGACUUGCAAGAUUCAUAGUGCCCCCCACCCCAAAAAAAAACAUAAAAAACACAAAUAGGAAGAUUUUGCAAGAUUCACCACCAGGUUUUUUUUAAUUUAUUAAUUGUGUGUACGUGCUAGUUAUAUGUUGAAAGAAUAGGAAGAAGUAUUUCAACAUGAAUGACUUAAAACUUAUUGCUCAGUAAACAUAAUCUGCAUCAGUGCGAAAAUGUAUUUAUCGUUUGUAUUUUUUAUGGUUUUGCUAAAGAAAUGAUAUGUGAAAUAAUGCUACAUUGCAUCAGGAAUAAAUUGAAGAGAUUUAUGAUAUUUAUGUGUUAUUCAAAUUUCAGAUUCAAUUUUAAACUUUUGAUACGUGCAUUGAAAGCUUAGACUUGUUUAAGAAAUCAUUAAUAGACACAUGUUUUAUUAGUGUCAUCUUUGGAUGAUAGUGAGGAUCAUAUGUCUAUUAAUAAUUCUUGAAUUGUCCAGGCUUGGACAGUUUGGGAAUGCAUAGUUCACUCUGGUAGCUAGUAGCUGAAGUUUUUUCCCACGUAAAAAUGGGUUUUUCGGUAGCUGCUCCUCGUGUUCUCUGGGUACGUACUAGGUGAAUGGGUGUCAUGUGCUGUUUUGGCAUAACGCAUAAACACUUAUAUAGCUAUGUCGUGUGCUUGGAGAAUUAUAGGGAGAUGGUGCCGAAAUUUUUAUAAACGUGGAAGAAAACUUUAGGUACUUGAGAUUGAAGAAACUAAUGCAUUCUUGAGUGGGAUAUGUAGGAUUAGUUGCCUUUUGUAAAUAUGAAGGGAAUGUUGGAUAUAUUGGGGAUAGUGUAGGAGCUGAGUUGGAUGAAUGUAAUUGGUGAUGAUUUUGCUGAGCUGACCUUGGUUUUGAGCUUGUAAUUUUGUUUGUAAAUGGAGUGCUAUCUCCAAUGUUGGUUUAUAAAAAUGUUUCAGGACUUGCUGACCUAAUUUUUUGUUUCUAGGUUACAGGCUUUAUAUAUCUGUAAUUGAUAGCCAAGUGAAGUUCUCAGCACUUGGCAAGGAUAUUUCUUUACAGAAGGUACUGGAAACUGUUUUUUACAUUAAUUAUCGUUGUUUAUAUACUUUGAUUGUCACAUCUUUUUCUCUGAUUCUUGUGGCUUUGCUUGCUUUCAUAUAUGUAAAUUCUAAUGAAAUUAACCAUAAAAUUGUAAAAUGAUUUUUUUAUUAUAUUGCAAAACUGUGCACACACGAAAAUAUCUUGUUUAGUAGUAGAAAUGAAGAAAUAAUUUUUGUAGCGCAUUAAAAGGAGAUAGUCAUGGACAAGUGUUGGGUUGGUUUGCCAAAUAGAUAUCCAAGUCAUAUACUGAUGGCGUUGAAAAAUUUAUAGAUUUUGUAUUUGAGAAUGUUGUUGGUGGUACAAGAAUUUAUUGUCCUUCUUGAUAAGUGUUGUAAUCUAUAUUUCGUUAUAAGGGAAGUGGCUGAUGAUGAUAUGGUUGGAAUGAUACAGUGCAUCACGUAAUCAAAUGUUCAAGUUACACGCAGCAUUGUUAUGAGUGGCAACUUGUCUGGGUGGAGUAUUAAAGGUAAAUAAGCAUGUCUUGUUUGCCAACAAAGCACUGGAUCUAAUUCGUUGAUACAUAGUAGAAAAUUUUGUCACGUGGGUCACCGUCGAUUUUUCCCAACAAAUCAUAGGUUUCGAAAAUAUAGUGUCUUUGAAUAAAACUAGAGAGUAGGGACAAGCACCUUCUCAGUUGUCUGCAACUGAAGUGAAAAAGCAGUUUAAUGUAUUUACUGAGUAUAAGAUUGAAGACUUGAAAAGAGAAGAACGAAUGAGAAAUGAUAAGAUUACUUGGAAGAACAACAGCAUUUCUUAAGAUUACUUGGAUGAGAAAUGAUGUGGAAGAUGGCUAUAAAAGAUAAAAGGAAAGGCUUAAAAAGAAAAGCCACGCCUGUCAAAAACAAAAAUCAAUGGCAGCGUCAAAUUUAUAACAAAAAUCAAAACGGUGCGUUUGAGAGUGUAUAAAAUACAUUUAGAGUGGGAGUUGUGUUGUUGCUUGAAGGCAGAAUGUUUGUGAGAUAUUUGUCGACGAAGCCGAAACCAAAGAUGAAGCCCAUCGAAAGUAUUUAUAGUGUAAAAAGUAUAUUGUGGAAAUGUCUGGUCGGUAAUACAACUAUUUCUUGUAGUGUAAAUGAUACACUAAUUUGAAUUUAUAUGCUUUUAUGAUUAUUUGAUUAUCAAGUGGUGAUCAUAUGUGAUGAUAAACUUAGGUCGUACCUUUAUAUUUAUAGCCUUAGUUUUCUAAGCGUUCACAUUUUGAUGAGUAAAUUAAGGAUUUCUAGAUGAAGUACAUAAUUAGAUUAAUGCUAAGGAACUGAAGUUUGAUCAACUGAAAACGAAAAUAAUAAUGAAGGUAAUUAAGAAAAUGAACAAUGCAGAAGCGGUCCUUAUUAGGACUUCUAGAUUUUCUCUUGGGCUUCCUUAUUAUUGUUAAAAAAUGACACGAAGAACUGAGUUUAAAAAUCUGGCCCUGAUGCCUGGUAGCCCUCCAACAUAUGAAGCACUAGAUGUUUUAAUGAGAAAAUGACAAGACCAUUUAUCAAAUUUCUUGUGGAUAUAAAUACAUACACAUAGACGAGACCAACCUCCUCAAAUGAGAAUCAGAGUGAUUACAAGACCUUGCAAUGGGACGAUAACACACCAUCAAAUCUCAAAAUACAAUAGAAAUUCAUGACAUAUGUAUAAUAAAAGAUCUCUCAUUGAGUCAUAUAUAUUGAGAAUAAAAAUGUUAUAAUACAUACAAAGAGCUUAGCUAGAAUAAAAUGUCUUUGAACUUGCGAUGAUCAAACAAAGGAAACAGACAGGUUGUAACUCACACUAUCACAGAUGUAGCGACACGAUGCAGUGAAUCACAAGAAGAUCACGAAGAUGGAAACGGGAACCCCUCAGAAUGUAAACUUUGAAUAGAGGAAAAAAGAAAAACGUCCUUAUUUCAAAUUGUGCACAGAAGAAGAGUGACUUAAAUCUUCAUCAGUAUCCAGGCAUUCUGCAAUCAUAAAGUAGAGAAAUUUUAACAGGAACAACAGAGAAAAUAUUAUGAAUAUGCUAGACCAAAUUAGUCCCUUUUUUGGUUUGUGAAAACUUUAUUUUUUAUGAAUACGCUAUCCAAUAUUUUCAAUCAAUAUUUCCACAAUAUAGUUGUUCAUAGCUAACGUUUGAUGGUUUAACGAUUUGUUCCAAGAAUAAUGGGCUGAUUACGUUUUGUUUUAUUUUUAUUUUAUUUUUUUUAAUCCGAUGAAGGAUAUUCAGCUGUCUUUAAUUAUGCAUUCAUAGGGAAGAACAUUUUCUAAGUACUUUCCUUGCCUUCUAACUUUCCAAGGAAAGAUAGGUGUAAAGAAAAGCAAACCCAAUGAACAAACAGAGCACAAACUAAAAUAAAAGAACAGCAAUGAUGAGGAUAAAUAAUUAGCAAAUAAAGAAAGGAAAAAGUAUGCACGUUUUCAAGGAUUUAAAAAAUACGAAGGCUUUUAAUGAAAUUUUAACAUAAAAAAGUAUGCAAGGAGUUAUAAAAUUUUAGAAGACGAGGGGAGCUCGCAAAAAAAAAAGAAAAAGACUCAAAUUAAACUACACUAAAAAGACAUUCAAUUAUGCAAAAUCUGUCCAUAAAAGUCUGAAAGGAUCAUUAAAAUUGCAUUGCAAAUUUAACAGUAAACUGAGGAACCCAUUCUAAAUAAUUCAGAUGAAAUUGCGAAACAAGCUAUGGGAUUAAAUAAAUUAAAUAAAAACUAAUUACCAGUUGAGACUUUCUUCUAAAACUUCGCAACUCCAAGUCAUAAGAAGCCUAUGAAAUUAGUCGUACAGCGUAGAGUAUGACGACGACACCGCCAACAGCUGAAAGUAAAAUUCUUAUUCAUCAAUUUAAACUUACUUUAUAACAAAUAUCUUAUCUAUAUUGUAUUUAAGAAAGCAAAUAUUGUAAAAAUUUAUCAUGGGAGAUAGAGAGUAAUAUGUACAUACGUACCUUCUCAGCAUGUAAUUGUUGUAUGGUUGUGUUUAGAUCAUUAUUAGCCCAGCGCCGUUGAUCCGCUGUCUCUCCAUAGCAGACGUUUACUCUUAGAGGCGUGAUUGAUUCUCCUGUAGUGAAAAUCUUCAUCUUGGGACAACCAAUCACCCACAACUCUUGCAAAGAUGGGAAUUUGAAGGUGUAAUUGGCAGGGCAGAAAUUUGUGAGGCUAUCUAAAUCAAACAGUUGCAACGACUUCAAUUUGCAGAAAACAAUCUCUUCUUUUUCAACUCUAUCUUUGUCAUUUAUUACCACCUCUGUCAUUGCUCUGCAUCCAUAUACUUGCACUUUGACCAGUCGCACUAGAGUUUUUGCUGUGGAGGAUGUUACUAAGUGUAUCAAUUCCUUGCAACCGAAAGCUACAAGUUUUGUUAGGUUCCGAAAAGAUACCGAUGAUGAUGGCAAUAGAAUUAACAGACUUUGACAAUGAUAUACUCCUAGAAUUUCAAGAUACUGAAAAAUGGGGCCAAGUUUGGAAUCGUGUUUGCACAGCUGCUUCAGAUGAUAGGGCCGGUACAGCUUUAAUUCUUUUAUCAUUGCCAACUUCCCCACAUGUUUCUCUAAGCAUCCUUCCAUCGAAAAUACGUCUUCGUCGAAUGAAAAAAAAGACAGUGUGAGUAUUUCGAGAUUGUGAAAUCUCUCCAGUACGUUCCAGAUUGGAAAACAAGCUGAGUCAUCUGCAGCAAUCUCUAGUUCUCUAAGACUGCCAAAAAGGUGUUGUGGGAAAUCGGCCUGCAAAAUCAUCUUCACAUCUUUUCCACUUAGUGAUAGUUCCAUCAAGUUGGGUACGAUCUGAUCAUCAUCAAUCAUAAUAACUAAUGAGGUCAAUUGAUGAUCUACGGUCACACGCAGUGACUUUAUAGUAUUUGUUUUAUAUUAUAUUUUAAAAAAAAUUGAAUUAUUGAUAAAAUUUAUUAAAUGAUUUUUUAUAUGUUAAUUUUAGAGGUAAAAAAGAAAUUAGGGAAAAAGGUUGAUUUAUACUGGCUCGAAAUUAUUUUAUUGCACAAUAAUAAAUUACUAAUUUAUUUUGUAAGUUCUUCUAUAUGGAAACACUAAGGAUUCUUUUAGAAAUGCUAUACAAAAAAAAGUUCAUAUAAUUAUUAAUCUACCACAUUGAUCUCUUAAUCUAGACUAGCAAAGAUUAUUGUAUAAUAAAAGUUUUCAAUUUAUUGAGUAUUAAUUUAUUGAUGCUUUGCCAUAUUUUUCAAAGUUAAAAAUAAGCUAUAGACAAAAAAUCUAGAAAAUGGCUUCAUACCUUUUCCAACGGCAAUGGGGGCUGUUGUGCAGGAAUGCCAAGUUGAUCAUUCUGCGAUAAAUCUGCAGUGAAUAUCUUUAAUUUGUCACAACAAUGCACUGAAAGAAUUUCUAGCGCGGGCCAUUCCAAAGUAUGCAUUCCAGGGUACAAACAUCUAAGUUUUGGUAGACCUUGGAGUCUCAAAGUGGUGAGCUGUGGAAAGACAAAAUAAGGGAUCACUUCAUCUGCUCUAUUCUCAAAAAUGAUCUCCUGUAAAUCCUCACAGAAGCGAACUUCUAGGUGUUGGAGCUGCUUAAGGCUUCUGAUCAUAGACGCUGAAAAUAUGUAUUUUAAUUUGUGACAACGCCACACAAUCAAUCGUGUUAAAUUUUGAAAGCGAGGAAACGUGACCGGAAGAUGAUUGUAGUGCCAAAUCUUGUCGACAUUAAUUUCAGAUAUCUCCAAAGCCUCCAAGUUAGGCAACGCAACCUAAAAGAAUAAGAAUUUCUGGUUAGAUCCAAUAUCCAUAUGGGAAGCACUUGUUGAAAUUUUCUUCUUUGAUUGCAAAUUCAUGCAAGUCAGAAUCAAUUUCCAACUGACAGCUGAGUAUGCAUUCUAAUUCAUACUACUUGUUAAGAGCUCAAUUAGUGAGCGCGUGAGAUUCUUUUUAUCCUUUUUUCCGUUUUUUUUCAAUUCUUCAAAUGAUUUAAUUAUUUUCCACGUAUGAUAUCAAAAGAGAACGCAUAAUAGAAUAAAGAAAAUGUUAGCCUACGCACCUUCUCGUUGAAAAGCAGAGUUGAAAUAUCCAAAGUGAUUUCGCUGGAGCAAUACAUAGUCGUCGAUUCCUCUUGCGACACUUGUCUGUUCGGUGAUGCUGAAGGAGUCUCCACCUCACGGCGGCAAAAACUUGUAACCUCAGGAAGAUUCCCCAGACUCAAAGAUCUUAAUUGAGCAAACUCUAUCUUCUCAAUUGCAUUAUCAACUUCUUCCCCAAUUGCAAAAAUCUCUUUCAUCUUGCUGCAAUUAACAACUGCAAUUCUCUCAAGUCUUGGAAGGCAUUUUGUAGUAGAGAGCCAAAAGAUAUUACUCAACUUAUCACAAUUAUAUGCUUCUACGGUUUUGAGUUCGUUGAAAGACUCUACUUUGAGCCGAUCAACACAUAUCCUCUCCAUGUUGAUCAAAUUGUGAAUGGUAAGUGACUCCAAAAGAGGAAAGGCAUCACAAGCGACCAUCUCCCUUGAAUCGACGAUACAAAAGAAGUCAGGAUUAUUUUGAACCCAGAGAAGCUUCAAUUGUGAAAAGCCCUCCGUGUCCAAAUUGAAAAGAACAUUCUCGAUGCCUUGCAGCUUGUCCAACCAUAAGUAUUCAACGUUAUUGAUGCCCUGCAAUUUCAUGGAGCAAAUGUCCAUAAAAUCAAGCUUGAGCUUCAAUGAUAUUAAACUCUUGCGAUCACUGUUGAUCGAAAAGCGAGGCCGACUUUUAAACCAAUGUUGGCCAACACUCAUGGGAUGCAUGAAUAACCCAUUUCCAAUAGAUAUUUUGAACCUUUCGAGCUUUCUGGCCAAAAAACCUUCUGGUAAAAUAUUGUCACUUUUAACGUCAAUUUCUAGAGUGGUUAGCCGAGGUAAAUGCAUCAAUUCGUCAAGGCUAGCAUUACUUCUUUUGCUGUUGGCUCUUUCAACCUCCCAUUCAAUGAAGCAAUUACCCAUAUACAGCUCUUCUAAUCGAGUUAAGCUUGAUAUGAGAUUAGGCGCAAUAACUUUUAGAUGGAAACAAUUGGUUAAAUCUAACAAUCUCAACUUAUUCAAUUGACCUAGUUCUCCGGGCAACUGCAUAAUAUCAGACUUCAAAAAGCUAAGGACUUCUAGAUUCUUCAACUUCCCAAUGAUUGCUAUGUCCCCCAACGCACUUUGAUCCAGACAUAGUGUGUGAAGAUUUGGUAGAAGAUCAAUUGAAGAUGGAAAAGAAGAAAACUGCAUUCGAGUAAAAUCUAGAACUCUAAGCUUUUUCAUCCCUACAAAAAAGUUCUCAGGAAUAUUGAUUUCAAGAGAAGAAUCUUUGAGAGAGACAAAUAAAAAUUCAAGGUUUGGGCAUUCUAAUCCUUCAGGAAAUUCACGAUUACUAUUAUUUCUUAAAGAGAUCGCAUUGCAUUUUCGAAGUGCAUCCUCAUCUGGCCAGUCCCACACAUCCUUAUUUCUCACCAAAAACACAUGUUGGUGGCGGCAUGCAAUUGAUAUUGCGACAUCACGAACAACAUCAUGCAUUGAAAAUUGUUCAUUGCUCUCACCCUCAAGCAACAAACAAGAGUGUCUAAGUUCAUGGACCAAUGCAAAUAAUUUGUCUCGUGCAUCUUCCAUCUUAUUGACUCCUUUAAAUAUACCCAAACCCAUGGAGUACUUAAACAAGUCCGAAGUAAGAAUACGGUUAUCCAUUAGACUACAGAGCAGAAAAAUUUUCUUGAGUUGCUCACCUUUUAAAUGGUUGAAACUCAGCUCAAUACUUGAAUAAGUCUCUGCAGAUACUCCUUCGAAGUUUACCAUUGAAGGCGUUCGGAGUUCUCGCAAGGAAUUCUUCCAUUCAUGAAGACUCUUGCUUCUCAGUGCCUUUGCCACUGUAGUCAAGGCAAUGGGCAAACCUCCACAUGCCCUGGCGACGUCUAUUGCUGUAGAUUUCAACUCACGAUUUUCAACAUCAUCUCCGGCCAUCAUCUUAAACAAUCUCCAGGCUUCUUCUUCAUUUAAAUUGUUUAUCAAAAAGUUGUCUUUAGAUCCCAUUUUUAAGAGGACACUACGAUCUCUUGCUGUCAGCAGUAGUUUGCAGCCUUUAUGAUCUUCUCCAAAAGGAAUUGCAAUAGUCCCCAAAUCAAGAGGUUUCCAGAUGUUAUCCAGAAUCACAAGGAUCUUCUUCUCAUUCUCCAAUCUUUCAUAUAGUCUACUAGCUCUUCUAGACUCAGCUUCCUCGCGCAACUCCAAGCCCAACUUCUCGGCAAUUUCCUGUUGAAUCUGUUUUAUGUCUGGAGUUUGCGAAACCUCUGAAAAGACCACCAUAUCAAAGUGCUUGUCUUCCAUAGCUUGCCUGGCGACCUUCUUCACCAGUGUCGUCUUUCCAAUGCCGCCCAUGCCGUACACCCCAAUGAUGCUGACAUCAACAUCGAUCAAUGCGUUUUUUAUAGCCUCCAAAGUAGAACGUCUUGAUUCGAAGGCCUCGUAGCCUUUGUGAGACUUGAGCCAAAUCUCCUCCGGAAUGGUACGGUAGGAAAUUCUAUCAUCAAAUCUCUCAGCUUCUUCUCGGAGUUUAAAAAGGGCCUCCUUCUCUGUUUCUGCUUUCUUUCCAUGCUGAUAGCGAAUAAUCCAAUUAGGAAACAGCCCCAUGAGACAUCGUUCAUUUGCUUUCUCUUCGUCUUGAAUGAAUUUGGCUGCCUGCUCAAUGCUCUUGUUCGCACUAAACAGCCAUUUCUCAACCUUCUCUUCAAUCUUUUCACUUUUUCUUUCAGCCUCAGAAACUCUGCGCUGAAUGCUUUCUCUUUCAUCCUUGAGCCUAUCGAGUUCUGCCUUGAGAUUCUCAAAGUUGGCAGCGGAGUUAUACCAAUAACUAAAUUCGCGUUGUGCGUGAGGAGACAAGCAGUUUACAACUCCUGGAACAAUGCUUUUCAAAAUGUCCAUUUUUUUUUUCUUUUUUGGGGAAGUGAACGAAAUAGAAAUAGAACAGAGUCAACGACCGCGCAAUUGAUAAUUAAGUAGAAAACAAGGCAAAAUUGAAAAAAGAAAUUAUAUUUGUACAAAACAAGGGGAAAAUCAGUGUAACAGAAGAGAAUCAAAGUGUUUUUGAGAUCAGAAAAUUGAACCAAGAAAAGGGUUGCUUGAUCCAAUGAAAAUGCAAAGAGCUGAUGGCAAAAGGAAACAAAGCUAAAUAAGAAAACGGUUAGCACGAGCAGUGACCACGAUCAACAGAAGCAAAGUGUGUAUGAGAUCAAAAGACGAAAAUGAGGAGAGGUUUUCUUGAUGGAGAAUUGAAGGCAAAGAGUAGGAGCUGACGAAUACGGGGAUCAAGAGGGAAAAACUGCUUGCUUGUAAAACUACUUUCAAGCGAAUCUGAUAAAAUUAUUUCAGUACUCGUGGGCGACUCCUUUUUAAACUGCAGAAGGGGGAAAAAAAAAGUCUGAAUUUCAAUAUAUUAAUCUCGUAAUCAAUGAUUAAUUAGUAGAUAAUCUUUCUAACAAAUAUGUGUUGAAUAGAUAUAUUUCUUGAUUAGUAGUAGGUUCGAUAUACUUUACUAUAGGAAUGAAAGUACAAAUUGUGUCAUAUUAGAAUACAAAUGGGACCUAAAAAUCCCGUUUUAUGGCCUUUUAAUUAUUUGUCAGCUAAUAAUGAAGUCAUAUACAAAAAUUAUUAAUCUGACCUAGUCUUUAAGUCUUAUAAAUGUUUCUAGAUUUUUAAUUAUAAUAUCAUUAUUUAAAAAAUAUUGCUUGACUUACAUUAGUAACAUUACGAUUGUUCAUAAAACAUGUGAUCCUCAUCCAAAGGCCAGGUGAACAAAUAUAAACGACAAAUUCUUUUCAAUUAAAUAAUCAUCAAGAGAUAAUCUUCUAUUUCAGUACAAAUAGCGAGUGCAGAACAGCUGUCAAGAGAUAAUCAUUGUUUAUGGAGCCAUAUAUAUUUUCUAUUAAAAUAGUUCGUGAACAAUUGCCAGAAUCCGUAAAAAUUGUUGAAAGGUCUAUUAUUUUCGAUUAAAAUUGUUGAAAGGUCUAUUAGUUUCGAUUAAAAUAUUUUCGAUUAAAAUAGUUGCGUGAAUAAUUACCAUAGAUAGUGUUUACAUUUUGGAUUGGACUGAAAAUCUUGAAAAGUAGAAAUCUUGGGAUUGAGAGUAUGGAGUAAAAGUGGGUGUAAGUUGUUUACUUACACUGGAAUAUCAGCAUGGAAUAAAGAUUAUAAUCCAAUUUAUGUGUUUACUUUAUCUUGGAUUGGGAGUAAAUAGUUUCAAAUUAUAAUUUUAUCUUUAUUUAAAGAAUUAUAGUUUUUAAUUACAAAGUUAAUAAAAAAAUAUAUUUAAUGAAUAAAAAUUUAUUUUAUUAUAUUUGUAAAUUUAUAAUAAUUAUUAAUAUUCUUAAUUAUGUACAUCAUAAUUUUUUAUUAAUUUUAAUUUUAAUUAUAUAAAUUAAAAAUUAUUGAUAAGAGCAAUGUAAAUGAAACAUUUUUACUAUUAACAUAGUACAAAAUUAAUAUUUUCUUAUAAUUAACUAUUUAUUAUUACUAAUUAUUGAUAUUAAAUAAAUAUAAUACUAUUAUUUUUAAAUAAAUAUAAUAAUAUUAUAUUUUCAAAUAAAGAUAGUAUAUAGUAAUAUUAUUAAUUCUCUAUUAAUAUAAUAAUAUUAUUUUUAAGUAAUUUAAACUUAGAAUCAAACCAAAUUAUUAUUUAGUUAAAUAUAAUAAUAUUAUUUAAAUAAAUAAAAUAUUAUUUAUUUUAUUUUAUUAAAUAUAAUUAUAGUAAAUUUAAUAAAAGGGGGUUAAAAAAGGAAGGUAAAUAUAAAAUGAAAUAUUUUUUAUUUAAUUAUAUUAAAUUUAUUAUUAUAUAAAUAAUAAUAUAAUAUUAUUUAGUAUAAAAUUAAUAUUUUCUUAGAAUAAACUAUUUAUUAUUAUUAAUUAGUAAUAUUAAAUAAAUAUAAUACUAUUAUUUUUAAAUAAAUAUAAUAAUAUGAUAUCUUCAAAUAAAGAUAGCAUAUAGUAAUAUUAUCAAUUCUCUAUUAAUAUAAUAAUAUUAUUUAUUUUAUUUUAUUUUAUUAAAUAUUAAAUAUUAAAUUUAAUUAAAUAAAGGUAGAAAAGGGAGAGGUAGGAGUGGGUUUCCCAUGGGAGUCCCACUCACACUCCCCACUCCAAAAAUGGGUGGGGUCCACGGAGUGGGAUUCCCAAUCCCUCCUUAAAAUAGUGAAGAAAACACUGAAGUUAGAGGAAUUCACACUGCGCACACUCACUCCAGAAAGUAAACAUCGAAAAAGCCAAAGGAUGAAGAACCACUAUAAGUUCUUUUAUGAAUUUAAAAUGCUAAAGAAACUUGACACCAACGCUAAGCUAACAAGUGCAUAUUUUUCUGUGGCCCUUGCCUCAAUGUCUUUCGGGCAUUGCUCGGGGGUAGUUGAUAUACUGAUUAAAAUAUGAAUGAAUUGGAAUGGAAUGAGUUGGAAUUAAAAUAUGGAAUGAUAAUUAAUUAAUUUAUUUAAAUUGUAAAAAUUAAAAUUAAAAUAAAUUAUAUCAUCAUUGAUAUAUUUAUUUUAUUUUAAAAUCACGAUGAGUUGUUACAAAUUACAAAAUAUCUUUAAUUUUUUAUCAUAAUAAUUAUUAUUUAUUAUAAUAUUUUGUUGGCCUAAAUGGUUAUAUAAUCCUUGAUUUUGAUGAUAACAAACUACAUAGAGUACAAUGGUAAAUUUAUUUCUCACAAUUUCACAAGUUUUUGAAGGGCAAAAAUCAUUCAAGUGAGAUCAAGAUCAAGAUACUCAAUAGACAAUGACAAUCAAGGAUGACUACUAAGGGUACUAGUUUACGCAAUCUUUAUUGUUAAAUUUCUUGUAAAGCUAGUAUAAUUUAACGUGUGCAUGAUGUAACAUUUAAAAGCUCAAGAUAUUUUUCAUGACAUUUUCAAAUUAAAUCAUCAUUUUCUAUAAUAUAAAAGUUUUAACGAUUUUAUAAAAUUAGUUGCUUUUUCCAAAUUUAUGGACUAAAUUGAAAAGUUUUGAGAACUUUGAAAUCAACUAAUAAUGUUUUAAAUCAUAGAAAUUGACAUAUUUGUAAAUAUUUCAAACGUUUUGGGUCGUAAUAUAAUUUCAAAAAAUUAGGUCUAAUCUAUAAAUCCUGGAACAAUAGUGGCUAAUCGCUUAACCAAUAGCGGCUAACUACUUCAAGUCCAAAAACAUAGCAGCUAACCGCUUAAAUCAAGUGGUAAUCCACUUGAACCAAAGUUUUCAAAUUUGAUUUGCAACUGUAACUUACCAUAUCAACAUAGUGGCUAAUCGCCUCAUUUUAACGGCGAUCCAGCAAGUCCCUAGAAAAACCAAUAAUUGCUAGUUUGAUUGUUUAAACUAUAAAAUUCAAAUCUAACAAUUUUUUUCAAUCUCAAUUAAGCUAAAACUUAUUCAUAUAUCUUGAGCUUUCAUUUUGCUUAUCUACAUACAUUAAUCAUUAUAGAGCUAUCAUUUGCUUAUACACUCUUAUAGAGUGUAAUCUUUGUAAUCUUCAAUUAAUAUCAAAAUUGAGUGAGUACAAGUGUGGGAAACACUUGGAAAAAGAGGUGUGUGUAUACAUAAUUACUUGUAAAGGUUUAUUAACACCGUAUAAGUCAAUUGUAAAAUUUUAGAGCCUUGGAAGGUUUGGAUAGUAGAAUUCUCAAGUUUGGAUUACUUGGAGGCGUAGUCAUAGGCGGGUUUGCCGAACUACAUAAAAAUUCAUCUGUUUGUUAUCUUCUCCCUUAUCUUUUUAAUUUCACGCAUAGUUAAAUUUACCAUUAUUAAAUUUCUUGAAGCAUUUGUUUAAUUUGUAUUGUGUUUUUGUUAGUAUAAUUUUUAAUACCUAAUUCACCCCCUCUUGGGUUGCUUAGCUAGAAUUUCAUUUGGUAUCAAAGGAAGUUCUCUUGUUAGGACUUAACCAUCUAGAGUAAAAGAUCCAUAGUAAUCCAAAAUGAUCCCAGAUUUGGGGAAGGUUAAUCCCUUCUAGAUCACCAUUCUUUGAUGGGAAUGAUUAUCCAUGUUGGAAAAUUAUGAUAAGAAUUUAUUUGCAAGCAUUAUAUUAUGAAAUAUAGGAAGUUGAUUGUGAUGGUCCAUUCAUGCCUACUGCUAAAAAUGAAGAAGGGAAAGAAAUUCUAAAACCUUCACAAGAAUGGAAUGAGUUGGAAAAGAGAAAAGAUUCUCUUAAUUUCAAAGUCAUGAAUGCUUUGUUUUGUGCCUUAGAUAAAAAAAAAUUCUAUAGAGUUUAAGGUUGUUCCAAUGCUUAUGAAAUUUGGAAAAAACAUAAAGUCAUUUAUAAAGCUACAAAUCAAGUCAAAUAAUAUAAAAUUAGUAAAUAUAGUAGGCAAUACGAAUUGCUAUAAAUGGAACAAAAUGAGAGUGUUAAUCCCAUAUACACUAGAUUAACAGACAUUAUAAACACUUUAGGAACUCUUAGAAAGACCUUUUCAAACAGCGAGAAGGUAAAAAAAAUCAGAAGGUCUUUACCAAAAGAAUGGAGACCUAAGAAAAUUGCCAUUAAGGAAGCCAAUGAUACUUUAUUUAUUGAUGAUUUAAUUAGUUCAUUUAUUUCUUAUGAAAAGGAUUUGACAACUGAAAAAUAUAUUGAAGACUAGAAGAAGAAGAGUAUUUCCUUAAAAGCAUCAAGAUCUAAAAGUGACAACGAAAGUGAGAUCGAAAAUGAAGACAUGGCUAUGAUAGCUGGAAAAAUCAAAAUAAUUUUCAAGAAAUCCAUCGAGCGAAGGAAAUUCAAAAAUCAGAAAGAGAAGAAGGAGGCAAUUAUUUGCUUUAAAUGCAGGAAGCCUAGGCACAUAAAACUAGCAUGUCCUUUUCUCAAAAAAUUAAAGAAGAAAGCCAUGGUAGCAACACGGGAUGAUAGCGAUAAGGAGACUAUAGAUGAAGAGUAGUCCCAUGAAGUGUCAAAUUUGGCACUUAUGGUUAUAGGAGAUGAUUAUAGGAGAUGAACUUGAUGAGGUAAACCUCUUAGGAUGAGUUGUUUGAAGUAUUCUCUAAAUUGCAUAAAGAUUUAAAGAAGAUUGAAAUGUAAAAUGUUUCUCUUGGAAAGAAAAAAGUAGAACUUUUAAAUGAGAAUGACACUUUGAAUAAAAAGAUUAAGUGCCUAGAAGUAUUUGUGAAGAAAUUGCAUCUUUUAAAGAAAAAACAAAAUGUUUCAUCUAAGAAUAAAGGUUUACUUGUAAAUGAUUUGAAAAAGAAAAAUGAAAUAUAUUGCUUUAGAAUUUGCUUAGUAUUAGUAAAUUGUGUGAUAAAGGUUACAAAGUUAUUUUUAUGUGAUAAAGGCUAUAGAGUUAUUUUUUAUAAAACAAAAUGUAUUAUUAAAAAUGCAUGUGAUGACAAAGUUUUAUUUGUUAGAUAAAGAUGUGUUAAUGUAUACACCAUUGAUAUAGAUAGUGUAUCAACUUAUGAUAAAUAUUUUUUUCACAUUACAUGAUGAUAGUUGAUAUGGCAUGGAAGACUAGGUCAUGCGAGCAUGGAUUUGAUUUCAAAAUUUUUUUAAAAUGAUUUGGUUAUAGGUCUUCUAAAAAUUGGUUCUAAAAAAGAUAGAAUUUGUGAAGUUUGCCAAUUUAGAAAACAAAUAAAACGUCCUUUAAAAAUAAAAUUCAUAUUUCUACUUCAAAACCACUUUAACUUUUUCACAUGGAUUUGUUUGAAUUUUCUAAAUAUGCUAGUUUAAGUGGUAAAUAUUAUGCAUUUAUAAUUAUAGAUGAUUAUUCUAUAUACACAUGGUAUUACUCUCAACUAAUAAAGAUGACACCUUUAAUGCUUUCAAAAUUUCUAUAAAAAGAUUCAAAAUGAAAAAUGAUAUGUUAUUUCUUCCAUUAGAAGUGAUCAUGGUGGAGAAUUUGAAAAUUAUAUUUUGAAAAUUUUUACAAUAACUUUGGCAUUGAGCAUCAAUUCUUGUCACCAAGAACUCCACAAUAAAAUUGAGUAGUUGAGAGAAAGAAUAUGUCUAUCCAAGAAAUGGCUAGGACCAUGUUAAAUGAAAAUACUUUACUAGAAUAUUUUUGGGUUGGAGCCGUCAACAUUGUUUGUUAUAUUUUAAAUCAUGCAUUGAUUAGACCUUAUCUCAAUAAAACUCCUUAUGAGCUUUGGAAAAAUAGAAAAACAUUGACUAUUUCAAAGUUUUUGGUUGCAAAUGUUUUCUAUUGAAUACAAAAGACAAUCUUGGUAAAUUUAAUCUAAAAUCUUAUGUUGAUAUUUUUCUUGGGUAUUCAAAUACAAGCAAAACUUAUAGAGUGUAUAAUAAAAUAUCCUUGGUCGCUAAAGAAUCUAUACAUGUUAUGUUUGAUGAAUCUAACUUUUCUUCUAUGAAGAAAGUUGUUGUUGAUGAUGAUGCAUAUGAAGAGUUACAAAAACAAAAAGUCUUUAAAAGACAAACAAUAUGAUUUACCAGGUAAAAAUCAAGAUGAGCAACAAGAAGAACAAGUUAAACAGAUUCAAAAUAAAGGUAAUUCACAAACACUCUCUAAGGAGCUAAGGUAUGUCUCUUCACACCCUAAAGACUUAAUCUUAGGAGAUCCUUCAUGAGGUGUAACUACGAGAUAAUCACUUAGAAAUACAUGUGAACAUACUGUAUUCAUAUCUCAAGUUGAACCAAAAUCCUUUUCAGAUGUGGAAAAUGAUGAAUCUUGGAUUAUAGCAAUACAAGAAGAGUUAAAUCAAUUUGAAUGAAACAAUGUAUGGAAACUUAUUCAUAAACCAUAACAUCAAUCUGUAAUAGGCAGUAAAUGGGUAUUUAUGAAUAAAAUUGAUGAAUCUAGUGUGGUUGUAAGGAAUAAAGUUAGAUUAGUAGCUCAAUGAUGCAACCAAAAAGAAGAAAUUGAUUUUGAUGAAACCUUUGCACAUGUAUCUAGAUUAGAAUCCAUUACAUGCUUUUAUUAUUUGCAUAUCAUAAUGAUUUUAUUUUAUAUUAAAUGGAUGCUAAAAGCACCUUUCUAAAUAGUUGUAUUAUGAAGGAAGCUUAAGUGAAACAACCCCCUCAUUUUAAAAACGAAAAAUGUUUUUGGAUCAUGUUUACAAAUUGUCCAAAGUUUUAUAUAGUUUAAAGUAAGCAUCUAGAGCAUGAUAUGAUAGACUUAGUAAAUUUCUUUUAGAAAAUAGUUUUUCAAUGGGUAAAGCGAAUACUACUCUAUUUGUUAAAUACAAGGAUCAAGGUAUACUUGUUCAAAUUUAUAUUGAUGAUAUUAUCUUUAGUUCUACUAAUGAGUUUCUGUGUAAGGAAUUUUCAUCUUGCAUGAGUAGAGAAUUUGAGAUGAGCAUGAUGGAAGAAUUGAAGUACUUUCUUGGACUUAAAAUUUAAGAGAAAAAAAAGAAUUCAUUAAUCAAGCCAAGUAUUUCAGAGAUCUACUCAAAAGAUUUUGCAUUCAAGACUAAGGACACUCCAAUGAGUACUACAAUCAUGCUCGAUAAGGAUAAAAAAAGUAAAGAUGUUGUAUCAAACGAUAUCGAGGUAUGAUCAUAUCUUUACUUUACUUUACUGCUAGUAGACAUUACUUUAGUGUAUGUUUGUGUGCAUGAUUUCAACCAUAUCUCAAAGAAUCUCAUUUUCUUGCAGUUAAAAGAAUUUUUCAUUAUUUAUGAGGAACAAUUGAUCUUGGUCUAAGGGAACUCAUAUAAAUUAUUAGCUCAAUAAAUUUGUCAAAGAAUCUCAUUGAACAUUCUAGGACCAAACAUAUUGAAACUAGGCAUUAUUUCUCACGUGAUCAUGUUCAAAUGAGAGAUAUUGCUUUAGAAUUUGUUUCUAUGGAAAAAUAACUUGCUGAUAUUUUUACAAACCCUUUUUGUGAAGAAUAGUUUUCAAAGAUUUAGAUUGAGUUUGGAAUGAUGACAUUUUCACAUCAAUAUUUCAUUGCAUGAUAUUGAGACUACAAAUUUGCUUAAUUUUCUAUCUUGAUUGAUUGUACGAUAAAAACUUGAUUUUAAUGUGUUAUAUGCUUGAAUUUACUUCUUUGAAUGUUUAUCAUCAUAUCUUAUGCAUUAAAAAUGGCUUUUAAAAUACUUCAGGAUCACAAAAUGGUCUCAAAAUUAAUUAAAUUUUGGCCAAAAAGCAAAAUCGUGCAAAAUCUAGGGGAACUAGCUAACCGUUAACCACAAGCAACUAGCCAAUUGUGAGGCAGAAACUAGCUGGCCAGCCGGCUCAAAGCAAACGGUUAAUUGCUUGGUUUCUAAAAAUGAAACAGUUAACUGCUUUCUUCAAGAGGCUAGCUGGCUUCACGUUUUCAAAUGUUGUUCAUCUUCUUUUUCCCACUUUUAGUUGUUACCCUCUCUCUAUCACUGUCAUCUCUCAUUUCUUUUAACCUCUCUCUAAAAUCUUCCAUUUUUACAUCACUUUUGUGUCAAGUUAAACUUUCCAAAUCAUUUCCCAUCAAUUAAUCUUCACACAUUUGCUUUUAAAACACAAUCUAAUCACUCUUCUCUCAAAAUCUUAAAGCUUAAGUCACCAGUUUCAAUAUUCUCAAAUUUGAACCAUUAUUUGACCAUUUUCGACCAAAAUAAACCCAUACAUUCCUUAGAUCUUCUCAAAGAACAUUUUAAUCGGUUCAAAGUCAUCUAUUUCUUUAAAAACUUUGUGAACUCGAAUUUGUGCAAUUUUGGACACAUUUUGAUAAUUUCUUAAUGGCUAGUGGUGAGAAGUCCAAGGGUAAGCAUAUGCCUAAAAUGUAAAAAAAAAAAAGAUUCAUAAAGACAUUAUGAAAUUCAUUUCCACCCACUUCCCAAAUCCGCCUCAAUGGAAUGAUUCUCUGAUCGAUUUAUGACAAGGUCAGUCCUCCCAUACUAUAUAUGUUAAUCUUGAUUAAUUAGAAAAUUUGUCAUGUUGUAGCAAAACUCUUAGAACUUUACUUGCUGAAUUGGGUUGGACAAAUGUCUUAGUUCUUAAGGAACAUAUUUGUCCUAAUUUGGUACGAGUAUUUUAUUCGAACAUGCUUAUUUCUACAAAUACUGCCAAUAUGAUUAUUACUAAUGUUAUUGGGAUUCCUAUUAAGUUUACUGUAGAAGAUUUAAACAUGAAUCUCAUAUGAUAGGUUGCAUUUGUAUACAUCUAGGACUAAAAUUGAUUAUCCCUGGUAUUUAGUUGUAGAUGAUGUUUGAAACAUAGAUGUUCGAAACAUAUGUAGGUGAUCUGAUCUAUCCAUGGAGCUUUUUAACUCCUCUCUUAGAUCACAAGUGUUGCCUCUUCAAGUUCGGAUCCUACAUAGUGUCCUUCAGCUUGUGAUCAGUCCUCGCAAGGGACAUGGUGCUGAGGUUACACGCUUAGAUGUUACUUUAUUAGAUAGCAUCCUUGAGGGUAAAAGCUAAAUGUGCGAAUAUUAUCAUUCAGCACAUGCUUAAUACACUGAGUAUAGGAAACCGAUCCUUUUCGGUCUGUAGUGUCAUUACCCAUAUCCUUCAAUAUUUUUGGGUCCCUAUAGCUGAACCAUCUCAUGAUGAACCCAAGGAGUUAAGGGAUGAGGUCAUUGCUAGCUUAGGAUUUGGGUGGGUAGAUGACCAAUAGGUUAAAAAUCAGAACUUGUUGAGCAAACCCACAAAGCUGGCUCUUUUUUAUCAUUGCAUCUUUAACGAUGUGCUUCCCCUUACUGGGUUCUUGAUCUUAGUUCUUCCCUGAGGUCACAAGCUCUGCAUUGGCCUUCUGAUGCUCCACCAUCAUCAUCUUCAGCCAUUCCCAAUAACCCAAUCUAGCAGUUGUUGAAUAAAGUGUGUUCCAUAUCCGAACAGUAAAGCGAGCUUAAGAUAUCGUUCGCAGCAUUCCAGGAUCAUUUUCUUUCUGAGCAGCAACAUCUCUUUCUUCAACAAUAACAAAUUCUAGACCAUCACCAGCUUAUUUUCAUUGCUCUUAAAUUUUCACCACCAUCCUUAUUAUCAUGUUUGCUGCUUCAUCAGUGAUUUUCUUUUAUCUCUUUUGCUUCCUUGUUUUAUGCACCGACAUUAUUUAUCAUAUGCAUUUUCGUUUUUAGCAUUAUGGAUACUUGAUGGAUGUUAUUUUACUUAUGCAUUAUGGAUACUUGAGUUGAUAUGGAUUAUCUUUAUGCAUUCUAGUUAUUGAUUGUGGUAUCUUUAUUAAUUAUCUUUAUGGAUUAUCUUUAUUGAUUAUGGAUUAUGUAUAUGGAUACUUGAUUAAUGGUCAUGUGUGGAUUUUCGAUUGAUGAUAUUUGUGGGGGAUAAUUAUUGAUAAUAUUUGUAUAAUAGAGGAGUGAUUUUUCAUGAUGAAGGGAGAGAAGAUAUUGACAUGUAUUUUGAAGUGUUUUGACAUGUUUUUGGCUCAUGGGGGUUGAUUGAGUGUUUGUAGUAUUUUAGUUACUUUCUGAGUCACUCAAGGAGAGUUUACAAAUGUUGUACAAUUAUAUGGAUCAUGUACUUAGAGGGAGUGAGUUUAUAUAUUUGGUUAUAUUUUUUGAAUUAUGUCAUAUACUCAAGGGCAAUAGAAAUGUCAAAAUACAUAGGGUGUUUGUCAUCAUAAAAAAAGGAGAGAUUGUUGGGGUAAACGACUAUAUGAUCCUUAAUUUUGAUGAUAACAAACCACAUAAGGUAAAAUGAUAAAUUUAUUUCUCACAAUCUGACAAGUUCUUGAAGGACAAAAAUCAUUCAAGUGAGAUCAAUUUCAAGUCACUCAAUGGACAACAACAAUCAAGGAUGAAUACUAAAGGUACUAGCUUAAUUAAUCUUCAUAGCUAUAUUUCUUAUAAAGCUAAUAUGAUUUAAUGUAUGCAUGAUUUAGUAUUUAAGAGUUCAAGAUAUUUUUCAUACAAUUUUCAAAUUAAAUCAUCAUUUUCUAUAAUAUAAAAGUUUUAAACGUAAAUAAAAAUGAUUUUAUAAAAUUAAUUGUUUUCAAAUUUAUGGACUAAAUUGAAAAGUUUUGAGAACUUUGAAAUUAAUUAGUAAUGUAUUAAAUUCUUGAAGUGGACCUAUUUGUAAAUAUUUCAAAAUUUUAGGCCAUAGUAUAAUUUUAGGAACUUUUAGUUUAAAUCUAUAAAAUUUGAAACAGUAGUGACUAACCACUUAACGAAUAGUGGCUAACUGCUUCAGGUCCAAAAACAUAGCUGCUAACCAUUUAAAUCAAGCGACGAUUUGCUUAGGCAAAAAAGUUUUUAAAUUUUAUUUGUAACGGUAACUUGCCACAUCAAUAUAGCGACUAACUUCUUUAUUUUAGCAGCAAUCCGGUAGGUCCUCAGAAAGUCAAUUAUGACUAGUUUGAUUGUUUAAACUAGAAGAACCCAAAUCAAACUCAAAUCUAACAACUUUUUCAAUCCCAAUUAAGUUAAAACUUGUUCAUACAACUAAUCUUGAGCUUUCAUUUUACUUAUUUACAUGCAUUUAAUCAUUAUUGAGUUAUCAUUUGCUUAUACACUCUUAUAGAGAUUAAUCUUUGUAAUCUUCAAUUAAAUAUCAAAAUUUUGUGAGUAUAAGAGUGGGAAACACUUGGGGAAAGAGGUAUGUGUACACAUCACUACUAUAAAAGUUUAUUGACACAUUAAAAGCCAAUUGUAAAAUCUUGGAGCCUGAGAAGGCUUGGAUAGUGGAAUCCUCAAACUUAGUUUGCUCGAGGCAUAAACAUAGGCGAGUUUUGCCGAAACACGUAAAAAUUCAUUUGUUUGUUAUCUUCUCCCUUAUUUUUUUAAUUGCAUUCAUUGUUAAAUUUACUAUUAUAAAUUUCUUAAAGCAUUUGUUUAAUUUGUUUUGUAUUUUUGUAAGUAUAAUUUUAAUACCCAAUUCACCGCCCUCUUGGGUUGUGUAGAUAGAAUUUCACAUUUGUUGUACAACAACAACAACAACAACAAUAACAAUAACAAUAAUAAUUGUUAUAAUGGUUGGAACAAUUACUAUUGAAAAACUUUUAUUGUUAAUAAUAGUAGAAAAUAAGAACAAAAAAGGAAAUUAUCCAAUAACCAUGUAAUCUUUGGGUCUUUUUUAAAAAUACACAGAAACGUUUUUCUUUGUAGAAAUCCACCUAGAGUUUAUUAAUUAUUCACUGUCAUCUUAGCUCAUUAGAAUCUUGUUGAUGUCAUAAGAUUAAAAUUAUCAUUUUACUUGAACACCUAAGAUUAAAGUUAUCCUUUAGAGUUUCUUUCGCUGGGGCUGGUGACCUUAGUGGUUAGAUUUGCUAGAUAUGGUCGUGAGAAACUCGACAAUGGCCGAGGAUUGGCUGGAUUCACGGUGGUUUGGUCAAAAAGUUGACUUGAAUUGGCAUAUGUGGUGCUUCAUUCAUGUUAGAGAUUUCGAUUGCGAUUUGGAUAUCGACAAUGAGAAAGUGGCGUUUGCGGUGGCGCUAGGUGAGGCCCGGGUUUUGGGUUAGCAUUGUGGCGGUUUAUGGCGGUGAUCAUUGGUGGGUUUUGUCAAGUUAUGACCAGUGGAAUCUAGCAAGUUUAGUGGUGGUCUUGGUUGACAGUGAAGAUGGUUGGUUUCACGGUGGCAGCUGGUGGAUGCUCCCAGUUUUUAGGUCUAGAUGAUUUAUAGUAGGUACAAGCGGCGAUUGAUGGCAGGAGUGGCUAAGGUUUGGUAAGUAGUGGCUAAUGAGUUUGGUAGAGGGAUUAGCCAAUGAUGAACUAUUAGUGAAGAGUGGCAGUGGCGGUGGGCGGCUGCUAAGGUUUUGUAAUUUUGUAAUAUUUUUUUGUUGGAUAAACAAUGAUGGAUUUGGUGGGGAUGGAUAUGGGUAGCCAGGAAAACUGUGCAAUUGGCAUUGAACCACUCUAAUACAAACUAACAAAUUGGAAUAGCGGAAGUGGAAUUGAUAGGUCGGAAAUAUUAGCUAUUGUUAUAAUACUGGCUAAGGUAAUGUGGAUAGUUUACGUCCUAAUCGAAACGUGUAGAUCUCAUUCUAACAAUGGCUCAAUGAGAUUUUAAUAACGCAUAAAGCGAGAUUAGACGACGUUCUAAUCCAAAUAACUUUGCAAGAGAGAUUUUAAUAAAUAAUUUUAGAGGGAAUUAUUAAAAAGGGCUUUAUUAGUUGAUCAAUAGUUGAAGUUACAAUAAUAAGAUUUUGAUUUAUAAUAUAAUAAACCUACUUCACUAAGUUAACUUAAAAAGAAAAACUAAAUCACAAUUUUAAUAGAAAUAAAAAAACUAAGACAUAUACCAUAGUUGACUAUAAUUAAAAUAGAAAACGAUAAAAUAAUAAAAAUUAUAAAAUCCUAAAACAAUGUCUACAUCAUAUCCUCACUAAAAUAAAAAUAUAAAAGUAAAGCAAAUUGUGGUAUAACAGACUUUAAUUCUAUCACUCUUCAAUUUUUUUGUUUAUUAAUUAAUAUUGGUGUCUAUGGUUAAAUUUGUUAUUUUUUAUAACAAUUUUAUUUGUUAAUUGAAAUAUUUAGUCUAUGUAAACAAAAAAAAAUGGUUGGAGAGAAUGAGAGAGGAAGGGGGGGAGAGAGAGAGAACAAAGUCAAACAAAUAAUUUAAUGAAUUAUAUUUUUAAAAUUAAAUUUUAAUUUGAUUAAAUAAAUGAUGUAGUGAGAAAAUGAGUAGGUUCAAAUAGCUUUACUUAUAUUUAUUUCAUUAAUGGCUCAAAAUUUAAUGAAAAUAAAUGGUUUUAAAAAAUUGCAUUUAAGUUGCAUAAUUCAAUGAGUAGUGCCACACAUCCUAAAUCUUUUAUCUUAAAAAAUUAUCCCAAAUGAUAUAGUAUUCAUCAAUAGAUUGAAGAGAUAAUACAAUUAAUUCACUCAAAUCUUGAAAGAAUUACCUACUAUUCAAGUAAUGACACACCAUUUGGGAUAUCUAUCAUUACUCUAAUUGAAAAUAAACCUAUCACUGGAUGAUUAAUUAUGGUAGGUUUGCUUAAUACUAAAAUGCCACUCAUAAGUUUUGUUUGGAUUUGUAAUUGAUUUAUCUUAAUCCUUCAACUUGACAUAAGGUCGUUCUCCUCGUUUCUGUACACUUAAAAGUCACCCAGAUCAAAACUAGAUCUAUCGUUGCAUUUGCUUGAAAAAUAAUUUACAAGUAAUAAGUUCUCGUGAUUAAGCAACAUUUUUAAAGGGUUAUGAUAGUAGUGGAACCGUGAUACAAUUUGUAAAUAUUAGAUGGAUUGUUGAAAACAAUAAAAAAUGCUUGUAUGUUUUUUAUAAGGAUCUCCCUAUCUUACAUGCAUGUAAGAUAGGAAUUGCCUUUUUAUAAAGGCUAAAAGAUAAAGUGGUGCAUGGAUAAUUACUUUUUUUUUCCCUUUUUAUCUUAAUCAUGUUUGAACGACAUCCUUUUAUAGUUCCCAGACAUUCUGCAACUAUAAUAGACAAUUUUAAUAGGAACUACAGAGAAAAUAUUAAUAUUUUUAUACUUAUUCACUUACCUGAUGGAUAGUUAGAUAAGUGUUACUUUUCACACAACUAGACCAAAUUAGUACCCUUUUUGGUUUGUGAAAACGUGAUUUUUAUGAAUAUGCUAUAGAUGCUUUCAAAUGUUUCUACAGUUUACGAAUUUACGCAUUAAACGAAAACCUCCAACUAUCAAAUAAAAAGGUGAAAAUUCAAUAGAAUCGACAACUUCUCAGACUCACGUAGGUGGUGGUUCAAGUUUCUAAACUACUAUUAUUAUUAACAGUUUUGAAAAGCAAAUAGUAACUUCAUUUCACAGCAUCUGCUUUUGAGAAAGCUCAGAUGUAAUCAAAAUUCCAAAACCACUCUAAAUAUGUUAGGGAUAUGACCAUAAAUAGAAGUUAAAUAUGAUAGGAUAUAUAGUUGUUCAUAGCUAACAUUUGAUGGUUUAAUUAUUUGUUCUAGGGAUUAUGCGCUGAUUAGUGUUUUUUGUUAUCCGAUGAAUGAUAUUCAGUUUUUCUUACAUGCUCAUAGGCAAGAGCAUUUUCUAAGUACUUUCCUUGCCUUCAAAUUUUGAAAGAAAGAUAGAUAUGAUAUGUGACGCAAGCCCAAUGAAAUAAGCAAAUAAAAUAGAAUAAACGAAGCAAAAAUAUUUCUAGAAACAAGAAAUGACAAAGGAAACACGAAUACAACUUUUUUCUUGUUUUCCUUAUUUUCCUCUGUUAAGCUCCAAAAUGAAUAACUUUAUUCUACCAUCUCUCAAAUAAUAACAUCAACAGCACAUAAUCGUCAUCAAUAAUAAUAAUAAUAAUAACAAUAAUAAUUUAACUUUGUAGGAUGGAGCUCUCGCAAAUCUUCAAGACACAAAAUGUGCUUGACCCCGUUGUUGUUAUUAUAAUUUCAAAAUCAUUUGUAUUAUAUAAAAUUAGGGAAUAAAACAUAGCAAAAUUGAUGGUACAAAUGUUGCAAUAUAUUUUUUCAUGUAGCAACACAUUGAAGUAAAGAAAAGCAAAACAACGAAAAAUGUAACGGGAGAGCUCUCAUUAUGUAGAUUUUCAAUAGAAGUAAUGAAAAUUUCACAAGGACAAUGGCCUUAUUUCGAAUGCUACACCUGGGGAAUGGCUUGAAUCUUUUAUAGAACUCACACUAUUAUAAAAAACGCUAAACAAUGACAAAAAUUUUAUAACAUAUAUCGAUAUGUCAAAAUCAUUUGAUGGUACAUUUUAUAACAAAAAAUGAAAAAUGUAACGGGAGAGCUCUCAUUAUGUAGAUUUUCAAUAGAAGUAAUGAAAAUUUCACAAGGGCAAUGACCUUAUUUCGAAUGAUGCACCUGAGGAAUGACUUAAAUCUUUUAUAGAACUCACACUACUAAAAAAACGUUAAAUAAUGACAGAAAUUUUAUUACAUAUAUAGAUAUGUAACAAAUGUAUCAUGAAAGUGUGAUAGAUUUGUAACAUAUAUUCAUAUGUCUAGAGUUUAUGACAUAUUCAUGACUUAUAACUUAGGGAAAUUUACGAAAAUAACCAUUAAUAUUUUAUUAUUUUCGCAAUUAAUCCUGUCAACUUUUUUCUAUCAACAUUAGCCAAACACAAGCCUUUCUUCCCAAAUUACCCUUCUUUACAGAACAAAACCAACAUUGUUUCUCCCAUGUCGCCAAACCAAAAGCAGCUUGUCACUCUUGAAUCAUCAGCCAACGGCGACCACAAAAGACAACGAUAAAAGUGAUAUCCGAUCAUAAUCUAUCCGGAUCCAACACAAAUCGACAUCAUUUAGUGGUAUGAAUUAUUUUCUGAACUUACUGAACUGAGUUGGGUGAAUCUGAAUCUGCCGACAGGCUAAUGUCGCAGUAAAACUCGGUGCGACAGGCGCCUGUCGCACCGAGCAAGGUGCGACAGGCACCCUGUCGCACCAAGAUUCGGGCGACAGGUUGUCUGUCGCACCCACCCUGGAGAUUCAUUAAAACUGUAUUAUUUUAAUAGGACUGAAAUAAAUUUUUUUUUAUAAUUUCAGGCUUAAUGGAUUCAGUUGUACUUGAAUUGUGUUACGAUGGUUGGUGGGAGACAUUAGAGAAUGGUCGUAUGGAGCAUGUGAAUGGUAAAAAUCGAGCUUUUUUGGUUGGAAAAAAUUAUCUGUUUGAUCAGUUAUUGGCAAGAGUAUACGAGGUGUUACAAAUAAACCCUAAUGAUUAUAGUAUCACAAUGAAGAUAACUUUGAGGUCUAGUAACACAUUAUAUCGUAUAUGUGCAAUGCCCAUGGAUAUAUGUGAUGAUGAAAUGGUGAGGGUUGUGUUGCAUAUGGCAUUUGACGUAGCUAAUGUUGGAUGCAUUCCUAUAUUCGUGACCACAUCACCUUGAGUUCCGAGCGAAGGUAUUGAGCCACUUGUCGAUACAGAAACUUCGUUUAGAGCAAAUAUGUCUGGCCCCGAUAAUGAUGAAGAGGUGUUGCCAAGGACAAUAUCGUUGCAGCAAUAUUACUCUCCAAUCCACGAAAAUUAUGACAACAUUGAUGAUAAUGGCGUUACGUUACAGGAUGUUGGAGCAACGGUAUUUCCAAUAACAACGUCGUUGGAGCAACGAUAUUCUCCGUAUCACAACAAUGAUUUUCGGGACAAUGAUGAUUUUAAUAAUGAGACAGAGGGGGAUAAUGUUUGUGCAGAACCUUCUAAUAAUACGAGGCGGGGCACUCGUUUCAAUAAUGAUGGUGAUGAUAGAGGAGCCGGUCCUUCGAAUGUUCCGUCGUUUCAGCAUGAGGAUGAGUGUGAAGACAAUACUCCUGUGAAUAACAGAGGCAAUAGACCUAUUCCUUCUACGGUUCGAUCGAGAAGGAGAAUUGACCCCCUUACAAGUCUUGCUCCAACUUUGCCUUCGAACAUGGUUGCUCCAAGCUUUGUUAGCAAUUGUGACUCAGAUGAUAUCAGCGUGGGUAAGCUAUUUGCUGAGAAGAAUGAGCUUAUAUUACAACUACGCAAGGUGGCCUUUAGAGAUAAGUUUGAUUUCAAGAUUGCACAGUCUACUAUGACACGUUUCGAGGCUCACUGUUGUUCAGAAUCAUGUAAAUGGCGUAUUCGAGCAACUAGAAGUUCGAACGAGCAAAAUGUUCCUUGGGUGGUGAAGAGAAUUGAUAAUGUACACACUUGUCAUAAUGAGGUAUUGGUUGAUGGACGUCAUCAAGUAAGGAGCCGGGUUGUCGGUCAUAUUAUCGCAGAAAAAUAUAUUCAAGAUAAGAGGAUUUAUACUCCCAAUGACAUAAGAGCAGAUAUGCAACAGGAAUACGGUGUUCAGUUAACAUACCAGCAGGCAUAUAGGGCGAGAGAAGUUGGUCUUGAAAUAGUUCGCGACAACCCUGCAGAGUCAUACAACUUGCUCCCUAAAUACUCUCACGUACUAACUACAGCGAAUGAGGGUACAGUCACUCACCUCAAGCAAGAUGGAGAUGGUAAUUUCUUAUACUAUUUUGUAGCACUCGGAUCUUCCAUCAAGGGGUUUAUGCAGUACAUUCGGCCUGUCAUUGCUGUAGAUGGUACUCAUCUGAAGGGACUAUAUCGUGGAAGCAUGUUCGUGGCAACAUGUCUUGAUGGUAACAAUCAAUUGUAUCCGUUAGCUAUUGGGAUCAUGGAUUCAGAAAACAAUGAUGCUUGGGAAUGGUUUAUGAUGAAGUUACACGAAGUGAUUGGUGAUAGACCUGAGUUGGUAAUUAUCUCUAAUCGAUGCACUACCAUAAGGAGAGCCGUUCUUAAAGUAUUUCACAAUGCAACUCAUGGCGUUUGUUUUUACCACGUCAAAGGUAACAUUAAGUCACAAUUUAGAAUGUCCAAAGCUCUUUGGGAUGAAUUUGAGCCUGCCUUUAUUAAUGCAGCAAAAGCAUAUGGCCAUGAGGAAUUUAAGAGACAACUUGAGGGGUUGUGGAUGGAUCCACUCGGGUGCGGCUGAUUACCUAGAAAAUAAUGUCGGUACGUGUAAUUGGGCAAGGUCUCAGUUUGAAGGUAGGAGGUACAACAUUCUUACCACCAACAUCGCGGAGAGUGUUAAUGCUUUCAUGAGGGAACCUCAAAAAUUUCCUGUUACUCAUCUUGUUGAUCACUUUAGGAAAACAUUGCAGCAAUGGUUUUAUGAUAGAAAAAUUGUGGCUGAAUCAAUGACUACUCGGCUAACAACAUGGGCGGAUGAAAUAGUCACUGAGAGGAGAACUAUAGCUGAAAGAAUGAUAGUUCGGCCGGUGUCUCCGCAUCGCUUUCAAGUUAUAGGCGGUGGGCUUAAGGAAGGGUUGGUUGACUUGCAAAAGAGAAUUUGCUCCUGCAGAGUGUUUCAGCUUGAUCAGCUUGUGUGUGCUCAUGCAAUUGCGGCGUGUCUAACAUACCGGGUGGAUUUUAUUAACCUUUGUUCAGACUUUUACACUACAGAAUCGUUGGCGAUGGCUUAUGCACAACCAGUGGAGCCAGUUGGUGAUGUGGCUGAUUGGGAAGUUCCAGAUGAAAUUCAGGAGAUGCAAGUAUACCCACCAGUUGAGGCACCACCACCUGGCCGUCGUAAAGAGCUCAGAAUACCCUCGGCUGGCGAGGACGUUGACCGGCGGACUGUAAGAUGCUGCCGGUGUCAUGAACUAGGCCAUAAUAGUAAGCGAUGUAAGAAUCCUAUUGCGUCGACUCGAAGUUAGUUGUAUUUUGUGUGUUAUUCGGUGGUUAAAACUAUUAUUGUUUUUGUGUUUCGUUGGUUAAAACUGUUAUUGUUUUUUGUAUUUCGUUGCUUAAAACUGUUAUUGUUUUUUGUAUUUCGUUGCUUAAAACUGUUAUUGUUUUUUGUAUUUCGUUGGUUAAAACUGUUAUUGUUUUUUGUGUAUUGUACACUUAUAUUUCAUAAAACUUUAUUUUAUUUUAAAGUUCAAAAUGUGAGGCAUUAAAAUUAUAUAAACUUAAGUGCGCAAAUUAAAAAAAAAUUCAAAUUUCAACAUUAAAAUUACUACAUAGGUCUAUAAUAUAAUAUCGUCAUUAAAUAUAUCAACCGCAAUCUUCUUUCUAAAGUACUCGACAUGACUAGCGUUAAACUCCAAUCUAAGCCCAAACAUUAAAUACAUCGUAACCAUCAAUACAAAAACACCGCAAUCGCCAGUUCCGGGCUCUUGUUGCGGCGCGCUCUUAACUGCGAUAACUUUCCACGGGUCUUCACUCCGCAACUCAGGUCGGAUAUUGUAGAAGCCAACAUAUUCCAACCAGCGAGGGAAUAUAACUUCAAGUGGCUUGAAUUUCAACUUGUACCUUUUGUCGUCGCGAAAUGUGAGUAAUGAGUCAUAGAUCCAGACUUUAUUUUUCCGAAAGUCAACUCGUGCUAGUACCCAAUGCGCGCCGUCCAAGUUAACAGGGAUGAGUAAAUGCAUAUAAAAAUUGAAAAACAUGUUCGUUAUAUAUGCAAUUGAAAUACAACAAAGAAAAAGCAACAACUCGAAUAUUUUCAUUAUAGAACAUGUGAAAUGUAAUAAAAUACAUACCAUAUCGACAUCUGUCAUUGAUUUUGACAUUGUGUGCUGUCGCCCACAAAGAUAACUAUUUAAGCGGUCGUCGAAUACUAUUGAAUCGACUGCACAAUUCUCGUUAUUCCAUAACUGAUUCAAGAACACCUAGUACAUAGAUAACCAAGAAAUGCAUAAAUUAAUAAAACUUAAAGGCAAUAAUUAAAAAAAAAUUAAAUAGUAUUUAUAAGUUUUGUCGGCACGUUACCCAAAAAAAUGUGUCAGUAUGUGUGACACGUUGGAGUAAGGCAUUUGGAUACUGCCGUUGUUUCUCGCUAAUCAAGCGGAGAUACUCGUGAAUAUGCUGUAGAGAAACAGAAAUAUUACGAUUUAAAAAAAAUUAUACACAAAUCCACAAUAGAAUACACCACGAGGAAAAUAUAAAUACCUCAUCGCCUAGCCAUCCCAUCGAAGCUGUCCCCAAAAUUAUUUGAAAGAAUGACCGCGGGUGCUGGACUCUCCGGCGGACUCUGCUAUCACCAGUGAACCAUCGAUCAAACUCAGCAAACAAACUAGAGUCCUCCAAUUCUCUAAGUGGAUUUACAUCCACACUUGUACUCAUGUCAAUCGCAUGCUCCAUGAUUUGGGGUCGAGGUAAGGGCCGGACGUUCUGUCCUCGCCUGACCGGAGGAAUCAUGUAAGGACUGUUAUAAACAUAUGACGGUAUGUACGCGCGGCCGAACUUACUAAAGCCCGGAGGCACCUCUGUGAACACCUGCACGCUCUCCCCACUAACAUCCCCGUAGAAACUAUACAAUGACGUGGGCGUAGACAAAUUUUCAUUGCCCACGUCAGUAUACACUCCAUAGUCAUCCGGGGCCUAUACAUUCGCCAAAAAGAACAUAUUAAAUAACUAUCAAAUUAAAAGUUAAACGAACAUAAUUAUUAAAUUUAAAUUAGCUUACCGCAUACGAGCGUGCAGUGGGAGAAUCCUUAUUUGGACGUUUAGAAAAUGUGUCGAUGAAGCCAACAACGGUUUCUUUAAAAUCUUUUAAUUCGGACUUUAUUUCAUACACGUUACGAUCAAUCUUAUCCAGCCGUCGUUGUACAUAAUCAUUAAACUGCUUUGUCCUCGACUAUUACAAAAGAAAAAAAUAAAACUUUAGAAUAACAAUAAAAAAAUAAUAAUUUAUAAAGGAAAAAUAUCGUAUAUUAUUUCUAACCUCAGAAUCCCGUGUGUCAUCAGAGUUGUCUGUUUGCUGGUGGUGGUCAUCAACAGCCACCUCAUCCUCAAAAGUGUCAUGACCCACCUCAUCCUCAAAAGUGUCAUGACGCUGCUCUGGUAUUGGGUUUGGUAUGUCGUCAUGAUCGUCAUGCUCGUCUGAUUGCCUUGUAACCGACGGCAUCGCGUUGAUCGAGGGUUGGUGCUGUAUAAAGUAUCAUUUAAAAUUAGUAAAUGAAAAGCCAAAAAUUUCGAUUAACAAAUUUUUAGUACUUAGAGUAUACCGACCUUAUGAACCCAGUCUGGAAUGCUUGGCAAGUAAUUCUUCACAGAGAGCCAAUAUUUUCUGCUACUCUCCUUUGAAUUUGGCUCAAGAGUUUGUAAAAAGUCCCCCUGCCAUAAAUUCAAUUGAAAAUUUUAAGUAAGUAUACAUAACUUAAAUUUAGUAAAGUUAAAAAAAUAAGUAAUACAUAUUACUUACAAGACGAGAUUCGUCGUUGAAGAACGAAUAAACCUCCGCAAAGUUGAUUCUCGAAGACGCCAUGGGAUUCCAUUGCAGAAUGCGGGGAAUCUUAUUCUUCGUUUUGACGACCCAUGUUGAUGGCAACCCUCCGAUUGCUUCGUAAAUCCAAGCCUACAACAACCAAAGUGAAAAAUCAAAUAAAACAACUAUCAAAUAUUUAAUACUAUAAAACUUAUUAAUAAACAAAAAAAAAAAGCACCUGAACCCCAGACGUAAAGCCGUAAAGAUUGUAUAUUUCAAUAUUAUGAUUUGGAUUUUUCAACCGAGUCUUCUUAAAUUUCUCGUCUUUCUCGAACAGUGCAUUGUCAAGACUCUCGUAAAUCAUUUCCCACGACAAUAGACCCCAUGGACGUUUUCGGAAGUACUGUACAUCAUCAACUUGGUCAAGCCAAUCGAAAUUAAUUUGACAGUGAUUUUUUCUUGCAUUUAGUACUCUGUCCGUAAAAUAAAACAGCGUAAUCUUUAAUGCGUCCAUAUCGUCCAUUUCCUCGAAUUUCAACUUCUUAAAUACUGCAUCGAAUUGCUUCACAUUAAUCUUACGAUGCACACCACCAAAAUACGUAUUCCGUAGCCUCUGCUCCAUUUCAUCAUUUUUUUCAUUGGUAUCAACACCAAAUGAAAGUCCAGUAACCAAGCACCAUUCGACAAUUGACAAGCGAAUCAAACGCUUACCAAUUUGAAACCAUAACUGAUCCUCACGGCUAUCGUCUUCAUGGGCCACUUGCCGCAGUAAAAGAUUGUGCAAAAUUACCCCACUAAACGAAAAACUUCGACACUCCAAGAAAUGCUCAAAUAUAUCCUUUUUGAACAUACUCAACUGCCGCAUUGUUAAUUUUUCCUCGAUGGCUUUUACGACCGAAGAUAACAUACACAUGCUCGAAAUUCGACCAGGAAAGUGAUCAGCAUAACGAAAAUACAUCUUGCCUACUUCAAUAUCCGGUGAUUCUGAUUUCGCCAUGUAUCUGUAAUAUUUAUAAAAUUAUUACAUUACAUUUACAGAAAAAAUAUACUCGUUAAAAAAAAAUUAUAAUUUUUGGUCCAAAGCUGGUGCGACAAUGCCUGCUGUCGCACCAAAUCUGGUGCGACAGCGUGCCGCGCAUGGGUGCGCGCGCGCCCCCUGCCCCCCUCCCUCCCCACCCCCAAAAUUAAGCGCAAUCACUCCAAAAUCGAAAACAAUACUCCCAAACACCACCAACCACCACAAACAUCAUCACCACCACUAUUAUUCUCAAGCUAUAACUAUUAUUAUUCUAAAAUCUCAUUUUAAAUUAAUGAAAAUAAGAAAAAUGACUAACCUAGGUUUUGUUGAAGGUUGUAGAUCGUAGAUCGGAUGCCGGUGAGAGAUGGAGCCGCCGCCGACGAGGGUUGAUGUCGCCGCCGAUGAUGGGAGUUGGAUCGGUUUGGGAGAGAUGAGUGCAAGAGAGUGUUGGGGGAGAGAUGAGGGAGGGAUAUUUUGGUCUCAAAUGUUGUUUUAUGGCUAAUGUUGAUAGAAAUAUUUUUGGGGGGGUAAGAUGAAAAAAAGUAAAAUUUUUUUGGUUAUUACUGUAAAUUUCCCUAUAACUUAACUAACAUAAAUAAAUGAUAGAUAUGAGUAAUGUUCAAGUUUUGUGGAUUUAAUAUUUUAAAAUGAUGCCGUUUAAAUUAACGACGCCGUUUUUAUGAAACUUAAAACAUAUCAACACUUCAGCCAAUUAUCGACCAAGUGUUGAAUAAACCCCUCUCGCUGCAACCUAAAAUCAUUGAACUUUGAGCCACUCUUAACAACAUUGUGUGGAACCCUAACCCUAAGCCUCAUUUCCACCACCGAUAAAGCUAAGAAAGUUUCCCGUAUAUCAGAACUAUGGCGAAUUGCCUUCAGUCCUUAGGACCCAUAAAAAAUCUUGUAUUCCCUCGCUUUUACUUCGCUAAUUUUUUGUAUUAUUCCAUCUCUUUCACUUUAAUAACCCAAAAUCUCUCCUCUGUUUCAAUCGAAAGAAAACCCUAGCUUAAAUUAAGCUGAAAUUUACAUAUCAAAGCUCUCGCUCAACUUCCCUCCUUCAAUUGAAACAAAAUGCAGCCAUAAAACCCCAAUACGCCACACCCUUUUGUCUCAGGCCAACAUUCAUUUAAACCCCACCUUUCGGUUCAAUGCCAUUUAAUGCGAUUGCAGAUGCCGUUUCAACUCAUUAUUUAGUUAACGCCAUUCAGUUCUUUGCUGUCAGCCUUAACCCUAAUAACUAAUCGACUGUGGUAGCACGUUGCUGACUCGGGCUGAGGAUACAUGAAUUAAAUAUAUGAAUUGGGUGAUGUCAGUGAUUCAUCCUCCUAUUUGCCGUGAAUUGAGAUUUGUGUAUAAUGUUUGUAAGAUUGUUAAAAAUUUCAUGUUCCAGUCGAAUUUCUUGCUCUCUCUCUAUAUAUAUAUAUAUAUUAUCUUCUUUAUAGUCAGGCUCUGGCUUUGCUGCUAUGCUUAGUGCAGUAUAUGGUUUCAAGACUAAAUUAGGUUUAUUUGACGACAUCGAUAUCUUACCUAGCUCUGCUUGAAAAUGAAAAUGUUGUACUAGUAAUCAUAGACUUUGUUUAUUCAGUUGAUAUUUUAAUUAUAUGUAUAAGAAUGAAGCUUUAUUUGGGAAAAAAAGAAAUAAAGAAAUAGGCUCUGUUGAAGCUAAUUAAUACUUCAUUCUUUCUAUACGUGCGACCUGUGGUGGAAACAUGAUAUGAAAAUGUGUUACUGGUGAGGUUGCUGCUUGAGAUGAGAAUGAUGAGAAUGCCUUCUAUUCGGAAAUCCUUGGUAGGUAUUAUAUAAUUAUAUUUGAUGGAAUAUUAAAUAGCUAAAGAACCUCUGAUAUUGUCUUUGUUCAAUGGUUACUGUAGUAGUGUUUGUUGGUCUUUUUCUGGUUGGCGUUUGGAUGUUAAUGUCAUCAUCAGUUGUACUGGUGUGGGAUCCAGGAUGUUGUCCUCUUAAGAGCCUAUAAGCAAAGUGAAACAGAGAGUAUCUGAGUUUUGUCUGGGCCUUUCGUAGAAAAUCAAGGUGAUGAAUGACAGGAUUCAACAAUGGGGAUGGGGAUGAUGUUCCUGUUGAAAAGUUAGAGAAUAGAGUGGAAGAUAAUCACGAAGAGAUGAAUAUGUAUGAGGGUGAUGGUGAGACGAGUGAAUCUAAGAAUAUGGUUAAUCAAAACCAGGAAGAGAAUUUAGUGAAGGAGAGUUUUGAUGAGAAUACUGAGUCUGAAGAGGAAUCUAAGGCGGUGUCUAAAAAUUACGAUGUUAGAAAAAGGGAAGAUAAGGAAUCUAAAAGUGAAGGUGGAGAUUCGAAUUCAGAAGCUGGAGAAACAGAAGGCGGCGAAUUGAAUAAAAUUGAGCAAAUUGAAUCAGAGAAGAGCUUGGAUGAAAAUAAAUGGAUGAGGCUAGUCAGAUUGAAAAGGAGAAGGAUUCUCAAGAUCAAGAUAAUGACACUGAGAGUCGUUGAAAGGAUCAGGCUUCAACUGAGAUUUUUCCUUUUGGUGACUAGUCAGAAAUUCUGAAGGAAACUAAUGCUCAGAAUGGGGCUUGCUCAACUCAACCUAUUGAGUCAUAGAAUCAGAAAAUAUCACAACAAACUUCUAUAUCUAAGGACCCGUAUGGUCAUCGCUGGAAAGUGUGUAAUGCCACUGCUAGGCCAGAUUGCAUCCCUUGCCUGGACAAUUUGCAAGCAAUUAGAAUGCUUUCCAGCACAAAAGCAUUAUGAACAUCGAGAGAGGUAUUGCCCUGAAGAAGCUUGUACCUGUAUUGCUCCUUUACCGGAAGGAUACAAACACUCAAUUAAGUGGCCCCAAAGCAGGGAUAGGGUAUGAUCUUAUAUUAUGCAUUAUAAAAUAUAUACUUGAGUACUUUUAAUUCACUUGGGCUAAGAUUUGUUCUCAUGCUGUGUGGGAUAGAUUUGGUAUUAUAAUUUUCCCCACACAAAGCUUGCAGAAGUUAAGGGUUAGCAAAAUGGGGUUAAAGUUACUGGUGAAUACCACAUUUUUCCAGGUGGCAGAACUGAAUUUGAGCUCUUCAUUACAUUGACUUCAUUCUGAAGGUGAGCAUUUUUCAUUUAUCAUUUUAUGUCUGUUGUUAGCUUCAAUUAAUACGUGGCUUAUUCUUUUCUUUGUAUGAACCAUGGGCGGUCCAUUUCAUUUUAUAAGCUAUUUCUUGGGUUUUAGCAAGACAAAUAAUAAGAUUUGUGCUGUUUUUGUUUUAUGCGUCUAUAUAAAUUGUGUGUGCGCAUAUCAUACUAGGGGAGUAUUGCUUUAAUGCUAUAUACAGUCAAGGACACACGGUGGGUCACAUUCUGACUCGUUUCAAUGCUUAUUUUAUAAAUAUUUACUUGUAUAUAUUUUGUAGUACUUUUAGAGAUGUAUUCUGCACUGGAUUUUUUAAGUGCUUUUAAUGUAGACUACUGUCUUUGUCUUUAUCUCUCUUUCUGUGAAACUGAAAGGUUCAUAGAAUUUUUUAGAAACCAGUAAUCUUACAAAAAAUUUUAACCUGUUAAUUAAUGCGGUUUCAUUAUCUUGAAAAAUUUUCAAGCGUGCUUGCUUUUUUCUUUUUCUUUCUUCUGAAAUAAUUGUUGAUAUUCCCCUUCUCUUCUAUCAAGUUUCUGAUUCUCUAAAGCCCACAUUAUUUUUGUCUUUCUUUAUACAGGCCUUUAUCAUUUAUUGGCCAGCACCCUUUCCUCGGUUCUAUAUAAGAAUGUAAUUUCGUCCGAAUCUGCCAAAAACCGUGUGCUAUUGUCAACAACAAAUCAGAAUUCCAUCUCCACCUCCUGACAAACCAUGCGUCACCACCUGCUUAGGAAUCCAAAGCCUUUGCUGGUGUUGAUAGUAUGUUCUCUCUCUAUCUCUGUUUUUCCUCGGUUGAGAAUUUAAAACAACAUCAUACUCAUCAUAUACUCUGUUUGGAUUCCUUGAAAUAAUAUUUUUUUAAUUUUUAUUGUUAUUUUGAAUUGUUUCUACAUAUUUUGAAUCAGAGUUGUUUGAGUAAAAUUUAAAUAUCAAUAUUACUGAUACGUGUCUAAUCUGAACUUCUUACCUUAAUAGCUUACUCACCUGUGCUUUUUUUUCUCCCCCCUUUUAAGAAUUCAAAAGCUAUAUUAUGGAUUUUGUUUUUGUUGUUUAUUGUCAUGAAGUAGGAGUGGGCAGAAAAUUGAAGAACCGUAUCAGAUUCGGUUCGAUAUUUGAUUCGGUUGUGCAAUAACCUAAAUUGGACGGUUUCAUUUCGGUUGGGAUGAAUGAAAACCGAAACCGAACCAAUAAUAAAAUUAACAAGCAAACCAAAUGAAAGUCCCAAAACAGUAACAAAACAAACACAGGUUUCUUAUCAAAUUUCACAGCACGACAUGGUCGCUCUAUUUGGUAAAAAAAUAGAAAAAAGAAUAAUGGGUCUCGAAAAUUUUUUAGAGUAUUUCUGUCGCUUACAUUUUUUUCCAUCGAUUAAUGUUAGUUGUAGGUGAAUGAUUGUUGCAAAUCCAUGUUAGCUUGUGAUUGAUUGAAAAUGGCUUGUGAUUUGUUAUGCUGCCAUGUGACAGAUUGAAAAUGGCUCUGAAAUUUUUUUAUUUGUUUAAGGUAUUACUGCUGAUUAUUGAACAGAGAUUCAUGCUAGUUUUUGUUAAAUUGAAGAUGAGAUUUUUUUUAGGAGAUCUGCAAAACCUUCUCUACUAUAGAUUUGGCUUCUAGCAUACCUGGUUGGCUGGAAAUAAUUGUUUAUACAGUCAUUGCUGCCUAUAUUAAUCAGGAAUAUUGAUUAGCAAUGUACUGGGUUAGAGAUUGGUAUAAUUUUGGAAAAUUAGUUGUAGAUGCAACCUGAUUAUGGUCUCAAAUAGUGUGAUCUGUCAAUUUUGUUUGCUCUGGCCUAAUAACCUUGAAUAUGAGCUAUGCCACUAUACAAAGUCUUGACCUAAUCACACUUGUUAGCCAAUGUCCAAAAUUGCAGUGUCUUUAGAUAAGUCCUUUCUUAUUUGUUUCGGUUAUAAAUGAAAAUUGCAGUGUCUUUGGAAAAUCAUGCUGAAUGUUGAAGUUAUGGACGAGAGGAGACCCCCAGAUUCAAGGCCGGAGCUCCCUGUUAAGAAGCUUUACAAAUAUAGGAUUGUCGCCUGGCAGAGGAUUGCUAUGCCUGGUUUUGUUUGGAAUAUGGAUGAAGAUUUUGCAUUGAGGCUUUUUUGAUAGAUCAUUUGGCAAAUCAAGCUCCAUGUAUCUAUCUUCAGACUCUUGGAUAUUUAUAAAGCAGGUGCAUGCUCCAUAUGUUACUCAAUGUAUCACGAUUAUUUUUCUAUUGCUUAAUAUAUUUGCAGUCCUUGAUGAAGUUGACAACUUAUGGAGGGUAUACAGAGGCUCAAGAGCUCAAUCGCCAUUCAUUUUANNNNNNNNNNNNNNNNNNNNNNNNNNNNNNNNNNNNNNNNNNNNNNNNNNNNNNNNNNNNNNNNNNNNNNNNNNNNNNNNNNNNNNNNNNNNNNNNNNNNGGAUUUUGUUUUUGUUGUUUAUUGUCAUGAAGUAGGAGUGGGCAGAAAAUUGAAGAACCGUAUCAGAUUCGGUUCGAUAUUUGAUUCGGUUGUGCAAUAACCUAAAUUGGACGGUUUCAUUUCGGUUGGGAUGAAUGAAAACCGAAACCGAACCAAUAAUAAAAUUAACAAGCAAACCAAAUGAAAGUCCCAAAACAGUAACAAAACAAACACAGGUUUCUUAUCAAAUUUCACAGCACGACAUGGUCGCUCUAUUUGGUAAAAAAAUAGAAAAAAGAAUAAUGGGUCUCGAAAAUUUUUUAGAGUAUUUCUGUCGCUUACAUUUUUUUCCAUCGAUUAAUGUUAGUUGUAGGUGAAUGAUUGUUGCAAAUCCAUGUUAGCUUGUGAUUGAUUGAAAAUGGCUUGUGAUUUGUUAUGCUGCCAUGUGACAGAUUGAAAAUGGCUCUGAAAUUUUUUUAUUUGUUUAAGGUAUUACUGCUGAUUAUUGAACAGAGAUUCAUGCUAGUUUUUGUUAAAUUGAAGAUGAGAUUUUUUUUAGGAGAUCUGCAAAACCUUCUCUACUAUAGAUUUGGCUUCUAGCAUACCUGGUUGGCUGGAAAUAAUUGUUUAUACAGUCAUUGCUGCCUAUAUUAAUCAGGAAUAUUGAUUAGCAAUGUACUGGGUUAGAGAUUGGUAUAAUUUUGGAAAAUUAGUUGUAGAUGCAACCUGAUUAUGGUCUCAAAUAGUGUGAUCUGUCAAUUUUGUUUGCUCUGGCCUAAUAACCUUGAAUAUGAGCUAUGCCACUAUACAAAGUCUUGACCUAAUCACACUUGUUAGCCAAUGUCCAAAAUUGCAGUGUCUUUAGAUAAGUCCUUUCUUAUUUGUUUGAGUUAUAAAUGAAAAUUGCAGUGUCUUUGGGAAAUCAUGCUGAAUGUUGAAAUUAUGGGCGAGGGGAGACCCCCAGAAUUCAAGCCGGGAGCUCCCCGGUAAGGAAGCUUUCCAAAUAUAGGAUUGUCGCCUGGCAGAGGGUUGCUAUGCCUGGUUUUGUUUGGGAAUAUGGAUGAAGAUUUUGCAUUGAGGCUUUUUGGAUAGAUCAUUGGGCAAAUCAAGCUCCAUGUAUCUAUCUUCAGACUCUUGGAUAUUUAUAAAGCAGGUGCAUGCUCCAUAUGUUACUCAAUGUAUCACGAUUAUUUUUCUAUUGCUUAAUAUAUUUGCAGUCCUUGAUGAAGUUGACAACUUAUGGAGGGUAUACAGAGGCUCAAGAGCUCAAUCGCCAUUCAUUUUACACUUGGCUGGGCUAUAGCAUACCAACUAGUGAUUAAUAAAGAGAGGGUAUGAAGGUCCUGUUGCUGGUGGUAUUAUCAAUCAGAAUUGUUAUUUUACUUGGUCAUACUUACCAUGUAUACUAUUCGUAGGCUUUUUUCAUUUUCAUGCAUUCGCAUCAUCUUCUUGUUAAGCUACAGAUGGUUGAUUUGUGUACUCAUUUGUAUCACUUGUAGCUCUUGAGGAAUAAAAUUUAAAAUUAUGUUGCAUCUCUUGUACUAAAUAGUAAUUUUGUUGGCUUUAUGUAUGGGAAAUGGUUUGUUGUCUUAUUUCUUUGAUGUGUAUGGUGUUACACUGUCUAAAGUUCAGAAGUAUUUCUAUCACUUGUGUAAAAAACAACCUACUUUUUUCGUUCUUCUUAUAUUGAAUAAAAGAGGGACACCAAGAUUGAACGAAAUUUGAUUCAGACAGCAUAGCAAUUAGGCCAGCGCAAAACAGCUUCCUUCUGAUUCUUUGAUAUUUGACUUAAAUCUUUUGUUUGUUUCAUUUAUCAAAGUCAUUUUGGAAAGUAACGGGGGUGAUUUGAUAUUUUCAUUGCAUUCACAUCCCUUGGCACCAAAACAAACAUGCUGGUACUAACCAACAAUUUUUUAUUUUCAGUAUACAAAUUUUUUUUUUUCUAAAUUAAGGGUAUUAAGAAAAGGUAUACUAGCACCAGAGGAGGUAUUUGAGAAUACACAAAUAUAAUCUAUCAAAUUGAGAAUACGCCAAAUCUCCGGAGAGGUUUUUGAUAAAUCCUUUUUUUUCUUUUUCCUCCAUUCACUAUAGGUUCAAUUUAGGGUGGUUGUUAAGUUAUAUCAUUGUGUAACAUAGAUCAAUUCAACAGUUGUUACCAGUAACACAAAAGUAUAACGAACAAAAACUAAUUGUGUUACUGGUAGUAACUAUUAAAUUGAUGUAUGUUACAUAAUUAUGUAACUUAACAAGGUCUUCAAUUUAGACACGGUUGACCAAACUGAAGGUUUAGGUUGGUAAACGCACUAGUGUUAAUGUCAACAACCCAAGGGGCUUCAUGGUCCUCUAGGCCGAAAUAGCGUAAUUAUUAAUUCUCCUCCACUGAAAGUCUUUAUCAUCUUGGGACAAAUAAUUACAAAUUGACAUUAUAGCUGUGGAAAUUUGGAGGUGUAACAACCGGAAAAAUAAAAAUCUUAAGAGACUUUAAAUAAAAAAGAUAACACCUUCAAUUUGCUAAAAGUAAUGGUAUCAUUUCUUGUAUGGAUAAUGGAUGAUUAUAUUUUGUUUUUGGUUAUCUGACGAAGGAUAUUAAGUUGUUCUUUAUGUGUUCAUAGGCAAGAGCAUGAGCAUAUGCAUGAUUUGACAUAUGGUUCUUGCAUUUUCUAAUUAAGUGCUCUUUUUCCUUGCCUUCUUAGUUUGAAAGAAAGAUGUGAAGCAAAGCAAACCCAGUGAAAUGUACAGAGAAACAGAACCAUCAGAGGAAAAACUAAAUAACAGAACUACAAUUGAACCAAACAAAAUCAAAUAAACGGACGCAACAGAUGCCCUGAACCUAGUAAUUACUCAAGAGUUGAGGAGUUGGAAUGAUUUGGUAUUCAUAUCUUCACAAAUCAUAUGCUUUAAUGCAGAAUCGACAGCUUUAUAUUAUUUUAUUCAAAAAACGAUAAAGCAGGAAAACCACAAUAAUCCACCAACUUUUGAUACUUGUAGGAAUUUUUUUUAGUCAAAUUAAGUUUCAUGAUAACACAAGUGGCUCGUCCACACACUUGCACUUGCUUGAAUAUUUGUGCCGACAUUUUCGUAUGUGAUGGUACUUCUUAGCCAGUAGAUAUGUUGAAAUACUACAAAACAGAGUAUUUGAUGAAGUUUUGCUACUUUCGUAUCCCCUUUUUUUGUUGCAUAACUAAAUUCUUUAUAAACACAAAUUAGAAAGAUACAAAUAAUACAGUAGCUUGAAUUUAUAUGCUUUUAUGAUUAUUUGAUAAUCUAGUGCUGAUCAUAUGUGAUGAUAAACUUAGCUAGUAGUUUUAUAUUUGUUUUCGCAGUUUCCUUAGCGUUCACAUUUUGAUGAGUAAAUUAAGGAUUUCCAGAUGAAGUACAUAAUUAGAUGAAUGCAAAGGAACUGAAGUUUGAUUAAUUGAAAACAAAAAUAAUAAUGCAGGUAAUUGCGAAAAUGAGCAAUGCAGAAGUAGUCCCUAUAGUAUUUCUAAAUUUUCUCUUGGGGUUCCUUAGUAUUCCUUAAUAUUUUUAAAAAAUGACAUGACGAUCUUUGAGUUGACGAAUCUUGGCCUGCUGCUUAGUACCCUUCCAACAUAUAAAGUACUAGAUGUUUUACUGAGAAAAUGACGAGAUCAUUUACCAAAUUUCUUGCCCAUAUAUACGUAUGUAUACGAGAAAUGAGAAUCAGUGAUUAUAAGACCUUGCAAUGAGACAAUAAUACAUCAUCAAAUCUAAAAAUACACAAGAAAUUCGGGACAUAUAUAUAACAAAAGACCUCUCAUUGAGUCAUACAUAUUGAGAAUAAAAUGUCAAAAUGCAUACAAAGAGCUUAUACAAAAAAUGAAUUUACACAUAUUUAGAAUAAACUGUCUUUGAACUUUCGAUGGUCAAACAAAGGAAACAGACAGGAUAUAAUACACGCCGUCAUAGAUGUAGCGACACGGUGAAGUAAAUCACAUGAAGAUGGAAACGGAAACCCUUCACAACAUAAAAUUUGAAUAGAGGGGGAAAAAAGGCUUCAUUUCGAAUGUUGCACAAAACUAGAAUAACAGACAAAAUAUUGUGCUUCUAUACUUGUCACAAAACUAGACCAAAUUAGUUUCCUUUUUGGUUUGUGAAAACUUGAUAUUUUUGAAAAUUCUAUCCAAUGCUUUCAAACAAUAUUUCCAUAAUAUAGUUGUUCAUAGCUAACCUUUGAUGGUUUAAGCAUUUGUUGUAGGCAUGACGGGCUAAUUAGAUUAUUAUUUUUUUUAUCCGAUGAAUGAUAUUCAGCUGUUCUUAAUUAUGUGUUAAUAGGCAAGAGCAUUUUCUUAAGCACUUUCGUUGCCUUCCAAGUUUCCAAAGAACAAACAGAGCACAAACAAAUUUAACGGAACAGUAACGAUGACAAUAAAUAAUUGGCAAGGAAAGAAAGAAAAAAGUUUGCAUGAUUUCAAGGAAUUAUAAAAUCUGAACACUUUCAACAUGCAAGUGUUGCCCCUCUUAAUGAAAUUUCAUCAUAAAAUGCUUGCAAGGAAUUAUAAAAUUUUAGAGAACAAGCGAAUUAAAUUAAAUUAGACCAAAAGACGCUCAAUGACGCAAAAUCUGCCCAUAAAAGCCUGAACGAAUCAUGAAAAGUGCAUUCCAUAUUGACAGUAAACCAAGUGACCCAUUCUAAACAAUUGAGAUGAAAUUGUGAAACAACCCACGAGAUCAAAUAAAUAAAAUAAGAAUUAAUUACCAGCUGGGACUUUCUUCUUCAAAUUCGUAACUCCAAGUCAUAAGAAGCCUAUGAAAUUAGUCGUAAUCCACAGAGUAUGACGACGACCCCGCCAACAGCUGAAAAUAAAAUUCUUAUUCAUCAAUUUAAACUAACUUUAUAACAAAUAUCUUAUCGAUAUUUUAUUUAAAAAGAAAAAGAAAAUUUUGUAAAAAUUUAUCAUGGGAGAUAGAGAGUAAUAUGUACAUACGUACCUUCUCAGCAUGUAAUUGUUGUAUGGUCGUGUUAAGAUCAUUACCAGCCCAACGCCGUUGAUUCGAUGUCUCUCCAUACCAGACGUUUACUCUUGGAGGCGUGAUUGAUUCUCCUGUAGUGAAAAAAUUCAUCUUGGGACAACCAAUCACACACAACUCUUGCAAAGAUGGGAAUUCAAAGGUGUAAUUGGCAGAGCAGAAACUUGUGAGGCUGUCUAAAUCGCGCAGUUCCAACCUCUUCAAUUUGCGGAAAACAAUCUCUUCUUUUUCAACCCCGUCUUUGUCAUUUAUUACCACCUCUGUCAUUGCUCUGCAUCCAUAUAUACUCACUUUGACGAGUCGCACUAGAGUUUUUGCUGUGGAGGAUGUUACCAAGUGCAUCAAUCCCUUGCAACCGAAAGCUAAAAGUUUUGUUAGGUUCCGAAAAGAUACCGAUGAUGAUGGCAAUAGAAUUAACAGACUUUGACAAUGAUGUACUCCUAGAAUUUCAAGAUACUGAAAAAUGGGGCCAAGUUUGGAGUCUUGUUUGCACAGCUGCUUCAGAUGAUAGUGCCAGCGCAGCUCUAAUGCUUUUAUCAUUGCCAACUUCCCCACAUGUUUCUCUAAGCAUCCUUCCAUCGAAAAUAGCUCUUCGUGGGAUGAAAAAUUAAACAGAGUGAGUAUUUCGAUAUUGUGAAAUCUCUCCAGUACGUUCCAGAUUGGAAAACAAGCUGAGUCAUCUCCAAUAAUCUCUAGUUGUUUAAGACUGCCAAAAAGGUGUUGUGGGAAAUCGGCCUGCAAAAUCAUCUUCACAUCUUUUCCACUUAGUGAUAGUUUCUUCAAGUUGGGUACGAUCUGAUCAUCAUCAAUCAUAAUAACUAAUGAGGUCAAUGAUGAGCUUUUUUUCAUUUUUUAAAACAAAAAUAUAAAAGGUUUUUUAAAAUUUUUAAAAAAUAAUUUUUUAAGAANNNNNNNNNNNNNNNNNNNNNNNNNNNNNNNNNNNNNNNNNNNNNNNNNNNNNNNNNNNNNNNNNNNNNNNNNNNNNNNNNNNNNNNNNNNNNNNNNNNNGUUCAGCUGGCUGACCUAAUUUUUUGUUUCUAGGUAACAGGCUUUAUAUAUCUGUAAUUGAUAGCCAAGUGAAGUUCUCAGCUGUGGUGAGGAUAUUUCUUUACAGAAGGUAUUGCAAACUGUUUUUUAGAUUAAUUAUUAUUGUAUAUAUACUUUAAUUUUCACAUCUUUUUCUCUGAUUCUUGUGGCUUUGCUUGCUUCCAUAUAUAUAAAACCAUAAAAUUGUAUAAUAAUUUUUUUUAUUAUAUUGCGAAACUGCGCACACAUGAAAAUAUCUUGUUUAGUAGUAGAAAUGAAGAAUUAAAGUGAUUUAUUUAACUAAUUUUUCUAGUGCAAUAAAAGGAGAUAGUCAUGGACCAGAGUUGGGUUGGUUUGCCAAAUAGAUAUCCAAUUCAUAUACUGAUGGGGGUCAAAAAAUUUAUAGAUUUUGCAUUUGAGAAUGUUGUUGGUGAUAAAAGAAUUUAUUGUCCUUCUAAGAGGUGUUGUAAUAUCGAUAUUUCAUUAUAAGGAAAGUGGCAAGAGACCAUAUCAUUAUAAAUGGCUAUUGGUUAAAGUAUUAAAACUGGAUAUUGGAGGGUGAGCCAUCUUCAUCUUUGAAAUCUAACUAAGAAACAGGUUAGUCAUGACUCGGGUAGUGAUGCUAGUAUGGUUGGAAUGGUGCAUAAUGCAUCACGUAAUCAAAUGUUCAAGUCACACGCAGCAUUGUUAUGGACUAUCUCCGACUUUCUAGCAUAUGCCAACUUGUUUGGGUGGAGUAUUAAAGGUAAAUAAGCAUUUCUUGUUUGCCAACAAAACACUAGAUCUAAUUGGUUGAUACAUAGUAGAAAAUUGUCACGUGGGUCACCGUCGAUUUUUACCAACAAAUCAUAGGUUCCGAAAAUAUAGUGCCAUCUGAUAAAACUAGAGAGUGGGGACAAGCACCUUCUCGGUUGUCUGGAGCUGAGGUGAAAAAGCAGUUCAGUAAUGUACUUACUGAGUAUAAGAUUGAAGACUUGAAAAGAGGAGAAUGAAUAAAAUAAAAGAAAUGAUAAGAUUACUUGGAAGAAGAAAAGCAUUUUUUAUGAACUAACGUAUUGGGAGUUCAAUUUGAUUCAUCAUAAUCUUGAUGUCAUGCACCGUUUUGAUUUUUGUUAUGAACUCAGAUCAAAAGUUUAAUGUGAUCAAAAUUUCUUAAAAAUAGUGAAAACGACUCCUCCUAAUAAUAUGGAAGAUGGCUAUAAAAGAUAAUUUCUUAAAAGUUUAAUGUGAUCAAAAUUGCUUGUGAACGCAAGGGUUUUAGUCACACUGUCAACGCUGUCAAUGUAGUGAUACAAUGAAGAUGAAGUAAAGCAUUAGUAGAAUAAUGAAGUUGACCAGUAACACAGUAAAGCAAAUUUUAUUCCAGAGCAUGAAAACUUUUAAACAGUAACACAGCUCUUAUUCCAUAGGCUGCACACGAGUGACCUGAAUCUUCUUCAGAACUUUCAAAUUUUAUCAAGCAAAGCUUUCAAAAUCCUUGCCUUCCUAAGUUAGGAAAGAUAGAUGUGGAGCAACCCAAAUGAAAUAAAUGGGUAAACAGAACAAGCAGGGCAAAAAUUAAAAAUGAUGGCAAUUAACAAAUUAAUAGCAAUGUUACAUUUGACUCUUUAGCCAUUUGUUCCUUCUCUUAGCAUUCUUCAAAGGUUUUGAAAAUUGGAUGUGAAGCAAACAAAAUAAAAUAAAUUUAGACAACACAUACCCUGUAUUCAGCAUCAUAUAUAUGUCGAAUAUCUAAUAUAAUAAAUUUCACAUCCAAAAUACUAGAAUUUCAAACAGUACUAGUAGUAAAAAAAUGACGACAACAACAAAAAUAGAAAAUUACAAGACUGCUGAUAAAAUUUCAUUUGCGUGCAUGUCUGACAAAAUUUCCGUGGUUUAAUGUGCGUUCAUGCAGGCAAGUCCUAACGUUUCUGUGAUCACAAAAUGAAACUGAAGAUAAACCUUUCAAGCUUGACGAAGCCAUGAGAAUUCAUAGCUCAGGCUCUGAUACCAAGUUAAAGUUUCUAAUCUGUUUGAUAAGUAAGAAAAUGAGAGAAAAUGAAAGAAAGAACAGAGAUCAUCUAAGAGCUGGAUUUGAUGAAUAAAUCUGAAUCAUCCAUUCUUUAGCUGAUUACAAAUGUAUUUAUACAAGGUUUCUAAGCACCUGAGAGUUGAAUAACUUAUGCCAGCUCAGCUAACACGUCAGUAACUCUACCUAUCUUGCUUAACAAACUGAAACAAUAACUAACCAUUUUAACUAUCUUAACAAUCCCAAUAAUUUCUCCGUUUGUGUGUUUUUUUGAUUCAUAAUCAAAUGGGUAAAUGUUGCAACUAUUUUUUUUANNNNNNNNNNNNNNNNNNNNNNNNNNNNNNNNNNNNNNNNNNNNNNNNNNNNNNNNNNNNNNNNNNNNNNNNNNNNNNNNNNNNNNNNNNNNNNNNNNNNNNNNNNNNNNNNNACUAACUUGAAUUUAUAUGCUUUUAGGAUUAUUUGAUAAUCAAAUGGGUAAAUGACAGGAAGAACUUUGAGUUUAAAAAUCUGGGCCUGAUGCCUGGUAGCCCUCCAACCUAUGAAGCACUAGAUGUUUUAAUGAGAAAACGACAAGACCAUUUAUCAAAUUUCUUGUGGAUAUAAAUACAUACACAUAGACGAGACCAACCUCCUCAAAUGAGAAUCAGAGUGAUUACAAGACCUUGCAAUGAGACAAUAAUACACCAUCAAAUCUCAAAAUACAAUAGAAAUUCAUGACAUAUAUAUAAUAAAAGACCACUCAUUGAGUCAUAUAUAUUGAGAAUAAAAUUUUUUUAAUACAUACAAAGAGCUUAGCUAGAAUGAAAUGUCUUUGGACUUGCGAUGAUCAAACAAAGGAAACAGACAGGUUGCAACUCACACUAUCACAGAUGUAGCGACACGAUGCAGUGAAUCACAAGAAGAUCACGAAGAUGGAAACGGGAACCCCUCAUAAUGUAAACUUUGAAUAGAGGAAAAAAGAAAAACGACCUUAUUCACAGAAGAAGAGUGACUUAAAUCUUCAUCAGUAUCCAGACAUUCUGCAAUCAUAGAGUAGAGAAAUUUUAACAGGAACAACAGAGAAAAUAUUAUGAAUAUGCUACACCAAAUUAUCCCUUUUUUGGUUUGUGAAAACUUGAUUUUUUAUGAAAUAUUUUCAAUCAAUAUUUCCACAAUAUACUUGUUCAUAGCUAACAUUUGAUGGUUUAAGGAUUUGUUAUAGGAACAAUGCACUGAUUACGUUUUUUUUUUAAUUUUUUUAAUCCGAUUAAUGAUAUUCAGCUGUUCUUUAAUUAUGUGUUCAUAGGGAAGAACAUUUUCUAAGUACUUUCCUUGCCUUCUAACUUUCCAAGGAAAGAUAGGUGUGAAGAAAAGCAAACCCAAUGAACAAACAGAGCACAAACUAAAAUAAAAGAACAGCAAUGAUGAGAAUAAAUAAUUGGCAAAGAAAGAAUGGAAAAAGUAUGCACGUUUUCAAGGAAUUAUAAAAUACGAAGGCUUUUAAUGAAAUUUUAUCAUAAAACUUAUGCAAGGAGUUCUAAAAUUUUAGAAGACGAGGGGAGCUCGCAAAAAAAAAGAAAAAGACUCAAAUUAAACUAGACUAAAAAGACAUUCAAUUAUGCAAAAUCUGUCCAUAAAAGUCUGAAAGGAUCAUUAAAAUUGCACUGCAAAUUUAACAGUAAACCGAGGGACCCAUUCUAAAUAAUUCAGAUGAAAUUGCGAAACAAGCUAUGGGAUUAAAUAAAUGAAAUAAAAUUAAUUACCAGUUGAGACUUUCUUCUAAAAAUCGCAACUCCAAGUCAUAAGAAGCUAUGAAAUUAGUCGUACUGCAUAGAGUAUAUCGACGGCACCGCCAACAGCUGAAAAUAAAAUUCUUAUUCAUCAAUUUAAACUAACUUUAUAACAAAUAUCUUAUCGAUAUUUUAUUUAAAAAGAAAAAGAAAAUUUUGUAAAAAUUUAUCAUGGGAGAUAGAGAGUAAUAUGUACAUACGUACCUUCUCAGCAUGUAAUUGUUGUAUGGUCGUGUUAAGAUCAUUACCAGCCCAACGCCGUUGAUUCGAUGUCUCUCCAUACCAGACGUUUACUCUUGGAGGCGUGAUUGAUUCUCCUGUAGUGAAAAAAUUCAUCUUGGGACAACCAAUCACACACAACUCUUGCAAAGAUGGGAAUUCAAAGGUGUAAUUGGCAGAGCAGAAACUUGUGAGGCUGUCUAAAUCACGCAGUUCCAACCUCUUCAAUUUGCGGAAAACAAUCUCUUCUUUUUCAACCCCGUCUUUGUCAUUUUUUACCACCUCUGUCAUUGCUCUGCAUCCAUAUAUACUCACUGUGACGAGUCGCACCAGAGUUUUUGCUGUGGAGAAUGUUACCAUGUGUAACAAUUUCUUGCAACCGAAAGCCACCAGAGCUGUUAGGUUCUGAAAAGAUACCGAUGAUGAUGGCAAUAGAAUUAACAGACUUUGACAAUGAUAUACUUCUAGACUUUCAAGAUACUGAAAAAUGGGGCCAAGUUUGGAGUCUUGUUUGCACAGCUGCUUCAGAUGAUAGUGCCAGUACAGCUCUAAUUCUUUUAUCAUUGCCAACUUCCCCACAUGUUUCUCUAAGCAUCCUUCCAUCGAAAAUACCUCUUCGUGGGAUGGAAAAAAAAGCAGUGAGAGCAUUUCGAGAUUGUGAAAUCUCUCAAGUACGUUCCAGAUUGGAAAACAAGCUGAGUCAUCUCCAGCAAUCUGUAGAUGUCUAAGACUGCCAAAAAGGUGUUGUGGGAAAUCGGCCUGCAAAAUCAUCUUCACAUCUUUUCCACUUAGUGAUAGUUCCUUCAAGUUGGGUACGAUCUGAUCAUCAUUAAUCAUAAUAACUAAUGAGGUCAAUUGAUGAUCUACGGUCACACGCAGUGACUUUAUAGCAUUUGUUUUAUAUUAUAUUUUAAAAAAAUUGAAUUAUUGAUAAAAUUUAUUUUAUAUGUUAAUUUUAGAGGUAAAAAAGAAAUUAGAGAAAAAGGUUGAUUUAUACUGGCUCAAAAUUAUUUUAUUGCACAAUAAUAAAUUACUAAUUUAUUUUGUAAGUUCUUCUAAAUGGAAAGACUGAGGAUUCUUUUAUAAAUACUAUGCCUAAAAAAGUUCAUAUAAUUAUGAAUCUACCAUAUUGAUCCCUUAGUCUAGACUAGCAAAGAUUAUUGUAUAAUAAAAGUUUUCAAUUUAUUGAGCAUUAAUUUAUCGAUGCUUUGUCAUAUUUUUCAAAGUUAAAAAUAAGCUAUUGAUAAAAAAUCUAGAAAAUGGCUUCAUACCUUUCCCAACGGCAAUGGGAGCUGUUGUGCAGGAAUACCAAGUUGAUCAUUCUCAUUAUUCUGCGAUAAAUCUGCAGCGAAUAUCUUUAAUUUGUCACAACGAUACACUACAAGAAUUUCUAGCGCGGGCCAUUCCGAAGUAUGCUUUCCAGGGUACAAACAUCUAAGUUUUGGUAGAACUUGGAGUAUCAGAGUGGUGAGCUGUGGAAAGACAAAAUAAGGGAUCACUUGAUCUGCUCUGUUUUCAGAAAUGAUCUCCUGUAAAUUCUCACAGAACCAUACUUCUAGGCGUUGGAGCUGCUUAAGGCUUCUGAUCAUAGACGCUGAAAAUAUGUAUUUUAAUUUGUGACAAUGCCACACAAUCAAUCGUGUUAAAUUUUGAAAGCGAGGAAACGUGACCGGAAGAUGAUUGUAGUGCCAAAUCUGGUCGACAUUAAUUUCAGAUAUCUCCAAAACCUCCAAGUUAGGCAACGCAACCUAAAAAAAUAAGAAUUUCUCGUUAGAUCCAAUAUCCAUAUGGGAAGCACUUGUUGAAAUUUUCUUCUUUGAUUACAAAUUAAUGCAAGUCAGAAUCAAUUUCCAACUGACAGCUGAGUAUGCAUUCUAAUUGAUACUACUUGUUAAGAGCUCAAUUAGUGAGCGCGUGAGAUUCUUUUUAUCCUUUUUUCCAUUUUCUUUCCAUUCUUUAAAUGAUUUAAUUAUUUUCCACGUAUGACAUCAAAAGAGAACGCAUUAUAGAAUAAAGAAAAUGUUAGCCUACGCACCUUCUCGUUGAAAAGUAGAGUUGAAAUAUCCAAAGUGAUUUCGCUGGAGCAAUACAUAGCCGUCGAUUCCUCUUGCGACACUUGUCUGUUCGGUGAUGCUGAAGGAGUCUCCACCUCACAGCAAAAACUUGUAACCUCUGGAAGAUUCCCCAGACUCAAAGAUCUUAAUUGAGCAAACUCUAUCUUCUCAAUUGCAUUAUCAACUUCUUCCCCAAUUGAAAAAAUUUCUUUCAUCUUGCUGCAAUUAAUAACUGCAAUUCUCUCAAGUCUUGGAAGGCAUUUUGUAGUAGAGAACCAAAAGAUAUUGCUCAACUUAUCACAAUUAUAUGCUUCUAUGUUUUUGAGUUGGUUGAAAGACUCUACUUUGAGCCGAUCAAUACAUAACCUCUCCAUGUUGAUCAAAUUGUGAAGGAUAAGUGACUGCAAAAGAGGAAAGGCAUCACAACCGACCAUCUCCCUUGAAUCGACGAUACAAAAGAUGUCAGGAUUAUUUUGAACCCAGAGAAGCUUCAAUUGUGAAAAGCCCUCCGUGUCCAAAUUGAAAAGAACAUUCUCGAUGCCUUGCAGCUUGUCCAACCAUAAGCAUUCAACGUUAUUGAUGCCCUGCAAUUUCGUGGAGCAAAUGUCCAUAAAAUCAAGCUUGAGCUUCAAUUCUCUUAAACUCUCACGAUUACUGUUGAUCAAAAAGUGCGGCCGGCUUUGAAACCAUUCUCUUGUAAUACUCUUGGGAGGCAUGAAUGACUCAUUUCCAAUGGAUAUUUUGAACCUUUCGAGCUUUCUGGCCAAAAAACCUUCUGGUAAAAUACUGUCAUUUUUAACGUCAAUUUCUAGAGUGGUUAGCCGAGGUAAAUGCAUCAAUUCAUCAAGGCUAGCAUUACUUCUUUCCCUGUUGUCUCUUUCAACCUCCCAUUCAAUGCAGCAAUUACCCAUAUACAGCUCUUCUAAUCGAGUUAAGCUUGAUAUGAGAUUGGGCGCAAUAACUUUUAGAUGGAAACAAUUGGUUAAAUCUAACAAUCUCAACUUAUUCAAUUGACCUAGUUCUUCUGGCAACUGCAUAAUAUCAGACAUCAGAAAGCUAAGGACUUCUAGAUUCUUCAACUUCCCAAUGAUUUCUAUGUCCCCCAACGCACUUUGAUCCAGACAUAGUGUGUGAAGAUUUACUAGAAGAUCAAUUGAAGAUGGAAAUGAAGAAAACUGCAUUCGAGUAAAAUCUAGAACUCUAAGCUUUUUCAUCCCUACAAAAAAGUUCUCAGGAAUAUUGAUUUCAAGAGAAAAAUCUUUGAGAGAGAUAUAUAAAAAUUCAAGGUUUGGGCAUUCUAAUCCUUCAGGAAAUUCACGAUUACUAUUAUUUCUUAAAGAGACAGCAUUGCAUUUUCGAAGUGCAUCCUCAUCUGGCCAGUCCCACACAUCCUCAUUUCUCACCGAAAACACAUGUUGGUGGCGGCAUGCAAUUGAUAUUGCGACAUCGCGAACAACAUCAUGCAUUGAAAAUUCUUCAUUGCUAUCACCCUCAAGCAACAAACAAGAGUCUCUAAGUUCAUGGACCAAUGCAUAUAAUUUGUCUCGUGCAUCUUCCAUCUUAUUGACUCCUUUAAAUAUACCCAAACCCAUGGAGUACUUAAACAGGUCCAAAGUAUGAAUACGGUUACCCAUUAGACUACAGAGGAGAAAAAUUUUCUUGAGUUGCUCACCUUUUAAAUGGUUGAAACUCAGCUCAAUACUUGAAUAAGUCUCUGCAGAUACUCCUUCGAAGUUCACCAUUGAAGGCGUUCGGAGUUCUCGCAAGGAAUUCUUCCAUUCAUGCAGACUCUUGCUUCUCAGUGCCUUUGCUACUGUGGUCAAGGCAAUGGGCAAACCUCCACAUGCCCUGGCGACGUCUAUUGCUGUAGAUUUCAACUCACGAUUUUCAACAUCAUCACCGGCCAUCAUCUUAAACAAUCUCCAGGCUUCUUCUUCAUUUAAAUUGUUUAUCAAAAAGUUGUCUUUAGAACCCAUUUUUAAAAGGACACUACGAUCUCUUGCCGUCAGCAGUAGUUUGCAGCCUUUAUGGUCUUCUCCAAAAGGAAUUCCAACUGUCUCCAAAUCAAGGUGUUUCCAAAUGUUAUCUAAAACCACAAGGAUCUUCUUGUGAUUUCUCAAUCGCUCAAAUAGUCUACUUGCUCUUCUAGAUUCAACUUCCUCGUGCAACUCCAGGCCCAACUUCUCGGCAAUUUCCUGUUGAAUCUUUU
rnacentral:lncRNA from 1 species